GACGUAGGCGCGGGUGAAGGGGUCAGUAAGGAGGGCGCCGUCGGAGUGGAAGAGGCCCCUCCGCUUGCUCACCAGCUUGAAGUAGUCGGUGUCGAAGGUCUUGAAGCUACCGGGGUCCAUCUCCACGAGGGUGGUGUUGUCGUUGAGGCUGGCACACUUGCUCUUUAGCCGCAUCAUGUACUGCGGCUCCAGCGUGGGGUCGAUGUCGCUGGGGUUCUCCAUGCCGGUGAAGUUGUAGAGCCGGUCGGAGAAGGAGAAGCAGUGCGACGUCCCGAUCGUGUGCCCGGCGGAGAGGACGACGAGGUCCUUGGCGUCGAGGUUCACGGCGGCGAAGAGCUGGGUGAGCACGGUGAAGUUGGCGGUAGGAGGUGGCAGGGCGUCGGUCUCGUUGGAGAUGGACACGCUGCCGUCUCUCCGGCCGAGGGGAACUUCCCAGAAUGGCCCCUUGCUCUAGAAAAACGAUGAUCGAGCAGCAGUAGAAGUUUAGAACUCGGCGCCUUCCACAUGUACCGCGUGACGACAUUUGCGAAAUCGGCUAGUACUCACCAGCCAGACCGCGUCCCUGGCAAUGAGGGCGAGCACGUCGGCGCAGGAGACGGUGUCGGGGCAGGCCUUCUCCACGGCGGCCUUCACCCUCUCGACGAAGCCGAAGCCUCGCAGCGUCUGGUUCGGCUGUGCGUCCUUCUCCGCUGUCUUGUUCGCCGAGUCCAGCAGAACAGACCCGUCGCACCCCUACAUUCACGGUGAUCAGGCCAGAUGCAGUGGGAGUAGAGUACACAUGCAUGCAAAUGUAGCUUACCCUGACGAAGCAGUCGUGGAAGUGCAUCCUGAGGAGCGGCCCGGCGAGGCUGGGCGCCAGGGACAGCGCCCUCACCAUCUCCCUCCUCACGACGUCCUCCACGCUGGGGCACGACUCGCUGUAGAACUUCUCGUGCAGCUGCGCCCGCGCGCACGUCGCCGCCACCGCCGCGAGCAGGAGCGCCACCAUCAAAGACCUCGACGCCAUCUUCACACGCCCCGAGGAUGAGGGUGGCUAGGUAGCUAAUUAGUCAGGGGAAGCUUGUGCUGCUGCUGCUGUUGCUAGACUGGCGCCCGAGAAAUAUAUAGCGCCGGAGUGUCCCCACGCCUGCAUGUGGUGGGCUGUCCUCCGGAGCAGCAGGUAAAAUUUGCAUGGUUUAUUGAGUUGUUCCUUGUUUGCACUCUCCGGAAUCUUUGCCGUGGCAGGUACACCGGCGGCGUGCCGUAUGUAUAAUGGAGGCGGCCGGACAGCCAGACCCAGACGGAAGCACGUAGGCAGAUCAACUCAUUAACUAAUUAGUCAUCACGGAGCGGAAUUCGCUGCCAAGUUUUAAUCAACAAAGGGCCAGUGAAAGCCACCUACUGGUAGUUCGCAAACGUUGGAAUCUCAUGAUCCAUUUUUUUUGAAAACCCACCAUGUAUUAAUUAACUUAAAAUGUUCGUACAAUCAUUCAUCACAAACUUAGCCACACAGGGCGAAACAGAAUUAAACAUAAUUCAUCAGACCUAUUAUCGAAACUGAGCUUAGCAAUCUCAAGAGCCACCGUAUUAGCCCUCCUAUUGAUCUUGGAUAUCUGAAACUUCACCAGUAGCUUCUAGGUAUUGACCGCCUCCUUCUUUAGGUCGAUAAGGGGUGACCUGUCAAAGCAAUCUUUUCCAAAAACAGAAGCCACAGAAGAGCAAUCAGUUUUCAAAAAUGAUGGGCAUGUCAAGAGUGAUACCGAUAUACAGGCCAGAAAGUGCCGCCCUAAGUUCCGCUUCCUCGGCGCUAUAGCAAGCUCCGAUAUAAUCCCACGAUGAAACAAUAACUUGUCCACAAUGGUUUCUGAUAAUCAACCCCACACUCGCAACUUUAAUGGCCUCCACAAAACUUGCAUCGACAUUAAUCUUGAAGAACUCAGAGUUGGGUGGCUUCCAAGAGAUAGAAUUCCUCUCCAUAGUGGUGGUUGGCUGAACUUCCCCCAUCACUUGUUUACCUUUGUUGCAUAUCUCCACCUGCAUGUUUGCAUGACAAGACGAGAAAGAAGCCCAGUAAUUUUCUACAAAGCUCACAGAUGCCAAGAUGGAUUCCUUCCUUCUUCCAAAGAUCAAAUCAUCCCUCAAAUGCCAAGCUCUCCAGAACAUGAAUAUUGUUUGCCCACACACCAUCGGAUUUAAUUGAUCCAAUAAAAUAAGAAGCCAGUCGGGCCCAGAAUAUUUGAAAUUCUCUCCAGCCGGUAAAUUCCACACUUCCUUCAACGCCAUACGAAACGUCCGAGCCUUGGGGCAACUCACCAAUGCAUGAAAAAUACAUUCAUCCUCAAUACCACAAAUCGAGCACAUACCUAGAAUAGCUUGAUGGUGUUUACCCUGUUAACUUGAACCGCCAAACUAUUAGAGGCAGCCCUCCACGCAAAUAUUCUAAUCUUCUGGGGGACAUUAGCCUUCCAAAUUAUAUUGCAGAGCCUCCUUUCCCCAUUCGUGGCACCACUAGAGUUACCUGGAUCAACCUUUGAUUCCUGAAGAUUAAGUGCCAGCCUAUACACACUUUUCACAGAGAACAAACCACUCUUCUCAUCAUGCUAAGCAAUAACAUCACCCUCACUCAACCUCAGAAUACACAAUUUUAGAAUUUCAUCUGCAUCAUGACUAUAGAAAAGAUGUCUGAUCAGGUUCUCAUCCCAACUCCUAGACCCAGUCAUGAAUAACUCGGACACCCAUUUGAUCCUAGUUCUAUUCUUUUUAGCAGAUAUACGAAGGCCAGAAUUCCUAGGGAUCCAAUUAUCCCUCCAAAUGUUUAUACUAGAACCAUCGACCACUCUCCAUAUGAUACCUUUUUUUAGCAGAUCGAGUCCAUGCAUAAUUCCUUGCCACGUAAGGGAAGUUGCUUGAGGAAAUACCGUAUCAAUAAGAUGUCCAUGAGGAUAAUAUUUAGCUUUCAACACCUUUGCACAUAGAGAAUCCGGAAAAACCAAUAAACGCCAAGCUUGUUUAGCCAAAAGCGCCUGAUUAAAAAUUCUGAGUUCACGAAAGCCCAUGCCCCCUUCACUUUUAGGUCUAGUCAUUUUAUCCCAAGACACCCAAUGAGUUCUCUUUCUAUUCUCCUCAUCGCCCCACCAAAAAUUCUUGAUAAUCCGGGAUAACUCAUCACAUAAAGAAGCAGAAAAUUUAAAGAUACCCAUUGCAUAAACUGGAAUAGCCUGAAUAACAGACUUGAUCUGAAUUUCCUUCACCCCGCUAGAGGCAUAUUUUUCAAUCCAAUCCGACACCCGCUUAAGCGCUUUAUCUUUUGUAGAUUGAAACUUACCCGCCUUCAUACGACCUUCUGGCACAUGCAAACCCAGAUAUUUAUCCUCAAAUCCAUCGAUCGUGAUCUUGAGAAUAACCAAGAUGGACACCUGAUCUUCCAUAGAGCAUUUUUCCCAAAUAAAAUGGAACAUUUAUCUGGGCUUAAUAGCUGACCCGUUCCUUCCUCAUACGCCGAUAAAAUAGGUUUGAUUUUCAGAGCUUGCUCCAAGUUUCCCUUGAGAAAUAGGAGACUAUCAUCAGCAAAGAGUAGAUGAGAUAUACCUGGGGCAUUUUUGUUCAGUCGAAACUCUUGGAUAAUCCCUCUUGCCAACGCAUCAUUAAUUAACAGCGACAAAGAUUCAGCCACAAGGAGGAAUAGAUACGAAGACAAAUGAUCCCCUUGCCUCAAUCCACGUGAAGGAUGAAAAGACUCUAGGAGCUGUCCAUUAAAGUGCAUGGAAAAUUUCAGAGUGGUAACACAAGUCAUAAUCCAGUUUAUCCAUAUUGGAGCAAAACCAUACGCUUGAAGCAUUUUUUCUAGGAACUUCCAGUCCACACGAUCAUAUGCUUUUGCGAGAUCCAACUUAUACGUACAAUAUUCACCACGACUAUCUUUCAAUGUAUUUAAAGAGUGCAUACAUUCAAAAGCAAUGAGGGCACUUUGUGUAGGAGAGAUUAUACCGUCCAAUAGGGGUAUCAUUCUAUUGACAAGGCAUUUAGAGAUAAUUUUAUAUAUGACAUUACACAAGCUGAUUGGUCGAAAGUCCUUUAUCGACUCAGGAUGCUUCACCUUAGGAAUAAGAACAAUGGUUGUAUCAUUUAUCCCAUCAGGCAUACUUCCUGAAAUAAAGAAUAGCUGGACAACUCGAACAAUAUCCUCAUUGAGCAAACCCCAAUUCCUCUGAAAAAAACCUGGCAGGGAACCCAUCUGGCCCCGGGGCCUUUAAUGACCCAAUUUGAAAGAGGGCAUCACUGAUUUCUUGUUCAGAAAAAUGUUUGCAGAGAUCCUCAUUCAUUUUAUCAUUCAACACUGGUUUCACAAGAGACAGAAUACACGAUGGAUUUACCAUAGAAUCACAAGAAUAAAUGUUCUUGAAAAAAGAAUUUGUGAUACCUUUGAUUUCAUCCAUGUCAUGGGAAAGAGAUCCAUCGCUUCUUCUGAUAGCAGAUAUAUUAUUCUUCUUUGCCCUCCAAUUGGCCUUCCUAUGGAAAAAUUUGGUGUUUCUAUCCCCCCAUUUCAUUUUAUCCAAACAUGAUCUCUGCUUCCACAUAAUUUCUUCCUUGAUCAGGAGCACAUCCAUCUCCCUUCAAAUUUUCUUCCUCUCCACUAUUGCAUUAUGAUCACUUCUGUUAAACAACACACUUGAUCUUUUACGGGAAGAUUGAAGCUUUUUUUGAAGAUAGCCAAUGUGAACCUUACUCCAUCCAUGAAGAGACUUCACCAAAUUGUCCAAGUUAUUUGCCACAUCUCGCAGGUCAGUUACUUUCACACUUUUAUUACAACAAGAAUCAAUCUGCGCUUUCAACGCCGUAUCCUCCCUCUCCCAAUAUGCUUCAUAUUUCAACUGUUUGACAAACACACCCGGGCGCUGGACACCCAUCAAUUCAAUAAGGAGGGGGCAAUGGUCUGACCUUCAACUGAUGAUAUGAGACACCUUGCAAUCCGGAAAUAUAGAGGACCACUGAGGGCACGCAACCGCGUGAUCCAGCCGCACCUUCACAUUUUUAUUACCUUCCUGUUUAUUGUUAUAAGUCCAAGGAACUCCAUGAUAACCCAAAUCAAAUAAAUUAUAUUCAGACAUAAUCUCUCGAAAAUCUGCCAUAAAUUUGUACCGGUGCUACAUGCUAUCCUGAAUAUAUAUAUACUUAGUUGAUUUUUUCAGGCAAAAUUAGCCCGUGUCACAAAGGUGACAACACGUGGAGCUCGACACAUCUUGUCGUUGGAUUAGAGUUCAAAGUUUUAUAUCAUUGCCAUAUGAGAUAAAUACACCAUUGGUACUUGAACUUGUCAUGGAUGUUCAGUUCAGUGCUUGAACUUGAAAAAUACAUCCAACUAGUUCUAAAACUUGGCACCGACGUGUAAAUACGGUGCUAAUCUCAUCUGUAUACGUAAAGUGCUAUGAUGUGGCACCGUAUGUGGCUGACGUGGCAUGAGGCACACUUAUAAAUAAGAAACAUGAUUACUAUAAAUACUAUAUGUUUCUAUGACUAAUGGGUCAUGCCUGUUAGAGAAACUAAAAUAAAAAAUAGCACCAAAUAGGAUUAAACCCGGAACCACGAGCUAUCAAGCAGCCUGUGCUGGCCACUAAGCCAACUAGCAAUUCUUGUCAAAUAGGGCACCUGAAGUUUGAUUUAGUGUUGUCAAGCAGCCUAGGCUGGUCACCAUGUCUACUACAUGUUAAUUUUUCUUAAAAAAUGUAAAAAGUCUAAAAAUUAUGAUGACAGUAAUAGAAAUAAAGUUCAACUAUUCAUGCUAUAAAUACUCUACAUAAAACUAAAAUAACUAACUUUAAAAAAUGUUCAUUUAACAUUAAAAAUGUUCACAUACAAUGUAAAUAUAAGCCAUGCCUGUAUGAAAAUGUUUUAUUCAAUAUAUUAUUUAUUUAUUUAGCUUUUUAAAAUAUAAUCCAUGAUGGUAUAUUUAAAAUUUUUGUAUUAAGUAAACAUUUUUAAAUAGUAUUUUCUAAAUAAUACAUAACUAUUUCAAAAAACUAAAGGAAUAUUUUUAGUAAUAUAUUUUAUUGCAUGCCUUUCUAUACUUAUUUUUAUACACAUGAAUAUUUGUGUACCAUGAUCUUAUUAUUUAUGUACCACAAAUAUUUGUAACUGACAGCAUGGUCUUGUUUAUAGAUUUUUGUAAAAUAAUAUGUGCACACGAAUAUUUGUUUAUCACGAAGUAAAAAAGUAAAAUUAAUUACAAACGAAUAUUUGAAUCUAACAUUUAUGAUUAGUUCCCUCAAAAAUCAUUUAUUAUUAGGAUUAUUAUUUACAUACUUUUUUCUUUUGACAAAAAGAAAUAACAUGUGCUACCACAUCCGUUUUAUAUUACUCUACAUUAAGCUUCAGGGGUUAGCUACAUUGGCGUGCUGGCCAAUAGAUGCUGACUGGUAGCUCUAGCUCACCGGAUGGAUUCCUGUAUAGCACCAUUUUUCAUUUUAAUUUCCCUGACAGACGGGACCCACUAGUCAUAGAGAAAUAUAGUAUAUCCAAAUAAUUUUGUUUCAUAUUUAUAAGUGGUCCUCAUGCCAGGUCAGCAUACUUUACAUAUAUGAAUAGGAUUAUCAUCGUAUUUGCACGUUUGUGCCAAGUUUAAGAACCAAUUCAGCGUAUUUUUCAAGUUCAAACAUUAGAACAUCCAUGACAAGUUCAAGCAUCACUGGUGUAUUUACCUCUUCCCAUAUGAAUGCUAAUACAAAUUUGAAGCCACCUAGAUGCAUGAUUCACCUUGUAGCACGAGCGACCUUGCAAUCAAAGUAGAGGUGUUUGACUGGGAGAAAAAUUGUGGCACGCAGCGGCGGGGCACACAAAUGUUCUGUGCCAAGAUUCACAAAUUUAUCUCUGUACUCCGUGUAUUCGCCGGCGCAUAUCAAUACACACAUAUAUCUGUAUUCAUAUCGUAAAUAUAAAAUAUUAUACCAAUUUUCGUGGUUCCGUUUUCGAAGGUAUAGAUAUUGGGGUGAACAGUUCCUGUUAGAAGUGCCUACUAAACCCCCAGCUUUGUGCUGAAAACUUCCAGUGUGUUCUUCUCUCUCCCCGUGUAUUCUUUAAGUACCCUCUGCUCUUCUUAGAAGCGAUCCGAGCUAUUCUGUUGCGAAUCCCUCUCACACGGCAAUGACUGAACGACUGUAGAAGGCGUAGUCCGUAAGCUUAUCCGGCACAGCUUAGUCGAUUGUGUAUGUUUGACGUCAUUCAAGUGUUUCUGUAAGCACAAGUUCUACAUAUGGUUGCUGAGUAUUCGAUCGUUUAUUCUUUUAGGGGCUUCUAUUAGUUUGUCAUGUUUCAAGAAGUCAGAUGCCAAUCUUGUUUGUAACGAAAAAUUUGAGGCUGGAUCUUAGAACACAAAUAAUCACGUACGUGUGUAUUUUAGGAAUCUAGGAAUUUAUUGUCAGUACCAGAAAUUAAAACUCAGAAACUUGUGAAGUCGGUUAGUUACAGAGAAUGAAACUUAGGGCAUCAUGUUAGUUAAGGAAAGUGAAACUUACAACACAUGUACAAUAUUGUACCCUUAGAAGAAUUCGGAUCACACAUUUAUUAAAUAUUUCUACAAUGCAAAUUUCGAAUAUGGAUUAUUAUAUGGAAAAGAAAAAUACAUGUAUUGACACAUGUAUGUAAAAUUAUUUAAGUUUACAAAAAAAUAGUUAGUAAACUUAAAAUGAAGGUUACAUACAGAAAGAAAAUUGCAUCAUGAACUUGUCUUCUGAAACUUUAAUUCAUUAAUAAAUAUACCUUAUAAUUUUAACAGACUUCAAUGACUGAUAGUUCGACAUGUUGAUUGAAUGUAUUUGAUAAGUUACUUUGUUCUGUAAAUAAAUUGUUUAUUUAAUGUUACUGCCAUAAUGUAAAAUCUUGAUUUGUGCCUUACCACUCUUUAUGUUAACAACUAGUUGAUUGAAUUAACAAAUGUUAUUAAAUUAGGUGUUGUGUUAAAUUAUUUAUUAACGUUAUAUGCUCUGAUUAUGUAAUGUUAAUGGCAUAUUGACUUAUGUUCUAGUGAUAAAAUAUGUUGUCUAACUCGAAUUAUUCGCUAAGUGGCACUUUGAAAUGUAACAGAGAAUCAAGAUAUUAAUACACUGAAGGACUCAAGCCGAUAAACUGAUGAUGAAAAGUCUAACUCUAAAUCUUGAUUAAAGGUAGACCAUAUUCGUGCUAUUUUGAAUGGAUUUACGGUAUACAAGAAAUUUUUGCUCUAGGAAAUCAAAUUUGAAGGGUUAUUGAACUUACCUGCAAUUAAAAAAGUUCAUUUUAAAUUUAGUACAUUUCUUGUAAGUGCAACAGAUGUCAAGGAUCGGUGCAUUAAGUGUCUCAAGAUAGGAAACUCAAGUUCUAUGCUCGAGAUACGCACAAAAUUUUUGGGGUUCCUUCUACACUUAGAGACCUUGAUGGUAUUGAUGGUCAGAUAGCUGCUACUUCUAUUGAUUUCUAGAAGAAAAAUAUAGGUAUGAACGGAAUCGAUUCUCAUAGUUUGAGGCCAACAGAUUUUUCUAGCCAGAGAUAUAACUGAGUUAUCAAGUGAAGCUGAAACAAUAUGCUUUUCUUGGAGCAUGCUAUGGUUCAUUUGGGAACACCUUCUUCUAGACAUGAGUACACCAUUGAUAAUAGGAGAGCCCUAUGUAGGACUGGUUACACAGGAGAAUAUAACUAGUGUGAGUAUGCAAUGAAUUAUCUACUCGAUGCUAUUACAAGUGCACAACAACAGAUUCAAUCAAAUAUUCCUGUCAUAUAGUUUUAUGGAUGUCACUUCUUUCUACAAGUUAAUUAUCAUGUGCAUCUCAAUUACCAUAAUAAAUGUUGGAUGAUUCCACAAUCAUGUACAAUAUGUAUGCCAUAUUCGACCUAGAUACUCAUGACCAAAUUGUACCAAAGAGACACACCAAAUUGCUAGGCGCCACAUAAAUCUUUUGAUUCCAUCUUGUAAGAAAACAAAGAGAUCGAGUCACAACAUAUGAUGCAUGCAUAGUAUGUAGUGUGUUGUUUAAGUAGCUUUUUGUGUUAAAUUUCAUUAUAAUUAAUCAAGAAUACUUUAUUUUACAUUCCUUUGUAGAUUGAAGGACCUAAAGUUGUAUGUUAUAUGCGGAGUAUGAUUGAUAGAAGUCAGACAAUUUUGUUGUUGAAAAGUCUGAAAGGACAAUUCUUCCACAAAAAUCCCAGUCAGUUGGAUAUGCUGGUCAUAUUUUGUCUAAGGAAUCAAUGAAAAUAUCAAAGGGCUGAAGUUGUUUGAAAGAACGUGCAAUUUUGCUAAUCUUUAACAAAUCCAUAACGUAUAUCAAAUGGAAAGUUUAGUGAUAAUAUAAGAGAUACUUAUCCACAAAUGGUACAUUUUCAUUUAUAUACUUUAGAAAUUCUAAAUGUUGUUAAUUUUAGGGCGCCAAUCUAAACUAAUUUGAAGGUGCGUGAUACGUCCAUUUUGCAUCAUGCUUUUAUAUCGAUAUUUAUUGCAUUAUGGGCUCUUAUUACACAUUAUGUCACAAUACUUAUGCCUAUUCUCUCUUAUUUUUACAAGGUUUACAUGAAGAGGGAGAAUGCUGGCAGCUGGGAUUCUGGGCUGGAAAAGGAGCAAAUAUUAUAGACCUAUUCUGCACAGGUCCAAAAGUCCUGAAACUUCACGAAACUCAUUUUUGGAAUUAAUAAAAAAUAAUGAGCGAAGAAAGCACCAGAGGGGGCCCACACCCUGGCCACGAGGGUGGGGGGCGCGCCCCUGCCUCAUGGCCCCCCUGCCUCAUGGGCCCCCUGGUGGCCCACUGAUGCCCAUCUUUAUCUAUAUGAGGUCUUUCGUCCGAGAAAAAAAUCAUAAUCAAGCUUUCGGGAAGAAACUCCGCCGCCAUGAGGCAGAACCUUGGCGGAACCAAUCUAGGUCUCCAGCGGAGCUGUUCUGCCGGGGAAAGUUCCCUCCGGGAGGGGGAAAUCAUCACCAUCGUCAUCACCAACGAUCCUCUCAUCGGUAGGGUCUCCAUCAACAUCUUCACCAGCACCAUCUCAUCUCAAACCCUAGUUCAUCUCUUGUAUCCAAUCUUUGUAUCCAAACCUCAUAUUGGUACCUGUGGGUUGCUAGUAGUGUUGAUUACUCCUUGUAGUUGAUGCUAGUUGGUUUACUUGGUGGAAGAUCAUAUGUUCAGAUCCAUUAUGCAUAUUAAUACCCCUCUGAUUAUGAACAUGAAUAUGAUUUGUGAGUAGUUACGUUUGUUCUUGAGGACAUGGGAGAAGUCUUGCUAUAAGUAGUCAUGUGAAUUUGGUAUUCAUUCGAUAUUUUGAUGAGAUGUAUGUUGUCAUCCCUCUAGUGGUGUCAUUUGAACGUCGACUACAUGAAACUUCACCAUUGUUUGGGCCUAGAGGGAGGCAUUGGGAAGUAAUAAGUAGAUGAUGGGUUGCUAGAGUGACAGAAGCUUAAACCCUAGUUUAUGCAUUGCUUCGUAAGGGGCUGAUUUGGAUCCAUAUGUUUCAUGCUAUGGUUAGGUUUACCUUAAUACUUCUGUUGUAGUUGCGGAUGCUUGCAAUGGGGGUUAAUCAUAAGUGGGAUGUUUGUCCAAGUAAGGACAGUACCCAAGCACCGGUCCACCCACAUAUGAAAUUAUAAAAGUACCGAACGCAAAUCAUAUGAGCGUGAUGAAAACUAGCUUGACGAUAAUUCCCAUGUGUCCUCGGGAGCGCUUUCCUUCAUAUAAGAGUUUGUCCAGGCUUGUCCUUUGCUACAAAAAGGAUUGGUCCACCUUGCUGCACCUUAUUUACUUGCAUUACUUGUUACUCAUUACAAAUUACCUUAUCACAAAACUAUCUGUUACCGAUAAUUUUAGUCCUUGUAGAGAAUACCUUACUGAAAACUGCUUAUCAUUUCCUUCUGCUCCUCGUUGGGUUCGACACUCUUACUUAUCAAAAAGGCUACGAUAGAUCCCCUACACUUGUGGGUCAUCAAGACUCUUUUCUGGCGCCGUUGCCGGGGAGUGAAGUGCCUUUGGUAGGUGGAAUUUGGUAAGGAAAAAUUUAUAUAGUGUGCUGAAAUUUACUGUCACUUGUUACUAUGGAACAUAAUUCUUUGAUGGGCUUGUUCGGGGUAUCUUCACCCCGACCAAUAGAGCAAAUAGUUGCUCCUCAACCUACUAAACCUAUUGAAAAUGUUUACUUUGAAAUUCCUUCGGGUAUGAUAGAGAAUCUGCUAGCUAAUCCUUUUGCAGGAGAUGGAACAUUACAUCCCGAUUUGCACCUAAUCUAUGUGGAUGAAGUUUGUCGAUUAUUUAAGCUUGCAGGUAUGCCCGAGGAUGUUAUCAAGAAUAAGGUCUUCCCUUUAUCUUUGAAGGGAGAGGCAUUGACAUGGUAUAGGCUAUGUGAUGAUAUGGGAUCAUGGGACUACAAGCGAUUGAAAUUGGAAUUUCAUCAGAAGUUUUAUCCUAUGCAUCUUGUUCAUCGUGAUCGUAAUUAUAUAUAUAAUUUUUGGCCUCGCGAAGGAGAAAGCAUCGCUCAAGCUUGGGGGAGGCUUAAUUCAAUGUUAUAUUCAUGCCCCAAUCAUGAGCUCUCAAAAGAAAUGAUUAUUCAAAAAUUUUAUGCUCGGCUUUCUCUCAGUAAUCGCUCCAUGCUCGAUACUUCUUGUACUGCAUCUUUUAUGAUGAAGACUAUUGAAUUCAAAUGAGAUUUAUUGGAAAUAAUUAAACGUAACUCUGAAGAUUGGGACCUCGACGAAGGUAAGGAGUCAGGUAUAACACCUAAGUUUGAUUAUGUUAAAUCUUUUAUGGAUACCGAUGUUUUCUGUGAAUUUAGCACUAAAUAUGGACUUGACUCUGAGAUAGUAGUUUCUUUAUGUGAAUCCUUUGCUACUCAUGUUGAUCUCCCUAAGGAGAAGUGGUUUAAAUAUAAUCCUCCCAUUGAAGUAAAAGUAGUUGCACCUAUUAAAGUUGAAGAAAAGACUAUCACUUAUAAUGAUCCUAUUGUUCCUGCUGCAUAUAUUGAGAAGCCACCUUCCCCUAUUAGAAUAAAGGAUCAUGCUAAAGCUUCAACUGUGGUUAACAAAAGUAAUAUUCAGACACCUAAACCCCCUAAGCAAAUUAAAGUUGAACCUAAAAUUGCUAUGGUUAAAGAUCUCUUGGCCGAUAAUAUUGAUGGGCAUGUUAUUUACUUUUGCAAUGAAGCUGCUAGAAUUGCUAGACCCGAUGCUAAAAAUAAACAUAGACCUGUUGUAGGCAUGCCUGUUAUUUCCGUUAAAAUAGGAGAUCAUUUUUAUUAUGGCUUAUGUGAUAUGGGUGAUAGUGCAAGUGAAAUACCUCAUUCCUUAUACAAAGAAAUUAUGCAUGAUAUUGCACCUACUGAGAUAGAAGAGAUUGAUGUUACAAUUAAGCUUGCCAAUAGAGAUACUAUUUCACCAGUUGGGAUUGUUAGAGAUGUUGAAGUCUUUUGUGGGAAAGUUAAAUAUCCUGCUGAUUUUCUUGUUCUUGGUUCUCCACAAGAUGACUUUUGUCCCAUUAUAUUUGGUAGACCCUUCUUGAAUACUAUUAAUGCUAAGAUAGACUGCAAUAAGGAUAUCGUUUCUGUUGGUUUAGGGGAUAUUUCUCAUGAGUUUAAUUUUGCCAAAUUUAGUAGACAACCCUGUGAUGAGGAAUUGCCUAGUAAAGAUGAAAUUAUUGGUCUUGCUUCUAUUGCCGUGCCUCCUACUGAUACUUUAGAACAAUAUUUGCUAGACCAUGAAAAGGAUAUGUUUAUGAAUGAAAGAAGGGAAAUAGAUGAAGUAUUCUUUAAACAGGGACCUAUUCUAAAACACAACUUGCCUGUUGAAAUCCUAGGGGAUCCUCCUCCACCCAAGGGUGAUCCCGUGUUUGAGCUUAAACCAUUGCCUGAUACUUUUAAAUAUGCUUAUCUUGAUGAAAAGAAGAUAUAUCAUGUUAUUAUUAGUGCUAACCUUUCAGGGCAUGAAGAAGAGAGAUUAUUGAAAACUCUGAAGAAGCACCAUGCUGCUAUUGGAUAUACUCUUGAUGAUCUUAAGGGCAUUAGUCCCACUCUAUGUCAACACAAAAUAAAUUUGGAGAAAGACGCCAAACCAGUUAUUGAUCACCAACGACGACUAAAUCCUAAGAAGAAAGAAGUGGUAAGAAAGGAAAUAUUAAAGCUCCUUGAGGCAGGUAUAAUUUAUCCCGUUGCUGAUAGUCAGUGGGUAAGCCCUGUCGGUUGUGUCGCUAAGAAGGGAGGUAUCACUGUUGUUCCUAAUGACAAAGAUGAAUUGAUCCCACAAAGAAUUAUUACAGGUUAUAGGAUGGUAAUUGAUUUCCGCAAACUAAAUAAAGCUACUAAAAAGGAUCAUUACCCUUUGCCUUUCAUUGAUCAAAUGCUAGAAAGAUUAUCCAAACAUACACAUUUUUGCUUUCCAGAUGGUUACUCUGGCUUCUCUCAAAUACCUGUGUCAGCUGAGGAUCAAGAAAAGACCACUUCUACUUGCCCUUUCGGUACCUUUGCUUAUAGACGUAUGCCUUUUGGUUUAUGUAAUGCACCUGCUACCUUUCAAAGAUGCAUGAUGGCUAUAUUCUCUGACUUCUAUGAAAAGAUUUGUGAAGUUUUCAUGGAUGAUUUCUUUGUUUAUGGAUCCUCUUUUGAUGAUUGCUUGAGCAACCUUGAUCGAGUCUUGCAGAGAUGUGAAGAAACUAACCUUGUCUUGAAUUGGGAGAAGUGCCACUUUAUGGUUAAUGAAGGUAUUGUCUUUGGGCAUAAAAUUUCUGGAAGAGUUAUUGAAGUUGACAAAGCUAAAGUUGAUGCUAUUGAAAAGAUGCCGUGUCCCAAGGACAUCAAAGGUAUAAGAAGUUUCCUUGGUCAUGCCGGUUUUUAUAGGAGGUUCAUUAAGGACUUCUCAAAAAUUUCCUGGCCUCUGACUAACCUAUUACAAAAAGAUAUUCCUUUUGUCUUUGAUCAUGAUUGUGUAGAAGCAUUUGAAAUACUUAAGAAAGCUUUGAUUUCUGCACCUAUUGUUCAGCCUCCUGAUUGGAAUUUACCCUUUGAAAUCAUGUGUGAUGCUAGUGACUAUGCUGUAGGGCUGUUCUGGGACAAAGAGUUGAUAAAAAAUUAAAUGUUAUUCAAUAUGCUAGUAAAACUCUAGACAAUGCCCAGAGAAAUUAUGCUACUACUGAAAAGGAAUUCUUAGCAGUUGUAUUUGCUUGUGAUAAGUUCAGACCUUAUAUUGUUGAUUCACACUGAUCAUGCUGCUAUUAAAUAUCUUAUGGAAAAGAAAGAUGCUAAACCUACACUUAUUAGAUGGGUUCUCUUGCUACAAUAAUUUGAUUUGCAUAUUAUUGAUUGAAAGAGAGAUGAGAAUCCCGUUGCAAACAACUUGUCUAGGUUAGAGAAUGUUCUUGAUGACCCACUACCUGUUGAUGAUAGCUUUCCUGAUGAACAAUUAGCUGUCAUAAAUGCUUCUCACAACACUCCAUGGUAUGUUGAUUAUGCUAAUUACAUUGUUGUUAAAUUUAUACCACCUAGUUUCACAUACCAGCAAAAGAAAAAGUUCUUCUAUGAUUUAAGACAUUACUUCUGGGACGACCCACACCUUUAUAAAGAAGGAGUAGAUGGUGUUAUUAGACAUUGUGUACCUGAGCAUGAACAGGAACAUAUCCUACGUAAGUGUCACUCCGAGGCUUAUGGAGGACACCAUGCUGGAGAUAGAACUGCACACAAGGUAUUGCAAUCCGGUUUUUAUUGGCCUACUGUCUUCUAGGAUGCCUGUAAGUUUGUCAUAUCUUGUGAUGAAUGUCAAAGAAUUGCUAAUAUUAGUAGACGUCAAGAAAUGCCUAUGAAUUAUUCACUCGUUAUUGAACCAUUUGAUGUUUGGGGCUUCGAUUAUAUGGGACCGUUUCCUUCCUCUAAUGGGUAUACUCAUGUUUUAGUUGCUGUUGAUUACAUUACUAAGUGGGUAGAAGCUAUUCCAACUAGUUGCUGAUCAUAACACCUCUAUUAAGGUGCUUAAAGAAGUUAUUUUUCCGAGGUUUGGAGUCCCUAGAUACUUAAUGACGGAUGGUGGUUCACAUUUUAUUCAUGGCGCCUUUCGUAAAAUGCUUGCUAAGUAUGAUGUUAAUCAUAGAAUUGCAUCUCCAUAUCACCCGCAAUCUAGUGGUCAAGUAGAAUUGAGUAACAGAGAGCUCAAAUUAAUUUUUCAAAAGACUGUUAAUAGAUCUAGAAAGAAUUAGUCCAAGAAACUUGAUGAUGCAUUAUGGGCAUAUAGAACUGCAUAGAAAAAUCCUAUGGGUAUGUCUCCGUAUAAAAUGGUUUAUGGUAAAGCAUGUCACUUACCUCUUGAAUUAGAACAUAAGGCAUAUUGGGCUAUUAAAGAGAUCAACUAUGACUUCAAACUUGCUGGUGAGAAGAGGCUUUUUGACAUUAGCUCACUUGAUGAAUGGAGAACCCACGCUUAUGAAAAUGCCAAGCUGUUUAAAGAAAAAGUUAAAAGAUGGCUUGAUAAAAGGAUACAAAAACAUGAGUUUAAUGUAGGUGAUUAUGUAUUGCUAUAAAACUCUCGUUUAAGAUUUUUUGCAGGCAAACUUCUGUCUAAAUGGGAAGGUCCUUACGUCAUCGAGGAGGUCUAUCGUUCCGGUGCCAUAAAAAUCAACAACUUCGAAGGCACAAAUCCGAAGGUGGUGAACGGUCAAAGAAUCAAACAUUAUAUUUCAGGUAAUCCCAUAAAUUCUAAAACUAAUAUUAUUGACACCGUAACCCCGGAGGAAUACAUAAGAGACACUUUUCGGAAUGUUUCAGACUCCGAAAAGGAAUAGGUACGUGGUACGGUAAUUAAACCGACUGCAAAACAGUUCUAAUGGCAAUUUUUCUCCGUUUUGGAAUAUUUAAGAAAAUAGGAAAAUAAGAAGUAGACCGGAAAGGACACGAGGUUUCCACGAGGGUGGAGGGCGCGCCCUACCCCCUGGGCUCGCCUCCUGCAUCGUGGGCACCUCGUGUGCUCUCCGGACUCCAUUUUCUUACACGAUACUUCUUUUGGUCAGUAAAAAUUCAUUAUAUAAUCUCCCGAAGGUUUUGACCACCGUAUCACGCAAAAAUCCUCUGUUUUUGUUUCGAGCUGUUUCUGCUGCAGAUUUAGAGCAAGAUGUCUUCUCAAGAGUCAGUCGGGGAGAGUCGGGUGUCCCAUCCGACACCGGGGCCAAGAGCAAACAGCAAUGCUGACCACUUUGGGCCAUCAACUGAGGAAGAGAUGGAGGCCAAUUUGAAAAGGAUAGAUGCCAUGGAGGAGGAUGAAGAAGUUACUUCCCGUUUCCGAGCAGGAUUCACUAUGGGGGAACUACAGAGCUCGACUAUUCCAAACUCGGCCAUCCCUUCCAAUGUUAGAUUUCUUUCUUAUGAAAAUAUGAAAAAGAGUGUUACUUGUUCUCCCACAGCUAUGCAACAUCCUUGGGUGAAAGGAGCUUUAGCCGUCAUGGGCAAGCUCCGAAAGGAAAUAAUGGACCUCAAGCAGCAAGUCAAUAAGCUCGAGGAAGAGAAUCGUAUCCUAAGGGGCAUCAUCGCCAAGAAUAUCACAUCACCACCCCCAAAGAAGGAGACAUUAACACAUGGGUAUGGGCACUCCCCUUGGCAACUGCCAAGCUUGGGGGAGUGCCCCGGUAUCGUAUCACCAUCACACCUUUUAUCUUUACCGUUUUUCUUAGUUCGAUCCUUUUGAUAAUAUCUUGAUCUAGUAGAAUAAAGUUUUAGUAUGAUCUAGUUGUGAGUUUUGGUUUAUGAUCUUCCUAUGUAAUCGAGUCCGUGAGUUAAAUAUAAUAAAGAUUAGUGUUGAAUCAAGGACUUGAUUAUUUUGCUAUGAUCUGGAGGGAAUAAAAUAAAAAGAGAAAGAAAUAGAAAGAAAUAAAGAGAUCAUAUGGAUCUUAUGGAGAGUAAUCAGCUCACAUAUAAAGAGUAUGAUGAAUAAAAGUUGUUGAGAGUUGACAAACAUAAUGUUGGUCAUCGUUGCAAUUAAUAGGAAGUAAUAAAGAAAGAGAGGUUCACAUAAAAAUAUACUAUCUUGGACAUCUUUUAUAAUUGUGAGCACUCAUUAAAGUAUGAUAUGCUAAAGAGUUGAUGUUGGACAAGGAAGACAACGUAAUGGGUUAUGUUUUCUUACAUCUAAGAUAAAUUAUAUUGUCAUGGAUCAUCCAACAUGUUGAGCUUGCCUUUCCCUCUCUUGCUAGCCAAUUUCUUUGCACCAAGUAGAGAUACUACUUGUGCUUCCAAAUAUCCCUAAACCCGUUUUUGCCAUGAGAGUCAACCAUACCUACCUAUGGAUUGAGUAAGAUCCUUCAAGUAAGUUGUCAUCGGUGCGCGCAAUAAAAAUUGCUCUCUAAAUAUGUAUGACUUAUUAGUGCGGUGAGAAUAAGCUUUAUACGAUCUUGUGAUGUGGAAGAAAUAAAAGCGACGGAUUGCAUAAUAAAGGUCCAUAUCACAAGUGGCAAUAUAAAGUGACAUUCUUUUGCAUUAAGAUUUUGUGCAUCCAACCAUAAAAGCGCAUGACAACCUCUGCUUCCCUCUGCGAAGGGCCUAUCUUUUAUUCUUGUCUUAUACUUCAUGCAAAGAGUCAUGGUGAUCUUCACCUUUCCUUUUUACAUUUUAUCAUUUUGCAAGCACAAUGUGUUGGAAAGAUCCAGAUAUAUAUAGCUAAUUGGAUGUGAGCUUUCAUGAACUAUUAUUGUUGACAUUACCCUUGAGGUAAAAGUUGGGAGGCAAAACUAUAAGCCCCUAUCUUUCUCUGUGUCCGAUUAAAACUUCAUACCCAUAAAUAUUGCGUGAGUGUUAGCAAUUGUGAAAGACUAAAUGAUAGUUGAGUAUGUGGACUUGCUGAAAAGCUCUUAUAUUGACUCUUUCCUAUGUUAUGAUAAAUUGCAAUUGCUUCAAUGACUGAGAUUAUAGUUUGUUAGUUUUCAAUGAAGUUUCUGAGUCAUACUUCAGUAUGUGAUUGAAUUGUUACUUUAGCAUAAGAGAUUAUAUAUAUAUAUAUAUAUAUAUAUAUUGAUGUUCUAAGAAUGAUCAUGAUGCCCUCAUAUCCGUAUUUUAUUUUAUCGACACCUCUAUCUCUAAACAUGUGGACAUAUUUUUCGAUUUCGGCUUUCGCUUGAGGAGAAGCGAGGUCUAAGCUUGGGGGAGUUGAUACGUCCAUUUUGCAUCAUGCUUUUAUAUCGGUAUUUAUUGCAUUAUGGGCUGUCAUUGCACAUUAUGUCACAAUACUUAUGCCUAUUCUCUCUUAUUUUACAAGGUUUACAUGAACAGGGAGAAUGCCGGCAGCUGGGAUUCUGGGCUAGAAAAGGAGCAAAUAUUAGAGACCUAUUCAGCACAGCUCCAAAAGUCCUGAAACUUCAUGGAAGUAAUUUUCGGAAUUAAUAAAAAAUAAUGAGCGAAGAAAGCACCAGAGGGGGCCCGCACCCUGGCCAUGAGGGUGGGGGCGCGCCCUACCCCCUGGGCGCGCCCCCUGCCUCAUGGGCCCCCUAGUGGCCCUCUGAUGCCCAUCUUCUGCUAUAUGAGGUCUUUCGUCCGAGAAAAAAUCAUAAGCAAGCUCAUGGGACAAAACUCCGCCGCCACGAGGCGGAACCUAGGAGGAACCAAUCUAGGGCUCCGGCGGAGCUGUUCUGCCGGGGAAACUUCCCUCUGGGAGGGGGAAAUGAUCACCAUCGUCAUCACCAACGAUCCUCUCAUCGGGAGGGGGUCAAUAUCCAUCAACAUCUUCACUAACACCAUCUCAUCUCAAACCCUAGUUCAUCUCUUGUAUCUAAUCUUUGUAUCCAAACCUUAGAUUGGUACCUGUGGGUUUCUAGUAGUGUUGAUUACUCCUUGUAGUUGAUGCUAGUUGGUUUACUUGGUGGAAGAUCAUAUGUUCAGAUCCAUUAUGCAUAUUAAUACCCCUCUGAUUAUGAACAUGAAUAUGCUUUGUGAGUAGUUAUGUUUGUUCCUGAGGACAUGGGAGAAGUCUUGCUAUAAGUAGUCAUGUGAAUUUGGUAUUCGUUCGUUAUUUUGAUGAGAUGUAUGUUGUCAUCCCUCUAUUGGUGUCAUGUGGACGUUGACUACAUGACACUUCACCAUUGUUUGGGCCUAGAGGGAGGCAUUGGGAAGUAAUAAGUAGAUGACGGGUUGCUAGAGUGACAGAAGCUUAAACCCUAGUUUAUGCAUUGCUUCAUAAGGGGCUGAUUUGGAUCCAUAUGUUCCAUGCUAUGGUUUGGUUUACCUUAAUACUUCUGUUGUAGCUACAGAUGCUUGCAAUGGUGGUUAAUCAUAAGUGGGAUGUUUGUCCAAGUAAGGAAAGUACCCAAGCACCGGUCCACCCACAUAUGAAAUUAUCAAAGUACCGAACGCGAAUCAUAUGAGCGUGAUGAAAACUAGCUUGACGAUAAUUCCCAUGUGUCCUCGGGAGCGCUUUCCUUCAUAUAAGAGUUUGUCCAGGCUUGUACUUUGCUACAAAAAGGAUUGGGCCACCUUGAUGCACCUUAUUUACUUGCAUUACUUGUUACUCGUUACAAAUUACCUUAUCACAAAACUAUUUGUUAUCGAUAAUUUCAGUGCUUGUAGAGAAUACCUUACUGAAAACUGCUUAUCAUUUCCUUCUGCUCCUCGUUGGGUUUGACACUCUUACUUAUCAAAAAGACUAUGAUAGAUCCCCUACACUUGUGGGUCAUCAGUGCAACAUUCUAUAACUCAAGAAUUCAAACUGAGGCAUACUAAACGAGUUAGUGAACGGAAUAUGAAGAAGGAUGACAUAAUUGGAGAAGAUAUUGAAGUUAUAGAUAAAGUCUUCUUAUUGUUAAACCAGACUUGCAUGUGUUGCACUUGAAGAGGCCGGAGUCCAUGCUUUCUUGAGAGAUGAAAUAAGGUGACAUGUGUUGCCAAAAUAAAUGAGUUAUGUAUUAUACUUCUCUUUUAAAAUUAUUGUUUGUAUAGAUAUGUAACUUACUUUAUUAACUUUCUUAAUGAAAUGCAGCCAACCAUUCUGAACAAGUUUCUGUCCUCAGUAAUGUUGUAGCAUGAUCAGAAGGUAAUAUUUUUUGAAUAGCUUGUUUUGUUGAAUCUAUUAAUAUAAUUGUGAUUAUUUGCUGCUUGUACAAAUGAAGGUUCUAUUUGUAACAAUGCAAGUGGGUCAAGUAGAAAAUUUAUUGAUAUAGUUGAAUCAAAUGUUGAACAUAUGGUUGUUUUAACCUAUCCAAAUCUAAUGAAUAUUUUUCAUUGUGAAAAAUACUUUUAGUUCAUAAUUGUUGUGCCGAUGCACUAAGCUUGGUGAACUUAUGUGUGGGAUAUGAAGGAGAAAGUAAGCAACACUUUAGAUCCAUAGUGUGCAAAUGGUACUGCAUCAUACAUGAAAGAAAGGCAUGAAACAUGUGUUUAUAUAUAUUUGACUGUACUGAAAAGUUCUUGAGUAUUUAGAGUUGCUUUCAUCAUCUUGGAUGGUCAAAGAAAUUUCAUCAUCCAACGUACCACUUCAGAGGUAUAUUCCAUUAUUCAUGUUUAUCUGUAAAACUAAUUUAUUUCUUCUAAUUAUGGCAAAUGCAGGGAAGAUUCAGCAAUUGCAUCUCUGAUGAUAGCAAUGUACUUUAAUGGCAUUGAAGUAAAAUAAAAACUAACUAAGGUACAUCUGAAUGUUAAUGUUUCAUUCUAAUUUGUUUAUCAGCUCUAUUGCUACUUACAUAAUUGCACAUUUUUUUGUAGUACACAUUUUCUAUUAUACGAGUACUAAUGUUAUGGCAUUUACAAAAAAUGGACUGUAAUAAAGGAAAGCUGCCUUUACAUCUUCAUCAAAUGAUGUAGAAAUUGUAGAUCAACAUUCUUAUGCAUGAACUAAAUAUUUACUAUUUGUAAUAAGGAUUAAGGUGUUGUGUGUUGACACAUAUAAGUUUGUAUUGAUUAUUUUAAUUAUAUGUAAUUGUAGUAUCUUAGAAUGAUUAGACAUAAUAUUUGAAUUGUAAUGCCAUAUUAAAGAGUUUGAACAAUUUAUAUUAAUUGAUCUUGUUGUCAUGGUGACCCACUUACAGAUACUUAGUACUAACUAAAUGUAUACUACAAGUGUUAACUCACUGAUAGGAUAAAAUAAUUAUAUGUAUAUAUUGAGAAGAAUUUAUAGGAUGAGAAACUAUUGAAUUAGUAAAGAUUGUUAAAUAUAAUGUGAACAACAUUUAUAUUUACUAGAAGAUCAGUCGAUUACAUCAUUGUCAAUUAAAGUACAAUCUUAGUAGAAAAGAUGUGAAAACCUACAAUAUCCCUAGAAUUGAAGGACGCGGUGGUCUACCGGGUCACUUAUAUGAAUUUGCAUAGUUGCAUCAAAAGGUUUCUAGUUUAGUAACCUAUUUCAGCAAGUCUACUACACUACACAUUUUAUUGGAAUGUAACCGAAGUUUAAUAUAAGCUAAAUUGGAGUAAAUUAAAUAAAGUAUUGAUAUAAUUGGAAUUGCGGAAGCAAACACCAAUUUACUAAAAAAAGAAUAAUGUCUAUUUUUUCCGAAGAUCCACUAUGACAAUGAAAAAUAUUUCUACAUAUCCGACCAAACCCCCCUUCCUUCAAGAAAUCUUGGAGAAAAUGUCACACUUACUCUCAAACUUCUAUAAUAUUUUACUAAACUCUAUGUAUUAGAACUUACUGAUUCAGAACAUCUACAAAUCGAAGGAUACUAGAAUUAUAUUAACUGUAUUAAGAUAACAUCACUCUCUAGAUGAUCAGAAUUCCAGUUACCCUCUCGUUGAUAAAUUAUGCAUUGGAAUCAAUUCCUCAGUACAACUUUAAUAUGCUUCUACAUAAUUCAGAAUCUCGAAAACACCAUGGUUACUAGGGCUUGUGUCAAUAGUCUGUGGCCUAAAAUAAGCAUAUCCUUCUUCAACAUAUAAUUCUCGAACUGUAACUAAUACCUAGAUAACCAAGGAUAUUGUUUACGUUGCUAGUACAACGAAUAAAUUUGUUGACGGACUGAAAUUUUGACAAUAUCAUUAUCACUAACAAUGGGAUCUGCAUCAUAAUCACUUUGGUGACCUUGUCAUCUAUCCGUUAACAGAUAACUGCAUAUCAGAUCAAAGUAAACUAGUAUAGAGAAAAAUAAGAAAUCCUAACUUGUGAACAAUGCAACAAUGUUAACAUACCAAAUCUUGGGGUGUAUCCAAGGUCAGCUUUCCUAAUUCAGUGCCAUGGACCAACAUAGUGGAGUGAAAAUCUUCAAUAACAUCAAUCUAUUACAAUGAGCUUUAUUUUUUUGCUCAAGAGCAACAUGUAGGAGGACAGAUUGAUAUAAAUUUGUUGCUAAGAACGAAGAACAUUAACUAAUGUAAGUUCGAGAUUGCAAACUUGGAUCUUGGGAUAAGAAGCUACAUCUCUAAGCACUAGCGAUUUUGCCACCAAAGUUGUUUUGCUGAUUGCCGCCGUUAAAGUUCGGUGAGAAGGUUGAGGUAAAAGAACCUGAGAUUGGUGGGGAGAAGGAAACAUGGCACAACAUGCAUCUAUUUAAAUGGCUAUGAAAUGACUUUCCCAUGAUUUUAUGUAAUUUCUUUCGGAUAAUGGUUUUUUCAUUUCUGAAUGUUAGUCCAAGUUGUAUAAAAAUAUAAUUUUAUAUUGUAAAAACCAAAUACCAAAGAUUGUAGUUUAUAUUUAUAGAUAUUGCGUUGGAAGGAAUAUUGUAAAUAUAGUAUUUAUAACUGGUAAUGUAUUAUAGAGAUUUUGUGGAGGGAAAUUUAAUGGAGAACCCCUAGAAAGUUUUAAGAGAUGGAACUAAGAGUUAGGUCUAUUCCGUAUAGAGGGAGAUAGUGACAAAAUGUGCGGAGAUAGUAAGGUUCUGCGAUGUGGUCAUAUACAAAUAUGAUAUUUAUUAAUAGGGAGCCCACUACCUCGUAAAAACCGUCUGCUCCCCUUGGGUCUCAGACUAAAAAAAUACAACCAGAUCACAGACCAGAAUUCUUCUUCGUCUUGGGAUGGCGGCUGGUAACCAAAGAUUCAACCCUAGGUAGCUGUCUUUGUUGUUCUACCACACUGUUUCCUCGUAGGUUUACCUCGAGAAACUUGUAUUAGGAAGGAAAUUUGACUCAUAUGUAUCCACACUUUUGGUGAGAGAAGUGAAACUGUGGAUAAGGAACAUUAGCAAAGAGCUAAAGGCACACAUGAUAAGGUGACAUAUCAUUGAAACAAUUAGCUUGUAGGUAUGUUUGCAUUUUGCCACAACACAAGUUUUUUUAUCAUCAAUUUGGAUAUUUAAUAUAUGUUAUGGGCAUCUGUUUUGAUAUUGGUAUGACUAUGCAUUAUUUAGUAGUGUCAACGUAUCAACAUAUGACUGAAGAAUGAGUUUAGAUUUGAAUAAACUUUAUUUGUCAGCUUUAAGAUGUGUACAAUUACGGUACUUUCAAUUGAACUAUUUUUAAGGAUUCAGAACUGUGUAAGGCAUCAUAAUGGGUUGAUUUUUACUCUAUAGGAUUUUCAAAUCUAAAACUUUUUGUUGUGUUUGAAAUUUAAGUACUUUGAUCAGAAACUUACAUGUUUGCGUUAGUGAAAAUAUCAAGAUUUUUGAAUAUGAGUUUAAUUUCUGAUUUAGACUCCGCACAUGAAAGAGAGAAACAACAUAAUUAAGAAGCUAUCAAGUUACUAAUUAAGGCAUAUGGUCAAUACGUUAAGAAGGCAUGUCAAUAUGUACAAUGGAAAUUGAUUAUCCUCUUUAGUCGUGGGAAGUAAAACAAUUGCACAAAAAAAUAGUCUUGAAAGCUCAGGGUGAUCAACAUGGAGGGUCUUAGAUAACUCCACGACUCCUAGAAGGUUUGAUAGACUCGGUUGAGAAUUCAUCCAAUCCAGGUGCUUUAUAAUUAAUGCAACUUCGCUCACCACAUGUUUAGAAAAAAGGGGUUGUGAUGAGCUUAUUUCGAGCAUCCAAAACCUAUGACUUUUCUUCUAUUGAAACAUUUAGAGAGAAAGUACUUGAACUGGGAGUUUCUAAUAUACAUAUUAUCUGAUAAUAUAAACCUUUAGGGAAGUCAUGGGGGGGGGGGAGAGCUGCUACACAACUACUACUGCAAAAAUGGUAGCCGGAAAAGGACACCACUCAAGUGUAAUCAUGAGAGUGCAUAGUACAUCUAUUUAUUCGAGUUGGCUAAUCUAGAUUGGAUCAAGAGAAAGCCUUUUCAGAGACUGGAUCUAUUGUUAUCCUCGUAUAUCUCAUGCAAAUGAAGAUUUAGUGUACAACCAUCGCUAAAAAUUGUAAUAAAUAGGCGGAGGAUAUAUAGGGGUGAAGGAAAAGCCCUCAAACAAGCAAUUGCGGUUGGGUGGGGGUGGGGGUGGGGGUACUAUGUGGGUCAUGUAAUGAACCCACACAACAAGGUCGGACACAUGGGGCAACUGCAUGGACUCCCUAGUGGUCGUCAUGAGUUGGCUUUUGUCCUGUUCCUCAUCUUAUCUCCUUGUCUCCUUGAUGUCUAACCAACAUAAAAAGGAUUCUUUUUUCUAUAUUUUAGCGAUAAGCACAAUUAAAUAUAUGAGAAAAAACAUUAAACUUCAAAAGAAAUACAUGCAUUUCUGUUGUAGUAGUGAAAAAACAACAUAAGAAGGGGUAUACAAAGAUCUUGUUAGACAUCAAAUUUAGUAUAAGCUCUAUUCCACUAAAACAUGGAACUCUACUCUUCUAGUCAAGGAUAUCAAGGUAAAACCAUCGAGAAGGGUGAACAAGAAUUCCAUUGAGAGGAAAAAACUCUGAAAACAAGAUAUGAUAGAGAACCUCUUGCGUCGACAAGAGGUGAGAUAAUUUUUCACCGAGAGGCAAGGUUGGAGAAAGUGCCAGGCAAAAACGAGGAGUUUGGCUUUCUCUUAGCACCUAAGUGGUGCUUAAGCGCCUUAGGUGUAGCCUAGGUGCAUGUAUAGUUUUGGCUAUCAGGGUGUAUUUGGGAUAAUAUAUGUGUAUCAAUAUUAAUUUAGAGCAUAUAAGUGCGGAAACUACCAUGUCUAGCCUUUGGAAUAUGGCCUAGGCCCGUUUGGCCCAUCUAUGAAAUGUAUCAUGAUAUCUCGUUUGAGUAAAUAAUUUCUUCUUUUGCAUGCCUAGAGUUUCUCUUAUGUCCUCGGCGAGUCGUUUGGUCAUUGCCUAGCACCUAAGGGUGUCUAUGCGCCUUUCGGCGUGGUCUUUUCCAGCACAACUAAGAGGAGAUCUCUUCACACCACACUUGAGAUGAUAUCCCCUCCCAUAAGAAUGAGAUGCCUUACAAGCUACCACUGGACACUUUUUAUAGGAUUUUUUACUUCGACCAUCAUUGCUCUUGCACUACUAGGAAAAUGCAUAUACAUAGUAGCAUAGUAGUAGCACUGGAAAAUAGCAAACACUGCUGCUAUUUAGCAGUAGCGCUUUUCCUGGAAAGCGCUACUAGUAACACCAUAGUAGUAGAGCUAUGAAGCAGAAAGGCGCUACUACUAUGUGGGACCAGACGGGGCCACCGACGGUUUUUGUAGUUGUAGCGGUGUACAGGAAAAAGCGCUACUACUAACAGUUUAGUAGUAGCGCUCGAUUUUAAUGCACCGCUAUUGCUAGUGGGCCCCACUUAGUUAGCGCUUUUCCUGGAGUGCGCUACUACUAAGUCCAAUAGCGGCAACGCUUUUUGCAAAGCAGCGCUACUGCUAGUUGCGGCUGGUGCCACCUUUUCCACCCCCUCCCCUCCUCUCCCCCACUUUGCCCUCUCUCCCCCUCCUUUCCCCUCUCCCCUCUCCACUCUCCACCAUUGUUGCUCUUCUUCUCUCUUCCUCCUACCUCUCUUCUCUCCUUAUUAAUGGCACCCUCCUCCAUAAAUGGCCUCUCUCUUUCUCCUACACCUCUCUUCUNNNNNNNNNNNNNNNNNNNNNNNNNNNNNNNNNNNNNNNNNNNNNNNNNNNNNNNNNNNNNNNNNNNNNNNNNNNNNNNNNNNNNNNNNNNNNNNNNNNNNNNNNNNNNNNNNNNNNNNNNNNNNNNNNNNNNNNNNNNNNNNNNNNNNNNNNNNNNNNNNNNNNNNNNNNNNNNNNNNNNNNNNNNNNNNNNNNNNNNNNNNNNNNNNNNNNNNNNNNNNNNNNNNNNNNNNNNNNNNNNNNNNNNNNNNNNNNNNNNNNNNNNNNNNNNNNNNNNNNNNNNNNNNNNNNNNNNNNNNNNNNNNNNNNNNNNNNNNNNNNNNNNNNNNNNNNNNNNNNNNNNNNNNNNNNNUAUAUAUAGGUGAGUAAAAAGUUGUUCAUUUCAAGAAUGGGAAUAUGUGUGUGAAUGAGAAUAUGUGUGUUUGGGAUAUAUAUAUAUAUAUGGAGAGAUUUGUGCUAGUGAAAUGCCCUCGAGUUGCUUAUGUUUUGCCGAAAUGUCAAUUUAUUUCCGUUUCGGUGAAUUUCGAGCAAACUCAUAUGUCCUAUUUUAGGAAAGGUCAUGCCAAAAUUAUAUAUAUAUAUGACUUUGAAGCAUGCAUUAUUUAUUUCAUAACCAUUUUGCUUGUUAUACCGUGAAGUCGGUCAUGAAGGUGAGUGGAUGAAAGGUGGAGCGGUACAUGCAAUCCGCGAUGAUGGACAUGUAUGCAAAUAAUUGGACUAGGAUUAGUUGUCCGUGUGCAAGAUGCAAGGAAGGAGUCCUUUUGGACCCUUUUGAUCAUGGCACUUUGAAGCGCACCUGCUGAUGAAUGGUUUCAUGGAUGGCUAUACUCAGUGGAUAAGUGAAGAAGAAGAUGAUGAUGAGGACGUCCACAUGGCAGGGAAUAACAACAUGGGGCUAGACGAAGAGAUGACCGAUCGACAAGAAGAUGAUGGCGUCGGACAUGUCGGCGGGGAAGAGUCCGAAAAUGAUGACGGCGGCGGAGAAGAUUCCGGACACGGAGAAGAAGAGUCCGGACAUGGAGGAGAAGAGGUGGCGGUCACGCUGCAGUCUUCGAUGCUACUAAGUUCAGUCGUGUAGGACCCUCAUGUUCGAGACGUCCUUCGCAAGCGUACGACUAGCCAGAGCUGCUUCUAGAGAGGAGGCCAAGCUGGCGCAACUUGAAGUAGUCCCAAGGACUCCAUUAUAUGAUGGUUGCGAUCCCGAGGUGACCCACUUGCGUUUCACGCUCGAACUUGUAAAGACGAAGGUCAAAAACAAAUGGACAGACAAAAGCCUCGAUGAGCAUUUGAAGUUUCUACAUAAUAAAGUUCUUCUCGUGGGGAACCUGUGUCCUACUAGUGUCGAGGAGGCCAAGAAAAUCGUUUGCCCUUUUGAUUUGCCGCACAUUAGUUACCAUGUAGGCAUCAACGAUUGCAUCAUUUAUCGAGUGGAGCACGUGGAAAAAACCAACUGUCUAGUGUGCAAUGCUUCUCGAUACAAGAAGGGAGGAAAGAAAGCUCCUCAGAAAGUUGUAUGGUACUUUCCGAUCACUCCCCGUCUGCAGCGGUAUUUCGUAGAUCCUAAGGAAGCAAAGCUCAUGCGUUGGCACACGGAGAGGAAGAAGCCCGACGAUGGAGAUGAUCCGAGGCUGAGACACCUCGUAGAUGGUAGCCAGUGGAGAGCAUUCAACGCCGUAUAUGGAUUUGCUGCAGAAGAUCCAAGGAACAUUGUUCUUGGUGUGAGUACCGAUGGCAUGAAUCCGUUUGGAAACCAGAACACCAACCACAACACAUGGCCCAUGUUUGUAUGGAUGUACAACCUCCCCCCAUGGAAGUGCAUGAAUACGAAGUACAUACACAUGAGCAUGCUGAUUCAAGGGCCGAAACAACCGGGAUAUAGUAUUAACCUAUAUAUGGGGCUUCUGCUAGAGGAGCUAGACACGUUAUGGAAAACACCGGCAUGGACAUGGGACGCUAGCAAAGGAGAAUAUUUCCAUAUGAGAGUUGCACUGAUGACGACAGUGCACGACUAUCUCGGUUACGGGUACACCUCAGGCCAGGUGUGCCACGGAUACUGCGGAUGCACGAGGUGCAUGGAUGAUACAACAUCUCAGCAGCUUACAUCAACGAAAGAUGGCGGGUCCGGGAAAAUCGUCUACAUGGGGCAUCAUAGAUGGCUCGAGAAGGAUGACCCAUGGAGAAAGCAUGGAGAUCUAUUCAAUGGGUUGGCUGAGCUUCGGGGACCUCCGCGUAAAGGAGUGGCACCGAAAUCGACGAGCUGUUGAGAAACUGGGAACAAUGCCCCGCGCCGGGAAAGAUCAAAAAGGCGCUGGAGCCGCUGCUGAAGGUAUGGAAAACGAGGUUUGUUUUCUGGGACUUGGAGUACUGGCGCAAUCAUGACAGGCCUCAUUGCCUUGAUCCAAUGCAUAUCAUGAAGAAUGUCCUCGAGAGCUUGCUUGGCACACUGAUGAACAUGCUGGAGAAGACCAAGGAUGGGCCGAAGGCAAGGAAAGACUUGGAAGAUUUGAGGAUCAGGAAAGAUCUCCAUCGUAAAAAGUUGAUGGAGGAGACGGAGACGGAGACGGAGAUGUACUUCCCGCCCGCGUUCUUUGACGUCAUGGGACAUCUGUGUGUCCACAUCAUGGAGGACAUCAUCGACCUCGAGCCGACAUUCCUUCACAACAUGUUGCCGUUUGAGAGGAUGAAUGGGGUCAUCAAAGGAUUCGUUCGUAACAUGUCCUGUCCCGAAGGGAGCAUCGUCCAGGGGUAUAUGAUGCAUGAGUGUGUCUCCUUUUGCGAGGAUUAUAUAAGCGUCGGAGACCCUAUUAUUGGUUUGCCCGUCAAGAAGCACGAUGGGAAGCUCGAAGGAGAUGGUCACAACAAUGGCCGGAGGGAAUUGCACGUUGACUACUCGAAUCGACGGAACAACUUUGACAGGGCUAACUUAGUAGUGCUACAACACCUAGAUGUGGUAGAUGAUUAUGUGGCACAACACAAAGAAACCAUCGCAAAGAAGUACCGUGAUAAGGGGAUGCUCAAGACGGACGAUGAAGUUACUAUAGAGCACACCGCCACUUUCUUGCGCUGGUUUAAACAACAAGUUCUUGAAAAUACCCCGGAAGAGGGCAAUUCGGACGGAUUGCUCCUACAUGCCUUAGCACAUGGCCGUGCGCCCAAGCUCGCGACCUAUUAGUCCUACGAUAUCAAUAGGCACAUGUUCUACACGGAGGCCAAAGACAUGGGCAGUGAUUACCAGAACUCUGGGGUGAUAAUUCAAUGCAUGACCGACGCCAAUGACACAACUGAAAGAUUCUACGAAAGGGUCGAAGAGAUCUGGGAGCUUGACUAUGCUGGAAUGCAUGAUGCGACGAUGUUCCUGUCAGAUGGGCCAAGGACAUCGUAAGAGAAAACAAGUAUUUCACCACCAUGUCUAUACCCGACGCGAAGAGCACUCACGUGAACGUUAACAUCAUCGCCAAAAAUGAGCCAUGGGUACACGCUAAGCACGUGACAUAAUGCUUCUUCAUAACCGACCGGCCAAUCCCAGCCGUGUUGUCGUGAGGAGAUCCAAAAGGAGCAUCAUCGGAAUGGAUGGAGUCGCCAACGAGGAAGACUACGACCAAUACAGCAACCCGAUGAGGGAAGAUGAUGAUGACGAUGAAGCAUACGUGAAAAGAAGAAUCAAUACUACAUUACCUAAGAAAGAUCGUCUCCAUGGCUUCGGAAGAGUCACAAGGAGGGGCUCAAUUACUCGGCAACGAACAAGAAAGGGAAGAAGCUCAAUGCGAAACAUCGUCGACGCAACUGAUCAGAAACCUACAUUUAUAUAUAUGUAUCUAUUUUGUGUACGCACUUAAGUAACCAUUAUCGGUCAACUGAUAUGUUACCACCACAUGCAUGGUUCCGGUGAUAUUUGCGCAGUGGGGGAGAGGGAGACGCCGUCGUCGGGAGAGAAACAAAAAAACAAAAACUAAAGGGAGAAAGAAGUACAAAAGAAAAAGAAAAGUAAACUUUAAAGAAAAGAAAAAUAAUAAAUAAAAAAACAAAAGGACAAUAAUAAAAGAAAAGAAAAAUAAAAACUAGAAAAGGAAAAUAAAAAAUAAAAACUAAAAAUAGCAGUAGCGCUUGUCUGUGGACCAGCGCUAUAGCCAAGUAUUUUAGAAUUGAAAAAAUAAAAAUUGGAAAAGAUAGCGGUAGCGCUGGUUUGUAAACAAGCGCUAUAGCUAAGUAUUUUAGAAUUAAAAAAAUAAAAAUAGGAAAAGAUAGCGGUAGCACUGGUUUGUAAACAAGCGCUAUAGCUAACUUAGCUAUAGCGCUUAUUUACAAACCAGCGCUACCGCUAUUGUGAGUUAACUAGUAAUUUUAGGGCAAAUUUUAGGGAAAUUUUAGGAAAUUUGAGGGCAAUUUUAGGGCAAAUUUAGCAAAUUUUAGGGAAAAUUUAGCUAAGUUAGCAAAAAAAUUUAGCAAGUUAACAAAUUAGGGUAGUAGCUAAUUAGGCAGUAGCAAGUUAGCAAAUUUUUAACAGAGAGAGAGAGUAAUUUUUUUCUUUUUUAGCAAGUUCACAAAUUUUUAGCAGAGAGAGAGAGAGAGCAAGUUUUUGUGUAUAGCAUAUGCAAUUUUGUUAUUUUUGUUUAUUUAAGUACAAGCAUGCUUUCGCUUGAAUGAUAUAUUUUGCAAAUGACAUAUGUCAUGGAUGUUAUAUGUUGGUUUUCCAAUGUUGGUUGAAUGUCGAAGAAUAUCCGAGUGGCCUAUGUUUUACCGGAAUGUUGAUUCAUUUCCGUUCCGGCAAAUUUCAGGCGCUCCAUAUGUCCACUUUUUAGCAAAGGUCAUGCCAAAAAUUUCCAUGAUUUUCUGCAUGACUCGUGCUAGAAACUAGGACAUAUGGAGUACCCAGGAUUUGCCGGAAGGGGAAUGAAUCAACAUUCUGACUAAAUAUAGGCCCCUUUUUUUCUUCAUUAUAUCUUUUAUUUACAAUUGUUGAAUAUGAAACAUGUCUACCGACGCCGAAGUCGUGGGUGGUUCUGCUCGCCUCGAAGACCCCAUCGAGGCAACAAAUCACUAUUUCGAUUACCUGGACGAACACUAGAUGGGGUUGCAUGGUGGCGUCAGGGGCACCAAUCCCGACACCGACACCACCCCGAGACCGGGAACGAUGCUGUCGUAGCCGGUAAAGCACUGAAGAAGAAGAGGACACGAAGAUGAAACGAGCUUGGCAUCGGACAAAUUGUGGUCAUGGAGAUGCACCCCAAGAAGUUAGAGCCAACGACGCCGGAGGAAGUGCGCAAGUGCUAGGGAAAUCAACUUGGAUGCAUCCUCAGGGAAACCGCCAACACCAACGAUGAGAGGUUGAGGCUCAUACCACAUAUUGAGAACAUGCUCCCAAAGAAGUUGCACAAUAGGUUCUUGUUCCCCGACCGGAAUGAAAAAGCAUAUAAAGAUCCAUGGGAAGACAUCACCAUGACAAAGAUAGACGACAAGGCGAUGGUGACGUUCACCCACGACUUGUCCGCCUGGAAACUUUAGGUGAAAAAAGCGAUUGUGAAGAAUGAAUCGUGGUCCAAGAUUCAUGCCGACAAUCCAUCAAUAAUGGAAGAGGACUUUUCAAAAUUCAAGGAGAAUUGCUCUAAAGAAAGUGUCAAGGAAAAGUCGGAGAAAAUGAAGGCGCUCCAGGCCAGGAACAUGCCUCCCCACCGCCUCGGGAGCCGUGGCUACGAGGGGAAGAGGCCCAUAUGGGCCAAGGAGGACGCCGAACAUGAAAGUCACGGAAUCCCAGACCCCUUGGCGGAGUUCACCGACCCGCUAGAGCAUGACUGGAUCAGGGCCCGGUACAAGUGGGACAAAGAAAAAAAGAUCUUUUACAUGGACCCGAACAUGAGGGAGUUCAUGAGACUUCUGGUAAUUGUUAUAUUAUCACAUUAUCAUAUUAGCUUCCAAUCAAUUCGACUGCAAGUUUUGUCACAUUAGUAAACCAUCCACGUUCCUUUUGCAGAAAGAGAAGCACCAAAAGGCAGCCGAAAGCGACGAGUCAUCACAGUCGUCGGCGAGGCCCAAGUGGGACACCCCAUUCAACCGGGCCCUAAACAUACUCAAAAAGGUCCCGGUGGACAAGCCGCCGUCCUAUGGACGUGUGCACGGCGUCGGAGAUGGCGCCUCGUGGAAGAUGUGCUACCCCGAGGAGCUAGAGGAAAGAAGGAAGAGACGGUCGUUCAUCACUCAGCAAAGCAUCGAUGAGAGGGUCACGAUUGCGGUCAAUAAGACCAAGCUGAUACCAAAGAGGAGUUGCUCGGGGCCGUUAGUGCAGCUGUCACUGACGUGGUGGUCAGCUUGAUUCCGACACUUUAAGAAUUCACGAAGGACAAUCCAAAUGCACGUCCAGAGGACUUUCCCAUUCCCAACUUUGUCGGGAGCAAUUCGGCGAACACCAAAGCACCAGCACCUUCUCAAGCAACCGCAAAGGUCCCGCUCCUGUUCAUAGCAGCCCAACCUCCGUCUCUUGCAUGCUCGGUGGGCCUUCAUCACUGGUUGAGCUCGAUGCCCUCACGGUAAUUACGCGUCAUGCCCUUUUCACCAGCAUGUCUAUAGUCUUCCGUUUCAGUUGCCUUUCAGAUGUUUGACGUCACAGAUAUGUCUCCUUUGUAGGCCGACGACACCCCAUGCACCCUACUCUACGACAUCAAGGGCCAGAAGGUGGCCGUGGGAAAGGCAACGGUCAUGAAGCCGAAGGACCGCAUGUUCCACAACCGAGAGAUGUCCGAUUGCGUCUUCAAGGUUAACGUGGCCAGUGUCUUUGCGGGCUUCGAGGAAUUGCCUCCUCCGGUACCAGUCGAUGACGACGAGACCCCUAAGAUGAGUGGCGCAUGCUAGAGAUGGUUCUUGCCUUGGCUGAAGUCUCUUCUUCGUCUUGAGGCGCCUAGUAUCAUGCCAACACCACCUUCUCAAGAAGGUAUGAACACCACACCACCUACCACAUUACCUGCACCUGUCAUGGCGAGUAAUAGUGGACGACGCGAGGGAGAGCCUCCAUUAGUUCCAUAUGAUGUAGCCCCCGCUGUUAAAGAAGCAAAUGUUGAUGAUGACAUCGAGGACGAUGAUGAUGACCCAAACAAGUAUUUUAAUACCUCCUAUUAUGAUGGAGGAUUGAUGGCUCGGGACGGCGAAGACUCAGGCUAUGAGCGUGGGAGAUGAUGACUUGAUGCUGCAUGAUUUGCCAGAGCUGGAACGUCCUAAGGCGGAAUGCAAAAAGUCUCUCUUCAAGCGAUCCUCGUAGGAGACACCUCCCGAUGCCACCUGUACCCAGCAACCCCCCAAGGCCCAUCCACUGAUUAGCCCGACGACACUUGGGGUGGUGGUUAGGGAAGGUAUGGUGGGCUCACUACCGCCACCCGCCAAGAAGUAAAAGAGGAGAUCGGACAAGAAAGGCCCUAAAGGCGCUAGAGCUGCUUCAAGCAGUGAACCGCCUCUGAAGCCCCGGGUGGUAGACAGAAUACCUGUCCAAGGUGCGAAGCGCUUCCAUGUCACCGGCAAGCCGAUCCUACCUGCCGAAGUGCUACAACACCUACUGAACAAUAAUCUAAGGAGACUGCAUGAAGAUGUGUUGGCCAGACAGAAAAGCCUUCUGGUCACGCAAAAACCAGGAUACCCACUUUGCGCGGCUCAGGUGCCGCCUAGGAAGUUGUAUGUCGAGAGAUGCACUACUAGGGAAAAACCCUAGUAGUAGCGCUUGUUUUAUAGCUAGUAGUAGCGCUGGUACCAGCGCUACCACUAAGGCGCUACAGCUAAGUAGUAGCAGUAGCGCUGGAAAGGGAGUGCUACUGCUAUACCUAGUUAGUAGUAGCACUUUCCUUUGGACAGCGCUACUGCUACUUGUAAGUAGCAGUAGCGCUUGUUCUAACAAGCGUUGCUGCUAACUUUUCCUGUAUUUUUAAAAAUACAACUUAUUUUCAUUGUGUGGUUUUAUAUAUACAGUACUUUCAUCAUAUGAUUUUAUGACCAUGAUUACUUAUUAUAUAUAAUAGUGGGUGAAAUGAACGUGGAGUAGAUUCAAGUGGAGCCAACAUGUGGUGCAUGUCGAAAGUACUACUCUAAUCCAAACUUGAUCUAGUUUGGAUUAGUAGUACUUUCCAUGUGCACCACAUGUUGGCUCCACUUGAAUCUAAUCCAGGUUCAUUUCAUCGACUGAUAUAUAUAUAUAUAUAUAUAUAUAUAUAAUAACUCAUCAUGCUCAUAUAACAACUUAGCAUCAUGCAUCAUCGAUCAUAAUAAUAAAUAACUCAUCAUUGGUAUCAUAAUAACAAGUCAUACUCAUCAUCAUCGAUCAUACAAUUUCUACUCGAUACCACAUCAUCAUAGUCAUCUAACUAAUCCUACUUAGUUGUUCUUAGCACAUGAUCAUGAGUAUUAUUAACUAGGACCUACUACCUUCUCUUUGGUAAAAUAGCAUAAAAUAGGAUAGGCCCUGACUCUCCAUUAUGGAGAAUGGAGAUUAUCAUGUCUUCAAUUCUUGCCUUUCACACGAUGUUGCUUCCAAGUACCUCCUUACGACUGUCCACACAUUUUUUCCAUUCUAUGAUUUUCAUGUCUCCACUUCUUUUAGAAAUCCGAUAUGGAUAGGUGAGACUCGUAGGAUGACCUGGCCGUAUGUUCAAAACAUCAAGGCGACCAUUCUGAUACAUCAGAUGAGGCACACAAUCAUUCGGGGUUUUCUAUUGAGAAACAUAGUAAUAACUUCGUAGUUAGCAAUGUAGUUACGUUUUGAAAGAAUUUAUGCAAAAGAUGCAUGGAUGUCGUAAUAGUAAAAAAUCUUAUCAUGACAUCUCCAUGGAUGUUACCGUAGUUCAACACGUGCACUAAUGGCACGUAUUGACGAUAACGUGGAGGAGUUUUAUAAUAGAUAUUUUCUCAAGAUCGGUACAAAAUGCGACCAGAUGAUUUUUCUCCUGAUAAGUUAACUCAAAGCCAUCGUUUUAGGUUCUGUCUACCAUGUUCCACACAUUGUUUGAACAAUGAAAAUAAGUUGUCAAUGAAAAUAAGCUGUCAACUAUUUUGAAAUGAACAGUAUAAAUUAAUUAAUAACUAUGUUUGAGAAAAUCACAUAGCGGUAGAAUUGGAAGCGUAUCAACAAGGACCCAAAUGUCCAUAUUGUCUUGAUCGAUGUCAGGAUCACCAAGAUCCAUGGUGACAAGCAUACCCCCAUAAAAACAUACAUCUUGCAAAGUGCUUCCCAAUUUUUGCAACCAAAAUGGAUUAUGCUCUCAAAAUUAUACAUAUUUACUUCAAAAUCCAUAUCAUGAUGGGUCCUUAGGUGAAUUUUCUUUGUUUCGAAAUUUUCAUGGUCUUCAAAAUCCAUCCUCUCCAAGACAUAGCGUCUUGCAUGGCAUGGGAUAAGCUACUCGAAUUGUAAAAGAUGAAAAUUACACGUUGAAAUAGUUGAAGUCAUGCUUAAUUACGAAAAAACACUUUUCGUCGUUGCGUACUGUUUCAACAUCGAAGGUCUCCUGGAGCUUAAUGCUGAAGCGUCGAUAUUCAUCCAGGUGAGGCCUGUCGCACAGACCUCGGUCGUCGUUGCACCGGCUGCACUCCCCCGGGAGACUUUCAUCGUCUGAUGAUGACAUUUCCUAUGUUCAUAAUCCAAAGAUUAAACUUAUACAAUUCAAUAUAUGUACUAUAAAAAUUAAAUUAGAUCAUUAUUAUUCAUCACGGGUUGACUAUCGGUCUGCCGAGUCUAUAUGGUGGAGACUCUCCCUCACUGAUUCCUCUCUGACAUUUGCGACCGUCAGUGAUGGUCGUUACUCCUCCUUCCCCUAGUGCAUAACAAUGGUCUAGCACAAGGAGAGGAAGGAGAAACGACCCCCACGACAACAGUCGUGAUUGUUCGUCCUCUCUCAUAUAUGGUGGAUACACUCCCUCAUUGAUUUUUAGACCGUCGGUGAUGGUCGUUAUUCCUCCUUCACCUAGUGCAUAAAAAAGGUAUAGCACAAGGAGAAGAAGGAAAAAUGACCCCCGCGACAACAGUCGGGCUUCUUCGUCCUCUCUCAUAUAUGGUGGAUACACUCGCUCACUGAUUUUUCGACCUUCAGUGAUGGUGCCUCGACAAACUUAAAGUCAACCCGAAAUGUCGUUUAAUUAUUUUUCGAGAAAAUCCAGGCCAGUCGAUAUUUCCUACAUAUUCUAGCACAAGUCAUGCCAGAAUUUAUGAAAAAAAUCUAGCAUGACCUUUGCUAAAAAAGGACAUAUCGAGCGCCUGAAAUUUGCCGGAAUGGAAAUUAAUCAACACUCCGGCAAAACAUAGGCCACUAUAGGAGGUGUAACCUGCAAACAUGGCCGACCACUUGGGCAAGCACAUAUCCUAUUUGAGAAACACAAGAUAUACAUGUUUAUAUCUACAUCAUAUGAGCAUCCAAACUUGAUGGAGUAGUUUUCCAAUUUGAGCAUUCAAUAAGCAAAACCAAAUCGUAAAAUAAAUUAGUAUUCAAAUUAGCAUUCAUUCAAUAAGCAAAACUAAGCCAUCUCUUUCGUCCAUACAUAGUCGAAUAUUAUCACUAAUAGAUAUCGAAUAGUAUCAUACAUAUAACAUCACUAAUACAGCUAAAACCAUAGCGAACGAUGGGUAUCGGUGCAGGCGGUGGACACCCAAAGAGAAGGAACCAUCACAGGAUCAUAGCUCCAUUGAGACCCCUGAGGAACCUCCCAGGUAUUGGAGAACCUGCCCUCCAACGCAACCAUGUAGCGACGGACGUGCUCGUCCUCCUCGCUGACACGGUGACAUACCACCUCCGCGGAGUCCUCAAGCCUCCGCACCAUCACUGGCCCACCCGACCGCCACCAAAGAAGGUUCGGGUCAACGACGGGCUGGCUCCUCACCAAGAUACGCCCCCCGGAAGGUAGCACCGCCCAGUACCAGCCCGGCGGAGCCCAGUCCCGGACAUGGCUCCUCACCAAGCCCAGGCCUCCUCCGCCGAGUCGAUGACGAGGAUGCAGGAUAGGCAUCGUCGACGUCGAUGCGGGAGUAAUUGGUUUAACUAAAAAAUAAACUAGUUCUAUUAAUUUUCUUACUAAAAAUAAAGUAGUUCUAUAGUAAAUUUUUAAUUAGAUCAUCAAAUCUCAUGUACCUAAUUUUUCUUACUAAAAAUAAACUAGUUUUAUUAAUUCAACUAGUUCAACUAAGCACUUACUAUAAAUAAAAUAAACUAGUACUUACUAAAAAUAAACUAGUUUAUAUAGUUCUAUUAAUUUUCUAACUAAUUCUAUUAAACACUUACUAAAAAAUAGUAAAAAAACCAUAUUGAAUUUUUCUAUAAACUAAACACCACUACCCUAAAUUAGCAUCUACUUAAUUAGUUACCUAACCUACUUCCCUAACUAAAAACCAUCUAAGUUAAUUAACUAAAUUCACCUAAGUUAAUUAACUAAAUUCACCUAAGUUACCUAACCUAAUGAACUAAAUGGAGGGAGGAGGAGUACCUCACGGUGGUGGAGGAGGACCGGCGGGGGAGGAGGCCGACGCGGGGAGGAGGCCAGCGGGGGAGCAGAGCCAGUGCGGNNNNNNNNNNNNNNNNNNNNNNNNNNNNNNNNNNNNNNNNNNNNNNNNNNNNNNNNNNNNNNNNNNNNNNNNNNNNNNNNNNNNNNNNNNNNNNNNNNNNNNNNNNNNNNNNNNNNNNNNNNNNNNNNNNNNNNNNNNNNNNNNNNNNNNNNNNNNNNNNNNNNNNNNNNNNNNNNNNNNNNNNNNNNNNNNNNNNNNNNNNNNNNNNNNNNNNNNNNNNNNNNNNNNNNNNNNNNNNNNNNNNNNNNNNNNNNNNNNNNNNNNNNNNNNNNNNNNNNNNNNNNNNNNNNNNNNNNNNNNNNNNNNNNNNNNNNNNNNNNNNNNNNNNNNNNNNNNNNNNNNNNNNNNNNNNNNNNNNNNNNNNNNNNNNNNNNNNNNNNNNNNNNCGGCGCGGGGAACGACGAUGCGCGGGGGACGGUGGCGGCGAUGACGGCGGAGAGAGGCGAGUGAGUGUGUGAUAGCGGGGGAGUGAGAGAGAGGUCGAGCGCAGUCCCUUGGGAUGGAUAAAGAGCCCGUAGUAGUAGCGCUUAUAUGUAGAAAGCGCUACUGCUACGUCCGGUAGCACUAGCGCUUCAUACAUAAAAGCGCUACUACUAUGCCUGGCCUGCCGGCAACGGCCUGGCAAUUGUAGUAGUAGAGUUUUUUUUAAUAAAAUAACGCUACUGGUAAGUGCAUAGUAGUGGCGCUUUUUUAUAAAAAGCGCUACUGAUAAGUAGUAGCAGCACUUUGUUAUAAAAAACGCUACUACUAUGCUACUAUCUAUAAGCAUUUUCCUAGUAGUGAUGGCCCGCGAACAAGUUCAUCCUGCAAUUUGACUACAUCUACGACAUGUUCCACAUGACCAAGCUGGAUUUCCAGUUCAUCCGCAUGUAUGCGCUAUAUCUGAACUACUUCGUCAGGGUCAAGAAUAUCAAAUAUAUCUGCGUCGCGGACCCGUUCUAUAUGCACGAGAGCUUCUUGGCAGUUUGCAGAGAGCACCAUGACUAUGCAAGCAAGUACCUCGGUGAGUUCAUGAUCACUAAUAAGGACAAGGAAGUGAUUCUCUUUCCUUAUCAUCUCACGUAAGUCAUCGGCACAUAUCGUUUCGUAAGUGUUAACAAUUCCUUUGUAGCAGGGAGACUAAUUUGAGGUGUNNNNNNNNNNNNNNNNNNNNNNNNNNNNNNNNNNNNNNNNNNNNNNNNNNNNNNNNNNNNNNNNNNNNNNNNNNNNNNNNNNNNNNNNNNNNNNNNNNNNNNNNNNNNNNNNNNNNNNNNNNNNNNNNNNNNNNNNNNNNNNNNNNNNNNNNNNNNNNNNNNNNNNNNNNNNNNNNNNNNNNNNNNNNNNNNNNNNNNNNNNNNNNNNNNNNNNNNNNNNNNNNNNNNNNNNNNNNNNNNNNNNNNNNNNNNNNNNNNNNNCCAUGCGAUGCACUUGGACUCAUCGAAGAACCUCAGGAAAAAGGAUUACAAGCACAUAAAGAGUGUUCUCAAUAGUGCCCUGUUAACCUUCAGCCUGUCUGGUGGAUAUAUCAAGGUGAAAAAGUACAAGAACCGCAGGCUGGCUUUCAGUCAUAAGAUCUACUUCUGCCGCAUCCAGCAACCGCACACCAGUAUGGCUGAUGGAUUCUACCUCAUGCAUCACCUACUCGAGUACAGAAGGAUAAUCAACGCCUUCACAUGUCAGCUACUACUAAUGAUGCCGAUAUUGUCAGCUGGGCCACAAGCAUAGGAACGACACCAGAUCAUUGAGUUAGAGUUGAGUUUUAUCACGUACAGUGUGAACUUGCCCAAGUGAUCAUGAAGCAGGUCCUUGAACCAACAGGGAUGUUCUACCUUGGGCCAAUCACGCAGGAAGAUGUCCGAGCACUGCUACUCGCUCAACAUCUGGACCUUAAGCCUUUCAAUAAGCUUGGGUGCUUCCUCCCCGACUAUGAAGAUUGGACCACCGACAUGGAGGACUGAUUGUUGAUGUCAAUGUGUCACUACUGUCUUUCUAUGGCAAAACUUUGAAUUUAUGCACGGCGGAACUAUGUGAUGUAACUAAACCGUGGUCCUUAACUAGCAUAGAUCGCUCUAGUUAAUUAGUUUGGGCAUGAGGAACUUCGUCAUUUAUGUUUACUAUUGGUUGUUUGUAUUUUUAUAAUUAUGCCGCUUUGUUUUCAUAAGUAUAUUAUGUUGCAUAUUAUCGUUCAAUUCAUCAACUCACAAUGCAGGUACAUAGAUCAGAGAUGGCGAAGGGCUAUGAUACUUCUCCAACGUAUCUAUAAUUUUUGAUUUCUCCAUGCUAUAUUAUCUACUGUUUUGGACUAUAUUGGGCUUUAUUUUCCACUUUUAUAUUAUUUUUGGAACUAACCUAUUAACCGGAGGCCCAGCCCAGAAUUGCUAUUUUUUUUGCCUAUUUCAGUGUUUCGAAGAACAGGAAUAUCAAACAGAGUCGAAAUGGAACGAAAUCAACUGGAGAAGUUAUUUUUGGAAGGAAACCUACCAGAUAGACUUGGACCCUACGUCAGAAGAUGAAGGAGGAGCUCACGAGGGUAGGGGGCGCGCCCCCCUGCCUCGUGGCCACCCCUUCGGUCCAUCGACAUACUCCUUUCACCCGUAUAUACCCACGUCUCCUAAAACUUCCAGAGAGCACAAUAGAUCGGGAGUUCCACCGCCAGAAGCCUCUGUAGCCACCGAAAACCAAUCUAGACCCGUUGCGGCACCCUGCCGGAGGGGGAAUCCUUCUCCGGUGGCCAUCUUCAUCAUCCCGGUGCUCUCCAUGACGAGGAGGGAGUAGUUCUCCCUCGAGGCUGAGGGUAUGUACCAGUAGCUAUGUGUUUGAUCUCUCUCUCUCUCUCGUGUUCUUGAUUUGGCACGAUCUUGAUGUAUCGCGAGCUUUGCUAUUAUAUUUGGAUCAUAUGAUGUUUCUUCGCCCCUCUACUCUCUUGUAAUGAAUUGAGUUUCCCCUUUGAAGUUAUCUUAUUGGAUUGCGUCCUUAUAGAUUUGAGAACACUUGAUGUAUGUCUUGCCGUGGAUAUCUGUGGUGACAAUGGGAUAUCACGUGAUUCACUUGAUGUAUGUUUUGGUGAUCAACUUGCGGGUUCCGCCCAUGAACCUAUGCAUAGUGGUUCGCACACGUUUUUGCCGUGAUCCUCCGGUAGAAACUUUGGGGCACUCUUUGAGGUUCUAUGUGUUGGUUGAAUAGAUGAAUCUGAGAUUGUGUGACGCAUGUCGUAUAAUCAUGCCCACGGAUACUUGAGGUGACAUUGGAGUAUCUAGGUGACAUUAGGGUUUUGGUUGAUGUGUGUCUUAAGGUGUUAUUCUAGUACGAACUCUAGGGCUGUUUGUGACACUUAUAGGAAUAGCCCAACGGAUUGAUUGGAAAGAAUAACUUUGAGGUGGUUUCGUACCCUACCAUAAUCUCUUCGUUCGUUCUCCGCUAUUAGUGACUUUGGAGUGACUCUUUGUUGCAUGUUGAGGGAUAGUUUUAUGAUCCAAUUAUGUUAGUAUUGUUGAGGGAACUUACACUAGUGAAAGUAUGAACCCUAGGGCUUAUUUCCUAUCAUUGCAAUACCGUUUACGCUCACUUUUAUCAUUAUUUACCUUGCUGUUUUUAUAAUUUCAGAUUACAAAUACCUUUAUCUACCAUCCAUAUACCACUUGUUUCACCAUCUCUUCGCCGAACUAGUGCACCUAUACAAUUUACCAUUGUAUUGGAUGUGUUGGGGACACAAGAGACUGUUUGUUAUUUGGUUGCAGGGUUGCUUGAGAGAGACCAUCUUCAUCCUACGCCUCCUACGGAUUGAUAAACCUUAGGACAUCCACUUGAGGGAAAUUUGCUACUGUCCUACAAACCUCUGCACUUGGAGGCCCAACAAUGUCUACAAGAGGAAGGUUGUGUAGUAGACAUCAAGCUCUUUUCUGGCACUGUUGCCGGUGAGGUGAGUGCUUGAAGGUAUAUCUUUAGAUCUUGCAAUCGAGUCUUUUAGUUUCUUGUUUUAUCACUAGUUUAGUUUAUAAAAGAAAAUUACAAAAAAUGGAAUUAAGUUUGUCUCAUACGCUUCACCUUUUAAUAUAUUUCGUGAGUAUGAUGGAAAGGAUAAUUGUGCUCAAGUGCUAGAAGAAUAAAUCUAUAAAAUGUUUGGCACUAAAUAUUUGAAUGAUGAUCAUGAUUGCAAUGUUGUUAGUAUGAAUUCUUUGAAUAUCCAUGAUGCUAAUGAUAUGCAAAGCCACAAGCUUGGCGAAGCUAUGUUUGAUGAAGAUGAUAUUUUUUGUCCCCCAAGUUUUGAUGAGCAAAUUUAUUAUGAUGAAAGCAUGCCUCCUAUCUAUGAUGAUUAUUGUGAUGACACAUAUGCUUUAAAGAAUAAUGAUAACAAUGAAACUUGUCAUCUUGAUUUCAAUUUUCAAUCACAUGAUAAUUAUUUUGUUGAGUUUGCUCCCACUAAUAUUCAUGAGAAGAAUUUUGCUUAUGUGGAGAGUAAUAAAAUUUAUAUGCUUGUAGAUCAUGAAAAUAAUGCUUUAGGUGAUAGUUAUAUUGUUGAAUUCAUUCAUGAUGCUACUGAAAAUUAUUAUGAGGGAGGAAUAUAUGCUUGUAGGAAUUGCAAUAAUAUCAAGUUUCCUCUCUAUGUGCUUAAAGUUUUGAAGUCAUGCUUGUUUUGCCCUCCUAUGCUAGUUGAUUAUUGUUCCCAUAAGUUGUUUGCUCACAAAAUCCGUAUGCAUAGGAAGUGGGUUAGGCUUAAAUGUGUUAGUUAUAUUCUUCAUGAUGCUCUCUUUAUGUUGCAAUUCUUAUCUUUUAUGUGAGCAUCAUUCGAAUCAUCGUGCCUAGCUAGGGGUGUUAAACGAUAGCGCUUGUUGGGAGGCAACCCAAUUUUAUUUUUGUUCCUUGAUUUUUUAUCCUGUUUAGUAAUAAAUAAUUCAUAUAGCCUCUGUUUAGAUGUGGUUUUAUGCUUUUAAUUAGUGUUUGUGCCAAGUAGAACCUUUGGGAAGACUUGGGGAAAGUCUUGUUGAUCAUGCUGUAAAAAACAGAAACUUUAGCGCUCACGAGAAUUGCUGCCAUUUUUAUUUGGAGAGUUAUAUUUAGUUAAUUCUUUUUACAUAUGAUUAAUAGAUAAAUUCCUCAGGUCCAGAAUUUUAUUUUAGAAUUUUAUAAGUUCCAGAAGUAUACGUUUGAUUCAGAUUACUACAGACUGUUCUGUUUUUGACAGAUUCCGUUUUUCAUGUGUUGUUUACUUAUUUUGAUGAAUCUAUGUCUAGUAAAAUAGUUUAUAAACCACAGAGAAGUUGGAAUACAGUAGGUUUAACACCAAUAUAAAUAAAUAAUGAGUUCAUUACAGUACCUUGAGGUGGUGUUUUGCUUUCUUAUACUAACGGAGCUUACGAGUUUUCUGUUAAGUUUUGUGUUGUGAAGUUUUCAAGUUUUGGGUAAGGAUUUGAUGGACUAUGGAAUAAGGAGUGGGAAGAGCCUUAGCUUGGGGAUUCCCAAGGCACCCCAAGGUAAUAUUCAAGGACAACCAAAAGCCUAAGCUUGGGGAUGCCCCGGAAGGCAUCCCCUCUUUCAUCUUCGUUCAUCGGUAACUUUACUUGGAACUAUAUUUUUAUUCGCCACAUGAUAUGUGUUUUGCUUGGAGCGUCAAUUUAUUUUGUUAGGAUUUGCUUGAUGUUAUUUAGAACAAUAUUUUGCAUCUUUUAUUUCAAUAAAAGUGGCAUUGACAGCCUUUACUAUGCCUAUUUUAGAAGUCCAUAUGUUGCUGUUUGAAAAUAGAAAGUUUACUGCUGUUGCAAUAAUUCCCUAGAAAAGUCAGAAUGUGAUAUAAUGUUGAAACCUUUUGCAUAUUAAGCUAUGAUAAAUUUACUACAGUGGGAAUUUUCUUUCAUAAUUUUUGGAGCUAUGGAAGUAUGGAUGUGGCAGCAUUCUUUACAGACUAUCCUGUUUAGGCAGAUUGCUGUUAUGUUUGCAUUGUUUGCAUAUGUUUGCUUCUUUAAUGAUUCUAUUUGAGGAUAGGACUAUUAAAUAUGCAGAGGCAUUUAGUAUUCAAUGUUGAAUAAUAAUUUUAGCGAUUUUCUACAGUAGAGUAUGAUAAGGUUUUGGCAAUGGUUUAUACUAACUUAUCUCACGAGUCCUUGUUGAGUUUUGUGUGGAUGAAGCUUUUGAGAUUUAGGGAGACCGUGAUAUGAGAGGAAUUAAGGAGACAGAAAAGCUCAAGCUUGGGGAUGCCCAAGGCACCCCAAGAUAUUAUUUCAAGAAGUCUCAAGCGUCUAAGCUUGGGGAUGCCCCGGUUGGCAUCCUACCUUUCUUCUUUAACAACUAUCGGUUAGUAUCGGUUGAUCCUAAGUUUUUGCUUCUUCACAUGAUGUUUGCUAUUCUUAGAAUGUCAUUUUAUUUUUCUUUGCUUGCUGUUUGAAUAGAAUACCAAGAUCUGAAAUUAUUAAAUGUUAGAGAGUCUUCACAUAGUUGCAUAAUUAUUCAACUACUCAUUGAUCUUCACUUAUAUCUUUCGGAGUAGUUUGUUGUUUUCUCUAGUACUUCACUUAUAUCUUUUAGAGCACGGUGGUGGAUUUGUUUUAUAGAAACUAUUGAUAUCUCAUGCUUCACUUAGAUUAUUUUAAGAGUCUUAAUGCAUGGUAAUUUGCUUAAAAUCCUAAUAUUCUUCGUAUGCAAGAUUAAUAAUAAAACUCUCUUAUGAGUGUGUUGAAUACUAUGAGAAGUUUGAUACUUGAUAAUUGUUUUGAGAUAUGGAGAUGGUGAUAUUAGAGUCAUGCGAGUUGAGUAGUUGUGAAUUUGAGAAAUACUUGUGUUGAAGUUUGUGAUUCCCGUAGCAUGCACGUAUGGUGAACCGUUAUGUGAUGAAGUCGGAGCAUGAUUUAUUUAUUGAUUGUCCUCCUUAUGAGUGGCGGUCGGGGAUGAGCGAUGGUAUUUUCCUACCAAUCUACCCCCCUAGGAGCAUGCACGUAGUACUUUGUUUCGAUAACUAAUAGAUUUUUGCAAUAAGUAUGUGAGUUCUUUAUGACUAAUGUUGAGUCCAUGGAUUAUACGCACUCUCACCCUUCCACCAUUGCUAGCCUCUCUAGUACCACGCAACUUUCACCGGUACCAUACACCCACCAUAUACCUUCCUCAAAACAGCCACCAUACCUACCUAUUAUGGCAUUUCCAUAGCCAUUCCAAGAUAAUAUUGCCAUGCAACUUUCCACUGUUCCUUUUAUUACGACACGCUUCAUCAUUGUCAUAUUGCUUUGCAUGAUCAUGUAGUUGACAUCGUAUUUGUGGCAAAGCCACCGUCCAUAAUUCUUUCAUACAUGUCACUCAUGAGUCAUUGCACAUCCCGGUACACCGCCGGAGGCAUUCAUAUAGAGUCAUAUCUUGCUCUAAAUAUCAAGUUGUAAUUCUUGAGUUGUAAGUAAAUAAAAGUGUGAUGAUCAUCAUUAUUAGAGCAUUGUCCCAGUGAGGAAAGGAUGAUGGAGACUAUGAGUCCCCCAUAAGUCGGGAUGAGACUCCGGACGAAAAUAAAUAAAUAAAAGAGGCCAAAGAAGCCCAAAUAAAAAAAGAAAAGAGGCCAUAAAAAAGAUAAGUCCCAAAAAAUAAAAAAAAUGAGAGAAAAAGAGAUAAGGGGCAAUGCUACUAUCCUUUUACCACACUUGUGCUUCAAAGUAGCACCAUGAUCUUCAUGAUAGAGAGUCUCCUAUGUUGUCACUUUCAUGUAGUAGUGGGAAUCUUUUAUUAUAGAACUUGGCUUGUAUAUUCCAAUGAUCGGCUUCCUCAAAAUGCCCUAGGUCUUCAUGAGCAAGCAAGUUGGAUGCACACCCACUAGUUUCUUUUGUUGAGCUUUCAUAUACUUAUAGCUCUAGUGCAUCCGUUGCAUGGCAAUCCCUACUCACUCACAUGUAUAUCUAUUGGUGGGCAUCUCCAUAGCCCAUUGAUACGCCUAGUUGAUGUGAGACUAUCUUCUCAUUUUUUGUCUUCUCCACAACCACCAUUCUAUUCCACCUAUAGUGCUAUGUCCAUGGCUCACGCUCAUAUAUAGCGUGAAGAUUGAAAAAGUUUGAGAACAUCAAAAGUAUGAAACAAUUGCUUGGCUUGUCAUCGGGGUUGUGCAUGAUUUAAAUACUUUGUGUGGUGAAGAUAGAGCAUAGCCAGACUAUAUGAUUUUGUAGGGAUAGCUUUCUUUGGCCAUGAUAUUUUGAGAAGACAUAAUUGCUUAGUUAGUAUGCUUGAAGUAUUAUUAUUUUUAUGUCAAUAUGAACUUUUGUCUUGAAUCUUUCGGAUCUGAAUAUUCAUAUCACAAGUAAGAAGAAUUACAUUGAAAUUAUGCCAACUAGCAUUCCACAUCAAAAAUUAUCUUUUUAUGAUUUACCUACUCGAGGACGAGCAUGAAUUAAGCUUGGGGAUGCCUGAUACAUCUCCGACGUAUCUAUAAUUUUUGAUUGCUCCAUGCUAUAUUAUCUACUGUUUUGGACUAUAUUGGGCUUUAUUUUCCACUUUUAUAUUAUUUUUGGGACUAACCUAUUAACCGGAGGCCUAGCCCAGAAUUGCUGUUUUUUUGCCUAUUUCAGUGUUUCGAAGAAAAGGAAUAUCAAACGGAGUCGAAACGGAACAAAAUCAACUGGAGAAGUUAUUUUUGGAAGGAAACCUACCGGAUAGACUUGGACCCUACGUCAGAAGAUGAAGGAGGAGCUCACGAGGGUAGGGGCACCCCCUGGGGUGCGCCCCCCUGCCUCGUGGCCACCCCUUUGGUCCACCGAUGUACUCCUUUCACCCAUAUAUACCCACGUAUCCUAAAACUUCCAGAGAGCACAAUAGAUCGGGAGUUCCGCCGCCAGAAGCCUCCGUAGCCACCGAAAACCAAUCUAGACCCGUUCCGGCACCCUGCCGGAGGGGGAAUCCUUCUCCGGUGGCCAUCAUCAUCAUCCCGGUGCUCUCCAUGACGAGGAGGGAGUAGUUCUCCCUCGGGGCUGAGGGUAUGUACCAGUAGCUAUGUGUUUGAUCUCUCUCUCUCUCUCUCUCUCUCUCUCUCUCUCGUGUUCUUGAUUUGGCACGAUCUUGAUGUAUCGCGAGCUUUGCUAUUAUAUUUGGAUCAUAUGAUGUUUCUUCCCCCUCUACUCUCUUGUAAUGAAUUGAGUUUCCUCUUUGAAGUUAUCUUAUCGGAUUCAGUCUUUAUAGAUUUGAGAACACUUGAUGUAUGUCUUGCCGUGGAUAUCUGUGGUGACAAUGGGAUAUCACGUGAUUCACUUGAUGUAUGUUUUUGUGAUCAACUUGCGGGUUCCGCCCAUGAACCUAUGCAUAGGGGUUGGCACACGUUUUCAUCGUGAUUAUCCGGUAGAAACUUUGGGGCACUCUUUGAGGUUCUAUGUGUUGGUUUAAUAGAUGAAUCUGAGAUUGUGUGACGCAUAUCGUAUAAUCAUUCCCACGGAUACUUGAGGUGACAUUGGAGUAUCUAGGUGACAUUAGGGUUUUGGUUGAUGUGUGUCUUAAGGUGUUAUUCUAGUACGAACUCUAGGGCUGUUUGUGACACUUAUAGGAAUAGCCCAACAGAUUGAUUGGAAAGAAUAACUUUGAGGUGGUUUCGUACCCUACCAUAAUCUCUUCGUUCGUUCUCCGCUAUUAGUGACUUUGGAGUGACUCUUUGUUGCAUGUUGAGGGAUAGUUUUAUGAUCCAAUUAUGUUAGUAUUGUUGAGGGAACUUACACUAGUGAAAGUAUGAACCCUAGGCCUUAUUUCCUAUCAUUGCAAUACCGUUUACGCUCACUUUUAUCAUUAGUUACCUUGCUGUUUUUAUAAUUUCAGAUUACAAAUACCUUUAUCUACCAUCCAUAUACCACUUGUUUCACCAUCUCUUCGCUGAACUAGUGCACCUAUACAAUUUACCAUUGUAUUGGGUGUGUUGGGGACACAAGAUACUCUUUGUUAUUUGGUUGCAGGGUUGCUUGAGAGAGACCAUUUUCAUUCUACGCCUCCUACGAAUUGAUAAACCUUAGGUCAUCCACUUGAGGGAAAUUUGCUACUGUCCUACAAACCUCUGCACUUGAAGGCCCAACAACGUCUACAAGAAGAAGGUUGUGUAGUAGACAUCAGGCUACUACGCCGUGUACGCUGGGAGAGUUCCAAGAGUGUACGACCACUGGCCAGCCGCUCAGACCCAGGUGCACAGGUACCUGGGUGCUCGCCACAGAGGGUUCGGCAGCAGAGCCGAAGCGGAAAGUAGUUACUUGAGGUGGACACUCCAACAUGAGCAGGGGCGGGACCGCCGGUACUACAUAGUCGCGCUCUUGCUCAUGCUGAUCGCUCUUCUCUUCUACAUCAUGGUUUAGAUAGAGAGUAUGAAACUUGUGUGUGUGCCAUGACCAUGCAAUUGCACUAAUUCGAGACAUGACAUGAUCGCAUUUGUGUAUCGCUAUUUUCGAGAUGUGAUGAUAUUUGUGUUGAAUGAUGAUGAUGAUGGUAUGGCGAGACUACUGUAUGUCUAUGAUAUGAUGAGAAUAGUGUAUGUUUAGUAUGAUCUGAUGAAACUAUUGUAUAGAGCCUGUAUAAAUACCGCACAAAUACAUAGAGGGGUGGGGAUGGGUGAAAGUAGCAACAUUAGCAGUAGCGCUGUAAAUCACCUAGGAGUACCGCUGGCUUAGCAGCAGCGCUUCAGAUAAACAAGCGCUACAGAUAGUUAGCAGUAGCGCUGCUGUAGGAAGUGCUACUGCUAAGAAUACUUACCAGUAGCACUGCCCAUACCAGCGCUACUGCUACAACUUAGCUGUAGCGCGGUAGCAGUAGCGUUGGACCGAGCGCUACUGCUAUGCAUAUUUCAAGCGCUACUACUAGGGUUUUCCCUAGUAGUGUUGUGGAGGAGGAAAAAUUAAGGAGGCCUCAUAUUCUUAGGUCUAUAAACGCCUUGAAAAGCGGACGCGAAGUAUCUACACAUGAGCUCAAAUGCACCCUAAUGAACAGUGAAAUCAAAAAAAUAGUAAAAUUAUUCAAAAAAUUCUGAAAAAAAUUCUUAAGGCACGGUGCAUUAACUUCCACAUCAUUUCUUAUUUCUUGACAUAAAUAAAAGAAUCAACCAAUAAAAAAUGUAAGACAUGUAUGCUUUCAGUUGCUCGAGACUACCAAACAUGACAUACAGUGGUCAGUCCAUUGUAUGUAAUGCUAUUAAUUAGCAAAUAAACACUAAGUUAUCUCGUUUUUUCCUCCGCCUUGGUUGCGAUGCACAACCUUAGAUGACUUAUACACCUAGAUGGAGGGAGUACCUUGGAUCUAUCGUUCUUCGUGCUUGUGCACUUGGUUUUCACAGAUACACAACUAAACAUAAAGAUACACUUUCUAACAAGAAGAGACCAAAUGCACGUCAGUGCCAACAAUCAAUGCCACAAAAUUUGAUGGUUGCUAUCCAUCCUGCCCCAAAUAAAUAAAUAAAGAUAAUCUGACAAUAACUCUUCUUUUUUACUUGUACACGUGAAACAUUAUGAUAUUCUCUGAGGUAAAACAAAAAACACAACAAAACAUUAUGUAACAAUCUAAAAUAAAACAAAGACAAAACUAGUAAAAGUGACAUGAAUAAUCUCCAGAUGACAAUGGACGACACGUCGGAGGUGGCAAUACCAAAGUGUUCGUCGUGUGUACAAGGAACUAACAUGGUUGUAAUGAAACAAUAAAUCAAUGAAAGAAAAAGAUUUGGGAGAGAAAGGAGCUAUAACAAUCUUACAAUAAUUUACAAGGAAAAAAGAUUGUCACAAAUCAAAACAGCCUUGUACUUCGUCGGUGGUUUAAUGGUUGACCAUGCUGCACUUCUUCCUGAUCUCACCUUGGAUUCCGGUGAGCGGGUUGGUGUUGCCCAGCUUGAUCAUGGAGGUGGCGAAGUUGGCGAAGAACUCGUCCUUGAAGGCGCCGGUAGCAUGGUGCUGGACGUAGGCACAGGUGAAAGGGUCGGUGAGGAGGGCGCCGUCGGAGUGGAAUAGGCCCCUCCGCUUGCUCACUAACUUGAAGUAGUCGGUGUUGAAGGUCUUAAAGCUGCCGGGGUCCAUGUCCACAAGGGUGGUGUUUUCGUUGAGGCUGGCACACUUGCUCUUGAGCCGCAUCAUGUACUGCGGCUCCAGCGUGGGGUGAUGUCGCUGGGCUUCUCCAUCCUGGUGAAGUUGUAGAGUCGGUCGGAGAAGGAGAAGCUCCAUCCAUCCAUUUAUGGACUGGUGCAAGCCUCUCGGAGUUGGAAUAAACGCUUUGAUAGUGUGAUCAAAGCAUAUGGUUUUAUACAGACUUUUGGAGAAGCCUGUAUUCACAAGAAAGUGAGUGGGAGCUCUGUAGCAUUUCUAAUAUUAUAUGUGGAUGACAUAUUGUUGAUUGGAAAUAGUAUAGAAUUUCUGGAUAGCAUAAAGCGAUACCCGAAUAAGAGUUUUUCCAUGAAAGACCUUGGUGAAGCUUCUUACAUAUUGGGCAUCAAGAUCUAUAGAGAUAGAUCAAUACGCUUAAUUGGACUUUCACAAAGCACAUACCUUGAUAAAGUUUUGAAGAAGUUCAAAAUGGACCAGUCAAAGAAAGGGUUCUUGCCGGCCUUACAAGGUGUGAAGUUGAGUCAGACUCAAUGCCCGACCACUGCAGAAGAUAGAGAGAAAAUGAAAGUCAUUCCCUAUGCUUCAGCCAUAGGUUCUAUCAUGUAUGGAAUGUUGUGCACUAGACAUGUGUGCCUUGCUAUAAGCAUAACAGGGAGGUACCAAAGUAAUCCCGGAGUGGAGCACUGGACAGCGGUCAAGAACAUCCUGAAAUACCUGAAAAGGACUAAGGAUAUGAUUCUCGUUUAUGGAGGUGAAAAAGAGCUCACCAUAAACGGUUACGUCGAUGCAAGUUUUGACACUGAUCCAUAUGACUCUAAGUCAGAAACUAGAUAUGUAUUUUUAUUGAAUGGAUGAGCUAUCAGUUGGUGUAGUUCCAAGCAAAGCGUCAUGGCGGGAUCUACGUGUGAAGCGGAGUACAUUGCUGCUUCGGAAGCAGUAAAUGAAGGAGUCUGGAUGAAGGAUUUCAUAUCCGAUUAGGUGUCAUACCUAGUGCAUCGGGUCGAUUGAAAAUCUUUUGUGACAAUACUGGUGCAAUUUCCUUGGCAAAGGAAUCCAGAUUUCAUAAGAGAAUCAAGCACAUCAAGAGACGCUUCAAUUCCAUCUGUCAUCAAGUGUCGGAGGGAUACAUAGAGAUUUUCAAGAUACAUACGGAUCUGAAUGUUGCAGACCUGUUGACUAAGCCUCUUCCACGAGCAAAACAUGAUCAACACCAAAGCUCCAUGGGUGUUAGAAUCAUACUAUGUAAUCUAGAUUAUUGACACUAGUGCAAGUGGGAGGCUGAAGGAAAUAUGCCCUAGAGGCAAUAAUAAAGUUAUUAUUUAUUUCCUUAUUUCAUGAUAAAUGUUUAUUAUUCAUGCUAGAAUUGUAUUAACCGGAAACUUAGUACAUGUGUGAAUACAUAGACAAAACAUAUUGUCCCUAGUAUGCCUCUACUUGACUAGCUCGUUAAUCAAAGAUGGUUAUGUUUCCUAACCAUAGACAUGUGUUGUCAUUUGAUGAACGGGAUCACAUCAGUAGGAGAAUGAUGUGAUGGACAUGACCCAUCUGUUAGCUUAGCAUUAUGAUCAUUACAGUUUCAUUGCUACUGCUUUCUUCAUGACUUAUACAAGUUCCUCAGACUAUGAGAUUAUGCAACUCCCAAAAACCAGAAGAACACUUUGUGUGCUAUCAAACGUCACAACGUAAAUGGGUGAUUAUAAAGGUGCUCUACAGGUGUCUCCGAAGAUGUUUCUUGGGUUGGCAUAGAUCGAGAUUAGGAUUUGUCACUCCGUGUUUUGGAGAUGUAUCUCUGGGCCCUCUCGGUAAUGCUCAUCACUAUAAGCCUUGCAAGCAUUGUGACUAAUGAGUUAGUUACGGGAUGAAGUAUUACAGAACGAGUAAAGAGACUUGCCGGUAACGAGAUUGAACUAGGUAUGAUGAUACCGACGAUCGAAUCUCGGGCAAGUAACAUACCGAUGACAAAGGGAACAACAUAUGUUGUUAUGCGGUUUGACCGAUAAAGAUCUUCGUAGAAUAUGUAGGAGCCAAUAUGAGCAUCCAGGUUCCUCUAUCGGUUAUUGACCGGAGAUGUGUCUUGGUCAUGUCUACAUAGUUCUCGAACCCGUAGGUUCUGCACGCUUAACGUUCGAUGACUAUUUGUAUUAUGAGUUAUGUGUUUUGAUAACAGAAGUUUGUUCGGAGUCCCGGAUGAGAUCACGGACAUGACGAGGAGUUUCGAAAUGGUCAAGACAUAAAUAUGGAUAUAUUGGACGGCUAUAUUCGGACACCGGAAGUGUUCCAGAGAAGUUUCGGAUAAAACUGGAGUGCCGGAGGGUUACCGAAACCCCCCGGGGUAACUAAUGGGCCACAUGGGCCUUGGUGGAGAGAGAAAGGGGCGGCUAGGGCAGGCUGCUUUCCCCCUCCCCCUUUGGGUCAGAAUUGGACUAGGGAAGGGGGGGGGGCGACUCUCCCUUUUCCUUCUCCCUCUCCCUCUCUUUCCUUCCCCCUCUCUCCCUCUUGGUGGAAUCCUACUACGACUAGUAGUCCUAGUAGGACUCCCUUAUGGGGCGCGCCCUAGGAGGGCCAGCAGGCCUCCCCCUUGAACAUUUAUAUACGGGGACAGGGGGCACCAUAGAACACAUAAGUUGAUCUUUUUGCCGUGUGCGGUGGCCCCUCCAAAGUUACACACCUCGAUCGUAUCGUCGUAGUGCUUAGGCGAAGCCCUGCGCUGGUAACUUCAGCAUCACCACCACCACGCCGUCACGCUAAGGAAACUCUCCCUUGGCUUCAACUGGAUCAAGAGUACAAGGUACGUCAUCGAGCUAAACGUGUGCUGAAUGCGGAGGUGCUGUACGUUCGGUACUUGAAUCGGUUGGAUCGUGAAGAUGUUUGACUACAUCAACCGCGUUAACUAACGCUUCCGCUUUCGGUCUAUGCGGGUAUGUGGACAGACUCUCCCCUAUCUUUGCUCUGCAUCACAUAGAUAGAUCUUGCGUGAUCGUAGAUUUUUUUUGAAAUUAUCGCGUUCGCCAACAGCCAUAUCUUCACCUUUGUUGCAAUGAACUUAAUCACAAACUCGGUGGCCAGAUUAAUCCCAUCGACACUUAUGCGGCAGUCCAGCUUCUCUUCUUCGAGAAUCUAGAUAUAUUGCCGAUAGGGGUGAUGAGCUCGAUCUCUACAACCUAGCACAUUGUUGGAUGCAAGAGCCAGAGCUGAUCUUCAUAAGCCCACCAGCCUCCCACAACAUUGCCACCAUGGACUUUUGCCACGAGCACGAGCCGAAGGAAGAGGAAAGCGAUGGCAGUUUCCCUGAAUUGAUACCAACACCUUGCCGGCCUUGGGAGUCAAUGUGACACCUUGGUUUUUGCUGGUUUCUUUUUGCCAUCAUACUUUUCAUCUGCCUUUUCUUUGAGUUGGAUUUUUAAGUUAAUUCAUUUGGACUUGCACUUGGGCAUUGUUUUGAUUUUCACCCAAGUGACCCUAUCACCUCUCACAACCUCUCUUGAUCUCCCAUUCAUCAUCAAAAUGCUUUGGAAUAUUUAUCUUAUAAAGAAAAUAUUCAUUUUCCUCUUGAAAAUGGAAUAUUUCCACUUCCCUUCCAAAGCAACUCCUUUGUUUCUUUCUAAGAAAAAUCUAAGAAAAUUCUCACACAUCCUUUAUACAGUGCCUCAUCACCCUAUGCAAAAAUAUCAUAUGGUCAUGUGACCAAAUUUUGCUAGGGAAAAUCAUUUGUAUUCUACCCUGAAAAUGCACUUUACAAAGUAAGUGUAUUAUUCCUUGAUCCAAUGAAGCUGAUUUUUCUUGAGCUUCAUUACCUUCCUAAGAAAACUUUAACCCCAAGAGAUUAGCCCUAAACUCCUUCUAGAACCCCUCCAAACACAGUGCACAAGUUUCUGUCCAGAAACUUGUUGCUAAGCUCUUGUUCAAUCCGGUCGGCCUGGCAGUGUGCCAUCUCUUCUCAUAGACCAAACAUUGCAUGGAUAACACACUAGACAAGGCCUGGCAUCGCCUGGGCAUCGUGUUGGCAUAGUUCGCGUGGUGACCGCGUGUGGACAUGGGCACUGGCGUGCAUUCGGCGCGCUCUGCGCUCUGCGCUGUGCCUGAGCCCCUGUUCAGUGAGUGCCCGUCGCAGAGCUCGCCUGCGACUGCCGCACCGCGCCACCAGCUUCGAUGCAUCACCCUUGACCUCUCCCUGCAGAUCGCCGAUGCUGAAGCCACUGCAGCGAGCACGGACAUGUCGCGGCCACGCGCAUGGUGCACCCAUGCCUGUGUCCCCGUCCUCACUCACGCCCUAUGCUCGUCCUCGAGCUUCCAUAGUGGCCGCGUGAACCCUAACCUCUUCUCCACCUCCCUCUGGUGCUCCUCGUCAUCGUGCGCCACUUCCAGAGCCCUCCGGCGAAGCCGAGACCCCCACCCCUUUGCCUAUAAAUAGAGCUCCCCCUGGCCUCUCCGAGCAUCUCAACCCACUCAUACAACCAACACAACAUAGCAGAUAAGCCGCAACCCGGCCGGGCAGGCCUCUGGAUGCCGUCCACGACCCGAGCUCGCCGGCGAUCCCCUCUGCUGCUCCCCACCUCUCCAGUGCCCCUGGAGUUCCAUCUUCUUCUCCGGCGACUCCCUGGAGGUCCACUUGUGCUAGCUGACCCUGUUGGAGCCCCUGGAAUCGCCCACCUUCGCUGUCUUCCUCAUCUCCAGUGAAUUCCGUCUGCAGCCGCCGUUGGAGAUGUCAUUUCCGAGCUACUCCAGCCACCCCUCGCGGAGCUACGGGUAUAGGCAGGUGCACCAGAGCCUCCUCUACUCAUCCCCCCCUCUCAAAUCGCCGGCCGACCCCUCCUCGCCGGAGAGAGCCCCGGUGAAGCGCCGUCGUCCCCUGUUUCUCUCCUCUCCUCAAAACCCAACAGGCAAGGCCCACUGUCAGCUUCUCCACUUGCGCCCGAAGCGGUACGAGUGGAGGUGUAUUCUCUGAAUAAGUCUCUGACGUCACCCCCCAGUUUUUCUUUUAUUCAAAUUUAAAUUCAUUCUAACAACAACUUUGACCAGCUCUAACUCCUAAACCAUAUGUCCAAAUGAGUUGAUUCUUUUUGAAAUAUUUUGCAUUGGAAUUCUCUAGCAGCACACAAAAUUUGAGAUUUUUCCUUACUGUCUAGAAUUUCUGGUGAAUUUCAGAGUUGUUUUUGAUAUUUUCUUUUGUUGUUUUAAUUAUUUUCAGAGGGAGAAUCUUGCCUUGAGGAGAACCAGGAGGAGUGUGACCCUCCUCUAUGCUAAGGCAAGCCACGACAAAUAUUCGCAUAGUGUCAUUUCAAUAACUAUGAUUUUACAACUUGAAUAUGCUUUAUUUCAUGCAUUAAAUCAUUUAUAUAAUAUUGCUUAAGUUAUUUCAUUUGUUAUUAUAGAAGUGUUUAGCUUGUUGUGGUACUUGAGUGCAUGGACUAGUUUAGUGCAGUAGAGAUACUUUGAUAAUAUGACUAUGGUUGAUAAUGCUCGGUAUUAUUUUCAUACGAUGGUUAAUAUUUAUAUUCCCACCAUGCUAAAGUCAUAACUAAAAAUGAUGGAGUUUAACCAGUACCUUCACAUGAUCAGUAGUGCAUGAUGAUUCUUUGAGGUUGAUCCGUUUCAUCUCAGUGAUAUGUGAAUAUAGUUGCAUGUCAUAUGGUUGGAUGUUCAUGGCAUACUUUGGCUCGAGUUAUUUUAUUUCAAGUUAAACCUGAUGAUAAUUCAACUUGAACAUAAUUGUUGAUCGAGUCAUGGUGCCACCGAAUCGAGCUUCCCAAUGCAACCCCAUUUGCCUUUAUGGGAAGGCCCUUAUUCGGUCUGUUGUCAUGCCUCUGGUCGGUGCCUCCAACAAAGGAAGGUUAUGGGCGUGUGGUACCCUGGCCCGGUAAGCAGACAUAACCUUGUGUGCCCGUUGUUGUUUUGGUACCUUGUCCCUGUUUGGGACCUUUGAUGUUUUUACCAUGACGGUGGCCGUUGGAUGCCACAGGUUGGCAUCGGGGCCACCCAUGACUUAGCCCAGAGGGGAGUAUGUCGGAGUGGCCGAGAGAGUGUCAUGGAAAUGGGUUGGUUUUGUCGUAAUGCCGUUGGUCCACCCGAAUGGGAGUUGGAGGCCAUGUGUUCCGUGGUGUGGGUACAAUGUACUAACCUCUACAGAGUGUAUAUUAAAUCUAUCGAUAGCCACAUCCUCGGUUAUGGACAUAGCUCGUAAGUAAGUCACACCAUGGAUCAACAUGAAUAAGUUAAUCAUGCACACUAAAGUUAUAUGGUUGGCACUGGUUAUGUGAUGAGAUGGUUGAGACCAUGAAGAUGGUUGUUGCUGUGGGAACCAAAUAGUUGGUUUUGUUUGUGAUCCGGGAGUGAUCACCGUAUUGUUGAUGGUUGUUAUGAGGUAACCCAUUUGGUAAGAGAGUCCGAGGGACUUGGUACCCAUUUGGUUGUCAUGAGUAGUCUGCAUAGCCUUGCAUUUAACCUACUUAAUCAUCAUGUUAUUGUUUGCCAUUAUGCUUUUACUUGUUGUGAGCUUGCAAGUACAUUCAAUAUACUGACCUGGCAUGUCAUACCAGAUUUCAGGAAACUCUUACUGGAUCAGGGUGCUUCCCAUGUAUAGGCCGUGUCCACAUCGGUGUCCAUGUGCUAUGGAGUUCCGCAUCGUCGUUGUUCCUCUACCGCGUAGUUGUUGUGAUCAAGGCCCCCUUCAUGUUCAUUAAAUAAUGUAUGUACUGUUUAGCCGCACCGUGUGUGCCACUGGGCCUCGCUACCUGAUGUAAUAUCGAACCUAUGUUUCUGCUAGCAUCAAUAAAGCGAUUGUUUUUCGUACCAAGUUGUUGUGUGUUGCCAGAAGACUAGAUCUCUGGGCUGGCAAUGUAAGGUAAACCGGUUGCUCUGAGCCGGGGUGCCACAGGCAACUGCCUUGUACAUGGUUUAUAACAUUGCAAACUCUAAAGAUGAUGCUUUUGACAAGGGCACACUGGCAACACGCAUGACACCGAUACCGAAUACCAAUAACGCCUCCAAAAAGCUAGAAGCCAGUCAUAAGAAGAUGUAGCACCCGCACUUGCACCAGCAACAAGAGCGUGGCCGCCUCUUAGAAAAUAAGGCCCAACCGUAGCCUCCAUCAGGUUAGUCCAGAGUAGGCAGAACAUAGUGUGUUGUCUGAAGAUGCGACCAAACUUGUCGCCCAGGCCCGAGCAAUGCAGCAAUACAUGGAGUUGCACCCACCAAUUCCGCAAUGUUUCACACCCCACCAUAAACCUUAUGGUUGAUUUGGGGCAGUGAACGACAUCAAACUCCUAGACGAUCAUUCAGGCCAGGAGCAUUUUGAGCAUGUCAAACUUUUGCUCCAAACAUUUGCGGUACAACAAAGUGUUUGUAUAGGAUUGAAGACCAAGGUGGGGACAUCGAACGACAUGCAGAACAGACAAGUUCACCCCACUGGAAUUGAACGUCCACUAGUUCGCAAAAUCAUGCAGUUGCCAACCUAUCUCCGCCAACAUGCUCGCCAAGUCGCGCGCUCGCCAACCCUGAGAGAACACCAUCACCCCACUAUCUGCUGGGAAACAUAGUAGAAAACUAAAAAAUUGCCCUAUCAUCACAAUCCAGGAACACUAUGAAGAUGCAAUGGAUGUUUAGAUUGGAUUGUUACCAACUUAGAGUUGCAUCAUAAGAAGAGUUGAUGUAGAUCAUUGAUGAAGUUCCGUGAACCGUUCACGAACGAUCCAUCGAGCAUAAGAACGAGCCUAAGAAUAUACCUCCAUCGUCGGAGGAGCAAAUCCCACUCUUGAGCUAUCUAGCCCCUUGUCACACUUUUCGAUGAACCUAAAAGUUGUCGUUAUGAUCACCAUGUUAUAGAAGAUGUUUGAGAAACCCCAAAGUUUAUUGUCUGGUAUGAAGUGACUAUGAUACUCCCAUGGUCCGAUGAACUAAACUAUACGUUACCUCUCCUUGUUAUAUCAAUAGACUUGUGAGAUUACAUCUCAAAGAAUAACAAUAAAGUUGGAUCAAUUCAGUAUGAUCAUUCUUCUAUCAUCAUACUAUCAAAGUUGUUUUGGUAUCCUCACUACUCUUAACAAAAUACCUAUGACCAAGAAAACAUGAUUAUAACAUAACACUUGAACUAGUCCUAGGGGCAAGACUAGGAAUCAGAUUUUACUAUUUAUUAUUCUACACGUGCAUAUGUGUUUCCUCCGAAUUGCAUAUUCAAGAAUCAAAGCAAGUAUAGCAUAGAAUAUAAACUCUUAAUUAGAAAUGUGGACAUAAAUAAUACAAAUAUAAUUGCCUCUAGGGCAUAUUUCCAACAGACUCCCACUUGCCCUGGAGCGAAUAAUCUAGUUACAUAGCAUCUCUAACACAAAUGGCUAUUCGAUGUUACUCAUGUUUUGGUCAUCAUAGAGGCUUCAUCAUCAGGUCUAACAUAUUCAAACCAUUGUGAAUCUUGAGUACUUUCACAAAACAUUUCUAUGCUGUCGGAUGAUGUGAUACCUGUGUUUGACAACCCUGGUCUUCAUGUGGGACCUUAGUUCCUUUGCUUGGGUAACGACACCACUAUUAUAACAAUAGAGCUCCUUUGGAUUCAACACACUUGGUACCACACCAAUCUCUUCAACAAACUUCUUGAUCGAGACUACCUCCUUCAAACCUUCUGAAGCCGCAAUAUAUUCUGCUUCCGCCAUAGAAUCUGCAACAAUGCUCUACUUGGAACUUUUCCAAACCACUGCACCACCAUUAAGAGUGAAAACAUAGCGCGAUUGAGAUUUAUAGUCAUCUAUAUCAGUGAUGAAGCUAUUGUUAGUGUAACCACUUACAACGAGCUAUUCAUACCCUCCAUAGGCAAGAAGAAUGUCCUUCAUCCUUCUGAGAUACUUAAGAAUAUUUUUAAUAGCUGCCCAAUGAGCCAAUCCUGGAUCACUUUGGAACCUUCUACUAACACUUAGCAUAUAAUAAACAUCUGGUCUUGUACAUAUCAUAGCCUACAUGAUAGAACUAAUUGCGGAGGCAUAUGGGAGUCCACUUAUUUGCACACGCUCAUCAACUAUCUUGGGAGAUGAUUCUUGCUAAGUGUUGUGCCAGGUGACAUUGGAACAAAACCUUUCAUAGUGUUCUCCAUUUUAAACAUCUUUAAAACCUUGUCCAUGUGCGUGCUUUGGCUUAGCACAAUUAGACGUCUCAAUCUAUCUCAAUCAAUCUUAAUGCCCAAUAUAUAAGUUGCUUUGCCUUAGUCUCUCAUCGAAAACAUACUUCUCAAUGAAUCUUUUAUUGUGCUAGGAACUUUACUUCAUUCCAAUCAAUAAUAUUUCAUCCAGAUAUAAGAUUAGAAAUGAUAUAGAGCUCCCACUGAACUUCUUGUAUACACAAGCUUCUUCAUCAUUCUUAAUGAAGCCAAACUCUUUAACUACUUCAUUAAAAUGUUGAUUCCAACUCCUCAAUACUUGCUUCAAACCAUAAAUUGAUAUUUGAAGCUUGCAUACCUUACCAGCAUCCUUAGGAUCUACAAAACCUUCUAAUUGCAUCAUGUUACAUCCUCUUUAAGAUUUCCAUUUAGAAAAGUCGUUUUGAUGUCUAUCUGCCAUAUCUUGUAACCAAAAUAUGCAACAAUUGCCAUCAUAACCUCAUACUUUAACAUGUAUACUAGUAAAAAGGUCUCAUCAUGAUCAACUCCCUUGAUUUGCAAAAAAUCCUUCAUGCCUAGUCUUGCUAUAUAGGUAAGUAGGAUUACCAUCCAUGUCCAUUUUUCGUUUGAAGAUCCAUUUAUAUUGUAUGUGUUUUACACCCUAGAGGAUCUACCAAGUUACAAACUUUUGAUUCUCGUACAAGUCAGCAAGUUUGCUAACUCUUCCUGACCUACGCGGUUCAGUUACUGCUACCUCUUGAGCAUGCGUUGGUUUUCCCUUGAAGAGGAAAGGGUGAUUGAGGGAGUCCUGGAUUAGGGGGUGUUUGUUGGGGAAUGUUGCAGAAAACAAAAAUUUUCCUACGGUUUCACCAAGAUCCAUCUAUGAGUUCAUCUAGCAACGAGUGAUCGGAUUGCAUCUACAUACCUUUGUAGAUCACGCGUGGAAGCGUUCAAUGAACGGGAAUGAGGAAGUCAUACUCGACGUGAUCCAAAUCACCGGAGAUCCUAGCGCCAAACGGACGGCACCUCCGCGUUCAACACACAUACGGUCAGCAUGACGUCUCCUCCUUCUUGAUCCAGCAAGGGGGAAGGAGAGGUUGAUGAAGAUCCAGUAGCACGACGACGUGGUGGUGGAUGCAGGGGUCACCGCAGCAGGGCUUCGCCGUUCUACUACGAGAGGGAGAGGUGUUGCGGGGGAGAGGGAGGCGCCAAGACUCAAGGGUGCAGCUGCCCCCUCCCUCCCCCCUUUAUAUAGGCCCCCUAGGGGGUGUGCCGGCCCUAGGAUAUGGGAUCUCCUAGGGGGGCGGCGGCCAAGGGGUGGACUGCCCCCCAAGCCAGGUGGGGCGCCCCCCCACCCUAGGUUCCCAACCCUAGGCGCAUGGGGUGGGCCAACGGGGGCGCACCAGCCCACUAUGGGCUGGUUCCCCUCCCCACUUUGGCCCAUGGGGCCCUCCGGGAUGGGUGGACCCACCCGAUGGACCCCCGAGACCCUUUCGGUGGUCCCGAUACAAUACCGGUGACCCCCGAAACUCUCCCGAUGGCCGAAACUGCACUUCCUAUAUAUAAUUCUUCAACUCUGGACCAUUCCGGAACUCCUCGUGACGUCCAGGAUCUCAUCCGGGACUCCGAACAACUUUCGGGUUACUGCAUAUUCAUAUCUCUACAACCCUAGCGUCACCGAACCUUAAGUGUGUAGACCCUACGGGUUUGGGAGACAUGUAGACAUGACCGAGAUUGCUCUACGGUCAAUAACCAACAGCGGGAUCUGGAUACCCAUGUUGGCCCCCACAUGCUCCUCGAUGAUCUCAUUGGAUGAACAACGAUGUCGAGGAUUCAAGCAACCCUGUAUACAAUUCUCUUUGUCAAUCGGUACAUUACUUGCCCGAGAUUCGAUCGUCGGUAUCCCAAUACCUCGUUCAAUCUCGUUACCGGCAAGUCACUUUACUCGUACCGUAAUGCAUGAUCCCGUGACCAGACACUUGGUCACUUUGAGCUCAUUGUGAUGAUGCAUUACCGAGUGGGCCCAGAGAUACCCCGUCAUACGGAGUGACAAAUCCUAGUCUUGAUCUGUGUCAACCCAACAGACACUUUCGGAGAUACCCGUAGUAUACCUUUAUAGUCACCCAGUUACGUUGUGACGUUUGGUACACCCAAAGCACUCCUACGGUAUCCGGGAGUUACAUGAUCUCAUGGUCUAAGGAAAAGAUACUUAACAUUGGAAAAACUCUAGCAAACGAACUAUACGAUCUUGUGCUAUGUUUAGGAUUGGGUCUUGUCCAUCACAUCAUUCUCCUAAUGAUGUGAUCCCGUUAUCAAUGACAUCCCCAUGUCCAUAGCCAGGAAACCAUGACUAUCUGUUGAUCAACGAGCUAGUCAUCUAGAGGCUCACUAGGGACACAUUGUGGUCUAUGUAUUCACACAUGUAUUAUGAUUUCUGGAUAAUACAAUUAAAGCAUGAAUGAUAGACAAUUAUCAUGAACAAGGAAAUAUAAUAAUCAUUUUAUAAUUGCCUCUAGGGCAUAUUUCCAACAGUCUCCCACUUGCACUAGAGUCAAUCAUCUAGUUACAUUGUGAUGAAUCGAACACCCAUGGAAUUCUGGUGUUGAUCAUGUUUUGCUCUAGGGAGAGGUUUAGUCAACGGAUCUGCUACAUUCAGGUCCGUAUGUACUUUACAAAUAUCUAUGUCUCCAUUUUGAACACUUUCACGAAUGGAGUUGAAGCGACGCUUGAUAUGCCUGGUCUUCCUGUGAAACCUGGGCUCCUUGGCAAGGGCAAUAGCUCCAGUGUUGUCACAGAAGAGAGUCAUCGGGCCCGACGCAUUGGGUAUGACUCCUAGGUCGGUAAUGAACUCCUUCACCCAGACUGCUUCGUGUGCUGCCUCCGAGGCUGCCAUGUACUCCGCUUCACAUGUAGAUCCCGCCACAACACUUUGCUUGCAACUGCACCAGCUUACUGCCCCACCAUUCAAAAUAUACAUGUAUCCGGUUUGUGACUUAGAGUCAUCCAGAUCUGUGUCGAAACUAGCGUCGACGUAACCCUUUACGACGAGCUCUUCAUCACCUCCAUAAACGAGAAACAUUUCCUUAGUCCUUUUCAGGUACUUCAGGAUAUUCUUGACCGCUGUCCAGUGUUCCUUGCCGGGAUUACUUUGGUAACUACCUACCAAACUUACAGCAAGGUUUACAUCAGGUCUGGUACACAGCAUGGCAUACAUAAUAGAACCUAUGGCUGAGGCAUAGGGGAUGACACUCAUCUCUUCUAUAUCUUUUGCCGUGGUCGGACAUUGAGCUGAGCUCAAUUUCACACCUUGCAACACAGGCAAGAACCCCUUCUUAGACUGAUCCAUAUUGAACUUCUUCAAUAUCUUAUCAAGGUAUGUGCUUUGUGAAAUACCUAUGAGGCGUCUUGAUCUAUCUCUAUAGAUCUUGAUGCCUAAUAUAUAAGCAGCUUCUCCAAGGUCCUUCAUUGAAAAACUCUUAUUCAAGUAGGCCUUAAUGCUGUCCAAAAGCUCUAUAUCAUUUCCCAUCAAAAGUUUGUCAUCUACAUAUAAUAUGAGAAAUGCUACAGAGCUCCCACUCACUUUCUUGUAAACGCAGGCUUCUCCAUAAGUCUGCAUAAACCCAAACGCUUUGAUCAUCUCAUCAAAGCGAAUGUUCCAACUCCGAGAUGCUUGCACCAGCCCAUAAAUCGAGCGUUGGAGCUUGCACACCUUGUCAGCAUUCUUAGGAUCGACAAAACCUUCCGGCUGCAUCAUAUACAGUUCUUCCUUAAGAUAACCGUUAAGGAAUGCCGUUUUGACGUCCAUUUGCCAUAUCUCAUAAUCGUAGUAUGCGGCAAUUGCUAACAUGAUUCAGACGGACUUCAGCUUUGCUACGGGAGAGAAUGUCUCAUCAUAGUCAACCCCUUGAACUUGUCGAUAACCCUUAGCGACAAGCCUAGCUUUAUAGAUGGUCACAUUACUAUCCGCGUCUGUCUUCUUCUUAAAGAUCCAUUUAUUUUCUAUGGCUCGCCGAUCAUCGGGCAAGUCAGUCAAAGUCCAUACUUCGUUUUCAUACAUGGAUCCUAUCUCGGAUUUCAUGGCUUCCAACCAUUUGUCGGAAUCCGGGCCCGCCAUCGCUUCUUCAUAGUUCGAAGGUUCACCGUUGUCUAACAACAUGAUUUCCAAGACAGGGUUGCCGUACCACUCUGGUGCGGAACGUGUCCUUGUGGACCUUCGAAGUUCAGUAGGAGCUUGAUCAGAAGUAUCUUGAUCAUCAUCAUUAACUUCCUCUCUAAUUGGUGCAGGCACCACAGGAACAUUUUCCUGAGUUGCGCCACUUUCCGGUUCAAGAGGUAAUACGUCAUCAAGUUCUACUUUCCUCCCACUUACUUCUUUCGAAGAAACUCCUUCUCUAGAAAGGAUCCAUUCUUGGCAACAAAGAUCUUGCCUUCUGAUCUGAGGUAGAAGGUAUACCCAAUAGUUUCUUUAGGGUAUCCUAUGAAGACGCAUUUUUCCGACUUGGGUUCGAGCUUUUCAGGUUGAAGUUUCUUGACAUAAGCAUCGCAUCCCCAAACUUUUAGAAACAACAGCUUAGGCUUCUUCCCAAACCAUAAUUCAAACGGUGUCGUCUCAACGGAUUUCGACGGAGCCCUAUUUAAAGUGAAUGCGGCAGUCUCUAAAGCAUAGCCCCAAAAUGACAGCGGUAAAUCGGUAAGAGACAUCAUAGAUCGCACCAUAUCCAAUAGAGUGCGAUUACGAUGUUCGGACACACCAUUACGUUGAGGUGUUCCAGGCGGCGUGAGUUGUGAAACUAUUCCACAUUUUCUUAAGUGUGUAUCAAAUUCGUGACUCAAGUAUUCUCCUCCACGAUCUCAUCACAAAAACUUGAUUUUUCUGUCCCGUUGAUUCUCAACCUCACUCUGAAAUUCCUUGAACUUUUCAAAGGUUUCAGACUUGUGUUUCAUUAAGUAGAUAUACCCAUAUCUACUCAAGUCAUCAGUGAGGGUAAGAACAUAACGAUAGCCACCACGAGCCUCAACACUCAUUGGACCGCACACAUCAGUAUGUAUGAUUUCCAAUAGGUUGGUUGCUCGCUCCAUUGUUCCUGAGAACGGAGUCUUGGUCAUCUUACCCAUGAGGCAUGGUUCGCAUGUGUCAAAUGAUUCGUAAUCAAGAGACUCUAAAAGUCCAUCUGCAUGGAGCUUCUUCAUGCGUUUGACACCUAUGUGACCAAGGCGGCAGUGCCACAAAUAUGUGGGACUAUCAUUAUCGACCUUACAUCUUUUGGUAUUCACACUAUGAAUAUGUGUAGCAUUACGCUCGAGAUUCAUUAAGAAUAAACCAUUCACCAUAGGAGCAUGACCAUAAAACAUAUCUCUCAUAUAAAUAGAAUAACCAUUAUUCUCGGAUUUAAAUGAGUAGCCAUCUCGUAUUAAACGAGAUCCUGAUACAAUGUUCAUGCUCAAACUUGGCACUAAAUAACAAUUAUUGAGGUUCAAAACUAAUCCCGUAGGUAAAUGUAGAGGUAGCGUGCCGACGGCGAUCACAUCGACCUUGGAACCAUUCCCGAUGCGCAUCGUCACCUCGUCCUUCGCCAGUCUCCGUUUAUUCCGCAGCUCCUGCUUUGAGUUACAAAUGUGAGCAACUGCACCGGUAUCAAAUACCCAGGAGCUACUGCGAGUACUGGUAAGGUACACAUCAAUUACAUGUAUAUCACAUAUACCUUUCGUUUUGCCGGCCUUCUUGUCCGCUAAGUAUUUGGGGCAGUUCCGCUUCCAGUGACCACUUCCCUUGCAAUAAAAACACUCAGUCUCGGGCUUGGGUCCAUUCUUUGGCUUCUUCCCAACAGCUUGCUUACCGGGCGCGGCAACUCCCUUGCCGUCCUUCUUGAAGUUCUUCUUACCCUUGCCUUUCUUGAACUUAGUGGUUUUAUUGACCAUCAACACUUGAUGUUCCUUUUUGACUUCUACCUCUGCUGAUUCCAGCAUUGCAAAUACUUCAGGAAUGGUCUUUUCCAUCCCCAGCAUAUUGAAGUUCAUCACAAAGCUCUUGUAGCUCGGUGGAAGCAACUGAAGGAUUCUGUCAAUGACCGCGUCAUCCGGGAGAUUAACUCCCAGCUGAGUUAAGCGGUUAUGUAAUCCAUACAUAGUGAGUAUGUGCUCACUGACAGAACUAUUUUCCUCCAUCUUACAGCUGAAGAACUUGUCGGAGACUUCAUAUCUCUCGACCCGGGCAUGAGCUUGGAAAACCAUUUUCAGCUCUUCUAACAUAUCAUAUGCUCCGUGUCGCUCAAAACGCUUUUGGAGCCCCGGUUCUAAGCUGUAAAGCAUGCCGCACAGAACGAGGGAGUAAUCAUCAGCACGUGUCUGCCAAGCGUUCAUAACGUCUUGGUUCUGUGGGACAGGUGCGUCACCUAGCGGUGCUUGUAGGACACAUUCUUUCUUGGCAGCUAUGAGGAUGAUCCUCAGGUUCCGGACCCAGUCCGUAUAAUUGCUGCCAUUGUCUUUCAGCUUGGUUUUCUCUAGGAACGCAUUGAAGUUGAGGACGACGUAGGCCAUUUGAUCUACAAGACAUAUUGUAAAGAUUUUAGACUAAGUUCAUUAUAAUUAAGUUCAUCUAAUCAAAUUAUAUAAUGAACUCCCACUUAGGUAGACAUCCCUCAAGUCAUCUAAGUAUAACAUGAUCCGAGUUAACUAGGCCGUGUCCGAUCAUCACGUGAGACGGACUAGUCAACAUCGGUGAACAUCUUCAUGUUGAUCGUAUCUUCUAUACGACUCAUGCUCGACCUUUCAGUCUUCUGUGUUCCGAGGCCAUGUCUGUACAUGCUAGGCUCGUCAAGUCAACCUAAGUGUUUGCAUGUGUAAAUCUGUCUUACACCCGUUGUAUGUGAACGUUGGAAUCUAUCACACCCGAUCAUCACGUGGUGCUUCGAAACAACGAACUGUCGCAACAGUGCACAGUUAGGGGGAACACUUUCUUGAAAUUAUUAUGAGGGAUCAUCUUAUUUACUACCGCCGUUCUAAGUAAACAAGAUGCAAAAACAUGAUAAACAUCACAUGCAAUCAAAUAAUAAUAGUGACAUGAUAUGGCCAAUAUCACAUAGCUCCUUUGAUCUCCAUCUUGGGGCUCCAUGAUCAUCUUGUCACCGGCAUGACACCAUGAUCUCCAUCAUCAUGAUCUCCAUCAUCGUGUCCUCAUGAAGUUGCUCGCCAACUAUUACUUCUACUACUAUGGCUAACACGUUUAGCAAUAAAGUAAAGUAAUUUACAUGGCGUUUCUCAAUGACACGCAGGUCAUACAAAAAAUAAAGACAACUCCUAUGGCUCCUGCCGGUUGUCAUACUCAUCGACAUGCAAGUCGUGAUUCCUAUUACAAGAACAUGAUCUCAUACAUCACAUAUAUAUCAUUCAUCACAACUUUGGCCAUAUCACAUCACAAAGCACUUGCUGCAAAAACAAGUUAGACGUCCUCUAAUUGUUGUUGCAAGUUUUAUGUGGCUGCAAUAGGGUUCUAGCAAGAAUGUUUUCUUACCUACGUAAUAGCCACAACGUGAUUUAUCAACUUCUAUUUACCCUUCAUAAGGACCCUUUUCAUCGAAUCUGAUCCAACUAAAGCGGGAGAGACAGACACCCGCUAGCCACCUUAUGCAACUAGUGCAUGUCAGUCGGUGGAACCAGUCUCACGUAAGCGUACGUGUAAGGUCGGUCCGGGCCGCUUCAUCCCACAAUACCGCUGAAGCAAAAUAAGACUAGUAGCGGCAAGAAAGUUGACAACAUCUACGCCCACAACAAAUUGUGUUAUACUCGUGCAAAGAGAACUACGCAUAGACCUAGCUCAUGAUGCCACUGUUGGGGAACGUUGCAGAAAACAAAAAAUUUCCUACGGUUUCACCAAGAUCCAUCUAUGAGUUCAUCUAGCAACAAGUGAUCAGAUUGCAUCUACAUACCUUUGUAGAUCACGCGCGGAAGCGUUGAAAGAACGGGGAUGAGGAAGUCGUACUCGACGUGAUCCAAAUCACCGGAGAUCCUAGCGCCAAACGGACGGCACCUCCGCGUUCAACACACGUACGGUCAGCAUGAUGUCUCCUCCUUCUUGAUCCAGCAAGGGGGAAGGAGAGGUUGAUGAAGAUCCAGCAGCACGACGGCGUGGUGGUGGAUGCAGGGGUCACUGCAGCAGGGCUUCGCCGUUCUACUACGAGAGGGAGAGGUGUUGCAGGGGAGAGGGAGGCGCCAAGACUCAAGGGUGCGGCUGCCCCCCUCCCUCCCCCCUUUCUAUAGGCCCCCUAGGGGGUGCGCCGGCCGUAGGAGAUGGGAUCUCCUAGGGGGGGGGGGCGGCCAAGGGUGGAGUGCCCCCCAAGCCAGGUGGGGCGCCCCCCACCCUAGGGUUCCCAACCCUAGGCGCAUGGGGUGGGCCAAGGGGGGUGCACCAGCCCACUAUGGGCUGGUUCCCAUCCCCACUUUGGCCCAUGGGGCCCUCCAGGAUGGGUGGCCCCACCCGGUGGACCCCCGGGACCCUUCCGGUGGUCCCGGUACAAUACCGGUGACCCCCGAAACUCUCCCGAUGGCCGAAACUGCACUUCCUAUAUAUAAUUCUUCAACUCCGGACCAUUCCGGAACUCCUCGUGACGUCCAGGAUCUCAUCCGGGACUCCGAACAACUUUCGGGUUACUGCAUAUUCAUAUCUCUACAACCCUAGCGUCACCGAACCUUAAGUGUGUAGACCCUACGGGUUUGGGAGACAUGUAGACAUGACCGAGAUUGCUCUCCGGUCAAUAACCAAUAGCGGGAUCUGGAUACCCAUGUUGGCUCCCACAUGCUCCUCGAUGAUCUCAUCGGAUGAACCACGAUGUCGAGGAUUCAAGCAACCCCGUAUACAAUUCCCUUUGUCAAUCGGUACAUUACUUGCCUGAGAUUCGAUCGUCGGUAUCCCAAUACCUCGUUCGAUCUCGUUACCGGCAAGUCACUUUACUCGUACCAUAAUGCAUGAUCCCGUGACCAGACACUUGGUCACUUUGAGCUCAUUGUGAUGAUGCAUUACCGAGUGGGCCCGGAGAUACCUCUCCGUCAUACGGAGUGACAAAUCCCAAUCUUGAUUUGUGUCAACCCAACAGACACUUUCGGAGAUACCCGUAGUAUACCUUUAUAGUCACCCAGUUACGUUGUGACGUUUGGUACACCCAAAGAACUCCUACGGUAUCCGGGAGUUACACGAUCUCAUGGUCUAAGGAAAAGAUACUUGACAUUGGAAAAACUCUAGCAAACAAACUAUACGAUCUUGUGCUAUGUUUAGGAUUGGGUCUUGUCCAUCACAUCAUUCUCCUAAUGAUGUGAUCCCGUUAUCAAUGACAUCCCCAUGUCCAUAGCCAGGAAACCAUGACUAUCUGUUGAUCAACGAGCUAGUCAACUAGAGGCUCACUAGGGGGACAUUGUGGUCUAUGUAUUCACACAUGUAUUACGAUUUCCGGAUAAUACAAUUAAAGCAUGAAUAGUAGACAAUUAUCAUGAACAAGGAAAUAUAAUAAUCAUUUUAUUAUUGCCUCUAGGGCAUAUUUCCAACAGUGUUCGGAUAGCCGAACUAUACCUUCCGCCGGACUCCUGGGUUAUGAAGAUACAAGAUUGAAGACUCCGUCCCGUGUCCGGAAGGGAUUUUCCUUUGCGUGGAAGGCAAGCUUGGCGAUAUGGAUGUUCAGGUCUCCUACCAUUGUAACCGACUCUAUGUAACCCUAACCCUAUCCGGUGUCUAUAUAAACCGAAGGGUUCUAGUCCGUAGGACAACAUACACAUCAACAAUCAUACCAUAGGCUAGCUUCUAGGGUUUAGCCUCUCUGAUCUCAUGGUAGAUCAACUAUUGUAAUACCCAUACCAUCAAUAUUAAUCAAGUAGGACGUAGGGUUUUACCUCCAUCGAGAGGGCCCGAACCUGGGUAAAACUUCGUGUCCCCUGCCUCCUAUUACCAUCCAGCCUAGACGCACAGUUCGGGACCCCCUACCCGAGAUCCGCCGGUUUUGACACCGACAUUGGUGCUUUCAUUGAGAGUUCCUCUGUGCUGUCGCCGUCAGGCCCGAUGGCUCCUACAAUCAUCAAUGGCGAUGCAGUCUAGGGUGAGACCUUCCUCCCCGGACAGAUCUUCAUCUUUGGCGGCUUCGCACUGCGGGCCGAUUCACUUGGCCAUCUAGAGCAGAUCAAAAGCUACGCCCCUGGCUGUCAGGUCAGAUUCAGAAGUUUAAAAUACACGGCCGACAUCCGCGGGGACUUGAUCUUUGACGGAUUCAAACCACUGCCGAGCAUGCCGCACUGUCACGACGAGCAUGAUCUAGCUCUGUCGCCGAACAGUGCCCUGGAGGCCGCACCUGCAUCGGCUCCGGCCCCUGGUUCGGAGCCGACCGCGCCGAUCGAGGAUGGGCGGUUGGACGCCGCCUCGGGGGCUGCAAUCCCAAUGGUGGUUGAGCCGAACACCAGCCCCGUACUCUGCAAGACUCGUGACUCCAUGGAGCCGGAUUCUUCUCCGGACUCCGAACCCUCCGCGCCCCUGCCGAGCGAAUCCGAGUGGGCACCGAUCAUGGAGUUCACGGCCGCGGACGUCUUUCAGCACUCGCCUUUCGGUGAUAUCCUGAAAUCACUGAAGUCUCUCUCUUUGUCGGGAGAGCCCUGGCCGGACUACGGUCAGCAAGGUUGGGGUACGGACGAUGAAGAAAUUCAAAACCCACCCACCACCCACUUUGUAGCCACUGUCAACAACUUAACCGACAUGCUCGACUUCGACUCCGAAGACAUCGACGGUAUGGACGCCGAUGAAGGAGAUGAUGAAGAACCAGCGCCUACUAGGCCCUGGAAAGCCACCUCGUCAUAUGACAUAUACAUGGUGGACACCCCAAAAUAGGGAGAGGGCGAUGGGACAGUGGAUGACCCCUCCAAGAAACAGCAAAAGCGUCGGCGUCAGCGGCGCCGCUCAAAAUCCCGCCAACACAAAAACGGCGAUUCCAGCACGGGAGAUAAUAAUACCCCGGAAAGCGCCAAAGAACAUCCCCCCAAGCAAGAUUUAGCACAAGAGGAUGGAGAAACAAGCCCCCAUGGGAGAGCGGCUGACAGAGAGGUUGAGGACGAUAAUCAUAUGCCUCCCUCCAAAGACAAGGCAAGCCUCGAUGACGACGAAUUUGCCGUGCCAGAGGAUCCCGUCGAACAAGAGCGUUUUCAACGCAGGCUUAUGGCCACGGCAAGAAGCCUCAAGAAAAAACAGCAAUAGCUUAAAGCUGAUCAAGAUCGGCUAGUCGAUAGAUGGACUGAAUUCCUCGCGGCCGAAGAUCAUAAACCCGAACGCCCCUCCAAGUGCUACCCGAAGCGCAGGUUGCUACCCCGAUUAGAGGAGGAAGCACUCGAUGCGGCCGACAGGCCACCUCGUGGCCGUGACAGAGAGGCAUCAUGUCCCUCCACCCAAGUCGCACCCCGUACCAAGGCACGGGAAUAUGCGCCAGACUUACGAGACAUGUUGGAGGACAAGACAAGGCAAACAAGAUCGAUCUACGGAUCGCGUAGGCACCCCACGGCUCGAGACGACAACCGUCACGCCGGCCACAAAUUCGGCAGGGCCGAACACAGUAGACAAAGCUCAUCGGAGCUACGUCAUGAUAUCGCCCAGUAUAGAGGCGCCGCACACCCGUUGUGCUUCACAGACGAAAUAAUGGAUCAUCAAAUCCCCGAGGGUUUCAAACCCGUAAACAUCGAAUCAUAUGAUGGCUCAACAGACCCCGCGGUAUGGAUCGAGGAUUAUCUCCUUCAUAUCCACAUGGCCCGUGGCGAUGAUUUUCAUGCCAUCAAAUACCUCCAACUCAAGCUUAAAGGACCAGCCCGGCAGUGGCUUAACAGCCUGCCAACAGGGUCAAUCAGCUGUUGGGAGGACCUGGAAGCCGUAUUCCUCGACAAUUUCCAGGGCACCUAUGUGCGACCCCCAGACGUUGACGACCUAAGCCACAUAAUUCAGCAGCCAGACGAAUCGGGCAGGCAAUUCUGGACAUGGUUCCUAACAAAGAAAAAUCAAAUACUCGACUAUCCGGACGGAGAGGCCUUAGCAGCCUUCAAGCAUAAUAUCCGUGACGAGUGGCUUGCCCGGCACCUAGGACAGGAGAAGCCGAAAUCUAUGGCAGCACUCACGACACUCAUGACCCUCUUUUGCGUGGGAGAAGAUAGCUGGCUUGCUCGUAGCAACAAUAUGACCAAGAACCCUGGUCGUUCGGACACCAGGGACAUUAGUGGCAGGUCGCGUCGCAACCAACAGAAGCGUUGCAUCAACGGCGACAAUGCUAAGGAUACGGCAGUCAAUGCCGGAUUCAGAGGCUCUAAAUCCGGUUAGCGGAAAAAAUCAUUCAAAAGGAAUCCCAGGGGCCCGUCCAGCUUGGACCGAAUACUCGACCGCUUGUGCCAAAUACAUGGCACCCCCGAAAAGCCGGCCAAUCACACCAACAGGGACUGUUGGGUGUUCAAGGAGGCAGGAAGAUUAAGCGCCGACAAUGAAGACAAGGGGUUGCAUAGCGAUGACGACGAGGAGCCCCGGCCGCCGAACAACAAUGGACAGAAGGGUUUUCCCCCACAAGUGCGGACGGUGAACAUGAUAUACGCCACCCACGUCCCCAAGAGGGAGCGGAAGCGCGCGGUAGAGCCAGUCGCCCCAAAGUUCAACCCAUGGUCCUCCUGCCCGAUCACCUUUGAUCGAAGAGACCAUCCCACUAGCAUCCGUCAUGGCGGAUUCACCGCAUUGGUUCUCGACCCAAUUAUUGACGGAUUUCAUCUUACUAGAGUCCUUAUGGAUGGCGACAGUAGCCUGAACCUGCUUUACCAGGAUACAGUGCGGAAAAUGGGCAUAGAUCCGUCAAGGAUUAAGCCCACCAAAACGACCUUUAAAGGCGUAAUACCAGGUGUAGAGGCCAGCUGUACAGGCUCAGUCACACUUGAAGUGGUCUUCGGAUCCCCGGAUAAUUUCCAAAGUGAGGAGUUAAUCUUCGACAUAGUCCCAUUCCGCAGUGGCUACCAUGCACUGCUCGGGCGAACCGCAUUCGCCAAGUUCAAUGCGGUCCCGCACUACGCAUACCUUAAGCUCAAGAUGCCAGGCCCUCGAGGAGUAAUUACGGUCAAUGGAAACACCGAACGCUCCCUCUGAAUGGAGGAGCACACGGCGGCCCUUGCAGCAGAAGUACAAAGCAGCCUCUCCAGGAAGUUCUCCAGUCCGGCCAUUAAACGUCCGGACACAGUCAAGCGCGCCCGGAGUAACCUACAACAAGACCGCCUGGCACGUUCCGAGUAGGCGUAGCAAUGCGGCCCCAACCCCACCCCCCACAAAAAGGCGACGCCAGUACUUCGCGUACAUAACUACGCCCUAGAAAUACCAUGGGCAUAGGGGAGGGGCACUAUCACGGCACACCCAAAACACGGCUUAAACCGCACCAGGGGCUCCCGACCUUUUUUACACUUUUCUCUUACUUCCAGGACUCUACUCUUCGGAAGGCUUGUUUGGCAGUUCAAUUGCCGCACAAACGAUGCAUGGAGCAGGGAAGCAGACAAGCCAUGCCACAUUACGGAAAUCCCAGGUGGUCUCUAUCACGAGCAGUAUACCCGUUUCGCAUACUAUCCCGCAGCUUGCCCCCGAAGCAGACAUGUUAAAUAGUCCAACUUUUCAUUUAUCACAUCACUUGUAUCGUUCUGCUUUGAUCGCAGCUAUUUUAAUGAACAAUGCAUAGCUUUUGUCUAUUUUUUGCAUUACCUUUUUUUAAUAUAUAUCUAUGUUCCUUAAUGACAUGUUGCACCCAUACACUUUGGUACGGCCAAAAUACGCCAGGGGCUUCAGUACCCCUCAACAUGGUGUGAGAAGUCCAAACACUUUAACAAGUGCGGCACCCCGAACUUAUAGCAUUAUAUGCAUCGGCUCCGAAUCAUGUCUUGGGUCAAAUAGUUGGGUUUGCCCGGCUCCUAUGUUUUGGUGCCUUACGUUCCGCUAUAUCGGCUAAGGUAGCACUAGGAGAACCACUGCGAUUGUGCCCCAGUUGAGCUGGGCCGAGCACCUCAGUGGAGAAAGCUAAAACAGACUGUCAUGAUGAAGCGAGAGAUGGUCGCUGUUCGAGAGGUUCUUUCGAGUCCCUAAAGACUUAUGCCGCUUCGAGCGAGGAGUCGGCUCUGUCCGGCCAAGGCGUGGAUAGCCCCCCGAAAUUGGUCUUCCGAAUACUAGGGGCUUCGCCGAAAUUUAAAAUUAUAGAAUUCUAUGGCUAAGUGAGAGUGUUCACGCAUUAUAGUCCGAUUGCCUCAUUCGUUGGGUUGAGCGCCUCCCUCAAAGGACCCAAAUAUGGGAAAAAGAGCGCCCAGGUUUAUCCCCGAACACCCCAGCACUAGCAUCAUGGGGGCAGAAGCCGACGACUUGCCAUCUCUCAGUAUUGAUAAACAGCCGCACAAAAGGUAAUAUUUUAAGUUCAAGCAGCAUUACUUAGCGCAUAUGAACGAGUUUCCAGCGCACAGGAUAACACGAGCGGGUUUUACUCAAAAAAUACAUCCUUGGUACAUUCAUCCGCAAUAAGGUGGGCACCCUUCAGAACAUCCUUAUAAUAAUUCUCGGGCUUGCGAUGCUCCUUCCCCGGCGGUGGCCCGUCCUUCACAAGCUUCUCCGCAUCCAGCUUGCCCCAGUGCACCUUAGCACGGACGAGGGCCCUACGGGCACCUUCAAUGUAGACGGAGCGCUCGAUGUCUUCAAGCCUCGGACAGGCCUCCACCAGCCGCCGCACCAGCCCGAAAUAGCUCCCAGGCAGAGCCCCUCCAGGCCAUAGCCGAACUAGGAGGCCCUUCAUGGCCUGUUCGGCCGCCUUGUGGAGCUCGACCAGUUGCUUCAGCUGGUCGCUCAGGGGCACGGGGUGUCCGGCCUCAGCGUACUGCGACCAGAACACCUUCUCCGUUGGGCUGCCCUCCUCGGCUCGAUAGAAUACGGCGGCAUCAGAUACACUCCGGGGAAGAUCUGCGAGCGCUCCUAGAGAGCUCCGGAUUCGGGUAAGUAACAGGUAACUCACGUUUAUGCGUUUGCUUUGCAUAAAGAAUGCCUUACCUACCGCAAUCUUCUUCACCUCAUCGAACUCCUAGAAGGUCUUCUGGGACUCGACCUUGGCAGACUUGGCAUUUUCUAUAGCUGCCGCGAGCUCGGACGCUCGCGUCUUCGAGUCAAGCUCCAAACUCUCAUGUUUCUUCAUGAGAACCUGGAGCUCUUGCCGCACCUUGCCAACCUCUGCCUCAUACCUCCGCCGCUUGGUGCGCUCCACGGCCGCACUCUUCUCGGCCUCGAGCAGCGCUUGCUUAAGGGUCGCCAACUCAGACGUGGCCCCUGCAAUAGCCAUGUCAAUCCUGUCAUUUUUUGCAAUUGCACCUUUUUAUAUACAUAUUCAAACAGGGUAUUUCUUACCUUCCUUCUCCUCGAGCUGCUUCUUGGCACGCCCGAGCUCUUGCUCGGACUUCUCGAGACUCUGCUUCAGCACGUCCACUUCCGCAGUCAGUGUGGCGGACGCUAGCAGAGAAGCCUGCAUAUGCAUAUUGACUCCUUUUGUUAGACUCUUGCGAAUUGUUUGAUCCUCUAUUCGGCUUUUCUUCUCGAAUGCCCAACAGAGCAUCAGGGGCUACUGUCUAUGCGGUAACAUUAUGUGAACAUUCUUUACUUACCUCAAAGCCUGUUAAAAGGCUUGUACAAGCUUCAGUCAAUCCGCUUUUGGCGGACUGAACCUUCUGGAUCACCCCACUCAUAAUAGUGCGGUGCCCCUCAUCGAUGGGGGCACCUUGGAGCGCCUCCAACAUAUUGUCCGGCGCCUCCGGUUGGACGGAGGUCACCGCCACGGUAGGCUUGCUCCUCUUGGAAGGAGGUCGCCCGCCGGACUCUGGAACCCUUGAAGAUUCCGGAGCUGUGCCCGGCCUUAAGCCGGACUUGGAGCCCUGGGGGGUUUCAUCCCCUUUACUCCUGGAGUCCGGGAGGUCGCCUUACGGCGCCUCCAGGACCACCUCCUCCCGGCUUAGAACCUGUUGGGACAACACUUCGGUGUCAUCCGCAGGGCAGGGGGAUGAAGCCGUCGGAAGCGAGUUCACCUCCGACGGGUCCAGUGAACCGCUCGACGAUGCGUCGAGCCGGUCUUUGGGUGGGCUGCAUAAACAUAUUCGACAUAAGGGAAAGUUGUGCGAAAAACAAAUACUAUAAACUACCCCGGUAUCCGGACACUUACGAUUUCGCCAGGGGCUUGGCCUUGGGCUGCCACUCCUCUUCGUCGUCGGCGGCGUCGGUGGAGCAGUCCGGGGUAAGGGUUUUCCCCUUCUUGGACCCUCCGGCCUCCUCAGAGAGGGCGGCCUUCCUUUUCUUCUCUCCUCCCGCUGGAGGGGGAGAGGUCUCUUCUUCUUCCUCCUCGUCUUCACGAGAGGAAGGCGCUUUGGGACCGUCAAAUGACGAAUCCGACACCUCCUGGUGUCGGGCACUCUUUCGAGUCCCCGUGGCCCUUUUUUUGGCCUUCUUUUCCGGCACCACAUAGGGCGUGGGAACCAGCAGCUUCGCCAAGCGAACGUCCGCUGGGCCUUCGGGUAGAGGAGCCGGACAGUUGAUCUGUCUGGACGUCACCACCCAAUCCUAUCCAAGAUAAGGGAACUCAGAUCCCGCAUAGAAUCAAACUAUGAAAAACUGAUACCCUGUAAAAGGAGAAAAACAGCUUACCGCAUGAGCGUGAUGCUGAGUACUGAAUCCGUGAUCCUCGGCAGCGGAUGUGGGAGCCUCGGCGCCCUUGAAAAGCACCCUCCAGGCAUCUUCGUACGUCAUGUCGAAGAGCCUGUUAAGAGUUUGAUGCUGCGCCGGGUCGAAUUCCCAAAGGUUGAAGGCCCGUCGUUGACACGGGAGGAUCAGGCAGACAAGCAUAACCUGGACUACGUUGACAAGCUUGAGCUUCUUGUCCACCAGGGUUUGGAUGCAUGUUUGGAGUCCAGUCAGCUCUCCUUUUUUACCCCAAGACAGGCCUGUCUCCUUCCGGGAGGUGAGCUGCGUGGGGGGGCCGGAUCGGAACUCAGGGGGUGCGACCCAUUCGGCGUCGCGCGGCUCGGUGAUGUAAAACCACCCUGAUUGCCACCCCUUCAGGGUCUCCACAAAGAAGCCCUUGGGCCACAGGACGUUGGCCAUCUUGCCAACCAUGGCGCCGCCGCACUCCGCCUGGCUACCGCGCACCACCUUUGGCUUGACGUUGAAAGUCUUAAGCCAUAGGCCAAAAUGGGGCGGAUGCGGAGGAAUGCCUCGCACAUGAUGAUAAACGCCGAGAUGUUGAGGACGAAGUUCGGGGCUAGAUCGUGGAAAUCCAGGCCGUAGUAGAACAUGAGCCCCCGGACAAAUGGAUGCAGAGGGAAGCCCAGUCCGCGGAGGAAAUGGGGGGAGAAAUACCACCCUCUCAUGGGGCCUAGGAGUGGGGAUGAGCUGCCCCUAUUCGGGGAGUCGGUGUGCGAUGUCGCUGGCCAGAUAUCCAGCCUUCCUCAACUUUUUUAUGUGUCCCUCCGUGAUGGAGGAGACCAUCCACUUGCCUCCCGCUCCGGACAUGAAUGGAGAAGGUUGAGGUGGUAGUGCGGACUUGGGCGCUGGAGCUCGAGUGCACAAGAAUGGAUAGGCAAAGGAGGAAGAAGGCAUGAGUGAAAAGGUGGAUCCUUAUCCCCUAAUAUGGGUGGACGCAACAACGUGUCCCCACCAGCCUGGUAAAACUCGCUUAUCUCCAAGCGCUGUAAUCAAUGGCGCGGUUGGGUUACCCACACCCGUAUUGAUGAGAAUCCCGGAAUAAAGGGACACGAUUCUGUUUUGACAAGACGUGUCAAGGAAACUGCCUCGCAUAACACGCUGAGGUGGGAUAAUGAAAUGAUUUGGAUAAAGGCUUGGCCUUGGUGUGUCGCACCACGGAAUACGUCAGCAGAUUAGAUUUGUGUUAAUAUUAUUAUUCUCUCUAGGGCAAUAUGUGGAAACUUAUUUUGCAGAUUCGGACACUAUCUUUGUGUUCAAAAUCUUCUAUGAAGUACUUGGAGGAGGAACCCGCCUUGCAAUGCCGAAGACAAUCUGCGCGCCGGACUCUCGUCAUUGAAGCCUGGUUUAGGGGCUACUGAGGGAGUCCUGGAUUAGGGGGUGUUCGGAUAGCCGAACUAUACCUUCCGCCGGACUCCUGGGCUAUGAAGAUACAAGAUUGAAGACUCCGUCCCGUGUCCGGAAGGGAUUUUCCUUGGCGUGGAAGGCAAGCUUGGCGAUACGGAUGUUUAGAUCUCCUACCAUUGUAACCGACUCUAUGUAACCCUAACCCUAUCCGAUGUCUAUAUAAACAGGAGGGUUCUAGUCCGUAGGACAACAUACACAUCAACAAUCAUACCAUAGGGUAGCUUCUAGGGUUUAGCCUCUCUGAUCUCAUGGUAGAUCAACUCUUGUAAUACCCAUACCAUCAAUAUUAAUCAAGCAGGGCGUAGGGUUUUACCUCCAUCGAGAGGGCCCGAACCUGGGUAAAACUUCGUGUCCCCUGCCUCCUAUUACCAUCCGGCCUAGACGCACAGUUCGGGACCCCCUACCCGAGAUCCGCCGGUUUUGACACCAACAGUGAUGCAGCAAAGUAGCGUAAGUAUUUCCCUCAGUUUUUGAGAACCAAUGUAUCAAUCCAGUAGGAGACUACAUGCAAGUCGCCUAGUACCUGCACAAACAAUCAAGAACCUUGCAACCAAUGUGAUAAAGGGGUUGUCAAUCCCUUCACGGCCACUUGCAAAAGUGAGAUCUGAUAAAGAUAAUAAGAUAAAUAUUUUUGGUAUUUUUAUUGUAUAGAUUGCAAAGUAAACGGCGACAGAGGUAGCUAGUUGAUGGGAGACUAAUAUGAUGUAAAAUAGACCCGGGGGUCAUAUUUCUCUAGUGGCUUCUUUCAAUAUAGCAAAUAUUAUGGUGGGUGAACAAAUUACUGUCGAGCAAUUGAUAGAAAAGCGCAUAGUUAUGAGAAUAUUUAGGCAUGAUCAUAAACAUAGGCAUCACGUCCAUGACAAGUAGACCGAAACGAUUCUACAUCUACUACUAUUACUCCACACAUCGACCGCUAUCCAGCAUGCAUAGAGUAUUAAGUUCAUAAGAACAGAGUAACGCAUUAGGCAAGACGACAUGAUGUAGAGGGAUAAACUCAAGGAAUAUAAUAUAAACCCUUUUUACCCUCGAUGUCAACAAUACAAUACGUGCCUUGCUGCCCCUGCUGUCACUAGGAAAGGACACCGCAAUAUUGAACCCAAAGCUAAGCACUUCUCCCAUUGCAAGAAAGAUCAAUCUAGUAGGCCAAACCAAAAUGAUAAUUUGAAGAGACUUGCAAAGAUAUUAAAUCAUGCAUAUAAGAAUUCAUAGAAGAAUCAAAUAUUGUUCAUAUAUUAUCUUGAUCAUAAAUCCACAAUUCAUCGGAUCUUGACAAACACACCGCAAAAAGAAUUACAUUGAAUAUAUCUCCAAGAAGAUUGAGGAGAACGAGAUCCACAAAGAGAGAGAAGAAGCCAUCUAGCUAUUAACUAUGGACCCGAAGGUCUGUGGUAAACUACUGACACAUCAUCGGAGAGGCUAUGGUGUUGAUGUAGAAGCCCUCCAUGAUCGAAUCCCCCUCCGGCGGAGCGCUGGAAAAGGCCCCAAGAUGGGAUCUUGCGGGUACAGAAGGUUGCGGCGGUGGAAAGGCGUUUCGUGGAUCUCCCCAAAGGUUUCAGGGUAUAAGAGUAUAUAUAGGCGAAAGAAGUAGGCCGGUGGAGCUGCGAGGGGCCCACGAGGGUGGGGGGCGCGCCUAGCCCCCAUGGGCAUACCCUCCUGCCUCGUGGCUUCCUCGCUGCUUCCUUGACUUCCACUCCAAGUCUCCUGGAUUGCAUCUGUUACAAAAAAGAUCCUCGCGAAGGUUUCGUUCCGUUUGGAUUCCGUUUGAUAUUCCUUUUCUAUGAAACAGUGAAAUAGGCAAAAAAAUAGCAAUUUGCACUGGGCCUUCGGUUAAUAGAUUAGUCCCAAAAAUAAUAUAAAAGUGCAUAGUAAAGCCCAUUAAACAUCCAAAACAGAUAAUAUAAUAGCAUGGAACAAUCAAAAAUUAUAGAUAUGUUGGAGACGUAUCAAGCAUCCCCAAGCUUAAUUCCUGCUCGUCCUCGAGUAGGUAAAUGAUAAAAACAUAGUAUUCAAAUCCGAAAGAUUCAAGACAAAAGUUUAAUAUUGACAUAAAAAUAAUAAUAUUUCAAGCAUACUAACUAAGCAAUUAUGUCUUCUCAAGAUAACAUGGCCAAAGAAAGCUUAUGCCUACAAAAUCAUAUAGUUUGGCAAUCUCGAUGACAAGCCAAGCAAUUGUUUCAUACUUUAGUAAUCUCAAACUUUUUUCAACUUUCAUGCAAUACAUGAGCGUGAGCCAUAGACAUAGCACUAUGGGUGGAAUAGAAUAUAAUGAUGGGGGUUGUGUGGAGAAGACAAAAAAGAGAAAGUCUCACAUUGACGCGGCUAAUCAAUGGGCUAUGGAGAUGCCCAUCAAUUGAUGUCAAUGCGAGGAGUAGGGAUUGCCAUGCAACGGAUGCACUAGAGCUAUAAAUGUAUGAAAGCUAAACAAAAGAAACUAAGUGGGUGUGCAUCCAACUUGCUUGCUCACGAAGACCUAGGGCAUUUGAGGAAGCCCAUUGGUGAAAUAUACAAGCCAAGUUCUAUAAUGAAAAAUUCCCACUGGUAUAUGAAAGUGACAAUAUAAGAGACUCUCUAUCAUGAAGAUCAUGGUGCUACUUUGAAGCACAAGAAUUGUCCCUUUUAUUUUAUUUAUUUUCUUUAUUUAUUUGGCCUUUCUCUUUUUUUUUUCAUUUGGCCUUCUGUCGGUGUCAAAACUGGCGGAUCUCGGGUAGGGGGUCCCGAACUGUGCGUCUAGGCUGGAUGGUAACAGGAGGCAGGGGACACGAAGUUUUCCCAGGUUCGGGCCCUCUCGAUGGAGGUAAAACCCUAUGGCCUGCUUGAUUAAUAUUGAUGGUAUGGGUAGUACAAGAGUUGAUCUACCACGAGAUCAGAGAGGCUAAACCCUAGAAGCUAGCCUAUGGUAUGAUUGUUGAUGUGUAUGUUGUCCUACGGAUUAAAACCAUCCGGUUUAUAUAGACAUCGGAUAGGGUUAGGGUUACAUAGAGUCGGUUACAAUGGUAAGAGAUCUAAACAUCCGUAUCGCCAAGCUUGCCUUCCACGCCAAGGAAAGUCCCUUCUGGACACGGGAUGGAGUCUUCAAUCUUGUAUCUUCAUAGUCCAGGAGUCUGGCUUGAAGGUAUAGUUCGGCUAUCCGAACACCCCCUAAUCCAGGACUCCCUCAGUAGCCCUCGAACCAGGAUUCAACGACGAUGAGUUCGGCGCGCAGAUUGUCUUCGGCAUUGCAAGGCGGGUUCUCCUCCAAAUUCCGUGUACCUGUUUAUAUAAAGUCUGGUUUCUUGUAGAUGUUGCACUCCUCGGCUUCUACGCCCAAUAAUGGCCGCUUUCCAUGUGCCAAACGAAUAUGAAAAGUCUGAGUGUUUUUACGUUCACACCCCUCGCUGUGUAAAUGAGUUGCCCUUUUCAGGGGAUGAGGAUUUAGAUCCAAUCCACACCUUCUCCCCUCCACGAGUGUUCAUCAGAGCGCAUCCGUCAAAGGUCCAUUCCACCAUGGCCAGCCGCCGGAACUCCUCCUCUCGUCCUUCUAGCCCUAAGCCUGGAUAUUGGGAGAGAUGUUCUACUCCGCAUAGCGAGCUAGUGACGCUUCAGACCAAGGGAUUUCUCCCCCCGGCCGAUAUGGUCCCGGUCCGAGCCGGUCUUGCCGUCUACAACGGCGGAGAGCAAGCAGAGAAUGCCCCUAAUCCAUCCAAAGGAGAGCGGGUGUGCCUCGUUCCUUACUUAAUGAGGGGGCUCGGAUUUCCCAUCCACCCGUUUCUCCGGGGGUUGCUGGAGUUCUACGGCCUCCAGCUACAUCAUCUCACGCCUGCCUCAGUAUUGCACAUCGCGGGCUUUGUAGCCCUCUGCGAGCUGUUCUUGGGAUUGAAGCUCAUUUCGGACUGUGGAAGGAGCUAUUUUGCCUCGUGCCCCGUUCCAAGAAAGGGUCAAUGUAUCAAGUGGGCGAAGCUGAAGUAUGGCGCAUUGCCGGGACCGGAUAUCUGUCUGAAACCCCAAAGAAGGCGUCCGAAUACUGGCCCUCAGAAUGGUUCUAUAUAGAAGACGUCCCGCUGCCGGAUCCUAUCCGGAUCGGCCUCCGAGAGUUCGACAGUGCCCCUUUAAAGAAGCGCCUAAGCUGGCGUCCACGGAGCCCUCAAAGGGAAAGUGACAGGGACAUCGUUUAUCUCAUGGGCCGAAUAAGAUUGUUGGCCCAUUCCGGACUAACCAUGAUUGGAGUUAUGGCCGAAUGCAUCAUGCGGGGGGUGCAACCGCUUCAGUACAAAAGCCACCCCAUGUGGGAUUUCAACGAGGAGGAGGACGCCACCCGCUACGGCCGCAAAGGGCCAGAUUCAGUUGCCGCUCUAUUAAAGAUCUUGUCCACUUUGUACACGGGAGAAGAGGAGGAAUUUCUCCGCGUCAACACACAGGGCGGAUUCUCUAUGCACAAUCCCCCAAGCUAGGUAAGUGGUUGCAUUUACUUGCUCAUCCAUUUAGUGUUCCCACUGUUAAAUACUUAGUCUGAUGACUUCAACGCAGGAACUGCGCCGGGCCGUUAAGGACAUAAGCAGCCCGCCUCCACAACCCGAGGACUCAGGACGGUCUUUCGACUCGGCCUCUCAAGAGGAUCCGGACAUAUCUGUGGAGCUGAUCGAUGGAGUGUUCCAUCAAUUGAGCGAGGACAACGCCCUGGUGGCCAUUAUGGCUGAUUAUCCAGGGCUAAUCCGAACACCCCAGGUACCUGAGACCAAAGUCCCUGUACCCCGGACAGGGGUUCGUCCACGUGUGUUAAAUUUCCUAAUUGCAAUCGAACUUUGCAGGGGAGGUUUUUACGGCAGAAGGCCGAACCUGCGGCGACAAACCAACCAGGGGCCGCAGGGCCCCAUGGGCAGAAAAGAGGUGCAGUCCGGACCGAGGCAUCAACAUGAAGGUAUGGCGCGCCCCUUUAUCCCAAUUGUUAUACCUUCAAGGCACACUUGACACUCGUGCCCUUUUCAGGACAAAGAGACCUCGCCGGACUAUAUCCAGAGAGGCUGUUAAUCGCACCUCCACCAGCCAGGCUCCAAAGCCUGGUCCGGGGGCGGAGGCGAACGCAAGGCGUGUGCUAGACAUUCCUCCGAUGGAGGAUGCGGACGGGUUAUCUGCCACCAACUCAGAGGUGGAAAGUGCCAUGAACCACAGGCGUCGCCGGACAAUUCUUUGCGACGCUUGCUUCUCCCAAGAGGCAUUAGAUGCCUUCAAUUCGGGAGAUGCGCACCUCCGUGCCGCUCAAAAUGGUCUAGCCAGAGCCACGGAGCAAUAUGUAAAAGACAUACGGGUAAGAAAAUUUUGGUAAAUAUAUAUGUAGCAGUAGCCCCCGAGACUGAAAACAGUUAGAAUAACUGGUUUAAGGAUCAUUUGAAAUGCAGGUUCUUACAGAAAAGAAUUCCCUACUAACCCAGGAGCUGGAAGAGUGCAAAGCCCAACUGGAGGCCGCACUAGCCGCGGCAGGGGAGCCUAAGGAGACCCCCUCUGGUAAUAUACAUUUCGAAAGAUAAGUAUGUGGCGAAGCACGGCUUUUGUGAGAAUUUGACAAAUAAAAUUGCAGAUGGCGCCGGAUUGAAUCCGGAAAGGCAACACCUCGAACGCCAACUAAAGGCUGGUGAGAGGGUGCUGUUAAAGGUGAUGGGGGAGAAGAACGUUCUCCAAGAUGCCAACACCCGGCUGGGCGUCGAGCUAAAAGAUGUUCGUGCCCAGCUGUCAGACUCCAUGAAGGAGAAUCAGCGGCUUCGGCGCGACAUAUUUAGUAAGUGCUUGAACGAACCUUUUAAAAGAAAGUUCGGUGGUGCCGUUGAUUAACAGAGCAAUGUCCGUAGGUAUGUUAACAGGUCGUCCUGCAGAGGAGAUGCCCGGUUCUACAGGUGACCUUCUUCUCGAGCUCUUGCAAUUGCUUGAUCGAGUUCGGCAGGCGAUGCGAGGCGUCGCCCAGGUACUGUGGCCAUCCGUCUCGACACCCGAAGGUCUUGGAGAGCUUGCGGAGAAGCUGAGGGGAGCACGGUGGUGCUUCCAGUUGUGGAAGAUAUCAGCCUGCCGUCAAGGCGCUAGGGAGGCCUGGGCCAUGGUGAAGACGCGGUAUUCACAGCCUGACCCCAACCAUAUGGACGAGGUUGGUCCUGUAGGCCCCGAUGGGAAGGAGAUCCCUGUGAGCUUAGUAUACGGCCAAGUAGAAUUGGCCGCAAAGUAUUCCCAGCAGGACUGUAAAUUAGAUAGCCUGUUAGAUGGUAUUGAAGAGGAGUACAGUCAGUCAAAAUGACUAUGUAAUUUAAUUGACAUUUAUAAUGCCUUCUAGCCGGAUUGUAGAUCGUUUGUCAUGGCUGACCUUUUCGCUUCACCCUCGGGACAUGACGGUCCAGAGUGUGUCCGAAUUCCCGUGCGGUUAUAUAGGAACCGGGGAAUGCGUGGAGACCAGGCGUAGGGGUCAUUAUGGCGUGAACAUACAAGUGCCCGACUAGUUAUGUUAUAUUACAUGGUUAGUAAGAAACAUCUUCCAGGGAGAAUAGUUCUGUUAGGGGUUCCUUACCCUGGGGGGCAUGCCCUAAAGUGCAUGUCCAUGCUGCGAAAAGAAACGCAGGAAAAACGCCGGGGGGGACAUACAUAGAGAAAAAGAUCAUCUUUAGUUCACCGACCGAAUAUUCUCUUAAGAAUGCUAGCUUUCGGCUUCACCUAGUCUGAGGUACAUGUCCGGCUAAUCCGGCAGUAACAAUCAUAGAGGUGCUCCCUUUACCACCUAGCCGAAUAAUCGGGAACGUAGGGGUAAGCAAAGGAGCCAGGCAACCCAGCUUGGCCAAAACUUAAGUCAUAUCGAUGCAUAUGAUGGUGAAUAAAAGGUACAUGCGGAAGUUUGACACAUGUGUUAGGCAUGAAGCCCAUAUAAAUAAGCUUCUGUUUAAAGAAGCCCCCAGGUUUACUGAGCGCAGAUAGCGCGUCAAUUCGUGAGCCUUUAAAGGUUAUAAGAGAGAAAAAUGGGAGAAGGAGAGAAAUGUACGACGGACAGUAUAUAAAAAAUGGACAAAGUGAGGAGACGAACAUAGGAUCCGACGCUAGGCACAGAAUCUUCGGAGACGGGCUGCGUUCCAUGGGUUCGGCUCGAGUCGGUUAUCUAAUGUGUUUCGCAGGCGGUAUGCUCCACCAGUCAGGAAUUGGUCAAUUAUGAAGGGACCUUCCCACUUGGGAUUGAGCUUGUCCUUUUUCUUGUUUGGCAGGCAUAGAACUAAUUCGCCAACGUUGUAAUUUUUGGCCCGUACUUCUCUGCUUUGGUAUCUUCGAGCUUGCUGUUGAUAGAAUGCGGAACGGGAUUUCGCCACAUCAUGCUCCUCCUCUAAUGCGUCCAAACUGUCCUGCAGAUCGAUCUCGGCUUCUCUUUCCUCGUACAUGCGCACUCGAGGUGAGUCAUGAAUUAUGUCAUAAGGCAGAACUGCCUCUGCGCCGUACACCAUGAAGAAUGGUGUGUAUCCGGUGGUGCGAUUCGGCGUGGUCCGCAGCCCCCAGAGUACGGAGUCGAGCUCCUCUACCCAGUGCGUGUUAGAUUCCUUGAGGGACCGCACUAGUCCGGGUUUGAUGCCGCUCAUGAUAAGACCAUUUGCACGUUCGACCUGGCCGUUAGUUUGUGGGUGAUAGACGGAAGCAUAAUCGAGCUUUAUGCCCAUGUUUUUGCACCAGAGUUUUACCUCGUCGGCCGUAAAGUUCAUGCCAUUAUCAGUGAUGAUGCUGUGGGGGACGCCGCAACGGUGUACGACCCCGGAUAUGAAGUCUAUCACAAGUCCGGAUUUGGCCGUCUUAACAGGCUUGGCUUCUAUCCAUUUGGUGAACUUAUCCACCAUGACCAGUAAGUAUUUGUGCUUGUGGGUUCCGCCUUUAAGGGGUCCAACCAUAUCAAGCCCCCAGACCGCAAAGGGCCAAGUGAUGGGGAUAGUUUGGAGGGCGGUGGGUGGCAUAUGGCUUUGGUUUGCAAAGAGCUGGCAGCCGGUGCAUCGUUGGAGUAAGUCCUGAGCGUCUGCCCGGGCCGUCGGCCAACAAAAGCCUGUACGGAAGGCCUUGCUUACCAGGGACCGGGCUGCAGCGUGAUGACCGCCAAGUCCGGCAUGGAUUUCAGCCAGGAGAUUCCGCCCCUCUUCUUCGGAGAUGCACCUUUGAAGGACUCCGGUAGUGCUUUUCUUAUAAAGCUCUCCCUCGUGGACUCUGUUGGCUUUGGAUCGCCGCACUAUGCAGCGUGCCUCAUUUUGGUCCUCGGGGAGUUCCUGCCUAGUAAGGUAGGCGAGGAAUGGUUCUGUCCACGGGGCGAUGACGGCCAUUAUUACAUGGGCUGAAGGUGUUAUUUCAAUGGCGGAGCCUCCGAUUGUGUCAAAAUGCUCGGUGUCGGGCAGUGUGGUUGGGUCCGGGCUGUUAUUGUUUGGCUCUCCUUCCCAUGCCACGGAUGGCUUGAACAGCCUUUCCAAGAAGAUGUUGGGGGGACUACAUCGCGUUUUGCACUGAUGCGUGCUAGGAGAUCCGCCGCCUGAUUAUUUUCCCGGGCUAUAUGGUGAAAUUCAAGUCCCUCAAACCGAGCUGACAUUUUUAGGACGGCGUUGUGGUAAGCUGCCAUUUUCGGAUCCUUGGCAUCGAAGUCUCCAUUUAUUUGGGAGAUUGCGAGGUUUGAGUCCCCGUGCACCUCUAGGCGUUGGAUGCCCAUGGAUACUGCCAUCCGGAGACCAUGUAGAAGGGCCUCAUAUUCGGCUACAUUGUUGGAGUCCGUGUACAGAAUUUGUAGUACAUAUUGAACUGUGUCUCCUGUGGGGGACGUCAAAACGACGCCAGCCCCUAGUCCGGCCAACAUUUUGGAGCCGUCGAAAUGCAUGAUCCAAUUUGAAUAUGUGCCGUACUCUCUAGGGAGUUCGGCUUCCGUCCAUUCUGCGAUGAAGUCGGCCAAAACUUGUGACUUAAUGGCUUGUCGUGGCUUAUAAGUUAUGUCGAACGGGAGGAGCUCGAUGGCCCAUUUCGCAAUCCAGCCCGUUGGGUCAAGGUUGUUUAUAAUGUCGUUAAGUGGUACUUCCGAGGCUACUGUUAUUGAACACUCUUGAAAGUAGUGUCGUAGCUUCUGGGAUGCCAUGAAUACUGCGUACGCAAUCUUUUCAUAAUGCGGGUACCGUGAUUUGCAGGGAGUGAGGACAGUGGACACAUAAUAGACCGGCCUUUGAAGGGGGAAUUUGUGUCCGUCCUCUUCUCGUUCGACGACGAGCACUGCGCUUACCACCUGAUGUGUUGCUGCGAUGUACAAUAGCAUUGGUUCGCCGGUGUUUGGCGCGGCCAGGACUGGGUUUGUUGCCAGUAUGGCUUUUAUUUCGUCGAGUCCGGGCGUGGCUGCGUCCGUCCAUUUGAAGUGUUCGGUGCGCCGAAGGAGGCGGUAAAGGGGAAGGGACUUUUCUCCUAAACGGGAGAUAAAGCGGCUUAGAGCCGCCACACAUCCGGUUAACUUUUGUAUUUGUUUGAGGUCCUUUGGGAUAUCCAGUUGCGACAGAGCUCGGAUCUUGCCUGGAUUUGCUUCAAUUCCUCUGCUGGAUAUAAUGAAGCCCAAGAGCUUUCCGGCUGGAACACCGAAAACGCAUUUUUCCGGGUUGAGCUUGAUGUCGUAUGUUCGGAGAUUGUCAAAUGUGAGUCUCAAGUCGUCUACUAGAGAUUCAACAUGUCUUGUUUUGACGACCACAUCAUCUACAUAUGCCACCACUGUUUUACCAAUCUAGCUUGCCAAACAUGUCUGAAUCAUGCGCUGAUAUGUUGUGCCGGCGUUUUUGAGCCCGAAGGGCAUCGUGUUGAAGCAGAAUGGCCCGUAUGGUGUGAUAAAUAUUGUUGCGGCUUGGUCUGGUUCUGCCAUCUUGAUUUGAUGGUAGCCAAAAUAUGCGUCGAGGAAACACAACGAAUCGUGUCCUGUGGUCGCAUCGAUAAUUUGAUCGAUGCGGGGACGGGGAAGGGAUCCUUUGGGCAAGCCUUGUUAAGGUCUUUAAAAUCAACACAUAGGCACCAGGAUUUGUCCUUCUUUGGUACCAUCACCAGGUUUGCUAGCCAGUCCGGAUGUUUUAUAUCUCUGAUGAAACCGGCCUCUAAUAGCUUUGCUAGCUCCUCUCACAUAGCCUGUCUCUUAGGUUCGGAAAAAGGCCGGAGAGCCCGUUCGACAGGUUUGAAUCAUGUUUGGAUAUUUAAGCUGUGCUCAGCCAGCCUGCGUGGGAUUCCUGGCAUGUCUGAAGGGUGCCAGGCGAAAAUGUCCCAGUUCUCUCGUAGGAACUCUCGCAAUGCGGCGUCUACAUCAGGGUUUAACUGUGCCCUGAUGGAAGCUAUUUUAUUGGGGUCCAUUGGAUGGACUUGGAAUUUGACUAUUUCGUCCGCUAGUUUAAAGGAGGUGGAUUUGGAUCUUUUGUCGAGUACCACAUCAUCCCUAUUCACCAUAGAGCGCAGCGCAGUUAGCUCCUCAGCCGCUAGGGCUUCGGAUAGUGCCUCGAGGGCCAGUGCGGCUGUCUUGUUUUCGGCGCGGAGUGCUACAUCCGGAUCACUAGCAGGAGUGAUGAUCCCAUUAGGCCCGGGCAUCUUAAGCUUCAUGUACCCGUAAUGGGGUAUUGCUUGGAAGAUUGUGAAUGCUUCCCGCCCUAGCAAGGCGUGAUAACCACUGCUGAACGGGGCCACAUGGAACGUGACUUCUUCAGACCUGUAAUUGUCCGGCGUGCCGAACACCACACCUAGUGUGAUUUUUCCUGUACAACGCGCUUCCCGACUAGGGAUUAUUCCUCUAAAGGUUGUGCUGCUUCGUGUGAUGCGGUUCCAGUCUAUAUCCAUUUUUUGGAAAGUUUCCUCGUAGAUGAGGUUCAAUCCGCUGCCGUCGUCCAUGAGCACCUUGGUGAGACGAAAGCCGUCCACUAUUGGACUGAGGACCAAUGCGCCUGGUGCUCGGGCUGUUCGGAAUUUAGGUUCAUCACUGGCGUUGAAGGUAAUGGCCGUGUCACUCCAUGGGUUUAUUGUUGCUACUUGGUAGACUUCGGCAAGGCUGCGGAGUGUCCUUUUUCACAUGUUAUUUGAUGCGAAGGUCUCGAAGACUGUUAAUACCGUAUUGGUGUCUCUGGGGUGGCUUUCUGUGGCUUCCGGGAUUAGGAGGUUUUCGCCAAUUUUGGCCACCUGCCGGAGUAUCCAACAUGCUCUAAGGCUGUGAGUUGGUGUGGCGUCCUCUGUACUAUGAAUUUUACAGGGUCCAUUAAGCCAUCCUUCCACUAAGGUUCCAUGCCCUGUAGAGGGUUUUUGCCUUUUGGUGUUUGGCCCAGGUGUCUGGCGAUGAUGCACCCUUUUAUUUCGGAUUGGGCUUGCAUUAAGGGCCGGAAUGUCCCAAAAUUUUGUUUCGGUUUUCCAAGCGCUUUCCAUCGCACAGUACUUUCAUACUAUGGACGCUAAGUCAACAAAGCGUGUAAUAUCACGGCGACUUAUGGCGUUCAGUAUUCCCUUGUCCAUGCAAUUAUUGUAGAAGGAUGAAAUUGCGUCUUCCUCCCAGCAGCCCUUUAUCCUGUGCAUAACCAGGAGGAAUCUGGCCCAGUAAUGAUGUACUGUUUCUUUGGGCUCUUGCCUGAUUUGGGAUAGAUCGCUAAUGUUCGGGUGGGUGGGUGGAAUUGAAUCCGAAGCCUUACCCCUUCUGAGGCUCAGAGGCCGAGGAAUUUCCGAACUCGAAAGUUUGGAUUCCUGGAUGUCGUCUAAUGAAUCCAGUCCGGAGCCUGAUUCUCGGUUCAGGUCUUGAGUGAUAUCCUCCCCUACGCGGUCAUCCGGUUUGGAGGGAUCGGGAAUCCGGACAUAGCGAGUCCUUAGGAUAGAUGAAGGGUCACCGCACUAUCCCUCUACCACGGCAACGUGAUGGGUGGCUUGGGGAGAGUUAAUCUCUCUCAGAUCGGUUUUAGGCCCAAUCUGGUCAUAAUCCGUAGCGACUCCGAGGGCGGCGAAAUGAUCCAAGAGCUUGUUUAUGGAGGAAAGCUCUAUUGGAUUUAACUGCUCGGCAAGUUCCGAGUUGACAUGAAGAUUGUUUUCGAUGGUUCGAGAGGUCAUCGUCGGCGUAGAAGCCGAACAGGUGGUCAUAAGAAAACCACCUAGCCGGAGGGUUUGGCCGACAGCCAAAGCUCCCUUAGCAACGGUGCCGUCUUUAAAGACGGGGCGAGGCAUCCUUCCUGAUGGCGACGACAUAGAGGAACUCUCAAUGAAAGCACCAAUGUCAGUGUCAAAACCGGCGGAUCUCGGGUAGGGGGUCCCGAACUGUGCAUCUAGGUCGGAUGGUAACAGGAGGCAGGGGACACGAAGUUUUACCCAGGUUCGGGCCCUCUCGAUGGAGGUAAAACCCUACGUCCUGCUUGAUUAAUAUUGAUGAUAUGGGUAGUACAAGAGUUGAUCUACCACGAGAUCAGAGAGGCUAAACCCUAGAAGGUAGCCUAUGGUAUGAUUGUUGAUGUGUAUGUUGUCCUACGGACUAAAACCCUCCGGUUUAUAUAGACAUCGGAUAGGGUUAGGGUUACAUAGAGUCGGUUACAAUGGUAAGAGAUCUGAACAUCCGUAAAGCCAAGCUUGCCUUCCACGCCAAGGAAAGUCCCUUCCGGACACGGGAUGGAGUCUUCAAUCUUGUAUCUUCAUAGUCCAGGAGUCCGGCUUGAAGGUAUAGUUCGGCUAUCCGAACACCCCCUAAUCCAGGACUCCCUCACCUUCCCCUUUUUAUUUUUUAUUUUUGGGACAAUGCACUAUUAAUGAUGAUCAUCACACUUCUAUUUAUUCGCAACUCAAAGAUUACAACUCGAUACUAGAACAAAGUAUGACUCUAUAUGAAUGCCUCCGGCGAUGUACCGGGAUGGACAAUGAAUCAAGAGUAACAUGUAUGAAAUUAUGCAUGGUGGCUUUGCCCCAAAUACGAUGUCAACUACAUGAUCAUGCAAGACAAUAAGACAAUGAUGAAGCGUGUCAUAAUAAACGUAACGGUGGGAAGUUGCAUGGCAAUAUAUCUCGGAAUGGCUAUGGAAAUGCCAUAAUAGGUAGAUAUGGUGGCUGUUUUGAGGAAGAUAUAAGGAGGUUUAUGUGUGAUACAACAUAUCAAAUCACGGGGGUUGGAUGCACCGGCGAAGUUUGCACCAACUCUCAAGGUGAGAAAGGGCAAUGCACGGUACCGAAGAGGCUAGCAAUGAUGGGAAGGUGAGAGUGUGUAUAAUCUAUGGACUCAACAUUAGUCAUAAAGAACUCACAUACUUAUUCCAAAAAUCUACAAGUCAUCAAAAACCAAGCACUACGCGCAUGCUCCUAGGGGGAUAGAUUGGUAGGAAAAGACCAUCGCUUGUCCCCGACCGCCACUCAUAAGGAGGACAAUCAGAGAAACACCUCAUGCUUCAAAUUUGUCACAUGCUACCUCUUGAGCAUGCGUUGGUUUUCCCUUGAAGAGGAAAGGGUGAUGCAUCACAGUAGCAUAAGUAUUUCCCUCACUUUUUGAAAACCAAGGUAUCAAUCCAGUAGGAGGUAACACACAAGUCACCUAGUACCUGCACAAACAAACAAGAACCUCACAACCAAUGCGAUAAAGGGGCUGUUAAUCCCUUCAUGGUCACUUACGAAAGUGAGAUCUGAUAAAGAUAAUAAGAUAAAUAUUUUUUGGUAUUUUUGUGAUAUAGAUUGGAAAAUAAAGAUUGCAAAAUAAACGGUAAUAGAAAUAGCAAAUUGAUAUGGAAAUAAUAUGAUGGAAGAUAGACCCGGGGGCCAUAUGUUUCACUAGUGGCUUCUCUCAAGAUAGCAAAUUCUAUGGCGGGUGAACAAAUUACUGUCGAGCAAUUGAUAGAAAGGCGAAUACUUAUGAGAAUAUCUAGGCAUGAUCAUGUAUAUAGGCAUCACUUCUGCGACAAGUAGACCGAAAUGAUUUUGCAUCUACUACUAUUACUCCACACUUCGACCUCUAUCCAGCAUGCAUCUAGAGUAUUAAGUUAAUAAGAACAGAGUAACACAUUAGGCAAGAUGACAUGAUGUAGAGGGAUAAACUCAAGCAAUAUGAUAUAAACCCCAUCUUUUUAUCCUCGAUGGCAACAAUACAAUACGUGAAUUGCUGCCCCUGCUGUCACUGGGAAAGGACACCGCAAGAUUGAACCCAAAGCUAAGCACUUCUCCCAUUGCAAGAAUGAUCAAUCUAGUAGGCCAAACCAAACUGAUAAUUCGAAGAGACUUGCGAAGAUAUUUAAAUCAUGCAUAAAAGAUUUCAGAGAAGAAUCAAAAUAUUGUUCAUAGAUAAUCUUGAUCAUAAACCCACAAUUCAUCGGAUCUCGACAAACACACUGCAAAAAGAAUUACAUCGAAUAGAUCUCCAUGAGAAUCAAGGAAACUUUGUAUUGAGAUCCAAAGAGAGAGAACAACCAUCUAGCUAAUAGCUAUGGACCCAGAGGUCUGUGGUAAAGUACUCACACAUCAUCAGAGAGGCUGUGGUGUUGAUGUAGAAGCCCUUCAUGAUCGAUUCCCCCUUCGGCAAAGUGCCGGAAAAGGCCCCAAGAGGGGAUCUCACGGGUACAGAAGGUUGCAGCAGUGGAAAUAGGGUUUCGUGGUGCUCCUGGAUGUUUUUGGGGUAUAUGGGUAUAUAUUGGAGGAAGAAGUACGUCGGUGGAGCUGCGAGGGGCCCACGAGGGUGGGGGCGCGCCUCCCUGCCUCGUGGCCUCCUCGCUUCUUUCUUGACGUCCACUCCAAGUCUCCUGGAUCACGUUUGUUCCAAAAAUAACUCUCCUAAAGGUUUCAUUCCGUUUGGACUCUGUUUGAUAUUCCUUUUCUGCGAAACACUGAAAUAGGCAAAAAACAGAAAUUUGCACUGGGCCAUUGGUUAGUAGGUUAGUCCCAAAAAUAAUAUAAAAAGGUAAAUUAAAGCCCAUUAAACAUCCAAAACAGAUAAUAUAAUAGCAAGGAACAAUCAAAAUUAUAGCUACGUUGGAGACGUAUCAAGCAUCCCCAAGCUUAAUUCCUGCUCGUCCUCGAGUAGGUAAAUGAUAAAAAUAGAAUUUUUGAUGUGGAAUGCUUGAAAGUUCUAGUGAUCGACUAGAGGGGGGUGUGAAUAGGCGAUUUUUAGGUAAGUCUUCAAAACAUGUAAGUAUCGAAGACAAACGAUAGAUAUGAACCUAUUACCAUGCAGCGGAAGGUAGGUUACACUAGGCAAACCAUAGUCACGUAUUCAAUGAAGUGAAAGCACAAUGACAAAUAGCAGCUAGGCAGUAAGGAUCAGGUAGGAAGAUAUUGAGAAGCCAAUCAGUACACGUAGUCACUUAGUGAAGUCGAAUGGUGAUGCUAUCGUACAGUGACUUCACAAGAACCAACAGUAAAUAAAGGGAAGGGAAGGAUGAAACCAGUGACUCGUUGAAGACAAUGAUUUGUUGGACCAGUUCCAGUUGCUGUGACAACUGUACGUCUGGUUAGGGAGGCUGAGAUUCAACUCAGAAGACUUCGUCUUCACCUUAUUCCCCUUGAGCUAAGGACACCCAGUCCUCGCCCAAUCACUCUAGUAAGCCUUCAAGGUAGACUUCCAAACCUUCACAGACUUCGUUCACCGGCGAUCCACAAUGACUCUUGGAUGCUCAGAACGCGACGCCUAACCGGCUAGAGGAUUCACAGUCCUCAAGUGUAAUAAGUGUUCAGAUCACACAGACAAGAAGACUUAAGUGAUGCCUAACACUCUUUGGCUCUGGGUGGUUAGGGCUUUAUCCUCUCAAGGAAUUCUCUCUCAAAGGCGUCGAGGUGGGUUGCUCUCAAACGACAAAAGCCGUACUUUAACUCUGAGCAGCCAACCUUUUAUGGUUGUAGGCGGUGGGCUAUUUAUAGCCACUAGGCAACCCGACCUGAUUUGUCCGAAAUGACCCUGGGUCACUAAGGAACUGACACAUGUUCCAACGGUCAGAUUUCAAACACACACGACAACUUUACUUGGGCUACAAGCAAAGCUGACUUGUCCAACUCUGAACAAGAUUCACUCUCAUAGUCUUCACUCGAAGACAUAGGAUUUUGGUUAAGCAUCACUUCAGUCAUUCUGACUGGUUCUCUUGGACCCCACUUAACAGUACGGUGGCUCCUAUGACUCAAUAAAGAAGAAAAAGAACUACGAAAGAUCUAAGUCUUCGCGCUCCAUGGUCUUCAUGCGAUAUCUUCUCUUGUCAUAGUCUUCAAUGUGAAUGUCUUCACAUACCACCAUUGACUUCAAUGUCUUCAUACAUUUUUAGGGGUCAUCUCUGGUAGGAAAACCGAAUCAAUGAGGGACUUCUACCUGUGUUAUCCUGCAAUUCUCACAAACGCAUUAGUCCCUCAACUAGGUUUGUCGUCAAUACUCCAAAACCAACUAGGGGUGGCACUAGAUGCACUUACAAUCUCCCCCUUUUUGGUGAUUGAUGACAAACUAGUUGAAGUUUUCAAUGGGGAAUAUAAUCUGUGAAAUUGUAAAGGAUACGGAAUUGUCUUCAUAAGUUGCAAGGGCUCCCCCUGAAGAUGUGCAUAUAAGUAAUUUGAUUUUGGAAUGCAAAUGCACAUGGCAGGUUGUACUUGUGGAGAUCCUCUUCAACUUAUGAUAACAAUUCAUCAUGCAUGAAAAGUAUGUGAAGAUAAUGACAUGCAUAAUGAAAAAUGGACGUCUGCAAGAUGAUCUAAGUGCGGAGUUUAUCAUCGCAUCACAAAAUAGCAAAUAAGUAGCAGACGACCAUCGAGUUUAAGUGUUACAACUCAAAGAACCAAAUGUAUCAAAACGGGAGUUGUAAACACUAGGCAAAACACAAAGUAACCACCCAUAUGGACCCGCUUGGAGACUAUCAAACUCAUAUGCUUCUCCCCCUUUUGUCAGUGAGGACCAAAAAGGUUUGAAGACAUAGAGUAGCUACUAGUUCCCAUGAAGAGUAGGUGAAGCAGCAAGGUCGUCGGUGAUGUUCGGCGGUGCAGAAGAACUUGGCGCAGUGUCAAUGCGUGCGGAAGUAGGGGCGGUGAAGUGGCAUCAUCUUCGUCCUCGAUCACUCUGGCAUUCACAGUUGCCGCAAAGGAAGAGAACUCAGAGUCUUCAAGAGAUGGAGUUCGUCGCAGCAUAGUCCUUCGGGGAGGUGUGGAGUCAAAUUUGAAACGUUCAGAGAAGCCAUCCUCUUGAAGAUCAUCCUCAGAACACAUAAGCAUCAGCCCUUUCCAUGUACACCGACAAGUUUCAUGGGCAACAAAGUCAUUCUUGGUGGCAAGAUUGCGAAUGCGAUUGACAUCCACCAAGAGGCUUUGCAUUUGGCGCUUCAGCUAGUCAUGAUGCCUAUCCUGUUUCUGAUGAAGAGCAACUAGAAGCUCUCGGUCAUUAAGAACACGAGAUCGCUUCUUGGGCCGUUGGGCAAUGGUGCUUUCAGUGGCUUCAGUGAGGGCAUGAUGAGGUGCACGUGUAGUACCAACCAGAGGAUAAACACGAGUGACUGCUUCAACUCCUUCAAUGUUCUGAGAGAAACUUUGAUGCUCAGCAUUCUGAAGACUAAGAGGCUCCUUGGCAGGCUCUGGAUAAAUGGCUUCAACGGACAUAUCCACGUCAGGCAGAAAGAUCCGAUGAUUGCGAGCAGAUGGCUGAUAUGAGAUAGCUGAGUGGAGUUUAAUCAGCCGCAUUAUCCAUGGGGCAUAGAACUUCAAGCCAAAAAGAUCAGAUCCUGAUGCACCAAGUUGGUGGAUGAAGAUGUCUUGUGCGUUGACGCAUUUGCCGUGAAGAAUAUAGAAGACCAAAGUCUUCAUUGCACCUUCCAGCUUUGCAUGUGGAGAAUGUCCUUUGAUGGGCCAGAGAGUUCGCCAUAUAAUGUGAUAGAUAGUCCGUGGCAGAUACUCAAGGUCUUCAACAAAGAACUCCUUAGGAUAUGCGGCAUCUGGAGGCAAAGGCUUCAUCAUACUGAGCAUCUGACUCAUGUUCGGUUCAGGCUUCUGAAAGAUGCUCUCCAUAGCUUCACUGUGAAGCUGACAGCCAGGUUCAUAGAGAUCUCCAGGAGUGGGCAGACCAGUGAGCUCAAUGAUAUCAAAGUCUUUGGCUUCAUAAUGAACAUUUCCUGUCAUCCACUCAAGGAACCAAGUCUUCGGAUCUCUGUUGUAGCCACGUAUGUGAAGAUGGCAUAAAAUUGGAGCAGCAACUCUUCGUUCUAGUGCUCUUGGUCGAUGACGAAAGGCAACAAGCCAACCUGUUUGAAGCAAUCCAGAGCUUCUUCCAAGCAGGGCAGUCCAGUUAUUGCUUAGGUGUCAAGACGCAUAUGAGGGAAAAUGCGACCUUGAUUGUACAGAAUGCAUGAGUAAUAACUUCGUUGCGGAUAGCUCUAGAACCGAUCAGACGAUAUUCUUUCCCUUGAGUAAGGGUUCUUAGAGCUAUUGAAGAAGGUGUUGUCUGCUUUGAAUCCGUUGACAUUAAAGGAUCCAGGUGCUGAUGCAGGACCUGGAAACCUGGGCAACCUUGGCAUUGGCUUCUGUACCUGAGGCCUAUGCUCAAUAUGAUAGUCAAACUGAGGACCAGCAGCAGGCGUAGGAACAGGAGCAGUAGCAUCAUUGGCUUUGCUGACUUCUGGUUCAUGGGUUGGUGUAGGCUCCACAUUUGCUUCAGCCAUGACAACAUCAUUGGCUUCAUUUGUGUUGGUGGUGGCAGCCUCAAGAUUUUCUACCUCCACUUGAUGAGCUGGAGGGUCAGGCACAGACACGUUCUCCUUGAGAACAGCUUCUUCAGUAGUUGGGGGAGUAGGGGCAUGUUCUUCUUCUUGGGUGUCAUCGGCUGAUGCAGCCGGAAUGUCUUCAGCAGCUUUAGCCUCAGACUCGGAGACUUGAGACCUUGGUCCUUUGCGAAGCCUGCAUAACACUGGCGACGCCUUUGGAGAUGGAGUUGGCUGGGCCUCAGAGUCAUCUUCUUCUUCUUGCCGGGGUGGUGUGACUUGUUGUGGGUGAUCAACCCAUGAUGCAUCCUGAGCAAUUGGCGUCAGAGGACGACCAAUGCUGAUGAGUUCGUUGUGCGUAAGCACAGGCGAUGAUACCUGUUGGUGCUCGAUCAGAGCAAGAGCUACAUCAUUGUCAACAUUGUCAUGGUGACCAAUGUCUUCAGCAGCGGUGGGAUCAGUUGCUGGAAUGUCUUCAGCUUCAUGAGCCUCUGUCGAAGCAGGCUCAUGGACAGUCAGUUGGCGCUCUUGAUGUUCAGUGGCAGGGCAAACCAUGGAGAUAGGUUCAACAACUAAGGGAUCUGUGGGAGCAGCCCGAUCCUUCUUGGUCUUGCACUUCUUCUUGGAGGGAGCAGCAGCAGAGGCUUCAGGAUGUUUCCUCUUUCUGGCUUCAUCCUCAGUAGUCCUCGUCUUCUUCAGUUCUGAAGCGGUUGACCUGGCCUUUGGCUUCGAGCCAGUCAUGCUGGCUGGGAAGACAAUGUGAUGUGCUUCCUGCCUUGGUGCGUCGGGUUCGGCCACAGCGGGCUUCUUCUUCUUCUUUGCAGCCAUCCUGGGGUCGAUGCCAGGACGACCAAGGGCCUUGCGCUUCUCAGCCUCAUUGUAGGCUUGCACACACUUGUCAGCCAGGCUCUUCAUGCCCUCACGAGAACCUUGAGCUUCUUCACGCUUCUUGAGAAAGGCUUCUUUGAGCUCGUGCAGCAUGAUCUUGAAGUUCUUGACCUCUUGCAUGCUCAGCUUGGACAUAUGGUUCUUAAACUGAGCUUUCUCAAAGUCGAUCAUUUGCUUCAAUUCAACGAUGCGCUGGGCUAUAGCUAGCUCUGAAGCAAUGGCGCAUGGAAGGCAACACUGAGGCCAAUCGGAAGUUGCAGAUCUUCAAAGCUGAGGUUGGGCGUGUCAAACCACUCAUCAAUGAAGUUAUGGAUGAUUGCCACAUCAAAGAGAGGCAAAUUAUUGAAGAUUUCUGCUUCUUCUUUGCUCUUGAUCAGUUGCUCAAGAGCGUCAUCUGCAAGAUCUUCAUCGGUGGACAGAUCAAUGGCAUCGUUGCGCAGAAUAGCAGCAGCAGUCAGUUCUUGGCUGGUGCGUUGCAGAGGCAUCUUGACUCUCGAGGGCUUGGAGAUGCAUGGCAAAUCUUCAGACUGCACACUGUCUUCAUGAGGUGCAGUAGCCAGUGGCUUCGCUCGUGAGAUUUUUGGUGCUGAGGCAGGCUUUAAAGCUUUAGGCUGCUUCAGUUUCUUUGGCUUCGGCGAUGCAGGCGCUUCAUCAGAUUCAGCGUCAUCUGCAGGCUCAUCCACGGCUGUCCCUUGAACCACGAUAUGAGUGAUGAGACCUUCCAGGUUGUAGAAGGGCCCAACAAGAUUGGGUUCAGCUUCGCGGGUGCCAUCGGCACGAGGAGCAGAAGGGCCAGGGUUGAAGUCUAGUCCCAAUGACUUCUUGUUCUGCUUCGACGAAUUCUGGGCAAAUUGGAAGUUGCACUUGAACAGAUUGUCAUCACAACACAAUAGCAAUGAUGAUGGGUCAGCAUCCGCAGGCUGUGGUCCACGGACCAUGAAGGCAUAGAAGCCUUGUUCAAUGGCUUCAUCUCUGGACCUGGGUUGAAGAUUUCUAUAUAGGAUGUCUCCCCAUGGUCGCUUGAUGGCAUUCUUCUCGGCAUAUUCCUUUGUCACAAACUUGUACUUGAACCACUGUUCUGCCCAAUAUCGUCGAAUCCAUUGGAUUUGUGUCUUGCGCUGAUUGUAAUCCUCUUCUGGAUCUGUCUUGUACAGCUCUGAGAGGUCAUCGUGUAGAUCUCUUGAUGUUUCACCUCGACGCUUUCUGCCACCCUUCCUUGUUGAUUUCUCUACAGCCAUGAACUUUAAAUUGAAUGGCUUCAAUACGUUCAAAGGCUUCAAAGGCUUUCGCUUGCUGGACAAACAGGAACUGGCUUCGGGAGAAUUUAUAUGAUGCUGUAAGAAUUCUGCAAAUGAAUGCAGACUAUGAGAACCAAGGGAUUAUCCCACGAACAUGUACCUGUGACAGCAUUAAGGUGCGAGGGAAGGGGAAGAGGUCAUAUGCAUUCUCAGAAGAUUUUGAAGAUAAAUCAGUUUAGAAGACAUUGACCUCAUCAUGCGAAGACAUUCACUCAUAGAUAAGGAGUUGGUUCCAGAUUUGUACGAAUCCACGGAUCAUUACAAGUGAGGAAUCUAACUACUUUGUGAAGCAUAAGUGAACAUACUAGGCAUAUUAUAAGAUGCAGUAUGAAAUAGAUCCAACUUGUGUGAACAGAAACUACUUGUGGUAGAAAGUGAAAAUUCUAUAGGAUCAAAGGGGCCGUAAAAAGUAAGUUUUAUUUACCACACAAAGAACUGCUAGACGGAGUGGAAGAGGAGGCCGAGCAGUUCGAUCGUCCGUGCCCUAACUUGGCGACGGAGGACACCUACAGCGACGGCGGAGAAGACGAUGUCCGCGGCCGGCGUGAAGACAACGUCAGAGAGGUCACGGCAGCUAAGCGCUUCGUCGCCAGCAUCGUCGAGGGCUAGGGGUGGCGCUAGGGUUUGAGCGAGAGUGGAAGAAAGGAUAAUGACUAUGGUGACGCGUGUAUUUAUAGGGACAGGGACGGCACAGUGUUAUUACACAGGUGCCCCUGGCGAUUCACAUCUGAAGAACACGUGGCCAUCAUGCAACAUAUCGGAGGUUGUUCCAUGUUCCCACGCACGCCUGGAUUGUCGGGUGGUCGUUCCUACUUCUCCGGGUUUCAUGUGAAGGAAUUAGCAUUGAAAACGGACUUAAUGUUUGUCUCUGUAUCUUCUGCUGACAAGGACGCAGAGAAGACAUUCGACAGUUUCAAGAGAAUGCAUAUGAUUUGGAGAGAUAGAGUUUGAGAUAGAAAGCAUAGAGAGGUUAGGGUCCGAUCACAUUCACUUAGUUAAAAAGACUCAACAAGAAGACAUAGCUAUAAGUGAAUGCUGUAGAGGACAGAACACUAGUAUAUUUAUAUAUAUAUAAUCAACAUAGUGAAGAUAAUCAUGAAGACAUGUUGAGAUUGAAGCCAAACCAAUUGUGAAGACAUAGCAAAUGCAACGCAUGGGUGAAACACUUCAAACAGAAGAAUUUGGUGGUGGCGUUACCCACCUUAUAGGAAGUAUUAGACCCAGACACGGCGCACAAUUAUCGUGGCGCUCCGAAGUCAAAUUCCACAUUAAUGUAUUCACACUUAGAAUGUAUGUCUCCAUUGAAUGAAGAUAUACUUUACUUCGUGUGUUGCACAUCUAAAUCAUCAAUAUGCAUAAGUGUUAGGAUGUGUGCCUGAUCAUAGGACAUUUGAGGAUUCCAAGAUAUUUAGCUCACAUCGUAACUUGCAAAAUCUCUUCUCAUCCAAGGGCUUGGUGAAGAUAUCUGCCAAUUGCUCUUCAGUGUUGACGUGUAUGAUAUCAAUAUCUUCCUUCACAACAUGAUCUCUGAGAAAGUGAUGACGAAUUUCAAUGUGCUUUGUCUUCGAGUGCUGAACUGGGUUGUUGGCAAUCUUGAUGGCGCUUUCGUUGUCGCAGUAGAGUGGCACUUGCUUCAGAUGAAUGCCAUAGUCUUUGAGUGUUUGCUUCAUCCACAGAAGCUGAGCGCAACAACAUCCAGCAGCAAUGUAUUCAGAUUCAGCAGUGGAGAGAGAUACACAGUUCUGCUUCUUUGAAGACCAACAUACAAGUGAUCGUCCCAGAAAAUGACAUGUGCCUGAUGUAGACUUGCGAUCCACCUUGUCACCAGCAUAAUCAGCAUCCGAGAAUCCAACCAGAUCAAACUCUGAGCCCUUUGGAUACCAUAAUCCUAGAGUUGGGGUGUAAGCCAAAUAUCGAAGAAGUCGCUUCACAGCUAAGUGAUGCGAUUCCUUUGGUGCCGCUUGGAAUCGAGCACACAUGCAAACACUAAGCAUAAUAUCUGGCCUAGAUGCACAUAGAUAAAGUAAAGAACCAAUCAUGGAGCGGUAUACCUUUUGAUCGAACUCUUUACCAUUGUCGUCGGGACCCAGAUGAUGUUUGGCUGGCAUUGGCGUCGUGAAGCCUUUGUAGUCUUGCAUACCAAACUUCUUUAGGCAAUCUUUGAGAUACUUCUCUUGAGAUAUAAAGAUGUCGUUGCAUUGCUGACUUAUUUGAAGACCAAGGAAGAACUUCAGUUCACCCAUCAUGGACAUCUGAUAUUGCUCUUGCAUCAUAUAUCCAAACUCUUCACUGUAUUUCUGAUUGGUGCAGCCGAAGAUAAUGUCAUCCACAUAUAUUUGGCACACAAACAGUUCACCAUCAUAUGUCUUCGUGAAGAGAGUGGGGUCGAGGGAACCAGAUUUGAAGCCUUUGCUCUUCAGGAAGUCUUUGAGUGUGUCAUACCAAGCCCGAGGGGCUUGUUUGAGGCCAUACAGUGCCUUGUUGAGCUUGUACACCAUGUCAGGAUGUUUUGGAUCUUCAAAGCCAGCCAGUUGUGCAACAUACACUUCUUCUUCAAUCUUGCCAUUAAGAAAAGCGCUCUUCACAUCCAUUUGAUAUAGAAGUAUGUUAUGAUGAUUUGCAUAGGCCAGCAGUAUGCGUAUGGCUUCAAGUCUAGCCACGGGAGCAAAUGUUUCAUCAAAGUCAAUCCCUUCAACUUGAGUGUAUCCUUGAGCAACAAGACGAGCUUUGUUUCUGACAACUUGACCAUGCUCAUCUUGCUUGUUGCGACAUAUCCAUUUGGUGCCUAUUAUAUUGUGCUUCCGAGGAUCAGGAUGCUUAACCAGUUCCCAUACAUUAUUCAUCUCAAACUGUUGAAGCUCUUCUUGCAUAGCUUGAAUCCAUUCAGGUUCCAUGAAGGCUUCUUCAACUUUCUUCGGUUCUGUUAUUGAGAUGAAUGCGAAGUGCCCACAGAAAUUUGCUAGCUGAGUUGCCCUUGAACGAGUGAGUGGACCGGGUGCAUUGAUGCUAUCAAUUAUUCUUUCAAUCUGCACUUCAUUGGCAACGCGAGGAUGUACAGGGUGAAGAAUUUGCUCUUGCUGACCAUUGUCGUUGUUAGAAGGAAUGUCUUCAGGCUGAGCAUUGUCUUCAUGUUGAUCAGGUGCUAAGAUGAUAAGUUCUUCUUCAGGAUGAGCUUCAGAAGGUAUAAUUUCUCCAGUUCCCAUUAGCUUGAUUGAUUCACUGGAUGGAACUUCAUCUAGCACAUUUGGCAGUUGCUCUCUUUGUGAACCAUUGGUCUCAUCGAAUCGCACAUCCACUGUUUCAACCACUUUGUAAUGAAAGAGAUUGAAGACUAUUUAGGAGUGUGAAUCCUUUCCAUAUCCAAGCAUAAAACCCUCAUGUGCUUUUGGUGCAAACUUUGAGGUGUGAUGUGGGUCCUUGAUCCAGCACCUUGAGCCAAAUACUCUGAAGUAACUAACAUUUGGCUUCUUGCCAGUAAGGAGCUCAUAAGAUGUCUUGUUUAGGAGCUUGUGAAGAUAAACACGAUUGAUUGUAUGGCAUGAAGUAUCAAUGGCUUCAGGCCAGAAUUUUCUUGGGGUCUUGUAUUCAUCAAGCAUCGUCCGAGCCAUCUCAAUAAGUGUUCUAUUCUUGCGUUCGACGAUGCCAUUCUGCUGUGGCGUGUACGGAGCUAAGAAUUCAUGUGUGAUGCCCAAAGUAUCAACAUAUGUAUCUAGGCCAGUGUUCUUGAAUUCAGUGCCAUUGUCACUUCUGAUGUGCUUUAUCUUGGCGCCAUAGUUGUUCAUUGCUCGAUUGGCGAAGCGUCUGAAGACAUCCUGCACUUCAGUCUUGUAAAGGAUUAUAUGCACCCAAGUAUAUCUUGAAUAAUCAUCAACAAUGACAAAGCCAUAGAGACAAGCAGUAGUAGUAAGAGUUGAGUAAUGAGUGGGACCGAAAAGAUCCAUGUGUAGCAGUUCGAAGGGUUGAGUCGUUGUCAUGAUUGUCUUCGAGGGAUGCUUGGCCCUCGUCAUCUUUCCUGCUUCACAGGCACUGCAUAAGUGAUCCUUCUUGAACUUGACGCCCUCGAUGCCUAUGACAUGCUUCUUCCUUGCAUGGGUGUGGAGGUUCCUCAUGCCAGCAUGCCCUAGCCUUCGAUGCCAGAGCCACCAUUCAGAAGCUUUUGCUAGAAGACAUACUGCAAGUUGUGGUCCUGCUGAGAAAUCUACCACGUACAAAUCAUCUUUCCGAUACCCUUCAAACACUAGAGACUUGUCAGAUUCCAUUAGUACAAGGCAACGAUAUUUUCAAACAUCACAAUCAUGUUUAAAUCACAAAGCAUUGAGACAGACAUUAAGUUGAAACCAAGAGAUUCAACAAGCAUGACUUUAUCCAUGUGUUGAUCCCUUGAGAUUGCAACUCUACCUAGACCCAAUACCUUGCUUUUACCAGUGUCAGCAAAUGUGAUGUGACUUUUGUCUGAUGGACAUAAAGUUGAGUCCAUGAGAAGGCUUCGCUUGCCAGUCAUGUGAUUUGUACACCCACUAUCAAUAAUCCAUUCUGAAGCAGCUGGUGUCAUACCCUAUAGUGCAGUUAGGGGGAUAGGCUUCACGAAGAGAAUUGUGAAGCAAAAACAUUUGACGAACCAGUGGAUUAUUAAAGCUUAGAUCGAGAUUAGGACUGAUAGGGCAAGUUGCAAGCGAUUCAGGAACAAAGUACAUAAUAAGAACAUUUGGGCAUUUGAUCUUGUGCCCUACAAGAUGUUUAAGGUCCCUAGCAAUAGUGUCAGACGAUUUUGGUUUUCGGCUGGAGACCUUUCCCUGCAAAAGAGAGUUAAGCUUUCUUAGCCACCCACAUCUUUAGGGGUGGCUUCGAAGCAAUGAGUCUAAGUGCAGCAUCUGAGAACUUUGGCUUUUGAGCCCUAGCAAAAAGUCUUGCUGGUGGACAAUAGUACUCAUAAGAAUAAGCGGAAUAGUUCUUGGUCUUAUGAACAUGGCGGUUUGAUGAACCGCGCUCAUAUUCAUAGGCCUGAGUAUGACUUCCCUGCAAAACAUUUGCGUUAGUGCGAUCCAGGUGAGUCCUCUGUCUGUAUGAAGCCCUUGGACCAUAUGAAGCCUGUGGUCUGGGGUUUGUCUUCUUCACCUAUGGUGUCAUGAUGACAUUCACAGGAAGAUUCUCCAAACACCUUUUCAGCACCCGGAUCUUCUUCAUAGGCGGUCCAUUCCUGCAGUUAGUACCAAUGUACCUGGCAAACACUUCACCAUUCUGAUUCUUAAACAGUUUAUAGUUAGCAUCAAUAACAGUGGGAUUAGCACAAGUGAAGCCAGAUAGGGUGGAUGGAUCCGCUGAAGGUUCCUUUGCAGCAACCCAUGUGGUUUUGGGGUACUCCUCAGGUUUCCAGUAAGAGCCAUCAGCAUUCAUUUUCCUUUCGAACCCGACACCCUCUUUCCUAGGGUUUCGGUUCAUGAUCUGCCUUUUGAGAACAUCACGUAGUGUCUGAUGCCCUUUGAGAAUUUUGUACAUCCCUGUUUCAAGCAGUAUCUUCAACCUAGCAUUCUCAUCAGCAAUAGUAGUUGUAUCCUCAGCAGAGGAGUUAGUUACCACAUCAACAGUUGAAGAUAUUGCAACAGUAGCAGCAGUAGAACAUUCAGCAACAGGAGUAGCGUUAUCACGCUCAAUGCAUUUAAGACAUGGUGGUUCAAAUCCUUCCUGAGCUGAACUGAUCUGUUCGGCGCGAAGUGACUCGUUUUCCUUUUGAAGAUCUUCAUGAGCCGCUCUCAAUUUCUCAAGAUUUUGCUUCCUUUGAAGAUAAUCAUAGGAAAGCCUUUCAUGAGUUGUUGAGAGCGUUUCAUGAUGACUUUCAAGUUCCUCAUACUUAACGUGAAGAUUUUUUAUGUCUUCAAUUAAGGACUGAGAUCGAGUCAUUUUAGCAUCUAACAGAUCAUCGCUUUUGUCUAACAGUUUUUGAAUGUGUUCCAUAGCUUUCUGUUGUUCAGUUGCAAUUUUAGCAAGUGUUUUGUAGCUGGGUUUGGAACCACAAUCAGAGUCAUCGUCACUAGAUGUUUGAUAGUGAGUAGUGCGUGUGUUUACCUUGGCACACGUGCCAUGAAGCAGUAGGAAGGAGUGGAGUAGUCCUUGUCAUUUGCAUCGGUGUCGGUGAUGAAGUCAUUGUCUUCAGUGUUGAAGAUGGACUUGGCAACGUAUGCUGUAGCCAGACUUGCAACGCCAGAAUCGGACUCCUCCUCAGACUCCACCUCCGCCUCCUCAGAAGCGGAAUCCUCCUCAGAGUCCAUUUCCUUGCCAACAAACGCACGUGCCUUGCCAGAUGAGCGCUUCUUGUGUGAUGAAGACUUGGAGGAAGACUUGAAUGAAGAUUUUGAUUAUUUCUUCUUCUUCUUCUUCUUGUCGUUAGAGUCAUACUCCUUGCUCUUCUUCUUCUUGUUGUUCUCAUUGUCCCACUGUGGACACUCAGAGAUGUAGUGACCAGGUUUCUUGCACUUGUGACAUGUUCUCUUCUUGUAGUCAUGAGUAGAAGCUUCAUCAUUCCUUGAGCUUGAUCGUGAAGACUUUCUGAGGCCUUUCUUCUUGGUGAAUUUUUGGAACUUCUUCACAAGCAUAGCAAGCUCCCUUCCAAUGUCUUCAGGAUCAUCAGAAUUGCUGUCAGAUUCUUCUUCAGAUGAGGAGACAGCCUUUGCCUUCAAGGCACGAGUUCGCCCAUAGUUGGGACCGUAGAUGUCUCUUUUCUCAGAAAGCUGAAACUCGUGUGUGUUGAGCCUCUCAAGUAUGUCAGACGGAUCAAGUGUCUUGAAAUCAGGACGUUCUUGAAUCAUCAGGGCUAGGAUGUCAAACGAACUGUCAAGUGAUCUCAGGAGUGUCUUGACGACUUCAUGCUUGGUGAUCUCAGUAGCGCCGAGGGCUUGAAGCUCAUUUGUGAUGUCAGUGAGUCGAUCAAACGUGAGCUGGACAUUCUCAUUGUCAUUUCUCUUGAAGCAGUUGAAGAGGUUGCGAAGGACACUGAUUCUCUAAUCUCUCUAGGUUGAGACGCCUUCAUUGACCUUGGAUAGCCAGUCCCAGACUAGCUUAGAUGUUUCCAAAGCACUCACGCGGCCAUACUGUCCUUUGGUCAGAUGAACACAGAUGAUAUUCUUGGCUGUAGAGUCCAGUUGAACGAACUUCUUGACAUCAGCGGUAGUGAACCCUUCUCCAGCCUUGGGAACGUCGUUCUUGACGACAUACCAUAGGUCGACAUCAAUGGCUUCAACAUGCAUGCGCAUCUUAUUCUUCCAGUAGGGAUAUUCAGUUCCACCGAAGACGGGGCACGUAGUGGAGACUUUAAUUAUCCCUGCAGUCGACAUAGCUAAAACUCCACGUGGUUAAACCGAAUCACACAGAACAAGGGAGUACCUUGCUCUGAUACCAAUUGAAAGUGCUAGUGAUCGACUAGAGGGGGGUGAAUAGGCGAUUUUUAGGGAAGUCUUCAAAACAUGUAAGUAUCGAAGACAAACGAUAGAUAUGAACCUAUUACCAUGCAGCAGAAGGUAAACUACACUAGGCAAACCAUAGUCACGUAUUCAAUGAAGUGAAAGCACAAUGACAAAUAGCAGCUAGGCAGUAAGGAUCAGGUAGGAAGAUAUUGAGAAGCCAAUCAGUACACGUAGUCACUUAGUGAAGUCGAAUGGUGAUUCUAUCGUACAAUGACUUCACAAGAACCAACAGUAAAUAAAGGGAAGGGAAUGAUGAAACCAGUGACUCGUUGAAGACAAUGAUUUGUUGGACCAGUUCCAGUUGCUGUGACAACUGUACGUCUGGUUAGGGAGGCUGAGAUUCAACUCAGAAGACCUCAUCUUCACCUUAUUCCCCUUGAGCUAAGGACACCCAGUCCUCGCCCAAUCACUCUGGUAAGUCUUCAAGGUAGACUUCCAAACCUUCACAGACUUUGUUCACUGGCGAUCCACAAUGACUAUUGGAUGCUCAGAACGCGACGCCUAACCGGCUGGAGGAUUCACAGUCCUCAAGUGUAAUAAGUCUUCAGAUCACACAGACAAGAAGACUUAAGUGAUGCCUAAAACUCUUUGGCUCUGGGUGGUUAGGGCUUUAUCCUCUCAAGGAAUUCUCUCUCAAAGGCUUCGAGGUGGGUUGCUCUCAAACGACAACAGCCGUACUUUAACUCUGAGCAGCCAACCGUUUAUGGUUGUAGGGGUGGGCUAUUUAUAGCCACUAGGCAACCCGACCUGAUUUGUCCGAAAUGACCCUAGGUCACUAAGGAACUGACACGUGUUCCAACAGUCAGAUUUCAAACACACACGUCAACUUUACUUGGGCAACAAGCAAAGCUGACUUGUCCAACUCUGAACAAGAUUCUCUCUCAUAGUCUUCACUCAAAGACAUAGGAUUUUGGUUAAGCAUCACUUCAGUCAUUCUGACUGGUUCUCUUGGACCCCACUUAACAGUACGGUGGUUCCUAUGACUCAACAAAGAAGAAAAAGAACUACGAAAGAUCUAAGUCUUCGUGCUCCAUGGUCUUCAUGCGAUGUCUUCUCUUGUCAUAGUCUUCAAUGUGAAUGUCUUCACAUACCACCAUUGACUUCAAUGUCUUCAUACAUUUUUAGGGGUCAUCUCUGGUAGGAAAACCGAAUCAAUGAGGGACUUCUACCUGUGUUAUCCUGCAAUUCUCACAAACACAUUAGUCCCUCAACUAGGUUUGUCGUCAAUACUCCAAAACCAACUAGGGGUGGCACUAGAUGUAUUUACAAUGCUACCUAGCAUAAUUUUCAAUAUAAUUUUCUUUAUUAUGGCAUGAAUGUUCAGAUUCGAAAAAUUCAAGACAAAAGUUUAAUAUUGACAUAAAAAUAAUAAUACUUCAAGCAUACUAACAAAGCAAUCAUGUCUUCUGAAAAUAACAUGGCCAAAGAAAGUUAUCCCUACAAAAUCAUAUAGUCUGGCUAUGCUCUAUCUUCACCACAGAAAGUAUUUAAAUCAUGCACAACCCCGAUGACAAGCCAAGCAAUUGUUUCAUACUUUUGGUGUUCUCAAACUUUUUCAAUCUUCACGCAAUAUAUGAGCGUGAGCCAUGGACAUAACACUAUAUGUGGAAUAGAAUGGUGGUUGUGGAGAAGACAAAAGGAGAAGAUAGUCUUACAUCAACUAGGCGUAUCAACGGGCUAUGGAGAUGCCCAUCAAUAGAUAUCAAUGCGAGUGAGUAGGAAUUGCCAUGUAACAGAUACACUAGAGCUAUAAGUGUAUGAAAGCUCAAAAAGAAACUAAGUGGGUGUGCAUCCAACUUGCUUGCUCACGAAGACCUAGGGCAUUUUGAGGAAGCCCAUCAUUGGAAUAUACAAGCCAAGUUCUAUAAUGUAAUUUUCCAAGUAGUAUAUGAAAGUGACAACAUAGGAGACUCUCUAUCAUGAAGAUCAUAGUGCUACUUUGAAGCACAAGUGUGGUAAAAGGAUAGUAGCAUUGUCCCUUCUCUCUUUUUCUCUCAUUUCUUUUUUUCUCUUCUUUUUUUGGGCCUUCUCUUGUUUCUUUUAUAUUUUUUUCUUUUUCGUCCGGAGUCUCAUCCCGACUUGUGGAGAAAUCAUAGUCUCCAUCAUCCUUUCCUCACUUGGGACAAUGCUCUAAUAAUGAUGAUCAUCACACUUUUAUUUACUUACAACUCAAAAAUUACAACUCGAUACUAGAACAACAUAUGACUCUAUGUGAAUGCAUCCAGCAGUGUACCGCAAUGAAUCAAGAGUGACAUGUAUGAAAGAAUUAUGAACGGUGGCUUUUCCAGAAAUACGAUGUCAACUACAUGAUCAUGCAAAGUAAUAUGACAAUGAUGAAGCGUGUCAUAAUAAACGGAACGGUGGUAAGUUGCAUGGCAAUAUAUUUCGGAAUGGCUAUGGAAAUGCCAUAAUAGGUAGGUAUGGUGGCUGUUUUGAGGAAGGUAUAAUGUGGGUUUAUGGUACCGGCGAAAGUUGCGCGGUACUAGAGAGCCUAGCAAUGGUGGAAGGGUGAGAGUGCGUAUAAUCCAUGGACUCAACAUUAGUCAUAAAGAACUCACAUAUUUAUUGCAAAAAUCUAUUAGUUAUCGAAACAAAGUACUACACACAUGCUCCUAGGGGGAUAGAUUGGUAGGAAAAGACCAUCGCUCGUCCCCGACCGCCACUCAUAAGGAAGACAAUCAAUAAAUAAAUCAUGCUCCGACUUCAUCACAUAACGGUUCACCAUACAUGCAUGCUACGGGAAUCACAAACUUUUAACACAAGUAUUUCUCAAAUUCACAACUACUCAUCUAGCAUGACUCUAAUAUCACCAUCUUUAUAUCUCAAAACAAUCAUCAAGUAUCAAACUUCUCAUAGUAUUCAAUGCACUUUUAUGAUAGUUUUUAUUAUACCCAUCUUGGAUGCCUAUCAUAUUAGGACUAAUUUUAUAGCCAAAGAAAAUUACCAUGCUGUUCUGUAAGACUCCCAACAUAAUAUAAGUGAAGCAUGAGAGAUCAAUAAUUUCUAUAAAAUAAAACCACCACCGUGCUCUAAAAAGAUAUAAGUGAAGCACUAGAGCAAAAUUAUCUAGCUCAAAAGAUAUAAGUGAAGCACAUAGAGUAUUCUAAUAAAUUCUCAUUCAUGUGUGUCUCUCCCAAAAGGUGUGUAUAUCAAGGAUGAUUGUGGUAAACUAAAAAUCAAAGACUCAAAUCGUAGAAGACGCUCCAAGCAAAACACAUAUCAUGUGGUGAAUAAAAAUAUAGCCUCAAGUAAAGUUACCGAUAGACGAAGACGAAAGAGGGGAUGACUUCCGGGGCAUCCCCAAGCUUAGGCUUUUGGUUAUACUUGAAUUUUCCCUUGGGGUGCCAUGGGCAUCCCAAUCUUAGGCUAUUCCCACUCCUUAUUCCAAAAUCCAUCUAAUCUUUACCCAAAACUUGAAAACUUCACAACACAAAACUUCAACAGAAAAUCUCAUGAGCUCUGUUAGUAUAAGAAAACAAACCACCACUUCAAGGUACUGUAAUGAACUCAUUAUUUAUUUAUAUUGGUGUUAAACCUACUGUAUUUCAACUUCUCCAUGGUUCAUACCCCCGAUACUAGCCAUAGAUUCAUCAAAAUAAGCAAACAACACACGAAAAACAGAAUCUGUCAAUAACAGAACAAUCUGUAUUAAUCUGUAGGUUUCGAAUACUUGUCUAACCCCAAAAAUUCGGAAAUAAAUUUGUUGACGUGAUAAAUUUGUCUAUUAAUCAUAUUCAAAAAUAACCAACCUAAUUUCGCUCUCCAUUAAAAAAUGGCAGGAAAUCUCGUGAGCGCUAAAGUUUCUGUUUUUUACAGCAAGAUUGCAAAGACUUCCCCCAAGUCUUCCUAAAGGUUCUACUUGGAAAAAACACUAAUUAAAAGCAUAAAACCACAUAUAAACAUAAUCUAGAUGAAUUAUUUAUUACUAAACAGAAACAAAAAAACAAAAAUAAAAUUGGGUUGCCUCGCAACAAGUGUUAUCGUUUAACGACCCUAGCUAGGCAUAAAAACAAGAAUAGAUCUAGGUAUUGUCAUCUUUGGUAUGCAAUCCAUAGGUGGCUCUCAUAAUAGAUUCAUAAGGUAAUUUAAUUUUCUUUCUAGGAAAGUAUUCCAUGCCUUUCCUUAAUGGAAAUUGGAAUCUAAUAUUCCCUUCUUUCAUAUCGAUAAUUGCACCAAUCGUUCUAAGGAAAGGUCUACCAAAAAUAAUAGGACAUGUAGGAUUGCAAUCUAUAUCAAGAACAAUGAAAUCUAUGGGCACAUAAUUCCUAUUUGCAACAAUAAGAACAUCAUUAAUCCUUCACAUAGGUUUCUUAUUAGUGGAAUCCGCAAGAUGCAAAUUUAAAGAACAAUCAUCAAAUUCACGGAAACCUAACACAUCACACAAAGUUUUUGGAAUCUUGGAAACACUAGCACCCAAAUCACAUAAAGCAAAGCAUUCAUGAUCUUUAAUCUUAAUUUUAAUAGUAGGUUCCCACUCAUCAUAAAGUUUUCUAGGAAUAGAAACUUAUAAUUCAAGCUUUUCUUCAUAAGAUUGCAUUAAAGCAUCAAUGAUAUGUUUGGUAAAAGCUUUAUUUUGACUAUAAGCAUGAGGAGAAUUUAACACGGAUUGCAACAAGGAAAUAGAAUCUAUCAAAGAGCAAUUAUCAUAAUUAAACUCCUUGAAAUCCAAAAUAGUGGGUUCAUUGAUAUGUAAAGUUUUGACCUCUUUAAUCUCACUUUUACCAAUUUUUGCAUCAAGAUCUAAAAACUCUGAAUCAUUGGGAUGCCUUUUAACUAAAGUUGACUCAUCUCCAGUCCCAUCAUUAUAAAGAUUCAUAUUGCAAAACAAAGAUUUAAUAGGGGACACAUCAAUCACUUUUAGAUCUCCAUCCUUAUUAUCAUCUAGUUCUUCCGGUUUGGCGGCCAUCUUAUUAACUAAGGUGGCCUGCUUAUCCGAAAUUUGGGGUAUUAAGUUUUCAAGAUGAGCGAACUGAGAUUUCAAACCAUAAAAUUCUUUAGACAUAUCAUCGAGCACUUUAUUCAUGUACCCCAUUAAACUUUUUUGUUCUUUAAGCUCGUUUCUGAAGAAAUUAUUAUGCUCAAACUUCAAGGACAUAAAAUUUCUAAUGUUGUUUUCGAGUUCUUCGAACCUUCUUAGGUGAGAAUCAACACUUUUUGGUAAAGCCAUCACGGCAAACAAUCCAACACACAAGCAAGCAAGAGGCAAGCAAAAAUAUACGAACGGAAAAGAGGCGGCAGAAAAGAGGGCGAAUAAAACAGCAAGGGUGAAGUGGGUAGAGGAAAACGAGAGGCAAAUGGCAAAUACUAUAAUGCAAGGGAUAAGAGUUUGUGAUGGGUACUUGGUAUGUCUUGACUUGAUGCAACCUCCCCGGCAACGGCGCCAGAAAUCCUUCUUGCUACCUCUUGAACUUGCGUUGGUUUUCCCUUGAAGAGGAAAGGGUAAUGUAGCACAAUAGCGUAAGUAUUUCCCUCAUUUUUUGAGAACCAAGGUAUCAAUCCAGUAGGAGGUAACACACAAGUCACCUAGUACUUGCACAAACAAACAAGAUCCUCGCAACCAACACGAUAAAAGGGUUGUCAAUCCCUUCACGGUCACUUAUGAAAGUGAGAUCUGAUAAAGAUAAUAAGAUAAAUAUUUUUGGUAUUUUUACGAUAUAGAUUGGAAAAUAAAGAUUGCAAAAUGAACGGUAAUAGAAAUAUCAAAUUGAUAUGGAAAUAAUAUGAUGGAAGAUAGACCCGGGGGCCAUAGGUUUCACUAGUGGCUUCUCUCAACAUAGCAAAUUCUAUGGUGGGUGAACAAAUUACUGUCGAGCAAUUGAUAGAAAAGCGAAUACUUAUGAGAAUAUUUAGGCAUGAUCAUGUAUAUAGGCAUCACUUCCGCGACAAGUAGAUCGAAACAAUUCUGCAUCUACUACUAUUACUCCACACAUCGACCGCUAUCCAGCAUGCAUCUAGAGUAACGCAUUAGGCAAGAUGACAUGAUGUAGAGGGAUAAACUCAAGCAAUAUGAUAUAAACCCCAUCUUUUUAUCCUCGAUGGCAAUAAUACAAUACGUGCCUUGCUGCCCCUGCUAUCACUGGGAAAGGACACCACAAGAUUGAGCCCAAAGCUAAGCACUUCUCCCAUUGCAAGAACGAUCAAUCUAGUAGGCCAAACCAAACUGAUAAUUCGAAGAGACUUGCAAAGAUAUUUAAAUCAUGCAUAAAAGAUUUCAUAGAAGAAUCAAAAUAUUGUUCCUAGAUAAUCUUGAUCAUAAACCCAUGAUAUUUCUCCAAUGUAUCUACUUUUCGAAACAUUUUUGCCCUUGUUUUGGACUCUAACUUGCAUGAUUUGAAUGGAACUAACCCGGACUAACACUGUUUUCAGCAGAAUUGCCAUGGUGUUAUUUUUGUGGAGAAAUAAAAGUUCUCGGAAUGACCUGAAAAUCAACGGAGAUUAUUUUUGGAAUAUAUAAAAAAUACUGGCGAAAGAAUCAAGGCCAGGGAGCCCACACCCUGUCCACGAGGGUGGGGGGCGUGUCUACCCCCCUGGGCGCGCCUCCCUACCUCGUGGGCCCCCUGGCGCUCCACCGACCUCAACUCCAACUCCAUAUAUUCACUUUCAAGGAUAAAAAAAUCAGGGAGAAGGAUUCAUUGCGUUUUACGAUACGGAGCCGCCGCCAAGCCCUAAACUUUCUCGGGAGGGCUGAUCUGGAGUCCGUUCGGGGCUCCGGAGAGGGGAAUCCGUCGCCAUCGUCAUCAUCAACCUUCCUCCAUCACCAAUUUCAUGAUGCUCACCGCCGUGCAUGAGUAAUUCCAUCGUAGGCUUGUUGGACGGUGAUGGGUUGGAUGAGAUUUAUCAUGUAAUCGAGUUAGUUUUGUUAGGGUUUAUCCCUAGUAUCCACUAUGUUCUGAUAUUGAUGUUGCUAUGACUUUGCUAUGCUUAAUGCUUGUCACUAGGGCCCGAGUGCCAUGAUUUCAGAUCUGAACCUAUUAUGUUUUAUGAAUAUAUGUGAGUUCUUGAUCUUAUCUUGCAAGUCUAUAGUCACCUAUUAUGUGUUAUGAUCCGUUAACCCCGAAGUGAAAAUAAUCGGGAUACUUACCGGUGAUGACCGUAGUUUGAGGAGUUCAUGUAUUCACCAUGUGUUAAUGCUUUGGUCCGGUACUCUAUUAAAAGGUGGCCUUAAUGUCCCUUAGUUUCCAAUAGGACCCCGCUGUCACGGGAGGGUAGGACAAAAGAUGUCAUGGAAGUUCUUUUUUCAUAAGCACGUAUGACUAUACUCGUAAUACAUGCCUACAUUACAUUGAUGAACUGGAGCUAAUUCUGUGUCACCCUAUGUUAUAACUAUUGCAUGAUCGAUCGCAUCCGACAUAAUUCUCCAUCACCGAUCCAAUGCCUACGAGCUUUUCAUAUGUUGUUCUUCGUUUAUUUACUUUUCCGUUGCUACUGUUACAAUCACUAUAAAACCAAAAAUAUUACUUUUUCUACCUUUACCACUACUAUCAUAUUACUUUGCUACUAAACACUUUGCUGCAGAUAUUAAGUUUCCAGGUGUGGUUGAAUUGACAACUCAGCUACUAAUACUUGAGAAUAUUCUUUGGCUCCCCUUGUGUCGAAUAAAUAAAUUUGGGUUGAAUACUCUACCCUCGAAAGCUGUUGCGAUCCCCUAUACUUGUGGGUUAUCAAGACUAAUUUCUGGCGCCAUUGCCAGGGAGCAUAGCUCUAUUCUUUGAGUCACUUGGGAUUUAUAUCUGCUUAUCACUAUGAAGAACUUGAAAGAUCAAAGAACCAAGAUUUUUCCCUCAACUACGACGGGAAGUAAGGAACUGCCAUCUAGCUCUGCACUUGAUUCACCUUUUGUUUUGAGUAAACUUGCGACACCUACAACUGCUAUUCAUUCUAAUAUGUCACAUGUUAUUGAUGAUACCACUUCUGCUUUGGAUGAUACUUAUGAUGAAACUACUUCUAUGCUUGAUACUACUGUGCCACUAGGUGAAUUUCUUGAUGAACAACUUGCUAGGGUUAGAGAGAAUGAAAUUAUUGAAACUGAUAAUAUUGAUGAAAGUGAUGAUGAAGAUUCUCCCCCUAGAUAUGAAUUGCCUGUUGUUCCCGAGGGUUAUGUUAUGGAUGAAGAAACUGCUAGAGACUUCUUAGCUUGCAAUGAUAUAUCUGAUCUUAAGAAAUUAUUAGCGAAGCUUAAAGAAAAGUCUUUGAAUGCUAGAAUGAAAUAUGACCCUGCUUUUGCUACUUCACCUAUCUUUAUUACUAAUAAGGAUUAUGAUUUCUCUCUCGAUCCUGAGUUAAUUACUUUGGUUGAAUCUGGUCCUUUUUAUGGCUAUGAAUCUAAAACUGUUGUGGCACAUCUUACUAAAUUAAAUGAUAUAGCCACACUGUUUACUCAUGAUGAGAAAACUCGCUAUUACUUUAUCUUUAAGUUGUUUCCGUUCUCAUUAAAGGGUGGUGAUAAAACAUGGUUUAAUUUUCUUGAUCCUGGUUGUGUGCGUAGUCCCCAGGAUAUGAUUUAUUACUUCUCUUCCAAAUAUUUCCCCGCUCAUAAGAAACAAGCUGCUUUAAGGGAAAUAUAUAAUUUUUGCAAAUUGAAGAAGAGAGUCUCCCACAAGCUUGGGGAGGCUUCUCCGAUUACUUAAUGCUUUGCCUGAUCAUCCUCUCAAGAAAAAUGAAAUACUUGAUAUCUUUUAUAAUGGACUAACCGAUGCUUCUAGAGAUUACCUGGAUAGUUGUGCUGGUUGUAUUUUCAGGGAAAUAACUAUUGAUCAAGCUAAAUUGCUAUUGAAUAAUGUGUUGACUAAUGAAAAUAAUUGGACACUUCCUGAACCAACUCCUAAGCUAACUCCAAAGAAAAGGGGUAUUCUAUUUCUCAGUCCUGAAGAUAUGCAAGAGGGAAAGAAAUCUAUGAAAGAAAAAGGUAUCAAAGCUGAAGAUGUUAAGAAUUUACCACCUAUUGAAGAAAUACAUGGUCUUUAUAACCCGACACAGGUAGUAAAGGUAAAUUCUAUCUGUAGAUUUGAUAAAUGUGAAAUUCCAUUUACUAAGUUUGCUAGCCAAUGCUUGGAUGAGUUUGAUGACUUUGUGGUCAAACAAGAAAAUUUCAAUGCUUAUGUUGUUAGACAAUUGAAACACAAUGCUGAUAUGCUUGAACACUUGAGUGAUUAUAUGUCUAGAGUUAAAGGUGAACUUAAACUUAUUAGUAAACAUGCUUCUAUGGUUACCACUCAAGUAGAACAAGUACUUAAAGCUUAGAAUGAUUUGAUCAAUUAAUUAAAUAAUAAGAAGAAUGAUAAUGUUGUUAGAGUUAUGACUAGAGGUGGUAAAAUGACUCAGGAACCUUUGUAUCCUGAGGGCCAUCCUAAGAGAAUUGAGCAAGAUUCUCAGAGAACUAAUGUUGAUGCACCUAGUCCUUCUAAGAGGAAGAAAAAGAAAAAUGAUAGGACUUUGCAUGCUUCUAGUGAACCUGUUGUUGACACACCUGAGAAUCCCAAUGAUAUUUCUAUUUUUGAUGCUGAAAGACAAUCUGGUAAUGAACAUGAACCUAGUGAUAAUGUUAAUGAUGAUGUUCAUGGUGAACCUAGCAAUGAUAAUGAUGUAGAGAUUGAACCUGCUGUUGAUCUUGAUAACCCACAAUCAAAGAAUCAACGUUAUGACAAGAGAGACUUUGUUGCUAGGAAGCACGAUAAAGAAAGAGAACCAUGGGUUCAGAAACCCAUGCCUUUUCCUCCUAAACCAUCCAUGAAAAAGGAUGAUGAGGACUUUGAGCGCUUUGCUGAAAUGAUUAGACCUAUCUUUUUGCGUAUGUGUUUGACUGAUAUGCUUAAAAUGAACCCUUAUGCUAAGUAUAUGAAGGAAAUUAUUACUAAUAAGAGAAAGAUACCAAAAGCUAAAAUUUCCACCAUGCUUGCUAAUUAUACUUUUAAGGGUGGAAUACCAAAGAAACUUGGAGAUCCAGGAGAAAUAUGAUAUUCUUAUUGUUGGGGAUGUGCAUAUCCCCAUUGAGGUAACCUAGUGUUAUUCAAAAAUUCUUCGGUUUCAUGUUAUUCAAAAUGAGUUUGUUAACAAGACCUGAUCAACUUUGUUAGUAGAUUCCUUUUGAUGAGCAUGAGAUGGAUGAAGUUAGAAAACACAACUCUCUGUACCCUAUUUUUACUUUCUGUUAUUUAUAUUAAAUAAAGCAAAAAUAGUAUUUUCUGUCUGUUUUCUGAAUUAUCCAUGCAAUAAAAAAUACCCCGAAAAUAAAAGUUCUCCAAAUGCUCCGAAAUUUAUAUAUAUGAUUUUUUUAGAAUAUUUGAAAAUAUCAGGCACUGAGAACACAACAGGGGGAGCGGCCACGUGCCCACGAGGGUGAAGGGCGCGCCCCCUACCUCUUGGAUCCCACGUGGGUCCCCUCCACUUAUUCUAGCCACCACACACUCCUUCCUCCCAAAACAAAUCACUAGCCAGCUCAAACCCGAGUUCUUGCUAAUCUUGCUGCCAUUUUUCUAUCUCCUUGCUCAAAGCUCCAUUCACAAAACUGCUUUGUGGGAUUGUUCUUCGGUAUGUGACUCCUCCAAUGGUCCAAUUAGUUUUUGUUCUAGUGCCUUAUUCAUUGCAAAUUUUUGCUGCUUAGAUGACCCUAUUCUUGAGCUUGCAUGUCAAAUUUAUGUGGUCAAAAGUAAUUUUAAUGCAUGAUAUAGCCUCUAGACACUUGUACGAGUAGUUGCUAUCAAUUUUGUUGAGUUUGGUUCACUUUUAUUUUUGAGUUAGUAAAACUUUCAGAAAUUUUUCAGAGGAAGAAAUAUGUUUAGGAAAAUGUACCAAGGCGGUUCCUCAAGGAAGCAAUGACCCAAGCACGCAAUACACGAGCCGGACAAUGAACUACCAAGAGAUGCUCAAGUGCGGCCUUGUGAAUGGCCGUCAGAGGACUUCAUGGUUCGAGCAGGAAUCGAUGAGGAAUUUGAAGCAUAUGUGUGUAACGCCGAUCUUGAGAGCUUUGUGGCAAAUAAGUGCCGGCAGUACCUCUAUUUCACUGAUUCAUUUGUGAGAAGUUUUAAAUUUACAUCAUCACGCAAUGCUCAAACUAUCCUAUUUGAUCUUUAUUACAAAUCUUAUACCAUGGACUUAGAAGAUUUUAAUACUGCUUGUAAACUCCCAUAGUGGGGUAAUGUUAGUGAACCUCGCAAAUCUGAAUAUAAAGACUUUCUUGCUAGUAUAACUGUGGGGGAAUCUAGGGAAAUCACGCAAGCUACCAUAGGGAGCAUUCACUUUCCUGUGAUACAUUAUUUUGCUCUCUUCAUAGGUAGAUGCAUAAAUGGUAAGGAUGAGGCAUGUCACAUGUGUGUUCCUGAUCUUAGUGUUCUCAAGAGUGCGAUAUUAGGAGAUAGACAAUAUAACUUGGGGGCCAUUGUUGCAAGUAGGUUGCAUAAUAAUAGUAUUGAUGGAGAUUUCUUUGGUGGAAUUUAUGCAACCCGUUUAGCUGAUUUUCUUGAGAUACCCAUACGUGGAGAUGAUAUUGAGUUGCCUCCUGCUUAUUUAGAUUAUAAUGCCAUGGUUCGUCAUCAGUUUGUUGAGAGGAACAAUCAGUUCCUCCAGUACCGACUAAUAUUCAACAAACAACGCACCUAUCACGUCGCUCUCCCUGCUCCUGCUUUCUUUGACUUUCACGCAAAAGGGAGAUAUGUUAUAACCAGGGAGGAGGCGACCGAGUACGAGAGGAGGGCGGAGGCAUCUCGCCUCCAAGCUAUAGCUCAUUAGGCAAUUGCCACUGCAUCUCAGUACGACCCCAACUACAACUUUGAUCCAUGGGCAUAGACCAACUUAGGCCAAAAGCCUAAGCUUGGGGGAGUACGUAUUUCUCACCGACAUUACAUUCAUGUUCACACACUCAUGCCACUUGUCAGUGCUCAUACUUUUUCAUUGUAUCAUCCAUGGUAGUUUAUUUUCCUUUUAAGCUUUCUUCUUGUGUGUUUAAAAAACUUAAGAAAAAACAAAAAAAAUAGUUGUAGCUUGUAGCUUUUACUUCCCAUGCUUGUAGUAGUAACUAAAAAGAAAACCCAAAAAGAUUUCUCGUUCUUAUUUUGCUUGUUGGGAGCUUUCAUGUGUAAAUAAUUUUAUUUCUUUUCUUUCCUUUGGGGGUCGAGAGGAGAAGACCAUGACAAAAAUGUUGAGUAGCUCUCAUAUGCAUUAUCGUUGAUCUAACAAAGAGCCCAUAUUACCUUGUCUUCUCUCUUGAAUUGAAUGCUUGCAGAUUCCAGCUUAGUCUAAUGCACGUGCACGAUUAUUAUUAUCCACACCGUUCGCUUGUGCAAGUGAAAGGAAAUAAUGAUGAUUAUAUGAUGAACUGAUUGAGAUGAGAAAAGCUGGUAUGAACUCGACCUCUCUUGUUUUUGUAAAUAUGAUUAGUUCAUCGUUCCUGAUUCAGCCUAUUAUGAAAGAAACAUGUUUGCAAUGACAAUUAGAGAUUAUAGUUGCUUAUGCCAUGCUUAAUUAUCUAGGAGUUUAUAAUGGUUUACCUUGUGCGCCAACAUGCUAUUAAAAUGGUUGUGAUGUGGUAUGAUGGGGUGGUAUCCUCCUUUGAACGAUUCGAGUGGCUUGACUUGGCACAUGUUCACGCAUGUAGUUGAAACAAAAUCAACAUAGCCUCUACGAUAUUUAUGUUCAUGGUGCUUUAUAUCCUACUCAUGCUUGCAUUCGGUGUUGAUUAAUUUUAAUGCAUGGUCAUGACUGUUGUCGCUCUCUAGCUGGUCGCUUCCCAGUCUUUUUCUAGCAUUCACUUGUACUAAGAGGGAAUACUGGUUGUGCAUCCAAUUCCUUAAACCCCAAAGUUAUUCCAUAUGAGUCCACCAUACCUAACUAUAUACGGUAUCUACCUACCGUUCCAAGUAAAUUUGUAUGUGCCAAACUCUAAACCUUCAAAUAAACAUUCUGUUUUGUAUGCUCGAAUAGCUCAAGUAUCAACUAGGGUUGUCUAUAUCUUCCAUUCUAGGCGGGUUAUUCUCAAGAGGAGUGGACUCUGCUCCUCAUUCACGAGAAAAUGGCUGGUCAUCGGGAUGCCCAGUCCCAUGCUCAAAUCAAAUCAAAAUAAUUGCAAACAAAACUCCCCUAGGAUUGUUUUUAGUUGCAGGCACCCGUUGUUUUGGGCAAGCCAUGGAUUGAUGCUUGUUGGUGGUGGGGGAUGAUACGUCUCCAACGUAUCUAUAAUUUUUGAUUGAUCCAUGCUAUAUUAUCUACUGUUUUUGGACAUUAUUGGGCUUUAUUAUCCACUUUUAUAUUAUUUUUGGGACUAACCUAUUAACCGGAGGCCCAGCCCAGAAUUGUUGUUUUUUGCCUGUUUUAGGGUUUCAAAGAAAAGGAAUAUCAAACGGAGUCCAAACGGAAUGAAACCUUCGGGAACGUGAUUUUCUCAACGAACAAGACCCAGGAGACUUGGACCCUACGUCAAGACACAAAAGAGGAGGCCACGAGGUAGGGGGGCGUGCCUAUCCCCCCAGGCGCGCCCUCCACCCUCGUGGGCCCCUAUUGCUCCAUCGACGUACUCCUUCCUCCUAUAUAUACCUACGUUACCCCAAAUGAUCAGACAUGGAGCCAAAACCCUAAUUCCACCGCCGCAACUUCCUAUAUCCACGAGAUCCCAUCUUGGGGCCUGUUCCGGAGCUCCGCCAGAGGGGGCAUCGAUCACCGAGGGCUUCUACAUCAACACCAUAGCCCCUCCGAUGAAGUGUGAGUAGUUUACCUUAGACCUACGGGUCCAUAGUUAUUAGCUAGAUGGCUUCUUCUCUCUUUUUGGAUCUCAAUACAAUGUUCUCCCCCUCUCUUGUGGAGAACUAUUUGAUGUAAUCUUCUUUUUGCGGUGUGUUUGUUGAGACCGAUGAAUUGUGGGUUUAUGAUCAAUUCUAUCUAUGAACAAUAUUUGAAUCUUCUCUGAAUUCUUUUAUGUAUGAUUGGUUAUCUUUGCAAGUCUCUUCGAAUUAUCAGUUUGGUUUGGCCUACUAGAUUGAUCUUUCUUGCAAUGGGAGAAGUGCUUAGCUUUGGGUUCAAUCUUGCGGUGUCCUUUCCCAGUGACAGUAAGGGCAGCAAGGCACGUAUUGUAUUGUUGCCAUCGAGGAUAACAAGAUGGGGUUUUCAUCAUAUUGCAUGAGUCUAUCCCUCUACAUCAUGUCAUCUUGCUUAAGGCGUUACUCUGUUUUUGACUUAAUACUCUAGAUGCAUGCUGGAUAGCAGUCGAUGACUGGAGUAAUAGUAGUAGAUGCAGGCAGGAGUCGGUCUACUUGUCUCGGACGUGAUGCCUAUAUACAUGAUCAUACCUAGAUAUUCUCAUAACUAUGCUCAAUUCUGUCAAUUGCUCAACAGUAAUUUGUUCACCCACCGUAGAAUACUUAUGCUCUCGACAGAAGCCACUACUGAAAUGUAUGGCCCCCUGGUCUAUCUUCAUAAUAUUAAUCUCAUACUACUUAGUUAUUUCCUUUGCUUUUUUACUUUUCCUUUAUUUUACUUUGCAUCUUUAUCACAAAAAUACCAAAAAAGUUAUCUUAUCAUAUCUAUCAGAUCUCACUCUCGUAAGUGGCCGUGUAGGGAUUGAUUACCCCUAUUCGCGUUGGUUGCGAAGAUUUAUUUGUUUUGUGCAUGUACGAGGGACUCAUGCGUAGCCUCCUACUGGAUUGAUACCUUGGUUCUCAAAAACUGAGGGAAAUACUUAUGCUACUUUGCUGCAUCAUCCCUUCCUCUUCGGGGAAAACCAACACAGUGCUCAAGAGGUAGCAAGAAGGAUUUUUGGCGCCGUUGCCGGGGAGGCCUACGCAAAAGUCAAUAUUCAAAGUACCCAUCACAUACCCUUAUCUCCCGCAUUACAUUAUUUGCCAUUUGCCUCUCGUUUUCCUCUCCCCCACUUCACCCUUGCUGUUUUAUUCACUCUCUCUCUCUCUCUCUCUAUCCUCCCUCUCUUUCUCUAUUUGCCUCUUUUUGCCCGUUUGCUUUUUGUUUGCUUGUGUGUUAGUUCAUUUGCUUGUCGUUAUGGCUAGUCCCUUAUAUUCUCUAUUGUCUCCCUAGAAUGAAGUUCUAAAUUUUAAGCAAAGGGAGGGAUAAAAUAUAAAAAAACGCUUGGUAUAGAAUUUGCAAUUCUCAAAAUAGAUCUACCAGGAAGCAAUCUACUUCCGUUCUUCCUCUCAAUUUUUAUGUAGGCGCUGCUCCUUGGUUUAGAUAUGUCCUUGAUACCAUUACCGGAGGGAAUUUCUUGGGUAUCCACACUUUUGAUUCUUAUAAUGCUAUGAUAGAUUUGUUUGGCUCACCCCCUCUUUUGGUUAAUGGAACUGUAUUAACUUUGGAGCAUGCAAUGCAAAGGCUUGAAAUUAUUGAAAAUAAGGUUGCUACCAUAGAGUUAAUUGAAAAUUUGGAUAAAAAGAUUCACAACCGAAUCUCUCAAUAUGGAUCUAAAGUAGGAGUCACUUUGAAAAAUAUUAAAGAGAAGGAACCCAUAGUUAAUGAGAAAAUAAAUCACGAUUCCACUAGAAUUGAUAAACUUCAGGAUAUUAUUACCAACUUGGGAACCACUUUUUCUUCCGUAAAGAACACUCCAAGUACUCCUACUAAAAUUGCCAAGCUUAUGUAUGUUCCUAAAAAUAAGGGUGAAUCCUCUAGUAAGGAAACUGUGGAUCUAAAAUAUAUAAGUGUUCAUCCCAAUCUUUUUGCUAUCAUUAAGGAACCAUUCAUUACAAAUGAUUUUUUCGAUCUUGUGCCUAAAAAUUUGAUAAUCAAUAAAAAGUAAGAAAUUCCUAAAGAUGGUAGAUGCCUCAUUGAAGAAUUUCCUACCAAAGAUGGCAAUACCUAGAUCUAUCCUUGCUCGUUAUGCCUAGCUAGGGGCGUUAAACGAUAGCGCUUGUUGGGAGGCAACCCAAUUUUAUUUUUAUUCCUUGCUUUUUGCUCCUGUUUAGUAAUAAAUAAUUUAUCUAGCCCCUGUUUUGGUUGUGUUUUUUGUGUUUAAUUAGUGUUUGUGCCAAGUAGAACCGUUAGGAAGACUUGGGGAAAGUCUUGUUACACUUGCUGUAAAAACAGAAACUUUAGCGCUCAUGAGAACUGCUGCCAUUUUUAUUUGGAAAGUGCUAUUUACUUAAUUCUUCUUGAAGAUUAUUAAUAGAUAAAUUCCUCACGUCCAGAAAUUUAUUUUAGAAUUUUUGGUGUUCCAGAUCUUGCGCUAGCUACAGAUUACUACAGACUGUUCUGUUUUUGACAGAUUCUGUUUUUCGAGUGUUGUUUGAUUAUUUUGUUGAAUCUAUGGCUAGUAAAAUAGUUUAUAAACCAUAGAGAAGUUGGAAUAUAGUAGGUAUAACACCAAUAUAAAUAAAUAUUGAGUUCAUCACAGUACCUUGAGGUGGACUUUUGUUUUCUUUCGCUAACGGAGCUCACGAGAUUUUCUACUUUGAGUUUUGUGUUGUGAAGUUUUCAAGUUUUGGGUAAAGAUUUGAUGGAUGCCCAUGGCACCUCCAAAGCUUGAAGGCAUCCCAUCUUUCGUCUACUUCUAUCGGUAACUUUACUUGGAGCUAUAUUUUUAUUCGCCACAUGAUAUGUGUUUUGCUUGGAGCGUCUUGUAUGAUUUGAGUCUUUACUUUCUAGUUUACCAUAAUCAUCCUUGAAAGUGCUAGUGAUAGACUAGAGGGGGGGUGAAUAGGCGAUUUUUAUGAAAGUCUUCAAAACAUGGAAGUUUCGAAGACAAACGAUAGAAAUAAACCUAUUGCCAUGCAGCGGAAGGUAGACUACACUAAGCAAGCCAUAGUCAAGUAUUCAAUGAAGUGAAAGCAAAAUGACUAAUAGCAGCUAGGUAGUAUAGAUCAGGUAGGAAGAUAGUGUGAAGCCAAUCAGAACAAGCAGUCACUCAGUGAAUACAAAAGAUAAUGCAAUCAUACAAUGACUUCACCAGGGCCAACCGUAAGUAAAGGAAAGGGAAGGAUGAAACCAGUGACUCGUUGAAGACAAUGAUUUGUUGGACCAGUUCCAGUUGCUGUGACAACUGUACGUCUGGCUAGGGAGGCUAAGAUUCAACUCAAAAGACCGCAUCUUCACCUUAUUCCCCUUGAGCUAAGGACAUCCAGUCCUCGCCCAAUCACUCUGGUAAGUCUUCAAGGUAGACUUCCAAACCUUCAUAGACUUCGUUCACCGGCAAUCCACAAUGACUCUUGGAUGCUCAGAACGCGACGCCUAACUGGCUGGAGGAUUCACAGUCCUCAAGUGUAAUAAGUCUUCAGAUCACACAGACAGGAGGACUUAAGUGAUGCCUAACACUCUUUGGCUCUGGGUGUUUAGGGCUUUAUCCUCACAAGGAAUUCUCUCUCAAAGGCUUCAAGGUGGGUUGCUCUCAAACGACAAAAGCCAUGCACUAACUCUGAGAAGCCAACCGUUUAUGGUUGUAGGGGGUGGGCCAUUUAUAGCCACUAGGCAACCCGACCUGAUUUGUCCGAAAUGACCCUGGGUCACUAAGGAACUGACACGUGUUCCAACGGUCAGAUUUCAAACACACACGACAACUUUACUUGGGCUACAAGCAAGCUGACUUAUCCAACUUUGAAUAAUAUUUCCUCUCAUAGUCUUCACUCAAAGACAUAGGAUUUUGGUUAAGCAUCACUUCAGUCAUUCUGACUGGUUCUCUUGGACAACACUUAAUAGUACGGUAGUUCCUAUGACUCAUCAAAGAAAAACAAAGAACGACGAAACUGCUAAGUCUUCGCGCUCCUUAGUCUUGACGGGAUGUCUUCUCUUGUCAUAGUCUUCAAUGUGAAUGUAUUCACAUACCACAUUUGACUUCAAUGUCUUCAUACAUUUUUAGGGGUCAUCUCUGGUAGGAAAACCGAAUCAAUGAGGGACUUCUACCUGUGUUAUCCUGCAAUUCUCACAAACACAUUAGUCCCUCAACCAGGUUUGUCGUCAAUACUCCAAAACCAACUAGGGGUGGCACUAGAUGCACUUACAAUCCUUGUUGUACACACCUUUUGAGAGAGCCAUACAUGAUUUGGAAUUUGUUAGAAUACUCUAUGUGCUUCGCUUAUAUCUUUUGAGUUAUAUAGUUUUGCACUACUAGGGAAAACCUUAUACACAGAAAUUUAGCAACAGCGCGGGUUAAAAAAGGGCGCUAGUGCUAGAUAGCAGUAGCGGUUCAGAAUAAACCGCACUGCAGAUACGAUUCUAGCAGUAGCGCGUGUGCCCGUAAAAGUUCUACUACUAAUAUUCACAUUGCUGGAACGAUGGGCUACGCAUAGCAGUAGCGGCCUUGCAGGAAGCAUGCUGCGGCUAGGGCAUGAGUAGCAGCGCGUUUCCCUGUAACAGCGCUACUGCUAAUGGAAAUAAAAUAAAAUGAAAAACAAAUAGAAAAGUAAAUGAAAAUGAAAAUGAAAGAAACAGAAAAAGGAGAAAGAAAACAAAUAAUAUGUAAAGCAAAAUAAAUGAAAAAGGGAAAAAACAGAGAAAGGCUUAGCUGUAGCAUGUGUUAGUAAGAGGCGCUAUAGCUAACGCAGCUGCAGCGCGUUUCCAGGACCCCCGUUAUAGAAACAGAAAAGGAAAUAAAAAGAGAGAAAAUUACAUAUGUAUAGCAGUAGCGCAUUUUGGAAAAAGCGCUAUAGCUACCUUAGCUAUAGCGCGUUCUGGAAAACGCGCUACCGCUAGUUUUGACUUAACCAAAAAACCGCCCCCCCCCCCCGGCCACCACUUGCCCCCCAAAUCUCUCGACCCACCCCGCCGCCGUCUCCCCGAUUCGCCGUCGCCCCACUUCGCUGCCGUCUCCUACCGACGUCGACGCCCCCGGAGCCACCAGAGCCGUGCAUCGUCGACGCCACCGGAGCCGCCCCCAACGCCACGGAGNNNNNNNNNNNNNNNNNNNNNNNNNNNNNNNNNNNNNNNNNNNNNNNNNNNNNNNNNNNNNNNNNNNNNNNNNNNNNNNNNNNNNNNNNNNNNNNNNNNNNNNNNNNNNNNNNNNNNNNNNNNNNNNNNNNNNNNNNNNNNNNNNNNNNNNNNNNNNNNNNNNNNNNNNNNNNNNNNNNNNNNNNNNNNNNNNNNNNNNNNNNNNNNNNNNNNNNNNNNNNNNNNNNNNNNNNNNNNNNNNNNNNNNNNNNNNNNNNNNNNNNNNNNNNNNNNNNNNNNNNNNNNNNNNNNNNNNNNNNNNNNNNNNNNNNNNNNNNNNNNNNNNNNNNNNNNNNNNNNNNNNNNNNNNNNNNNNNNNNNNNNNNNNNNNNNNNNNNNNNNNNNNNNNNNNNNNNNNNNNNNNNNNNNNNNNNNNNNNNNNNNNNNNNNNNNNNNNNNNNNNNNNNNNCGUGCGGCCUCAUCAAUGCCACCGGAGCCGCCGUCGAUGCCACCGGAUCUUCCCUCACCACAACUGCCUCCCUCGCCGUCACCGGAGACGCCCCUGCCUCCCUCGCCACCACCGUAGCCAUCCUUUGUAAGCCCCCACCCCUCCUCUCUCUCUCAUGCAUAGGUUAGCUAGUUUAAUUAUGUUAAUUAUCUAGGUUAGGGCAAAAAUUUAGUUAGGGCUUUGACAGAGAAGUAGUUAGGUUAACUAGUUUAAUUAGGUUAAUUACCUAGGUUAGUGCAAAAAUUUAGUUAGGGCUUUGACAGAGAACUAGUUAGGUUAACUAGUUUAAUUAGGUUAAUUAUCUAGGUUAACUAGUCAGGCAAGUUUUAUUUUAAAGAUGAUCCCUUCCUAGACUUUUAUUGUUGAUUAUAUCUUUUCAUUGAAGUGGUCAUGUUGUUUGUGCACAAGUGGCUUUGUUGUUUGAAUGAAGCUGAGUGGUCUAUAUAUGUUUUGCCGGAAUGUUGAUUCAUUUCCGUUUUGGCAAAUUUCAGGUUCUCGAUUUGUCCACUUUUUAGCAAAGGUCAUGCCGAAAUUUUCCUUGAAUUUCGGCAUGACUUGUGCUACAAACUAGGACAUAUUGAGUGCCCGGGAUUUGCCGCACCAGGAAGGAGUCAACGUUCCUACAAAACAUAGGCCUUUUGUAUGUCAUUAUUCAUUUUAUUAGGUCUAAAAUUAAUUUAGUAGAUUUAAUCAUAGGAAACAUGGCUAGCAAGGAUGAAGGAUAGGGUUCUGGUGAUUGCGAUGAUGUCUACUGGGCGGCAGACGAAUUUCUUAGCCUUGCCGACGAUCAACCGGUGGCAUCGGGGACUAAGACCGACACGCAGACCGGUGCUGAGACUGAGACCGGCGCUGAGACUCAGACCGGCAUCGAGACCGACGCUGAGACUGAGACCAGUGCUGAGACUGAGAUCGGCGCUGAGACUCAGACCGGCAUCGCGACCGGCACUGAGACUGAGAACGGCGCUGCCUCGGGGAGUGGAGCCGGUGUAGAACAGAAAGCAAAGAGGCAACGGCUUCCUAACAAACUCAAGACUACUAGACUGGUGGUCACGGACGUGGACGACGGCAAUUUUGAGCCAAAGGCGCCCGAGGAAGCGCGUCGAUGCUACGGCAAUCAAAUAGGUUGCAUCGUACGGACAACCGCCACCAUCAACGAUGAGAAACUACCGAAGAUAGAAAAUAUGAGGAGCUCCCUCCUAAAGAAGUUUCACCAGAUAUUCUUGUUCCCGGGCCGGAAUGAGAAGGAUUAUGAAGAUCCAGAUGAGGACCCGGCAAUGAAGAAGAUAAACAAACACGCCAUGACCAAGUUUAGCAACGCGUUAGACGCCUGGAAAAAUCGAGUGAAAGCAAAGAUCAUCAACAAGAAGGAACCCUACUCCGAGAUUGUAAAGGAUACUCCGACAAUCACGGAAGAGCAGUUUCAAAUAUUCAAGGAGGCUUGCGAGGCCGAAGCUGCCAAAAAAAGUCUCAGUACAUGAAGGGGCUUCAAGAGAGGAACAUUGGGAGCCACCACCUCGGAAGUCGUGGUUACGGCGGAAAGAGGUCCAAAUGGGCCAAGGAGGACACGGAAGCCGCGAGUCUUGGCGUCCCAGACCCCUUGGCGGAUUUCACCGUCCCGCAGGAGCGUGACGUCCUCAGGGCCCGGCACCGUUGGGACCCAGUGAACAAGGUUUACGAGACAACACCGGUCAUUAAGGAGUUCAUGAGACUGAUGGUAAUUUUAGUUUUUGAUCAAUUCGACUGCACAUGUUAGUCAUAUUUGUAAACGAUCCUUGUGCCUUUUGCAGAGAGAGCAACACUGGAUUGCGGCCGAAAAGCGACUCGCCGUCUGAGGCAUGGGCGAGGCCCAAGUGGGACACUCCAUUCAACUGGGCGUUGAACAUAUUGAAACGACAACCAGUGGAUACUCGACCGUCGUAUGGACGCGUGCACGGUGUCGGAGACGGUGCCACGUGGAAGAAGUACUACCGUGAGACCACAGAGGAGAGAAAGGAAAGACGGAGGUUAACUGAAGAAAACAUCGACAAGAAGGUUGAGAUUGCGGUUGAGAAGAAAUCAUCUCAAACAGUCGCAACAGCGGUAGCUGCUGCAAAACAGGUGGUUGCAGAUUUGUCUACUUCCUUGGUGACGGGCGUUAUCACUUGGACAAGGCAAAAUCCAGAAAAAAAAAUGCAGAGGACUUUCCCCUUGCCGACUUCUUGGGGAGCAUCUCGACUAGCGUUGCACCAGCACCUGCUCCCGCACCGGCUCCCGCACCGGAAGUGCUCGGUGGUGCUUCAUCUUUGGCUGAGCUCGACGCCCUCACGAUAUCUGUCACACCGGCCCCCUUCAAUAUAAAUGUAUAAUCCCCUGUUUUUGUUGCCUUUCGGAUGUCUCACGUCGCAGACUUUUCUUUGCAGGCCGACGAAACCCCGUGCACCAUAUUGUACACCAUCGGCGACCAAAAGGUGGACAUGGGGAAGGCAACGAUAAUGAAGCCGAAGGAACCAUUGUUCCACAGCCGGCCGAUCCCCCUGAACGUCUUCAAGGUUUCUGUGGCCAGUGUCAAACCGGGCCACGAGAAUUUGCCUCCUCCAAUACUAGCGGGGGAUGACGACGAGACACCACGGCUCCUUGGUGAUUGUUGCAAUGGGUGGGUGCUGUUGUGGCCAAAGAGUCUGCUUCGUCUGGAGGCGGCCGGGAGCACACCCACGAGCACGCAGCCUCAGCAAGGUAUGAACAUCAACACCCCACCUACCCAAUUAGCAUCGGGUAUCGGGUUGGGUGAUAGCAGACGUGGUAAGGAGGAGGCUCCAUUAGUCGCUAAUGACGUCGCCAUGGAUGAGGAUGAGGACGACGAUGGCGCUGAACAGUAUGUCUAUACUGGCGCCUCCUCAGGGUUUGAGCGUCAUGAGUCGGUGCCUGAAUUGUCGUCUCAACAUAUUAUGGACGACCUUCCGGUAGUAAAGAAGUCUAGGAAGAGAGCGAGGAAAGGCAAAAAAGCUGAUUCUAUGAUCCAGCCGCCUCAGCAGCCUCGGCUUCAGGACCGUAUAGAUAUCCCCGAUGCGGAUAAAUGGCAUAUCCCCGGUCAACCAAUCCUACCUGCAACAGCGCUACGGGCCAGAUUCGGCGAUCUAUUGAGACUUCAUGAUGAUGUGCUGCGGGUAGAGAAAGGCCUCAUCGCCUCGAAAGAUUCAGGAUACCCACUCUACGUGGUUAACAUUCCGCGGCAAAUGUCGUACGUCGACAGCUUCCCCCCGGAUAAGUUCUUCCUCCGAUUCGAUUACAUAUUCGACAUGUUUCACGUGAAGAAGCUGGAUUUUAUGUUUGUCCACCUUUAUGCCUUGCGCAUGAACUACAUCAUCGGGGUUGAGCAGAUAUCUAAUAUCUGUGUCGCUGACCCGUACUACAUGCACGAGGGCUUCUUGGGAGUCUGCGCAAAGCACCGUGAAUACGCGAGGGAUUACAUCGUCACUUUCAUGCUCGCCAAUAAGGACAAGGAGGCGAUUCUCGUGCCUUAUCAUCCCGUGUAAGUCAUCCACGCUGCUAUCCUUCCUUCGAUUUCAAUCAUUCAUUUGCAUGGUGGAGGCUAAUUAAUUUCAGGUGUACUUAUUUUACGCAGUGGCGGGCGCGCCGUCCUUAUCAUCCUCUACCCCCGAUUCUCCCACGCUCUUUACUUGGACUCGUCGAAGAACAUUCAAAAAAAGGAUUACACCCACAUCAAGGAUGUUCUCGACGGUGCUAUGUUUUACUACCAAGCAAGGGGUGGAGAGGUCAGGGACAAGAAGACAAGGGGCGGCAGGGCCGCAUUCGGCCAUAAGACCGACUUCUGCUGCAUCCAGCAACCGAACGAUUCUCUUAAUGAUGGAUUCUAUGUCCUACACCACAUGCUGGAGUACAGACGGGAUCACCAGAACCUUCGCAUGUCACCUAGAUCCGGCGGUGCCCAUAUUCUGCAAUGGGCAAAGGACAUAGGAGAUAUCGAGGAUCAUCGACUUCGAGCUGAGUUCUAUAACAUCCAACGCGAACUUGCCCAAAUCAUCAUGAAGGAGGUCGUCGGAAAAACAGGGAUGUUCUACGGAGAAGGACAAAUUUCGCGGGAAGACGUCCGAACAUGGAUAGCCUCUCAGCGUCUCGACAUAAAGCCUUUCACUAAGCUCAAGGACUAUCUCCCUGACUUGGAUGGAUGGAACGACAUGUUGGAGUGAUUGUCGAUAUAUGACAAUGUGUCCGUUUAGUCCAUACUUUCUGUAUGACAAAACUUUGAGUUAUGCAUGGUGAAACUUUAUUUGUGAUGUAAUUAAACCGUCCUCCUCCUCGACUAGCGAAAAUCACUCUAGUUAGGGCAUUUUGGGGUACGAUGAACUUUGUUAUUUAUGCUUAUGAUAUGUUGUUUCUAUUUUUGCCAAGUCCGUCUCUUUCUAUUGCUCAACUAUAUAUGUUGCAUAUCAUCGACUCAUGUGACGAUGCAGGUGCAUAGAUCAUAGAUGGCAAAGAAGUGCUACGCUAGGAGUAUAUAUACGACAAGUGGCCGGAGUGUCAGGCCCAGGUGUACCGGUUUCUGGUCUCCAAGCGACAGGCAGUAGUUAGUUUAGGUUCACGCUAAUGCGAGAGAGGGAUACAAACUCAUGUACUCAAAGUGAUAGCCCUUCUCGCGUAUAUCAUUGUUUAGAUGGAUGACGAUGUAUUAUGAUUAUGAUGAAACUAUUUGUAUGUAUAUGCUAUGAUUACAUAUGUGGUAUCGCAGACAUUUGUAUGUGUAUCAUGAUGACAUUUGUAUGUGCUAAAGAUUCUUCUAUAAAGCCUAUUCAAAUACAAAACAAAUAUGCCGAAAAAAACAAAAAAACUACUAAAAUUAGCAGUAGCGAGUGGAGAAAAGUUAGCAGCAGCGCGGUAGUAGCAGUAGCGCACACGGAAGAAGCGCGCUAUAGCUAUUAGCAGUAGCGAGCUUCCACUAAGCGCGCUACUGCUACACUUGUGUAGCAAUAGCGCUGGUGAGCACGCGCUACUGCUAUGUGUUAGCUGUAGCGCCUUAUUAGUAGCGCCGGUCUGUGCGUUACUGAUACACCUAAAACCCACGCUGAUGUUAGCCUUUUCCCUAAUAGUGUUGCUCUAGUACUUCACUUAUAUCUUUUAGAGCACGGUGGUGGAUUUGUUUUAUAGAAACUAUUGAUCUCUCAUGCUUCACUUAGAUUAUUUUGAGAGUCUUAAAUAGCAUGGUAAUUUGCUUAAAAUCCUAAUAUGUUAGGUAUUCAAGAACAAUAAAAUUUUCUUAUGAGUGUUUUGAAUACUAAGAGAAGUUUGAUGCUUGAUGAUUGUUUUGAGAUAUGGAGGUAAUAAUAUCAAAGUCGUGCUAGUUGAGUAGUUGUGAAAUUGAGAAAUACUUGUGUUGAAGUUUGCAAGUCUCGUAGCAUGCACGUAUGGUAAACGUUAUGUAACAAAUUUGAAACAUGAGGUGUCAUUUGAUUGCCUUCCUUAUGAGUGGCGGUCGGGGACGAGCGAUGGUCUUUUCCUACCAAUCUAUCCCCCUAGGAGCAUGCACGUAGUGCCGAGGUUUUUGAUGAGUUGUAGAUUUUUGCAAUAAGUAUGUGAGUUCUUUAUGACUAAUGUUGAGUCCAUGGAUUAUACGCACUCUCACCCUUCCAUCCUUGCUAGCCUCUUCGGUACCGUGCACUGCCCUUUCUCACAUUGAGAGUUGGCGCAAACUUCGCCGGUGCAUCCAAACCCCGUGAUAUGAUACGCUCUUUCACACAUAAACCUCCUUAUAUCUUCCUCAAAACAGCCACCACGCCUACCUAUUAUGGCAUUUCCAUAGCCAUUCCGAGAUAUAUUGCCAUGCAACUUUCCACCAUUCCGUUUAUCAUGACAGAUUCAUUAUUGUCAUAUUGCUUAGCAUGAUCAUGUAGUUGACAUAGUAUUUGUGGCAAAGCCACCAUUCAUAAUUCUUUCAUACAUGUCACUCUUGGUCCAUUGCAUAUCCCGGUACACCGCCGGAGGCAUUCAUAUAGAGUCAUGUUUUGUUCUAGUAUCGAGUUGUAAUCAUUGAGUUGUAAUCAUUGAGUUGUAAAUAAAUAGAAGUGUGAUGAUCAUCAUUUUCUAGAGCAAUGUCCCAAGUGAGGAAUUAUAAAAAAAGAAAAAAAGGAGAAAGGCCAUAUAUAAAAAAAAGAGAAGGCCCAAAAAAUGAGAGAAAAAGAGAGAAGGGACCAUGUUACUAUCCUUUGCCACACUUGUGCUUCAAAGUAGCACCGUAAUCUUCAUGAUAGAGAGUCUCUUGUUUUGUCAUUUUCAUAUACUAGUGGGAAUUUUUCAUUAUAGAACUUGGCUUGUAUAUUCCAACAAUGGGCCUCCUCAACUGCCCUAGGUCUUCGUGAGCAGGCAAGUUGGAUGCACACCCACUUAGUUCAUUUUGUUGAGCUUUCAUACAUUUAUAGCUCUAGUGCAUCUGUUGCAUGGAAAUCCCUACUCCUUACAUUAAUAUCAAUCAGUGGGUAUCUCCAUAGCCCAUUGAUUAGCCUCGUUGAUGUGAGACUUUCUCCUUUUUUGUCUUCUCCACAUAACCCCCUCAUUAUAUUCUAUUCCACCCAUAGUGCUAUGUCCAUGGCUCGCGCUCAUAUAUUGCGUGAAAGUUUAUAGGUUUGAGAUUACUAAAGUAUGAAACAAUUGCUUGGCUUGUCAUCGGGGUUGUGCAUGAUGAGAGCAUUCUUGUGUGACGAAAAUGAAACAUGACUAAACUAUAUGACUUUGUAGGCAUGAACUUUCUUUGGCCAUGUUAUUUUGAGAAGACAUAAUUGCUUAGUUAGUAUGCUUGAAGUAUUAUUAUUUUUAUGUCAAUAAGAAUUACAUUAAAAUUAUGCCAAGUAGCACUCCGCAUCAAAAAUUCUGUUUUAUCAUUUACCUACUCGAGGACGAGCAGGAAUUAAGCUUGGGGAUGCUUGAUACGUCUCCAACGUAUCUAUAAUUUUUGAUUGCUCCAUGCUAUAUUAUCUACUGUUUUGGACAUUAUUGGGCUUUAUUAUCCACUUUUAUAUUAUUUUGGGGACUAACCUAUUAACAGGAGGUCCAGCCCAGAAUUGCUGUUUUUUGCCUGUUUUAGGGUUUCGAAGAAAAGGAAUAUCAAACGGAGUCCAAACAGAACGAAACCUUCGGGACCGUGAUUUUCUCAAUGAACGAGACCCAGGAGACUUGGACCCGACGUCAAGACACAAAAGAGGAGGCCAUGAGGUAGGGGCCGCGCCUAUCCCCCCAAGCGCGCCCUCCACCCUCGUGGCCCCCUGUUGCUCCACCGACGUACUUCUUCCUCCUAUAUAUACCUACGUACCUACAAAUGAUCAGAGACAGAGCCAAAAUCCUAAUUCCACCACCGCAACUUUCUAUAUCCAUGAUAUCCCAUCUUGGGGCCUGUUCCGGAGCUCCGCCGGAGGGGGCAUCGAUCACUGAGGGCUUCUACAUCAACACCAUAGCCCCUCUGAUGAAGUGUGAGUAGUUUACCUCAGACCUACGGGUCCAUAGUUAUUAGCUAGAUGGCUUCUUCUCUCUUUUUGGAUCUCAAUACAAUGUUCUCCCCCUCUCUUGUGGAGAACUAUUCGAUGUAAUCUUCUUUUUGCGGUGUGUUUGUUGAGACCGAUGAAUUGUGGGUUUAUGAUCAAGUCUAUCUAUGAACAAUAUUUGAAUCUUCUCCGAAUUCUUUUAUGUAUGAUUGGUUAUCUUUGCAAGUCUCUUCGAAUUAUCAGUUUGGUUUGGCCUACUAGAUUGAUCUUUCUUGCAAUGGGAGAAGUUCUUAGCUUUGGGUUCAAUCUUGUGGUGUCCUUUCCCAGUGACAGUAGGAGUAGGGGCAGCAAGGCACGUAUUGUAUUGUUGCCAUCGAGGAUAACAAGAUGGGAUUUUCAUCAUAUUGCAUGAGUCUAUCCCUAUACAUCAUGUCAUCUUGCUUAAGGCGUUACUCUAUUUUUGACUUAAUACUCUUAUUUUACUUUGCAUCUUUAUCACAAAAAUACCAAAAAUAUUAUCAUAUCAUAUCUAUCAGAUCUCAUUCUCGUAAGUGUCCAUGUAGGGAUUGACAACCCCUAUUCGCGUUGGUUGCGAGGAUUUAUUUGUUUUGUGCAGGUACGAGGGACUCGCGCGUAGCCUCCUACUGGAUUGAUACCUUGGUUCUCAAAAACCGAGGGAAAUACUUAUGCUACUUUACUGCAUCAUCCCUUCCUCUUCGGGGAAAACCAACGCUGUGCUCAAGAGGUAGCAGGGGAGUAUAAACUUUACCAUUCUGCUUGGGAACCACCUAUAAUGUGUGUAGCAUGGAAGAUAUCGAGAUCUCUCGGUUGUUAUGUUGACAAUGAAAGUAUACCGCUCAAAAUAUUAUUCAUCUCUAUUUCAAAAUCGAGCUCUGACACCUCUACAAAUCCCUGCUUCCCUCUGUGAAGGGCCUAUCCAUUUACUUUUAUGUUGAGUCAUCAUCCUCUUAUCAAGAAGCACCAGUUGGAGAGCACCGCUAUCAUUUGCAUCCAUUACUGUUAGUUUACAUUGAGCAUGACUGGAUCUCUUUUGCCAUGAAUUACAAUGUCUAGUCAGUCCUUGAUCUUUAAUGUUGCUCAGCAUUUAUGUUUUGCGGUCUCAGAAAGGGCUAGUGAGAUACCAUCUUGCUAUAUCAUAUUAUGAUUGUUUUGAGAAAGUGUUGUCAUCCGAGAUUUAUUAUUAUUGCUCGCUAGUUGAUUAUGCCAUUGAUAUGAGUAAACAUGGGACCUAAGUGUUGUUGUGAAUAUGGUUAGUUCAUAAUCUUUGCUGAAAACUUGAAUGCUAUCUUUCAAUAUUUAUAACAACAAGAGCAAAAAGAGUUUGUAAAAGUUUUUCUUUAUCACUUUCAGUUUAUUAACUGAAUUGCUUGAGGACAAGCAAAGGUUUAAGCUUGGGGGAGUUGAUACGUCUCCAACGUAUCUACUUUUCCAAACACUUUUGCCCUUGUUUUGGACUCUAACUUGCAUGAUUUGAAUGGAACUAACCCGGACUAACGCUGUUUUCAGCAGAAUUGCCAUGGUGUUAUUUUUGUGCAGAAAUAAAUGUUCUCGGAAUGACCUGAAAAUCAACGGAGAUUAUUUUUCUAAUAUAUAAAAAAUACUGGCGAAAGAAUCAAGGCUAGGGGGCCCACACCCUAUCCAAAAGGGUGGGGGCGUGCCUACCCCCCUUGGGCGCGCCCCCUGCCUCGUGGGCCCCCUGGCGCUCCACCGACCUCUACUCCAACUCCAUAUAUUCACUUUCGGGGGGGAAUCAGGAAGAAGGAUUCAUCGCCUUUUAUGAUACGGAGCUGCCGCCAAGCCCUAAACUCUCUCGGGAGGGCUGAUCUGGAGUCCGUUCGGAGCUCCGGAGAGGGGAAUCCGUCGCCAUCAUCAUCAUCAACCUUCCUCCAUCACCAAUUUAUGAUGCUCACCGCCGUGCGUGAGUAAUUCCAUCGUAGGCUUGUUGGACGGUGAUGGGUUGGAUGACAUUUAUCAUGUAAUCAAGUUAGUUUUGUUAUGGUUUGAUCCCUAGUAUCCACUAUGUUCUGAGAUUGAUGUUGCUAUGACUUUGCUAUGCUUAAUGCUUGUCACUAGGGCCCGAGUGCCAUGAUUUCAGAUCUGAACCUAUUAUGUUUUCAUGAAUAUAUGUGAGUUCUUGAUCUUGUCUUGCAAGUCUAUAGUCACCUAUUAUGUGUUAUGAUCCGUUAACCCCGAAGUGACAAUAAUCGGGAUACUUACCGGUGAUGACCGUAGUUUGAGGACUUCAUGUAUUCACUAUGUGUUAAUGCUUUGGUCUGGUACUCUUUUAAAAGGAGGCCUUAAUAUCCCUUAGUUUCCAAUAGGACCCCGCUGCCACGAGAGGGUAGGACAAAAGAUGUCAUGAAAGUUCUUUUCCAUAAGCAUGUAUGACUAUAUUCGGAAUACAUGCCUACAUUACAUUGAUGAACUGGAGCUAGUUCUGUUUCACCCUAUAUUAUAACUGUUGCAUGACGAUCACAUGCGACAUAAUUCUCCAUCACCGAUCCAAUGCCUACGAGCUUUUCAUAUAUUGUUCUUCAUUUAUUUACUUUUCCGUUGGUACUAUUACAAUCAGUAUAAAACCAAAAAUAUUACGUUUGCUACCAUUACCACUACUAUCAUAUUACUUUGCUACUAAACACUUUGCUGCAGAUAUUAAGUUUCCAGGUGUGGUUGAAUUGACAACUCAACUGCUAGUACUUGAGAAUAUUCUUUGGCUCCCCUUGUGUCAAAUCAAUAAAUUUGGGUUGAAUACUAUACCCUCGAAAACUGUUGCGAUCCCCUAUACUUGUGGGUUAUCAACCCAAAAUUCAACGGAUCUCGACAAACACACCGCAAAAAGAAUUACAUCGAGUAGAUCUCCAAGAGAAUCGAGGAGAACUUUGUAUUGAGAUCCAAAGAGAGAGAAUAAGCCAUCUAGCUAAUAACUAUGGACCCGAAGGUCUAUGGUAAACUACUCACACAUCAUCAGAGAGGCUAUGGUGUUGACGUAGAAGCCCUCCGUGAUCGAUUCCCUCUCUAGCAGAGCACCAGAAAAGGCCCCAAGAUGGGAUCUCACAAGUAUAGAAGGUUGCGGUGGUGGAAAUAGGGUUUCGUGGUGCUCCUGGAUGUUUUCGGGGUAUAUGGGUAUAUAUAGGAGGAAGAAGUACGUCGGUGGAGCUGUGAGGGGCCCACGAGGUUGGGGGCGCACCUACCCCCCUGGGCGUGCCUCCCUGUUGUCGGAUUUCGGGUUCCGGCAGACCCUUGAGGUUCGAACACUGGGGUGCGCGCGGAAAUUUCGCCUCCUACCUUCCUGCACCCCUCCGUCACGCAAAGAUCUAAGCUAUGGAAAGAACAACACGAGAGACACAGGGUUUAUACUGGUUCGGGCGACCGUUGUGGUGUAAUACCCUACUCCAGUGUGUGGUCUGGUGGAUUGCCUCUUGGGCUGAUGAUGAUGAACAAUACAAGGAAGGACAGCCUCGCGAGGGUCUGUUCUUGGCUGGGGGGAAGAACUGCCGGGAGGAGUUCAGUCACCCUUCUCUCUCUUUCUCUCUUCUUGGUUGUCCUCCUUCUUUUUUUCAUCCUGCGGGUGGCUGGUCCUAUUUAUAGAGGCCCUGGUCCUCUUCCCAAAUAUCGAGCGGGAAGGGAGCCAACAAUGGUGGGCUAAUUUGAAAGGGGACAGCUAGUACCAGUUAUCCUGACAAAAGUAGUCUUCGCCUGCACAAAGCUCUGGUGGUGACGCCGUCUUGGGCUCCACAAUGACCUCCAUCUUGCAGUCCUCCUGGUCUUGGUCUUGUCGCACCGAAAUGGCAACCUUUGCCUGAUGCCUUGGUACUCCGCGGCUGCGCUUGCCCCCUUUGCACCAAAGGGGAAAGGAGGACAUUGCGCGGGCUGGCGCCCGCCUGGCGCCCUUGGUCAUCAUGGCUUGCGUCACGGGCACCUUGUGAGGUACCCCGCCUUGAUCUCUCCGCCUCCUCGCGAGCCAGCCUGAUGAGGCCGUGCCUGAGGAACCUCCGCGUCGUCCGCCCCGCGAGGCUUGGCCCCUCGCGAGGGUCUUGAGUCUGUUUUGGUGAAGAUGGGCCGUGCUGGGCCCCCUUUUGACCCACACCGCAGGCCGCAGGCAGGCAAGUCUGGGGACCCCCGUUCCCAGAACGCCGACAGUAGCCCCCGGGCCCAAGGCGCACCCGGACUUGGCCAUGCAGGGAGGUGGAAGGGCAAGAGCGAAGCGCCGCGGGCCCUAACAGCCUGCGGCCUCGGGUGCCGCGUGGCGGUUGAUUGGACGUGGGCGCCUUAGCAACCGCGCGAGUUGAUAAAGGAGCGACAUCCGCCUAGGCUUUGCUUCUUGCUUUCCCCGAUUGCUGCUCAGAUCCUCUUUCUUGCGCCUCUCCUUCCUUCCUCCAAAAUUUCCAGAUCUACUCCGACCGUGUGACCUAGGAAGCCAUGGUGCCUCGUCAGCCCCCGGCCGUAGCUUGGUACUCGUCUGACCUAGACUCGCCGAACGUGUCAGAGGUGAGCCUUGCCCGGUUGCGCCGGAUGGCGAUGGCGCGGGGCAUCAACGGGGCGAAGGUGUUCAAGGCCGGCUCCGCCACCCCUCAGGGUCAAGGGAGCACCUUCUAUCCGUUCUUCGUAAGUGCCAUUGCUGCUGGCCUGGUGCCUCGCUUCUCCGAGUUCUUCUUCUCUGUCCUCCGCCAUUAUAAGCUACAGGCUCUGCAUCUCCACCCCAACUCCGUCCUUCUCCUGGGAAUCUUCGCCUAUUACUGCGAGGCUCACGUAGGGGUGCAGCCCUCAGUGGCCUUGCUGCGCCACUACUUCUACCUCCGGACCUCUCGCGGUCCUGCUUCCGCGUGCGCGAGCCUCAUCGCGUAUGGUGGCGCCAUUGCCAUUUCGAACCCCGGGAAAAGGAUUGAGGACUUCAGGAGCAAGUGGGUCUUGGUGGAUGCUGGGCGCAUCCACCCUCGGCUGAUCUUGCCCACGGAGCAGCCCACGAGCUCCAGCGAUUGGGGUCGAGCGGAGCUCGCGGACCCCUGCGCGAAGCUGGUGUUGGAGAAGAUGGACGCAGAUCUGAGGCCGGCCAACAUGGCGGCGGCGAAGCUGACCGGCGCAUCGCUGCUGAGGGAAUUCCUGGAGCACCAGCAGGCUUCGCUUCGGCAGUACUCACUUCCGAUGUGGAGGCCCCGUCCAAGCCCCGCGGCCUUGGCCGACGGAGAUCUGGAUGCGGUCCUCCAAUCUCUGGUCGGGGGCGAUGUGGCGAGGUUGGUGGGCGCUCCUACGCCCUUGUUCCUCCGUGACGACUGGGAGCAGGUAGUGGAGUCCAUGCCCGUCUCCAACGGGGAUGGGCUCGUGCCCAUGGAAACUCCCAAGGAACCGGUGGACGUUCCCUCCGACGACUCCAUCAAAGAGGAGGAAGGAGGGGAGCGGGAAAAAGGGCCUGACUCCGAGGCGACUGACGGAGAGUCGAGGGCUCCCCUCCCCCGGCGUAGGUCCCGCGUUCUCCGCUUCUCUCCGAGCGAUGGCGACGAGGAUGACGACGAGGAUGACGACGAACAGGACGGCGGGAGCUUGCCCCCGAUCCCGAAGAAGGACAGGACCGGGCUGAUCUCCCGCGGGUCUGCCCCGGCCCCGAGGCGGACCGCAGACGCACCUUCCGCUUCCAAGCUUCCCGAGGUUGACCCUUCCAGCCAGCUUUCAGGCUUCAAAUUUGGCCGGAGGCCGCUUGAGCUCACUGGCGACGACCCGUAAGCAUUUGAUUCUUGUCUUUAUUUCUUGCUCUGCUUCUGAGGCUUGACGUCCGCAUCUCUUGGAUAGGCUGGCGCCCGCAGCAAAGAAGUCGGGGAGCUCCUGAGGUUCCAUCCAUGGCAGCGCCUCUGCCCGCGAAGGAGGGUGACCGCAACGCACAGGCUUCUCCUGUCCGGUCGUCCUCGCGAGGCCUGGCUGAGCCGGCUGGGGCGAGCUCAGCCCCCACGGCCCAAGUGCCUCCCGAGGUGGCCUUGCCUGCCGCCGCCACUACAGCCGUUGGGGCGCGGCAGACUCCACCUCAGGAUGUUGUGGCCGCGCUGCCGCCUUCUCCUCCUACUCCACCGGCUGAUGUCUCUCCGACUCCUUCUGCCAUUCUGGAUCAUGCUAUUGCUAAGCUGGACUGACUACGGCAGGAUCUUCUUGGUGCUGAGCCUCGCUUGGUGGCCGGGCGCUUGGAGCUGCCUUCAGGAUGGGUUCGCUCCGACGCUUUGAUUCGGGUGGCGCUGGUCCAGGCCUCGACCGCUUGCGACGAGGAGAAGUAGGCCGUCCUUGAGGCGAAGGCUGCUCGUGACACAGCCCUGGGGGAGGUGGUCGACGUCCGUGGUCGUUGCAAGGCACUGGAGGAUGAGCUGCAAGGCCUGCGGGACCAGCUCGCGAAAGAGGUCCACCUUCGCCAAGAGCAGGAAGAAGGCGUGAAGGCUCGCGAGGCGGCCAUCAAGGAGAGGGAGGUCAAGCUCAGGAAACGCCGCGACCGCCUAGGUGCGCUGGAGCAGGAGUUGGGGGCAAGGAAGGCCGAGCUGGACGACAAGGCCCUGGUUCUUGCCGAGGACCGCGUGGCCUUCACGAAGAUGGAGGCGAAGGCUCGCUCCUCGCUGAGGACGCUUUACGACAGCGGCCUGGAGAGCCCGCUGGCUGGCGCCAAGGACGGCCCCGCCAAGAUGCUUCCCUUCCUGGUUCGUGCUCUUGAAGAUGUCGCCCUGGGCCUUGGCCCCACGGCCGAGGCCAAGGCGCCUGUCCUGUCUUCUGCAGCACUGACGCGGGUCCUCACCCACAUCUACCUUCGCGAUCCCGGUGUCGACCUCGACAGCCUGCUGGAGCUAGUAAGUGGCGAGCGUGCCGAGGCCGUGAAGGGUCGCGUGGAGGCUCUGCUAGGGAAGUUCCGGGCCUUCAGCACCAAGCCGAGGCAAGGCGCUGCCGACCCCACUGCUCCAUGAGGUGAACCCACUCUGCGCUGCUCCACCGCCGACAAGUGACUCCAUUGUGGGUCCUGUCCUGCCUUUAAUUCCUGCACAUGUAUCAUGCCUCGGGGAGGCAUUUAAACUUGCGUUUGGCAUUGAGAUAACAGUGUGGACUGUAAUAUUUGCUUUUGAAUUCCUUGAAAUUGGCGCUUUUCCUUCCUACUUGCUUAUGUUCUAUGUCGGCAGAGCCCGGCCCCGCGCAUGCCUCACACAGCGUUGGUCCCGACCGAAAAUCAGGACGAGGCCAAGGAGUGAGGGGCUACGUGACAAGUUAGGCUCCUGAGUCGUGAUGCUCAGGAGUCCCCCUUGGCGCACGAACAGCAAGUAGGGAGGUGUGAUGUGGGUGGAUCUACCGUUCUACAUCUGCAGAGCCCGGCCGCGCGCAUACCUCAACCGUUGUUAGCCUUUCGGAACUAAGGAGUGAGGGGCUACGUGACCAGUUAGGCUCCUGAGUCGUGAUGCUCAGGAUUCCCCCUUGACGCUCAAACGGCCUUCAUACCUUGGCUCCGCUCGGGGAGAGACGCGUGACGAACCAGGCCCGGGGGGACCUAGCUGGACGGCGUGCGUCUGGGUGUGACCCAGGCAUAGCCCCCGUGCCCAGCCCCCUCACGCGGCACUCCCGAGGGGAGGCGUUACGAUGAGGCUAGACACUGAGCUCUGGGCUCCCUGAGGUUGAUGCGGCCCGGGGGCCACCCUUAGUUGUUUAUCACCAGCUCGGAGCAUAGCGCUUCCGUAUGUGUACGGGCAUAGCCGCUCCUCGGCAGUGUCGUCAGCCAGCGUGGAUCAUGGUGCUUCCAUUGGUACGUGGGAGGGGGCCCCCCUCCGGGAGGAGCCCCCGGGGCAUGUACAGCCCCGCCCUGACACGUGGCUGGCACGGUAGGGCCUGGCGAGGUGUAUCUGGGCACCCGUCAGCCAGCGCGGGACUCACGGGGCCCUACCUCUAGGCGGGUUGCGCCUGGCACUGGGCCUUAUCUUGUGAUGUGCCCCUGCAAAUUUGGUUAGAUGUCGGCACUCUACGUCCUCGGGUCCCAGCCCUCGAGCUGGUCUCAGCCGUCGCUGGUAUGCCAGGUCGUGAUGCCGUGGACAAGGCCAGAGGGUGAGGGCUGGAGAGCCAGUAAGAGCCCUGAGUCGCGAUGCUCAGGUACCCCCCUCCCUUUAACGUGCAAGUGGUCGGCAUGGAGAAGAAGAGGUGCCGUGGACCGGCAUCAAAUAAUCAAGCAUGGUGGGUCUAACGCCUAACCGGAAAUAAACGCAAAUGGAAUACAUGCCGCUGGGCCUGGCCCGAGCGACUUGGGGAUCAUGUAGCCUGAGGGGCGCCCCCAACAAGGUAAGCUAACAACAUGAAAUAAAAGGGAUACACGCCGCAGGGACGGACCCACGCGGCCUGGGAAUAAUGCAGCCCUGGGGGGGGGGCGCUCCCAGCUGGAAGUGAAACUUGAAAGAUGUCACCUGAUGACGUUGAGGACGAAGGGGUGUUGGUGUAGCAGACUUGGUGGGCUGCAAAAGCCGAUCCUCACGAGCCCCGGGGCCCAGGGGUCUCAGGAGGUUCCGGAGGCGCUGGCGGCUCCUCGUGGACCAUCUCCAUCCCCGCCAGGGCUGCGGAACGCCUAGCCUCUCGUGCCCCCAUGAUGCCCCUCAUGAGGCACUGGUACGUGGCAGCCGUGUUCGGCAAGCCGUAAGGCAUGCGAACGUAGUUGUGGGGUAGACCUCCGCAGCACCCCACUCGCGAGGGCCAGAGGCGCUCCAGAGAGGCGACUCGGUUGAGCCCUGGUAUGUCGAUGCAGAUGCGCAGCCCUCCAUCCUCGCCUGGAUGGAGAGCCACUGCUGGUAGGCGGCGGCCGCCUUUCAUGACUCUUGACUCCUGUAGCUCCUGAAUGGCCUUGCUAAUGAACUGCUGAGGGUCCGGCUCUUCUUGCCUUGCUCCUUCUUGAGGGAAACGUGCUUCAAAACACGCCUCCAUGUGGUGCCCAAGCGCCUCCCUCGUGACCCUAGCUAGGUCGGUGGCCCUCCAGGGGAGAGCCCCCGAGCCCUACCUGAGGAGGGCGUCGGGCGCGCUUUCCUAUGUGAUGGAAGGAGGUUCCCCCUGGGUAGGCGCGGGCCCAGAGGGGCCUUCCUCCUGAGUGGUCGGGCCAGACGAUGUCUUCUUCUUCUUGGGGGCGUUCUCAGGAGGCCUCCUGCUUCCGCGAUCCAGGUCUUCUAGUGACGCGGCCUGAAAGGCUUGUUCCAGGGAACACACCGCGUCCUUCUCUUCACAGGGCACCGUGAUGACUCCGCCACUUCCUGGCAUCUUGAGGACGUUGUAGCCGUGGUGAGUUACGGCCAUGAACUUGGCCAGCGCUGGGUACCCAAGGAUGGCGUUGUACGGCAGGCAAAUGUGAGCGACGUCGAAGUCGAUGAGCUCGGUGCGGUAGUUGUCGCGUGCCCCGAAGGUGACAGGGAGGCGGACCUGCCCAAUCGGGACCGUGGAGCCGUCGGUGAUUCCGGAGAAAGGCUUGGUUGGCUGAAGCUGGCUGUAGGGCACUUGGAUAUUGUUGAGUGUUUCCACGGGCAGGACGUUGAGCCCUGCCCCACCAUCGAUGAGGGUCCUGGUGACCACCACCUUGCUGACGAUUGGGGAACAAAGCAUCAGGAGAACUCCGGCUGUAGCCGCACACUUGAGCUGAUCUGCUGAGCUGAACGUGAUGGCGCACGCCGACCACCUGAGAGGGCGCGUGGCUUCGAGCCUGGGGAGGACUGCAUUCACUUCGUGGGCGAACUGCUUGAAGAUGCGUUGAGAGGCUGGGGCUUGAGCCCUGCCCAGGAUGCAGGCGAUCGCGUGCGGCUCCUGGAAGCCCCCAUCCCCCUCGUCCUGGUGGCAGCCCUCGUUUCUCCUUGGCUGCGGCGGCAGCGGAGGGAGGCCUGCGUUGCCUUGCGGGCGAUCCUCGCGAGGCUGAUCCCUCCAGUCUCCCUCGCGAGGCAGGUCUUGCCAGCGAUCCUCGCGAGAUUGAUCGCGCCACCCUUGGCGCGGGCCAUGGUCUUCCCAGCGUCCUGUGUUCCUUCCUCCUCCUCGAUCGUGGCCCCGGUCACCGCGGUCAGGGCGACGGCCGAUUCUUCCUUCUCGCACGGCUCGGAGCUCCUGACAUUCGUUGGUGUUGUGGGUGUGGAGGUCGUGGUACACACAGUACCGGCUGCCCUUGGAAGGUUCGAGCUGAUCUCUACCCCGCUUGGUGUCUGGUUCUGCCGCGAGCACGGCAGCCCCCUUGCACUUCACAUCCUUGGCCUUGGGCUUAUUAUCUUAUGGGUCUGCGGCAGGAAGCUUGAGGACGGAGAGACGCCCUUCCUCAGCCCUGGCACACUUGGUUGCCAAGUUGAACAGCUCCAAGGUAGUGCACAGGUCUUCAUGCAUCACCAGCUCCUCCUUCAUCUUGACAUCGCGCACGCCGUCGGAGAAGGCUGAGAUGAUGGCCUCCUCAGUCACCUUGGGAAUCUUGAGGCAUGCGUUGUUGAAGCGCUGGAUGUACUUCUGCAGGGUCUCCCCGGGUUGUUGCUUGAUGCGGCGCAUGUCGCUCAUGGCGGGUGGCCGGUGCGAGUACCUUGGAAGUUGGCAACGAAGCGGGUGCGCAUCUCGUCCCAGGAGGAGAUCGUGCCUGGAGCCAGGUUCAGGAGCCAGGUGUUGGCCCCGUCCUUCAGCGCCAUGGGGAACCGUUCGCCAUGACCUUCUCGUCUCCAUUGGCAGCUUCGAUGCCCAGCUCGUAGAGCUGGAGGAACUCCGCAGGGUCAGCCGUGCCGUCGUAACGAGGAGGCAGGUCUGGCUUGAACUUGCCGGGCCACACGACGCUGCGUAGCUCGGUGGUGAAGGCGCGGGAGCCUGCUGUGGCCACAGGAGGCGUCGGGUGGCGGAGAGCUUGGUCUUGCAUGUCCCCCCGCGCUGCAGCUGGGAGCAGCGUGGGGUCUUGACGCGUGGGAGCAGGAGCAUGGUCGCGACGUGCUGGAGCAGGGAGUGCCCGGGCAGCUUCUUGCGGGCCAGGGACUUCUUGGCAGCUCUGCUCUUGCCGCGCUGGCACCUGAUGGAGCGGGUUCCGCCCAGGGGCCACGCGCCUUGGAGCCAUGGCGCCUUCCUGAGGAGGAGGCGGCCGCGGCACCGCCGAAGCUUCAUCGCCCGCGCGGGGCGGGGUGCGGUGCAGCGGAACGGACGGCGCAGGAGAGCCCCCUGCGGCACAGACGAGCUCGGCGACGCGGUCGAGCCAUUCUUCGUAGACGUCGUCGACGGGACGGUAGCGCAGGAGCUCGUUCGCCGCGAUGAGCGCAGCUCAAGCCUCCAUGGGCGCGCGGAGCGUGCGGGACGAAGAACCAGCUGGGGUGAGCGAGGGAGUUGCGGUGCGGCCGUCUUGCCACACGGGCGGAUGCUGAGACGAUGCUUGCUGCUCGUCCCCCGCCGGGCCGGUGGCGGCAUUGACGGCAGGUGACGGGGAAUGGCGAGGACGCCCACCGGCAGGGGCCGUUUGGGCGACGCGGGAAGUGAGAGUGGCCCGGCGCUCGGCGCGGGCCCGACGAGCGUCAGACAUGGGCGUGAUGGUCGAAGGAGAACGGGGUGGUGGAAGACGAAUUUCGGCGCACCCCUACCUGGCGCGCCAAAUGUCGGAUUUCGGGUUCCGGCAGACCCUUGAGGUUCGAACACUGGGGUGCGCGCAGAGAUUUCGCCUCCUACCUACCUGCACCCCUCCGCCACGCAAAGAUCUAAGCUAUGGAAAGAACAACAUGAGAGACACAGGGUUUAUACUGGUUCGGGCCACCGUUGUGGUGUAAUACCCUACUCUAGUGUGUGGUGUGGUGGAUUGCCUCUUGGGCUGAUGAUGAUGAACAAUACAAGGAAGAACAGCCUCGCGAGGGUUUGUUCUUGGCUGGGGGGAUGAACUGCCAGGAGGAGUUCAGUCACCCUUCUCUCUCUUUCUCUCUUCUUGGUUGUCCUCCUUCUUUUUUUCAUCCUGCGGGUGGCUGGUCCUAUUUAUAGAGGCCCUGGUCCUCUUCCCAAAUAUCGAGCAGGAAGGGAGCCAACAAUGGUGGGCUAAUUUGAAAGGGGACAGCUAGUACCAGUUAUCCUGACAAAAGUAGUCUUCGCCUGCACAAAGCUCUGGUGGUGACGCCGUCUUGGGCUCCACAAUGACCUCCAUCUUGCAGUCCUCCUGGUCUUGGUCUUGUUGCACCGAAAUGGCAACCUUUACCUGAUGCCUCGGUACUCCAUGGCUCUGCUUGCCCCCUUUGCACCAAAGGGGAAAGGAGGACACUGCGCGGGCUGGCGCCCGCCUGGCGCCCUUGGUCGUCAUGGCUUGCGUCACGGGCACCUUGUGAGGUACCCCGCCUUGAUCUCUCCGCCUCCUCGCGAGCCAGCCUGAUGAGGCCGUGCCUGAGGAAGCUCCGCGUCGUCCGCCCUGCGAGGCUUGGCCCCUCGCGAGGGUCUUGAGUCUGUGAUGGUGAAGAUGGGCCGUGCUGGGCCCCCUUUUGAGCCACGCCGCAGGCCGCAGGCAGGCAAGUCUGGGGACCCCCGUUCCCCGAACGCCGACACUUGCCUCGUGGCCUCCUUGCUUCUUUCUUAACGUCCACUCCAAGUCUCCUGGAUUAUGUUUGUUCCAAAUGUAACUCUCCCGAAGGUUUCAUUCCGUUUGGACUCCGUUUGAUAUUUCUUUUCUGCGGAACACUGAAAUAGGAAAAAAACAACAAUUUUCUCAGGGCCUUUGGUUAGUAGGUUAGUCCCCAAAAUAAUAUAAAAGGUAAAUUAAAGCCCAUUAAACAUCCAAAACAGAUAAUAUAAUAGCAUGGAACAAUCAAAAAUUAUAGAUACGUUGGUGACGUGUCAUCACACAACGUUUACCAUACGUACAUGCUACGGGACUUGCAAACUCUAACACAAGUAUUUCUCAAAUUCACAACUACUCAAAUAGCAUGACUCUUAUAUUACCAUCUUGCAUGUUAGUAGGUCUCUCCCAAAAGGUGUGUACAGCAAGGAUGAUUGUGGUAAACUAAAAAUCAAAGACUCAAAUCGUACAAGACGCUCCAAGCAAAACACAUAUCAUAUGGUGAAUAAAAAUAUAGCCUCAAAUAAAGUUACCGAUAGACGAAGACGAAAGAGGGGAUGACUUCCGGGGCAUCCCCAAGCUUAGGCUUUUGGUUGUCCUUGAAUUUUCCCUUGGGGUGCCAUGGGCAUCCCAAGCUUAGGCUCUUGCCACUCCUUAUUCCAAAAUCCAUCAAAUCUUUACCCAAAACUUGAAAACUUCACAACACAAAACUUCAACAGAAAAUCUCAUGAGCUCCGUUAGUAUAAGAAAACAAACCACCACUUCAAGGUACUGUAAUGAACUCAUUAUAUAUUUAUAUUGGUGUUAAACCUACUGUAUUCCAACUUCUCCAUGGUUCGUACCCCCCGAUACUAGCCAUAGAUUCAUCAAAAUAAGCAAACAACACACGAAAAACAGAAUCUGUUAAAAACAGAACAGUCUAUAGUAAUCUGUAAGUUUCGAAUACUUAUGUAACUCCAAAAAUUCUGCAAAAUUAGGAUGUCCUAAAUAAUUUGUAUAUUGAUCUACUGCAGUUGGAAUUGGUACUUUAUCGCUCUCUGGUAAAACAUAAAAAUUAUUGCCGUGAGCGCAUACUUUUUUUCAGCAAGAUCAAACAACAAUCAUCCAAGAAUAUCCUAAAGGCUUUACUCGGCACGAACACUAAUUAAAACACAAAAACACAAUCGUAAAAGAGGAUAGAUGAUUUAUUUAUUACUAAACAGGAACAAAAAGCAAGGAACAAAAAUAAAAUUGGGUUGCCUCCCAACAAGCGCUAUCGUUUAACGCCCCUAGCUAGGCAUAAAAACAAGAAUAUAUCUAGGUAUUGUCAUCUUUGGUAUGCAAUCCAUAAGUGGCCCUCAUAAUAGAUUCAUAAGGUAAUUUAACUUUAUUCCUAGGAAAGUGUUCCAUGCCUUUCCUUAAUGGAAAUUGGAAUCUAAUAUUUCCUUCUUACAUAUCAAUAAUUGCACCAAUCGUUCUAAGGAAAGGUCUACCAAGAAUAAUAAGACAUGUAGGAUUGCAAUCUAUAUCAAGAACAAUAAAAUCUACAGACACAUAAUUCCUAUUUGCAACAAUAAGAACAUCAUUAAUCCUUCCCAUAGGUUUCUUAAUGGUGAAAUCCGCAAGAUGAAAAUUUAAAGAACAAUCAUCAAAUUCACGGAAACCUAGCACAUCACACAAAGUUUUGGGAAUCGUGGAGACACUAGCACCCAAAUCACAUAAAGCAUAACAUUCAUGAUUUUUAUAUUAAUUUUAAUAGUAGGUUCCAACUCAACAUAAAUUUUUCUAGGGAUAGAAACUUCCAAUUCAAGCUUUUCUUCAUAGGAUUGCAUUAAAGCAUCAACGAUAUGUUUGGUAAAAGCUUUAUUUUGACUAUAAGUAUGAGGAGAAUUUAACAUGAAUUGCAACAAGGAAAUACAAUCUAUUAAAGAACAGUUAUCAUAAUUAAAUUCCUUGAAAUCCAAAAUAGUGGGUUCAUUGCUAUGUAAAGUUUUGACCUCUUCAAUCCCACUUUUACCAAUUUUUGCAUCAAGAUCUAAAAACUCUGAAUCAUUGGGAUGCCUUUUAACUAAAGUUGACUCAUAUCCAGUCCCACCUUUAUCAAGAUUCAUAUUAGAAAAAAAGAUUGUGAUAGGAGACACAUCAAUCAGUUUUAGAUCUUCAUUAUUAUUAUCAUGAAAACUAGAAGAACACGCUUUCACAAAGCAAUCUUUUUUAGCACGCAUCCUAGCGGUUCUUUCUUUGCACUCAUCAAUGGAAAUUAUCAUAGCUUUGAGAGACUCAUUGAUAUAAUGCUUAGGUGAAAUAUAUCUAAGUUUCAAAGAAUCGACAUCAAGAGAAAUUCUAUCCACGUUCCUAGCCAACUCAUCAAUCUUAGGCAACUUUUCUUCAAGCAAAGCAUUGAAAUUCUUUUGAGAAAUCAUAAAUUUUCUUUAACACUAGUCUCAAAAUAAGAGUGCAUCUUAUUAAAAUUUCCAUAAGAGUUUUUGUACGAAUUACCAUAAUUUUUAGAGGAAUUACUAGGGAAUGGCCUAGAAUUAAAAUUUCCUCUAUACGCGUUAUUACCAAAAUUGCUUGUACCAAAAAAAUUCACAUCCAUAGAUUCAUUAUUAUUUUCAAUCAAAGUAGACAAAGGCAUAUCAUUAGGAUCAGAAGAAGCACUCUUAUUAGCAAACAAUUUCAUAAGUUCAUCCAUCUUUCCACUCAAAACAUUAAUAUCUUCUAUCGCAUGAACCUUUUACUAGUAGAUCUUUCGGUGUGCCAUUGAGAAUAAUUAACUAUAAUAUUAUCUAGGAGUUUAGUAGCUUCUCCUAAAGUGAUUUCCAUAAAAGUGCCUCCCGCGGCCGAAUCUAAAAGAUUUCUAGAAGCAGAAUUCAUUGGAUCUCGACAAACACACUGCAAAAAGAUUUACAUCGAAUAGAUCUCCAAGAAGAUCGAGGAGAACUUGGUAUUGAUAUCCAAAGAGAGAGAAGAAACCAUCUAGCUAAUAACUAUGGACCCGAAGGUCUGUGGUAAACUACUCACACAUCAUCGGAGAGGCUAUGGUGUUGAUGUAUAAGCCCUCCGUGAUCGAAUCCCCCUCCGGCGGAGCGCCGGAAAAUGCCCCAAGAUGGGAUCUCAUGGGUACAGAAGGUUGCGGCAGUGGAAAAGGUGUUUUGUGGCUCUCCACAAAGGUAUCAGGGUAUAAGAGUAUAUAUAGGCGAAAGAAGUAGGUCGGUGGAGCUGUGAGGGGCCCACAAGGGUGGGGGCGCGCCCUCCUGCCUCGUGGCUUCCUUGCUGCUUCCUUGACGUCCACUCCAAGUCUCCUGGAUUGCAUCUGUUCCAAAAAAGAUACUCACGAAGGUUUCGUUCCGUUUGGAUUCCGUUUGAUAUUCCUUUUCUGUGAAACACCGAAAUAGGCAAAAAAACAACAAUUUGCAUUGGGCCUUCGGUUAAUAGGUUAGUCCCAAAAAUAACAUAAAAGUGCACAGUAAAGCCCAUUAAACAUCCAAAACAGAUAAUAUAAUAGCAUGGAACAAUAAAAAAUUAUAGAUACGCUGGAGACGUAUCAGUUACAUGCUUAACUAGAUUUUAUACAACUGGUGUAGUAAAUUCUGGUUCAAUUGUGCAUACAAUUUCCAAAACAAUUUCCGGUUUGUUAGUCCAGCUUACUUCCACUGGAGGUUCAGCAAUCUCAUCAAGCUGUACUAUCCUCCCACUCACUUCUUUAGCUAGAAACUCUUUCUCAAGAAAGUGUCCAGCGCGUGCAAGAAACAAUUUGUCAUCAGACGGGCGGUAGAAGGAAUACCCUAUAGUUUAUUUGGGAUAACCUACAAAUUAACAUUUGUUUGAUUUAGCAUGGAGUUUAUUUGGUUGUAAAUGCUUCACAUAAGUUUCACAAUCCCAAAUCUAUGUGAAAAAUUGGGUUUCUUCCUAUUCCAUAACUCAUAUGGUGUCGACUCAACAGACUUAUACGAUGCUCUGUUUAGUGUGUAUGUUGCUGCUUCGAGUGCAUAUCUCCCAAAUUAUAAAGGCAAAUCAGUAAGAGACAGCAUUGACCUCACCAUGUCAACAUGGUUUGGCUACACCUCUUAGACACGUCAUUUCUUUGUGGAGUUCCGGGAGGAGUAUAUUCCAAAACAAAUACAUGAUCACUUAGAUGUUUGUUAAACUCAUGACUUUGAUAUUCGCCUCUGUUCUAUAAUCAUAGAAACUUUAUCUUCUUCUCACGGUGAUCAUCAACUUCGUUCUAGAAUUCUCUACACUUUUCAAAGGUCUCGGACUUAUGUUCCAUUAAGUAAAUAUUACCAUAUUUAUUAAAAGCAUCAGUGAAGGUUACAAAGUAUAAGCAUCCACCGCGUGCCGGUGUGCUCAUCAGACCACCUAUAUCACUAUGUAUUAUUUCCAAUAAUUCACCCGCCCGUUAAGGAUGACCCAUGAAUGGGAUCUCAGUUUACCCAUCAAGCAAGCCUCGCAUGUGUCAAAUGAUUCAAUAUCAAAAUACGUUAAUACUCCAUAUUUAUGAAGCUUUUGCAUUCAUUUCUUUCUGAUGUGACCAAGAUAGCAGUGCCACAUGUUAGUGUUAUUAUCAGUCUUCUCAAGACUUUUAACUUCUAUGUUAUAGACAUCAUUUUCACAUUCAGGAUCCAACAUGAAAAAUCGACUGACAAUAAGUGCAAAGCCAUAAAACAUAUCUAUAAUACCUAAAUAGCUCAUCCCCACUAACUUAUUUCUCUUGACAUGCACACUAUCCACAUCAGCAGCAUGCCACCUCAGCAAUUUUUUCCAUGAAUCAUGUCAUGAAAUUCUGGUAAAGAGUUGAAGCGGGCAUGUUCUAUCUUCCAUUAGCGUUGAAUCGGUGUAAUAAAUAAAACUGAUAAAAGAAGAAGCCCAUCGGUCCAUCUUGGCAAAGCAGGUGCCGCCCUCAACUCGGACGGGUCCCCACCCAGAUCCUGUGCCCGACGGAAAAGGAUUGAGCUUCUCUGCCUGCUCUCCACGGAUCCAGGUGCCCCGUCAGAUCUGCCGCCAGGAGGUGCAGCCCUACAGCCUCGACACGCUCAACCUCGGAGACCUCUUUAAGAGUGACUGCCACCAUCACCCGGUUACCCAGAAGAAACGACGCACUGUCGGCUGUCUGCCUUCAGCGCAUGCGGACCGCCCAUCUACGCCAUAGAAGAACAGGAAGAUAACUAUCCCCAUUGAGAAGUGGAGCAGCUCCAUUACCAUCGGCCGUCAUCUCUGGUAUUUUCCUAUUUGGUGCCAACGCCCCUGAUUGAGUUUGCCUUCUCCUCAUCUUCCCCAUUCGCUUCAUCCUCACCACAUCAAGCUGUUUUUAGUUUCUGGCCCUAAAAAAUCAUAGCCGUCGACAUGUAUCUCCUGUUGGUAUUAUAUGUACCGGACAUGGUGAAUUUCAAGUCCUCUCCGUCGGCACUGCACCAUCAUGGUCGCCUGCUCGGCUAAUCAGAAAUCAGCUGCAAGUUGCACCACUGUUGAUCUUCUAUGAAACUAGUCAAUGGAUGACGCCUUAGUGAGUCAUGUUUCUCAUCUUCAUCUGCCACCUCUAUCAGGUUUGAUAUAAAUUCAGAUAGCUAUGUUUAUGAUCUUCCAUCUACCAUUUCUUAGGUUUGAUUCAUAUUAAGAUAGCUAUAUAUAUGUGGAAUUUUAUUCUUCGCUAUAUGUUGUUUGCAAGCAGGAAAAUGCUAUGGAAGCAGCCAAAUUAUAAUAUCAUGUAUGUUCUCCACAUUUUCCUCUAAUGGUGUUUAUGUUGGGAUUUCCUUUUUUAGUAUAGGAAUGCUUAUGGUGAGAUUGGGUAUUUGUAGAGGCAUCACUUACAGAUAGUUGGUUGAAAGUGUCAGAUGUGUACUGCUAGAUUUUUUAAUGGAUCAUGUCCUAUAAGGGACUAUCUGGAGCUAGAUUAUGGCAUUACUGCUCCAUGUACUCUUAUUUAGGAUCAAUAUAUGCUAUGUAACAAUUGUGACAUUAUGCCCCGCCAAGAUUAGACAAGAACUGAUAAUUAUGGUCUUUUCUUUUAUUAUGUUGUUUUGAUGUGCUAAAAUGUUAUGCUGCUACUUGAUUUGACUAAUUCUAUUACGUUGUGCGUGCAUCCAUUGUUACAUGUCUCAGGUUAACAAGAAACAUUGUAUUCCCAUUUGUUUUUAACUAGGAUGUGCCCUCCUAUGGCAUGAAUUGUAAGUAACUGAUACGUCUCCAAUGUAUCUAUAAUUUUGAUUGCUCCAUGCACUACUAGGGAAAAGCUUAUACACAAGAUCUUACCAAGAGCGAGUUUUAAAAUAAGGCGCUGAUGCAAUGUAGCAGUAGCACGCUCCGGCAGUACUCGCUGCUGAAAUAGACAUAGCAGCAGUGCGCCUCCUCUAAGCCGCGCUACUGCUAUAAUUCUCACGACCCCGCCGUGAAGCUAGUUCUAGCAGCAUUGCUUUUAUUCCGACCGCGCUACUGCUAGGUAGUUUAGCAGUAGCGCCUUUGCCUUUAGAGCGCUACUACUAAAACUAGCUAUCUCCAACCCGGCCCCCACUCUCUCCUCUAUCCGAUCCACACUCACACUCACACGCAUUCCCCCUCAACCCCCCCCCCCUUCCCCNNNNNNNNNNNNNNNNNNNNNNNNNNNNNNNNNNNNNNNNNNNNNNNNNNNNNNNNNNNNNNNNNNNNNNNNNNNNNNNNNNNNNNNNNNNNNNNNNNNNNNNNNNNNNNNNNNNNNNNGCACGCCGGUCCUCCCCCGCCGGCCGCCGUCACCCCCGCCAGCCACCGUCGCCUACCCCUCUUCCCUCUGUGCUGCCGUCAACUCCUCCUCCGUCCUCCCCCGACUCGCCGCCGGCCGGCCCCUCCUCGCUCCGCCUUCCUCCUUCAUCCUACUCUCUUCUCCCUCCUCGAGUCGCCCCUCCUUCUCCCUCCUCCCUGCUACAUUUUGAUUUAGUAGGCUAGUUCAUAUGCAACAUUUUGAUUUAGUUGAUAUGAUUUAGUUGAUUUAGUAGGCUAGUUGAUUUAGAACAUUUUGAUUUAGUUGAUUUAGUAAGCUAGUUUAUUUAGUUGAUUUAGAACAUUUUAAUUUAGUAGGCUAGUUGAUUUAGUAGAUUUAGUAGGCUAGUUGAUUUAGAACAUUUUAAUUUAGUUGAUUUAGCAUGCUAGUGGAUUUAGUAGGCUAGUUGAUUUAGUUGAUUUAGUAUGCACCAUUUUAUUGUUAUUUUUUCUGUACAUGGAUAGGUAGAUGCUUUUGUUUUUUUUUUGUAAUAAGUUAUUUUUUGGCAAAAUGUAGGUGCCAAUUUAGUUAAAUUUGCCACUUGUUUUUUUAAUCAAUUAUCUUAGGCAAUAGGGGCCAAAAUAGAUGAAAUGUCUUGUUAGGUGGUACCCUUAUUUGGUACCCUUAUAAUUGUCCAUAAAAUUGCUUCUCGCGGAAGAACCAAAAAUAUCACAUGCUACUGUUUUUAUUUCCUGUGAAGUGGAUCGUUAAUCCUUUGCACAUAUUGCUUUAGGAAAAUGGUGCCGCCACCACCACCACUAUGUCGACUGUGCAAGUCAAGGUGCGCCAGCAACCUUGCAACUGGGAAGUUGUUCGGCAUCUACUUCCAGCCGAGUUUUUGUCAUGCGGCUGUAAGAAAUUAGAUGAAAUGUAAAAACUAUUUUAUUUUUAGUGUUGGCAUUACUGCAUUGUGUCAUUUUGUUUUUUUACACAGAUCGUCCCAUGCAAUGUGAGGUUGAAAUUCAACAAGCUGACAGGAGACACUGUGACAUUUGAGGCUCCUGGGGGCCGUACACUAUGGAGGUCGAGAAAGGACGCAAUAUGUCGCAGAUUAGAGGAGAUGGAUGGGCCCGUUUGCUCGCCCACAUGCGUCUUACUGGUGGUGAGUUGAUCAACUUCUCCUUCAGAGCAGAAAGACCCAAGCUGGCUGUCAUUUAUCUCAACCUGGUGGAAGAUGAUGAAGAUGACGAAGAUGAUGAAGAUAAUGGGGACCCACUCGAUGAAGAUGAUGAGAACCCACUUCAUGAAGCCAUUGUAUCUCAAAGAAUGAGGCUAAGCGAGGAGGAGGUGUGCAACCUAUGGGACAUAAUUCCGCCACGUGAUGACUUUGUCAGGGUGCCAUUCGUGACCCGCCUGACAAGUACCAUGGUCCAUCGGCAUGAAAUGGUAUGUUAUAAUGACUGUAGUAAUUUGAUGAUAUAUAUAUGCUUUAUUGUUAUACUUACAAAUGCAAAUUAUCCGAUGAUAUGCUUAGUGAAUCCGAUGAUCUCUACCCCUAAUGGAGCAGUUGGUAGCCUCGUACGGUUUAUUUUCGUCCCACCACUUUCAAUCGUUUCAUUUCGCUGGGGUUUUUUCGUCCCCUCCCCCACCUCAUCGGUUUAGUUUCGCAUCACCCUCACGCACAACGAAAAAAACUAAACGGAUCAGAACUUUCCAUAUUGAGUACUGACGCAAGUGAAAGAAUCAAUCACGAUCAAUUUCUAAAGUUUAAAUCUAAAUUAAUUACCGUAAAUCGCUCAAUCACAUUAAUUAGUUAGGAAACAAAUAACCAAUUUCAAGAAAUCUCAUUAUUAAAGCAUUUAUGUACCUACUUAAUUUGUAAGGAAAGAUUAUCUCAUUAUUCUCUACUCCUAGUAAUGUCUUAGUACGUACAUCGUUUCGUUCGCUCGUUCCCUUCCCUCUCCAUCUCAUUUUUUUCGUAGAUUUUUUUCGUCCCCUCCCCCCACUUCAUCAGUUUAUUUUCGCGUCACCCUCUCACACAACGAAAGAAAUCUGAACAGAUCAGAACUUUCCAUACUGAUGCAAAUUAUUUAGUAAUGUAGAAUCAAUCACGAACAAUCUCUAAAGAUCAAAUCUAAAUUAAUUAACCUUACCUUAAAUCGCUCAAUCACAUUAAUUAGAAAACAAAUAUUUGUUUUUCAGAAAAAUCGCUCAAUCACAUUAACCUUGCCUUAACUCACGAAUGGUAAUCAAUCUCCAAACAAAGGAAACAAUACAUCGAGGGAGCAGUAAAUAAACUCCCUUUCUUAUGACAUGUAUAUGAUCUUUCCCUUCCCUCUUCGUUGUCGAGUGUUCUUGAUUCUCGAGGCUGAUGCUUGGGCUGCGUCACUGGGUCGCGAGGAUGUCGAGGCCGGGUGCCGCGGCACCAUGUUGGCCGCGGCCGGUGAAGGGGGCGAAGAAGGGAGGCUUCCCUGGCCGUGGCUGUGGCCGUGGCCCUGGGAGUUGGUGCGGUGGAAGCGACACUUGAAGGACCUGGCGUGGGUGGCCGGCGCGCAGACGCACUUGGUAGCCUUGUAUGGUUUAUUUUCGUCCCACCUCCCAUGGUUUUUUUGGCACUCCUCCCACCUUCACUGGUUUUUUGUAGAUUUUUUUUUCGUCCACUCGCCCCACUUCAUUGGUUUAUUUUCGCGUCACCCUCUCACACAACGAAAGAAAUCUGAACAGAUCAUAACUUUCCAUACUGAAGCAAGUUAUUUAGUAAUGUAGAAUCAAUCACGAACAAUCUCUAAAGAUCAAAUCUAAAUUAAUUAACCUUACCUUAAAUCACUCAAUCACAUUAAUUAGAAAACAAAUAUUUGAUUUUCAGAAAAAUCGCUCAAUCACAUUAACCUUACCUUAACUUACGGAUGGUAAUCAAUCUCCAAACAAAGGAAACAAUACAUCGAGGGAACAGUAAAUAAACUCCGUUUCUUAUGACAUGUAUAUGAUCUUUCCCUUCCCUCUCCGUUGUCGAGCGUUCUUGAUUAUCGAGGCCGAUGCUUGGGCUGCAUCACUGGGUCGCAAGGACGUCGAGGCCAGGUGCCGCGGCACCGCAUUGGCCGCGGUCGGUGAAGAGGGCGAAGAAGGGCGGCUUCCCUGGCCCUGGCCGUGGCUGUGGCCCUGGGAGUUGGUGCGGUGGAAGCGGCACUUGAAGGACCCGACGUGGGUGGUCGGCGUGCAGACGCACUUGGAAGCGGGACCGUGGCCCACGCCGGACGGCACCGACGCCAACCCGGGCCACCUCCUCCGCGUAGUCUUGGAGCUGUGGCUGGCCGAUUUACAUGAAAUUAAUUCCCUCAGUUGUGGUGGCAAAUAUAAUACACAUAAUCCAUAUUGUGAAAUAGAUGGAUUAUGGUCCCGUACCCAAUAAGAUGGAUAUGUGUGUGUGUUAGAGAGAGGGGGGGGAGAGGGGGAGAGAGAGUGAGGAAGAGGGAGGAAGAGAGAGUGUGUGUGAGGAUUUGAUGGUGAGAAAAGGUCGCCAAUGUCACUUGAUAUGCAUAAGAAUAUUAAUAUUGAACUCUUAAAGUUAAUGUGGCCCCGUUGCAACGCACGGGUGUUCUUCUAGUAUGCUUAAUGUAGAGUCCAAUGAUAUGCUUUGUGGAAUCUAGUCGAUGAUAUGCUUUAGUGUAGAGUCUGAUCACAUGCUUAUUAGUGUAGAAUCCAAGGAACUAUUAAUAGUGUAGAUAAUCCAUAUAUACUUAUUAGUAGAAUUCAUGAUUAAUUAGUACAAAUGCAUAGGACUGCGUCUUUUGAUAGUGUAGAAAUCUAGACUUAAUAGAAAUAUAUUUGCAAGAGUAUGUGCGAAGCUAUUUAUUAAUUGAUAUGUUUUUCUUAUUCAUAAAUUGCCAAAGAACCUAUGUGUGAGUUGUUGUAUCGAGCCUAAUGAAGAAGGCUCAGUUGGACUAUACCUUACCGUAAGGGGCUCCGUCACCACCUGUACUUACCGCAUGGACACAGAUGGUCGCACACACUUAAACUCGGUUGGGUGGAAGAGAAUCCUCGUUGGCAAGAAUCUUCAUGUUGGACAGGCCAUCCUAAUUACUAUCAGGAACACCCACCACCUAGGCUUGAGGAUGAUGAUCGUCGUCGAUAUCAUCUAGAACUAUAUGUGUGUGUGUGGCUAUAUCAUCUAGAACUACGUAUGAUGAUUGUUGUUGAUAUCAUGUAGAACUACAUAUGAUGAUCAUUGUCGAUAUCAUCUAGAACUACAUAUGAUGAUCGUCGUCGAUAUCACCUAGUACUGCUUGAGGAUGCAUGUUGAGUAUAUAUGAAAUUGUUAUCUGUACUCCCUCGGUUCCAAAUUACUUGUCGUGGUUUUAUUUCAAAUUUGAACUAAAACCACGACGAGUAAUUUGGAACCGAGGGAAUACUACCUAGUACCUAUAAUGCUUUAUGGCUUUAUGAAAUUGAUAUCUAGUAGUACCUAGUAUCUCAAAAUUGCAGUUUAUUGAAGCUGAAACGGGGUGGUAAUGGUGAAAGAUAUAGCAGUAGCGCAGGGCUAGGAAAUCGAUGCAGCUAACUAAUAGUAGCGUGUUCCGAAAAAGCGUUGCUAAUAUAGUCAAUAGUAGUAGCACGGGUACAGACAGCGCUACUACUAAGAGUUAGCUGUAGCACCUUAUUGGUAGUGCGGCCGCCCAUGCUGCUGAUAGCCUCAAAACCCGCGCUACUACUAGGGUUUUCCCUAGUAGUGAUGCUAUUAUAUUAUCUGUUUUGGAUAUUAAUGGGCUUUAUUUUACACUUUUAUAUCAUUUUUGGGACUAACCUAUUAACCGGAGGCCCAACCCAAAUUGCUAUUUUUUUGCCUAUUUUAGAGUUUCGCCGAAAAGGAAUAUCAAACGGAGUCCAAACGGAAUGAAACCUUCGGGAACGUGAUUUUCUCAACAAACGUGAUCCAGGAGACUUGGAGUGGGCGUCAAGAAACAAAUGAGGAAGCCACGAGGCGGGGGCGCCUACCCCCCUGGGCGCGCCCUCCACCCUCGUGGGCCCCUUGUUGCUCCACGACGUACUUCUUCCUCCUAUAUAUAUCCACGUACUCCCAAACAUCCAGGAGCACCAGGAAAACCUAAUUCCACCGCCGCAACCUUCUGUACCCGAGAGAUCCCAUCUUAGGGCCUUUUCCGGAGCUCCGCCGGAGGGAGCAUUGAUCACGGAGGGCCUCUACAUCAACUCCAUGGCCUCUCCGGUGAUGUGUGAGUAGUUUACUUCAGACCAGCGGGUCCAUAGUUAUUAGCUAGAGGGCUUCUUCUCUCUCUUUGGAUCUCAAUACAAAGUUCUCCUCGAUCUUCUUGGAGAUCUAUUCAAUGUAAUCUUCUUUUGCCAUGUGUUUGUCGAGAUCCGAUGAAUUGUGGGUUUAUGAUCAAGUUAAUCUAUGAACAAUAUUUGAAUCUCCUUUGAAUUCUUUUAUGUAUGAUUGGUUUAUCUUUGCAAGUCUCUUCGAAUUAUUAGUUUGGUUUGGCCUACUAGAUUGAUCUUUCUUGCAAUGGGAGAAGUGCUUAGCUGUUCAAUCUUGCGGUGUCCUUUCCCAGUGACAGCAGGGGCAGCAAGGCACGUAUUCUAUUGUUGCCAUCGAGGAUAAAAAGAUGGGGUUUAUAUCAUAUUCCAUGAGCUUAUCCGUCUACAUCAUGUCAUCUUACUUAAACCAUUACUCUGUUCUUAUGAACUUAAUACUCUAGAUGCAUGCUGGAUAGCGGUCGAUGUGUGGAGUAAUAUUAGUAGAUGCAGAAUCGUUUCGGUCUACUUGUCGCGGACGUGAUGCCUAUAUACAUGAUCAUACCUAGAUACUCUCAUAACUAUGCUCAAUUCUAUCAAUUGCUCGACAGUGAUUCGUUUACCCACUGUAAUACUUAUGCUCAUGAGAGAAGCCACUAGUGAAACCUAUGGCCACCGGUUCUAUCUUCCAUCAUAUUAAUCUUCCAACACUUAGUUAUUUCUAUUACCGUUUAUUUUACUUUGCAUAUUUACUUCUCUUUAUCAUAAAAAUACCAAAAAUAUUAUCUUAUCAUAUCUAUCAAAUCUCACUCUCGUAAGUGACCGUGAAGGGAUUUACAAUCCCUUUAUCGCGUUGGUUGCGAGGUUCUUAUUUGCUUGUGUAGGUGCGUGGGACUCGAGCGUGAUCUCCUACUGGAUUGAUACCUUGGUUCUCAAAAACUGAGGGAAAUACUUAUGCUACUAUACUGCAUCACCCUUUCCUCUUCAAGGGAAAACCAACUUAGUGCUCAAGAGGUAGUAAGAAGGAUUUCUGGCGCCGUUGCCAGGGAGAUUCACGCCAAGUCAAGUCAAGAUUUGACUCCCGACAACGAGCCACUUCUGGCACCGUUGCCGGAGUCUACGCACAAGUCAAGACAUACCAAGUACACAUCAUAAACUCUUAUCCCUCUCAUUACAUUAUUUGCCAUUUGCCUCUCAUUUUCCUCUCCCCCACUUCACCCUUGUCGUUUUAUUCGCCCUCUCUUUUCCGUUCACCUCUUUUUUGCUUGUUCCUUGUUUGCUCGUGUGUUGGAUUGCUUGCUUGUCACGAUGGCUCAAGAUAAUACUAAAUUGUGUGACUUUACCAAUACCAACAACAAUGAUUUUCUUAGCACUUCAAUUCUCCUCUUACCGAUGCUGAAUCUUGUGAAAUUAAUGCUGGUUUGUUGAAUCUUGUCAUGAAAGAUCAAUUCGCCGGCCUUCCUAGUGAAGACGCCGCUACCCAUCUAAAUAGCUUUGUUGAUUUGUGUGAUAUGCAAAAUAAGAAAGAUGUAAUGAUAUUGUUAAAUUGAAGCUAUUUCCUUUUUCCCUUAGAGAUCAUGCUAAAGCUUGGUUUUCAUCUUUGCCUAAAAAUAGUAUUGAUUCAUGGAAUAAGUGCAAAGAUGCUUUUAUCUCUAAGUAUUUUCCUCCCGCUAAAAUCAUCUCGCUUAGAAACGAUAUUAUGAAUUUUAAGCAACUUGAUCAUGAACAUGUUGCACAAGUUUGGGAGGGGAUGAAAUUAAUGAUACGUAAUUUCCCUACACAUGGUUUGAAUCUUUGGAUGAUUAUACAAUUUUUUUUAUGCUGGAUUGAAUUUUGCUUCUAGAAAUCUUUUAGAUUCGGCCGCGGGAGGCACUUUUAUGGAAAUAACUUUAGGAGAAGCUACUAAACUCUUAUAUAAUAUUAUGGUUAAUUAAUAUCAAUGGCACACCGAAAGAUCUACUAAUACAAAAUUGCAUGCGAUAGAAGAAAUUAAUGUUUUGAGUGGAAAGAUGGAUGAACUUAUGAAAUUGUUUGCUAAUAAGAGUGCUCCUACUGAUCCUAAUGAUAUGCCUUUGUCUGCUUUGAUUGAUAAUAAUAAUGAAUCUAUGGAUGUGAAUUUUGUUGGUAGGAACAAUUUUGGUGACAACACGUAUAGAGGUAAUUUUAAUUCUAGGCCGUUUCCUAGUAAUUCCUCUAAUAAUUAUGGUAAUUCCUACAACAAUUCUUAUGGAAAUUUUAAUAAGAUGCCCUCUGAAUUUGAGACUAGUGUUAAGGAGUUUAUGAAUUCACAAAAGAAUUUUAAUGCUUUGCUUGAAGAAAAAUUGCUUAAGGUUGAUGAAUUGGCUAGGAACACUGAUAGAAUUUCUCUUGAUGUUGAUUCUUUGAAACUUAGAUCUAUUCCACCUAAGAAUUAUAUCACUGAGUCUCUCAAAGCCAUGAGAAUUUCCAUUGAUGAGUGCAAAGAAAGAACCGCUAGGAUGCGUGCUAAGAAAGAUUGCUUUGUGAAAGCGUGUUCUUCUAGUUUCUAUGAAAAUAAAGAUGAAGAUCUAAAAGUUAUUGAUGUGUCUCCUAUUAAAUCUUUGUUUUGCAAUAUGAAUCUUGAUAAUGAUGGGACUGAAGAUGAUCCACCUUUACCUAGAAGGCGUUCCAAAAAUUUGGAGUUUUUAGAUCCUGAUACAAAAAUUGGUAAAAGUGGGAUUGAAGAGGUCAAAACUUUAGAUAUCAAUGAACCCACUAUUUUGGAUUUCAAGGAAUUUAAUUAUGAUAAUUGCUCUUUGAUAGAUUGUAUUUCCUUGUUGCAAUCCAUGCUAAAUUCUCCUCAUGCUUAUAGUUAAAAUAAAGCUUUUACUAAACAUAUCAUUGAUGCUUUGAUGCAAUCUUAUGAAGAAAAACUUGAGUUAGAAGUUUCUAUCCCUAGAAAACUUUAUGAUGAGUGGGAACCUACUAUUAAAAUUAAAUUAAAGAUCAUGAGUGAUAUGCUUUGUGUGAUUUGGGUGCUAGUGUUUCCAAGAUUCCAAAAACUUCGUGUGAUUUGCUAGGUUUCCGUGAUUUUGAUGAUUGUUCUUUAAACUUGUACCUUGCGGAUUCCACUAUUAAGAAACCAAUGCAAAGAAUUAAUGAUGUUUUUAUUGUUGCAAAUAGGAACUAUGUGCCCAUAGAUUUCAUUGUUCUUGAUAUAGAUUGCAAUCAUUCAUGUUAUUCUUGGUAGACCUUUCCUUAGAACGAUCGGUGCAAUUAUUGAUAUGAAGGAAGGGAAUAUUAGAUUCCAAUUUCCGUUAAGGAAAGGCAUGGAACACCUCCCUAGAAAGAAAAUUAAAUUACCAUAUGAAUCUAUUAUGAGAGCCACUUAUGGAUUUCCUACCAAAGAUGGCAAUACCUAGAUCUAUUCUUGCUUUUAUGCCUAGCUAUAGGGGCGUUAAACGAUAGUGCUUGUUGGGAGGCAACCCAAUUUUAUUUUUAUUCCUUGCUUUUUUUUCUCCUUUUUAGUAAUAAAUAAUUUAUAUAUCCUAUGUUUUGGUUGUGUUUUUUGUGUUUAAUUAGUGUUUCUGCCAAGUAGAACCGUUCGGAGGACUUGGGGAAAGUCUUUUUGAUCUUGCUGUAAAAAACAGAAACUUUAGCACUCAUGCGAAUUGCUGCCAUUUUUAUUUGGAGAUUGAUAUUUAGUUAAUUCUUUUUGCAGACGAUUAAUAGAUAAAUUCCUCACAUCCAGAAAUUUAUUUUAGAAAUUUUGGGGUUCCAUAAGUUGCAUUAGUUACAGAUUACUACAGACUGUUCUGUUUUUGACAGAUUCUGUUUUUCUUGUGUUGUUUGCUUAUUUUGAUGAAUCUAUGGCUAGCAAAGAGUUUCGUCCCGAAAUUUUUCUUCUUAAUUUUUUCUCGGCGAAAGACUUCAUAUAGGAGAAGAUGGUCAUCGGAGAGCCACCAGGGGGCCCACGAGGUAGGGGGGACGCGCCCUAGGGGGGGCGCCCCCCACCCUCAUGGGAAGGGUGUGGGCCCCCUGGUCUUCUUCUUUGGCGAGGAUUUUUCAUUAUUUAUUAUAAGGUAUUCCGUGGAGUUUCAGGACUUUUGGAGUUGUGCAGAAUAUGUCUCUAAUAUUUGCUCCUUUUCCAGCCCAGAAUUCCAGCUGCCGACAUUCUCCCUCCUUAUGUAAACCUUGUAAAAUAAGAGAGAAUAGCCAUAAGUAUUGUGACAUAAUGUGAAAUAACAGCCCAUAAUGCAAUAAAUAUCGAUAUAAAAGCAUGAUGCAAAAUGGACGUAUCACCAAACCAGUUAAAACGGCCGAGUCCGGACCAGUGAUAGACUUCAUAUCCGGGGUUGUACACCUUUACGGCGUCCCCCACAGCAUCAUCACCGAUAACGGCUCAAACUUUACAACCGACGAUGUAAAAACUUGGUGCAGGAAAAUGGGCAUUAAGCUCGAUUAUGCCUCUGUCUAUCACCCGCAAACUAACGGUCAAGUCGAGCGAGCAAAUGGUCUUAUCAUGAGCGGCAUUAAACCCAGAUUAGUGCGAUCCUUGAAGGAAUCAGAUACGCACUGGGUGGAGGAGCUUGACUCUGUACUAUGGGGGCUGCGGACCACGCCGAAUCGUACUACCGGAUACACACCAUUCUUUAUGCUGUACGGUGCAGAGGAGGUACUGUCCUGCGACAUUAUUCAUGACUCACUGUAAUGCCCCAAGACCGAUGCUCGAGAAGACUUCCUUAGGUUCCGGGUUUCUUCGUGUGUUUCAUUUUUGCUUGCUCCUUUUAUUUUCGCAUUGCAUCAUGUCAUCAUGCAAUCAUAUCAUUAAUUUUUGCAACUCAACUAAAUAAACCGUAUGGAUGUUCGAUCCGUUUAAAUUGAGGGAACUCACAUGGUGGUUUCUCUUUAAAACAUACCCUCCUGAUAUUUAGGGAGAUAUUAUAAAUUAUUCCAUUUUUGGAAUCACCCUUAAACACACUUGCAUAUUCCCCAUGUAUUUUCUAGUUCAAGCUUGACUUCAAAACCUUGCCAAAAAUUCUCUUCCCACUUACCGAGGUUUCUCCAAAAAUCUGAACAUUUCUGGUGCACUUCAAAACCCUAGCCCUAGUUCAAACCAUUUGAUUAAACUCAAAUGAGUUUGAAUUCAUAUCUUCGGAUCUUGCCACUUCUAAUUUUCUCGGACCAUGCACAUUUUUAAGAGUCCGGGAAAAUUGUCCUCGUGCCCAGAUUCCGCCCCUACCGUCUCUUUAUUUUCCUUCUCUUUCCUUGUUUUUGUUUUAAAAAGGAAAAGAGUGAGAGAGGAGGAAAGCCAGCCCAGCUGGGCCUCCCUCCCUCAUGCGCCGGCCCAAGGCCAGGCCCAAUCAGUAGCCCAGCCGCGAUUUUUUGUCCAAAAGGACCCCCUGCCGAAUGCUAUUGUCAAAAAGGACUAUCUGCAGAUAAAAACGUCAAAAAGGACCCCCUGACUAGUGGCGGCAGGUGCGGCAGGCGACACGUGGCACCUGCCGCCACUAGGUGAGGCGGCAGGCCCCGCCGCCACCGCAGGAGGCGGCCGCGCGGUGCACAACGGGUUCUCCCACCGUGCAGUAGCUGUGACGGAACGGGCCAGGAGAGGCGGGCCCGGCCGCCACUAGGUGAGGCGGCGAGCUCUGCCGCUGUCGCUCCCCGUCCGACAGCCUCAGCUGCGCGCGGGCCGAGGCGUGGGCCAGGCCGCCACCGUAGGAGGCGGCAUCUUUCUUCACGCCCGACGCAUUUUCCUAUUGCAGAUGGCGCUGAUUCCCGUGUGCAACAGCGACCUGACGGCGGUGAUUCCCACGAGCGGGAAAAUGCAUGCUGAUGCUUCUUUCGCCCAAGAAUCAGUCUGGCUAUUGCUUGAGAGGAUGCGACGGCAUCAGUCACUCGCUGCGGGAAUCCAAUACUGCGGGAAGCUAUUGUGCCGACACUACAGGGAUCCUAAAAUUUACUGCUUAAUUUUCUCGCCAUUAUUUAUCGUCUGGGCUUAUAAAAGGAGACACCGAGGCUCUCGUCCAGCCAUCCUUGAAAUCGCCACUGCGCAAAGUGUAUAACACAUUUUUUUCAGUCGGUAUGAGUUUGCCUUGCUCAGAUCAAAGCAUUAGGCCGAGGAAAAUGAAGAACGCAAGUUUGCCUCCUGGGGUGGCAGUCCUGCGAUGUUGGUGUGGCGAUCUUUUCAAGGUGAAGGAGGUGACGGAUUUUUCAGAUUGGUUGGGCAUGAAGUUUUUCAUGUGCGCCAAUUAUGAGGAAGAUCCUGCCGUAGCUAUUUCAGAGUACGACAAGCCUCCAGUAUGCUUUAACCAUCACAAAUAGAUAUUGUUGGUAUUUUCAUUGAUUCUUUAGUAACAUUCUUGUUUGUUGUUGUAGUCUCCUCCGCCUCUGUGCAUGUACUAUCAUUGGAUUGACACGGAGAAGCCGGCUUGGGCAGUGACUGAGAUUCGUGAAAGAAGUCGCCGUGCGUGGAAUAGUUUAUUUGCGGAAGAGCGACGCGAGAAGGCGGAAGCUGAGGAGAAAGCAGAGCAAGAGAGAGAGUUAAAAGAAUACUAUGCGGAGCAACACCGUUUUUUUGAGGAAAUGGGAAAGAAAAACAGGGAAGAGGCUCGUCGCAUGGAGGAGCAGGAACGACAGCGAAAGGAGGCUCGUGAGGCAGAGAGGCAGAGAAAGAAAGAAAGGGCUCGUCAGGCUAAGGCAACAGAAGAAGCUGGCGAUGGAAAAGGAAAAUAUCCACGCUGGACUCAGUAGAUUCCUGUGGUAGUAUUUAAAAUUCCGCAAUCAUUUGUAUCUUUAUUUCUGCACUUUAAUGUAGCUUUAUUUCAGGAGUUAAAUGUAGGUAUAUUCCUACAAUGUAUCUUAUUUUCAGUUGUGUCGUGUCGUAAUGGAAAAAAAUAUAGUUUAAGAAUAAAGUAGUGGCAUUUUCUUUCCCUCCACUAAUAUCAAACAUCGUGCAACAACUACAAAAUAAAUUUAAGAUAGAACAUAAUGCCCUACAAUAACAGAGUACAAACUAAUAAUGCAAGUACAUCCGAAUUAAACGGUAGAACUGGAAUAAAACUACAUGAAGACAUCAUCGUCAUCCUCCAUCGAUGCAGAACUCUUGCCCUUCGAGGAUGUAGAACUCUUACCCUUGGACGAUGCAGAACUCUUGCUCUUCGAGGAUGCAGUACUCUUGCCCUUUGACGAUGCAGAACUCUUGCCCUGUGAUGAUGCAGCACCCGAAAGCGGCGGCAUGAAGAUAUCAUCUUCAUCCUCGCUCUCCUCAGUCCAUAAAAAUGGAUGCAUUUCUGCAGUCCUUCUAAAAGUUUCACUCUUCGGCUCCACUACAUUCUUCCACCUUGCAUGCAACCUAAGAAGUUCUUUACGUACCUCCUCAUAGGUCCUUUCAGGCCACCCAGACCUACGUAAUUGGUGAGCCAACUCAUUCAUUAUGGUGUCACUACCGGUGAGUUCGUCCCAUGGAACUAUCCUAUUGUCCAUCCUGAAAUUGGUAGCUAGCCUCAAAAGAGUCCUGCUCAUCCCAGGGUGAAAACUACGAUCGAAAGGAUAAUGGGACAUCUCGACUACACUACACUCGAAUGCUUAUCCACCUCCGUCUGAAGGGGGUUUUAUAGGUAGAGAGGAGAAAAUGGCGGGAAAGAACGAGUGCAGUAUGGCGGGAAAGGGUUGGCGGGAACAUAUGGCGGGAAACGAGUGGCGGGAAGAUAUGGCGGGAAGGGGUUGGCGGGAAACGGGUGGCGGAACAUAUGGAGGGAAAGCGUUGGCGGGAAAAUAUUGAGGGGAAAGCGUUGCCUGAAAAUAUUGAGGGGAAAGCGUUGACUGGUGCAUUUUUAUUUCAGCAAACAUAGAUGUUCAAAUCGAAAAGUCUGAUACACACAUAUAUAGAUACAAUGGGUCGCGCACGUGCAUAGAUGAAUCACCGUACUUAACGACGACCACCUGGCCUUUCCUUACGACCGGAAGGCGACAAGCGAUUAGGUGGCCGGGUCACACGAAGACCGCGGCCGUACUCCACUUCGGCUUCAUGUGUCUGCGAGUCCUGCGUAGGUGGUGGAGUCGCGAAUCCUUGUUGUGAACCUGAAGCGUAAUUGUAGGCGUAUGGUUGUGACUCCGGGGGGAUAAAAGAUGGGCCAAUAACAUCCCCUCCGAAGAACUCUGUAACUAAUGAUGUAACCGUGUCGCCAAGAUCAUGUGAUGCUCCCCGGAGGCCUGUGUUGACGCCAUGAUCAUGUGAUGCUCCCCGGAGGCCUGUGUUGACGCCGCGUUGGGUGUUCUCAUCGCCCCAAUUAACAUCAGGUGUGUCCUGCACAUAGAAACAUUUUAAUCAAACUGUUAGAGGAUAAUAUAUGAUAUCAUUGUAAAUGCAUUGAAAUGUAAACAUGACUACCUGAGCAUAUCCCUCUCCUAUACUGUCUGGCCAUUGUACUUGGUGCUGGUUUAAAUCUGGUACACGAGUCUCCUCGGGCAUGGGGAUCCCUCGCGUGGAGAGAAACGGCUGAGAUCCCUCACCUUGGGUGUAUGCAUCAUAUCCUGUGUACACAUAUGGGUUAGGGGAAAGAAACUGCUCGGGCAUCGAAUCCAAGCCCGUGCCAUGGUCCUGAGAUGUUUGCCCCUGACGAAGCUGCAUCGAAGAAGAGCGAUGCAGUGGCAGAGAUGAGUCAUGUCGUGGCAAUGUCGUUCUAGUACUCGGACCCUCCCCCCAUUGCUCAUGGCUCGUACGCGCCUCGCUCGGUCUGGACGACGGUGCCGCACUCGGUCUGGCUGACCUCGCUACCGGCAUGUAUGCUCCAGUGGCAACGUCGUCGCCUCUACCGCAUCUGAACUUCUUUGCCACGAAUUGUUGCAAAAGUUUCUGGAAUGUCUUGCGAUAUGGGCCCUGGGCCGGCAUGCUAUCCGUAGCCAUCUGCCCUACUUCGUUGACAUUUUCAAGCUGAACAAUAUUUGGAUGUUAUUUAGUUCCAAUGAUUAUGAAAUGAUGGACCUAAAAAAGUUACAAGUGAUUACUAGGUAGUCACGAUAGUAAGCUGCAUGCAGCUCAACAUGUCUCCGCGCCUGCUCCUCUUGUGUGAGAUGUGUUGGUAUAGUAGCUGGCUGACUGGCCAGGCUAGCACGUGUGUUCAUGCAGUACCACUCCUUGUACGCUUGAUCUGUACUUCCAUCGUACGGCCUGCAAAAUUAAAUAAUUACAUAAACCUUUGUGAUGAAAGCAAAGCAUCUUCACGCAUCGUAUGAUCAUCGUAAAAAAAUAAUGUACAUAAAAUAUACCUAAGUUCACGCACUAUAUCUGCUAGCGCUUCAUUUGUCCACUUGUGUACCCAUUCACUGUUCUCUUCCCUCCAAUCGUAUAAACUCCAACCCCUGCCCAUAUUGGUUAGCCUGCAAAUAUGUAACAAAGUGUGAGUUUAGUAAAUUAAAAAUGACACUAACUAUUUAGGGAUGUCACAUCUUACUUAUGUGUUUCCUCAUCGAUACGUCUGGGAAAAGGUGGUGGAAUUUCUUGAUAGAGACCGAACUGUCUCAUUACACGCUCUGGGUUGUAAGGUUCAACACACCACAUGAACAAUAAGUUGCAGCGAGUCAGCCAGAAUGCACUAUCGGUCAACAUGCCUGGUGUGAAGUGUCGAGCAUCAAAGACCAAUUUUAGCUGGUCCUGAGUCCACGGGUUCCAUGUGACUUCUGCCUCAUCAAGUAUCUCAAACUGCUGGUGGUACAUAGGGUAACAAUUUUUCGCAAUAUCUGGAGACCAACGUUUCCGUGCCUUUGUCCACCUGGUGGCCAUAGUUGCGCUAGCACCCUCGCCAAAGUCAUAUGGGUAUAUGGGUUGUACUAUACGAGGUCGUCCUACAGGGAGGUAUUCCCAGGACCACAACUGUAGAAACUCAUAGGCGACACAAAGUAAUGGAGCUUUUUGUGCGAAAGAGGUUUUUUGCGUGGCAUCACACAAGCCUCUGUAUGUAUGAGAUAGCAUGGCAGAACCGAAGCUGUAUUUUGGCUGCUCGGGUAAAGGUUCAUCUACCAUAUUCUCUGCAAUGUAGAUGAGACCAGGGACAACAACGUCCCCAUGUGAAUUUGGAAAUAGAUUCCCGAGGAGCCACAACAAAUAUGCAAACAGAUGUCUUUUUCUCGUCUCCUCAUUGGCGAAGCUAGAUAAAUUAAGAAAGUUAUCACAAAGCCAGACGAGUGGGAUGCCCCGAGGGUUACCAGAACGUUGUGAUUCUGGCAUUUCCAUCCCAAGACGGGCUGCUAUAUCUAAUGCCCAAGAUGGAGACACUCGUGGAGAGACUACCGGCUCACCUCUAAUUGGUAGAGCAGUGAUCAUAGAAACAUCUUUCAGUGUAGGUGCAAGCUCCCCAAAACGAAAGUGAAAGGUGUGGGUUUCAGGUCUCCACCGGUCAACGAGGGAUGUCAAAAGGGAUGGGUCCGAACGUACUUGGUCGUCGCAUGAUGUGAGCCUAGCAAAACCUUGUAAUCCAUAAGCGUCAAGGUGAGCAAGGAAAUGAUUGUGUAUUGGCCAUGUUUUCUUUAUGGUUCGAAGUCUGAAAGGCCGAUAAUCAUGCUUAGUAUUUGGUUUCAAAAAUAGGUGGCAACGGUGCCCGGCGUCAUGGGGCCCCUGCAAAAGCACUGGCACUUCACCCAUAACCUGCACACAAACAUACAAAUAUAAAUUACGAGGAAGACAGAAAUACAAAUGCAAAUCUAAAUUAACUUAAAAAAUACAAAGAGAUACGAUUUACAUUAAUUAUCUGAAGUUAACAUCAGGAGUACAAUAAUACAAAGAGAAUGAAUUUAAAUUCAAUAUAAGUACACAUAACGAGUAGAAAUAUAAAUAGACAUGGCGAGUACAUAUAUAUCAACAUCAUGCGUUGUUGUUGGCUCGAUACGGGCAGUCUUUGCGUGAAUGUCCAGGACACCUGCAAACGCGGCAUCGCCUUGGUUCUCCCAUCUGGCUAUGGUCCAUGUCAUUGCGAUGACGCCUAGACUGACGUCGUCCCUUUGCGGUUCUCAUCAAGUCGGUGUUCGGAACCCAUUUCGGCCCAUCUGGCCACAACAUUUUGUAGUUCAUAUCAAUGCCCCAAGCCCAGAACUCACCGUUCCAAGUGUUGUAUAGAUUGUACAUGUUAAAGUACGGCGAUAUGUAUGGCUCGACGCUGAUUUUUUGAACAGCAGCCGCCCGGAGCACAUGACUGCAAGGGUAGCCCUCAAGCUUGGGCUUGUUACAAGUGCACUCACAGGAGGUUGAGCCAAGGGUGACAGCUUGCUUUUUUGAUUCUCUGUGGUGACCCUUAACGUACUUGGCUCGCACAUUGACCUCCCACUUAUUCCUAAGUGCGUCCACUUUCCUGCAGCCAUGACUUUGGGACUUCUUUGCUUUCUCGUCCAGAUGUCUUUGCAUCUUCUCGGACCAUGGCUUGUUCAAUUCAACUUGUGCUUUGGCGACGGUGACCCUGUCUGCAAAGUAUGACAGGGUCCGGUUCCAAGUUUCUUCAAUUAGGGCUGUGAUAGGCAGUGCUCGCACCCCUUUAAGAACACCAUUGUACACCUCUGACAUGUUGCUGGUCAUUAUUCCAUACCGAGCCCCGGUGUCGUGAGCCUGUGCCCACUUCUCCAAAUGAGGGCAAUUCUCGGUGAUCCACUGGCUCAAAUUUAUGACCGUCCUACGACCCCUCCGGUCUUCUCUCUGCGGCAAGGCCGCGCGGUCGAUCUCACCAUUGAUACCUGCCCAUAUCGCAUUCAUUUUGGCUACAGUUUUUUGCAUGCACAUCCUCUUGAAUAACUUGAACCAAUCCUUGUUUUUGAAUUUGGAGUAAAAGUUUGCUGCCAAAUGCCUCAUGCACCACCUUCCCUCUAGAUCGGGCCAGCCCCACUCUUCUUCCGACGCCUUAAUUAUUUCAAGAGCGCUUAAUAAUCCAGUGUUGCGAUCAGAAAUGAUGCAAACACCUUUACGCUCUUUCACGACACCCAUCUUCACGCAGCUCAGGAACCACAACCAGCUAUCUUUGUUCUCGCUCUCGACCAAUGCAUAUGCAAUAGGAAGAAGCUGAUUAUUUGCAUCCGCUGCAAUCGCCACCAAUAGUGUGCCCUUGUACUUUCCAGUGAGAAAGGUACCAUCAACAGAUAAUACCGGGCGACAGUGCCUGAAGGCUUGUAUAGUCUGGGCGAAUUCCCAGAAUAAGCGGUCCAGGAUUAGCUCACCCGGGUUCAUUGGGUUUGGACGUUCUCUCCGCCAAACUUGAGUCCCCCUAUUAGCACUUGCUAUUUGAUGAAGCAUUCUAGGGGCAUAAGAAUAUUCCUCCUCAUAGGUACCAUACAAGUUCUUAAAUAUAUUUUCCUUCGCAUGCCUAGCCUUGCUGUAGCUAACAGGGAAUCCAAUUAGAUCCUCUGCAUCUUUUUGCAGAGCCCUAACACUAAUGUUGAGACUUCCCUGCACAAUUGUUUCCAUCGUCUGUGCCACAAAUUUUGCUGUCACAUUGCAGUGAUCUGAAAGAGUCCCAGUUUGCUCACAGGUAUGCUCCACUAUUUUUGUGAUAUGCCAUGACUGACAUACCCCAGGCUUCAGUCUAGCGAGAACUCUUCCGCGGCAACCUUUCGCGGUGUGGAUGCAUAUGACCUUCAACUCUUUUUUAUCAGACUGCUUCACUCUAUGCUGGCGGUGGAUGCCGAUUGCAUAGCUACCCAUUGCCUGGUAAGCAGACUUCUUAUCUGGGAAAACUUGCCCAACCUCCAGGCUUCCUGCUCCUAGGCCAGAAGCAGAGUGAAAUUCGUUGGUGAUGCUCAUAUCCUGUAAAAACCCAGGUUGCAGUGCCGCCGCGACCGCCCUCUGAGGAGGAACAUCUUCUUCUCCGCUUGACUCCGAAGACGCAGAAGAAUGAUCAUCAUCAUCUAGCGCCUCCGGCAAUCCCUCCACGUGUUCACUCAUGUCAACGGCCGCCGACCAAUAUCCUGUGUCAUACACAGGCUGGCCGCCCGUCGGUUCCGAUGGGCCGAUGCUAGGGGCUGAUGUGAUGGCCAACUCGACCUCACCACCCCUGCUACUGCAUCCGGCAACAUCAGUGACUGAAAUGAACUCCACAUACACCAUCGGCUGACCAUAUAUUGAGUUAUUGGGAUUGCUUGCAAACCUCAUGUACGACCCCCACGACCGAUCACCUGUGACAGGCCGCAAACCCCAACGGGCAACUGUCCCAUCAUUUCCUCCGUCAAUGACGAAGGCCUCCAUUGUCAUUUUUUUUUCCUGCAUCACUGGGCCAAACACCGCUCGGAUGCACCUUCUAACAGUUGCGUAACCCACGUUGACCAUGUCUCUCACCACUACUGUAGUCGACUCGCAGAAGGACACAUCCACACCGCAUGGACCGUCGCGUAAGACGUUCCCAUAGUACACUACUAAAUUUUCCAUAGUACCUAACCAACAUACAUGUUUACAUUUCAAAUAAUUAAUAACUGAACAUUUAGUAACGAUGACAACAUUUACAUAUCUUACGACUAAAAUAAUAAUUGUAUUUUCAUUAGAAAUAUUCGGUUUGUUUUUAGAAUCAUUUGCUUAGACUUUAAGGGGUUGUUUGGUUAACGGGUAUUUAAAGAUCUAUUUUUCUCAAACUUGUCUACGAGCGUAACAAACUAAAACUUUGUUUGCUUUUCUCUAACUACCCCAAAAAUAUCCUAAAAUAGUUCUCGUAACAUGCAAAAACUUAGCUUCUGGAAAAACGACUAUUAGUAAAAUGUGGUUUUCUACAUAAUUUCCUUACAACAGGUUAUGACAAAACUGAGGGUAAGUACUCGCUAGCCAAACAACCACUAAACAUAAUAUUACGAUAAUAACAUUUAAAUAUCAUAUGAGUAAAAUAUCUAAUUUCUUCCGGCAUGAUAUAAUGUUUUUCAUAUCAUACGAUAAAAUUCAUUUAUUUACAAAUAAUAAUAUUUGCAGCGGCAUGACAGUACAUCAAUAUAAAAAAUAUUAACAAAAUUACGGCGUCAUUUUAUACCCAUGUUAUGACAAAACUCAUGGUAAUUACUCGCUAUCCAAACAACCAGUAAACAUAAUAAUACGAUAAUAACAUUUUAAUAUCAUAUGAGUAAAACAUUUAAUUUCUUUCGGCUUUAUAUAAUUUUUUUCACAUCAUACGAUAACAAUCAUUUAUCUACAAAUAAUAAUAUUUGCAGCAGCAUGCACAUUAUUCACAAUACUACAUCAAUACAAAAAAUAUUAACAAAAUUACAGUGUCAUUUUUCACCUUAGCUGCAAUAUGGAUGUGCUUGCGAAUGCAAUUAAGCGUCAAAAUAGUUCCAAUAAAUAUCCGUCGCCGGUACUAUAUGAACCUCGUCAACCUAUUAUCACAUUAACAACAAUAUUACACACGGAUUUUUCUUCCUGCUAACAAAAGUAUGAAAAUAGCACUUUCAUGCAUGGGUUCAUCACCUCAAAAUGGGACAGCGAAAAUGGAAACACAGUUUCUUCAAUCACGUCUUCUCCUCCUUGUUUGAUACUAAGAUGAAUUAUUUUACCUAAUUACAUACAUCAUACAUUAGCACCUAAUCUUAACAUAUAAAAUUUAGAUUAUUGCGACUUAUUAAUAAACAUACCACAUAAAAUAACAUACCACAUGAAAUAACAUACCGCAUGCAAUAAACAAUUACAGUACAAUUUUUUCUUAAUUACCGUAUUAAGAUUUCCCGCAUGUCAAUACUAAUGGACGCACCUAACAUUGAUGCAACAUCUUCAACCUACUAUUUCAAAAAAAUAGUUUAAAUGCUACAUCUCUCGUCUGAAAUUAUUUCUAACCUCUAAGCACUACCAUCACAUAGCUAAUAACGAGCUAAAGGAUGAACUAAUUACCACCCUGCAUGCAUAAAUAAAUAAAUGUAUUGCAAAGCUCAUACCUUGAUCUUCAACUUCGUAGUUCACUUUGCACGGCUAUUCCUACUACAGAAACUCCAAAUGACUCCUCCAAGUGCUGAAAUAAUGCCUAAAGCAACAUAGAAUACACACUUAGGAACUAAUCAAAUAGAAUAAAAACAUCAUGCAUGCGAAUGAAACCAACAAAAAUGGAUAGAUCUUACCUUAAUCUAUCUUUUCUUCAACUUCAUCAUCCUCAAAAUCCAACUCUAAAUCACCCUAAAUCACGAGUGAAAGUGCUUACUGAGCUUUCUUUUCUCUCUGUACUUAGAGACUUAGAGAGCAAAGGAGAGGAACGAGGUUACAGAGUGCUUGCGCACGGAGCUGAAGCAUGGCAUAUAAAAGGGAGAGGAUCCCUGUAGUGUCGGCAGCCUCGGAUUCCCGCGCGUGAAAAUCAACAUCAUCAGCAACAGCAUGCAAGGAGCAAAAGCAAAGCAACAAGCCACUCGUGAAAUUCGUCGUUUGCCGCGCGUGGGAAUCAGCAAAAGCAACAACAAUCAGUGCCAGAGUGAUUCCCGCCCCGCCAGUUUUCGCGCGUGGGAAUCAGUGCCAGGACCUCGCCUUCCGUGCACAGUCAGAGCGCACCAGCUGCUGUCGACAGGGGUGGCCGCCUCAGCCAGUGGCGGCGAGGCCCACCAGCGGGGCCCGCUCGCAUCAGGGCCUGUCGCCCAGGCAGCGACCGCGCCAGGGCUGGCCGCCUCGCGCGGUGGCGGCCGGGCCCACCUGGCCCGCCCCGUUCCGUCGUGGCGCGAUGCAGAGUGGAGAUUCCGUUGUGCACCGCGCGGCCGCCUCCUGCGGUGGCGGCCGGGCCCGCCGCCUCACCUAGUGGCGGCAGGUGCCACGUGUCGCCUGCCGCACCUGCCGCCACUAGUCAGGGGGUCCUUUUUGACGUUUUUAUCUGCAGAUAGUCCUUUUUGACAAUAGCGUUCGGCAGGGGGUCCUUUUGGACAAAAAAUCCCCAGCCGCACCCCACUCCUUUUCUAACCCUAGCCCGAUCCCCUCGUCAUCUCCCUCUCCCUCGUUUCUCUCCCCUGCCGCCGCCAGGAAGCCGAUUCCCUCGAUCGUCCCAUCUCCCCCUCGAUCCCUCUCCUCGCCUCGUACAUAGGCGCGGCCAUCUCCCCGACCCCCCUGCACGAUCCAUGUCGCCCUCCUCUCCUACCUCGCGCCUCUGCUUCUCAUCGCGUCGCCCAGAGUGCUCUCGCGCCGCCACCAUGGCUCUGCCGGACACCGGCGACCAGGGGCGCCGCCACCAGUUCUCCACCUCGCCUGGAGCUCGAAGACCGCCCACCACAGGUGCCGCUGCCGGCUGCCGCCCCAUCACCAUGCGGUCCUCCUCCACCUCCGUUCCAUGGCGCUGCGGCCCUGUCGUUUUCCCCUGCCUCUCUUUUGCGCCAGGGACUUGAGCCCUCCACCGUGUGGCGCCGCCUUGCUGCCUUCCCCGCCAUCGGCUUGCUACCUUCGCCGGACCUCCUCCGCCUCCAAGGUCGCGCUGCUCUGGCCGCAACCACCUCCGGUCUUCAACCCGGACGCCUGACCCGGCCAUCUUCAGUUGCUACCUCGCUGGCUUCGUCACUCCUCUUGUCACUGCCAAGACAUGACAACCAGGGAAGCCCAAGGCCGCCUUUGUGGUUUUCAUCAAGUUCGACCGCCGUUGGACGAGGGUUUUUGCCUUGCUCAUUUUGGGACGCGACAAGUUCCUCUUCGAAAGUACGUCUACAUGAUGAUACGAGAACAAGUACCGUCGACCUCCGAAGUACAUGCGCUUUGCCAAGUACCACUACCGUCGCCCCGAAAACGUUGGAGUCAUCAAGUACCUCUCCGAAACGAACGUGAAUGACUACUGUCGCAAGAACGGGAUCGGAAAGUCCGAAGACCCUAAGUACCUCGACACCGAUGACAUGAACGUCUACGGAAACUCGUGCAACGAUAAACAUGUACCACUACCGUCGCCGAGAUCGCGAGAACCUCUACCGUCGACCCUAGAACGUGCGAGAACGACUACUUCGACUACCGUCGCGUGAACCACUACUUCCCUCGACGUCCGAGAAUGUCUACUUCCACUACUUCCUCUACGCCAACUCGAACCGCUCCGAUAAUGCAUGCUUCAGAGGUAUAACGUCGAGACGACCGUCGUGGACGAAUGCUUGCGAUGUUUGAGAUGCUCGUGUUUGCGCAGUGUCCAAACUGUCACUCGUUUCCUUGUCGCCAACUCAUGGGACACUGAAUUCGGGAGCGCCCCACCAUCUUUUGCACGCAUCCGCACACUUCUCCUUUUGCAUCGGUUUCUCAAUCAAGUACCGGAACCAAAAUGUUGCCAUGGCAUCAUUACCGUUUCGACGUCGUGGCACCCCUUUCUUUCUACCACGAUGACAAAUGCUUCAUAAAAUGCUCGUAUCAACAUUUUUCAUAAAUAUUGCAUAAAACUUGCACAUGUCUUUCGCAUCAUGAUAAUAACAUUUAAAGGUUUAAAAAUUGUUGUUGCACCAUAUUGAUAAAUGCAUAUGGGGAUCUACCGGAUUCGUUAUUUGUUAUAUCCGGCCCCAUUUAAAUUGUUUAGAUGGUGUAGUUUUGUUAUGCCUCAUCUCUUGCCAUGUUUAACAACAUUUAAUAUUGUUGGGUACCUAAACGAGAGAGAACUAAAUAAUUGAUGUGGUGUUCCGUCAAUAAUUGAUGUGGUGCAAAAGAUGGUGGGGCGCUCCCGAAUUCAGUGUCCCAUGAGUUGGCGACAAGGAAACGAGAGAGAGCUCCACUUAACUUGUAGUUUUGUUUGUGCCCUUUGUCAUGUCAUGCAUAUUUAAACCGGACAUGCAUCAUACUUGGUUGUGCAUCAUGCCAUGUUAUGUGAUGGUUGUUUACUAUGUUGUUUGCUUCUUUCCGGUUGUUUCCCUCGUUAGCUUCGGUUCCGUUCCGGAGUUGUGAGGAUCUGUUGGCUAUGUCCGUUUGUCUUCUUCAUGGACUCGUUCUUCUUCCUUGCGGGAUCUCAGGCAAGCUGACCAUACCCUCGAAAUCACUUCUAUCUUUUCUUGCUAGUUGCUCGCUCUUUUGCUAUGCCUAUGCUGCGAUACUUACCACUUGCUUAUCAUGCCUCCCAUAUUGUUAAGCCAAGCCUCUAACCCACCUUGUCCUAGCAAACCGUUGUUUGGCUAUGUUACAACUUUGCUCAGCCCCUCUUAUAGUGUUGUUAGUUGCAGGUGAAGAUGGAGUUUGUUCCAUGUUGGAACAUGGAUAUUUGUUGGGAUAUCACAAUAUCUCUUAUUUAAUUAAUGCAUCUAUAUACUUGGUAAAGGGUGGAAGGCUCGGCCUUAUGGAUGGUGUUUUGUUCCACUCUUGCCGCCCUAGUUUCCGUCAUAUCAGUGUUAUGUUCCCGAAUUUUGCGUUCCUUAUGCGGUUGGGUUAUAAUGGGAACCCCUUGACAGUUCGCCUUGAAUAAAACUCCUCCAGCAAUGCCCAACAUUGGUUUUACCAUUCGCGACCUAGCCUUUUUUUCCCUUGGGUUUUGCGGACUCAAGGGUCAUCUUUAUUUUAACCCCCCGGGCCAGUGUUCCUUUGAGUGUUGGUCCGAACUGAGCUGCCUGCGGGGCCACCUCGGGGAAACUUGAGGGUUGGUUUUAAUCGUAGCUAGUCUCAUCUGAGUGUGCCCUGAGAACAAGAUAUGUGCAGCUCCUAUCGGGAUUUGUCGGCACAUUCGGGCGGUGUUGCUGGACUUGUUUUACCAUUGUCGAGAUGUCUUGUAACCGGGAUUCCGAGACUGAUCGGGCCUUCCCGCUAGAAGGAAUAUCCUUCGUUGACCGUGAGAGCUUGUGAUGGGCUAAGUUGGGACUCCCCUGCAGGGAUUUGAACUUUCGAAAGCCGUGCCCGCGGUUAUGGGCAGAUGGGAAUUUGUUAAUGUCCGGUUGUAGAAAACCUGAAGUUGACCUUAAUUAAAAUGCAUCAACCGCGUGUGUAACCGUGAUGGUCUCUUCUCGGCGGAGUCCGGGAGGUGAACACGGUGUUGGAGUUAUGUUUGACGUAGGUUGUUUUAGGAUCACUUCUUGAUCAUAGUUCUCGACCGUGCUUUUGCCUUCUCUUCUCGCUCUCUUUUGCGUAUAUGUUAGCCACUAAAUAUGCUAGUCGCUUGCUGCAGCUCCACCUCAUACCUUUACCUUACUCAUAAGCUUAAAUAGUCUUGAUCGCGUGGGUGUGAGAUUGCUGAGUCCCCGUGACUCACAGAUAUUUCCAAAACCAGCUUGCAGGUGCCGUUGAAUCGUGCAGAUGAAGCAACCAAGCUCAAGGAGGAGCUCUAUGAAGAUCUUGUCCUUUGUGUUGUUUCGUUCUAGUUGAUCAGUAGUGGAGCCCAGUUGGGGUCGAUCGGGGAUCUGUGUAGCAUUUGGGGUAGUCUUCUUUUAUUUUGGUUCCGUAGUCGGACCUUGAUUGUAUUUGGAUGAUGUAAUGCUUUAUUCAUGUAAUUGUGUGAAGUGGCGAUUGUAAGCCAACUAUGUAUCUCCUUCCCUUAUGUAUUACAUGGGUUGUGUGAAGAUUACCUCACUUGCGACAUUGCUUUCAAUGCGGUUAUGCCUCUUAGUCGUGCUUCGACACGUGGGAGAUAUAGCCGCAUCGAGGGCGUUACACUCACCCCGAGUGCGCAUGUACGAAGAGAAAGAAUCCGAGCUUGAUUAGCAGGACAGUUUGGACGCCCUGGAGGAGGAGCGUGAUGUGGCAAAAGCCCGCUCCGCAUUCUAUCACCAACAGGCUCGGCAGUAUCAAAGAAGAGAAGUACGGGCCAAAACUUAUAACGUUGGAGAACUCGUUCUACGCCUACCAGAGAAGAAAAAGGAGAAGCUCAAGCCCAAAUGGGAAGGUCCCUUCAUUAUUGACAAAGUUCUGACCGGUGGAGUGUACCGUCUGCGGGAUGCAUCGGACAACCGACUCGAGCCAAACCCAUGGAACGCAGCCAGACUCCGAAGCUUCUACGCCUAGUGUCGGACCCUGUGUUCGUCUCCUUACCUCCGUCAAUUUUUAUAUAUCCGUAUUCUGUCUUUUCCUCCUUUCUUUCUUCCCUUUUUCUUCACGGCCUUAAAAGGUUAAAAUGUGUCUUGACUACACAAUCUUGACACGCUAGGCGUGCUCAUUAUACCUGGGGGCUUCUUAUACAGAAGCUUAAUAUAACUAUGUUCCGGACUCUAUGCGCCCCGCACAUGUGUUACUUUUCCACAUGUACCUUUUCUUCGCCAUUAUAUGCAUCGAUAUGACUUAAGUUUUGGCCAAGCUGGGUUGGCUGGCUCUUGUGUUUAUGCCCUAGGUUCCCGUUAAUUCAGCUAGGGCAUAAGGGGAGCACCUCUGCGAUUGUUACUUCCGGGUCAGCCGCAUGUGUACCUCAGACUGGGUGAAGCCGAAAGCUAGCGUUCUUAAGGGAAUAUUCAGUCGGUGAACAAAAGAUGACUUUAAAUUAUUGCAAUACAUGCCCCCAGAUGUUUAUAUCCUGCGUCUCUUCUUGCAGUUUGAACAUGCACAUUAAUGCAUGCGUACCCAGGGAAAGGAACCCUUAACGGAACUAUUCUCCCUGGAAGAUGUUUCUUACUAUCCAUGUAAUAUAACAUAGCUAGUUAGGUACUUGUCUGUUCAAGCACUAAUGACCCCUACGCCUGGUUUCCACACGUACCCCGGUUUUUACAUAACUGAGCGGGUAUUCGGAUACACUCCAGACUGUCGGGUCCGAAGGUCGAAGCGAAAAGGUCCGCCAUGACAAAUGAUUUACAAUCCGGCUAGGGACAAAAUAUGUCACUUGAAGUACAUAGUCACUUAGACUGACUAAAUUCUUCUUCUAUACCAUCCAACAGGCUGUCUAGCCUACAAUCCUAUUGAGAAUACUUUGCGGCUAAUUUCACCUAGUCAUACACCAAACUGACGGGGAUCUCUUUCCCAUCAGACCCCACAGGUCCGACCUCGGCCAUGUGGUUCGGGUCAGUCUUGGUAUAUCGUGUCUUCACCAUAGCCCAGGCUUCCCUCGCACCUUGUCGGCAGGCUGAUAUCUUCCAUAAUUGGAAGCUCCGCCUCGCUCCCUUGAGCAUCUCUACAAGCUCCCCCAUGCCUCCUGGGAGGGAGGCAGACGGCCACAAGGCUUGGGCAAUGCCCUACAUCACCUACCGAACUUGUUCGUGCAGUUGUGAGAGCUCUGGCAGAAGAUCACCCACAGACCCGGGCAUCUCCUCUGCGGGACGACCCGUCAGCAUACCAACAGAAAUAACUUUGUUAGCCGGUUUCUUCGCCGAACUAUAUAAAAGUUCGUUCGAUCACUUACUAAAAAUGCCGCGUCGAAGCCUCUUAUUCUCCUUUACGGAGUCAGCUAGCUGGGCCUGAACGUCUUUCAGUUCAACGCCCAGCUAGGUAUUGGCAUCUUGGAGAUCAUUUUUCUCCUGCCUAACACGCGUCAGCACGCGCUCGCCAGCCUCUAGCUGUCGUUGAGCAUGUUGCUCAUCCCCUCGCAUGACCUCCGGAUUCACUCCGGGGUCAUCUGCAGAAUCUAUUGUUAGAUUUGCAUACAUGCCGAAUACUAACCGGUACACAUCCUUCUUUUUGAUAGAAGCAAGUAUUACCAGAUGGGGCCUUCGCGGACUCCUUCAUUCUGGCAACUGUGGCCCGCAGCUGGGCUUUGCACUCCUCCAGCUCUUGAGACAACUGGGUAUUCUUCUCCGUAAGAGCCUACACAAAUAAUGAUCCUUAAAUCAGUUGUGUCAACUAUUUCAAGUCUCAGGGGCUACUGGUAUAUAUAAUUAUCAGAUUUUCUUAACCGUAUAUCCUUUACAUACUGGUCUGUGGCUCUGGCAACACCAUUUUGAGCAGCUCGGAUGUACGCGUCUCUUGAGUUGAAGGCAUCGAACGCCUCUUCAGAGAAACCAGGGUCACGGAGUACGGCCCGGCGGCGCCUGUGAUUCAUGGCACUCUCCACUUCGGAAUUCGUAGCGGACAGCCUAUCCGCAUCAUCUGUAGGAGGAACAUCCGGUGUUGUCCCCACGUUAGAGUCUGCCCCUAAGUCCGGCUCUGGAGUCCGGCUGGUGGAGGCAUGGCUGGCAGGCUCUCCAGGCACGGUCCGGCGAGUGUUUUUUCUGCCAGGAACCAUGGACGUUAUUAUAUUUUAAAGACGACAAACCACGGAGCGGGGUUUUUUUCAUACCUCUGCGACGUCGUCUCAGUCCUGACCGCCUUCCUUUUAAGCAUGUCCGGUUUCGGUGCCCCUUGCUGGUGAGUCACUGCGGGUUCAGCAUGGCGUCUCGAGGGCCUUCCCUGUAGGACACCAUAUGUGUGUGAUAGGUGAAGUGCAAAAAAGGGAUCCUUCUCGUAAGUUGGGACUCCGAUUUUACUUACGUGCGAUGCAGGGAGCAGGCUCGGAUAAUCGGCAAUGAUAGCCACCAGGGCACCGUCGCAGCUCAACUGAUAGAACGUCAUGUCGAUGAGUUCCACGAAUAUGUCCAGAUCUUCUUCGAGUACAGGGUCGAGGGCCCGGUCAGGGUCCUCUGGCUGUGGAAACGGGCUAUGGACCUCCCUCACGGCUUUUCGCAGUUCCUGCUAUGAAAUAGCAAGGUAAAUACUUAUAAUGAAGAAUGCAGGAAGAUCUGGAGUAAAAGGUAGCAGCUAACCCAGUUUGAGGAGUUGUACAUGGAGAAUCCAUCCCAUGGCUUAAUGCGGAUGAACUCCUCUUCCUCUCCUUUGUAUAAAUCGGGCAGUACUUUCGCUAGAGCGGCAGUGGAGUCCGCACCUUUACGGCCGCAGCGGGUGGCAUCGUCUUCUCCAUUGAAGUGCCACAUGGGUUGCCCCCGAUACUGCAGUGGCUGCACCCCCCGCAUUAUACAUAUUAACAUAACCUUGAUUAUUGUCAGUCCUGAUUUGGCUAGCAUUUCUAUCCUGCCCAUCAGGUAAAGGACCUCUCUGCUAUCUUCCUCCUGGGGGCUCCGAGGACACCAACUGCGGUGUUUCUUCAAAGGGGCAUUAUUGAACUCAGGAAGGCCCAUCCGAAUAGGGUCCGGAAGGGGGACGUCCUCCAUAUAAAACCACUCCGAAGGACAGUCUUCAAAUGACUUCUUCGGGGUACUGGAUAGGUAUCCGGUCCCGGCGACGCGGCAUAUUUCGGCUCCGCCCACUUGAUAUAUUGACUCCUUCUGUGUAUGUGGUACGAGGCAGAAUAGCAUUUUCCAUAGCUCGAAAUGAGCUUCGCAGCCCAGAAACAGCUCGCAAAAUGCGACGUAGCUAUCGAUGUGCAAUAUGGAGGUGUGAGUAAAGUUAUGCAGCUGGAGGUCGUAGAACUCCAGGAGCCCGCGGAGGAACGGAUGGAUUGGAAAUCCGAGUCCCCUCAAUAAGUAAGGGACAAGGCAUACCCGUUCCCCCAUGGACGGGUUGGGGAAGCUCUCCACUUGCUCCCCGCCAUUAUAAGUGGCUAGUCUGGCUCGGACGGGGACCAUAUACGCGAGAGGGAGAAAUCCCUGGGUCUGUAACUCGAAUAAUUGGCUGUGAGGGACGGAACACUUCUCCCAAUUGCCUGGCUUAGCGCUACAGGAGCGAGAGGAGGAGCUGCGAUGGCCGGCCAUGAUAGGAUGGGCUUUUCCGGGCGCGCUCCGAUGGAUACUCAUUGUGGGAGGAUGGUGUGAUCUGAUCUGAGGAUCCCCGACUCUUUAAAUAGGCACUUUGCUCACAGGGUUAGGGUGGCAACUGUAAAAAUGCCCUGACUUCUCACAUUCGCUCGACACGUGGAAGGUAGCCAUUAUUAAAGCACAGAAGCCAAGGAGUGCAACCUUUACGGGAAGCCGGACACAACUCGUACUCAUGAUUUGGAGGAGAACCCGCCUUGCAAUGCCGAAGACGAUCUGCGCAUCGCACUCAUCGUCAUUGAAGCUUGGUUCGGGGGCUAUUGAGGAAGUCCUGGAUUAGGGGGUCCUCGGACAGCCGGACUAUAUGCUUGGGCCGAACUGUUGGAUUAUGAAGAUACAAGAUCGAAGACUUCAUCCCGUGUCCGGGUGGGACUCUCCUUUGUGUGGAAGGCAAGCUUGGCAAUUCGGAUAUGUAGAUCUCCUCCCUUGUAACCGACUCUGUGUAACUCUAGGCCCCUCCGGUGUCUAUAUAAACCGGAGAGUUUAGUCUGUACGACAACAACAAUCAUAAUCAUAGGCUAGCUUCUAGGGUUUAGCCUCUACGAUCUCAUGGUAGAUAACCUCUUGUAAUACUCAUAUCAUCAAGAUCAAUCAAACAGGACGUAGGGUAUUACCUCCAUCGAGAGGGCCCGAACCUGGGUAAACAUUGUGUCCCCCGCCUCCUGUUACCAUUCGCCUUAGACGCACAGUUCGGGACCCCCUACCCGAGAUCCGCCGGUUUUGACACCGACAAGGUGUUGCCGAAAUUUUGUCUCGGAAUGGGGUAGAGCAUUGAGAAAGUACUCAAUCUACACAUACCCAGGCAUGAUUAGGACCUAUCUUUACCUAUUAGGGUGUAUGUUGCUGUAACACCCUCGAUGCGGCUAUAUCUCCCACGUGUCGGAGCACGACUUAGAGGCAUAACCGCAUUGAAGGCAAUGUCGCAAGAGGGGUAAUCUUUACACAUCCCAUGUACUGAAUAAGAAAGAGGUACAGAAUUGGCUUACAAUCGCCACUUCACACAAUACAUGAAUAAAGCAUUACAAUCAUCCAGAUACAAAUCAAGGUCCGACUACGGAACCAAAAUAAAAGAAGACUACCCCAAAUGCUAUAGAUCCCCGAUCGUCCCAACUGGGCUCCACUACUGAUCGACUGAAAGGAAACAACACAAUGGACAAGAUCUUCAUCGAGCUCCUCCUUGAGCUCGGUUGCGUCACCUGCACGGUAACAUCGGCACCUGCAAGCUGGUUUUGGAAGUAAUCUGUGAGUCACGGGGACUCAGCAAUCUCACACCCUCGCUAUCAAGACUAUUUAAGCUUAUAGGUGGGGUAAAAGGUAUGAGGUGGUGCUGAAGCAAGCACUAGCAUAUAUGGUGGCUAACAUACACAAAUGAGAGCGAGAAGAGAAGGCAAAAGCACGAUCGAUAAACUAUGAUCAACAAGUGAUCCUAGAACAACCUAAGUUCAAGCAUAACUCCAACACCGUGUUCACUUCCCGGACCCCACCGAGAAGAGACCAUCACGGCUACACACGCGGUUGAUGCGUUUUAAUUAGGUUAAGUGUCAAGUUUUCUACAACCGGACAUUAACAAAUUCCCAUCUGCCCAUAACCGCGGGCACGGCUUUCGAAAGUUCAAAACCCUGCAGGGGUGUCCCAACUUAGCCCAUCACAAGCUCUCACGGUCAACGAAGGAUAUUCCUUCUCCCAGGACGACCCGAUCAGACUCGGAAUCCCGGUUACAAGACAUUUCGACAAUGGUAAAACAAGACCAAGAAAGCCACCCAGAUGUGCCGACAAAUCCCGAUAGGAGCUGCACAUAUCUCGUUCUCAGGGCACACCGAAUAGGUCAAGCUACAAGUAAAACCAGCCCUCGAGUUGCCUCGAGGUGGCCCCGCAGGCUGCCCAUUUCGGACCAACACUCAGAGAAGCACUGGCCCGGGGGGGUUAAAUAAAGAUGACCCUUGAGUCUGCAGAACCCAAGGGAAAAAAAGGCUAGGUGGCAAAUGGUAAAACCAAUGUUGGGCAUUGCUGGAGGAGUUUUAUUCAAGGCGAACUGUCAAGGGGUUCCCAUUAUAACCCAACCGUGUAAGGAACGCAAAAUCCGGGAACAUAACACCGAUAUGACGGAAACUAGGGCGGCAAGAGUGGAACAAAACACCAGGCAUAAGGCCGAGCCUUCCACCCUUUACCAAGUAUAUAGAUGCAUUAAUUAAAUAAGUAAUAUUGUGAUAUCCCAACAAAAUAACCAUGUUCCAAACAUGGAACAAGCUCCAAACUUCACCUGCAACUAACAACGCUAUAAGAGGGGCUGAGCAAAGCAGUAACAUAGCCAAACAACGGUUUGCUAGGACAAGGUGGGUUAGAGGCUUGGCUUAACAAUAUGGGAGGCAUGAUAAUAAGCAAGUGGUAGGUAUCGCAGCAUAGACAUAACAAAAGAGCGAGCAACUAGCAAGCAAAGAUAGAAGUGAUUUCGAGGGUAUGGUCAUCUUGCCUGAGAUCCCGCAAGAAAGAAGAACGAGUCCAUGAAGAAGACCAACGGACGGAGUCGAGCGAAUCCUCACAAACGCGACGUUAUCGGAGCCAACCCGAAGAAGCAACACCAGAAAGGAGCAAACAACAUAGUAAACAACCACCACAUAACAUGGCAUGAUGCACAACCAAGUAUGAUGCAUGUCCGGUUAAUGAAGUAUGGCAUGGCAAAGUGCACAAACAAUCCUACAAAUUAAGUGGAGCUCAAUAUGCAACGGAGUUGCAUAUUGACGGAACACCACAUCAAUUAUUUAGUUCACUGUCGGUUAGGUACUCAACAAUAUUAAAUGUUGUUUAAACAUGGCAAGAGGUGAAGCAAAAGUAAACUACACAAUCUAAGCAAUUUAAAUGGGGCCGGAAACAUCAAACAACAAUUCCGGUAAAUCCCCAUAUGCAUUUAGCAAUUUAAAGCAAACAACAAUUUAAACAUUAUAAUUGUUGUUAUCAUGAUGCGGAUGACAUGAACAAGUUUUAUGGAUUUUUUAUUAAAAGUAGAUAAAAGCAUUAUGAAGCAUUUGUCACCGUGGUGGAAAGGAAAGGGGUGCCACGGCAACAAUAACGAAAACGGUGCCACGACAGCGUUCCGGUUCCAGUAACUCAAUUGAGAUACCGAUGCAAAUGAGAAGUGUGCGGAUGCGUGCAAAAGAUGGUGGGGCGAUCCCGGAUUCCGGGUGUCCCACGAGUUGGCAGCAAGGAAACAAGUGGCAAAUUGGGCACGGUGCAAACACGGGUAUCUCAAACAUCGCAAGCAUUCGUUCACGGACGUCGUCUCGAGGUUAUACCUUCGAAACGUGCAAGCGGGACAGUUCUCGUUCGGUGCAAAGUAGAGGAAGUAGACGUUCUCACGACGGCGAUAGUGGAAAUAGUCGUUCUCGCACGCUCUAGGGUCGACGAUAGAGGUUCUCGCGAUCUUGGCGAUGGUAGUGGUACAUGUUUAUCGUUGCACGAGUUUCCGUGGACGUUCAUGUCAUUGGUGUCGUGGUACUUGGGGUCUUCGGACUUUCCAGUCCCAUUCUUGCGACGGUAGUUGUUCAUGUUCGUUUCGGAGAGGUACUUGAUGACUCCAACGUCUUCGGGGCGACAGUGGUGGUACACGGUCCACGAGACAUCGAACGUUCGGAGUCCGACUUGCGGGUCUUGCCGACAUGAGGCAUUUUUGUGUAGACGAACUUGUCGCAUCCGAAGGGUCACACUUGUCGUCGUGGGAACUUGUUGAAUCCGAGGUCUUCGAGGGUCGUCGUGGUACUUGACGAUAUCCAGGACAAUCUUGUGACUUGUCGGUCUCGACGAACCGUCGGGGUACUUCGUCUCGGGUUUUGGCAACGGUAGCAUAACUUGCGUCGGUCGUCGUGGUACUAGGGCCCUGAUCUUGGCGUGAUCCAAAAAGAAGACACGAUGUUGCGGAAAGACACGAAAGUUCUCCCGGGGUCAAACACAGGGUCAUGCGCAGCGGUCGAGCUACUGCUGCUCGAUGCAGGGGGCUGUCGUAGGGGAGGUCGAGGUCGCCGGAAGCAGAGGCUGAGACGCACCGGAGGUAGUGGUGCUCGCAGGUGUAGGGCGACCGGUGCUGGGGCUCCUGCUGGGCGCAGAGGACGCCGGGUGCGGGGCGCAGGUGCUCGAGGAGCUCAUCUCCUCGAGCACUCGAGCGAUGGGGACUCGGCGAGGAGGAGGCGCGCUUGCGGCCUGGCGCUGCAGAGGGAUGCAGGAGGUGAGGCAAGGCAUCGGAGGGAGCUUGCGAGGCGGAGCGGAGCAGAGGCCGUCUAGCUGUCGUCAGGACGACACGAGUUGCCGGUGACGAGGAAGAAGCAGGGGCGACGGUAGCCGGCGGGGGCGCAGGCUCGCGAUGGCGGCGGCGGGCCGGCCUGGCACUGCGGGGCUGGCGGCCAUGUGAGCUGCUGCUCCUGUCACAAACGACGACGGCGAGCCGGCGAGAUGAGGGGGCACCGAGAGGAAGGGAGAGGCCAUGGAUCGGGCGAGAGGAGAGAGGAGCGUGGGCGCGGGCGCUGGAGGGAAGGAGAUGGGAUCGUGGGAGAGAUGGAUCGGGCUAGCGGUUCCCUGGCGGCGCGAGGAAACGAGGAGGAGUGGCAUCGUGAGGAGAGGGAGGUUGCGAUCGGCUAGGGUUAGCAGUGGGCUGCGGGUGGGAGCGCGGCUGGGCUUCCAGGGGUCUGCUGGGCCGGCCUGGACCAGGGGAGGUUUGGGCCGGACUAGGCUGCAGAUGGGCCGGCCAGCAGGGCUCUCUCUCUCUCUCUCUCUCUCUCUUAAUUUCUCUUUUCAGCAAAAGAGAUAUGCCAAAAAUAAUUAAGAGAAGAGGCCAUGGAGAAGAACAAAAUUAUGGAACAUUUUUGUAUGACUUUAUGGAAUAUUUCCACCUCAACAAAAAUAGUUUCGACAAGUUAGGAGAAUUUAAAUUCAAACUUAUUUGACUUGAGCCAAAAGAGAUUGAAUGGGGGCUAGGCUAAAGGGGUGUACAAAAAUGUUGAGGGUUUAGGAGGACCCUCGAAAAAUGGAGAAAGAACUAUUGCCAAGGUUUGGAGGUGAAACUAGAAGCAAAAGAACCCAACGGAUUUAUAUUGUGAGUGUGUUGUGGUCGAUUCCUAAAGAAUGGAAUAUUUAUUUUACCUCCAUAUACAUAUUGGGAGAUAUGUUAUAAAGAGAAUUUCACCAUGUGAAUAUCUCUCGAUUUAAAUGGACCGAAGAUUCAUCCGAUUUUAUUUGGUUGAGUUAAGAAAAAGAAAAUGACAUGAUGGUAUGAUAACAUGAUGCAAAGCUGAAUGCAAAGAACCAAACAAAACACAUGACGAAACCCGGAAACCCUGGAAGGCAUCUGAAGCUCCGGUCUUGGGACGUCAUAGUUGCAUGGACAUAAUAAAAUUGGCAAACUAGAUUACUCGAUGAAUAUACAUGCUGAAUUAUAUAUAUUUCUUGUCUAUCCAGUAGCUAAGAAAAAUGAGUGAUCGUGCAUGGAUGUACACCGGUCGCACUAGUCAGAAAGAGAUUACUAAUGAAUGGUUAACAAAAACCUAUGUCCGGUGCAAGAAUUGGGAAAAGAGGACACAAGAGGAAAUGGGCAAACACCUGCAGAAGAGUGGAUUUAUGCCCGAUUAUACAGUGUGGACAUUUCAUGGUGAGUCUUCCCAACAUGCCAGAGCUGAGGUGGUUCGUCGUCGCACCGAAGAGCACGGUACCGGGAUGGAAGACAUGGUGCAAAACUUUGAUGAUGCUCGGGAUUCGGACGAAGAGAUGGAGGAAUCUGCAAAGGCCUUCAAGGAAAUGUUGGAGUCUUCAAAACGUCCUCUUCAUGAGCAAACUAAGCAUUGUUAGCUGGAUGCCAUCUCACAAGUAAUGGCUCUGAAGACUCAAUUCAACUUGGGCAGAGAAUGCUACGACGCGAUGAUGACAGUAUUUAGACGCUUUCUACCCAAAGGCCAUAUACUGCCUGCAAACCUGUACCAGUUAGACAAAAUCCUCCGAGCUCUUAAGAUGUCCUAUGAGAAGAUACAUGCCUGUGAGAAAGGAUGUGCCUUAUUUAGGCUUGAGUAUGCGGACUUGAACUAUUGUCCCAUUUGCAAGUCUUCCAGGUAUAUUGUGGUAGACAACAGUAUUGGUGAGAAGACGCAGACCAAAAUCCCGGUUAAUGUUCUUCAGUGUAUGCCAAUCGUACCAAGACUUCAACGUCUUUUCACGGUCGAAGAGACGGCUAGUAGAUGACAUGGCACAAAAUGGGUAAAAGAACCGAACUAGAUGCAGAUGGGAAUCUGAUGAUGGUACACACAUCGGAUGAUGAAGCGUGGAAGUGCUUCGAUGCAUUAUAUGCGGAAAAAGUAGCAGAUCGAAGGCAUCCUCGAGUCGGCAUCAGCACGGCUAGGUUCAGUGUGUUUAGUUUGAUGGCAACCUAAUACAGUUGUUGGCCCGUAUUUGUAUUUCCACUCAAUCUCCCCUCGGAGAGAUUAUGCAAAGAAAGAACAUUUUCCUGACGUUGAUAAUUCCAGAGCCGUACUAUCCGGGGAAGAAUAUGAAUGUGUACAUGCAACCACUACUACAAAAACAGCUAUAGCCAAUAUGGACACUAAUGACGCACUGUACAUGUGGUGCGUCAUUACUAAAUACUAAUGACGCACCAUGUGUUGGUGCGCCAUUAGUAUGCAAAUACUAAUGGCGCACCACAUCCACGGUGCGCCAUUAGUAAAAAAAAUUAUUUUUUUUCAAAACUACUAAUGGCGCACCGUGGGAGUGGUACGCCAUUACUAGUCCCACGGUGCGCCAUUAGUAACUUGGCCACCACUUCGACCGAAUGCACCCCCCGGUGGACCGCCUUUUCAGUUUCAAAAAAAAAUGAUGGAAAUGUCAAAAAAAAGAAAAUAAGUUUCCCAUGUGAUAUGUGGUCUAGUUGUUGUGAAAAUUUACAAAUAUGAAUCUCGACUUUAUUUGCGAAAUCUCUCGAGAAUUUGUAAAAUGGGCAUAACUUCUGCGUACGAACUCGGAUGAAAAAGUUUUUUAUAUGAAAAAUCAUCUACUCGAAAAGUUACAUCCGAAUUUAACCGGGGGAACCUCGUUAAACAUUUUCAAAAUCCUCAAAAACCUAACAGAAAAAAGAUACGGGGCUUUUAAGAUCUGGAGAGGCAAAAAAAUUCAAACUUACUAAUGGCGCACCUGCCCAUGGUGCGCCAUUACUAUGUUCCCGCCUUCAAAAUUCAAAAUAAGUCAAAAAAAUAAAAAAUAAUAAAGUUACUAAUGGCGCACCUGCCCAUGAUGCGUCAUUCGUAUCUUCCCGCCUUCAAAAUUCAAAAUAAAUAUAAAAAAUAGUAAUGGCGCACCUGCCCGCGGUGCGCCAUUACUAUUGUCGUAUAUAUGGUUGGGCGUGGUCCUCUCCUCCUUACCUCUUCAUUCUUAUCCUCCACUCCAUCUCCUCCUCUCCUCCACUCCAUCUUCCCUUCUCUCCUCCACCAUACUACCCUCCUCCUCUCCGGCGACCUCCUCCUCCUCCUCCUCUCCGGCGACCUCCUCCUCCCUCCUCUCCUUCCCUCCCCUUCCCUCACGGUUUCUCCUCCCUCCUCUUCGGUGAGCUCCUCCUCCCUCCUCUCCGGUGAGCUCCUCCUCCCUCCUCUCCUCCCAUCCCCUCAUGGUUUCUCCUUCCUCCUCUUCGAUACUCCGGUGAACUCCUCUCCGGCGACCUCCUCCUCCUCUCCAGCGAUGUAGGCGAGCGCCUCUCCGGUGACCUCCUCCUCCUCGUCUCCGGUAUACUCCUCUCCGGCAAAAGAACACGGCAAAAGAACGUACAAGAUCCAAAAACAGGAACAAAAUUUGAAAUAAUAUCGUGCCAAAAAACAAGCAAAAAAUGGGCAAAAAAAUCACGAUCCAGAUCCAAAUUCAAAAUUCAAAAAUAGCAAUGGCGCACGAUGGGGGUUAGACGGUGCCCCACUACUAUUUUCCCGCCUUCAAAAUUCAAAAAUACUAAUGGCACACCGUGGCCUAUACUAAUGGCGCACCAGUGGCCUAUACUAAUUUCGCACCAUGGCCUAUACUAAUGGCGCACCAGUGGUGCGCCAUUAGUAAAAAAUACUAGUGGCGUGGUACUAGUGGUGCACCAGUAGUGCGCCAUUAGUAGGCAAAACUGGUGCGCCACUAGUAGGCCUUUUCCUAGUAGUGAACCACUUAUGGACGAAUUGCAAGAAGCUUGAGAUGAUGGGUUCAAGACACACGACGCCUUUAACAAACAGAACUUCAUAAUGCGUGUCUGGUACAUGUACUCGACGCAUGAUUUGCCGGCGUAUGCGCUAUUUGUUGGCUGGUGUGUGCAUGGAAGGUUCCCGUGCCCCACAUGCGAGACAACUCUUGAGUUUCAUUGGUUGUAGGCGGGUCGCAAGUUGUCUUGAUUCGACUUGCAUAGACAGUUCCUGUAUCCUCGCCAUAAGUGCAGGAAAGAUAACAAGAACUUCAUGAAAGGUAGAGUUGUCAGAAACUCUACACCACCUCCAUUGACAGGCCAGGUGACCCUGGAUCAGUUAAACACUCUCAAGCCAUAUCCAGAGAGUCCAGGGUAUUUCAAGGGGUAUAAUUCGAAACACGCCUGGACUCAUAAGACAUGCUUGUGGGAUCUGCCAUACUUCAAAGACCUCCUUUGCCCACACAACAUCGACAUGAUGCGCACUGAAAAAGAAUAUCACUGAGGCACUUUUGGGUGCAUUGUUCAGCAUAGAGGGGAAGUCAAAUAAUAAUACUAAGGCUAGAGUCGAUCAGGAGGCGCUAUGUCAUAGACCUUACAAAACAUGCAAGAACUGAAAGGAAAGCAGAACUGGACGAAGCCAAAGGCAUGGUUCAAUCUUGGAAGGCCAACUAUGAGGGAAAUUAUCUUGUGGGUGAAAAUGCAGUUUAUGUUCCCCGAUGGGUAUGCAGCGAAUCUAAAGAGGGGAGUGAGUCUUGACAAUUUGAAAAUAUUUGGUCUCAAGAGUCAUGAUUGGCACAUAUGGAUUGAGCGGGUAAUGUCGGUGAUGUUGCGUCGCUUCAUCCCUAAGGAUGAAUGGCUUGUACUGGCAGAGCUGAGCUAUUUCUUCCGUGUUCUUUAUGCGAAAGAACUAUCGCUUGCCGUGCUAGAAGAAAUGGAAGAGUUGGCGUCGGAGUUGAUCUGCAAUUUAGAGAAGAUCUUUCCGUCGGGCUUCUUUAAUCCAAUGCAACACUUGAUUUUGCAUCUCCCGGCCGAGGGAAGAUUGGGGGGCGGGGGCGUGCAAAAUUGUUUGUGCUACGCAACUGAGAGGAUGCAGAAGACGCUCCGAACAAAAUGUAAAAAUAAACGUAGAAUUGAAGCAUUGAUGGCCGAGGCAUUCAUUACUGAGGAGGUGGCAAACUUUGUGACAGCACACUACGAAGGCAAAAAUCUUCAUUUGCAUAAUCCGAAGCCUCGGUACAAUGCUGGCGACCAUAAAAAAGGUGGAUCCAACCUCAUCCUAUUCAAAGGGAAUCUCGCACCAGCUGGUGCUUCGAAACCAAUAUCGUUGGAUGUCAAAGAACGGCGGACCAUUUCGUUGUAUAUCUUUGAUAUGUCUCCAACGUAUCUAUAAUUUUUGAUUGUUCCAUGCUAUUAUAUUAUCUGUUUUGGAUGUUUAAUGGGCUUUAAUAUACCUUUUAAUAUUAUUUUUGGGACUAACCUACUAACCAAAGGCCCAGUGCAAAUUGCUGGUUUUUGUCUAUUUCAGUGUUUCGCAGAAAAGGAAUAUCAAACAGAAUGCAAACGGAAUGAAACCUUCGGGGGAGUUAUUUUUGGAACAAACGCAAUCCAAGAUACUUGGAGUGGACGCCAAGGAAGCAACGAUGCGGCCACGAGGCAGGAGGGCGCACCCAGGGGGGUAGGCGUGCCCCCACCCUCGUGGGCCCGUCGUGGCUCUGCCGACCUACUUCUUUCGCCUAUAUAUACUCAUAUACCCCGAAAACAUCCGAGAGCACUACGAAACCCUAUUUCCACCGCUGCAACCUUCUAUACCCGUGAGAUCCCAUCUUGGGGCCUUUUUCGGCGCUCCGCCGGAGGGGGAAUCGAUCACGGAGGGCUUCUACAUCAACACCAUAUCCUCUCCGAUGAUGUGUAAGUAUUUUACCACAGACCUUCGGGUCCAUAGUUAUUAGCUAGAUGGCUUGCUCUCUCUCUUUGGAUCUCAAUACAAAGUUCUCCUCGAUUCUCUUGGAGAUCUAUGUAAUUCUUUUUGUGGUGUAUUUGUCGAGAUCCGAUGAAUUGUGGGUUUAUGAUCAAGAUUAUCUAUGGACAAUAUUUGAUUCUUCUCUGAAUUCUUUUAUGCAUGAUUUAAUAUCUUUGCAAGUCUCUUCGAAUUAUCAGUUUGGUUUGGCCUACUAGAUUGUGAUACGUCUCCAACGUAUCUAUAAUUUUUGAUUGUUCCAUGCUAUUAUAUUAUCUGUUUUGGAUGGUAAUGGGCUUUAUUUUACACUUCUAUAUUAUUUUUGGGACUAACCUAUUAACCGGAGGCCCAGCCCAAAGUGCUAUUUCUUUGCCUAUUUCAGUGUUACGUAGAAAAGGAAUAUCAAACGGAGUCCAAAUGGAAUGAAACCUUCAGGAACAUGAUUUUUGGAACAAACGUGAUCCCGAGGACUUAGAGUGGACGUCAAGCAAUCAAUGAGGCGGCCAUGAGGCAGGGGGCGCACCUACCCCCUGGGCGCGCCCUCCCCCCUUGUGGGCCCCUCGUUGCUCCACCGACCUACUUCUUCCUCCUAUAUAUGUUCACAUACCCCGCAAACAUCCAGGAGCACCACGAAACCCUAUUUCCACCGCCGUAACCUUCUAUACCCAAGAGAUCCCAUCUUGGGGCCUUUUCUGGAGCUCUGCCAGAGGGGGCAUUGAUCACGGAGGGCCUCUACAUCAACUCCAUGGCCCCUCCGAUGAUGUGUGAGUAGUUUACUUCAGACCUUUGGGUCCAUACCUAGUAGCUAGAUGGCUUCUUCUCUCUCUUUGGAUCUCAAUACAAAGUUCUCCUUGAUUCUCUUGGAGAUCUAUUCGAUGUAAUCUUCUUUUGCGGUGUGUUUGUCGAGAUCCGAUGAAUUGUGGGUUUAUGAUCAAGUUUAUCUAUGAACAAUAUUUGAAUCUCCUCUGAAUUCUUUUAUGUAUGAUUGGUUUAUCUUUGCAAGUCUCUUCGAAUUAUCAUUUUGGUUUGGCCUACAAGAUUGAUCUUUCUUGCAAUGGGAGAAGUGUUUAGCUUUGGGUUCAAUCUUGCGCUGCUCGAUCCCAGUGACAGAAAGGGAAACGACACAUAUUGUAUUGUUGCCAUCGAGGAUAAAAAUAUGGGGUUUACAUCAUAUUGCAUGAGUUUAUCCCUCUAGAUCAUGUCAUCUUGCUUAAGGCGUUAGUCUGUUCUUAUGAACUUAAUACUCUAAAUGCAUGCUGGAUAGCAGUCGAUGUGUGGAGUAAUAGUAGUAGAUGCAGGCAGGAGUCAGUCUACUUGUCGCAGACGUGAUGCCUAUAUACAUGAUCAUGCCUAGAUAUUCUCAUAAUUAUUCGCUUUUCUAUCAAUUGGUCGACAGUAAUUUGUUCACCCACCGUAAUACUUAUGCUAUAUUGAGAAAAGCCACUAGUGAAACCUAUGGCCCCCGGGUCUAUUUUCCAUCAUACAAGUUUCCAAUCUAUUUGAUUUUGCAAUCUUUACUUUCAAUCUAUAUCAUCAAAAUACCAAAAAUACAUAUCUUAUUAUUAUCAUCUCUAUCAGAUCUCACUCUUGCAAGUGGCCAUGAAGGGAUUGACAACCCCUUUAUCGCAUUGGUUGCGAGGUUCUUAUUUGUUUGUGUAGGUACGAGGUGACUCGCGCGUGGUCUCCUACUGGAUUGAUACCUUGGUACUCAAAAACUAGGGGAAAUACUUACGUUGCUUUACUGCACCACCCUUUCCUCUUCAAGGGAAAACCAAUGGAGUGCUCAAGAGGUAGCAGAUUGAUCUUUCUUGUAAUGGGAGAAGUGCUUAGCUUUGGGUUCAAUCUUGCGGUGUCCUUUCCCAGUGACAGCAGGGGCAGCAAGGUACGUAUUGUAUUGUUGUCAUCGAGGAUAAAAAGAUGGGGUUUCUAUCAUAUUGCUUGAGUUUAUCCCUCUACAUCAUGUCAUCUUGCCUAAUGCAUUACUCUGUUCUUAUGAACUUAAUACUCUAGAUGCAUGCUGGAUAGUGGUCGAUGUGUGGAGUAAUAGUAGUAGAUGCAGAAUCGUUUCGGUCUACUUGGUGCGAACGUGAUGCCUAUAUACAUGAUCAUGCCUAGAUAUUCUCAUAACUAUGCUCUUUUCUAUCAAUUGCUCGACAGUAAUUUGUUCACCCAUCGUAGAAUUUGCUAUGUUGAGAGAAGCCACUAGUGAAACCUACGGCCCCAGGGUCUAUCUUCCAUCAUACUAUUCUCCUAUUUACUUGCUAUUUCUAUCAUUGUUUAUUUUUCAAUCUCUUUUUCCAAUCUAUACAAUAAAAAUACCAAAAAUAUUUAUCUUAUUAUCUCUAUCAGAUCUCACUUUCGUAAGUGACCGUGAAGGGAUUGACAACCCCUUUAUCGUGUUGGUUGCGAGGUUCUUGUUUGUUUGUGCAGGUACUAGGGACUUGCGUGUUACCUCCUACUGGAUUGUUACCUUGGUUCUCAAAAACCGAGGGAAAUACUUUCGCUACUUUGCUGCAUCACCCUUUCCUCUUCAAGGGAAAACCAACGCAUGCUCAAGAGGUAGCAAUCUUCACCAACCUAACAGAAGUGCGGCCGUGCAUCGAGUAAGUUCUUGUAGUACAUUGUUUCGCAACUUCUAAUUCCUUUGAACUGCUCUUAUUCCCAGAUAUUUUUUGAUACAGUCGAUACAUCACCAAAUUCUUGGAUGGAGCGGUGAUCCAAAAGGAAUCCAUCGAAGAGUAUGAGCUCCUCGCGAAGCAAGGAGGCGGCUUUCCUGGUUUCACCUCUUGGUUCAAACAAACGGUAAUUUCCACUAGACCAUUCUCAUUUCUUCAUCUAAUUUGCGGCUAAUGCAACAAUCCUUUCGUAUUAAACUUGUAGGCUAAUUCAAAGUCUAUGGACGCUGAAUUGAGACAAUUCACUAAUGGUUUUGACUUUAAGGCCCGUUCAUUUGACAAAUUCGACAUCAGCAGGCAUCACUUUCGUACCUAUGGCAAAGAGCUAUUUAUGGCCGACCGAAAGUCUACAAGUUGUUGUGUCUCUGCUAUCGGCGAUGGAGGUAUCGAGUAUUAUGGGAGAGUUGAAGCAAUUUAUGAACUUCUAUUCUAUGGUCAAAACGCACCAAACGUCGUAGUCUUCAAAUGUUACUAGUUCUAGCCGAAGGAGACUAGAAGGACUCAUGAACAUAUAGGGCUAGUCGAAAUCAAACAAAGCACCCAUUUAGAUGUUCCCGAUGUCUAUAUUAUGGCUCAACAAGCGACCCAAGUUUUCUAUCUACUGUGGGAGUGCCAAACUUAUCCAAAUCUGAAUGGUUGGGAUGUCGUUUAUGAAGUGCCACCACGUGUUAGACUACCUCCCCACAAUGAAGAGGAUUAUGAACCUCACAUUAACCCAGACACAUAUGAAGGUGAAUUCUUCCAAGAAACACUCUUUCCAAAAAAACGCUUCAAGAAACGCUUUACUUCACACCAGAACAUUGAAGUAGACAGCGAUAGUGAACCUGACUUCACCCCUGAGCCGGAACAAGAAGAGCCUAAACAAGAAGAGGUUACUGAUGCGGAUGACUUGUCAAUGGUUGAACGAUUACGUAAAGGUGGCCUUCCACAUGUUGAUGCCGCUGAACCCGAUGAGCACUUCAUUGAUGAUAGUGAUGAUGAUGAUGCAUUUAUUGAUCCUGGAGCAUUUAUUGAACCCGACGAUCAAGAUUAUUAUUAGGUAUUCAAUUUUUUAUGUUGUACUUGAUUUAUAUAAAUGCUUGUAUGAUUGUAUGAUUUAUAUAGUUACUUGUAUAAUUUCUUACUUUGUAUGAUUGUUUGUUAUACAUAGUGCCAUGGUCUUGAUAUCCGUCCCCGUCGGCCCUUGCCCGCUUUAUGAUUAAGAUGUGGUAUAUUCUCUAUUAUAACUAUUUGUUGCAUUUCACAUUUAUGACAAUUAUGGCCAUCAAGUUGACAUAGAGAUAUUUUUAUCUAGGAGGUAUGUGAAACAGAAAUUGCAACCGACCCUAUUGUUGAGAAGUUAAAUUUAGUUGAAAAAUAAAAUGAGUAUUUGAAAGAAAGAAUUAGAAGAAUUGAAGAAGAGAAGAUGAAAUUGGAGUUGUAUGUUGCCGAUGUCCUCGAUGAUCACAAGAUGAAGACGAAUGCAAUGCGCUUGAAGAUUAGAAAAUAUGCCAUUGAUAAUGAGGCUUGGUAUCGUUAUGCCGUUGGAUCAAUUAUUACCUUAGUUGCGAUCCUCAUCACAUUUGUUGUGAUGAGGGUAAGUUUUCUCUAGUGUUUUGCUUAACAAAUGCAUACUUAGCUUAUUUUCCUCCUAAAUGGCAUAAUUACCUAAGUUAGAUAAAAAUGAGCCAUACUUACGUAAGUUGGCUCAAAAUGGCAUCAUCACCUAGGUUAGCACAAAAAUGACCUAUACUUACCUUAUUUUCCUCCAAAUUGACAUAAUAAGGUUAGUUGGCUAAAAAUGGCACAAUUACAUAUAUUAGCUCUAAAAUGACACAUAUAAGGAAUAAGAAGAACAAAAACAAGAAAGAGGAGAAAAAGAAAGAAUAGAAGAAGAAAGAGAAGAAAAAAGAAAGAAUAAAAGAAGAAGAAUGAGAAUGAGGAGGAAAGGGAUAAAAAGAUAGAAGAGAAGAAGAAAGAUGAGAAAAGAAGAAGAAGAAAAUUCUUCUUCUUCUAGUCUUCUCUUAUUCUUCUUCUUUCUUCUUCUAGUCUUCUUCUUCUUCUUCUUCCUCUAGUCUUCUUCUUCUUCUAACUUUCUUACUCCCAUUUUUGUAGGUAUGAUUCACUUCAUGGAAGCAGCAUUGAUGGACUGCUAGUGUUUAGUUCUUGUUUUCGUUUGUAUUGAUGAACAAUGUGAAACUAUGUGUGUAUAUAUGGAUGAACUCCAUGAAACUAUGUAUGCAUUGGAUCUUUUAAUACCCUAUGUGUUCUGUUGCAUUGAUGGACUGCUAGAUGUUUGAUACAUGGGCUAUGCUUGAUGUUGAAACUAUACAUAGUGCUAGGACAACACUAUUCUAAUCCCAGGAUUAGAAUAGUUAUUUGGAUCAUAGCGCCCUAUAUAGGAGCCGCAGUAGUGUUCCCGAACUCCAUCGAAAAAAACGAUCUUGUGUCCCGCACCUCCCGUGCCUGAUCCCCACCUCGCUCGCCUCGAUCCCCAACCGGCGACCCCUCCCCCACCCGCCGCCAGUGCUCCGCCCCGCCCCGGACCCCACCCCCCGCUGUAGGUGCCCCACCCCACCGCCGCCUGGCUCCCUGCGCGCCGCUGCCGCGACCACCCGCGCGUCGCCGCCUGGCUCCCUGAGUGCUGCCGCCACGACCACAGGCCCGCCGCCGGCCUGGCUCCAUGCGCGCCGCUGACUCCGACCAUCUGCACGGUGCUGCCCCGACCACCUGCACGCCGCCGCCUGUCUCCCUGUGCGCCGCCGGCGUUGACCACCUGAGCGCCGGUGCCACGCCAAGAUCCAAGCUAGAAGUACACUACAUGUCAGCGUCUGAUCUCCCGUGCUCCUCCCCUCAAGUUCUUCUCUUCCUGUGUCGCCAGAAGCCAGCCAUGGUGAGCAUCGUCCCUCCCCAUCAACUCUCUCCGACCUUCCCUGUCAACUCUCUCUGACCUUCCCCGCACCUCUCCUAGCUGCAGCGCACGGUGCUUUGUGGCAUCCUAGGUUCCUCUCCGAAAACAGCCGUGAGUAGUGCUCCCAUGAAAAUCCUCUUGUGUGUGCAAAGCUAUGCCAUCCAACUAAUAUGGCUAAAUUUGUUUAGCAGUUUUUUCUCUUUGAACUAGAUGACGAACAUGCCCGAACUUAUGGAUGUGUUGCUCAUGUGAAAAAUGUGUUAAAUGAACUUCACAAUCUUGACUGAAGAUGUUUUAAAAAAUGUGUUAACCCCUGCUCCCAUGCAUCGGCGACCAGCCAUCUCCAAUCCUCGCACACACGCCGUAGCACUUGCAUUUCGAUGCUCCAAUGCCUACUGGCACUGCCUGCAUCUUUGUCCUACAAAAAACUCUAGCAAUGUUUAAUUCUUGUGAUUUCUUGCAGCAGUUCAAUAUAUAUUAUACAAGAAGAACAAACUAACAGUAUGUUGCAGAUGUUCUCUUUUGUGAUUGUCGUAGACUUCCAACAGUUUAGAUGUGGGCAAGUCAAACAGAGUUCUCUUUGCUUCCGUCUCACCACCACAACCACGGCAGCAAGGCACACUAUGUCCAUGGCGGGAGAUCGGCACCAAGGUGGCCUGCCAGGGUCAUGGACUGGUUCAGGAAGAUGCUGGUGGGCCUGUUGGCCUUCCCGUCGCGGCCGCCCAAGGUCACCUUCAACGCCAACUCCAAGGGCGGUGGCGAGGACAUCGUGGCUGUGGCACCCAAGAGGCCAUCAUGCAGCAGCUCCAACCUGCAGCCGCUGAACAAGGAGCACUACGACGAGGCCAUCUCCGACUGCGUCGAGUUCUUCCACCGAUUCGCCAGGGUGGAUGUCAGGUCACGGCCGUCCUCGUCGUCCCACUUCUGAAUUCCCAUCGUCGACAACUUUGUGCUAGCUUCAAGCAUAUCCCACUGUGUGUGGGCAUGUGUAUGUGUGUCUGUCAUGUUACUGUGUUCUUUCUUUUGACAUCUGUCAUGUUAGUAUGUUACCGUGUUAGUAAAAUGGACAGCGAGCCAACUGCUGCAGGUCAAUGGUAACAAGUAUCAAAAGAGUUUUGGAUGCAGGAUGUUGCAAAGUCCUAGUCGGCUAGUGAUAACUGUGCUAUAACUUUAUGGUAGGCCGAUCAUAGCUUGGAUUAGUGUAUUUCAUUUUGUAGCUUGAAUUUUGUAACGUGUUAAGUUUAUUGUGCAGAACCUUCAGAAAAGAUACCAAACAAAGUAUGUUAUGGACCUUGUAACUCCUUCCCCUUUUUCCAUUCAUGCAUGUUCUUUCACGUGAUUUGAUGUAACGAAGUUUGUGUAAACCAUAUUGUUUACAUACACCUAAAGCAGUAUGUAUUUUUUAAAGUAAUCUGGAAGUUCAAAUAUUAUUGUAUAGAGAGUUCAAUCAUUGUAUUUUAGGAAGAAUGCAUCUUACAGUUAAAAAAUGCUUAGAGGAAAAGCAUUCAUAAAAAAAGUAGCAAUCCGAUUUUUGGGAGGUUUAAAAUGUUAAAUUCGCACAAGAAAAGAGUGUAGAAAAAGAUGGGCGCCGCAAAAAAUGAUACUAAACAAACAAAUAAUUUGAAGUACAAAUUCGCGGAGUUGGGUAGUUCAAUAAAUAAAAAAUACAAAACAAAAGACUAGUCUUUAGGUUGGACAGGCCCAUGACAAGCUCGUAAAUUUAAAAAUUGUUUUUUAUGGUGGAAAAUAUCCUUUGAUUUCAAUUUUUACGUAGAGAAACAGUGAGCAAAAAAGACCACAAUAAAAAAUGAUGUCAUUUUCCGUGAUUUUACCCGUUUUAUGUAGAGAAACAGUUAGCAAAAAAAGACUAGUCUCCAAGUUGUUCAACAUAAUGUUAUUAUUCACCAAUGCACCGCUUUCUCUCUGGGAGCAGAGAAAGAGAGAAGUUCAUCCUGGCAGCCCAAUGUGGUUCAAUUUGUAUCUUAAAAGAAGACCCUCAAAGUUCAAAAUUAAAUAACAAUACGGUUCAAUUUUUAUUUAGUAAGAAACGAUUUCCCUUGAGACUAAAUAAUCAAGCCACCAAGUUCACAUUAAUAAUAACAAAGCAGUUCAAUAUAUACAAAAAAACUCAAGUUCUUCUUGUUUUAUAUAAAAAGAAAAGUAUGAAGUUCAAUUUAAAAACUAAAAAUACAAAAGGAUUUUCACCGUUUCUAAAUAAAAAAACUCUCGAAGUUCAAAGUAAAAUAAUGGAGCGGUUCGAUUUUUACUAAAACUAAUAGGAUAUUUUCCAUUACAAAAAAAUAAGAAGUCCAAAUUUUACAAAUGGAGAAGUUCAAUGUGAAGAAAAAACUUAGAUUUUUUUCUCGUUGCUAAAGAAUAAAAUGAAGAAGUUCAAAUUAAAAUAAUGGAACAUAUCAAAAGGUUUAUAAAAAUGAUUUCCCCAUUUUCUAAAAAUACCCGAGAAGCCCAUAUUAAAACAACAUCAUGGCUCAAUCUUUACAAAAAAAUNNNNNNNNNNNNNNNNNNNNNNNNNNNNNNNNNNNNNNNNNNNNNNNNNNNNNNNNNNNNNNNNNNNNNNNNNNNNNNNNNNNNNNNNNNNNNNNNNNNNNNNNNNNNNNNNNNNNNNNNNNNNNNNNNNNNNNNNNNNNNNNNNNNNNNNNNNNNNNNNNNNNNNNNNNNNNNNNNNNNNNNNNNNNNNNNNNNNNNNNNNNNNNNNNNNNNNNNNNNNNNNNNNNNNNNNNNNNNNNNNNNNNNNNNNNNNNNNNNNNNNNNNNNNNNNNNNNNNNNNNNNNNNNNNNNNNNNNNNNNNNNNNNNNNNNNNNNNNNNNNNNNNNNNNNNNNGAUGGAGAAGUUCGAUGAUUAUAGAAAACUCAGAUUUUCCUUGUUAUUAAAUAAUGGAAACAAGAAGUUCAAAAAAAAAUAAGAAGUUCAAAUUUUAAAAAUAGAGCGCUUCAAAAUUUCUUAAAAUAGAUUAAGAAAUAAAACCAGGAAGUUCAUAUUAAAAAAUGGAGAAGUUCGAGGAUUAUAGUGAACUCAGAUUUUCCUCGUUAUUAAAGAAUGGAAACAAGAAGUCCAAAAAACAAGAAGUUCAACUUUUAAAAAUAGAGCGCUUCAAAAUUCAUAAAAAAGAUUAAGAAAAUUAGAUUAAAAAUUCAUUAAAAAACUCACAUAUUUCCCCGUAACUGAGUAAUGCAAGGAAUGCAUUUCAGGUGACAUUUAAAAGUAUAGAAAAAUAAAAUCUUAAAAAUGUUUGUUGAAAGAAGUUCAAGUGCUCUAUCCAGAGAAGUUCAAAAAUUGUUGCGAGAGAGGUUCACCUUGUAUUCCAUGUUUGAUUUUUUCCGUAUAAAAAUCUAAUACAAUUCUUUACUCAAAAUAUAAAUAGGUGAAGUUCAUAUUGAAAAAAUAGAGAAGUUCGAAGUAUAUUAAAACCUAGGAUUUACCUGGUCAAAAAAUAAAAAACACAACGCCAUUUUUUGCACUUUUAAAAACAACUCAUAAACGAAAAAAUGGUUGCUAGAAGUUCAAGUGCUUAGUGAGGAAAAGUUCAAAAAAAUUCUUGUGAGAGGUUAACCUUAUAUUUAGAUGUCCAAAAUACGUAAAAAAAUAGGUUGUUUUUUGUGUUUUAAAAUAAUUCUCUCAAACCAGAGAGAAGUUCAAAGUGAUAAUAACUAGAAGUUCACGUACUACAUGGUGUGUAUUUCAUACAAGAAAAAAACAAUAAAGUGAAACAGAAUGAAGUUCAAAUAGACAUGCCCCAGAAGUUCAACUACUUCACGCGGUGCAAAAAACAGCACGUCAAAAACAAAGUGAUGUUCAAACAUACAUACCCCGAGAAGUUCAACUACUUCACGCAGUGCGUUUCCAUUCGCAAUGAACACAGAAAUCAUGAUCUUGUCAUUUCUCUAAUUUUCUUCAAAACAACAGGAAUAUCAUCUAUGUAAGUUCAAGUCCUCGAUCGAAGAAAGUUAAAAAAAUAUUGUGAGAGAGGUUUGUACAAAAAGAAUAUGUUUUGUGUAACACUGACGAAAUGGAUGAGAAAAUUACAAACGAAAAUAUGUCACAGAAGUUCAACGUGAAAACAGCAGGAAGUUCAUCAACUACACUGAAUGAAUUUUAGAUGAAAAACUUUUAAAAUUGUCGCGAGUAUGAAAAGAUGAUCAACAUGGGAAACUUGCGUGCUUACAGCAGCUUUCCAUCGGUAUAUCACCUGCUCAAUUCCAGUGAAUGGAUGGAGAGUUACGAGCAAGUGGAUAGAGACCUACGAGCAAAAAAAUUACGUGAAAAACAGAGUGAAGUUCAGGUACACGCGCCGAGAAGUUCAGGUUCUUCACGCGGUGCAAUUUCGAAGAAUCUGUUUCACGAUAAAGGCAGAACGCAUGAUCCCGCUGUUUUCCAAAUUACUUGAAAACGGCUAUGAAUCAGAGAAAACCAUCAACAUGAAAAAGUUUCGCAUUUUCCGUAACUUUUUAGCGGUAUAUUAUUUGCCCCAUUCCGAUAAAGUUUGUAGAAAUUUCGGCAAAAAUACAUUUUUAACCAUUUUCAAAGCUGACAUAAAACUGUAAUGAAUUAGGAGAAACAAUAUAUACAAAAAAGUUUUGCAUUUCUUCAAGCUUUCCAACGCCAUAUCAUUUGCUGCAUUUGGACGUACAGUUAAAAAAUUAGCUCAAAAAUACGUACUCGGUGGAACUUGUACCAUUUUCUAAAUUACUUUUAAACCAUUCAAAAUUAGAAAAAACUUAUAACAUAAAAAAGUAGCACAUUUUCAUAAGCUUUCCAACGCCAUAUUAUUUGCCUCAAUUGGAUUAGCCGUUUAGAAAUGGCGUCGAAAAUAUGAAGUCGGGUGUUUGGUUUGCGAAAUUUUACGAUUUUUCGAAUUACUCUUUAACCGUAUGGAAUUAGAGAAAACUUUCAACAUGUGGAAGUAACGGUUUUGCAGCAGAUUUCCAACAAUAUAUUAUUUGCCUCAUUCCGAUAAACGGUUUAAAAAUGCGAUCGAAAAUACGAUUCACGUUUUUUAUAUGAAGAAAUAAUGGUUUUCAAAACUGCUCUUAAACAGCUUACAUUUUGCCAAAACUUUAACUUGGGUCAUGAUACUGAUGUCCAUAGCUAUCCAACGGUAUAUCGCAAGCCCCAUUUGGACACCUUUUUAGCUGAAGUUCAACCUAGUACUCGGGGAAGGUCAGGCGCGUUACUCAGGAAGUUCAUGUUGUGAUCAGAAUAUUAUUCUGAUCCCGUGAUCAGAAUAGUGUUUAUGUGUGUGUGUAUAUAUAUGCUGUUGUUCUAAGAAUGAUCAUGAUGCCCUCAUAUCCGUAUUUUAUUUUAUCGACACCUCUAUCUCUAAACAUGUGGACAUAUUUUUCGAUUUUGGCUUUCGCUUGAGGACAAGCGAGGCUUGAGGGAGUUGAUACGUCUAUUUUGCAUCAUGCUUUUAUAUCGAUAUUUAUUGCAUUAUGGGCUGUUAUUACACAUUAUGUCACAAUAGUUAUGCCUAUUCUCUCUUAUUUUACAAGCUUUACAUGAAGAGGGAGAAUGCCGGCAACUGGGAUUCUGGGCUAGAAAAGGAGCAAAUAUUAGAGACCUAUUCUGCACAGCUCCAAAAGUCCUGAAACUUCACGGAAGUAAUUUUUGGAAUUAAUAAAAAAUAAUGAGCGGAGAAAGCACCAGAGGGCCCCCGCACCCUGGCCACGAGGGUGGGGGCCGCGCCCUACCCCCUGGGCGCGCCCCUGCCUCGUGGGCCCCCUAGUGGCCCUCUGAUGCCCAUCUUCUUCUGUAUGAGGUCUUUCGUCCGAUAAAAAAUCAUAAGCAAGCUCAUGGGACAAAACUCCGCCGCCAUGAGGCGGAACCUUGGCGGAACCAAUCUAGGGCUCUAGCGGAGCUGUUCUGUCGGGGAAACUUCCCUCUGGGAGGGGGAAAUGAUCACCAUCGUCAUUACCAAUGAUCCUCUCAUCGGGAGGGGGUCAAUAUCCAUCAACAUCUUCACUAACACCAUCUCAUCUCAAACCCUAGUUCAUCUCUUGUAUCUAAUCUUUGUAUCCAAACCUCAUAUUGGUACCUGUGGGUUGCUAGUAGUGUUGAUUACUCCUUGUAGUUGAUGCUAGUUGGUUUACUUGGUGGAAGAUCAUAUGUUCAAAUCCAUUAUGCAUAUUAAUACCCCUCUGAUUAUGAACAUGAAUAUGCUUUGUGAGUAGUUAUGUUUGUUCCUGAGGACAUGGGAGAAGUCUUGCUAUAAGUAGUCAUGUGAAUUUGGUAUUCGUUCGUUAUUUUGAUGAGAUGUAUGUUGUCAUCCCUCUAUUGGUGUCAUGUGAACGUCGACUACAUGACACUUCACCAUUGUUUGGGCCUAGAGGGAGGCAUUGGGAAGUAAUAAGUAGAUGAUGGGUUGCUAGAGUGAUAGAAGCUUAAACCCUAGUUUAUGUGUUGCUUCGUAAGGGGCUGAUUUGGAUCCAUAUGUUUCAUGCUAUGGUUAGGUUUACCUUAAUACUUCUGUUGUAGUUGCGGAUGCUUGCAAUGGAGGUUAAUCAUAAGUGGGAUGUUUUUCCAAGUAAGGACAGUACCCAAGCACCGGUCCACCCACAUAUGAAAUUAUCAAAGUAUCGAACACGAAUCAUAUGAGCGUGAUGAAAACUAGCUUGACGAUAAUUCCCAUGUGUCCUCGGGAGCGCUUUCCUUCAUAUAAGAGUUUGUCCAGGCUUGUCCUUUGCUACAAAAAGGAUUGGGCCACCUUGCUGCACCUUAUUUACUUACAUUACUUGUUACACAUUACAAAUUACUUUAUCACAAAACUAUCUAUUACCGAUAAUUUCAGUGCUUGUAGAGAAUACCUUACUAAAAACUGCUUAUCAUUUCCUUCUGCUCCUCGUUGGGUUCGACACUCUUACUUAUCGAAAAGGCUACGAUAGAUCCCCUACACUUGUGGGUCAUCAGUGCGACAUUCUAUAACUCAAGAAUUCAAACUGAGGCAGACUAAAAGAGUUAGUGAACGGAAUAUGAAGAAGGAUGACAUAAUUAGAGAAGAUAUUGAAGUUAUAGAUAAAGUCUUCUUAUUGUUAAACCAGACUUGCAUGUGUUGCACUCGAAGAGGCCGGAGUUCAUGCUUUCUUGAGAGAUGAAAUAAGGCUACAUGUGUUGCCAAAAUAAAUGAGUUAUGUAUUAUAUUUCUCUUUUAAAAUUAUUGUUUGUAGAUAUGUAACUUACUGUAUUGACUUUCUUAAUGAAAUUCAGCCAAGCAUUCUGAACAAGUUUCUGUCCUCAGUAAUGUUGUAGCAUGAUCAGAAGGUAAUAUUUUUUGAAUAGCUUGUUUUGUUGAAUCUAUUAAUAUAAUUGUGAUUAUUUGCUGCUUGUACAAAUGAAGGUUCUAUCUGUAACAAUGCAAGUGGGUCAAGUAGAAAAUUUAUUGAUAUAGUUGAAUCAAAUGUUGAACAUAUGGUUGUUUUAACCUAUCCAAAUCUAAUGAAUAUUUUUCAUUGUGAAAAAUACUUUUAGUUCAUAAUUGUUGUGCCGAUGCACUAAGCUUGGUGAACUUAUGUGUGGGACAUGAAGGAGAAAGUAAGCAACACUUUAGAUCCAUAGUGUGCAAAUGGUACUGCAUCAUACAUGAAAGAAAGGCAUGAAACAUGUGCUUAUAUAUAUUUGACUGUACUGAAAAGUUCUUGAGUAUUUAGAGUUGCUUUCAUCAUCUUGGAUGGUCAAAGAAAUUUCAUCAUCCAACGUACCACUUCAGAGGUAUAUUCCAUUAUUCAUGUUUAUCUGUAAAACUAAUUUAUUUCUUCUAAUUAUGGCAAAUGCAGGGAAGAUUCAGCAAUUGCAUCUCUGAUGAUAGCAAUGUACUUUGAUGGCAUUGAAGUAAAAUAAAAACUAACUAAGGUACAUUUGAAUGUUAAUGUUUCAUUCUAAUUUGUUUAUCAGCUCUAUUGCUACUUACAUAAUUGCACAUUUUUUUGUAGUACACAUUUUCUAUUAUACGAGUACUAAUGUUAUGGCAUUUACAAAAAAUGGACUGUAAUAAAGGAAAGCUGCCUUUACAUCUUCAUCAAAUGAUGUAGAAAUUGUAGAUCAACAUUCUUACGCAUGAACUAAAUAUUUACUAUUUGUAAUAAGGAUUACGGUGUUGUGUGUUGACACAUAUAAGUUUGUAUUGAUUAUUUUAAUUAUAUGUAAUUGUAGUAUCUUAGAAUGAUUAGACGUAAUAUUUGAAUUGUAAUGCCAUAUUAAAGAGUUUGAACAAUUUAUAUUAAUUGAUCUUGUUGUCAUGGUGACCCACUUACAGAUACUCAGUACUAACUGAAUGUAUACUACAAGUGUUAACUCACUCAUAGGAUAAAAUAAUUAUAUGUACAUAUUGAGAAGAAUUUAUAGGAUGAGAAACUAUUGAAUUAGUAAAGAUUGUUAAAUAUAAUGUGAACAACAUUUAUAUUUACUAGAAGAUCAGUCGAUUAUAUCAUUGUCAAUUAAAGUACAAUCUUCGUAGAAAAGAUGUGAAAACCUACAAUAUCCCUAGAAUUGAAGGACGCAGACGACAAAGAACUUAUUUAUCAUCGCUCUCUUUGCCGAGCAGGUUUGUCGUCGGUGGCAAACGACAAAGAGCUUUGAUGUCCGCUUUUGGUGCCUUUGCCAUCUGCCAUGGCAGACUGCAAAUAAGCUGAUUCCUGUAGUGCCACCUUGUCCAUGAUAAUCCUAUCAUGCAUUAACGAUGUUUUUGUGGGUUGAACCACUUGGUCGACAACCCGAUUGGGUCAAUCAUUCGCCACCUUUGUAAAUAUGAAGUUAACGUUAAGAAGGCAUGUCAAUAUGUACAAUGGAAAUUGAUUAGCCUCUUUAGUCAUGGGCAUCAAAAUAUUUUCACAAAAAAUAGUCUUAAAAGCUUAGGGUGCUCCACAUGGAGGUCCUCAAACAACUCCCCAACCUCCUAGAAGGUUUGAUAGGCUCGGUUGAGAAGUCAUCCGAUCUAGGCAAUUUAUUAUGAAUACAACUUCGCUCACCCUGUGUUCAGAAAAGAGGGGUUCCAAGGAGCUUGUUUUGACCAUCCAAAACCUAUUGAGAUGUCAUCUAUUGAAUCAUUUAGAGAGAAAUUACUAUAAUUAAUUGGGAGUUCUGAAUAGACAUAUUAUUUGGUAGUAUAAGUCCAUAGGGAAGUCGUGGAGAGAGAGAGAGAGAUGUUGCUACGUAGCUACUACAUCCAAAUGGUAGCCUGAAAAAGACACCACUCAAGUGUAAUCAUGAGAGUGCAUAAUACAACUAUUUAUUUGAGCCGGCUAAUCUAGAUUGGAUCUAAAGGAAGACUUUUUGGAGAUUGGAUCAAUUGUUAUCCUAGUCCAUCCCUUGCAAAGAAAUAUUUAGUGUAUAGCCACCCCUAAAACAUUGUAAUAAUACGCAAAGGAGAUAUAUAUAGGGGAGAAGGCAAUGCCCUCGGACAAGCAGACACGGGUGGGAGUACUAUGUGGGUCAUAUGAUGAACUCACUCGGCAGGGUUGGACACAUGGGUCAGUUGCAUGGACUCCCUAGUGGUUGCCAAGGGUUGGCUUUUGUCAUGUUUCCCUAUCUUUCCUCCUUCAUGUGUAAUCUUUGAAUAUUUUCUCAAAUUUUGUGGUUUUCUUUCAACUAACGAAAACAUGAAUUUUGUUAGCAGUGACUAGUAGGUUAGUCCUAAAGGAAAAAUAUCAUAUAUGAGAAAUUAUUAAACUUUAAAGGAAUAUAUGCACUUCUGGUUGUAGUUGUCAAAAAACAAUAUAAGGGUUAUACAGUGACAAUGUUAGACAUCAGAAAUUUAAUAUAAGCUUCGUUCCACAAAAAUAUGGAAGUCCUACUCUUAUUGUUGAGGAUAUCAAGGAAAAAGAAUAAAGAAGGGUGAGCGAGAACUCCAUUGAAAGGAAAAACUCCAAACAUGUGAACUUAUGAUAGAGAACCUUUUAUUUGCAUCGACAAGAGGUCAAAUUUCCACCGAGAGGCAAGGUUGGAGAAAGUGCUAGCCUAGAACCUAGGCAGUGUUUAAGAACCCUAAGUGUAGCCUAGGUGGAUGUAUAGAAUUGGCUAUCAAGGUAUAUUUGGGGUUAUAUAUGUGUACCAAUAUUAACUUAGAUCAUACAUGUGAGUAAACUACCACAUCUAGCCUUUAGAAUAUGGCCUAGGCCCAUUCGACAAAUCUAUGUAACAUGGCAUGAUUUCUCGCUUGAGUGGAUAAUUUCUUUCUUCCACUCCCUAGAGUUUUGCUUAUGCCCUAGGCGAGGCAUUUGGUCGUUGCCUAACGCCUAAGGGUGUCUAAGCGCCUUCUCGGUGCUACCUUUCCUAGCAUAGCCGAGAGAUCUCUUCACACCACACUUGAGAUGAAAUCCCCUUCCAUAAGAAUGAGAUGCCUUACAAGCUACUACGAGGCAUUUUUUAUAGGCUCUUGGACUUGUACAUAAUACUAGAAAUACUUUUUUUUACUGCAACCAUCAUCGCUCUUGGCAAGGAGGGAAAAUAAGGACACCUCGUAGUCUUAGGGCUUCGUUUUUUUUGAUAUUUUUCUGAAUUUUUGAGGGUAUGUGUCCUACUCAAGGAGGCGAGGAGGCGAUGGCUCUUUGAUGAUGGGAUACGAUUCUCCUUGCCUAGCCCCCAUUCUGACGGUGCUUCUACCAUUGCUAGAGGGAGUGUGAAGGUUUGUCUCAUGGGAUUCGGUCGGCGUUUGUCUUUGGUGGAUCCACAUGGAUCAGGUCUUUGUUCGUCGGUGGUGGAUGUUGUUCUGGUGCACUGGUCCAGUAGUGAUUAACGCGAAGACUUUCCGAUUGUCUACUACAAUAAGAUUUGCCCACCUCCGGUGAGUGAGGGGCAAGGACGGCGGUGCAUCUUCGGCUCGCUACAGUGCUUAUAGUCGUUGCUAGGUGGUCUAUGGAUUUGGAUGUCAUUUUUACUUCUGUUGUUCUUUACAUUACCGUGACAGUUAAUGAAUAGAUUGGAAGCUUUUCCCGUAAAAACACGAAGGGAAACGUUUGGAGACGGUGCGCCGGCCAAAGCUUCGGCCGGUCGCCCGCUACCUCGUGCUCCUGUGUCGAUGGGACCUGGAUCCGCACCCUAUCUGCUGCAGCCCAAUCUCGCAAGCGAGGCCGCCGUCCACCCCCACAUCGCGCCCCUACCCCGCUGUAGCCUAAUCUCGCCGGCAAGGCCGCUCUACCCCCCGCAUCGACCCUCUACCCGCGGCAGCCCAAUCUCGCCGGCGAGGCCGCCGUCCACUGCACGGCCGGCGAUUUCCCCACGCGCAUGACACAUCCACCCCCUACCUACAGUCUUCACGCGCGCGCAUCCUCUGCCCCCUCCUCCCGGGCUGUGUUUGGGUAACCACAAGCUCCAUCGCCGGCGGCCAAGCGCUCCCUGGCCGCCAUGGCUGCCUGCAGCCAUGCCCGGAUCCUCCCGCGUAUACAAGUGUUGCAACCGUCACCUAGAAAAGCUUCAACAACCGUUGAAAAAAGCUUCAACCAUAGACAUAGAAAGCUUCAAUGGCACUGCACAACAAGGGAAAGCUGCAAUCAUUGUUGGAUUUUGCUACUACCGGCAAAGCUUUUUGCUACAUCCAUCAGGCAGAGCUGCGACCUCAUGAAGGACGACAAUGAUUUUUUUGCUGCAACCGUAGCAGGAUUUUGCUACUACCGUUGGAGGUUUUUGCUACAUCCAUGUAAGGCGUAGGUUUUUGCUACAUCCAUUUAAGGCGGAGCUGCGACCUCGCGAAGGCGGCGACGGUGUUUUUGCUGCACCCGUAGUUUGAUUUUGCUACUACUAGUGAAAUUGUUUGCUACAUCCAUUGAGCUACAACGGGUGAGAAGCUACAACCAUUGUGGAAAAAGCUACAACGGGUGAAACAAAAAGCUUUCAACCGCCUGCAGGCGCCGACGUGCUGCACGGGGAUGCUUCAACCAUCUAAAACUUUUUGCUACAUGCGUCAUUCUUUCUUGCAGGGACAAGAGAGAAGCAGAUGUUACAACCGGUGCACAUCGGAGCUACAACCGUCAACCCAAAAUGCCACGACCGAUGGCAUUUUUUGCUGGAACCAGAGAAAGAAUAGGCUUCGACAGACGUGCGUUAUAGCUGCAACCAUACUGAAAAAUGCUACGUCCGGCAACCAAAAAAGCUACACCCGAUUUUGAAAAAAAAAUUCAACUGGAUACGGGGUAGCUGGAGGUCGGCCACCGCACAGCCGAAAAAAGCUGCAACCGGCGUCGAGAAUAGCUACUACCCGCUUUUAAAAAAGCUUCAAACUGAAAACAACUAGAUAACAAUGGCGACCGGCGACGAUGGUGCUGCGUGGCGGUGCUGCGAUGGGCGGAUGGCGAGCUACGACAGCAGGCCGGUGGCGACGCUGGAACCCUCAUCUGGUAGUGCUGCAAUCAGGAGGUGUGACACACGUCGAGAUGCAAGGCAGAGCUGCAUCCGGUGAGCUACGGCGGCCUCAGCGAUCUGUGACAUGGACCGGCCCCCGUGAGCUGCGACGUCGAGCAGGCCCGGCGAGGUGCGACGGGGCGGUCGAGCAGGCCCGGCGAGCUGCGACGGGGCAGCCAAGGGCGCGCACGAGGAGGCUGACCUGCAGAUUUCCUUUUUUCCCUCAUGCAAGGAAGAAGAAGGUAAGGGGGAAUCGUUUUCUUUGGCGGGAUCCAGUGGCCCAGGCGGUCGGAUCCAACGGUUGCUGUGCGACCGGCCCAACAGUUGGGCCGGUGCGCCGACACAGAUCAUUCCCCAAACACGAAAGGUGACAUAUAUGGUUGAUCUAGGGGCACGGUGGAAAGUGGAUUUUAUACUGCAGUAAUGCUCCAAGGUGCUGAUUGACUUCUACUAUAUGACCCGUUUUUGACUUUUACCACUGUCUAUUAUCUUCACAUGUACGAACAAAAAAGUACAUGUAGAUAAAAGUCAUGGGAUAUGUGUGAAAAAUGUUUUUCUACCACUAGUAGAAAAAGGGUCAUUAGUCCCGGUUUAUAAGGGCCUUUAGUCCCGGUUUUCGAACCGGGACUAAAGGGUCGUUACUAAAGCCCCCCCUUUAGUCCCGGUUCUUACACGAACCGGGACUAAAGGCCCUCCACGUGGCCGCUGGCUAGAGCUCCACCAGCUCCACCUUUAGUCCCGGUUGGUAACAUCAACCGGGACUAAAGGUAUUUUUUUUGAAUUUUUUUCUCGAUUUUCAAAUUUCUGAAUUAUUUUAUAAUUUAAUCUCUAAUCACCCACCCCUUGUCACUACUCAAUUUAACCUCUAAUCUCUAAUCACCCCUCAUCAUUCAAAAUCAUCUAACUUCCCGAUCAUCACCCAUCCCUCUCACUACUCCAGCCCGAGCACGCUUAACUUUCGGGUUCUAUUCUCCUUCGUCUCCAAUUCUGCACUUAUUGUUUUCCUAACAAUAGUAAGAUGUCAAUCCUAUUAACCCUCGGGAGUUUAGCUUGAGUAUGAAGUCACACAUUUCACUGUUUGAGUUUGAAACUAUUAUUGUAUAAAACAAUAAUUAUUUAGUAACACUAAUAUUUCUUGAAUAAAUAGUUUGACCACAAUUUGACCAGAUUUGACCAAAAUUCAGAAAAACCGAAAUAAUUAUUUAGUAACACUAAUAUUUCUUGAAUAAGUAGUUUGACCAUUGUUAGUCCACAAUUUGACCAGAUUUGACAAAAAUUCAAAAAAACUGAAAUAAUUAUUUAGUAACACUAAUAUUCUUGAAUAAUUAUUUAAUAACACUAAUACUUCCCGACUGUCUAGUACUGGUGUGCUGGUCCAAUAGGGAUUAACACGACAAUUUCCCGAUUGUCUAGUACAACAAGAUUUGCCCGCCUCCGGUGAGUGAGGGGCGAUGACGCCGGCGCGUCUUUGGCUCGCUACAGUGCAUGUAGUCGUCGCUAAGUGGUCUACAGAUCUGGAUGUAAUUUUUACUUCUGGUGUUCUUUAUACUACCUUGUCAGUCGAUGAAUAGAUCGGAAACUUUUCCAGCAAAAAAGAGGAAAAGUGAUAUAUAUGGUUGGUCUAGGGAGCACCAUGGAAAGUGCCUUUUAUACUGCAGUAAUGCUCCAAGCUGCUCAUUGGCUUCUACUAUAUGACUCUUCUUUGACUUUUACCACACUGUAUUAUCUUCACAUGUACGAACAAAGAGUACAUGUAGAUAAAAAUUAUAGGAUAUGUAUGAAAAAUGAAUUUCUACCUGGGAUCCAUUGUUCUUCGUGCUUGUGCACUUGCUUUUCACUGAUACACAGCGGAACAUAAAGAUGCACUUCCUAACAAGAAGAGACUAAUGCACACCAACGCCCAAAAUAUUGGUAACGCUGUUAGCCGCUAUGCAACCGGUCCGUAAAGUAACUAAAUUAAAAUAGUCUAACUAUAACUCUUCUUUUUACUAGUACAUAAGAAACAUUAUGGUGCCCUAAGAUAAAACAAAAAACACAAUAAAACAUUAUUUAUGUAACAACCAAAAAUAAAACAAUACAACUUAGACAAUACUAGUAAGCGCACCAGAUGACAACGCACGACACGUCGGAUGUGGCAAUUUCAAAGUGUUCGUCAUGUGUACAAGAAAUUUACAUGGUUGUAACGAAACAAUAAAUUAAUAAAAAAAAGUUGAAAGAGAAAGGAGCUAUGACAAUCUUACAGCAAUUUACAGGGGAAAAACAUGAUCACAAAUCAAAACAGCCUUAUACUUCUUCGGUGGCUUAAUGGUUAACCACGUUGCACUUCUUCCUGAUCUCGCCCUGGCUUCCGGUGAGCGGGUUGGCGUUGCCCAUCUUGAUCAUGGAGGCGGCGAAGUCGGCGAAGAACUCGUCCUUGAAUGCUCCGGUGGCAUGGCGCUGGACGUAGGCGCGGGUGAAGGGGUCGGUGAGGAGGGCGCCGUCGGAGUGGAAGAGGCCCCUCCGCUUGCUCACCAGCUUGAAGUAAUCGGUGUCGAAGGUCUUGAAGCUGCCGGGGUCCAUCUCCACGAGUGUGGUGUUGUCGUUGAGGCUGGCACACUUGCUCUUUAGCCGCAUCAUGUACUGCGGCUCCAGCGUGGGGUCGAUGUCGCUGGGGUUCUCCAUGCCGGUGAAGUUGUAGAGCCGGUCGGAGAAGGAGAAGCAGUGCGACGUCCCGAUGGUGUGCCCGGCGGACAAGACGACAAGGUCCUUUGCGUCGAGGUUCACGGCGGCGAAGAGCUGGGUGAGCACGGUGAAGUUGGAGGUCGGGGGUGGCAGAGCGUCGGUCGCGUUGGAAAGGGACACGCUGCCGUCUCGCCGGCCCAGAGGAACUGUCCAGAAUGGACCCUUGCUCUGGAGAAACCAUGAUCGAGCAGCAUUAGAAUUUGGCUUCCACACGUACCGUGUCAUUUGAAAAAUGGCAUAGUAGGAGUACUCUACUCACCAGCCAUACUGCGUCCCUGGCAAUGAGGGCGAGGAUGUCGGCGCAGGAGACGGUGUCGGGGCAGGCCUUCUCCACCGCGGCCUUCACCCUCUCGACAAACCCGAAGCCUCGCAGCGUCUGGUUCGGCUGCGCGUCCUUCUCCGCCGUCUUGUUGGCCGAGUCCAGCAGAACCGAGCCGUCGCACCCCUGCAUUAAUUAAUGGCGGUCACUGGUCAGGCCGCCGCACACAAUAGGGUACGGGCAGGACAGACAACAUGCAUGCAAAUGUAGCUUACCCUGACGAAGCAGUCGUGGAAGUGCAUCCGGAGGAGCGGCCCGGCGAGGCUAGGCGCUAGUGACAGAGCCCUCACCAUCUCCUUCCUCACGACGUCCUCCACGCUGGGGCACGACUCGCUGUAGAACUUGUCGUGCAGCUGCGCCCGCCCGCACGUCGCCGCCACCGCCGCGAGCAGCAGCGCAACCAUCGUCGCAGCCCUGGACGCCAUCUUCUCGGCCAAGAAGCUUGUUUCUUUCUUGGCUAUGCAAGAAACGACGAUGGCUAGUUGAUCCGGAGAAGCUUGAGCUGCUGCUGCUGCUGAUGAACUGGCGCCGGGGAAAUAUAUAGCGCCGGAGUGUCCACACGCCUGCAUGUGGUGGGCUGUCCUCCGGAGCAGCAGGUAAAAUUCCCAUGGUUUAAUGAGUUGUUCCUUGUUUGCACUCUGCGGAAUCUUUGCCGUGGCAGGUACACCGACGGCGCACGGUAUGUAUAAUGGAGGCGGCCGGACAGCCAGACGGAAGCACAUCAUUAGAUGAAUUCACUAAUUUUCUUUAGACAGCAAUCUACUCACUAACUUACUAAUUAGUUAUGAGUUAUCACGGAGAAAACUGCGGUGCCAAGUUGUAAUCAACAAAGGCUACUGGCAAUGAGUGAAUGCCACCUACUGGUAGUUUGCAAGCGUGCGAAUUUCAUGAUGCAUAUAUUUGUACCGGUGCCACAUGCUAUCCUGAAAAUANNNNNNNNNNNNNNNNNNNNNNNNNNNNNNNNNNNNNNNNNNNNNNNNNNNNNNNNNNNNNNNNNNNNNNNNNNNNNNNNNNNNNNNNNNNNNNNNNNNNNNNNNNNNNNNNNNNNNNNNNNNNNNNNNNNNNNNNNNNNNNNNNNNNNNNNNNNNNNNNNNNNNNNNNNNNNNNNNNNNNNNNNNNNNNNNNNNNNNNNNNNNNNNNNNNNNNNNNNNNNNNNNNNNNNNNNNNNNNNNNNNNNNNNNNNNNNNNNNNNNNNNNNNNNNNNNNNNNNNNNNNNNNNNNNNNNNNNNNNNNNNNNNNNNNNNNNNNNNNNNNNNNNNNNNNNNNNNNNNNNNNNNNNNNNNNNNNNNNNNNNNNNNNNNNNNNNNNNNNNNNNNNNNNNNNNNNNNNNNNNNNNNNNNNNNNNNNNNNNNNNNNNNNNNNNNNNNUAAACUAAGCGUGAGUGUAGAAUAGCUUAUUCUACACCCCAGUAACGGUACAUACAAAAUAUAGUAACACAUUAUGUAAAAUAUAGUAAUUUUCGUAAAAAUGUAGUAAAUUAUAAACUUGGGUGAUAAAAAAAAUAUUUUCCAGGCAAUAUACGUACUUACACAAACACUAAUUAGAGGUACCUCGCAAAAUUACCCUGAGACCACUAGGGGCUUGUUUGGUUGUCAUCUACGAAUUUGUCUGCGUUGCACACAUGUCUUAGUUGGGCCUGGCUAUGAGAAAACAGGCAAACGAAAUCUGCAUCUGCACCUCAUUUGGUCGCCCACAUCUAGACUUCCUGCAUUAGGGGAACGGUUUUAGCAUGCUGUUUGGUGUCCUGUAUUGUCUCCACUCAUGCAACUACAUAGUGUUUGAUUGUAUAUAUACACAGGAUAUGAUUAAGAGCUAAUAUCUACGCAUGACAUAACACACAGAGUUACAAUAGAGUUCCUUGGCAGUGUGCCCGUGAUGGUGGCAUUAGUGUAAGCAGAGGGCGAGGAGGCAUAGAGAAAAGACGCCGGCGGCAGUGCCAGGCACAAUAUGGCGUCCAUCCGACAAGGUUGACAACCACAUAUAACACUGGGGACGACAUGACGACAAGGAUGAAAAAUAUGAAGGAGAAAUGCAAUUUGCAUGCCAUGGCCGCGUUAGAGCAACUAUAGCGAACCCCGUAAAAGUCACAAACCCGCAAAAUUAUGGCGAGUAUACGGAUUCGGCCCAAUUUUCUGGCCAGAACAGAGCCCGUAUACUCGACGGCCCGUAAAUAUUUUUACCGCGGCCCGCAACCCUCCCCCCUCCGCCAAGCAAUAUAUCUACGGGUUUGCGGUGCAUAUGCGGGUCGAAACCCUAUCCCCCACUGCCGCGUCUCGCCGCAAUUCCCCACUCCCCUCCUUACAUUUCUCGCCAAUGGUGAGCCCCUUCCACCUCCAAAAGACAUGUGGGGCUGCAUGCGGAGCUUCAGCCACGGCUCUGGGAGUAGCUCCGGCAGGGGCGGCAGCCCCGAGCGCGAGCGGCAUGUCUGCUUGGAUGGCGCGAGGAAGCGCGGGGCGAGGAACUGGACGAACAAGUCUCGAACCGUUGCCGAGCUUCCUCGUUCGUGAGACGGAGGAAUACGACCGUCGGCGCGGGCGUACGCCCUCCUCGGCCGCGGGCUCGUCCUCCGCCGCGAGAUCUUCCCACGCCGCGAUCUCUUCCUCUUCCGGCGCGAGGCUUCUCCUCGUGAAGAGGGAGUGGUCAGAGGAGCCGGUGGAGAUCGAGGUCAUCGCCGUCAAGCAGGAACCGGAGGUGAUCGAGUGACGAGGGGUCAUCGAGCCCAAAGAUUUUGUGGCCGAUUUCGACACGGUGGCGUCCGCCAUUGCCGAGCGGAGCUUAUGCGAGGAGGCGGAGCGCCGGCGCCACGACGACGAGGUCGACGACCUCAUCCUCCAGCAGGCGGUUGCGGCCAACCUUGCCGUGAAGGAGAAGGACGACGAGUGGCGGCGCAUCCGCGAGGAGCAGAGGUCGAAGUUCAUCGAUCUCGUCAACUCCGACGAGGACUGAGCUCCUCCACCGCGUCGUCCUCAGCCGUGAGCUCAUCCAUUUUGGUAUAUCGAUCUCGGCCUCGCCGCCAUGAAUCCCCCCUCCCUCUAGUAGUAGUAAUAGAAUGUAGUAUGUAUGAUAAUGUAGCAUGUGAUGAUGAACUAUGAAUGAUAAUGUAGUAUGUGAUGAAAUAGUGUGGUUGCAAUUUCUCCCACGACAGUAUUAUUCAAAUUAUGCAGUUUCAUAUACGGGUUCUAUUCUGCCACACACGAUUUUGACCCGCAAAACAGUUCUUCAUCGAACUGUAAACGCCUUAUGCGGGUCACGGUUUUACGGGGUCUGCUAGAGUUGCUCUUAGUGCAAGAGGACACAGAGGAGGAGGCCAAAAAGAACAAAGCUAACGACGGCAUCAGUGUAGUAGGACGGGAGCAUGGAGUUAGAGAGGAACAACGCUGGCGAUGGCUUCAGUGUAGCAGAACAUGGGAUAGAAGACAUAGAGGAUCAAUGACCGCUCAAGUGUAGUAGGACGCGGGAGAGGAGGUUGAGAGGAAACGAUGCCGGAGGUGGCGCUAGCGCAACAUCACGCAGCAGAGGAGGCCGAGAGGAACGACACUAACAGUGGCGUCAAUGUAGCAGGACACCUGACUGGAGACCGAGAUUAAGGUCUGUCAUUAACACACAUCGCACAUAUGCAUAUGUAUGUUUUAACAAGGAAGAAUUUACAUCUAGUCUACGAUCAUCGAAACAGAAAAUUUGCAAUACGUAAGUCAUGCGAAACUGCAAGAUGAAGCAACUGGUCAAAGGAAGUUUCAAACGGUCAACCGUGCGCGACAAAUUUAACAAAAUAUGUCCAAAAUAGCUUCAAACAUGAACACGAAAUUGAGCAUUUACGGUUGAAGAAACUACAAACCGGUGACCUGAAUGAAACCAUAACAUUGAUGGUGCAUCUUUUUCAUGUAGAGGUUAUCUCGAAUCGAAGCAUCGUUGUGUAGAUUAGAAGAGAUGACAAAGAAAGAAGAUUAGAGACGAGCUUAAUGGAGGUAGAAGAACAUAGCAGGUAUCCCUCAAGUCUCCUCAGGUGCAACAAGGUCCACCAUGUGCGUUUGAUGUGCCUCAUCUCAGUCUGGCUUGCUAAAAACUGUCGAUUUGACCGUUCCUAGCGGGCCUGACUAGGAGGUGCUUUAAAGUCUGUGCGUUACGGGCCAAACAAUGAAUGUAGAUAAACAAACAUGCCAUUUUCUUCCCACACAGACCUGAUUGACCUAUAUACAGGGUACCAAACACGCCCUAGGUGAUGCCUCUAGGAUUGGAGUUCUAAGUUUCGUAUCAAUGCCAUGUAGCCAACGACCAACCAUGUUUUGACAUUAUGUGACAGGUGCAAAUUAGAAGCUACCAGUAGAAAUGAUUUGGUUUUUAGUGGGAAAACUCUUCUCCUUCAGGUUUUUCUUUCUGUAUACACUCACUUUGUAUGUGAUCUACACUGCAUCAAAUAAAAUACCAACCGAUUUUCAAGACGGCGCAUAUAUAGUUGGAGGGGGUGCCAGGGAGGUUUUUACCCAACGUAGAUGACAACAUAAUCUCCGGAUCGGCCCACCACCUCCUUCGACAUAACACAGUGUCAGUACUAUAUAACUCUACUGUUGCAGAUAGCAUGUGGCACCGGUACAAAUAUAUGCUUCGUGGUCGAUUUCGACGCGGUGGCGUCCGCCAUUGCCGAGUGGAGCUUGCGCGAGGAGGCGGAGCGCCGGCGCCACGACGACGAGGUCAAAGACCUCAUCCUCCAGCAGGCGGUCGCGGCCAAUCUUGCCGUGAAGGAGAAGGACGACAAGUGACGGCGCAUCCGCGAGAAGUAGAGGUCGAAGUUCAUCGAUCUUGUUAGCUCCGACGAGGACUGAGCUCCUCCACCGCGUCGUCCUCAGCCGUGAGCUCAUCCAUUUUGGUAUAUCGAUCUCGGCAUCGCCGCCACGAAUCCCCCAUCCCUCUAGUAGCAGUAAUAGAAUGUAGUAUGUAUGAUAAUGUAGUAUGUGAUGAUGAACUAUGGAUGAUAAUGUAGUAUGUGAUGAACUAGUGUGGUUGCAAUUUCUCUCGCGAAAGUAUUUUUCAAAUUAUGCAGUUUCAUAUAUGGGUUCUAUUCUGCCACGCACGAUUUUGACCCGCAAAACAGUUCUUCAUCGAACUAUAAACGCCUUAUGCGGGUCACGGUUUUAUGGUGUCUGCUAGAGUUGCUCUUAGUGCAAGAGGCCGCAGAGGAGGAGGCCAAAAGGAACAAAGCUAACGACAGCAUCAGUGUAGUAGGAUGCGAGCGGGAGUUAGAGAGGAACGACGCCGGCGGUGGCUUCAGUGUAGCAGAACAUGGAAUAGAAGACAUAGAGGAUAAACGACCGCUCGAGUGUAGUAGGACGCGGGAGAGGAGGUUGAGAGGAAACGACCCCGGAGGUGGCGCUAGCGCAACAUCACACGACAGAGGAGGCCGAGAGGAACAACGCUAACAGUGGCGUCAGUGUAGCAGGACACAGGACUGGAGACCGAGAUUAAGGUCUGUUAUUAGCACACAUCACACAUAUGAAUAUGUAUGUUUUAACGAGGAAGAAUUUACAUCUAGUCUACGAUCGUCGAAACAGAAAAUGUGCAAUACGAAAGUCAUGCGAAAUUGCAAGAUGAAGAAACUGGUCAAAGGAAAUUUCAAACGAUCAACCAUGCACGACAAAUUUAACAAAAUGUGUCCAAAAUAGCUUCAAACAUGAACACGAAAUUGAGCAUUUACGGUUGAAGAAACUACGAACCGGUGACUUGAAUGAAACCAUAACAUUGAUGGUGCAUCUUUUUCAUGUAGAGGUUAUCUCGAAUCGAAGCAUUGUUGUGUAGAUUAGAAGGGACGACAAAGAAAGAAGAUUAGAGACGAGCUUAAUGAAGGUAGAAGAACAUAGCAGGUAUAAAGCUCGCAUCCCUCAAGUCUCCUCAGGUGCAACAAGGUCCACCAUGUGCGUUCGAUGUGCCUCACCUCAAUCUGGCUUGCUGAAAACUGUCGAUUUGAUCAUUCCUAGCGGGCCUGGCUGGGUGGUGCUUUAAAGUCUGUGCUUUACGGGCCAAACAAUGAAUGUAUAUAAACAAAUAUGCCAUUUUCUUCCCACACGGACCUGAUUGGCCUAUAUACAGGGUACCAAACACGCUCUAGCGAUGCCUCUAGGAUUGGAGUUCUAAGUUUCGUAUCAAUGCCAGGUAGCCAACGACCAACCAUGUUUUGACAUUAUGUGACAGGUGCAAAUUAGAAGCUACCAGUAGAAAUGAUUUGGUUUUUAGUGGGAAAACUCUUCUCCUUUGCAGUUUUUUUUCUGUAUACACUCAUUUUGUAUGUGAUCUAUGCUGCAUCAAAUAAAAUACCAACCGAUUUUCAAGACGGCGCGUAUAUAGUUGGAGGGGGUGCCAGGGAGGUUUUUACCCAACGUAGAUGGCAAUAUAAUCUCUGGAUCGGCCCACCACCUCCUUCCACAUAGACAUAGUGUCAGUACUAUAUAACUCUACUGUUGCAGAUACAUUAAUGUCUUUUACUAUAUGUUUGUUCGACUGUUGUGUUUGGCUGCAUGCAUUUUAAUUAUGUAAAGGUCGGGUGUCGUUCAUCAUGCUUUAUAUCCGCUUUAUACUACAUUUGACUUAAUAAAAACACCCACCUCGCAAAAAAAGACUUAAUAAAAACACCCUUUAUUAAAAAAAGGAUGAUUGACCAUGUAGCCCGAGCAAAUUUGUAAUCAAAGUAAAUGUGCUUCAUAUAUAGUUCCGUCUAUUUGACAUAAAAAACAUUGUCUACUUCAAUACAAAUUACAUAUGCUUCACAAGCUUGUUUUUUGUUGUUAUUGAAAUCACCCUUCCGCGAAGAUACCAAUUACUUUCGAAGGGAUAUUUAAUUUUUAUGUUCGUUAAUUGGUACUACCUCCGCCCUGGUUUAUUGGUCCCUUUUGUAAUUUGUGCCAAAUUUUGACAAAAAAAUUAACUAAUAAAAUGUUAAUGCAUGUCAACAAAAAAUAUAUCGUUUGGUUCGUAUUUGAACAUAGUUUUCAAUGAUAUAUUUUUUGGUGGCAUGCAUAAAUAUUUUAUGAGUUAAAUUUAUAGUCAAAAUUUGGCACAGAAUACAAUGGAGACCAAUAAACCAGGACAGAGGUAGUAAUUGGCAUAUCACAAUGAACACUAGGGAGGAUAGAGAUCAUCUGUUCUUCAAGUGCAACUUCAGUACUAGAGUUUGGAACUACAUGCAGAUCUCUUGAACUGAUAACUCUGAUAAGUGUGAGAUUGCUUGCAAGGCCAGGAAAUAAUUUGACAAACCUUUUUUUUUUUGCUGAGGUUGUCUUCACAGCUUGGUGGAAUAUAUGCAUAAUCUGGAACGGAAAAAUAUUAUUGAAUGAAAAGCCCCGUUUUGCUAGGUGGACAGUGGGAUUCACUUGGGAUAUUUAUUUGAUUACACAUAGGAUCAAGGCUACAUAUAAGGAUGCUCUAUUGAGAUGGAUUUCCUAUUUGCCCCCUUUGGUUGUAUUUUCUAUUUUUGGUUCUCAUGUUCCCUCUGUAAGUAAGAUUUUGUUUUCUCUUUCGGCCGAGGCCUUGUAAUCACCUUUGUAUAUCUUUAUAUCUAUGUUUCAAUAAAGAUGAAGCUGUGGUGCUUUGCCCUGCAGGUACAAGUUUCCGAAACAUUGCACUGUGCGUCAAAUUAAUCCAAAAACAUUCUUUUUUACCAAGGUUCCAUUGAAACUCGUCUUUGACUCUUGUAACAACUGCACAACCUCAAACCAAGUUAGAAGUGUUUUCCAUGUCUCAUCUUGGCCCAAGCAAGGUCGUCCUAAACGUCCCGUUGUGGGUGAGGCACUGAAGAAUUGCUCAAAGGUAUCUUGUUUGUUAUAGACAAUACCAAAUAGGAUAUCGGUCACUGAGAGGAACAUUUGUCUAGCCACUAAUCCUUCAAAAUUCUAAUUUGUGAGAUGUCUUUAAUGAUGAAGCUUCCAAAGUGGUAGAAAAAAACUCUCCAUUUUCAUUGGGCUCGCCCUAAAAUGAGAGUCUUCCAUUUAACCCAAGAGAUGGUUUUAGAACGAGCGUAGUUGUUUCACAAGAGGUCUUACCAUACACCUUCCUCGCGAAGACAAAGCUUAAGCAAUAAUUUAAGGAGAAAUGCAAUGUUCUUGGCCUCAACAUCCCAUUUUUUUUCAACCCGCACCUUCUCCUUUCUCCACUUCUCUGCGAAAAAAAAACUGGACUGAAAAUAGUCCAAUAUUUGCAUAAUCCGUAGUGGAAUUUAGUAGAAAAACAACAUGUACAAGACCAUCCUGAUAAGCACAGAGUUAAUACGGACCAACCAUCCACAAAGGACAAAAACUUUCCUUUAAUUCCAACUAAGAAUGUGUUUCUCCCUUCUCUCUACCAUGAUUACUGCAUUCUCGAGCUUCAGAUAAUGAAUUGGAAUCCCCAAAUAGUGAAUGGGGAAUUGGACAUGCUCGUAAAAAAAUUGGUAUAUCGAACUUCAGCUUCCCGGCCAACCUCUAAACAAGCCAACUAGCUCUUAUGGAGGCUAAUUUUAAGGCCCAAAAGUUGCUCAAAUACAGAAACCACUAACUCGAUGUUUUAAGCCUUUUGAAGGUCAUGUUCCAUGUAUAGGAUUGUGUCAUUAGUGUAUUAUAGGAUGGGCAAGUGUACACUAGAUGUGGCACUACCCCACGGAUUUGACCAAUUUCCUUGGCAAGCUCAAUGAGAAUCGUCAAUAUAUCUGCAACAAUAUGAAAUAACAUAAGAGAUAAGCAAUCCCAAUGUCCCAUACCAUUUUCUGUAUCAAAAUAGUGGGGAGUGUCGUCAAGGAACUUAAUGGUACACUAAAAUGAUCAAUUAAGCACGCCAUUUAUUGGAGAAGCAUUACAUCAUGAGUCCCUAUUGAAGAAAAGACCACUUGACUUGUUAUAUGUUGAGUGAAAUUCACCACUAAUCCAUUAACUUAAUAUGAUUGCACACUUUAGACCAACAACUCGGGAAGUGAUCAGUUAAGGCCCUACACUCAUUGAUUUGAUCAAAUAAUCUAAAACUCAAUUUGAUAGAGAAAAAUCUGGCCACAUGGCUGUCAUGUGAGCAUUCCUUUGACCGCUCGGGAACUAAUUCUUUUAUACUAGUCGUCAACCCGUGCGUGCGCACGGGCUAGUAGUUUGGAAAAUAGCUUAGUAGUUUUUUUUGUAAAUAUUGUUAGAAACAAAAGAGGAACUAAUUAUGAAUUAUAAAUUUACACUUGAAAAAUGACACUUUGUUCUUUAAUCAUAUAUUUUAUAUUUAAGUAUAUUUUAUAUGUCAUAUAAGAACACUAUAGUUUGAUUUCUUUGCUCUAAAAAAUGUUAAUUUAUUCUUCAGCAUGUGCAAAUAUCUCCCAAAAACAAUUUUUUCCGAAGAAUUGUUAGGGUUGGAAGAAGCUCAUACAUUUAUUAAGUCUCCCAAGUGUAUUAAUUAUAUAAAUUUACUGUCAGUAAUGUUUUUGAAAUGAAACUACAUUUGUGCGAACAAAAAAUAUUCUUAAGUUUAGAACAAAAACAAACAAACAAAAUUGUUCGAUACUUUCCUAUAUAUAGUGCAUAAUUAUUGAAAUAUGUACAGAGAAGCAUGAUGUGUAUAAUCAUGACAUCCCUCCAAAAAAAUAACUAAACAUGAGCCCAUGAGUUUCUGUCAUGUUUGUUUGUCGAGAAACACAUGAUUUCUUCCUACGUACACAUUCUUAAUUAUCCAAGUCGAAUUUGUUGGACGAUUUUAAACUCUAAACAUCACAAACAUAAUGAAUUUAUUUUCGUCCAAAUACACCUCUAGUAUCAUCUCUUCUAUUUUCCUAAAGGAAAACUCAAUUCCUUGAAUCCCCAGGUAUCAGCCACUUAUUUUUCUAAUCUCAUAAACCAAGUCGGGGUGCUAUGAAAUAUUCAAAUGGUUAUACAUAUCAGAUGCAUCGUGGUGGAUAACUUGGGCCAUGUGAUGCACACUACCUUAGGAAAUGUAAAAACAAAAUGGACUAUAUUUGUUUACAAAUUAUUGAAAAACUUGAGCAAGAAAGAGAAAUAGAGUGGCCAAGAUUAAUAUAUUAUUUUUUGGAAAGACUUAUAUAGUUCUACCAGAAACCUAAUAAUAAUUUGUGAAACAAUUUUCGCUGUUUUCAACAUGCAGCAAUAUUACUUGUUGUUUUCAAUGAGAAGGAGAAACAGUUUUGCAUAGUUAAAUGUCACCUGGCUUUGUAACCCCAAAGGAAUAAGAAUCUACAAAUUAUGAGUAGAAGCAUACAUCCCUACUUAACAAAAGGACACACCAGGUUCAUCAAACAUGGAUGAAAAAACUGAGUGUUGUUAUUGGACAUCAGAAGUCCAUAUCCUAAAAAAUAUGACCAUGCCGAAGGUAAAAUUAGUAUCAUCUAAGCUAGACUAAUUUUAUUUGUCCAGGCUAAUGAUAAUACAUUUUUCAACUACUAAUUUUAUUUGUCCAGGCUACAGCACAACUAACGUCUGCAUUGCAGUAGUAUUUGGGAAACAAAAAAUCAUAUUAUAAUUUGGGACACUGCAGAACGUUCUGAACUAUCGGCAUGCGCGUAUACUGGAUCGUGUAGAAAGGAGAAAUAACCGGCACUUUUGGCGAUGUGGGCACACCGCCAUACUGCAACACAACGCCUUUAAAGUUUUCCCCUGGGAACAUCCAAUUAAUAUUUACAUAUAUGAACUUGUAAGCCCAUUGAUCAUGUUGCACACACCUGUUGUGACCUUCACUCACCUGCCAGUACCCCGACCGGUCGACACCUCUUCCUGCAAGUAGCCACCAGUUCAAUGAUAUAGAAGAUAAAGAAACGAAAUUUACAUCAACUUCGAUAGUCAAAAAAACUCUUUCAUAACACUUCACUUCACAUUACGUUAGUGCUAGACUCAUCUUCAUGACUUGAGCAGUUGCCUAAUUCACUACAAACAAAACAAACCAGCUGGCUGGCAAUAACAUGUGGUGGAAGUGCAGCAACAUUAAAUCUAAACAAACUGCAUUAGUCGAUUCAAACCAUACCAGGGAGCUCAACUGAGAUCAUCAAGAGUUUGUGUGAUCUCUGAUUGAGGCAUGAUCUAGAUGACACGGGGUGGUAAUUAUACUGAAAAUCUGAUUAUCUAUGUAUGCAUCUUUUUAUUCCAUCUAUUCAUCGUCAAGUAUCUAACUAUGCAUACAUCAAUCCUUCCUAUCCAUCAAUUCCAUAUACGUAUCAGCAAGUAGCAUCAAGGUAAUGCAUGGGACAAUGAGAAAAUAUCGGACCUGAGAUUAAAGGGGCUGGAGCAUGACCACCAUAGAUUCCACUUCAUACGCAUCUGCAGAUUAAACUGGCUGGAGCAGGACCAACUUCCCAUAGAAGAUGGUUCUUGGUACUUGGUAUUCAAUGUGUUGGCCGUAAUGGAACUUCGAAUUGUUAUAUAUUUACCUUUGUUUACAAAGCGGUUUUAUUUACAAAGAUGAUGGCGUACACUAUAUUAUCCUUCCACCUGAAUUGCUAGCAUAGAAACAACAGAAGCCUGAAAAGGAAUAUAUUGCAAGUUACAACAACAGUAUUCGUAAAUCAACAUUGACAUAAACCACUCAAUUGAAGAAGAAAUACAGAAAGCGGUAACUCGCAAAUCAGUCGAGUACAAAGAACUGAUGCGCAUUUUUCAAUCAUAUAAAUGUGUAGAAAGGCCUAGGUAGGAAUACGGGAAGGUGUGUAUAUGCAUUAUGUACUUCCUCUAAACACAGCUAUUUUCUAUCAUCCAGGUCACGCCCGAUGGCAAACAUUGCCGCAGUCCAUACAUGUCAUGGGUUUGGCCUAAUUGGGUUUGGAGGAUGCUACAACAUAGAGAUGCAUUCUUGCCACGGUCCCCAUGGUAUGGUGUUGAAUUUGGGAAGCACAUGAAGAGGAGGAAGUGGUGUUGAAUCUACACAUGUGGCCUCAAGUGUUCGUUUCCCAGAUCUUAAUCCACUACUGUUUGCAUUGCUAAUUCACCGUAUUCCAAAAGCUUAGGACACGUUUGGUUGCUACUCAGGUAACGUCUUCAGUUAAGGUACCGGGAAGCUCCGGUUCCCUUUUCUUCUUUAGGAAUACGUGAUGUGCUUGGUUUGGCCGCCCCACUCCCGCUUUUGUAAUCAGCCGCGAUUUGGGUGUUUCCGAGUUUGUGAACCUCCGGAUCGGAAGACACUGCUACGGAAUACGUUGUUGGCGUACCAAAUGCUGGAUGCCGUUUCAGAAAGCGCGGUAGUCGGAAACCGUGACAAUUCUUCCGAAACAAACGCGUCGUUAAUUACUUAGGAAACCAAUCCACAUCCGAUCUGGUCACCUCAAUCCAUUGGAAGCUGCCUCAGGUCAACUUUGUCCCCUUCCUACUGCCGUGCGGAAUUUGCAAAGUACAACACAUUGCUACAAAACAUGAGAAAGCAUAGCAGGGAAGACAGAAGAAGGUCCGACAUUGUUAGGGCAAUCAUCGCCAUGGUCCAGCUCGGCGUUUCUGCCAACUGGACUGACCCGUACAAUCUUUUCACCACCAAAAUAAAGAUCGCAAGUACCUAAUUGUACUACAGCACUCUCUCGAGCGCUCGCAGAAAAACAGAUCACCAUGUACCUGAUUGUACUACUGCGGCAUGUGGAGGCCCUGAGAAAGGAGGCCGACCGAGGAGGCCCGUGCGUGUGGACGAUGGUAGCACCCCUGCAGGAGGGAACAGAUGAAGAUCUCGUCCUGCUCGACAACGCUCAGAUGAUGCCGCUAUGAUGAAGGGAAGGCAUAUGCGUGAGAGAUUGAGCCACAAAGAAAAACAGAAUAUAUUUUGGGGUUUUCCUCUCGCUUUAAAAAAGAGGCAUGAGAGAUUGAACAGGAAGGAAAAAAAAACAAAAACAUGAGAGAUUAGCGGAGCCAUUUAAGAGAGAGAGUUGACGGAUCCUUUUUUUUUUGGGCAGUUGAUUAUUCUGUACGUGCACGCGUGUUUUUUCUUUUGGAGUUUUGCUCUAGCUUUCAAAAGAGGCAUGAGAGAUUGAGUUAGAAAAAAAUAGCAAAAACAGAUGUACACCUUUUUAAUUCGGUCGCACGAGAUAAACGAAAAAAUAGCAAGAAUAGCUUUCAAAAGAGGCAUGAGAGAUUGAGCCAAAAAGAAAAAAAAAGCAAGAACAGAUCUACACCUUUAUAAUUCGGUCCCACCAAAUAAACAAAAAAAGAAAAAAAUAGUAAGAACAGAUCUACACCGUUAUAAUUAGGUCCCACCAAAUAAACGGCUCUUAAUUUCUAAUUAAUGUAGGAAUUUCUAGGAAGUGACAAAUUAUUAUAGGUAUAGAUAGAUAGAUAGAUAGAUAGAUAGGGAUCUAUUUGUAAAUUGGUUAGUUUUUACUCACAAACCAUGCUGAGGAUGUAUGGAGGACAAAUAUAUUAAAAACCUUAAGUUGCAUGGGAUUGAAAGCCACAUCCUUAGAGGUGGCAAACAUCUCGCUAACCGCAUGAACAUCAACUAGUUUGUGUACCAAGAUGCAACCCACUCUAUAUAUUAAAAUUCAAAAAACUAAGCAGCAAAAAUCAUAUGAGAUUAGAAUAAAAAAAUAUUGCUACGAACACUGUUCUACUAUAUUGCAAAACAAUAUAGACAAUGGAGAAUUUUGAAGAAAAGAACAGAAAAAUCGCAUAUCUCAUGCUAUCACAUCAUAGUAUUUUAAGAGCCAUGCAUAAUAGUAUAUGAAGAAUCCCAUAACCGCCUCCUGGGUCGCUCGCCUCCCGGGUCGCUCGCUAGGGCGACUCUAGAGGCCACCAUAAUCCAGUAGCACAACUCAUCUCUCGUGCUCCUCGUGCCGCCUUCGAUGGCGGCGGUGGCGGCGCCCGGCCGUGGAAGGCAGAGGUCUUGCUGCGGGUUUCUCAUGCCGGAGGAGGUGCGGUCGUUCGAGCACCCUGUUUCUUAUGGUGGCACGCAGGUGGUGGGCCGCCGAUCAAGUUGUCAGCAUUGCGCGAGCGGAGAUCUUUAGUGAUCAGGUGGGAUGUGGCUCGUGCAUAGGGGUUCCUUCUCGCACUGGCCAAGUGUUGUUCCUCCGGCAGCCAUCGGACAUGGAGUCGGUCAUGCUGCGCGAAUGGAUGCAUUUCGAUGCCUUUGGGCAGUUUUGCUCGGCUCCUCAGUUGGGCUGCAUCUUGAUGGCUGCUUGGCGUGAGGGUUCUAGUUUGACGAGUGAAUGGGCCAUGGAUGGUGUCUUUGGUGAGGUUUGUGGCACUCCGGCUAAAAACCGUACCUGACCUUUGUUGAUGCUGUUUACCACGUCGCCUUCGGGUGUCGCUAUUCAUCCCCUCACCGAGGAUCUCUAACACCUAUUUCAAUCUUGUGAUCUCGUCUCCCGGUGAAAACCGUAAUCCAGAUUCCCAAAUCGGCGAUGUCGAUAUCCUUUAUGAGGAAGUCAUUACUAGAAUGCAUCGUGUCAGAGACUUGACUUGUUGGAGAACCUCAUGGGGAGUCGUUGGUGGAGGGCCUGCGGUGGCGCGGUUGGUGUGGCUUUCCUGUCUCUCCGGUGCACUGCUUUGGGUGGCUGAGGUAUGGAGGUGAUGCUUGGCGAUGGGUAGCAAUGAUUCUUCCUGGCAGAGUGGCGAUGCCAAGAUGGUGCACGGCAACCGUGUCAGUGAUGCGUUGGUGGUGCCAUGGAGCCAGAUCCUUGACGAAGUUACUGGUUGCAGAUCCCGGUCCUAGCAAUGCAAUGAGGGCUCAUGGUGUAUUAUCUGGCGGCAGGUAGCCAUGCUCAGAUUUACCACUGAUUUGCACUUGCGACGGGGACGCGUGAUCGCCAAAGCGUCCCUUAUGGAGGAUUUUGGUGGCAUUGUUGUCUCUAGUCUGUGGAUAUAUGACAUGCGCCACAUGGGUGUCAAUGCAUGCACCUGGCAAUAAAGGCCGAUUGUGGCGGCUAGAUCGCUUCAUUGGUGUCUGCACAAUUUUGAGCUUGCUUGCUGAUGGCUCUAUAUUUUACACAUUUCUAGAGCUCAUUUGUCGCAUGUUCUCGGCAUACAUCAAGGCAUGUUGAACCAAAUAAAUGUCCAACACAUGAUUACUGAUUUUUACUCUUUUCAUUAUGACAAUUGCCUAUUAUUAUUAUUAUUAUUAUUAUUAUUAUUAUUAUUAUUAUUAUUUGGUUUUUAUUAGAUUCCUUUAUUUUGUUGUGUCUACAGGUGUUUUGGAGCAACCUAGGACCAAACACGAUGAAUAGGCCAAGGUUGAGUUCCUUACAGAGGACUUCCAGCACUCCAACUAGAUUAAGAACUUUGAAAACGUUGUUCGGAUGAGUAAGUUAUCACUAUUUUCCCAGAAGAGGUCAUAACAAAAGACGGCCUCUAGUACAACAAAAAAUGGUCCUACUGGUGGUCGUACCAGGUGCAGAUAGGCCCGAAAGUUGCCUCUCUGGAUGAGAUUCUUCAUCAAUUUCGUCUCCUUUGUUACCUCGUGUUCCUUGGCUAAUAAGGAAGAGUUUGAGAGAGGAUUUGACUCAAGUUGAGCCCUUAAAUGAAGGUGGAGGGUCCACAUCUAUGCAGGAGACCCAAGCAGGCCUUCUAUAUAUUGAAAUGGCAAUAUCAGAGUCUUCGUCGUGUGUACAAGGAAUUAACAUGGUCGUAACGAAACAACAAAUUAAUGAAAGAAAAAGAUUUGGGAGAGAAAGGAGCUAUGGCAAUCUUACAGCAAUUUACAGGGGAAAAAGAUGAUCACGAAUCAAAACAACCUUGUACUUCUUUGGUGGCUUAAUGGUUAACCACGUUGCACUUCUUCCUGAUCUCGCCCUGGCUUCCGGUGAGCGGGUUGGCGUUGCCCAUCUUGAUCAUGGAGGCGGCAAAGUCGGCGAAGAACUCGUCCAUGAAGGCGCCGGUGGCAUGGCGCUGGACGUAGGCGCGGGUGAAGGGGUCGGUGAGGAGGGCGCCGUCAGAGUGGAAGAGGCCCCUCCGCUUGUUCACCAGCUUGAAGUAGUCGGUGUCGAAGGUCUUGAAGCUGCCGGGGUCCAUCUCCACGAGGGUGGUGUUGUCGUUGAGGCUGGCACACUUGCUCUUUAGCCGCAUCAUGUACUGCGGCUCCAGCGAGGGGUCGAUAUCGCUGGGGUUCUCCAAGCCGGUGAAGUUGUAGAGCCGGUCGGAGAAGGAGAAGCAGUGCGACGUCCCGAUGGUGUGCCCGGCGGACAAGACGACAAGGUCCUUUGCGUCGAGGUUCACGGCGGCGAAGAGCUGGGUGAGCACGGUGAAGUUGGAGGUCGGGGGUGGCAGAGCGUCGGUCUCGUUGGAAAUGGACACGCUGCCGUCUCGCCGGCCCAGAGGAACUGUCCAGAAUGGACCCUUGCUCUGGAGAAACCAUGAUCGAGCAGCAUUAGAAUUUGGCUUCCACACGUACCGUGUCAUUUGAAAAAUGGCAUAGUAGUAGUACUCUACUCACCAGCCAUACUGCGUCCCUGGCAAUGAGGGCGAGGAUGUCGGCGCAGGAGACGGUGUCGGGGCAGGCCUUCUCCACCGCGGCCUUCACCCUCUCGACAAAGCCGAAGCCUCGCAGCGUCUGGUUCGGCUGCGCGUCCUUCUCCGCCGUCUUGUUGGCCGAGUCUAGCAGAACCGAGCCGUCGCACCCCUGCAUAUUCACGGUGGUCAGGCCAUAGCGCACAACGGUGUACGGCAGAUACUGAUGCAUGCAAAUGCAGCAUACCCUGACGAAGCAGUCGUGGAAGUGCAUCCGGAGGAGCGGCCCGGCGAGGCUGGGCGCCAGUGACAGCGCCCUCACCAUCUCCUUCCUCACGACGUCCUCCACGCUGGGGCACGACUCGCUGUAGAACUUGUCGUGCAGCUGCGCCCGCGCGCACGUCGCCGCCACCGCCGCGAGCAGCAGCGCCACCAUCGUGGCAGCCCUACACGCCAUCUUCUCGCCAAGAAGCUUGUUCCUUGCUUGGCUAUGCAAGAAACGACGAUGGCUAGGUGGCUAGUUGAUCCGGAGAAGCUUGAGCUGCUGCUGCUCAUGGACUGGCGCCGGGGAAAUAUAUAGCGCCGGAGUGUCCCCACGCCUGCAUGUGGUGGGCUGUCCUCCGGAGCAGCAGGUAAAAUUCCCAUGGUUUAAUGAGUUGUUCCUUGUUUGCACUCUGCGGAAUCUUUGCCGUGGCAGGUACACCGGCGGCCACCGUACGUAUAAUGGAGGCGGACGGACAGCCAGACGGAAGCACAUCAUUAGAUGAAUUCACUAAUUUUCUGUAGACAGCGAUUUUCUCACUAACUUACUAAUUAGCCAUCACGGAGCAAACUGCGGUGCCAAGUUCUAAUCAGCAAAGGAUACGUGCAACAAAUGAAUGCCACCACCUACUGGUAGUUUGAAGACAUGGAAAUAUCACGAUCCGUAUAUUUAUAUCGGCACCACAUGCUAUCCCGAAUCAGCUUUACUAAGUCUCAGUCGAAGCUAUAUUCGUUUGAUCUUGUGUGAAGAUCCGUGCAAUUUCGAUGUGGUCUGAAAUACCUGUAACACCGGAAUUUUGAGCCAGAUUUACAAACUUGAAAAUAAAUUUAAAUUAUGUUACAAUUCAUUGAAAGGUAGUAAUUUUUUAAAGAAUUUUUACAUAUGUCAUCCAAAAUUGCUUUGUUUUUUAGAUUAAAAGCCUUGCCAAUAAUUAUGCUAAUAUUAUGCCUUUGUCGAGGCCCUGGCCCAAAAGACCAGAAGAAUUUAAAUAUCAUGUUUUGAUCAACAUAUAAUUUGAAUAAUGAUGUUUAAAUUCCAAACAUGGUUAAAAUGAUAUUUAUAAAUUUGGGGAUCUAGUUUUUAUAAGUCUCAAGCUUUGUACGUGGUUGGAAUUUUGUAUUCACGAAAAACCAAUGNNNNNNNNNNNNNNNNNNNNNNNNNNNNNNNNNNNNNNNNNNNNNNNNNNNNNNNNNNNNNNNNNNNNNNNNNNNNNNNNNNNNNNNNNNNNNUGUUUGAGGCAAGUAAUUCUGCACGAAAUUCAAUAUUUAAACCCGAAUAUUAAUAUAGAGAUCCUACACCUACGAAAGUCUAGGUAAACCCACCAUAACAAUCAUACAGACAUUCUAGAACACGACAAAGAUAGUUGCCGAGGCAAGAUCUUAAACAUGCCCAUUACCGGAUUGCAUCUUAUUGCUUGGUCAUCUUGUCAUAUGCAUCGACCGUCGCCUAAGAAAACCAUACAUUAUAGAAAAUGGCUUAUAGGUGAACACAAAUUUGUGACGGGCGAGACGUGUGCCCGCCACUGGUAUACCGUUUCAGAGCUGGCCGCGUAAUGCAACCUAAUUGUGGUGAGCAGUAACAAAGGCCCGCCACUGCUUAUUUGUACAUCAGUGGCGAGUGUGACUGUUGCUUGCCACAGCUAAAUUAUGGUAAGCACUCUUACCAGGCACGAAGGAAGUACAUAUUAUACACUUGUAGUAGUGGCCGGUCCAGUCGGCCGCCCGCCAGUGUUGUCCACUUACGUGUAGCGGGCGCCCUGCCGUGCCCGUCACACGUAGACCCACGACACUGGCUGCAGUUUACUUUUCCCCCACCUGAAAAACGGUUUCAAAAUUUGGCAUUUCCCCCGCCCCCUCCCCCCGCGCCUUUCCCCCCAAAUCUCGCCCGACUGGGCGUCGCGCCCCUCGUUGCCGCCUCUCAUCCUCGCCGCUGCUGCGCCCCUCGUUGCCGCCUCUCCUCCUCGCCGCCGCCGCCACACCCCUCGUUGUUGUCGCCCCCUUCGUCGACGUUGCGUCGCGGCCUUCCUCGCGGCCAUGGGCAUGGACUCCUUCUCCAACACUGGAGGCAUCUUGCUUCCGCCGCCACCGCGAAGCUCCUCCGCGAUGGCUACCCCUCCGACCAUUGUGCCCUCCUCCGCCAACAUCGGAUACCUCGCGCCGCCUUCGGACGCAAAGCGAGCCACCUCUCUGGUAUGGUCAAAGUUGUGUUUAGGGUAAAUAAAUAUUUAGCAUUGAUUAAAUUUGAGUAGUGUGCCGUACUAUUAUUGUGCUUACGGUAACUAUGAGUAGAUUAGGAACAUUUUUUAGGUAUUGACAUGAGUGACAAUGUUUUGGCAAAACGUCGAUUCAUUUCCGUUUUGCCGAAUUUCUGGUACUCAUUAUGUCCUCUUUUUAGCAGAGGUCAUGUCGAAUUUUUCUUUCAUUUUUUAACUAGGAUCCAUUGUAGUAUCAUUGGCUUAUAUUUGCAGGUAUUAACAUGAGUGCCAAUGUUUUGGCGAAACGUCGAUUCAUUUCUGUUGGCCUUACUUUGAAAUGUAAGUUCAUUUCUUUAUGCUUGCAAAUAUACACAUGAAUACUUUGAUGUCAAUCUCAUUAAUUUUACAUUGUUCAAUUGUUCCCCGAGACGGCCGAGCUUAUUUCUUCGAUUUCAGGAGAGACCCUAAGAAGCCAUGGACCGAUCUGAAGAAAGUUAUCAAUGCUGCUCUUUUGAUGUGUCAUAAGUCCGACCGUAAGAACAUGCCACAUUCGCAGUACAAAUUUAACACUAGCUUCUAUUGCCGGCAACAACCAAAAGGCAAAACCAUGCACAUGGCUGCUACUGUGCCAUGGUCUUGAUGGAUGACGAUGUGCGUGCAGGACCACUGUUGAGGAGUGAUUCGAUGUUGUAGAAAUGGUCCGAAGAGAAUGAGAAGGAAUUUAAGCGAGCUCACUUUUGGACAGAGCAUGAGCACUUUCAGAGGGUGCUCAUGAAUAUCACCAAUCGCCAUGUAGUAGGGGAUGAGGAGAUGUUCUACUGCAGGGCAGAGAGCCAAGAAGAAUGAGAGAUGAGAAUGAAACAUUGACAUGGCGAUAUACACGCUCCUUUCUAGUCCAGCAAACCGUGAAAAACCAUUAAACUAUGUCAUGACACACUGCUUGUUACCUUGUGAUCUCUAGUUUAUAUGUACGCAUGUCAUAUGUUUAUAUAUUAACCUUGUGAUCUUUUCCAUAUGUAUAUAUUUUGAAUUUUAUUGUCUGCUAAAAAUAAUAGAUGGGACCAUCAGAAGAUUUGUGGGACGGGGUCUCUGCGGCGGACAUGGAGAAGCACUAUCUAUGGACGUGGGAAAAGUAUCGGGCAGAGUACCUCAGGGAGGCGAUGUUAGCUUGGGUUAGAAGUAUUCCAAUGACCCAGUGUUCUCUCCCAGCGAUUGAGAAGAUUGCAGAGAAGUGUUUAGUGACCUUGCGGCGUCCAUCCUUACGGAGGCAACCCUGGAUGAGAGGCUGAGGAUCUGGCCUGGUAUGAGUCCAACCACCAUACCCAUAACCGCUGAGGUUGUUGUGGGCUCUCCGAGAGGCCAAAUGUCCAAUUCCAGAGCAAGCGGCCCGUUGGUCCCCAUUCGUUCCAUCAAGUACUAAUUCAUGUAGUAUGUGCGGCUUCUACUAACAGUCUACGCGUUAAAUAUCGGCUGACACUCAUUGCACUCCAAAACAACUCGUCAAAUCAUUAAUUAUGUGAUGAGCGAUGACAUAUAUAUGCUUAUUAAUGAUUGUAAUGCACUUGUUAUAUUUUGUUUAUAACUACUACUUUUCAUUAAUCUGACAUCAUUGUAAUGUGGUGCGUGUAUGUGAAUCAUGGUUCAAACCCACAUUUAUGUAUCAAAUGCAAUAUGAUGAUAUGAUUGAGGUGCAAUAUGCUGCAAUUCAAUCAAUUCGGCAUGCGGCGGUAGCAGUGACGAGCACAACACACUGUGGUGGGCGGUACAAAAGGACUGCCACUGAUGCGCGAAAUUCCUAUGCUGGGCAACGCGGAAAACUGUGGCGAGCCCGGACAAUCGCGAGCCACUGCUCUUGGGCUACCACUGGCGGGCGGGUGGCCGCCACUGAUGUCGUAUUAGCAGUGGUGGAAGGUCAGUGGCGCGUGCCCCUGAGAGCCUUGCCGGCCACUCCUGGGCUUUUCCCACAUGCGACUGCUAGGCAUUCCUGCAGUAGUGAUAGUUCUCGUUGAAAUGGGUGGUGAGUCUGAUCUCUCACAAGUUGAUUUCGUUCUUAGUAGAGCCGCCGAAGCGUGGUAGCCCUAGAAAAUUCUCGAGAUUAUAUGUUAAUUUUGUAACGCCCCGUCAGGCUAGCCCAAGGCCCCUUUAGCAUAUUGCACGACCAUGUCCAUCAAUCGGGCAUGUGGGCCAUCCAGAAGGAAGGAACUAGCAUCUUGACGAUCAAGGGAAGAAGGCCAGAUAUCCAGGAGGACUCUCCAGCCGCCUUAGCUGACUAGGAUUAUUGUAACCAUAGGCCUUAGUAUCCUUAAUAAGUCAAGGUCAAGCUAGCAGCUAGGGGACCUUACAAUCAACCCUUUGAUACACCUAAGAUUCCAGAGCCCUUAAAAAAACCCCUAAGAUUCUAGAGAUCAUCAGCAUACUAUGUGCACCCCUUCAAUCCAGUACAACACAAGUAAGAGUAGUGCUUUGCCUCCAAAGAGAGGUCUGAACCUAGGUAUGUAUUAUGUUUCCCCUCUGUGCUUUCUGGCUAGUCACGGCACCCUACCGAGGGGUCUACGGGAUUUUACAUUGACAAUAGCACCAGACAUGGAUCGUGCUACUAAGAGUUGACAUCGAGAUUGGAUCCAAACAUCAAUUGUGAUGUCUUCGCUCCUUGCCAGAUCUUCACCUUCGUUGCGAUGAACCUAAUCACAAACUCGGUGGCCAGAUUAAUCCAAUUGACACUUAGGCAGCAGUUCAUAUUCUCUUCUUCGAGAAUCUAGAUACACUGUCGAUGGGCGUGAUGAGCUCGAUCUCUGCAACCUAGCACAAUGCAGGAGCCAGAGCCGAUCUUCAUUAGUCCACCAACCUCCCACUACAUUGCCACCAUCGACUUUUUCCAUGACGUCCUAAUGGAGCACGAGCCAAAGGAAGAGGAAAGCGAUGGAAGUUGCCCCGAAUUGAUACCAACACCUUGCUAGCCUUGGGAGGCAACUUCCAUGUACAUGGUUGAUAACAUAGCCAACGCCGAAGAUGACGCUUUCGACGAGUGCGCACUCGCAACGCGCAUGACACCGGUAGCAAAUACCAACGACGCCUCCAAAAAACUGGAAGCCUGUCGUAAGAAGAUGUAGCACCUGCACUUGCGCCAGCAACAGGAGCGCAGUCGCCUCUUAGAAAGGAAGGCCCAACCGUAGCCUCCAUCAGGCUAGUCCAGAAUAGGGCAGAACAUAGUGUAUUAUCUAAAGAUGUGACCAAACUUGUCGCCUGGGCCCGAGCAAUGCAUACAGCAAUACAUGGAGUUGCACCUGCCAAUUCGGCAAUGUUUCACACCCCGCCAUAAACCUUAUGGUUCCAGUGGGGCAGUGAACGACAUCAAACUCCUAGACGAUCAUCCAGGCCAUGAGAAUUGUUUUUUUAAAAUAAUUUAUAUAUGCAAUAUGACCAGAAAAUGAUUAGUUUCAGGAGGGCCAGCAUUGUACCCCUUUUCUGCAGACUAGGGAGUAGCAAAAAAUAUUUGUGCUUUGCAGGAUUGCAACUCAUGUCCCCAAAGGCCUCAACCAGCUGACCUAGCAUAUGCUUGUGCUAAAAAUAGGUUCAUUAUUUAAUUAAAAAGUCCCACCUCGACUCUUUGCACGAGAAUACAUCAAUUUAUAUAAAUUUAUAAAUUGGAGCUAAUUGAAGAAAAAGGAACAGAGGGAGUGAAUGAAGUAAAUGGAUUUGAGCUAGCAUUGGUGACUUGUACUAGAUAAAUAAAAUUGUUGCAUUUGCAUGGAUGGUUGUGCCAAUAUAAAUUAAUUGAAUUUGUAAUAAAGGCCAGAUUUUGUGAUUGUUGCUAUGAGGGGGAGACCCUAUAAUUAAUGAAUUAAUCCUUCCGGAGUCUACCAAUCUUAUGUUAAUACUCAUUUUUUAAGACUUUCGUGAGAUAACCACAACAAAGGGUGGAAUGGAUUUCAACCUCGGCGUGCGUAUCCCUGCUGACGUCAGGUGGCACCAUCCAGAUGUUGUUGUGUCGCAUGGACAUGUCAAUUACUUCUCCCGUUGCAAUGCACGGGCAUAUAUGCUAGUAAACCUUAUGGUUGCAAUGGGGCAGUGAACGACAUAAAACUCCUAGACGAUCAUCCAGGCCAGGAGAAUUUUGAGCAUGCCAAAAUUUUGCUCCAAACAGUUGUCGUAUAACAAAAUGUUUGUAUAGGAUCGAAGACCAUGGUGGGGACCUCGAACGACAUGCACAACAGACAAGUUCACUCCAUCGAAAUUGAAUGUCCACUCGUCCGCAUAGCCAUGUAGUUGCCAACCUGUCUCCACCGACAUGCUCGCAAAGUCACGCACUCGCCAACCCCGAGAGAACACCAUCGCCGCACUAUCUGCUGGGAAACAUUGUAGAAAACUAAAAAAUUCGCCUUAUGAUCACAAUCCAGGAACACUAUGAAGAUGCAUUAGAGGUAUAGAUUGGAUCGUUACCAACUUAGAGUUGCACUGUAAGAAGAGUUGAUGUAUAUCAUUGAUGAAGUCCCGUGAACCGUUCAUGAAUGAUCCAUCGAGCAGAAGAACGAGCCUAAGAAUAUCCCUCCAUCGUCGGAGGAGCAAAUCCCACUCUUGAGCUAUCUAGCCCCUUGUCACACUUUUCGAUGAACCUGAAAGUUUUCGUUAUGAUCACCGUGUUAUAGAAGACGUUUGAGAAAGCCCAAAGUUUAUUGUUUGGUAUGAAGUGACUACGAUACUCCCAUGGUACGAUGAACUAAAGUAUACAUUACCUCUCCUUGUUAUAUCAAUAGACUUGUGACGAUUACAUGUCAAAGUAUAACAAUCAAGUUGGAUCAAUUCAAUAUGAUCGUUCUUGUAACAUCAUAGUACCAAUGUUGUUUUGGUAUCCUCGUUACUCUUAUCUAAAUACGUAUGAUCAGGAAAACAUGAUUAUCACACAACACUUGAGCUAGUCCUAGGGGCAAAACUAGGAAUCCAAUUUUACUGUUGAUUAUUCUAGACGUGUAUGUGUGUUUCCUCUGAAUCGCAUAUUCAAGAAUGAAAGCAAGUAUAUCAUAGAAUAUAAACUCUUAACUGGAAAUAUAGAAAUAAAUAAUACAAAUAUAAUUGCCUCUAGGGCAUAUUUCCAACAAACUCCCACUUGCCCUAGAGCCAAUAAUCUAGUUACAUAGCUUCUCUAACACCAAUGGCUAUUCAUGUUACUCAUAUUUUGGUCAUCAUAGAGGCUUCGUCAUCAGGUCCAACACAUUCAAAAAAUUGUGAAUCUUGAGUACUUUCACAAAAACUUUAUAUGCUGUCAGAUGAUGUGAUACCUGCGUUCGACAUCCCUAGUCUUCAUGUGGGACCUUGGCUCCUUUUCUUGCGUAACAUCGCCACUAUUAUAACAAUAGAGCUCCAUUGGACUCAACACACUUGAGACCACAACUCUUCAAGAAACUUCUUGAUCUAGACUGCCUCCUUCAAUCCUUCUGAAGCCGCAAUAUAUUCUACCUCUGUCAUAGAAUCUGCAACAAUGUUCUGCUGGAAACUUUUCCAAACCACUGCACCACCAUUAAGAGUGAAAACAUAGCCUGGUUGAGAUUUAUAGUCAUUUAUAUCAGUGAUGAAGCUAUUGUUAGUGUAACCACUUACAACGAUCUCUUCAUAUCCUCCAUAGACAAGAAGAAUGUCAUUCAUCCUUUUGAGGUACUUAAGAAUAUUUUUAGCAGCUGCCCAGUGUUCCAAUCCCGGAUCACUUUGGAACCUUCUACUAACACUUAGCACAUAAUAAACAUCUAGUCUUGUACAUAUCAUAGCAUACAUGAUAGAAUGAAUUGCGGAGGCAUACGGGAGUCCACUUAUUUGCACACGCUCAUCAACAGUCUUGGGAGAUGAUUCUUGCUAAGUGUUGUGCUAUGUGGCAUUGGAAGAAAACCUUUCUUAGUGUUCUCCAUUUUAAGCCACUUUAAAACCUUGUCCAUGUGCGUGCUUUGGCUUAGCACAAUUAGACGUCUUGAUCUAUAUCAAUCGAUCUUAAUGCCAAAUAUAUAAGUUGCUUUGCCAAAGUCUCUCCUCGAAAACAUACUUUUCAAUGAAUGUUUUGUUGUGCUAAGAAACUUUACUUCAUUCCAACAAUAAUAUGUCAUCCACGUAUAAGAUUACAAAUGCUAUAGAGCUCCCACUAAACUUAUUGUAUACACAAGCUUCUUCAUCGUUCUUAAUGAAGCCAAAUUCUUUAACCACUUCAUUAAAAUGUUGAUUCCAACUCCUCGAUACUUGCUUUACACCAUAAAGUGAUCUUUGAAGCUUGCACACCUUACCGUCAUCCUUAGGAUCUAAAAAACCUUCUGGUUGCAUCAUGUAUACAUCCCCAUUAAGAUUUCCAUUUAGAAAAGUCGUUUCGAUGUCUAUUUGCCAUAUCUUGUAACCGAAAUAUGCAUCAAUUGUCAUCAUAACCGCAGACUUUAACAUGGAUACUAGCAAAAAAGUAUCGUCAUAAUCAACUCACUCAAUUUGCAAAAAUCCUUUCACAACUAGUCUUGUUUUAUAGAUAAGUAGGAUUACAAUCCGUGUCGCUUUUUCAUUUGAAGAUCCAUUUAUAUUGAAUGUGUUUUACACACUCUCGGGGAUAUACCAAGUUCCAAACUUUUGAUUCUCGCACAUGGACUCCAUUUCGUUUUUCAUGGCUUUAAGCCAUUCUUUUGAACCGGGCGCCUCCAUCGCUUCUCUAUAGUGCGCAGGCUCAUCUUCUUCUAAGAUGAAUAUUUCAUUAUGAAACAAGUCAGCAGGUUCGCUAACUCUUGCUAACAUACGCGGUUCUGUUACAUGCUUAACUAGAUUUUGUAUAACUGGUGUAGUAAAUUUUGGUUCAAUUGUGUGGACAACUUCCAAAACAAUUUCUGGUUCAUUAGUCCAACUUACUUCCACCGGAGAUUCAGCAAUCUCAUCAAGGUGUACUAUCCUCCCACUCAUGUCUUUAGGUGGAAACUCUUUCUCAAGAAAGUGUCCAGCCCUUGCAAGAAACAAUUUGUCAUCAGAUGGGCGGUAGAAGGAAUACCCAAUAGUUUGUUUGGGAUAACCUACAAAUUAACAUUUGUCUGAUUUGGCAUUGAGUUUAUUUGGUUGUAAAUUUUUCACAUAAGGUUUCACAACCCCAAAUCUUGAGAUGCGACAAAUUGGGUCUCUUCCCAUUCCAUAACUCAUAUGGUGUCGACUCAACAGACUUAGACUGUGCUCUGUUUACUGUGUAUGUUGCUGUUUCGAGAGCAUAUCCCCAAAAUUAUAAAGGCAAAUCGGUUAGAGACAUCAUUAGCCUCACCAUGUCAACAUGGUUUGGUUACACCUCUUAGACACUCCAUUCCUUUGUGGAGUUCCAGGAUGAGUAUAUCCCAAAACAAAUCCAUGAUCACUUAGAUGUUUGUUAAACUCGUGACUUUGAUAUUCGCCUCUGCGCUAUGAUCGUAGAAACUUUAUCUUCUUGCCACGAUGAUUAUCAACUUCGUUCUGGAAUUCUCUAAACUUUUCAAAGGUCUCGGGCUUAUGUUUCAUUAAGUAAAUAUUACUAUAUUUAUUAAAAUGAUCAGCGAAGGUUACAAAGUAUAAACAUCCACCGUGUGCUAGUGUGAACAUUGGACCACCUAUAUCACUAUGUAUUAUUUCCAAUAAUUCACCCCCCGUUAAGGAUGACCCAUGAACGGGGUCUCAGUUAGUUUACCCAUCAAGAAAGCCUCGCAUGUGUCAAAUGAUUCAAAAUCAAAAGACGUUAAUACUCCAUAUUUAUGAAGCUUUUGCAUACAUUUCUUUCCGAUGUGACCAAGACAGCAAUGACACAUGUAAGUAUUAUUAUUAGUCUUCUUAAGAUGUUUAACUUCUAUGUUAUAGACAUCAUUUUCACAUUCAGGAUCCAAAAUGAAAAAGUGACCGAUAAUAGGUGCAAAGCCAUAAAACAUAUCUUUAUAACAAAUUGAACACUCAUUUUUCCGAGACAUAUAAUGAUAACCAUAGUUUAUUUAACAUGAUACAGAGAUAAUGUUCUUAUAGAAAUCAAAACAAAAUAACAAUUAUUAAGUUCUAAGAUAAAUCUUGAAGGUAAACUUAAAGACAUGACUCUGAUAGCUUGAGCAGAGAUCACAUCACCAUUCCCGACAUGCAUCACGACUUCAUUUCCCUAAGAAAACCGAUCUAUACAAUGAGGAUAUUCCACAUAAUCUUACAAAGGUUAAUGUCAAAUGUAUCAUUAAAAUAUAUAAAUUGGUGGCAUCUUACUUCACAAACUGGUUUGAGGUUCUUGUGGCCACAGAGACAGUCGAUAACCCUAAAGCGUAUGGUUUUGAGUCCUAGGGAAUGUAAAGUUUUACAAAGAAAACAUUCAUACAUCAUUAGCGUGGUUUGUAAGAAAGAACAACCAGUUUGCAGAUAAAUCCGUGUAAAACAUAGUUAGUUCACGAGUGGUCAAAGGAGCGUUGUAUGUCAGUCACGUGACCGAAAUUUUCCCUAUCAACCAGAUUUUGGCCAUAUUUGAUCAAAUCAAUGGGUAUAUGUCUUAAACUGAUCACUUUCUAAGUUGUUGGCUUGAAGCAUGCAUCAUUUGAGUUAGUGUAAUGGUGACAAAUUUCACAGUUGUAUGCCUUAUCGAAGUCUACUUUCAAAUGACACCAUCCAUUUUCAUGGUACAAUUCAUGAACAAAUUCAUGGAAGAUCACCACCUUGUCCAUGAUAAUCCUAUCAUGCAUUAAUGACAUUUUUGUGGGUUGAACCACUUGGUUGACAAACCCAUUGAGUCAAUCAUUCGCCACCUUUAUAAAUAUGAAGUUAAUGUUAAGAAGGCAUGUCAAUAUGUACAAUGGAAAUAGAUUAGCCUCUUUAGUCAUGGGCAUUAAAAUAAUUUCACAAAAAAUAGUCUUAAAAGCUUAGGGUGCUCCACAUUGAGGUCCUCAAACAACUUCCCAACCUCCUAGAAGAUUUGCUAGGCUCGGUUGAGAAGUCAUCCGAUCCAGCCAAUUUAUUAUGAAUACAACUUCGCUCACCCAGUGUUUAGAAAAAAAAGGUUCCAAGGAGCUUGUUUUGACCAUCCAAAACCUAUUGAGAUGUCAUCUACUGAAUCAUUUAGAGAGAAAUUACUCUAAUUGGGAGGUCCAAAUAGACAUAUUAUUUGGUAGUAUAAGUCCGUAGGGAAGUCGGGGAGGGAGAGAGAGGGUUGCUACAUAGCUACUACAUCAAAAUGGUAGCCUGAAAAAGACACCACUCAAGUGUAAUCAUGAGAGUGCAUAAUACAUCUAUUUAUUCGAGCUGGCUAAGGCUGGUGCUUGAUGACAUAAUAUCACCGACCCAGAGUGACAUAAUAUCAUGUCUAUUAACAAGACACUGCUCGCACUUCUCGAUCCGCUUGAAGACAUGGAGGUACUUGAAGUCUUGGUCGCUGUUGUCCUAACGAUACAUGGCGGACAUCCGCAACAGCUUCGCCGAGGAACAAAUAGUUGGCCGACGUGCAUGGCGAAAAGAAGUGGGGAACCGGUGUGCCAUACCUGAUCCUUAAUGCUGGCGUCGCUCUCCGGGCGAGCUACUAUCUUCUCGACGAUCACAUGCCAUUUGUUGCACGCCGCCUGGAUGAGCCCCCAAUGGUUCGACAUCGCCUUCGACCCGCGCUGCAUGUAGAUGCCUUUGAAGUAGGGGUCGACGAGCUUGCGCUCGUCGAACUCGGCCUUGAUGCGGUCCCAAUAUGUCUCGAUGCUCUAGUUCAUGCCGGUGAUCGCGUCGAGGCAGACGACUUCCCAUGCUUCGGCGAGGCACUCCUACUCCUUGGACGCCCACUUGAUGCGCGGCUCGCCGGUCCUGGCCGUCCCCUUCUUCUUCUUCUUCUUCUUCUUCUUCCGUUUCCUCGCCGGCGCCGGCUCCUCCUUCUCAUCCUAAUCCUCCUCCUCCUGCUCAUCCGGCUCCUCCUCGCCGUAGUCAAGCUCGCCGUCCAUGUCGCCGUUGAGGUCUACUGUGUCGUCCUGCACAGUGAACCCGGGGGACGCUGUUGGGGAACGUUGCAGAAAACAAAAAAUUUCCUACGGUUUCACCAAGAUUCAUCUAGGAGUUAAUCUAGCAACGAGUGAUCAGAUUGCAUCUACAUACCUUUGUAAAUCACGCGCGGAAGCGUUCAAAGAACGGGGAUGAGGAAGGCGUACUCGACGUGAUCCAAAUCACCGGAGAUCCUAGCGCCGAACGGACGGCACCUCCGCGUUCAACACACAUACGGUCAGCGUAACGUCUCCUUCUUCUUGAUCCAGCAAGGGGGAAGGAGAGGUUGAGGAAGAUGGCUCCAGCAGCAGCACGACGGCGUGGUGGUGAUGGAGCUGCAGUACUCCGGCAGGGCUUCACCAAGCACUAUGGAGGAGGAGGAUGUGUUGGAGAGGGAGAGGGAGGCACCAAAGGCGUGGAUUGAGAGGCCCUCCUUCCCCACUAUAUAUAGGGAGCCUGGGGGGGGGGGCACCGGCCCUAGGAGAUGCAAUCUCCUAGGGGGGCGGCGGCCAAGGGAGGAAUCCCUCCUCCCGAAGGCACCUAGGAGGUGCCUUCCCCCAUUGGGACUCUUUCCUUCCUUAUCUCUUGGUGCAUGGGCCUCUUGGGGCUGGUGCCCUUGGCCCAUAUAGGCCAAGGCGCACCCCCUACAGCCCAUGUGCCCCCCCGGGGCAGGUGGCCCCACCCGGUGGACCCCCGGAACCCUUUCGGUGGUCCCGGUACAAUACCGGUGACCCCGAAACUUGUCCCGAUGGACGAAAUAGCACUUCCUAUAUAUAAUUCUUUACCUCCGGACCAUUCCGAAACUCCUCGUGACGUCCGGGAUCUCAUCCGGGACUCCAAACAACAUUCGGGUUACUGCAUAUACAUAUCCCUACAACCCUAGCGUCACCGAACCUUAAGUGUGUAGACCCUACGGGUUCGGGAGACAUGUAGACAUGACCGAGAUCGCUCUCCGGUCAAUAACCAACAGCGGGAUCUGGAUACCCAUGUUGGCUCCCACAUGCUCCUCGAUGAUCUCAUCGGAUGAACCACGAUGUUGAGGAUUCAGGCAACCCCCGUAUACAAUUCCCUUUGUCAAUCGGUAUGUUACUUGCCCGAGAUCCGGUCGUCGGUAUCCCAAUACCUCGUUCAAUCUCGUUACCGGCAAGUCACUUUACUCGUACCGUAAUGCAUGAUCCCGUGACCAUACACUUGGUCACUUUGAGCUCAUUACAAUGAUGCAUUACCGAGUGGGCCCAGUGAUACCUCUCCGUCAUACGGAGUGACAAAUCCCAGUCUUGAUCCGUGUCAACCCAACAGACACUUUCGGAGAUACCCGUAGUAUACCUUUAUAGUGACCCAGUUACGUUGUGACGUUUGGUACACCCAAAGCACUCCUAUGGUAUCCGAGAGUUACACGAUCUCAUGGUCUAAGGAAAAGAUACUUGACGUUGGAAAACUCUAGCAAACGAACUAUACGAUCUUAUGCUAUGUUUAGGAUUGGGUCUUGUCCAUCACAUCAUUCUUCUAAUGAUGUGAUCCCGUUAUCAAUAACAUCCAAUGUCCACAGUCAGGAAACCAUGACUAUCUGUUGAUCAACGAGCUAGUCAACUAGAGGCUUACUAGGGACAUGUUGGUGUCUAUUAUUCACACAUGUAUUACGAUUUCCGGAUAACACAAUUAUAGCAUGAAUAAAGACAAUUAUCAUGAACAAGAAAUAUAAUAAUAAUCCUUUUAUUAUUGCCUCUAGGGCAUAUUUCCAAUAGUCUCCCACUUGCACUAGAGUCAAUAAUCUAGUUACAUUGUGAUGAAUCGAACACCCAUGGAAUUCUGGUGUUGAUCAUGUUUUGCUCUAGGGAGAGGUUUAGUCAACGGAUCUGCUACAUUCAGGUCCGUAUGUACUUUACAAAUAUCUAUGUCUCCAUUUUGAACAUUUUCACGAAUGGAGUUGAAGCGACGCUUGAUGUGCCUGGUCUUCUUGUGAAACCUGGGCUCCUUGGCAAGUGCAAUAGCUCCAGUGUUGUCAUAGAAGAGUUUGAUUGGCCCCGACGAAUUGGGUAUGACUCCUAGGUCGGUGAUGAACUCCUUCACCCAAAUUGCUUCAUGUGCUGCCUCCGAGGCUGCCAUGUACUCCGCUUCACAUGUAGAUCCCGCCACGACGCUCUGCUUGCAACUGCACCAGCUUACCGCCCCACCAUUCAAAAUAUACACGUAUCCGAUUUGUGACUUUGAAUCAUCCAGAUCUGUGUCGAAGCUAGCGUCGACGUAACCCUUUACGACGAGCUCUUCGUCACCUCCAUAGACGAGAAACAUUUCCUUAGUCCUUUUCAGGUACUUCAGGAUAUUCUUGACCGCUGUCCAGUGUUCCUUGCCGGGAUUACUUUGGUACCUUCCUACCAAACUAAUGGUAAGGUUUACAUCAGGUCUGGUACACAGCAUGGCAUACAUAAUAGAACCUAUGGCUGAGGCAUAGGGGAUGACACUCAUCUCUUCUAUAUCUUCUACCGUGGUCGGACAUUGAGCUGAGCUCAAUUUCACACCUUGUAACACAGGCAAGAACCCCUUCUUAGACUGAUCCAUAUUGAAUUUCUUCAAUAUCUUAUCAAGGUAUGUGCUUUGUGAAAGACCUAUGAGGCGUCUUGAUCUAUCUCUAUAGAUCUUGAUGCCUAAUAUAUAUGCAGCUUCUCCAAGGUCCUUCAUUGAAAAACUCUUAUUCAAGUAGGCCUUAAUGCUGUCCAAGAAUUCUAUAUUAUUUCCCAUCAAAACUAUGUCAUCUACAUAUUAUAUGAGAAAUGCUACAGAGCUCCCACUCACUUUCUUGUAAACACAGGCUUCUCCAUAAGUCUGCGUAAACCCAAACGCUUUGAUCAUCUCAUCAAAGCGAAUGUUCCAACUCCGAGAUGCUUGCACCAGCCCAUAAAUCAAGCGUUGGAGCUUGCACACCUUGUCAGCAUUCUUAGGAUCGACAAAACCUUCCGGCUGCAUCAUAUACAAUUCUUCCUUAAGGAAACCGUUAAGGAAUGCCGUUUUGACGUCCAUUUGCCAUAUUUCAUAAUCAUAGAAUGCGGCAAUUGCUAACAUGAUUCAGACGGACUUUAGCUUCGCUACCGGUGAGAAAGUCUCAUCGUAGUCAACCCCUUGAACUUGUCGAUAACCCUUAGCGACAAGCCGAGCUUUAUAGAUGGUCACAUUACCAUCCGCGCCUGUCUUCUUCUUAAAGAUCCAUUUAUUUUCUAUGGCUCGCCGCUCAACAGGCAAGUCAGUCAAAGUCCAUACUUCAUUUUCAUACAUGGAUCCUAUCUCGGAUUUCAUGGCUUCUAGCCAUUUGUCGGAAUCCGGGACCGCCAUCGCUUCUUCAUAGUUCAAAGGUUCACCGUUGUCUAACAACAUGAUUUCCAAGACAGGGUUGCCAUACCACUCUGGUGCGGAACGUGUCCUUGUGGACCUUCGAAUUUCAGUAGGAGCUUGAUCAGAAGUAUCUUGAUCAUCAUCAUUAACUUCCUCUCUAGUCGGUGCAGGCACCUCAGGAACAUUUUCUUGAGCUGCGCCAUUUUCCGGUUCAAGAGGUAAUACUUCAUCAAGUUCUACUUUCCUCCCACUCACUUCUUUCGAGAGAAACUCCUUCUCUAGAAAGGAUCCAUUCUUGGCAACAAAGAUCUUGCCUUCGGAUCUGAGGUAGAAGGUAUACCCAAUAGUUUCUUUAGGGUAUCCUAUGAAGACGCAUUUUUCCGACUUGGGUUCGAGCUUUUCAGGUUGAAGUUUCUUGACAUAAGCAUCGCAUCCCCAAACUUUAAGAAACGACAGCUUAGGUUUCUUCCCAAACCAUAAUUCAUACGGUGUCGUCUCAACGGAUUUCGACGGAUCCCUAUUUAAAGUGAAUGCGGCAGUCUCUAAAGCAUAGCCCCAAAAAGAUAGUGGUAAAUCGGUAAGAGACAUCAUAGAUCGCACCAUAUCUAAUAGAGUGCGAUUACGACGUUCGGACACACCAUUACGCUGAGGUGUUCCAGGCAGCGUGAGUUGUGAAACUAUUCCACAUUUUCUUAAGUGUGUGCCAAACUCAUGACUCAAGUAUUCUCCUCCACGAUCUGAUCGCAGAAACUUGAUUUUCCUGUCACGUUGAUUUUCAACCUCACUCUGAAAUUCCUUGAACUUUUCAAAGGUCUCAGACUUAUGUUUCAUUAAAUAGAUAUACCCAUAUCUACUCAAGUCAUCAGUGAGGGUGAGAACAUAACAAUAGCCACCGCGAGCCUCAACACUCAUUGGACCACACACAUCAAUAUGUAUGAUUUCCAAUAAGUUGGUUGCUCGCUCCAUUGUUCCUGAGAAUGGAGUCUUGGUCAUUUUACCCAUGAGGCAUGGUUCGCACGUGUCAAAUGAUUCAUAAUCAAGAGACUCUAAAAGUCCAUCAGCAUGGAGCUUCUUCAUGCGUUUAACACCUAUGUGACCAAGGCGGCAGUGCCACAAGUAUGUGGGACUAUCAUUAUCAAUCUUAUAUCUUUUGGUACUCACACUAUGAACAUGUGUAGCACUACGCUCGAGAUUCAUUAAGAAUAAACCAUUCACCAUCGGAGCAUGACCAUAAAACAUAUCUCUCAUAUAAAUAGAACAACCAUUAUUCUCGGAUUUAAAUGAGUAGCCAUCUCGAAUUAAAUGAGAUCUUGAUACAAUGUUCAUUCUCAAACUUGGCACUAAAUAACAAUUAUUGAGGUUCAAAACUAAUCCCGUAGGUAAAUGUAGAGGUAGCGUGCCAACGGCAAUCACAUCGACCUUGGAACCAUUCCCGACGCGCAUCGUCACCUCGUCCUUCGCCAGUCUCCGCUUAUUCUGCAGCUCCUGCUUUGAGUUACAAAUGUGAGCAACUGCACCGGUAUCAAAUACCCAGGAGCUACUACGAGUACUGGUAAGGUACACAUCAAUUACAUGUAUAUCACAUAUACCUUUUGUUUUGCCGGCCUUCUUGUCUGCUAAGUAUUUGGGGUAGUUCCGUUUCCAGUGACCACUUCCCUUGCAAUAAAAGCACUCAGUCUUAGGCUUGGGUCCAUUCUUUGGCUUCUUCCCGGCAGCUUGCUUGCCGGGCGCGACAACUCCCUUGCCAUCCUUCUUGAAGUUCUUUUUACCCUUGCCCUUCUUGAACUUAGUGGUUUUAUUCACCAUCAACACUUGAUGUUCCUUUUUGACUUCUACCUCUGCUGAUUUCAGCAUUGCAAAUAAUUCGGGAAUGGUCUUUUCCAUCCCCUGCAUAUUGAAGUUCAUCACAAAACUCUUGUAGCUUGGUGGAAGCGACUGAAGGAUUCUGUCAAUGACUGCGUCAUCCGGGAGAUUAACUCCCAGCUGAGUCAAGCGGUUAUGUAACCCAGACAUUGUGAGUAUGUGCUCACAGACAGAACUAUUUUCCUCCAUCUUACAGCUGAAGAAUUUGUCAGAGACUUCAUAUCUCUCGACCCGGGCAUGAGCUUGAAAAACCAUUUUCAGCUCUUCGAACAUCUCAUAUGCUCCGUGUCUCUCAAAAGGUUUUUGGAGCCCCGAUUCUAAGCUGUAAAGCAUGCCGCACUGAACGAGGGAGUAAUCAUCAGCACGUGUCUGCCAAGCGUUCAUAACGUCUUGGUUCUGUGGGACGGGUGCGUCACCUAGCGGUGCUUGUAGGACAUAAUCUUUCUUGGCAGCUAUGAGGAUGAUCCUCAGGUUCCGGACCCAGUCCGUAUAGUUGCUGCCAUCGUCUUUCAGCUUGGUUUUCUCUAGGAACGCGUUGAAGUUGAGGACAACGUUGGCCAUUUGAUCUACAAGACAUAUUGUAAAUAUUUUAGACUAAGUUCAUGAUAAUUAAGUUCAUCUAAUCAAAUUAUACAAUGAACUCCCACUUAGAUAGACAUCCCUCCUGUAAUCUAAGUAUAACAUGAUCCGAGCUAACUAGGCCGUGUCCGAUCAUCACGUGAGACGGACUAGUCAACAUCGGUGAACAUCUUCAUGUUGAUCGUAUCUUCUAUACGACUCAUGCUCGACCUUUCGGUCUUCUGUGUUCCGAGGCCAUGUCUGUACAUGCUAGACUCGUCAAGUCAACCUAAGUGUUUGCAUGUGUAAAUCUGUCUUACACCCGUUGUAUGUGAACGUUAGAAUCUAUCAUACCCGAUCAUCACGUGGUGCUUCGAAACAACGAACUGUCGCAACGGUGCACAGUUAGGGGGAACACUUUCUUGAAAUUAUUAUGAGGGAUCAUCUUAUUUACUACCGUCGUUCUAAGCAAACAAGAUGCAAAAACAUGAUAAACAUCACAUGCAAUCAAAUAAUAAUAGUGACAUGAUAUGGCCAAUAUCACAUAGCUCCUUUGAUCUCCAUCUUGGGGCUCCAUGAUCAUCUUGUCACCGGCAUGACACCAUGAUCUUCAUCAUCAUGAUCUCCAUCAUUGUGUCUCCAUGAAGUUGCUCGCCAACUAUUACUUCUACUACUACGGCUAACGCGUUUAGCAAUAAAGUAAAGUAAUUUACAUGGCGUUUCUUAAUGACACGCAGGUCAUACAAAAAAAUAAAGACAACUCCUAUGGCUCCUGCUGGUUGUCAUACUCAUCGACAUGCAAGUCGUGAUUCCUAUUACAAUAGCAUGAACAUCUCAUACAUCACAUAUAUAUCAUUCAUCAUUCAUCACAACUUUGGCCAUAUCAUAUCACAAAGCACUUGCCGCAAAAACAAGUUAGACGUCCUCUAAAUGUUGUUUGCAAGUUUUACGUGGCUGAAAUAGGGUUCUAGCAAGAACGUUUUCUUACCUACGUGAAAGCCACAAUGUGAUUUGUCAACUUCUAUUUACCCUUCAUAAGGACCCUUUUCAUCGAAUCCGCUCCAACUAAAGUGGGAGAGACAGACACCCGACAGCCACCUUAUGCAACUUGUGCAUGUUAGUCGGUGGAACCGGUCUCACGUAAGCGUACGUGUAAGGUUGGUCCGGGCCGCUUCAUCCCACAAUACCGCUGAAGCAAGAUAAGACUAGUAGCGGCAAGAAAGUUGACAACAUCUACGCCCACAACAAAUUGUGUUCUACUCGUGCAAGAGAACUACGCAUAGACCUAGCUCAUGAUGCCACUGUUGGGGAACGUUGCAGAAAACAAAAAAUUUCCUACGGUUUCACCAAGAUCCAUCUAGGAGUUCAUCUAGCAACGAGUGAUCGGAUUGCAUCUACAUACCUUUGUAGAUCACGCGCGGAAGCGUUCAAAGAACGGGGAUGAGGAAGGCGUACUCGACGUGAUCCAAAUCACCGGAGAUCCUAGCGCCGAACGGACGGCACCUCCGCGUUCAACACACGUACGGUCAGCGUAACGUCUCCUUCUUCUUGAUCCAGCAAGGGGGAAGGAGAGGUUGAGGAAGAUGGCUCCAGCAGCAGCACGACGGCGUGGUGGUGAUGGAGCUGCAGUACUCCGGCAGGGCUUCGCCAAGCACUAUGGAGGAGGAGGAUGUGUUGGAGAGGGAGAGGGAGGCACCAAAGGCAUGGAUUGAGAGGCCCUCCUUCCCCACUAUAUAUAGGGAGCCUGGGGGGGGGGGGGCGCCGGCCCUAGGAGAUGCAAUCUCCUAGGGGGGGCGGCGGCCAAGGGAGGAAUCCCUCCUCCCCAAGGCACCUAGGAGGUGCCUUCCCCCUUUGGGACUCUUCCCUUCCUUAUCUCUUGGCGCAUGGGCCUCUUGGGGCUGGUGCCCUUGGCCCAUAUAGGCCAAGGCGCACCCCCUACAGCCCAUGUGGCCCCCCGGGGCAGGUGGCCCCACCCGGUGGACCCCCGGGACCCUUCCGGUGGUCCCGGUACAAUACCGGUGACCCGAAAACUUGUCCCGAUGGCCGAAAUAGCACUUCCUAUAUAUAAUUCUUUACCUCCGGACCAUUCCGGAACUCCUCGUGACGUCCGAGAUCUCAUACGGGACUCCAAACAACAUUCGGGUUACUGCAUAUACAUAUCCCUACAACCCUAGCGUCACCGAACCUUAAGUGUGUAGACCCUACGGGUUCGGGAGACAUGUAGACAUGACCGAGAUCGCUCUCCGGUCAAUAACCAACAUCGGGAUCUGGAUACCAUGUUGGCUCCCACAUGCUCCUUGAUGAUCUCAUCGGAUGAACCAUGAUGUCGAGGAUUCAGGCAACCCCCGUAUACAAUUCCCUUUGUCAAUCGGUAUGUUACUUGCCCGAGAUCCGAUCGUCGGUAUCCCAAUACCUCAUUCAAUCUCGUUACCGGCAAGUCACUUUACUCGUACCGUAAUGCAUGAUCACGUGACUAGACACUUGGUCACUUUGAGCUCAUUAUGAUGAUGCAUUACCGAGUGGGCCCAGUGAUACCUCUCCGUCAUACGGAGUGACAAAUCCCAGUCUUGAUCCGUGUCAACCCAACAGACACUUUUGGAGAUACCCGUAGUAUACCUUUAUAGUCACCCAGUUACAUUGUGACGUUUGGUACAACCAAAGCACUCCUAUGGUAUCCGGGAGUUACACGAUCUCAUGGUCUAAGGAAAAGAUACUUGACAUUGGAAAACUCUAGCAAACGAACUAUACGAUCUUAUGCUAUGUUUAGGAUUGGGUCUUGUCCAUCACAUCAUUCUCCUAAUGAUGUGAUCCCGUUAUCAAUAACAUCCAAUGUCCAUAGUCAGGAAACCAUGACUAUCUGUUGAUCAACGAGCUAGUCAACUAGAGGCUUACUAGGGACAUGUUGGUGUCUAUUAUUCACACAUGUAUUACGAUUUCUGGAUAACACAAUUAUAGCAUGAAUAAAUACAAUUAUCAUGAACAAAGAAAUAUAAUAAUAAUCCUUUUAUUAUUGCCUCUAGGGCAUAUUUCCAACAGACGCGGCAUCGGCAGCCAAGCCUACCGUAAUGAUGUCGUCCAUGUCGGCUUCGAUCGCUUCGGUGUCUCUGAGGUGCGACGCGGAGGCGUCAGAGAAGGGCAGCGCGCCAUGGCAGAGAAGGGGCGUCGGGGAGGAUGAGUAGGCCGGCGACAAGUAGUUGUACGGAGGGUCCUGCACGCCGUCGAAGGCAGGCGAGGGCGCCCGCUGGGCCGGGUGACCAAGGGGGAAGGUGAUGUUGGGGUUGAACCCACCGUGCAUGUCCCCGCCGGCGUAGCUCGAUAAUGGUGAGCAGCCCUAGGGUUGCGGCAACGACGAGAAGCCGGCUGGAGAGCCUACGAUGCGGCCACGAGGCAGGAGGGUGCACCCAGGGGGGUAGGCGCGCCCCCACCCUCGUGGGCCCGUCGUGGCUCUGCUGACCUACUUCUUUCGCCUAUAUAUACUCAUAUACCCCGAAAACAUCCGAGAGCACUACGAAACCCUAUUUCCACCGCUGCAACCUUCUAUACCCGUGAGAUCCCAUCUUGGGGCCUUUUUCGGCGCUCCGCCGGAGGGGGAAUCGAUCACGGAGGGCUUCUACAUCAACACCAUAGCCUCUCCGAUGAUGUGUGAGUAUUUUACCAUAGACCUUCGGGUCCAUAGUUAUUAGCUAGAUGGCUUGUUCUCUCUCUUUGGAUCUCAAUACAAAGUUCUCCUCGAUUCUCUUGGAGAUCUAUGUAAUUCUUUUUGUGGUGUGUUUGUCGAGAUCCGAUGAAUUGUGGGUUUAUGAUCAAGAUUAUCUAUGGACAAUAUUUGAUUCUUCUCUGAAUUCUUCUAUGCAUGAUUUAAUAUAUUUGCAAGUCUCUUCGAAUUAUCAGUUUGGUUUGGCCUACUAGAUUGUGAUACGUCUCCAACGUAUCUAUAAUUUUUGAUUGUUCCAUGCUAUUAUAUUAUCUGUUUUGGAUGGUAAUGGGCUUUAUUUUACACUUUUAUAUUAUUUUUGGGACUAACCUAUUAACCGGAGGCCCAGCCCAAAGUGCUAUUUCUUUGCCUAUUUCAGUGUUACAUAGAAAAUGAAUAUCAAACGGAGUCCAAAUGGAAUGAAACCUUCAGGAACAUGAUUUUUGGAACAAACGUGAUCCCGAGGACUUAGAGUGGACGUCAAGCAAUCAACGAGGCGUCCAUGAGGCAGGGGGCGCACCUACCCCCUGGGCGCGCCCUCCCCCCUUGUGGGCCCCUCGUUGCUCCACCGACCUACUUCUUCCUCCUAUAUAUGUUCACAUACCCCGCAAACAUCCAGGAGCACCACGAAACCCUAUUUCCACCGCCGUAACCUUCUGUACCCAAGAGAUCCCAUCUUGGGGCCUUUUCUAGAGCUCUACCAGAGGGGGCAUUGAUCAUGGAGGGCCUCUACAUCAACUCCAUGGCCCCUCCGAUGAUGUGUGAGUAGUUUACUUCAGACCUUCGGGUCCAUAGCUAGUAGCUAGAUGGCUUCUUCUCUCUCUUUGGAUCUCAAUACAAAGUUCUCCUCAAUUCUCUUGGAGAUCUAUUCAAUGUAAUCUUCUUUUGCGGUGUGUUUGUCGAGAUCCGAUGAAUUGUGGGUUUAUGAUCAAGUUUAUCUAUAAACAAUAUUUGAAUCUCCUCUGAAUUAUUUUAUGUAUGAUUGGUUUAUCUUUGCAAGUCUCUUCGAAUUAUCAUUUUGGUUUGGCCUACUAGAUUGAUCUUUCUUUCAAUGGGAGAAGUGCUUAGCUUUGGGUUCAAUCUUGCGCUGCUCAAUCCCAGUGACAGAAAGGGAAAUGACACAUAUUGUAUUGUUGCCAUCGAGGAUAAAAAUAUGGGGUUUACAUCAUAUUGCAUGAGUUUAUCCCUCUACAUAAUGUCAUCUUGCUUAAGGCGUUAGUCUGUUCUUAUGAACUUAAUACUCUAAAUGCAUGCUGGAUAGCAGUCGAUGUGUGGAGUAAUAGUAGUAGAUGCAGGCAGGAGUGAGUCUACUUGUCGCGGACGUGAUGCCUAUAUACAUGAUCAUGCCUAGAUAUUCUCAUAAUUAUUUGCUUUUCUAUCAAUUGGUCGACAGUAAUUUGUUCACCCACCGUAAUACUUAUGCUAUAUUGAGAAAAGCCACUAGUGAAACCUAUGGCCCCCGGGUCUAUUUUCCAUCAUACAAGUUUCCAAUCUAUUUGAUUUUGCAAUCUUUACUUUCAAUCUAUAUCAUCAAAAUACCAAAAAUACAUAUCUUAUUAUUAUCAUCUCUAUCAGAUCUCACUCUUGCAAGUGGCCGUGAAGGGAUUGACAACCCCUUUAUCGCGUUGGUUGUGAGGUUCUUAUUUGUUUGUGUAGGUACGAGGUGACUCGCGCGUGGUUGUCAGGACCCCGACUCGAUGUCACAUCGAUCUAGCAUGUAACACCUCAUAUCGCUUUGCGGCCUCACGCACGGUAUCCCCACGGGUGUCGCCUUACCUUUGCCCGGGACCGUUUGCGCAUUUUGGCACACGUAUAUGAUGGUGUCGCUAGCAUCCAUAUGAUAAAGAGCCCGGGCUGACAUGGCUAGUCGUAAACCCAAAGUGGCACUAACUUACAGGGACAGGCAUUCAUGACCCAGCAUCGAACGUGUCGGUCAUCAGCGAGUGAAUCCAGGCUGUAGCACUGGGCUAACAGGACUCCGGUGAACCGGGCUGUAGCGGGCUAGCAGGACUCCGGUAUUCAUCGCGUGACAUUUCCCCGAAGGGACAGACACAGGAUCAAAGAAGGACACAUGCCGGCCUGCCUAAGUGUUCCGGAGCAGUAGCAAGCUACCAGGGCUCAGUGGAAGCACUAGGAGACAUUUCCCGGUAAGAGAGGCUACUAAGAAUAAACAACUAGAUAGUCAGAUCCCACACAUAGCAAUACACAUUACACGUACGCAUAACAUGCAAGUAUGUGAUGUACAACAUGGCAUCACAGCAUAACUCAACAACUUAUAUAGAUAAAGGCUCAGAAGAGCCGUCAUAGCAAUUAUUGCAAACAGGGGUCACAAGACCCAUCAUACAGAGCAUACAAGCAACAAGCGGAAGCAUUACAUGUCUGGGUACAGACAUCUACAAAUGAAAAAGGCUGAAGAGCCUGACUAUCUACAACAUCCGAUCAAGAUCGUAGCUGAGGUANNNNNNNNNNNNNNNNNNNNNNNNNNNNNNNNNNNNNNNNNNNNNNNNNNNNNNNNNNNNNNNNNNNNNNNNNNNNNNNNNNNNNNNNNNNNNNNNNNNNNNNNNNNNNNNNNNNNNNNNNNNNNNNNNNNNNNNNNNNNNNNNNNNNNNNNNNNNNNNNNNNNNNNNNNNNNNNNNNNNNNNNNNNNNNNNNNNNNNNNNNNNNNNNNNNNNNNNNNNNNNNNNNNNNNNNNNNNNNNNNNNNNNNNNNNNNNNNNNNNNNNNNNNNNNNNNNNNNNNNNNNNNNNNNNNNNNNNNNNNNNNNNNNNNNNNNNNNNNNNNNNNNNNNNNNNNNNNNNNNNNNNNNNNNNNNNNNNNNNNNNNNNNNNNNNNNNNNNNNNNNNNNNNNNNNNNNNNNNNNNNNNNNNNNNNNNNNNNNNNNNNNNNNNNNNNNNNNNNNNNNNNNNNNNNNNNNNNNNNNNNNNNNNNNNNNNNNNNNNNNNNNNNNNNNNNNNNNNNNNNNNNNNNNNNNNNNNNNNNNNNNNNNNNNNNNNNNNNNNNNNNNNNNNNNNNNNNNNNNNNNNNNNNNNNNNNNNNNNNNNNNNNNNNNNNNNNNNNNNNNNNNNNNNNNNNNNNNNNNNNNNNNNNNNNNNNNNNNNNNNNNNNNNNNNNNNNNNNNNNNNNNNNNNNNNNNNNNNNNNNNNNNNNNNNNNNNNNNNNNNNNNNNNNNNNNNNNNNNNNNNNNNNNNNNNNNNNNNNNNNNNNNNNNNNNNNNNNNNNNNNNNNNNNNNNNNNNNNNNNNNNNNNNNNNNNNNNNNNNNNNNNNNNNNNNNNNNNNNNNNNNNNNNNNNNNNNNNNNNNNNNNNNNNNNNNNNNNNNNNNNNNNNNNNNNNNNNNNNNNNNNNNNNNNNNNNNNNNNNNNNNNNNNNNNNNNNNNNNNNNNNNNNNNNNNNNNNNNNNNNNNNNNNNNNNNNNNNNNNNNNNNNNNNNNNNNNNNNNNNNNNNNNNNNNNNNNNNNNNNNNNNNNNNNNNNNNNNNNNNNNNNNNNNNNNNNNNNNNNNNNNNNNNNNNNNNNNNNNNNNNNNNNNNNNNNNNNNNNNNNNNNNNNNNNNNNNNNNNNNNNNNNNNNNNNNNNNNNNNNNNNNNNNNNNNNNNNNNNNNNNNNNNNNNNNNNNNNNNNNNNNNNNNNNNNNNNNNNNNNNNNNNNNNNNNNNNNNNNNNNNNNNNNNNNNNNNNNNNNNNNNNNNNNNNNNNNNNNNNNNNNNNNNNNNNNNNNNNNNNNNNNNNNNNNNNNNNNNNNNNNNNNNNNNNNNNNNNNNNNNNNNNNNNNNNNNNNNNNNNNNNNNNNNNNNNNNNNNNNNNNNNNNNNNNNNNNNNNNNNNNNNNNNNNNNNNNNNNNNNNNNNNNNNNNNNNNNNNNNNNNNNNNNNNNNNNNNNNNNNNNNNNNNNNNNNNNNNNNNNNNNNNNNNNNNNNNNNNNNNNNNNNNNNNNNNNNNNNNNNNNNNNNNNNNNNNNNNNNNNNNNNNNNNNNNNNNNNNNNNNNNNNNNNNNNNNNNNNNNNNNNNNNNNNNNNNNNNNNNNNNNNNNNNNNNNNNNNNNNNNNNNNNNNNNNNNNNNNNNNNNNNNNNNNNNNNNNNNNNNNNNNNNNNNNNNNNNNNNNNNNNNNNNNNNNNNNNNNNNNNNNNNNNNNNNNNNNNNNNNNNNNNNNNNNNNNNNNNNNNNNNNNNNNNNNNNNNNNNNNNNNNNNNNNNNNNNNNNNNNNNNNNNNNNNNNNNNNNNNNNNNNNNNNNNNNNNNNNNNNNNNNNNNNNNNNNNNNNNNNNNNNNNNNNNNNNNNNNNNNNNNNNNNNNNNNNNNNNNNNNNNNNNNNNNNNNNNNNNNNNNNNNNNNNNNNNNNNNNNNNNNNNNNNNNNNNNNNNNNNNNNNNNNNNNNNNNNNNNNNNNNNNNNNNNNNNNNNNNNNNNNNNNNNNNNNNNNNNNNNNNNNNNNNNNNNNNNNNNNNNNNNNNNNNNNNNNNNNNNNNNNNNNNNNNNNNNNNNNNNNNNNNNNNNNNNNNNNNNNNNNNNNNNNNNNNNNNNNNNNNNNNNNNNNNNNNNNNNNNNNNNNNNNNNNNNNNNNNNNNNNNNNNNNNNNNNNNNNNNNNNNNNNNNNNNNNNNNNNNNNNNNNNNNNNNNNNNNNNNNNNNNNNNNNNNNNNNNNNNNNNNNNNNNNNNNNNNNNNNNNNNNNNNNNNNNNNNNNNNNNNNNNNNNNNNNNNNNNNNNNNNNNNNNNNNNNNNNNNNNNNNNNNNNNNNNNNNNNNNNNNNNNNNNNNNNNNNNNNNNNNNNNNNNNNNNNNNNNNNNNNNNNNNNNNNNNNNNNGGGGGGGGGGGUUAGUCAACGGUGAUUAGCACUAAGCUAAUCACCUGACGGGCCGGCCCCACCUGGCAGGGCUCAGGCGACGGGGGCUCGUCGCCGGCGACCUCUGGACGCGGCGGAGUCCGCGCCACAGGCCACGGGGACGGCGUCUGAGAGCACCGGGGCGUAGCCCGGGCUCUCGCGCAUCUGGUGGGCCAGGUGGGAGGAGCGGGGACGGCCGGAGCUCGCCGGAGCAGAGCUCGGGGCGGCGGCCGGAGUUCGGGCUUGAGCGGGAAUGGGCUGCGGGGCACGGGGAGGCCUCCUGAGGGGCCCGGCGGCACCCUCGUGGCACCAGGAACGCGGAGGGAGGCUUGGUUUGGGCGGAGGCGGGCCGAGACGGCGGCGGCGACGUGGACGGCGGCGAGGGGCUUCGGCCGUGGUGGGGAGCGGCGCUACGGCACGGGAACGGGAGGGAGAAGAGAGGGGAAUGGUGGAGGAGCUCACCGCGGAUCCAGCGAGCGCGAAGGCGAGGUCGGGGAUGCCCGGAAGCUCCCGAAUUGACGGCGAGUACCCACGGCGGCCGGAGGCGAGGGUGGCGACGGCGACGGCUCCACGGGGCUCUCCGGCUUGCGUGGCUCGGCGAGGAAGUAGAGGGGGUCGCGGCGGAGCUCGGGGGCUCUACGGAGGGGCGAGGGAACGGCGGGGAGCGCGUCGGUGGCGAGCUGCGGCGGCGGCGGUGCUUCGGGUGAGAGGGAGAGAGAGCAGGGAAGAGGAGGAGGGCGAGGGAGAGUGAGAACGGUGCGGGGCAGCGCGUGGCGACGUUCCGGACGUCCAGGCGUCGAGGGGAGGACAGGCAGACAGGUGCCGUGGCGGCACGGCGGUGCGCACGCGCCGGCCACACGCCUCUGGCCUCCUGGCGGGAGGUGGAGGACGACUGGCGCUAGCCAGUCGGCUGGGCCGGCCGGCUGGGCCGCACAGGGGAGGGGAGGCCCAGGUAAGUCCUCCUUCCUUUUAUUUCUGUUUUCUAUUUUUUUCUGACAUUUGUUUGAUUUAAUAAAUAUAUCAAAUCAUUUAAUUUUAUUAUGCCAAUUUUUGUAGGGGCUAAUGGUAUUAUUCCAGAACUCUUGUAUAAUUGGCAUAAUUUUUGGACCAUAUUUCAUAUAUAUAGAAAUAUAUUUCCAAUGCAAAUAUUUAUCGAAUUAAUCCAAAUGGCCAAAAUAAAUGUCCAUGGGCUCCUAAAAUAUUGUUUUGAUUUUUAUCUCUGUCCAAUAUUUUUAGAGGGCAUCAUGAGCAUUUUCUUGGACCCUUUUUGGAGAAAUUUUUAUUUGGGUCAUUUUCAAAAAUGAUUCUGAGGGUUCCACCAAUCCUCAUUUCAAAUUUAAAUGAAAUUUAAACAUGAUGCACAAAUGACCAGCUAGUCUAGGUCAUACCAGACUAGGGAUGUGACAACUCGCCCCCACUUGACAGAAUCUCGUCUCAAGAUUCAGGGGUCGACGGAAAGAAAGCGGGGUACUCCAGUCGAAGACGAUCUUCUCGCUCCCAGGUAGCUUCUCUCUCGGAAUAAUGAGACCACUGAACUUUGAGAAACUUGAUGUUCUGACGUCGGGUAACACGCUCUGCUUGAUCAAGAAUGCGAACCGGGUACUCUCGGUAUGUGAGGUUAUCUUGGAGAUCAAGCGUUUCGUGGUCCACUCCGCGGAUGGGAUCCGAGAAGCAACGCCUGAGUUGAGAGACGUGGAAGACAUCAUGAACUCGGGAAAGAUGUGGAGGUAGUUCCAACUGGUAGGCAACCUCUCCUCGUUUAGCGAGAAUGCGAAAGGGACCAAUGUAACGAGGAGCCAACUUGCCCUUGAUACCGAAACGAUGGGUACCCUUCAAAGGAGUAACCCGAAGGUAAGCUUGGUCGCCAAUUUCAUAAGUCAUAUCCUUAUGAUGACGAUCGUACUGACUUUUCUGACGAGACUGGGCGGUUUUCAAAUUCUCACGAAUGAUGCGAACUUGCUCUUCUGCCUCCUGGAUCAUAUCCGGUCCAAAGAAUUGUCUUUCACCGGUUUCUGACCAGUUCAAAGGUGUUCGACAUCUUCGUCCAUAGAGAACCUCAAAAGGAGCUUUCUUGAGGCUGGAUUGGUAGCUGUUGUUAUAAGCAAACUCGGCGAAAGGAAGACAUUUCUCCCAAUCCAUACCGAAUGAGAUAACGCAAGCUCUGAGCAUGUCUUCGAGAAUUUGAUUGACCCGUUCCACCUGACCACUUGACUGAGGGUGGAAAGCGGUACUGAAGGAAAGAUGGGUUCCCAUGGCAGUUUGGAAACUCUCCCAAAAAUGAGAAGUGAAAAGGCUGCCACGGUCUGAAUUGAUCUCUAGUGGGACACCAUGAAGUGACACUAUUCGAGAAAUAUAUAAGUCAGCAAGCUGACUAGCAGUGAUAUUUUCCCGAACAGGAAGGAAGUGAGCCACUUUGGAGAGACGAUCAAUGACUACGAAGAUAGCGUUAUUCCCUCUCUUGGUCCUGGGAAAACCGGUGAUGAAGUCCAUACUAACUUUAUCCCAUUUCCAUUCAGGAAUAGCUAAGGGCUGAAGGGUGCCAGCAGGUCUUUGAUGCUCUGCCUUAACGCGACGACAUACGUCACAUUUAGCAAUGAACUCAGCGAUUUCCCUCUUCAUCCUAGUCCACCAGAACCUCUGGCGUAGGUCCUGAUACAUCUUAGUACUACCGGGAUGAAUCGUGAGAGGGGAUUCAUGCGCCUCCUUAAGAAUCAAUUGUCGCAGAUGUUGAUUCUUGGGAACCACCAAGCGAUUCUCAAAGAAAAUAAUUCCACGAUCAUCCAUAGAGAAACAUCCACCAACUCCCUUCUUAAUGUUUCUCUUGAUCCGAGAAAUUCCUGUGUCUUGCUUUUGAGCAGCGAUAAUCCGAUCUUCAAGAUCAGGUUUCGCCACCAGAGUAGAAAGGAAUCCGCGAGGAGCUAUGUGAAGGUUAAGCUUACGGAAUUCCUCAUGGAGAAGUGGUUGGCCUUGCUGCAACAUGAGAUUGUUGCAAUAAGAUUUACGGCUUAGAGCAUCAGCCAUGACAUUGGCUUUGCCUGGGGUGUAGGUAAUCCCUAGAUCAUAAUCUGUAAUCAACUCCAACCAACGUCUUUGCCUAAGGUUCAGAUCCGGCUGGGUGAAGAUAUACUUGAGACUCUGGUGAUCGGUGUAGAUCUCGCAACGUUUACCAAGGAGGUAAUGUCGCCAGGUCUUGAGUGCAUAGACUACGGCUGCAAGCUCUAGAUCAUGUGUAGGAUAAUUCUCCUCAUGUGGAUGUAACUGUCAAGAUGCAUAGGCAAUCACAUGACGAUCCUGCAUAAGAAUGCAACCUAGUCCCUGUCGUGAGGCGUCGCAGUAGAUAAUAAAGUCUUUUGUGAAAUCCGGUGGCACAAGUAUGGGAGCAGAAGUCAGGCGUCUCUUCAGUUCCUGAAAACUGUACUCACACUGUGGGGACCACUCGAACUUUUUAUCUUUCUUGAGAAGUUCCGUGAGGGGUUUGGCUACUUUGGAGAAGUUUUCAACAAAGCGGCGACAAUAGCUGGCUAGGCCAAGGAAACUCCUAACUUGUUUCACGGUCUCGGGUGGAGUCCAAUCGAGAACGGCUUGAACUCUCUCGGGAUUGACAGCAAUGCCCUUACCAGAGAUUACGUGGCCUAGGUAGGUCACUUCUGGCAACCAAAAUUCACACUUGGAGAACUUGGCAUAAAGGCGGUGCUCUUUGAGUUUUUCUAACACAAGUCUAAGAUGUUCGGCAUGCUCUUCCUCGUUCUUCGAGUAAAUAAGAAUAUCAUCGAGGUAAACCACGACGAACUUAUCUAAGUACUCCAUGAAGAUCGAGUUCAUCAAGCGGGAGAAUGUGGCUGGGGCGUUGGUUAGGCCAAAGGACAUGACGGUGUACUCGUACUGGCCAUAACGAGUGACAAAAGCCGUCUUGGGAAUGUCCCCAUUUCUGAUUUUGAUUUGGUGGUAUCCUAACCUUAAAUCCAUCUUGGAGAAGACUGAGGAUCCAGCGAGCUGAUCAUACAGGUCGUUGAUCCUGGGGAGCGGAUACUUGUUCUUGAUCGUGACCAAAUUAACGGGACGAUAAUCAAUGACCAUCCGGUCCGUACCGUCUUUCUUCUUGACAAAGAGGACGGGGCAAGUCCAAGGAGAAGAACUAGGACGGAUGAAACCCUUUUGCAAGGACUCAUCGAGUUGUUUCUUAAGCUCGGCUAGUUCUAGGGGUGCCAUCUUGUAAGGUCUCCGGGAGAUUGGAGCUGUUCCUGGGAUAAGAUCUAUGACGAACUCUACAUCUCUGUCAGGUGGAACACCUGGCAGUUCCUCUGGAAAGACAUCCGGAAAGUCACGGACUACCGGGAUAUCUUCAAGGUCUGGAAGAGGGCUGGCAUUAAGAGAAUAGAGCUGACGCUUUGCAACUCUAGUAGAGACGGUGACUAACUUGCCAGAUGGGUGUGUAAGCUGAACAGAUCUUGUGUAGCAAUCAAUCUUGGCAUGAUGAGCUGUCAUCCAGUCCAUACCCAAGAUGAUGUUAAUAUCUGAGGACUUGAGGGCUACAAGUGAUGCAAGGAAUACCAGUCUAUCAACAAGGAUUUCAUUACCAUGGCUGAUUCUGGUGGUCUGCCAUCUAGACCCUGGGGUUUGGAUUUCAAGCGGAGUUGGCAUAUCACAAAAUGACAUGUCGUGCAAACGAGCAUAGCCUUCAGAAAUGAAGGAGUGAGAUGCCCCAGUAUCAAAUAGAACUGAUGUUGGGUGACAAUUGACAAGGAGUGUACCAAGAACGACAUCUGGAUCAUCAUGAGCGUCUUUAGCUGAGACGUGAUGCACACAUCCACGUUCAGUGGGGGCUGACUUAACACUGAUCAUCUUGCGUGAUGGCUUAAUACAGCCAACAGUCUUCUCGGGCUGGGGUGGAGCAUAACUAGUCUGAGAGCAGUCACGUGCAUAGUGUCCUGACUUCCCGCAUGUGAAGCAAGUCCCUGAGGUUGGACGGGGACCCGCACUAACAAGCGGUCUACCAGUAGGCCUGGGUGGAACAUACGACUGAGCUGGAGGAGGCACCACAUGAGAUGACCUCGGUGUAUAACCGGAAGGAAGAGCGGAGUUUGGAACCCAAAUCCGGCGUUUCUGGGAACUAGAGCCAGAGGGAGAUCCCAAAUCACGGGUGUGCUUACGAGACUCCUCGUAAGUGAGUUGAGCUGUCUCUGCAUUGAUGGCCUUGUUCACAAGGGCUUGGAAUGUAUCGCAAUGAUGCAUGUGAAGAUCACGACGCAAUUUGGGGUUGAGACCCUUCCGGAACCUAGCCUGCUUCUUGGCGUCCGUGGACACUUCUUCUGUGGCAUAGCGAGCAAGGUUCUCGAACUCUCUGCUAUAAGCAUCAACGGCCAUCUUACUCUGGGUGAAACUACAGAACUCUUCUCUCUUGCGAUCAAGGAGGGCUUGGGGAAUGUGAUGCUCGCGAAAAGCCUCAGUGAACUCCUUCCAGGUAGGAAUCUGGCCAGCUGGAAGCAUAGCCUCGUAGUUCUGCCACCAAAGACUAGCAGGACCUUCCAGGUGAUAUGUGGCAUAAGUGACCUUGUCAUCUUCAGCUACGUUCGCGAAACGCAGCUUAUGGAUGAUGCUACGGAGCCAGUCAUCUGCAUCGAGUGGCUCGAUGGAAUGAUGAAAGGUAGGUGGGUGCAAGCGAAUGAAGUCAUGAAUGGUCACAGACUUGUUGGACUGAUGUGCGGUGUUCUCCUCGAUACGUGCCAACAAGUGGUUGGACUCACGCUUGUUCCUUUCCAUCUCUAGCAUGAACUCUGUCAACGAAGGCUGGUCGGGAGAAUUCUCAUCCCUACCAUCUCCAUGGUUCCGGCUACGAACAAUAGAACUUGAUGACAUCCUGAGAAACGAAAACCAGGGACGGAAUCAGCACCAAUUAUCGACUGUAGAAUGUAGGACAGGGAAUUAGUAUCACUCGAACUCCUAGGGAAAUUCUGGCAGCAUAACGGCAGUAAACUGCUCAGAACGAGACAUCCUACUAAACAUAGGGUGGUAACAUACUUAUCAUCAUCACUCAAGGUUCUGAGAUAGUACUAAACAGACUACACCGGAAGUACUCGAAACUGGGGUAUGACUCUGAUCAACCAGUCCUAUGGAACUACGGAGUAGUAACACGUGAUCCUGAUAGACGGAAGAGAAGCCUAGUUCCUUAACCCCGUCGGAAAGAUAGGAUGACUCAGAUCAGAAGGCCAUGAGGUAAAGAAGUAAAAAGAGCCUUACGUUCCAACCCACAAUCAAUUCCCUUACAUAACUAAAGAAUUUCUAGACUCAACUUCGACCGGUUUGGCUUGGUAAUCCUACAGGCAGUCAGGCUCUGAUACCAACGCUGUCAGGACCCCGACUCGAUGUCACAUCGAUCUAGCAUGUAACACCUCAUAUCGCUUUGCGGCCUCACGCACGGUAUCCCCACGGGUGUCGCCUUACCUUUGCCCGGGACCGUUUGCGCAUUUUGGCACACGUAUAUGAUGGUGUCGCUAGCAUCCAUAUGAUAAAGAGCCCGGGCUGACAUGGCUAGUCGUAAACCCAAAGUGGCACUAACUUACAGGGACAGGCAUUCAUGACCCAGCAUCGAACGUGUCGGUCAUCAGCGAGUGAAUCCAGGCUGUAGCACUGGGCUAACAGGACUCCGGUGAACCGGGCUGUAGCGGGCUAGCAGGACUCCGGUAUUCAUCGCGUGACAUUUCCCCGAAGGGACAGACACAGGAUCAAAGAAGGACACAUGCCGGCCUGCCUAAGUGUUCCGGAGCAGUAGCAAGCUACCAGGGCUCAGUGGAAGCACUAGGAGACAUUUCCCGGUAAGAGAGGCUACUAAGAAUAAACAACUAGAUAGUCAGAUCCCACACAUAGCAAUACACAUUACACGUACGCAUAACAUGCAAGUAUGUGAUGUACAACAUGGCAUCACAGCAUAACUCAACAACUUAUAUAGAUAAAGGCUCAGAAGAGCCGUCAUAGCAAUUAUUGCAAACAGGGGUCACAAGACCCAUCAUACAGAGCAUACAAGCAACAAGCGGAAGCAUUACAUGUCUGGGUACAGACAUCUACAAAUGAAAAAGGCUGAAGAGCCUGACUAUCUACAACAUCCGAUCAAGAUCGUAGCUGAGGUAAUAGCUACUAGUCGAAGUCCACGAGAACACUAGUAAGACCGAAGUCUCCGCUGCAAAAACAUAAAUAAAGCAACAUGAGUACAAAGGUACUCAGCAAGACUUACAUCAGAUCCUAUCAUACAUGCACUUGUAUCAAGAGGGUAACGUGGGGUUUAGUUGCAGCAAGCCAGCUUUGACUCUGUGGCUAUCCUGUUCUACGACUACCAGAAACUCUGAAGGUGAAACAACGUACACGAGUCCACUAAUCACCAUACAAUACACUACUAUGGAUUCAUCCCCGUCUCCCUACGAGAAGGCCAUCCAUAGCACUCACACAUGUCUUGAGCAUUUUAGGGUAUCCACUUCAAGUUGUCUAUGUACCAUGUAAGCAUCCAAGAAGUCCAUAACCGCGGACCCGGCUAUUCGAAUAGAUCAUGUUAACCCUGCAGGGGUGUACUUCUUCACACACGCUCUCGCCACUUACCGCCAUGUACACGUCAUGUAUCUCGGCAACCUUCAAGCGGAAGCCUGGCGAGGGUGUCGGCCACGACCUGACUAACCACACAAGACUCUAGUCCAGGUUUAUCGCCUAUUCGGGUUCCAUCCGCAAGGAGAUCCGGCUGGGGUGUCGCUUACGGCCCCAAACGAUGUGUACAGGGUUCCCGAGCCCACCAACCGGGUGCCACUCGGUACACCAGGCCACGUGUGCCUAGUCUGUCCCAAGCCCACCCUGCCGGGUGCCACUUGGUAGAAAAAUAGCACUACCUACAAACACCAGAAACUAGUUGCGACUCCUGGACAGAGAUCAAGUUGGUUAAUAAGUCGAGAGGGCUUGGAGCGCCCGGAGCCCAAUGUGUGGUAGUAUCGAGUCAUUGGACAACAUACACAGAACUCAGGGCUUAAGGACGGUUCCAGUGAGACAACCCACCAUGUACUCCUACAUGGCCUCUCACCGCUACCUUUACCAAAUCGUGUUCACACACUUCACUCUCAGCAUCAGAACACAUCGUGACACUCCAAUUCAUUCCCAAUGAAUCAGACCUGACACAACUCUAAGCAAUAGCAGGCAUAGCAUGGUAGGAACACAUCAGUGGCUUCAAUCAACUCCUACACAUGCUAGUGGGUUUCAGCUAUUUACUAUGGCAAUGACAGGUCAUGCAGAGGAAUGGGUUCAACUACCGCAGCACAAAGUAGCAGAUGAAUCGUUGUUGUCCUAAUGCAAUAACUGAGAGCAGGAGCGAGAGAGUAGGGUUUUAUCGAAAUGAACAAGGGGGUUUGCUUGCCUGGUAAAACAACAAGGAAGGCACUGCUUCACGGACAGGUACUCUGGAACGUCUCCGGAGCAGGACCUAUCGAGAAGGAACGGUGCCGGCAAUCAAAACACAAUCAUAUGCAGCAAUAUGAUGCAUGAACAUGGCAUGUAGAUGUGAUGCUGCUGAGCUAAUGCAACUAGUGUUCACUUGGUUUGAAGUCCAUUUGAACCAAAGGUUCAAAUGCAUUUCUAAAUUAAGUCUCUUAUAUAUGCCAUAAUGUGUUUUCUCAUAUUCAGUAUGUAUAAGUUGGUUUGUCAUGCAUGAAACUAGUACAGAUGGAAAGAUUGCAUUUUUCUGAUAAUUUUUCAUAUAUAAAUUAUUUCAAUCUGAGCUACGGUUGAAUUUCUAUGAAUUUUUGAAGUUUAAAUCAAUUUCUGGAAUUUUCCUGAUUUAAUUAAAUCCAGAAAUUAUAUACUGCGCCAGCAUGACGUCAGCACGACGUCAGCGGGUCAACGCGGCUGUCCAGGGUCAAACCUGACGUGUGGGACCCACACGUCAGUGACAGGGGGGUUAACAGGGGUUAAUUUAAUUUAACUAAAAGGUUAGGGGGGGUCGGGCCCACUGGUCAGCGUCAGGGGGGGGGUUAGUCAACGGUGAUUAGCACUAAGCUAAUCACCUGACGGGCCGGCCCCACCUGGCAGGGCUCAGGCGACGGGGGCUCGUCGCCGGCGACCUCUGGACGCGGCGGAGUCCGCGCCACAGGCCACGGGGACGGCGUCUGAGAGCACCGGGGCGUAGCCCGGGCUCUCGCGCAUCUGGUGGGCCAGGUGGGAGGAGCGGGGACGGCCGGAGCUCGCCGGAGCAGAGCUCAGGGCGGCGGCCGGAGUUCGGGCUUGAGCGGGAAUGGGCUGCGGGGCACGGGGAGGCCUCCUGAGGGGCCCGGCGGCACCCUCGUGGCACCAGGAACGCGGAGGGAGGCUUGGUUUGGGCGGAGGCGGGCCGAGACGGCGGCGGCGACGUGGACGGCGGCGAGGGGCUUCGGCCGUGGUGGGGAGCGGCGCUACGGCACGGGAACGGGAGGGAGAAGAGAGGGGAACGGUGGAGGAGCUCACAGCGGAUCCAGCGAGCGCGAAGGCGAGGUCGGGGAUGCCCGGAAGCUCCCGAAUUGACGGCGAGUACCCACGGCGGCCGGAGGCGAGGGUGGCGACGGCGACGGCUCCACGGGGCUCUCCGGCUUGCGUGGCUCGGCGAGGAAGUAGAGGGGGUCGCGGCGGAGCUCGGGGGCUCUACGGAGGGGCGAGGGAACGGCGGGGAGCGCGUCGGUGGCGAGCUGCGGCGGCGGCGGUGCUUCGGGUGAGAGGGAGAGAGAGCAGGGAAGAGGAGGAGGGCGAGGGAGAGUGAGAACGGUGCAGGGCAGCGCGUGGCGACGUUCCGGACGUCCAGGCGUCGAGGGGAGGACAGGCAGACAGGUGCCGUGGCGGCACGGCGGUGCGCACGCGCCGGCCACACGCCUCUGGCCUCCUGGCGGGAGGUGGAGGACGACUGGCGCUAGCCAGUCGGCUGGGCCGGCCGGCUGGGCCGCACAGGGGAGGGGAGGCCCAGGUAAGUCCUCCUUCCUUUUAUUUCUGUUUUCUAUUUUUUUUUGACAUUUGUUUGAUUUAAUAAAUAUAUCAAAUCAUUUAAUUUUAUUAUGCCAAUUUUUGUAGGGGCUAAUGGUAUUAUUCCAGAACUCUUGUAUAAUUGGCAUAAUUUUCAGACCAUAUUUCAUAUAUAUAGAAAUAUAUUUCCAAUGCAAAUAUUUAUCGAAUUAAUCCAAAUGGCCAAAAUAAAUGUCCAUGGGCUCCUAAAAUAUUGUUUUGAUUUUUAUCUCUGUCCAAUAUUUUUAGAGGGCAUCAUGAGCAUUUUCUUGGACCCUUUUUGGAGAAAUUUUUAUUUGGGUCAUUUUCAAAAAUGAUUCUGAGGGUUCCACCAAUCCUCAUUUCAAAUUUAAAUGAAAUUUAAACAUGAUGCACAAAUGACCAGCUAGUCUAGGUCAUACCAGACUAGGGAUGUGACAGUGGUCUCCUACUGGAUUGAUACCUUGGUACUCAAAAACUGAGGGAAAUACUUACGUUGCUUUACUGCACCACCCUUUCCUCUUCAAGGGAAAACCAAUGGAGUGCUCAAGAGGUAGCAGAUUGAUCUUUCUUGCAAUGGGAGAAGUGCUUAGCUUUGGGUUCAAUCUUGCGGUGUCCUUUCCCAGUGACAGCAGGGGCAGCAAGGCACGUAUUGUAUUGUUGCCAUCGAGGAUAAAAAGAUGGGGUUUAUAUCAUAUUGCUUGAGUUUAUCCCUCUACAUCAUGUCAUCUUGCCUAAUGCAUUACUCUGUUCUUAUGAACUUAAUACUCUAGAUGCAUGCUGGAUAGUGGUCGAUGUGUGGAGUAAUAGUAGUAGAUGCAGAAUCGUUUCGGUCUACUUGGCGCGAACGUGAUGCCUAUAUACAUGAUCAUGCCUAGAUAUAUCAUAACUAUGCUCUUUUCUAUCAAUUGCUCGACAGUAAUUUGUUCACCCACCGUAGAAUUUGCUAUGUUGAGAGAAGCCACUAGUGAAACCUACGGCCCCCGGGUCUAUCUUCCAUCAUACUAUUCUCCUAUUUACUUGCUAUUCCUAUCGUUGUUUAUUUUGCAAUCUCUUUUUCCAAUCUAUACAAUAAAAAUACCAAAAACUAUUUACCUUAUUAUCUCUAUCAGAUCUCACUUUCGUAAAUGACCGUGAAGGGAUUGACAACCCCUUUAUCGUGUUGGUUGCGAGGUUCUUGUUUGUUUGUGCAGGUACUAGGGACUUGCGUGUUACCUCCUACUGGAUUGUUACCUUGGUUCUCAAAAACUGAGGGAAAUACUUUUGCUACUUUGCUGCAUCACCCUUUCCUCUUCAAGGGAAAACCAACACAUGCUCAAGAGGUAGCAAUCUUCACCAACCUAACAGAAGUGCGGCCGUACAUCGAGUAAGUUCUUGCAGUACAUUGUUUUGCAACUUCUAAUUCCUUUGAACUGCUCUUAUUCCCAGAUAUUUUUUGAUACAGUCGAUACAUCACCAAAUUCUUGGAUGGAGCGGUGAUCCAAAAGGAAUCCAUCGAAGAGUAUGAGCUCCUCGCGAAGCAAGGAGGCGGCUUUCCUGGUUUCAUCUCUUGGUUCAAACAAACGGUAAUUUCCACUAGACCAUUCUCAUUUCUUCAUCUAAUUUGCGGCUAAUGCAACAAUCCUUUCGUAUUAAACUUGUAGGCUAAUUCAGAGUCUAUGGACGCUGAAUUGAGACAAUUCACUAAUGGUUUUGACUUUAAGGCCCGUUCAUUUGACAAAUUCGACAUCAACAGGCAUCACUUUCGUACCUAUGGCAAAGAGCUAUUUAUGGACGACCGAAAGUCUACAAGUUGUUGUGUCUCUGCUAUCGGCGAUGGAGGUAUCGAGUAUUAUGGGAGAGUUGAAGCAAUUUAUGAACUUCUAUUCUAUGGUCAAAACGCACCAAACGUCGUAGUCUUCAAAUGUUACUAGUUCCAGCCGAAGGAGAGUAGAAGGACUCAUGAACAUAUAUGGCUAGUCGAAAUCAAACAAAGCACCCAUUUAGAUGUUCUUGAUGUCUAUAUUAUGGCUCAAUAAGCGACCCAAGUUUUCUAUCUACUGUGGGAGUGCCAAACUUAUCCAAAUCUGAAUGGUUGGGAUGUCGUUUAUGAAGUGCCACCACGUGUUAGACUACCUCCCCACAAUGAAGAGGAUUAUGAACCUCACAUUAACCCAGACACAUAUGAAGGUGAAUUCUUCCAAGAAACACUCUUUCCAAAAAAACGCUUCAAGAAACGCUUUACUUCACACCAGAACAUUGAAGUAGACAGCGAUAGUGAACCUGACUUCACCGCUGAGCCGGAACAAGAAGAGCCUAAACAAGAAGAGGUUACUGAUGCGGAUGACUUGUCAAUGGUUGAACGAUUACGUAAAGGUGGCCUUCCACAUGUUGAUGCCGCUGAACCCGAUGAGCACUUCAUUGAUGAUAGUGAUGAUGAUGAUGCAUUUAUUGAUCCUGGAGCAUUUAUUGAACCCGACGAUCAAGAUUAUUAUUAGGUAUUCAAUUUUUUAUGUUGUACUUGAUUUGUAUAAAUGCUUGUAUGAUUGUAUGAUUUAUAUAGUUACUUGUAUAAUUUCUUACUUUGUACGAUUGUUUGUUAUACAUAGUGCCAUGGUCUUGAUAUCCGUCCCCGUCGGCCCUUGCCCGCUUUAUGAAUCAGAUGUGGUAUAUUCUCUAUUAUAACUAUUUGUUGCAUUUCACAUUUAUGACAAUUAUGGCCAUCAAGUUGACAUAGAGAUAUUUUUAUCUAGGAGGUAUGUGAAACAGAAAUUGCAACCGACCCUAUUGUUGAGAAGUUAAAUUUAGUUGAAAAUUAAAAUGAGUAUUUGAAAGAAAGAAUUAGAAGAAUUGAAGAAGAGAAGAUGAAAUUGGAGUUGUAUGUUGUCGAUGUCCUCGAUGAUCACAAGAUGAAGACGAAUGCAAUGCGCUUGAAGAUGGUGGAUGCAAUGCGCUUGAAGAUUAGAAAAUAUGCCAUUGAUAAUGAGGCUUGGUAUCGUUAUGCCGUUGGAUCAAUUAUUACCUUAGUUGCGAUCUUCAUCACAUUUGUUGUGAUGAGGGUAAGUUUUCUCUAGUGUUUUGCUUAACAAAUGCAUACUUAGCUUAUUUUCCUCCUAAAUGGCAUAAUUACCUAAGUUAGAUAAAAAAUGAGCUAUACUUACGUAAGUUGGCUCAAAAUGGCAUCAUCACCUAGGUUAGCACAAAAUGACCUAUACUUACCUUAUUUUCCUCCAAAUUGACAUAAUAAGGUUAGUUGGCUAAAAAAUGGCACAAUUACAUAUAUUAGCUCUAAAAUGACACAUAUAAGGAAUAAGAAGAACAAAAACAAGAAAGAGGAGAAAAAGAAAGAAUAGAAGAAGAUAGAGAAGAAAAAAGAAAGAAUAAAAGAAGAAGAAUGAGAAUGAGGAGGAAAGGGAUAAAAAGAUAGAAGAGAAGAAGAAAGAUGAGAAAAGAAGAAGAAGAAAAUUCUUCUUCUUCUAGUCUUCUCAUAUUCUUCUUCUUUCUUCUUCUAGUCUUCUUCUUCUUCUUCUUCUUCCUCUAGUCUUCUUCUUCUUCUAACUUUUUACUCCCAUUUUUGUAGGUAUGAUUCACUUCAUGGAAGCAGCAUUGAUGGACUGCUAGUGUUUAGUUCUUGUUUUCAUUUGUAUUGAUGAACAAUGUGAAACUAUGUGUGUAUAUAUGGAUGAACUCCAUGAAACUAUGUAUGCAUUGGAUCUUUUNNNNNNNNNNNNNNNNNNNNNNNNNNNNNNNNNNNNNNNNNNNNNNNNNNNNNNNNNNNNNNNNNNNNNNNNNNNNNNNNNNNNNNNNNNNNNNNNNNNNNNNNNNNNNNNNNNNNNNNNNNNNNNNNNNNNNNNNNNNNNNNNNNNNNNNNNNNNNNNNNNNNNNNNNNNNNNNNNNNNNNNNNNNNNNNNNNNNNNNNNNNNNNNNNNNNNNNNNNNNNNNNNNNNNNNNNNNNNNNNNNUAUAUAUAUAUAUAUAUAUAUAUAUAUAUAUAUAUAUAUAUAUAUAUAUAUAUAUAGGACAACACUAUUCUAAUCCCAGGAUUAGAAUAGUUAUUUGGAUCAUAGCGCCCUAUAUAGGAGCCGCAGUAGUGUUCCCGAACUCCAUCGAAAAAACGAUCUUGUGUCCCGCACCUCCCGUGCCUGAUCCCCACCUCACUCGCCUCGAUCCCCAACCGGCGACCCCUCCCCCACCCGCCGCCAGUGCUCCACCCCGCCCCACCGCCGCCUGGCUCCCUGCGCGCCGCUGCCGCGACCACCCGCGCGUCGCCGCCUGGCUCCCUNNNNNNNNNNNNNNNNNNNNNNNNNNNNNNNNNNNNNNNNNNNNNNNNNNNNNNNNNNNNNNNNNNNNNNNNNNNNNNNNNNNNNNNNNNNNNNNNNNNNNNNNNNNNNNNNNNNNNNNNNNNNNNNNNNNNNNNNNNNNNNNNNNNNNNNNNNNNNNNNNCCACGACCACAGGCCCGCCGCCGGCCUGGCUCCAUGCGCGCCGCUGACUCCGACCAUCUGCGCGGCGCUGCCCCGACCACCUGCAUGCCGCUGCCUGUCUCCCUGUGCACCAUCGGUGUUGACCACCUGAGCGCCGGUGUCACGCCAAGAUCCAAGCUAGAGGCACACUACAUGUCAGCGUCUGAUCUCCUGUGCUCCUCCCCUCAAGUUCUUCUCUUCCUGUGUCGCCAGAAGCCAGCCAUGGUGAGCAUUGUCCCUCCCCAUCAACUCUCUCCGACCUUCCCUGUCAACUCUCUCUGACCUUCCCCGCACCUCUCCUAGCUGCAGCGCAUGGUGCUUUGUGGCAUCCUAGGUUCCUCUCCGAAAACAGCCGUGAGUAGUGCUCCCAUGAAAAUCCUCUUGUGUGUGCAAAGCUAUGCCAUCCAACUAAUAUGGCUAAAUUUGUUUAGCAGUUUUUUCUCUUUGAACUAGAUGACGAACAUGCCCGAACUUAUGGAUGUGUUGCUCAUGUGAAAAAUGUGUUAAAUGAACUUCACAAUCUUGACUGAAGAUGUUUUAAAAAAUGUGUUAACCCCUGCUCCCAUGCAUCGGUGACCAGCCAUCUCCAAUCCUCGCACACACGCCGUAGCACUUGCAUUUCGAUGCUCCAAUGCCUACUGGCACUUCCUGCAUCUUUGUCCUACAAAAAACUCUAGCAAUGUUUAAUUCUUGUGAUUUCUUGCAGCAGUUCAAUAUAUAUUAUACAAGAAGAACAAACUAACAGUAUGUUGCAGAUGUUCUCUUUUGUGAUUGUCGUAGACUUCCAAUAGUUUAGAUGUGGGCAAGUCAAACAGAGUUCUCUUUGCUUCCGUCUCACCACCACAACCACGGCAGCAAGGCACACUACAUCCACGGCGGGAGAUCGGCACCAAGGUGGCCUGCCAGGGUCAUGGACUGGUUCAGGAAGAUGUUGGUGGGCCUGUUGGCCUUCUCGCCGCGGCCGCCCAAGGUCACCUUCAACGCCAACUCCAGGGGCGGUGGCGAGGACGUCGUGGCUGUGGCACCCAAGAGGCCAUCAUGCAGCAGCUCCAACCUGCAGCCGGUGAACAAGGAGCACUACGAUGAGGCCAUCUCCGACUGCGUCGAGUUCUUCCAUCGAUUCGCCAGGGUGGAUGUCAGGUCACGGCCGUCCUCGUCGUCCCACUUCUGAAUUCCCACCGUCGACAACUUUGUGCUAGCUUCAAGCAUAUCCCACUGUGUGUGGGAAUGUGUAUGUGUGUCUGCCAUGUUACUGUGUUCUUUCUUUUGACAUCUGUCAUGUUAGUAUGUUACCGUGUUAGUAAAAUGGACAGCGAGCCAACUGUUGCAGGUCAAUGGUAACAAGUAUCAAAAGAGUUUUGGACGCGAGGAUUUUGCAAAGUCCUAGUCGGCUAGUGAUAACUGUGCUAUAACUUUAUGGUAGGCCGAUCAUAGCUUGGAUUAGUGUAUUUCAUUUUGUAGCUUGAAUUUUGUAACUUGUUAAGUUUAUUGUGCAGAACCUUCAGAAAAGAUACCAAAAAAAGUAUGUUAUGGACCUUGUAACUCCUUCCCCUUUUUCCAUUCAUGCAUGUUCUUUCACGUGAUUUGAUGUAACGAAGUUUGUGUAAACCAUAUUGUUUACAUACACCUAAAGCAGUAUGUAUUUUUUAAAGUAAUCUGGAAGUUCAAAUAUUAUUGUAUAGAGAGUUCAAUCAUUGUAUUUUAGGAAGAAUGCAUCUUACAGUUAAAAAAUGCUUAGAGGAAAAGCAUUCAUCAAAAAAAGUAGCAAUCCGAUUUUUGGGAGGUUUAAAAUGUUAAAUUCGCACAUAAAAAGAGUGUAGAAAAAGAUGGGCGCCUCAAAAAAUGAUACUAAACAAACAAAUAAUUUGAAGUACAAAUUCGCGGAGUUGGGUAGUUCAAUAAAUAAAAAAUACAAAACAAAAGACUAGUCUUUAGGUUGGACAGGCCCAUGACAAGCUCGUAAAUUUAAAAAUUGUUUUUUAUGGUGGAAAAUAUCCUUUGAUUUCAAUUUUUACGUAGAGAAACAGUGAGCAAAAAAGACCAUAAUAAGAAAUGAUGUCAUUUUCCAUGAUUUUACCCGUUUUAUGUAGAGAAACAGUUAGCAAAAAAAAGACUAGUCUCCAGGUUGUUCAACAUAAUGUUAUUAUUCACCAAUGCACCGCUUUCUCUCUGGGAGCAGAGAAAGAGAGAAGUUCAUCCUGGCAGCCCAAUGUGGUUCAAUUUGUAUCUUAAAAGAAGACCCUCAAAGUUCCAAAUUAAAUAAUAGUACAGUUCAAUUUUUAUUUAGUAAGAAACGAUUUCCCUUGAGACUAAAUAAUCAAGCCACCAAGUUCACAUUAAUAAUAACAAAGCAGUUCAAUAUAUACAAAAAAACUCAAGUUCUUCUUGUUUUCUAUAAAAAGAAAAGUAUGAAGUUCAAUUUAAAAACUAAAAAUACAAAAGGAUUUUCACCGUUUCUAAAUAAAAAACUCUUGAAGUUCAAAGUAAAAUAAUGGAGCGGUUCGAUGUUUACUAAAACUAAUAGGAUAUUUUCCAUUACAAAAAAAUAAGAAGUCCAAAUUUUACAAAUGGAGAAGUUCAAUGUGAAGAAAAACUUAGAUUUUUUUCUCGUUGCUAAAGAAUAAAAUGAAGAAGUUCAAAUUAAAAUAAUGGAACAUAUCAAAAGGUUUAUAAAAAUGAUUUCCCCAUUUUCUAAAAAUACCCGAGAAGCCCAUAUUAAAACAACAUCAUGGCUCAAUCUUUACAAAAAAAUAGAGCGCUUCAAAAUUUCAUAAAAAAGAUUAAGAAAAAAAACCAGGGAGUCCAUAUUAAAAAGAUGGAGAAGUUCGAUGAUUAUAGAAAACUCAGAUUUUCCUUGUUAUUAAAUAAUGGAAACAAGAAGUUCAAAAAAAAUAAGAAGUUCAAAUUUUAAAAAUAGAGCGCUUCAAAAUUUCAUAAAAUAGAUUAAGAGAUAAAACCAGGAAGUUCAUAUUAAAAAAUGGAGAAGUUCGAGGAUUAUAGUGAACUCAGAUUUUCCUCGUUAUUAAAGAACGGAAACAAGAAGUCCAAAAAAACAAGAAGUUCAACUUUUAAAAAUAGAGCGCUUCAAAAUUCAUAAAAAAAAGAUUAAGAAAAUUAGAUUAAAAAUUCAUUAAAAAACUCACAUAUUUCCCCGUAACUGAGUAAUGCAAGGAAUGCAUUUCAGGUGACAUUUAAAAGUAUAGAAAAAUAAAAUCUUAAAAAUGUUUGUUGAAAGAAGUUCAAGUGCUCUAUCCGGAGAAGUUCAAAAAUUGUUGCGAGAGAGGUUCACCUUGUAUUCCAUGUUUGAUUUUUUCCGUAUAAAAAUCUAAUACAAUUCUUUACUCAAAAUAUAAAUAGGUGAAGUUCAUAUUGAAAAAAUAGAGAAGUUCGAAGUAUAUUAAAACCUAGGAUUUACCUGUUCAAAAAAUAAAAAACACAACACCAUUUUUUGCACUUUUAAAAACAACUCAUAAACGAAAAAAUGGUUGCUAGAAGUUCAAGUGCUCAGUGAGGAAAAGUUCAAAAAAAUUCUUGUGAGAGGUUAACCUUAUAUUUAGAUGUCCAAAAUGCGUAAAAAAAUAUGUUGUUUUUUGUGUUUUAAAAUAAUUCUCUCAAACCAGAGAGAAGUUCAAAGUGAUAAUAACUAGAAGUUCACGUACUACAUGGUGUGUAUUUCAUACAAGAAAAAAACAAUAAAGUGAAACAGAAUGAAGUUCAAAUAGACAUGCCCCAGAAGUUCAACUACUUCAUGCGGUGCAAAAAACAGCACGUCAAAAACAAAGUGAUGUUCAAACAUACAUACCCCAAGAAGUUCAACUACUUCACGCAGUGCGUUUCCAUUCGCAAUGAACACAGAAAUCAUGAUCUUGUCAUUUCUCUAAUUUUCUUCAAAACGACAGGAAUAUCAUCUGUGUAAGUUGAAGUCCUCGAUCGGAGAAAGUUAAAAAAAUAUUGUGAGAGAGGUUUGUACAAAAAGAAUAUGUUUUGUGUAACACUGACGAAAUGGAUGAGAAAAUUACAAACGAAAAUAUGUCACAGAAGUUCAACGUGAAAACAGCAGGAAGUUCAUCAACUACACUGAAUGAAUUUUAGAUGAAAAACUUUUAAAAUUGUCGCGAGUAUGAAAAGAUGAUCAACACGGGAAACUUGCGUGCUUACAGCAGCUUUCCAUCGGUAUAUCACCUGCUCAAUUCCAGUGAAUGGACGGAGAGGUAUGAGCAAGUGGAUAGAGACCUACGAGCAAAAAAAUUACGUGAAAAACAGAGUGAAGUUCAGUUACACGCGCCGAGAAGUUCAGGUUCUUCACGCGGUGCAUUUUCGAAGAAUCUGUUUCACGAUAAAGGCAGAACGCAUGAUCCCGCUGUUUUCCAAAUUACUUGAAAACGGCUAUGAAUCAGAGAAAACCAUCAACAUGAAAAAGUUUCGCAUUUUCCGUAGCUUUUUAGCGGUAUAUUAUUUGCCCCAUUCCGAUAAAGUUUGUAGAAAUUAUGGCAAAAAUACGUUUUUAACCAUUUUCAAAACUGACAUAAAACUGUAAUAAAUUAGGAGAAACAAUAUAUACAAAAAAGUUUUGCAUUUCUUCAAGCUUUCCAACGCCAUAUCAUUUGCUGCAUUUGGACGUACAGUUAAAAAAUUAGCUCAAAAAUACGAACUCGGUGGAACUUGUACCAUUUUCUAAAUUACUUUUAAACCAUUCAAAAUUAGAAAAAACUUUUAACAUAGAAAAGUAGCGCAUUUUCAUAAGCUUUCCAACGCCAUAUUAUUUGCCUCAAUUAGAUUAGCCGCUUAGAAAUGGCGUCGAAAAUACGAACUCAGGUGUUCGGUUUGCGAAAUUUUACGAUUUUCCGAAUUACUCUUUAACCGUAUGGAAUUAGAGAAAACUUUCAACAUGUGGAAGGAACGGUUUUGCAGCAGCUUUCCAACGCCAUAUUAUUUGCCUCAUUCCGAUAAAUGGUUUAAAAAUGCGAUCGAAAAUACGAUUCACAUUUGUUAUAUAAAGAAAUAACGGUUUUCAAAACUGCUCUUAAACCGCUUACAUUUUGCCAAAACUUUAAUUUGGGUCAUGAUACUGAUGUCCAUAGCUAUCCAACGGUAUAUCGCAAGCCCCAUUUGGACACCUUUUUAGCUGAAGUUCAACCUAGUACUCGGGGAAGGUCAGGCGCGUUACUCGGGAAGUUCAUGUUGUGAUCAGAAUAUUAUUCUGAUCCUGUGAUCAGAAUAGUGUUUAUGUGUGUGUGUAUAUAUAUAGAUGUUGUUGUUCUAAGAAUGAUCAUGAUUCCCUCAUAUCCGUAUUUUAUUUUAUCGACACCUCUAUCUCUAAACAUGUGGGCAUAUUUUUCGAUUUUGGCUUUCGCUUGAGGACAAGCGAGGCUUGAGGGAGUUGAUACAUCUAUUUUGCAUCAUGCUUUUAUAUCGAUAUUUAUUGCAUUAUGGGUUGUUAUUACACAUUAUGUCACAAUAGUUAUGCCUAUUCUCUCUUAUUUUACAAGCUUUACAUGAAGAGGGAGAAUGCCGGCAGCUGGGAUUCUGGGCUAGAAAAGGAGCAAAUAUUAGAGACCUAUUCUGCACAGCUCCAAAAGUCCUGAAACUUCACGGAAGUAAUUUUUGGAAUUAAUAAAAAAUAAUGAGCAGAGAAAGCACCGGAGGGGCCCCGCACCCUGGCCACGAGGGUGGGGGCCGCGCCCUACCCCCUGGGCGCGCCCCCUGCCUCGUAGGCCCCCUAGUGGCCCUUUGAUGCCCAUCUUCUUCUAUACGAGGUCUUUCGUCCGAUAAAAAUCAUAAGCAAGCUCAUGGGACAAAACUCCGCCGCCACGAGGCGGAACCUUGGCGGAACCAAUCUAGGGCUCUGGCGGAGCUGUUCUGUCGGGGAAACUUCCCUCUGGGAGGGGGAAAUGAUCACCAUCGUCAUCACCAAUGAUCCUCUCAUCGGGAGGGGGUCAAUAUCCAUCAACAUCUUCACUAACACCAUCUCAUCUCAAACCCUAGUUCAUCUCUUGUAUCUAAUCUUUGUAUCCAAACCUCAUAUUGGUACCCGUGGGUUGCUAGUAGUGUUGAUUACUCCUUGUAGUUGAUGCUAGUUGGUUUACUUGGUGGAAGAUCAUAUGUUCAAAUCCAUUAUGCAUAUUAAUACCCCUCUGAUUAUGAACAUUAACAUGCUUUGUGAGUAGUUAUGUUUGUUCCUGAGGACAUGGGAGAAGUCUUGCUAUAAGUAGUCAUGUGAAUUUGGUAUUCGUUCGUUAUUUUGAUGAGAUGUAUGUUGUCAUCCCUCUAUUGGUGUCAUGUGAACGUCGACUACAUGACACUUCACCAUUGUUUGGGCCUAGAGGGAGGCAUUGGGAAGUAAUAAGUAGAUGAUGGGUUGCUAGAGUGACAGAAGCUUAAACCCUAGUUUAUGUGUUGCUUCAUAAGGGGCUGAUUUGGAUCCAUAUGUUUCAUGCUAUGGUUAGGUUUACCUUAAUACUUCUGUUGUAGUUGCGUAUGCUUGCAAUGGAGGUUAAUCAUAAGUGGGAUGUUUGUCCAAGUAAGGACAGUACCCAAGCACCGGUCCACCCAUAUAUGAAAUUAUCAAAGUAUCGAACGCGAAUCAUAUGAGCGUGAUGAAAACUAGCUUGACGAUAAUUCCCAUGUGUCCUCGGAGCGCUUUCCUUCAUAUAAGAGUUUGUCCAGGCUUGUCCUUUGCUACAAAAAGGAUUGGGACACCUUGUUGCACCUUAUUUACUUACAUUACUUGUUACUCAUUACAAAUUACUUUAUCACAAAACUAUCUGUUACCGAUAAUUUCAGUGCUUGUAGAGAAUACCUUACUGAAAACUGCUUAUCAUUUCCUUCUGCUCCUCGUUGGGUUCGACACUCUUACUUAUCGAAAAGGCUACGAUAGAUCCCCUACACUUGUGGGUCAUCAGUGCGACAUUCUAUAACUCAAGAAUUCAAACUGAGGCAUACUAAAAGAGUUAGUGAACGGAAUAUGAAGAAGGAUGACAUAAUUAGAGAAGAUAUUGAAGUUAUAGAUAAAGUCUUCUUAUUGUUAAACCAGACUUGCAUGUGUUGCACUCGAAGAGGCCAGAGUUCAUGCUUUCUUGAGAGAUGAAAUAAGGCGACAUGUGUUGCCAAAAUAAAUGAGUUAUGUAUUAUACUUCUCUUUUAAAAUUAUUGUUUGUAGAUAUGUAACUUACUGUAUUGACUUUCUUAAUGAAAUUCAGCCAAGCAUUGUGAACAAGUUUUUGUCCUCAGUAAUGUUGUAGCAUGAUCAGAAGUUAAUAUUUUUUGAAUAGCUUGUUUUGUUGAAUCUAUUAAUAUAAUUGUGAUUAUUUGCUGCUUGUACAAAUGAAGGUUCUAUUUGUAACAAUGCAAGUGGGUCAAGUAGAAAAUUUAUUGAUAUAGUUGAAUCAAAUGUUGAACAUAUGGUUGUUUUAACCUAUCCAAAUCUAAUGAAUAUUUUUCAUUGUGAAAAAUACUUUUAGUUCAUAAUUGUUGUGCCGAUGCACUAAGCUUGGUGAACUUAUGUGUGGGAUAUGAAGGAGAAAGUAAGCAACACUUUAGAUCCACAGUGUGCAAAUGGUACUGCAUCAUACAUGAAAGAAAGGCAUGAAACAUGUGCUUAUAUAUAUUUGACUGUACUGAAGAGUUCUUGAGUAUUUAGAGUUGCUUUCAUCAUCUUGGAUGGUCAAAGAAAUUUCAUCAUCCAACGUACCACUUCAGAGGUAUAUUCCAUUAUUCAUGUUUAUCUGUAAAACUAAUUUAUUUCUUCUAAUUAUGGCAAAUGCAGGGAAGAUUCAGCAAUUGCAUCUCUGAUGAUAGCAAUGUACUUUAAUGGCAUUGAAGUAAAAUAAAAACUAACUAAGGUACAUCUGAAUGUUAAUGUUUCAUUCUAAUUUGUUUAUCAGCUCUAUUGCUACUUACAUAAUUGCACAUUUUUUUGUAGUACACAUUUUCUAUUAUACGAGUACUAAUGUUAUGGCAUUUACAAAAAAUGGACUGUAAUAAAGGAAAGCUGCCUUUACAUCUUCAUCAAAUGAUGUAGAAAUUGUAGAUCAACAUUCUUACGCAUGAACUAAAUAUUUACUAUUUGUAAUAAGGAUUAAGGUGUUGUGUGUCGACACAUAUAAGUUUGUAUUGAUUAUUUUAAUUAUAUGUAAUUGUAGUAUCUUAGAAUGAUUAGACGUAAUAUUUGAAUUGUAAUGCCAUAUUAAAGAGUUUGAACAAUUUAUAUUAAUUGAUCUUGUUGUCAUGGUGACCCACUUACAGAUACUCAGUACUAACUGAAUGUAUACUACAAGUGUUAACUCACUGAUAGGAUAAAAUAAUUAUAUGUACAUAUUGAGAAGAAUUUAUAGGAUGAGAAACUAUUGAAUUAGUAAAGAUUGUUAAAUAUAAUGUGAACAACAUUUAUAUUUACUAGAAGAUCAGUCGAUUAUAUCAUUGUCAAUUAAAGUACAAUCUUCGUAGAAAAGAUGUGAAAACCUACAAUAUCCCUAGAAUUGAAGGACGCAGACGACAAAGAACUUAUUUAUCGUCGCUCUCUUUGCCGAGCAGGUUUGUCGUCGGUGGCAAACGACAAAGAGCUUUGAUGUCCGCUUUUGGUGCCUUUGCCAUCUGCCAUGGCAGACUGCAAAUAAGCUGAUUCCUGUAGUGCCACCUUGUCCAUGAUAAUCCUAUCAUGCAUUAACGAUGUUUUUGUGGGUUGAACCACUUGGUCGACAACCCGAUUGGGUCAAUCAUUCGCCACCUUUGUAAAUAUGAAGUUAACGUUAAGAAGGCAUGUCAAUAUGUACAAUGGAAAUUGAUUAGCCUCUUUAGUCAUGGGCAUCAAAAUAAUUUCACAAAAAAUAGUCUUAAAAGCUUAGGGUGCUCCACAUGGAGGUCCUCAAACAACUCCCCAACCUCCUAGAAGGUUUGAUAGGCUCGGUUGAGAAGUCAUCCGAUCUAGGCAAUUUAUUAUGAAUACAACUUCGCUCACCCUGUGUUCAGAAAAGAGGGGUUCCAAGGAGCUUGUUUUGACCAUCCAAAACCUAUUGAGAUGUCAUCUAUUGAAUCAUUUAGAGAGAAAUUACUAUAAUUAAUUGGGAGUUCCAAAUAGACAUAUUAUUUGGUAGUAUAAGUCCAUAGGGAAGUCGUGGAGAGAGAGAGAGAUGUUGCUACGUAGCUACUACAUCCAAAUGGUAGCCUGAAAAAGACACCACUCAAAUGUAAUCAUGAGAGUGCAUAAUACAACUAUUUAUUUGAGCCGGCUAAUCUAGAUUGGAUCUAAAGGAAGACUUUUUGGAGAUUGGAUCAAUUGUUAUCCUAGUCCAUCCCUUGCAAAGAAAUAUUUAGUGUAUAGCCACCCCUAAAACAUUGUAAUAAUACGCAAAGGAGAUAUAUAUAUAGGGGAGAAGGCAAUGCCCUCGGACAAGCAGACACGGGUGGGAGUACUAUGUGGGUCAUAUGAUGAACUCACUCGGCAGGGUUGGACACAUGGGUCAGUUGCAUGGACUCCCUAGUGGUUGCCAAGGCUUGGCUUUUGUCAUGUUUCCCUAUCUUUCCUCCUUCAUGUGUAAUCUUUGAAUAUUUUCUCAAAUUUUGUGGUUUUCUUUCAACUAACGAAAACAUGAAUUUUGUUAGCAGUGACUAGUAGGUUAGUCCUAAAGGAAAAAUAUCAUAUACGAGAAAUUAUUAAACUUUAAAGGAAUAUAUGCACUUCUGGUUGUAGUUGUCAAAAAACAACAUAAGGGUUAUACAGUGACAAUGUUAGACAUCAGAAAUUUAAUAUAAGCUUCGUUCCACAAAAAUAUGGAAGUCCUACUCUUAUUGUUGAGGAUAUCAAGGAAAAAGAAUAAAGAAGGGUGAGCGAGAACUCCAUUGAAAGGAAAAACUCCAAACAUGUGAACUUAUGAUAGAGAACCUUUUAUUUGCAUCGACAAGAGGUCAAAUUUCCACCGAGAGGCAAGGUUGGAGAAAGUGUUAGCCUAGAACCUAGGCAGUGUUUAAGAACCCUAAGUGUAGCCUAGGUGGAUGUAUAGAAUUGGCUAUCAAGGUAUAUUUGGGGUUAUAUAUGUGUACCAAUAUUAACUUAGAUCAUACAUGUGAGUAAACUACCACAUCUAGCCUUUAGAAUAUGGCCUAGGCCCAUUCGACAAAUCUAUGUAACAUGGCAUGAUUUCUCGCUUGAGUGGAUAAUUUCUUUCUUCCACUCCCUAGAGUUUCGCUUAUGCCCUAGGCGAGGCAUUUGGUCGUUGCCUAACGCCUAAGGGUGUCUAAGCGCCUUCUCGGUGCUACCUUUCCUAGCAUAGCCGAGAGAUCUCUUCACACCACACUUGAGAUGAAAUCCCCUUCCAUAAGAAUGAGAUGCCUUACAAGCUACUACGAGGCAUUUUUAUAGGCUCUUGGACUUGUACAAAAUACUAGAAAUACUUUUUUUUACUGCAACCAUCAUCGCUCUUGGCAAGGAGGGAAAAUAAGGACACCUCGUAGUCUUAGGGCUUCAUUUUUUUGAUAUUUUUCUGAAUUUUUGAGGGUAUGUGUCCUACUCAAGGAGGCGAGGAGGCGAUGGCUCUUUGAUGAUGGGAUACGAUUCUCCUUGCCUAGCCCCCAUUCUGACGGUGCUUCUACCACUGCUAGAGGGAGUGUGAAGGUUUGUCUCAUGGGAUUCGGUCGGCGUUUGUCUUCGGUGGAUCCACAUGGAUCAGGUCUUUGUUCGUCGGCGGUGGAUGUUGUUCUGGUGCACUGGUCCAGUAGUGAUUAACGCGACGACUUUCCGAUUGUCUACUACAAUAAGAUUUGCCCACCUCCGGUGAGUGAGGGGCAAGGACGGCGGUGCAUCUUCGGCUCGCUACAGUGCUUAUAGUCGUUGCUAGGUGCUCUAUGGAUUUGGAUGUCAUUUUUACUUCUGUUGUUCUUUACAUUACCGUGACAGUUAAUGAAUAGAUUGGAAGCUUUUCUCGUAAAAACACGAAGGGAAACGUUUGGAGACGGUGCGCCGGCCAAAGCUUCGGCCGGUCGCCCGCUACCUCGUGCUCCUGUGUCGAUGAGACCUGCAUCCGCACCCUAUCUGCUGCAGCCCAAUCUCGCAGGCGAGGCCGCCGUCCACCCCCGCAUCGCGCCCCUACCCCGCUGUAGCCUAAUCUCGCCGGCAAGGCCGCUCUACCCCCCGCAUCGACCCUCUACCCGCGGCAGCCCAAUCUCGCCGGCGAGGCCGCCGUCCACUGCACGGCCGGCGAUUUCCCGACGCGCACGACACAUCCACCCCCUACCUACAGUCUUCAUGCGCGCGCAUCCCCUGCCCCCUCCUCCCGGGCUGUGUUUGGGCAACCACAAGCUCCAUCACCGGCAGCCAAGUGCUCCCUCGUCGGCCGCCAUGGCUGCCUGCAGCCAUGCCCGGAUCCUCCCGCGUAUACAAGUGUUGCAACCGUCACCUAGAAAAGCUUCAACAACCGUUGAAAAAAGCUUCAACCAUAGACAUAGAAAGCUUCAAUGGCACUGCACAACAAGGGAAAGCUGCAACCGUUGUUGGAUUUUGCUACUACCGGCAAAGCUUUUUGCUACAUCCAUCAGGCAGAGCUGCGACCUCACGAAGGACGACAAUGAUUUUUUUGCUGCAACCGUAGCAGGAUUUUGCUACUACCGUUGGAGGUUUUUGCUACAUCCAUGUAAGGCGGAGCUGCGACCUCGCGAAGGCGGAGACGGCGUUUUUGCUGCACCCGUAGUUUGAUUUUGCUACUACUAGUGAAAUUGUUUGCUACAUCCAUUGAGCUAAAACGGGUGAGAAGCUACAACCAUUGUGGAAAAAGCUACAACGGGUGAAACAAAAAGCUUUCAACCGCCUGCAGGCGCCGACGUGCUGCACGGGGAUGCUUCAACCAUCUAAAACUUUUUGCUACAUGCGUCAUUCUUUCUUGCAGGGACAAGAGAGAAGCAGAUGUUACAACCGGUGCACAUCGGAGCUACAACCGUCAACCCAAAAUGCCACGACCGAUGGCAUUUUUUGCUGGAACCAGAGAAAGAAUAGGCUUCGACAGACGUGCGUUAUAGCUGCAACCAUACUGAAAAAUGCUACGUCCGGCAACCAAAAAAGCUACAUCCGAUUUUGAAAAAAAAUUCAACUGGAUACGGGGUAGCUGGAGGUCGGCCACCGCACAGCCGAAAAAAGCUACAACCGGCGUCGAGAAUAGCUACUACCCGCUUUUAAAAAAGCUUCAAACUGAAAACAGCUAGAUAACAAUGGCGACCGGCGACGACGGUGCUGCGUGGCGGUGCUGCGAUGGGCGCAUGGCGAGGUACGACAGCAGGCCGGUGGCGACGCUGGAACCCUCAUCUGGUAGUGCUGCAAUCAGGAGGUGUGACACACGUCGAGAUGCAAGGCAGAGCUGCAUCCGGUGAGUUGCGGCGGCCUCGGCGAUCUGUGACAUGGACCGGCCCCCGUGAGCUGCGACGGCGAGCAGGCCCGGCGAGGUGCGACGGGGCGGUCGAGCAGGCCCGGCGAGGUGCAACGGGGCGGUCAAGCAGGCCCGGCGAGCUGCGACGGGGCGGCCAAGGGCGCGCACGAGGAGGCUGACCUGCAGAUUUCCUUUUUUCCCUCGCGCAAGGAAGAAGAAGGUAAGGGGGAAUCGUUUUCUUUGGCGGGAUCCAGUGGCCCAGGCGGUCGGAUCCAACGGUUGCUGUGCGACCGGCCUAACAGUUGGGCCGGUGCGCCAGUGCAGAUCGUUCCCCAAACACGAAAGGUGACAUAUAUGGUUGAUCUAGGGGCACGGUGGAAAGUGGAUUUUAUACUGCAGUAAUGCUCCAAGGUGCUGAUUGACUUCUACUAUAUGACCCGUUUUUGACUUUUACCACUGUCUAUUAUCUUCACAUGUACGAACAAAAAAGUACAUGUAGAUAAAAGUCAUGGGAUAUGUGUGAAAAAUGUUUUUCUACCACUAGUAGAAAAAGGGUCAUUAGUCCCGGUUUAUAAGGGCCUUUAGUCUCGGUUUUCGAACCGGGACUAAAGGGUCGUUACUAAAGGCCCUCCACGUGGCCGCUGGCUAGAGCUCCACCAGCUCCACCUUUAGUCCCAGUUGGUAACAUCAACUGGGACUAAAGGUAUUUUUUUUGAAUUUUUUUUCUCAAUUUUCAAAUUUCUGAAUUAUUUUAUAAUUUAAUCUCUAAUCACCCACCCCUCGUCACUACUCAAUUUAACCNNNNNNNNNNNNNNNNNNNNNNNNNNNNNNNNNNNNNNNNNNNNNNNNNNNNNNNNNNNNNNNNNNNNNNNNNNNNNNNNNNNNNNNNNNNNNNNNNNNNNNNNNNNNNNNNNNNNNNNNNNNNNNNNNNNNNNNNNNNNNNNNNNNNNNNNNNNNNNNNNNNNNNNNNNNNNNNNNNNNNNNNNNNNNNNNNNNNNNNNNNNNNNNNNNNNNNNNNNNNNNNNNNNNNNNNNNNNNNNNNNNNNNNNNNNNNNNNNNNNNNNGGGACUAAAGGGUCGUUACUAAAGGCCCCCCCCCCCUUUAGUCCCGGUUCUUACACGAACCGGGACUAAAGGCCCUCCACGUGGCCGCUGGCUAGAGCUCCACCAGCUCCACCUUUAGUCCCAGUUGGUAACAUCAACUGGGACUAAAGGUAUUUUUUUUGAAUUUUUUUUCUCAAUUUUCAAAUUUCUGAAUUAUUUUAUAAUUUAAUCUCUAAUCACCCACCCCUCGUCACUACUCAAUUUAACCUCUAAUCUCUAAUCACCCCUCAUCAUUCGAAAUCAUCUAACUUCCCGAUCAUCACCCAUCCCUCUCACUACUCCAGCCCGAGCACGCUUAACUUUCGGGUUCUAUUCUCCUUCGUCUCCAAGUCUGCACUUAUUGUUUUCCUGACAAUAGUAAGAUGUCAAUCCUAUUAACCCUCAGGAGUUUAGCUUGAGUAUGAAGUCACACAUUUCACUGUCUGAGUUUGAAACUAUUAUUGUACAAAACAAUAAUUAUUUAGUAACACUUUCUUGAAUAAAUAGUUUGACCACAAUUUGACCAGAUUUGACCAAAAUUCAGAAAAACCGAAAUAAUUAUUUAGUAACACUAAUAUUUCUUGAAUAAGUAGUUUGACCAUUGUUAGUCCACAAUUUGACCAGAUUUGACAAAAAUUCAAAAAAACUGAAAUAAUUAUAUAGUAACACUAAUAUUCUUGAAUAAUUAUUUAAUAACACUAAUACUUCCCGACUGUCUAGUACUGGUGUGCUGGUCCAAUAGGGAUUAACACGACAAUUUCCCGAUUGUCUAGUACAACAAGAUUUGCCCGCCUCCGGUGAGUGAGGGGCGAUGACGCCGGCGCGUCUUUGGCUCGCUACAGUGCAUGUAGUCGUCGCUAAGUGGUCUACAGAUCUGGAUGUAAUUUUUACUUCUGGUGUUCUUUAUACUACCUUGUCAGUUGAUGAAUAGAUCGGAAACUUUUCCAGCAAAAAAGAGGAAAAGUGAUAUAUAUGGUUGGUCUAGGGAGCACCAUGGAAAGUGCCUUUUAUACUGCAGUAAUGCUCCAAGCUGCUCAUUGGCUUCUACUAUAUGACUCUUCUUUGACUUUUACCACACUGUAUAAUCUUCACAUGUACGAACAAAGAGUACAUGUAGAUAAAAAUUAUAGGAUAUGUAUGAAAAAUGAAUUUCUACCUGGGAUCCAUUGUUCUUCGUGCUUGUGCACUUGCUUUUCACUGAUACACAGGGGAACAUAAAGAUGCACUUCCUAACAAGAAGAGACUAAUGCACACCAACGCCCAAAAUAUUGGUAACGCUGUUAGCCGCUAUGCAACCGGUCCGUAAAGUAACUAAAUUAAAAUAGUCUAACUAUAACUCUUCUUUUUACUAGUACAUAUGAAACAUUAUGGUGCCCUAAGAUAAAACAAAAAACACAACAAAACAUUAUUUAUGUAACAACCAAAAAUAAAACAAUACAACUUAGACAAUACUAGUAAGCGCACCAGAUGACAACGCACGACACGUCGGAUGUGGCAAUUUCAAAGUGUUCGUCGUGUGUACAAGAAAUUUACAUGGUUGUAACGAAACAAUAAAUUAAAUAAAAAAAGUUGAAAGAGAAAGGAGCUAUGACAAUCUUACAACAAUUUACAGGGGAAAAACAUGAUCACAAAUCAAAACAGCCUUGUACUUCUUCGGUGGCUUAAUGGUUAACCACGUUGCACUUCUUCCUGAUCUCGCCCUGGCUUCCGGUGAGCGGGUUGGCGUUGCCCAUCUUGAUCAUGGAGGCGGCGAAGUCGGCGAAGAACUCGUCCUUGAAUGCUCCGGUGGCAUGGCGCUGGACGUAGGCGCGGGUGAAGGGGUCGGUGAGGAGGGCGCCGUCGGAGUGGAAGAGGCCCCUCCGCUUGCUCACCAGCUUGAAGUAAUCGGUGUCGAAGGUCUUGAAGCUGCCGGGGUCCAUCUCCACGAGUGUGGUGUUGUCGUUGAGGCUGGCACACUUGCUCUUUAGCCGCAUCAUGUACUGCGGCUCCAGCGUGGGGUCAAUGUCGCUGGGGUUCUCCAUGCCGGUGAAGUUGUAGAGCCGGUCGGAGAAGGAGAAGCAGUGCGACGUCCCGAUGGUGUGCCCGGCGGACAAGACGACAAGGUCCUUUGCGUCAAGGUUCACGGCGGCGAAGAGCUGGGUGAGCACGGUGAAGUUGGAGGUCGGGGGUGGCAGAGCGUCGGUCUCGUUGGAAAUGGACACGCUGCCGUCUCGCCGGCCCAGAGGAACUGUCCAGACUGGACCCUUGCUCUGGAGAAACCAUGAUCGAGCAGCAUUAGAAUUUGGCUUCCACACGUACCGUGUCAUUUGAAAAAUGGCAUAGUAGGAGUACUCUACUCACCAGCCAUACUGCGUCCCUGGCAAUGAGGGCGAGGAUGUCGGCGCAGGAGACGGUGUCGGGGCAGGCCUUCUCCACCGCGGCCUUCACCCUCUCGACAAACCCGAAGCCUCGCAGCGUCUGGUUCGGCUGCGCGUCCUUCUCCGCCGUCUUGUUGGCCGAGUCCAGCAGAACCGAGCCGUCGCACCCCUGCAUUAAUUAAUGGCGGUCACUGGUCAGGCCGCCGCACACAAUAGGGUACGGGCAGGACAGACAACAUGCAUGCAAAUGUAGCUUACCCUGACGAAGCAGUCGUGGAAGUGCAUCCGGAGGAGCGGCCCGGCGAGGCUAGGCGCUAGUGACAGAGCCCUCACCAUCUCCUUCCUCACGACGUCCUCCACGCUGGGGCACGACUCGCUGUAGAACUUGUCGUGCAGCUGCGCCCGCCCGCACGUCGCCGCCACCGCCGCGAGCAUCAGCGCAACCAUCGUCGCAGCCCUGGAAGCUUGUUUCUUUCUUGGCUAUGCAAGAAACGACGAUGGCUAGUUGAUCCGGAGAAGCUUGAGCUGCUGCUGCUGAUGAUGAACUGGCGCCGGGGAAAUAUAUAGCGCCGGAGUGUCCACACGCCUGCAUGUGGUGGGCUGUCCUCCGGAGCAGCAGGUAAAAUUCCGAUGGUUUAAUGAGUUGUUCCUUGUUUGCACUCUGCGGAAUCUUUGCCGUGGCAGGUACACCGACGGCGCACGGUAUGUAUAAUGGAGGCGGCCGGACAGCCAGACGGAAGCACAUCAUUAGAUGAAUUCACUAAUUUUCUUUAGACAGCAAUCUACUCACUAACUUACUAAUUAGUUAUGAGUUAUCACGGAGAAAACUGCGGUGCCAAGUUGUAAUCAACAAAGGCUACUGGCAAUGAGUGAAUGCCACCUACUGGUAGUUUGCAAUCGUGCGAAUUUCAUGAUGCAUAUAUUUGUACCGGUGCCACAUGCUAUCCNNNNNNNNNNNNNNNNNNNNNNNNNNNNNNNNNNNNNNNNNNNNNNNNNNNNNNNNNNNNNNNNNNNNNNNNNNNNNNNNNNNNNNNNNNNNNNNNNNNNNNNNNNNNNNNNNNNNNNNNNNNNNNNNNNNNNNNNNNNNNNNNNNNNNNNNNNNNNNNNNNNNNNNNNNNNNNNNNNNNNNNNNNNNNNNNNNNNNNNNNNNNNNNNNNNNNNNNNNNNNNNNNNNNNNNNNNNNNNNNNNNNNNNNNNNNNNNNNNNNNNNNNNNNNNNNNNNNNNNNNNNNNNNNNNNNNNNNNNNNNNNNNNNNNNNNNNNNNNNNNNNNNNNNNNNNNNNNNNNNNNNNNNNNNNNNNNNNNNNNNNNNNNNNNNNNNNNNNNNNNNNNNNNNNNNNNNNNNNNNNNNNNNNNNNNNNNNNNNNNNNNNNNNNNNNNNNNNNNNNNNNNNNNNNNNNNNNNNNNNNNNNNNNNNNNNNNNNNNNCUAAACUAAGCGUGAGUGUAGAAUAGCUUAUUCUACACCCCAGUAACGGUACAUACAAAAUAUAGUAACACACUAUGUAAAAUAUAGUAAUUUUCGUAAAAAUGUAGUAAAUUAUAAACUUGGGUGAUAAAAAAAAUAUUUUCCAGGCAAUAUACGUACUUACACAAACACUAAUUAGAGGUACCUCGCAAAAUUACCCUGAGACCACUAGGGGCUUGUUUGGUUGUCAUCUACGAAUUUGUCUGCGUUGCACACAUGUCUUAGUUGGGCCUGGCUAUGAGAAAACAGGCAAACGAAAUCUGCAUCUGCACCUCAUUUGGUCGUCCACAUCUAGACUUCCUGCAUUAGGGGAACGGUUUUGGCAUGCUGUUUGGUGUCCUGUAUUGUCUCCACUCAUGCAACUACACAGUGUUUGAUUGUAUAUAUACACAGGAUAUGAUUAAGAGCUAAUACCUACACAUGACAUAACACACAGAGUUACAAUAGAGUUCCUUGGCAGUGUGCCCGUGAUGGUGGCAUUAGUGUAAGCAGAGGGCGAGGAGGCAUAGAGAAAAGACGCCGGCGGCAGUGCCAGGCACAAUAUGGCGUCCAUCCGACAAGGUUGACAACCACAUAUAACACUGGGGACGACAUGACGACAAGGAUGAAAAAUAUAAAGGAGAAAUGCAAUUUGCAUGCCAUGGCCGCGUUAGAGCAACUCUAGCAAACCCGUAAAAGUCACAAACCCGCAAAAUUAUGGCGAGUAUACGGAUUCGGCCCAAUUUUCUGGCCAGAACAGAGCCCGUAUACUCGACGGCCCGUAAAUAUUUUUACCGCGGCCCGCAACCCUCCCCCCUCCGCCAAGCAAUAUAUCUACGGGUUUGCGGUGCAUAUGCGGGUCGAAACCCUAUCCCCCACUGCCGCGUCUCGCCGCAAUUCCCCACUCCCCUCCUUACAUUUCUCGCCAAUGGUGAGCCCCUUCCACCUCCAAAAGACAUGUGGGGCUGCAUGCGGAGCUUCGGCCACGGCUCUGGGAGUAGCUCCGGCAGGGGCGGCAGCCCCGAGCGCGAGCGGCAUGUCUGCUUGGAUGGCGCGAGGAAGCGCGGGGCGAGGAACUGGACGAACAAGUCUCGAGCCGUUGCCGAGCUUCCUCGUCCGUGAGACGGAGGAAUACGACCGUCGGCGCGGGCGUACGCCCUCCUCGGCCACGGGCUCGUCCUCCGCCGCGAGAUCUUCCCACGCCGCGAUCUCUUCCUCUUCCGGCGCGAGGCUUCUCCCCGUGAAGAGGGAGUGGUCGGAGGAGCCGGUGGAGAUCGAGGUCAUCGCCGUCAAGCAGGAACCGGAGGUGAUCGAGUGACGAGGGGUCAUCGAGCCCAAAGAUUUCGUGGCCGAUUUCGACGCGGUGGCGUCCGCCAUUGCCGAGCGGAGCUUACGCGAGGAGGCGGAGCGCCGGCGCCACAACGACGAGGUCGACGACCUCAUCCUCCAGCAGGCGGUUGCGGCCAACCUUGCCGUGAAGGAGAAGGACGACGAGUGGCGGCGCAUCCGCGAGGAGCAGAGGUCGAAGUUCAUCGAUCUCGUCAACUCCGACGAGGACUGAGCUCCUCCACCGCGUCGUCCUUAGCCGUGAGCUCAUCCAUUUUGGUAUAUCGAUCUCGGCCUCGCCGCCAUGAAUCCCCCCUCCCUCUAGUAGUAGUAAUAGAAUGUAGUAUGUAUGAUAAUGUAGCAUGUGAUGAUGAACUAUGAAUGAUAAUGUAGUAUGUGAUGAAAAAGUGUGGUUGCAAUUUCUCCCGCGAAAGUAUUAUUCAAAUUAUGCAGUUUCAUAUACGGGUUCUAUUCUGCCACACACGAUUUUGACCCGCAAAACAGUUCUUCAUCGAACUGUAAACGCCUUAUGCGGGUCACGGUUUUACGGGGUCUCCUAGAGUUGCUCUUAGUGCAAGAGGACACAGAGGAGGAGGCCAAAAAGAACAAAGCUAACGACGGCAUCAGUGUAGUAGGACGGGAGCAUGGAGUUAGAGAGGAACAACGCCGGCGAUGGCUUCAGUGUAGCAGAACAUGGGAUAGAAGACAUAGAGGAUCAAUGACCGCUCAAGUGUAGUAGGACGCGGGAGAGGAGGUUGAGAGGAAACGAUGCCGGAGGUGGCGCUAGCGCAACAUCACGCAGCAGAGGAGGCCGAGAGGAACGACACUAACAGUGGCGUCAAUGUAGCAGGACACCUGACUGGAGACCGAGAUUAAGGUCUGUCAUUAACACACAUCGCACAUAUGCAUAUGUAUGUUUUAACGAGGAAGAAUUUACAUCUAGUCUACGAUCAUCGAAACAGAAAAUUUGCAAUACGAAAGUCAUGCGAAACUGCAAGAUGAAGCAACUGGUCAAAGGAAGUUUCAAACGGUCAACCGCGCGCGACAAAUUUAACAAAAUAUGUCCAAAAUAGCUUCAAACAUGAACACGGAAUUGAGCAUUUACGGUUGAAGAAACUACAAACCGGUGACCUGAAUGAAACCAUAACAUUGAUGGUGCAUCUUUUUCAUGUAGAGGUUAUCUCGAAUCGAAGCAUCGUUGUGUAGAUUAGAAGAGAUGACAAAGAAAGAAGAUUAGAGACGAGCUUAAUGGAGGUAGAAGAACAUAGCAGGUAUCCCUCAAGUCUCCUCAGGUGCAACAAGGUCCACCAUGUGCGUUUGAUGUGCCUGAUCUCAGUCUGGCUUGCUGAAAACUGUCGAUUUGACCGUUCCUAGCGGGCCUGACUAGGAGGUGCUUUAAAGUCUGUGCGUUACGGGCCAAACAAUGAAUGUAGAUAAACAAACAUGCCAUUUUCUUCCCACACAGACCUGAUUGACCUAUAUACAGGGUCCAAACACGCCCUAGGUGAUGCCUCUAGGAUUGGAGUUCUAAGUUUCGUAUCAAUGCCAUGUAGCCAACGACCAACCAUGUUUUGACAUUAUGUGACAGGUGCAAAUUAGAAGCUACCAGUAGAAAUGAUUUGGUUUUUAGUGGGAAAACUCUUCUCCUUCAGGUUUUUCUUUCUGUAUACACUCACUUUGUAUGUGAUCUACGCUGCAUCAAAUAAAAUACCAACCGAUUUUCAAGACGGCGCGUAUAUAGUUGGAGGGGGUGCCAGGGAGGUUUUUACCCAACGUAGAUGACAACAUAAUCUCCGGAUCGGCCCACCAUCUCCUUCGACAUAACACAAUGUCAGUACUAUAUAACUCUACUGUUGCAGAUAGCAUGUGGCACCGGUACAAAUAUAUGCUUCGUGGUCGAUUUCGACGCGGUGGCGUCCGCCAUUGCCGAGUGGAGCUUGCGCGAGGAGGCGGAGCGCCGGCGCCACGACGACGAGGUCAAAGACCUCAUCCUCCAGCAGGCGGCCGCGGCCAAUCUUGUCGUGAAGGAGAAGGACGACAAGUGACGGCGCAUCCGCGAGAAGUAGAGGUCGAAGUUCAUCGAUCUUGUUAGCUCCGACGAGGACUGAGCUCCUCCCCCGCGUCGUCCUCAGCCGUGAGCUCAUCCAUUUUGGUAUAUCGAUCUCGGCAUCAUCGCCACGAAUCCCCCAUCCCUCUAGUAGCAGUAAUAGAAUGUAGUAUGUAUGAUAAUGUAGUAUGUGAUGAUGAACUAUGGAUGAUAAUGUAGUAUGUGAUGAACUAGUGUGGUUGCAAUUUCUCUCGCGAAAGUAUUUUUCAAAUUAUGCAGUUUCAUAUACGGGUUCUAUUCUGCCACGCACAAUUUUGACCCGCAAAACAGUUCUUCAUCGAACUAUAAACGCCUUAUGCGGGUCACAGUUUUAUGGUGUCUGCUAGAGUUGCUCUUAGUGCAAGAGGCCGCAGAGGAGGAGGCCAAAAGGAACAAAGCUAACGACGGCAUCAGUGUAGUAGGAUGCGAGCGGGAGUUAGAGAGGAACGACGCCGGCGGUGGCUUCAGUGUAGCAGAACAUGGGAUAGAAGACAUAAAGGAUCAACGACCGCUCGAGUGUAGUAGGACGCGGGAGAGGAGGUUGAGAGGAAACGACCCCGGAGGUGGCGCUAGCGCAACAUCACACGACAGAGGAGGCCGAGAGGAACAACGCUAACAGUGGCGUCAGUGUAGCAGGACACAGGACUGGAGACCGAUAUUAAGGUCUGUUAUUAGCACACAUCACACAUAUGAAUAUGUAUGUUUUAACGAGGAAGAAUUUACAUCUAGUCUACGAUCGUCGAAACAGAAAAUGUGCAGUACGAAAGUCAUGCGAAAUUGCAAGAUGAAGCAACUGGUCAAAGGAAAUUUCAAACGAUCAACCAUGCACGAGAAAUUUAACAAAAUGUGUCCAAAAUAGCUUCAAACAUGAACACGAAAUUGAGCAUUUACGGUUGAAGAAACUACGAACCGGUGACCUGAAUGAAACCAUAACAUUGAUGGUGCAUCUUUUUCAUGUAGAGGUUAUCUCGAAUCGAAGCAUCGUUGUGUAGAUUAGAAAGGACGACAAAGAAAGAAGAUUAGAGACGAGCUUAAUGAAGGUAGAAGAACAUAGCAGGUAUAAAGCUCGCAUCCCUCAAGUCUCCUCAGGUGCAACAAGGUCCACCAUGUGCGUUCGAUAUGCCUCACCUCAAUCUGGCUUGCUGAAAACUGUCGAUUUGAUCAUUCCUAGCGGGCCUGGCUGGGUGGUACUUUAAAGUCUGUGCUUUACGGGCCAAACAAUGAAUGUAUAUAAACAAAUAUGCCAUUUUCUUUCCACACGGACCUGAUUGGCCUAUAUACAGGGUACCAAACACGCUCUAGCGAUGCCUCUAGGAUUGGAGUUCUAAGUUUCGUAUCAAUGCCAGGUAGCCAACGACCAACCAUGUUUUGACAUUAUGUGACAGGUGCAAAUUAGAAGCUACCAGUAGAAAUGAUUUGGUUUUUAGUGGGAAAACUCUUCUCCUUUGCAGUUUUUUUUCUGUAUACACUCAUUUUGUAUGUGAUCUAUGCUGCAUCAAAUAAAAUACCAACCAAUUUUCAAGACGGCGCGUAUAUAGUUGGAGGGGGUGCCAGGGAGGUUUUUACCCAACGUAGAUGGCAAUAUAAUCUCUGGAUCGGCCCACCACCUCCUUCGACAUAGACAUAGUGUCCGUAUUAUAUAACUCUACUGUUGCAGAUACAUUAAUGUCUUUUACUAUAUGUUUGUUCGACUGUUGGUGUUUGGCUGCAUGCAUUUUAAUUAUGUAAAGGUCGGGUGUCGUUCAUCAUGCUUUAUAUCCGUUUUAUACUACAUUUGACUUAAUACCCACCUCGCAAAAAAAGACUUAAUAAAAACACCCUUUAUUAAAAAAAAGGAUGAUUGACCAUGUAGCCCGAGCAAAUUUGUAAUCAAAGUAAAUGUGCUUCAUAUAUAGUUCCGUCUAUUUGACAUAAAAAACAAUGUCUACUUCAAUACAAAUUACAUAUGCUUCACAAGCUUGUUUUUUGUUGUUAUUGAAAUCACCCUUCCGCGAAGAUACCAAUUACUUUCGAAGGGAUAUUUAAUUUUCAUGUUCGUUAAUUGGUACUACCUCCGCCCUGGUUUAUUGGUCCCUUUUGUAAUUUGUGCCAAAUUUUGACAAAAAAAUUAACUAAUAAAAUGUUAAUGCAUGUCAACAAAAAAUAUAUCGUUUGGUUCGCAUUUGAACAUAGUUUUCAAUGAUAUAUUUUUUGGUGGCAUGCAUAAAUAUUUUAUGAGUUAAAUUUAUAGUCAAAAUUUGGCACAGAAUACAAUGGAGAUCAAUAAACCAGGACAGAGGUAGUAAUUGGCAUAUCACAAUGAACACUAGGGAGGAUAGAGAUCAUCUGUUCUUCAAGUGCAACUUCAGUACUAGAGUUUGGAACUACAUGCAGAUCUCUUGAACUGAUAACUCUGAUAAGUGUGAGAUUGCUUGCAAGGCCAGGAAAUAAUUUGACAAACCUUUUUUUUGCUGAGGUUGUCUUCACAGCUUGGUGGAAUAUAUGCAUAAUCUGGAAUGGAAAAAUAUUAUUGAAUGAAAAGCCCCGUUUUGCUAGGUGGAGAGUGGGAUUCACUUGGGAUAUUUAUUUGAUUACACAUAGGAUCAAGGCUACAUAUAAGGAUGCUCUAUUGAGAUGGAUUUCCUAUUUGCCCCCUUUGGUUGUAUUUUCUAUUUUUGGUUCUCAUGUUCCCUCUGUAAGUAAGAUUUUGUUUUCUCUUUCGGCCGAGGCCUUGUAAUCACCUUUGUAUAUAUUUAUAUCUAUGUUUCAAUAAAGAUGAAGCUGUGGUGCUUUGCCCUGCAGGUACAAGUUUCCAAAACAUUGCACUGUGCGUCAAAUUAAUCCAAAAACAUUCUUUUUUACCAAGGUUCCAUUGAAACUCGUCUUUGACUCUUGUAACAACUGCACAACCUCAAACCAAGUUAGAAGUGUUUUCCAUGUCUCAUCUUGGCCCAAGCAAGGUCGUCCUAAACGUCCCGUUGUGGGUGAGGCACUGAAGAAUUGCUCAAAGGUAUCUUGUUUGUUAUAGACAAUACCAAAUAGGAUAUCGGUCACUGAGAGGAACAUUUGUCUAGCCACUAAUCCUUCAAAAUUCUAAUUUGUGAGAUGUCUUUAAUGCUGAAGCUUCCAAAGUGGUAGAAAAAAAACUCUCCAUUUUCAUUGGGCUCGCCCUAAAAUGAGAGUCUUCCAUUUAACCCAAGAGAUGGUUUUAGAACGAGCGUAGUUGUUUCACAAGAGGUCUUACCAUACACCUUCCUCGUGAAGACAAAGCUUAAGCAGUAAUUUAAGGAGAAAUGCAAUGUUCUUGGCCUCAACAUCCCAUUUUUUUUCAACCCGCACCUUCUCCUUUCUCCACUUCUCUGCAAAAAAAAAACUGGACUGAAAAUAGUCCAAUAUUUGCAUAAUCCGUAGUGGAAUUUAGUAGAAAAACAACAUGUACAAGACCAUGCUGAUAAGCACAGAGUUAAUACGGACCAACCAUCCACAAAGGACAAAAACUUUCCUUUAAUUCCAACUAAGAAUGUGUUUCUCCCUUCUCUCUACCAUGAUUACUGCAUUCUCAAGCUUCAGAUAAUGAAUUGGAAUCCCCAAAUAGUGAAUGGGGAAUUGGCCAUGCUCGUAAAAAAAUUGGUAUAUCGAACUUCAGCUUCCCGGGCAACCUCUAAACAAGCCAACUAGCUCUUAUGGAGGCUAAUUUUAAGGCCCAAAAGUUGCUCAAAUACAGAAACCACUAACUCGAUGUUUUAAGCCUUUUGAAGGUCAUGUUCCAUGUAUAGGAUUGUGUCAUUAGUGUAUUAUAGGAUGGACAAGUGUACACUAGAUGUGGCACUACCCCACGGAUUUGACCAAUUUCCUUGGCAAGCUCAAUGAGAAUCGUCAAUAUAUCUGCAACAAUAUGAAAUAACAUAAGAGAUAAGCAAUCCCAAUGUCCCAUACCAUUUUCUGUAUCAAAAUAGUGGGGAGUGUCGUCAAGGAACUUAAUGGUACACUAAAAUGAUCAAUUAAGCACGCCAUUUAUUGGAGAAGCAUUACAUCAUGAGUCCCUAUUGAAGAAAAGACCACUUGACUUGUUGUAUGUUGAGUGAAAUUCACCACUAAUCCAUUAACUUAAUAUGAUUGCACCCUUUAGACCAACAACUCGGGAAGUGAUCAGUUAAGGCCCUACACUCAUUGAUUUGAUCAAAUAAUCUAAAACUCAAUUUGAUAGAGAAAAAUCUGGCCACAUGGCUGUCAUGUGAGCAUUCCUUUGACCGCUCGGGAACUAAUUCUUUUAUACUAGUCGUCAACCCGUGCGUGCGCACGGGCUAGUAGUUUGGAAAAUAGCUUAGUAGUUUUUUUUGUAAAUAUUGUUAGAAACAAAAGAGGAACUAAUUAUGAAUUAUAAAUUUACACUUGAAAAAAUGACACUUUGUUCUUUAAUCAUAUAUUUUAUAUUUAAGUAUAUUUUAUAUGUCAUAUAAGAACACUAUAGUUUGAUUUCUUUUCUCUAAAAAAUGUUAAUUUAUUCUUCAGCAUGUGCAAAUAUCUCCCAAAAACAAUUUUUUCCGAAGAAUUGUUAGGGUUGGAAGAAGUUCAUACAUUUAUUAAGUCUCCCAAGUGUAUUAAUUAUAUAAAUUUACUGUCAGUAAUGUUUUUGAAAUGAAACUACAUUUGUGCGAAUAAAAAAUAUUCUUAAGUUUAGAACAAAAACAAACAAACAAAAUUGUUCGAUACUUUCCUAUAUAUAGUGCAUAAUUAUUGAAAUAUGUACAGAGAAGCAUGAUGUGUAUAAUCAUGACAUCCCUCCAAAAAAAUAACUAAACAUGAGCCCAUGAGUUUCUGUCAUGUUUGUUUGUCGAGAAACACAUGAUUUCUUCCUACGUACACAUUCUUAAUUAUCCAAGUCGAAUUUGUUGGACGAUUGUAAACUCUGAACAUCACAAACAUAAUGAAUUUAUUUUUGUCCAAAUACACCUCUAGUAUCAUCUCUUCUAUUUUCCUAAAGGAAAACUCAAUUCCUUGAAUCCCCAGGUAUCAGCCACUUAUUUUUCUAAUCUCAUAAACCAAGUCGGGGUGCUAUGAAAUAUUCAAAUGGUUAUACAUAUCAGAUGCAUCGUGGUGGAUAACUUGGGCCAUGUGAUGCACACUACCUUAGGAAAUGUAAAAACAAAAUGGACUAUAUUUGUUUACAAAUUAUUGAAAAACUUGAGCAAGAAAGAGAAAUAGAGUGGCCAAGAUUAAUAUAUUAUUUUUUGGAAAGACUUAUAUAGUUGUACCAGAAACCUAAUAAUAAUUUGUGAAACAAUUUUCGCUGUUUUCAACAUGCAGCAAUAUUACUUGUUGUUUUCAAUGAGAAGGAGAAACAGUUUUGCAUAGUUAAAUGUCACCUGGCUUUGUAACCCCAAAGGAAUAAGAAUCUACAAAUUAUGAGUAGAAGCAUACAUCCCUACUUAACAAAAGGACACACCAGGUUCAUCAAACAUGGAUGAAAAAACUGAGUGUUGUUAUUCGACAUCAGAAGUCCAUAUCCUAAAAAAUAUGACCAUGCCGAAGGUAAAAUUAGUAUCAUCUAAGCUAGACUAAUUUGAUUUGUCCAGGCUAAUGAUAAUACAUUUUUCAACUACUAAUUUUAUUUAUCCAGGCUACAGCACAACUAAUGUCUGCAUUGCAGUAGUAUUUGGGUAACAAAAAAUCAUAUUAUAAUUUGAGACGCUGCAGAACGUUCUGAACUAUCGGCAUGCGCGUAUACUGGAUCGUGUAGAAAGGGGAAAUAACCGGCACUUUUGGCGAUGUGGGCACACCGCCAUACUGCAACACAACGCCUUUAAAGUUUUCCCGUGGGAACAUCCAAUUAAUAUUUACAUAUAUGAACUUGUAAGCCCAUUGAUCAUGUUGCACACACCUGUUGUGACCUUCACUCAUCUGCCAGUACCCCGACCGGUCGACACCUCUUCCUGCAAGUAGCCACCAGUUCAAUGAUAUAGAAGAUAAAGAAACGAAAUUUACAUCAACUUCGAUAGUCAAAAAAACUCUUUCGUAACACUUCACUUCACAUUACGUUAGUGCUAGACUCAUCUUCAUGACUUGAGCAGUUGCCUAAUUCACUACAAACAAAACAAACCAGCUGGCUGGCAAUAACAUGUGGCGGAAGUGCAGCAACAUUAAAUCUAAACAAACUGCAUUAGUCGAUUCAAACCAUACCAGGGAGCUCAACUGAGAUCAUCAAGAGUCUGCGUGAUCUCUGAUUGAGGCAUGAUCUAGAUGACACGGGGUGGUAAUUAUACUGAAAAUCUGAUUAUCUAUGUAUGCAUCUUUUUAUUCCAUCUAUUCAUCGUCAAGUAUCUAACUAUGCAUCCAUCAAUCCUUCCUAUCCAUCAAUUCCAUAUACGUAUCAGCAAGUAGCAUCAAGGUAAUGCAUGGGACAAUGAGAAAAUAUCGGACCUGAGAUUAAAGGGGCUGGAGCAUGACCACCAUAGAUUCCACUUCAUACGCAUCUGCAGAUUAAACUGGCUGGAGCAGGACCAACUUCCCAUAGAAGAUGGUUCUUGGUACUUGGUAUUCAAUGUGUUGGCCGUAAUGGAACUUCGAAUUGUUAUAUAUUUACCUUUGUUUACAAAGCGGUUUUAUUUACAAAGAUGAUGGCGUACACUAUAUUAUCCUUCCACCUGAAUUGCUAGCAUAGAAACAACAGAAGCCUGAAAAGGAAUAUAUUGCAAGUUACAACAACAGUAUUCGUAAAUCAACAUUGACAUAAACCACUGAAUUGAAGAAGAAAUACAGAAAGCGGUAACUCACAAAUCAGUCGAGUACAAAGAACUGAUGCGCAUUUUUCAAUCAUAUAAAUGUGUAGAAAGGCCUAGGUAGGAAUACGGGAAGGUGUGUAUAUGCAUUAUGUACUUCCUCUAAACACAGCUAUUUUCUAUCAUCCAGGUCACGCCCGAUGGCAAACAUUGCCGCAGUCCAUACAUGUCAUGGGUUUGGCCUAAUUGGGUUUGGAGGAUGCUACAACAUAGAGAUGCAUUCUUGCCACGGUCCCCAUGGUAUGGUGUUGAAUUUGGGAAGCACAUGAAGAGGAGGAAGUGGUGUUGAAUCUACACAUGUGGCCUCAAGUGCUCGUUCCCAGAGCUUAAUCCACUACUGUUUGCAGUGCUAAUUCACCGUAUUCCAAAAGCUUAGGACGCGUUUGGUUGCUACUCAGGUAACGUCUUCAGUUAAGGUACCGGGAAGCUCCGGUUCCCUUUUCUUCUUUAGGAAUACGUGACGUGUUUGGUUUGGCCGCCCCACUCCUGCUUUUGUAAUCAGCCGCGAUUUGGGUGUUUUCGAGUUUGUGAACCUCCGGAUCGGAAGACACUGCUACGGAAUACGUUGUUGGCGUACCAAAUGCUGGGUGCCGUUUCAGAAAGCGCGGUAGUCGGAAACCGUGACAAUUCUUCCGAAACAAACGCGUCGUUAAUUGCUUAGGAAACCAAUCCACAUCCGAUCUGGUCACCUCAAUCCAUUGGAAGCUGCCUCAGGUCAACUUUGUCCCCUUCCUACUGCCGUGCGGAAUUUGCAAAGUACAACACAUUGCUACAAAACAUGAGAAAGCAUAGCAGGGAAGACAGAAGAAGGUCCGACAUUGUUAGGGCAAUCAUCGCCAUGGUCCAGCUCGGCGUUUCUGCCAACUGGACUGACCCGUACAAUCUUUUCACCACCAAAAUAAAGAUCGCAAGUACCUAAUUGUACUACAGCACUCUCUCGAGCGCUCGCAGAAAAACAGAUCACCAUGUACCUGAUUGUACUACUGCGGCAUGUGGAGGCCCUGAGAAAGGAGGCCGACCGAGGAGGCCCGUGCGUGUGGACGAUGGUAGCACCCCUGCAGGAGGGAACAGAUGAAGAUCUCGUCCCGCUCGACAACGCUCAGAUGAUGCCGCUAUGAUGAAGGGAAGGCAUAUGCGUGAGAGAUUGAACCACAAAGAAAAACAGAAUAUAUUUUGGGGUUUUCCUCUCGCUUUAAAAAAGAGGCAUGAGAGAUUGAACAGGAAGGAAAAAAAAACAAAAACAUGAGAGAUUAGCGGAGCCAUUUAAGAGAGAGAGUUGACGGAUCCUUUUUUUUUGGGCAGUUGAUUAUUCUGUACGUGCACGCGUGUUUUUUCUUUUGGAGUUUUGCUCUAGCUUUCAAAAGAGGCAUGAGAGAUUGAGUCAGAAAAAAAUAGCAAAAACAGAUGUACACCUUUUUAAUUCGGUCGCACGAGAUAAACGAAAAAAUAGCAAGAAUAGCUUUCAAAAGAGGCAUGAGAGAUUGAGCCAAAAAGAAAAAAAAAAGCAAGAACAGAUCUACACCUUUAUAAUUCGGUCCCACCAAAUAAACAAAAAAAGAAAAAAAUAGUAAGAACAGAUCUACACCGUUAUAAUUAGGUCCCACCAAAUAAACGGCUCUUAAUUUCUAAUUAAUGUAGGAAUUUCUAGGAAGUGACAAAUUAUUAUAGGUAUAGAUAGAUAGAUAGAUAGAUAGAUGGAUAGAUAGAUAGAUAGGGAUCUAUUUGUAAAUUGGUUAGUUUUUACUCACAAACCAUGCUGAGGAUGUAUGGAGGACAAAUAUAUUAAAAACCUUAAGUUGCAUGGGAUUGAAAGCCACAUCCUUAGAGGUGGCAAACAUCUCGCUAACCGCAUGAACAUCAACUAGUUUGUGUACCAAGAUGCAACCCACUCUAUAUAUUAAAAUUCAAAAAACUAAGCAGCAAAAAUCAUAUGAGAUUAGAAUAAAAAAAUGUUGCUACGAACACUGUUCUACUAUAUUGCAAAACAAUAUAGACAAUGGAGAAUUUUGAAGAAAAGAACAGAAAAAUCGCAUAUCUCAUGCUAUCACAUCAUAGUAUUUUAAGAGCCAUGCAUAAUAGUAUAUGAAGAAUCCCAUAACCGCCUCCUGGGUCGCUCGCCUCCCGGGUCGCUCGCUAGGGCGACUCUAGAGGCCACCAUAAUCCAGUAGCACAACUCAUCUCUCGUGCUCCUCGUGCCGCCUUCGAUGGCGGCGGUGGCGGCGCCCGGCCGUGGAAGGCAGAGGUCUUGCUGCGGGUUUCUCAUGCCGGAGGAGGUGCGGUCGUUCGAGCACCCUGUUUCUUAUGGUGGCACGCAGGUGGUGGGCCGCCGAUCAAGUUGUCAGCAUUGCGCGAGCGGAGAUCUUUAGUGAUCAGGUGGGAUGUGGCUCGUGCAUAGGGGUUCCUUCUCGCACUGGCCAAGUGUUGUUCCUCCGGCAGCCAUCGGACAUGGAGUCGGUCAUGCUGCGCGAAUGGAUGCAUUUCGAUGCCUUUGGGCAGUUUUGCUCGGCUCCUCAGUUGGGCUGCAUCUUGAUGGCUGCUUGGCGUGAGGGUUCUAGUUUGACGAGUGAAUGGGCCAUGGAUGGUGUCUUUGGUGAGGUUUGUGGCACUCCGGCUAAAAACCGUACCUGACCUUUGUUGAUGCUGUUUACCACGUCGCCUUCGGGUGUCGCUAUUCAUCCCCUCACCGAGGAUCUCUAACACCUAUUUCAAUCUUGUGAUCUCGUCUCCCGGUGAAAACCGUAAUCCAGAUUCCCAAAUCGGCGAUGUCGAUAUCCUUUAUGAGGAAGUCAUUACUAGAAUGCAUCGUGUCAGAGACUUGACUUGUUGGAGAACCUCAUGGGGAGUCGUUGGUGGAGGGCCUGCGGUGGCGCGGUUGGUGUGGCUUUCCUGUCUCUCCGGUGCACUGCUUUGGGUGGCUGAGGUAUGGAGGUGAUGCUUGGCGAUGGGUAGCAAUGAUUCUUCCUGGCAGAGUGGCGAUGCCAAGAUGGUGCACGGCAACCGUGUCAGUGAUGCGUUGGUGGUGCCAUGGAGCCAGAUCCUUGACGAAGUUACUGGUUGCAGAUCCCGGUCCUAGCAAUGCAAUGAGGGCUCAUGGUGUAUUAUCUGGCGGCAGGUAGCCAUGCUCAGAUUUACCACUGAUUUGCACUUGCGACGGGGACGCGUGAUCGCCAAAGCGUCCCUUAUGGAGGAUUUUGGUGGCAUUGUUGUCUCUAGUCUGUGGAUAUAUGACAUGCGCCACAUGGGUGUCAAUGCAUGCACCUGGCAAUAAAGGCCGAUUGUGGCGGCUAGAUCGCUUCAUUGGUGUCUGCACAAUUUUGAGCUUGCUUGCUGAUGGCUCUAUAUUUUACACAUUUCUAGAGCUCAUUUGUCGCAUGUUCUCGGCAUACAUUAAGGCAUGUUGAACCAAAUAAAUGUCCAACACAUGAUUACUGAUUUUUACUCUUUUCAUUGUGACAAUUGCCUAUUAUUAUUAUUAUUAUUAUUAUUAUUAUUAUUAUUAUUAUUAUUAUUAUUAUUAUUAUUUGGUUUUUAUUAGAUUCCUUUAUUUUGUUGUGUCUACAGUUGUUUUGGAGCAACCUAGGACCAAACACGAUGAAUAGGCCAAGGUUGAGUUCCUUACAGAGGACUUCCAGCACCGGACUUGCGCACUUCGGAAGCUAAAAAAAGUGAGACUUUUUCCAAAUCAUUAUAUAAUACAAGUGGUACGUCGGUGUCGUUCUCAUGAUUUCAACUAGAUUAAGAACUUUGAAAACGUUGUUCGGAUGAGUAAGUUAUCACUAUUUUCCCAGAAGAGGUCAUAACAAAAGACGGCCUCUAGUACGACAAAAAAUAGUCCUACUGGUGGUCGUACCAGGUGCAGAUAGGCCCGAAAGUAGCCUCUCUGGAUGAGAUUCUUCAUCAAUUUCGUCUCCCUUUGUUACCUCGUGUUCCUUGGCUAAUAAGGAAGAGUUUGAGAGAGGAUUUGACUCAAGUUGAGCCCUUGAAUGAAGGUGGAGGGUCCACAUCUAUGCAGGAGACCCAAGCAGGCCUUCUAUAUAUUGAAAUGGCAAUAUCAGAGUCUUCGUCGUGUGUACAAGGAAUUAACAUGGUCGUAACGAAACAACAAAUUAAUGAAAGAAAAAGAUUUGGGAGAGAAAGGAGCUAUGGCAAUCUUACAGCAAUUUACAGGGGAAAAAGAUGAUCACGAAUCAAAACAACCUUGUACUUCUUCGGUGGCUUAAUGGUUAACCACGUUGCACUUCUUCCUGAUCUCGCCCUGGCUUCCUGUGAGCGGGUUGGCGUUGCCCAUCUUGAUCAUGGAGGCGGCAAAGUCGGCGAAGAACUCGUCCAUGAAGGCGCCGGUGGCAUGGCGCUGGACGUAGGCGCGGGUGAAGGGGUCGGUGAGGAGGGCGCCGUCAGAGUGGAAGAGGCCCCUCCGCUUGCUCACCAGCUUGAAGUAGUCAGUGUCGAAGGUCUUGAAGCUGCCGGGGUCCAUCUCCACGAGGGUGGUGUUGUCGUUGAGGCUGGCACACUUGCUCUUUAGCCGCAUCAUGUACUGCGGCUCCAGCGAGGGGUCGAUAUCGCUGGGGUUCUCCAAGCCGGUGAAGUUGUAGAGCCGGUCGGAGAAGGAGAAGCAGUGCGACGUCCCAAUGGUGUGCCCGGCGGACAAAACGACAAGGUCCUUUGCGUCGAGGUUCACGGCGGCGAAGAGCUGGGUGAGCACGGUGAAGUUGGAGGUCGGGGGUGGCAGAGCGUCGGUCUCGUUGGAAAUGGACACGCUGCCGUCUCGCCGGCCCAGAGGAACUGUCCAGAAUGGACCCUUGCUCUGGAGAAACCAUGAUCGAGCAGCAUUAGAAUUUGGCUUCCACACGUACCGUGUCAUUUGAAAAAUGGCAUAGUAGUAGUACUCUACUCACCAGCCAUACUGCGUCCCUGGCAAUGAGGGCGAGGAUGUCGGCGCAGGAGACGGUGUCGGGGCAGGCCUUCUCCACCGCGGCCUUCACCCUCUCGACAAAGCCGAAGCCUCGCAGCGUCUGGUUCGGCUGCGCGUCCUUCUCCGCCGUCUUGUUGGCCGAGUCUAGCAGAACCGAGCCGUCGCACCCCUGCAUAUUCACGGUGGUCAGGCCAUAGCGCACAACGGUGUACGGCAGAUACUGAUGCAUGCAAAUGCAGCAUACCCUGACGAAGCAGUCGUGGAAGUGCAUCCGGAGGAGCGGCCCGGCGAGGCUGGGCGCCAGUGACAGCGCCCUCACCAUCUCCUUCCUCACGACGUCCUCCACGCUGGGGCACGACUCGCUGUAGAACUUGUCGUGCAGCUGCGCCCGCGCGCACGUCGCCGCCACCGCCGCGAGCAGCAGCGCCACCAUCGUGGCAGCCCUACACGCCAUCUUCUCGCCAAGAAGCUUGUUCCUUGCUUGGCUAUGCAAGAAACGACGAUGGCUAGGUGGCUAGUUGAUCCGGAGAAGCUUGAGCUGCUGCUGCUCAUGGACUGGCGCCGGGGAAAUAUAUAGCGCCGGAGUGUCCCCACGCCUGCAUGUGGUGGGCUGUCCUCCGGAGCAGCAGGUAAAAUUCCCAUGGUUUAAUGAGUUGUUCCUUGUUUGCACUCUGCGGAAUCUUUGCCGUGGCAGGUACACCGGCGGCCACCGUACGUAUAAUGGAGGCGGACGGACAGCCAGACGGAAGCACAUCAUUAGAUGAAUUCACUAAUUUUCUGUAGACAGCGAUUUUCUCACUAACUUACUAAUUAGCCAUCACGGAGCAAACUGCGGUGCCAAGUUCUAAUCAGCAAAGGAUACGUGCAACAAAUGAAUGCCACCACCUACUGGUAGUUUGAAGACAUGGAAAUAUCACGAUCCGUAUAUUUAUACCGGCACCACAUGCUAUCCCGAAUCAGCUUUGCUAAGUCUCAGUCGAAGCUAUAUUCGUUUGAUCUUGUGUGAAGAUCCGUGCAAUUUCGAUGUGGUCUGAAAUACCUGUAACACCGGAAUUUUGAGCCAGAUUUACAAACUUGAAAAUAAAUUUAAAUUAUGUUAUAAUUCAUUGAAAGGUAGUAAUUUUUUAAAGAAUUUUUACAUAUGUCAUCCAAAUUGCUUUGUUUUUUAGAUUAAAAGCCUUGCCAAUAAUUAUGCUAAUAUUAUGCCUUUGUCGAGGCCCUGGGCCAAAAGACCAGAAGAAUUUAAAUAUCAUGUUUUGAUCAACAUAUAAUUUGAAUAAUGAUGUUUAAAUUCCAAACAUGGUUAAAAUGAUAUUUAUAAAUUUGGGGAUCUAGUUUUUAUAAGUCUCAAGCUUUGUACGUGGUUGGAAUUUUGUAUUCACGAAAANNNNNNNNNNNNNNNNNNNNNNNNNNNNNNNNNNNNNNNNNNNNNNNNNNNNNNNNNNNNNNNNNNNNNNNNNNNNNNNNNNNNNNNNNNNNNNNNNNNNNNNNNNNNNNNNNNNNNNNNNNNNNNNNNNNNNNNNNNNNNNNNNNNNNNNNNNNNNNNNNNNNNNNNNNNNNNNNNNNNNNNNNNNNNNNNUGUUUGAGGCAAGUAAUUCUGCACGAAAUUCAAUAUUUAAACCCGAAUAUUAAUAUAGAGAUCCUACACCUACGAAAGUCUAGGUAAACCCACCAUAACAAUCAUACAGACAUUCUAGAACACGACAAAGAUAGUUGCCGAGGCAAGAUCCUAAACAUGCCCAUUACCGGGUUGCAUCUUAUUGCUUGGUCAUCUUGUCAUAUGCAUCGACCGUCGCCUAAGAAAACCAUACAUUAUAGGAAAUGGCUUAUAGGUGAACACAAAUUUGUGACGGGCGAGACGUGUGCCCGCCACUGGUAGACCGUUUCAGAGCUGGCCGCGUAAUGCAACCUAAUUGUGGUGAGCAGUAACAAAGGCCCGCCACUGCUUAUUUGUACAUCAGUGGCGAGUGUGACUGUUGCUUGCCACAGCUAAAUUAUGGUAAGCACUCUUACCAGGCACGAAGGAAGUACAUAUUAUACACUUGUAGUAGUGGCCGGUCCAGUCGGCCGCCCGCCAGUGUUGUCCACUUACGUGUAGCGGGCGCCCUGCCGUGCCCGUCACACGUAGACCCACGACACUGGCUGCAGUUUACUUUUUCCCCACCUGAAAAGCGGUUUCAAAAUUUGGCAUUUCCCCCGCCCCCUCCCCCCGCGCCUUUCCCCCCAAAUCUCGCCCGACUUGUCGUCGCGCCCCUCGUUGCCGCCUCUCAUCCUCGCCCCUGUUGCGCCCCUCGUUGCCGCCUCUCCUCCUCGCCGCCGCCGCCACACCCCUCGUUGUUGUCGCCCCCUUCAUCGACGCUGCGUCGCGGCCUUCCUCGCGGCCAUGGGCAUGGACUCCUUCUCCAACACUGGAGGCAUCUUGCUUCCGCCGCCACCGCGAAGCUCCUCCGCGAUGGCUACCCCUCCGACCAUUGUGCCCUCCUCCGCCAACAUCGGAUACCUCGCGCCGCCUUUGGACGCAAAGCGAGCCACCUCUCUGGUAUGGUCAAAGUUGUGUUUAGGGUAAAUAAAUAUUUAGCAUUGAUUAAAUUUGAGUAGUGUGCCGUACUAUUAUUGUGCUUACGGUAACUAUGAGUAGAUUAGGAACAUUUUUUAGGUAUUGACAUGAGUGACAAUGUUUUGGCAAAACGUCGAUUCAUUUCCGUUUCGCCGAAUUUCUGGUACUCAUUAUGUCCUCUUUUUAGCAGAGGUCAUGUCGAAUUUUUCUUUCAUUUUUUAACUAGGAUCCAUUGUAGUAUCAUUGGCUUAUAUUUGCAGGUAUUAACAUGAGUGCCAAUGUUUUGGCGAAACGUCGAUUCAUUUCUGUUGGCCUUACUUUGAAACGUAAGUUCAUUUCUUUAUGCUUGCAAAUAUACACAUGAGUACUUUGAUGUCAAUCUCAUUAAUUUUACAUUGUUCAAUUGUUCCCCGAGACGGCCGAGCUUAUUUCUUCGAUUUCAGGAGAGACCCUAAGAAGCCAUGGACCGAUCUGAAGAAAGUUAUCAAUGCUGCUCUUUUGAUGUGUCAUAAGUCCGAUCGUAAGAACAUGCCACAUUCACAGUACAAAUUUAACACUAGCUUCUAUUGCCGGCAACAACCAAAAGGCAAAACCAUGCACAUGGCUGCUACUGUGCCAUGGUCUUGAUGGAUGACGAUGUGCGCGCAGGACCACUGUUGAGGAGUGAUUCGAUGUUGUAGAAAUGGUCCGAAGAGAAUGAGAAGGAAUUUAAGCGAGCUCACUUUUGGACAGAGCAUGAGCACUUUCAGAGGGUGCUCAUGAAUAUCACCAAUCGCCAUGUAGUAGGGGAUGAGGAGAUGUUCUACUGCAGGGCAGAGAGCCAAGAAGAAUGAGAGAUGAGAAUGAAACAUUGACAUGGCGAUAUACACGCUCCUUUCUAGUCCAGCAAACCGUCAAAAACCAUUAAACUAUGUCAUGACACACUGCUUGUUACCUUGUGAUCUCUAGUUUAUAUGUACGCAUGUCAUAUGUUUAUAUAUUAACCUUGUGAUCUUUUCCAUAUGUAUAUAUUUUGAAUUUUAUUGUCUGCUAAAAAUAAUAGAUGGGACCAUCAGAAGAUUUGUGGGACGGGGUCUCUGCGGCGGACAUGGAGAAGCACUAUCUAUGGACGUGGGAAAAGUAUCGGGCAGAGUACCUCAGGGAGGCGAUGUUAGCUUGGGUUAGAAGUAUUCCAAUGACCCAGUGUUCUCUCCCAGCGAUUGAGAAGAUUGCAGAGAAGUGUUUAGUGACCUUGCGGCGUCCAUCCUUACGGAGGCAACCCUGGAUGAGAGGCUGAGGAUCUGGCCGGGUAUGAGUCCAACCACCAUACCCAUAACCGCUGAGGUUGUUGUGGGCUCUCCAAGAGGCCAAAUGUCCAAUUCCAGAGCAAGCGGCCCGUUGGUCCCCAUUCGUUCCAUCAAGUACUAAUUCAUGUAGUAUGUGCGGCUUCUACUAACAGUCUACGCGUUAAAUAUCGGCUGACACUCAUUGCACUCCAAAACAACUCGUCAAAUCAUUAAUUAUGUGAUGAGCGAUGACAUAUAUAUGCUUAUUAAUGAUUGUAAUGCACUUGUUAUAUUUUCUUUAUAACUACUACUUUUCAUUAAUCUGAAAAUCAUUGUAAUGUGGUGCGUGUAUGUGAAUCAUGGUUCAAACCCACAUUUAUGUAUCAAAUGCAAUAUGAUGAUAUGAUUGAGGUGCAAUAUGCUGCAAUUCAAUCAAUUCGGCAUGCGACGAUAGCAGUGACGAGCACAACACACUGUGGUGGGCGGUACAAAAGGACUGCCACUGAUGCGCGAAAUUCCUAUGCUGGGCAACGCGGAAAACUGUGGCGAGCCCGGACAAUCGCGAGCCACUGCUCUUGGGCUACCACUGGCGGGCGGGUGGCCGCCACUGAUGUCGUAUUAGCAGUGGUGGAAGGUCAGUGGCACGUGCCCCUGAGAGCCUUGCCGGCCACUCCUGGGCUUUUCCCACAUGCAACUGCUAGGCAUUCCUGCAGUAGUGAUAGUUCUCGUUGAAAUGGGUGGUGAGUCUGAUCUCUCACAAGUUGAUUUCGUUCUUAGUAGAGCCGCCAAAGCGUGGUAGCCCUAGAAAAUUCUCGAGAUUAUAUGUUAAUUUUGUAACGCCCCGUCAGGCUAGCCCAAGGCCCCUUUAGCAUACUGCACGACCAUGUCCAUCAAUCGGGCAUGUGGGCCAUCCAGAAGGAAGGAACUAGCAUCUUGACGAUCAAGGGAAGAAGGCCAGAUAUCCAGGAGGACUCUCCAGCCGCCUUAGCUGACUAGGAUUAUUGUAACCAUAGGCCUUAGUAUCCUUAAUAAGUCAAGGUCAAGCUAGCAGCUAGGGGACCUUACAAUCAACCCUUUGAUACACCUAAGAUUCCAGAGCCCUUAAAAAAAACCCUAAGAUUCUAGAGAUCAUCAGCAUACUAUGUGCACCCCUUCAAUCCAGUACAACACAAGUAAGAGUAGUGCUUUGCCUCCAAAGAGAGGUCUGAACCUAGGUAUGUAUUAUGUUUCCCCUCUGUGCUUUCUGGCUAGUCACGGCACCCUACCGAGGGGUCUACAGGAUUUUACAUUGACAAUAGCACCAGACAUGGAUCGUGCUACUAAGAGUUGACAUCGAGAUUGGAUCCAAACAUCAAUUGUGAUGUCUUCGCUCCUUGCCAGAUCUUCACCUUCGUUGCGAUGAACCUAAUCACAAACUCGGUGGCCAGAUUAAUCCAAUUGACACUUACGCAGCAGUUCAUAUUCUCUUCUUCGAGAAUCUAGAUACACUGUCGAUGGGCGUGAUGAGCUCGAUCUCUGCAACCUAGCACAAUGCAGGAGCCAGAGCCGAUCUUCAUUAGUCCACCAACCUCCCACUACAUUGCCACCAUCGACUUUUUCCAUGACGUCCUAAUGGAGCACGAGCCAAAGGAAGAGGAAAGCGAUGGAAGUUGCCCCGAAUUGAUACCAACACCUUGCUAGCCUUGGGAGGCAACUGCUAUGUACAUGGUUGAUAACAUAGCCAACGCCGAAGAUGACGCUUUCGACGAGCGCGCACUCGCAACGCGCAUGACACCGGUACCAAAUACCAACGACGCCUCCAAAAAACUGGAAGCCUGUCGUAAGAAGAUGUAGCACCUGCACUUGCGCCAGCAACAGGAGCGCAGUCGCCUCUUAGAAAGGAAGGCCCAACCAUAGCCUCCAUCAGGCUAGUCCAGAAUAGGGCAGAACAUAGUGUAUUAUCUAAAGAUGUGACCAAACUUGUCGCCCGGGCCGAGCAAUGCAUACAGCAAUACAUGGAGUUGCACCUGCCAAUUCGGCAAUGUUUCACACCCCGCCAUAAACCUUAUGGUUCCAGUGGGGAAGUGAACGACAUCAAACUCCUAGACGAUCAUCCAGGCCAUGAGAAUUGCUUUUUUUAAAAUAAUUUAUAUAUGCAAUAUGACCAGAAAAUGAUUAGUUUCAGGAGGGCCAGCAUUGUACCCCUUUUCUGCAGACUAGGGAGUAGCAAAAAAUAUUUGUGCUUUGCAGGAUUGCAACUCAUGUCCCCAAAGGCCUCAACCAGCUGACCUAGCAUAUGCUUGUGCUAAAAAUAGGUUCAUUAUUUAAUUAAAAAGUCCCACCUCGACUCUUUGCACGAGAAUACAUCAAUUUAUAUAAAUUUAUAAAUUGCAUGGAAAUUGGGGAGCUAAUUGAAGAAAAAGGAACAGAGGGAGUGAAUGAAUUAAAUGGAUUUGGGCUAGCAUUGGUGACUUGUACUAGAUAAAUAAAAUUGUUGCAUUUGCAUGGAUGGUUGUGCCAAUAUAAAUUAAUUGAAUUUGUAAUAAAGGCCAGAUUUCGUGAUUGUUGCUAUGAGGGGGAGACCCUAUAAUUAAUGAAUUAAUCCUUCCGGAGUCUACCAAUCUUAUGUUAAUACUCAUUUUUUAAGACUUUCGUGAGAUAACCACAACAAAGGGUGGAAUGGAUUUCAACCUCGGCGUGCGUAUCCCUGCUGACGUCAGGUGGCACCAUCCAGAUGUUGUUGUGUCACAUGGACAUGUCAAUUACUUCUCCCGUUGCAAUGCACGGGCAUAUAUGCUAGUAAACCUUAUGGUUGCAAUGGGGCAGUGAACGACAUAAAACUCCUAGACGAUCAUCCAGGCCAGGAGAAUUUUGAGCAUGCCAAAAUUUUGCUCCAAACAGUUGUAUAACAAAAUGUUUGUAUAGGAUCGAAGACCACGGUGGGGACCUCGAACGACAUGCACACCAGACAAGUUCACUCCAUCGAAAUUAAAUGUCCACUCGUUCGCACAGGCAUGUAGUUGCCAACCUGUCUCCCCCGACAUGCUCGCAAAGUCACGCACUCGCCAACCCCGAGAGAACACCAUCGCCGCACUAUCUGCUAGGAAACAUAGUAGAAAACUAAAAAAUUCGCCUUAUGAUCACAAUCCAAGAACACUAUGAAGAUGCAUUAGAGGUAUAGAUUGGAUCGUUACCAACUUAGAGUUGCACUAUAAGAAGAGUUGAUGUAUAUCAUUGAUGAAGUCCCAUGAACCGUUCAUGAAUGAUCCAUCAAGCAGAAGAACGAGCCUAAGAAUAUCCCUCCAUCGUCGGAGGAGCAAAUCCCACUCUUGAGCUAUCUAGCCCCUUGUCACACUUUUCUAUGAACCUGAAAGUUUUCAUUAUGAUCACCGUGUUAUAGAAGAUGUUUGAGAAAGCCCAAAGUUUAUUGUCUGGUAUGAAGUGACUACGAUACUCCCAUGGUACGAUGAACUAAAUAUACAUUACCUCUCCUUGUUAUAUCAAUAGACUUGUGACGAUUACAUGUCAAAGUAUAACAAUCAAGUUGGAUCAAUUCAAUAUGAUCGUUCUUGUAACAUCAUAGUACCAAUGUUGUUUUGGUAUCCUCGUUACUCUUAUCUAAAUACGUAUGAUCAGGAAAACAUGAUUAUCACACAACACUUGAGCUAGUCCUAGGGGCAAAACUAGGAAUCCGAUUUUACUGUUGAUUAUUCUAGACAUGUAUGUGUGUUUCCUCUGAAUCGCAUAUUCAAGAAUGAAAGCAAGUAUAUCAUAGAAUAUAAACUCUUAAUUGGAAAUAUAUAAAUAAAUAAUACAAAUAUAAUUGCCUCUAGGGCAUAUUUCCAACAAACUCCCACUUGCCCUAGAGCCAAUAAUCUAGUUACAUAGCUUCUCUAACACCAAUGGCUAUUCAUGUUACUCAUAUUUUGGUCAUCAUAGAGGCUUCGUCAUCAGGUCCAACACAUUCAAAAAAUUGUGAAUCUUGAGUACUUUCACAAAAACUUUAUAUGCUGUCAGAUGAUGUGAUACCUGCGUUCGACAUCCCUAGUCUUCAUGUGGGACCUUGGCUCCUUUUCUUGCGUAACAUCGCCACUAUUAUAACAAUAGAGCUCCAUUGGACUCAACACACUUGGGACCACAACUCUUAAAGAAACUUCUUGAUCUAGACUGCCUCCUUCAAUCCUUCUGAAGCCGCAAUAUAUUCUACCUCCGUCAUAGAAUCUGCAACAAUGUUCUGCUGGAAACUUUUCCAAACCACUGCACCACCAUUAAGAGUGAAAACAUAGCCCGGUUGAGAUUUAUAGUCAUUUAUAUCAGUGAUGAAGCUAUUGUUAGUGUAACCACUUACAACGAUCUCUUCAUCUCCUCCAUAGACAAGAAGAAUGUCAUUCAUCCUUUUGAGGUACUUAAGAAUAUUUUUAACAACUGCCCAGUGUUCCAAUCCCGGAUCACUUUGGAACCUUCUACUAACACUUAGCACAUAAUAAACAUCUAGUCUUGUACAUAUCAUAGCAUACAUGAUAGAACGAAUUGCGGAGGCAUACGGGAGUCCACUUAUUUGCACACGCUCAUCAACAGUCUUGGGAGAUGAUUCUUGCUAAGUGUUGUGCUAUGUGGCAUUGGAAGAAAACCUUUCUUAGUGUUCUCCAUUUUAAGCCUCUUUAAAACCUUGUCCAUGUGCGUGCUUUGGCUUAGCACAAUUAGACGUCUUGAUCUAUAUCAAUCGAUCUUAAUGCCAAAUAUAUAAGUUGCUUUGCCUAAGUCUCUCAUCGAAAACAUACUUUUCAAUGAAUGUUUUGUUGUGCUAAGAAACUUUACUUCAUUCCAACAAUAAUAUGUCAUCCACGUAUAAGAUUAGAAAUUCUAUAGAGCUCCCACUAAACUUCUUGUAUACACAAGCUUCUUCAUCGUUCUUAAUGAAGCCAAAUUCUUUAACCACUUCAUUAAAAUGUUGAUUCCAACUCCUCGAUACUUGCUUUAAACCAUAAAGUGAUCUUUGAAGCUUGCACACCUUACCGUCAUCCAUAGGAUCUAAAAAACCUUCUGGUUGCAUCAUGUAUACAUCCCCAUUAAGAUUUCCAUUUAGAAAAGUCGUUUCGAUGUCUAUUUGCCAUAUCUUGUAACCGAAAUAUGCAGCAAUUGCCAUCAUAACCGCAGACUUUAACAUGGAUACUAGCAAAAAAGUAUCGUCAUAAUCAACUCACUCGAUUUGCAAAAAUCCUUUCACAACUAGUCUUGUUUUAUAGAUAAGUAGGAUUACAAUCCGUGUCGCUUUUUCAUUUGAAGAUCCAUUUAUAUUGAAUGUGUUUUACACACUCUCGGGGAUAUACCAAGUUCCAAACUUUUGAUUCUCGCACAUGGACUCCAUUUCGUUUUUCAUGGCUUUAAGCCAUUCUUUUGAACCGGGCGCCUCCAUCGCUUCUCUAUAGUGCGCAGGCUCAUCUUCUUCUAAGAUGAAUAUUUCAUUAUGAAACAAGUCAGCAGGUUCGCUAACUCUUGCUAACAUACGCGGUUCUGUUACAUGCUUAACUAGAUUUUGUAUAACUGGUGUAGUAAAUUUUGGUUCAAUUGUGUGGACAACUUCCAAAACAAUUUCCGGUUCAUUAUUCCAACUUACUUCCACCGGAGAUUCAGCAAUCUCAUCAAGGUGUACUAUCCUCCCACUCAUGUCUUUAGGUGGAAACUCUUUCUCAAGAAAGUGUCCAGCUCUUGCAAGAAACAAUUUGUCAUCAUAUGGGCGGUAGAAGGAAUACCCAAUAGUUUGUUUGGGAUAACCUACAAAUUAACAUUUGUCUGAUUUGGCAUUGAGUUUAUUUGGUUGUAAAUUCUUCACAUAAGGUUUCACAACCCCAAAUCUUGAGAUGCGACAAAUUGGGUCUCUUCCCAUUCCAUAACUCAUAUGGUGUCGACUCAACAGACUUAGACUGUGCUCUGUUUACUGUGUAUGUUGCUGUUUCGAGAGCAUAUCCCCAAAAUUAUAAAGGCAAAUCGGUUAGAGACAUCAUUAGCCUCACCAUGUCAACAUGGUUUGGUUACACUUCUUAGACACUCCAUUCCUUUGUGGAGUUCCGGGAUGAGUAUAUUCCAAAACAAAUCCAUGAUCACUUAGAUGUUUGUUAAACUCGUGACUUUGAUAUUCGCCUCUGCGCUAUGAUCGUAGAAACUUUAUCUUCUUGCCACGAUGAUUAUCAACUUCGUCCUGGAAUUCUCUGAACUUUUCAAAGGUCUCGGGCUUAUGUUUCAUUAACUAAAUAUUACUAUAUUUAUUAAAAUGAUCAGCGAAGGUUACAAAGUAUAAGCAUCCACCGUGUGCCAGUGUGAACAUUGGACCACCUAUAUCACUAUGUAUUAUUUCCAAUAAUUCACCCCCUGUUAAGGAUGACCCAUGAACGGGGUAUCAGUUAGUUUCCCAUCAAGAAAGCCUCGCAUGUGUCAAAUGAUUCAAAAUCAAAAGACGUUAAUACUCCAUAUUUAUGAAGCUUUUGCAUACAUUUCUUUCCGAUGUGACCAAGACAGCAAUGACACAUGUAAGUAUUAUUAUUAGUCUUCUUAACAUGUUUAACUUCUAUGUUAUAGAAAUCAUUUUCACAUUCAGGAUCCGAAAUGAAAAAUUGACCGAUAAUAGGUGCAAAGCCAUAAAACAUAUCCUUAUAACAAAUUGAACACUCAUUUUUCCGAGACAUAUAAUGAUAACCAUAGUUUAUUUAAGAUGAUACAGAGAUAAUGUUCUUACAGAAAUCAAAACAAAAUAACAAUUAUUAAGUUCUAAGAUAAAUCUUGAAGGUAAACUUAAAGACAUGACUCUGAUAGCUUGAGCAGAGAUCACAUCACCAUUCCCGACAUGCAUCACGACUUCAUUUCCCUAAGAAAAUCAAUCUAUACAAUGAGGAUAUUCCACAUAAUCUUACAAAGGUUAAUGUCAAAUGUAUCAUUAAAAUAUAUAAUUGGUGGCAUCUUACUUCACAAACUGGUUUGAGGUUCUUGUGGCCACGGAGACAGUCGAUAACCCUAAAGCGUAUGGUUUUGAGUCCUAGGGAAUGUAAAGUUUUACAAAGAAAACAUUCAUACAUCAUUAGCGUGGUUUGUAAGAAAGAACAACCAGUUUGCAGAUAAAUCCGUGUAAAACAUAGUUAGUUCACGAGUGGUCAAAGGAACAUUGUAUGUCAGUCACGUGACCGAAAUGUUCCCUAUCAACCAGAUUUUGGCCAUAUUUGAUCAAAUCAAUGGGUAUAUGUCUUAAACUGAUCAGUUUCUAAGUUGUUGGCUUGAAGCAUGCAUCAUUUGAGUUAGUGUAAUGGUGACAAAUUUCAUAGUUGUAUGCCUUAUCGAAGUCUACUUUCAAAUGACACCAUCCAUUUUCAUGGUACAAUUCAUGAACAAAUUCAUGGAAGACCACCACCUUGUCCAUGAUAAUCCUAUCAUGCACUAAUGACAUUUUUGUGGGUUGAACCACUUGGUUGACAAACCCAUUGAGUCAAUCAUUCGCCACCUUUAUAAAUAUGAAGUUAAUGUUAGAAGGCAUGUCAAUAUGUACAAUGGAAAUAGAUUAGCCUCUUUAGUCAUGGGCAUUAAAAUAAUUUCACAAAAAAUAGUCUUAAAAGCUUAGAGUGCUCCACAUGGAGGUCCUCAAACAACUUCCCAACCUCCUAGAAGGUUUGCUAGGCUCGGUUGAGAAGUCAUCUGAUCCAGCCAAUUUAUUAUGAAUACAACUUUGCUCACCCAGUGUUUAGAAAAAAAAGGUUCCAAGGAGCUUGUUUUGACCAUCCAAAACCUAUUGAGAUGUCAUCUACUGAAUCAUUUAGAGAGAAAUUACUCUAAUUGGGAGGUCCAAAUAGACAUAUUAUUUGGUAGUAUAAGUCCGUAGGGAAGUCGUGGAGAGAGAGAGAGGGUUGCUACAUAGCUACUACAUCAAAAUGGUAGCCUAAAAAAGACACCACUCAAGUGUAAUCAUGAGAGUGCAUAAUACAUCUAUUUAUUCAAGCUGGCUAAGGCCGGUGCUUGAUGACAUAAUAUCACCGACCCAGAGUGACAUAAUAUCAUGUCUAUUAACAAGACACUGCUCGCACUUCUCGAUCCGCUUGAAGACAUGGAGGUACUUGAAGUCUUGGUUGCUGUUGUCCUAACGAUAUAGGGCGGACAUCCGCAACAGCUGCGCCGAGGAACAAAUAGUUGGCCGACGUGCAUGGCGAAAAGAAGUGGGGAACCGGUGUGCCAUACCUGAUCCUUAAUGCUGGCGUCGCUCUCCGGGCGAGCUACUAUCUUCUCGACGAUCCCAUGCCAUUUGUUGCACGCCGCCUGGAUGAGCCCCCAAUGGUUCGACAUCGCCUUCGACCCGCGCUGCAUGUAGACGCCUUUGAAGUUGGGUCGACGAGCUUGCGCUCGUCGAACUUGGCCUUGAUGCGGUCCCAAUACGUCUCGAUGCUCUAGUUCGUGCCGGCGAUCGCGUCGAGGCAGACGACUUCCCACGCUUCGGCGAGGCACUCCUACUCCUUGGACGCCCACUUGAUGCGCGGCUCGCCGGUCCUGGCCGUCCCCUUCUUCUUCUUCUUCUUCUUCUUCUUCUUCUUCUUCUUCUUCUUCUUCCGUUUCCUCGCCGACGCCGGCUCCUCCUUCUCAUCCUAAUCCUCCUCCUCCUGCUCAUCCGGCUCCUCCUCGCCGUAGUCAAGCUCGCCGUCCAUGUCGCCGUUCAGGUCUAUUGUGUCGUCCUGCGCAGUGAACCCGGGGGACGCUGUUGGGGAACGUUGCAGAAAACAAAAAUUUUCCUACGGUUUCACCAAGAUCCAUCUAGGAGUUCAUCUAGCAACGAGUGAUCGGAUUGCAUCUACAUACCUUUGUAGAUCACGUGCAGAAGCGUUCAAAGAACGGGGAUGAGGAAGGCGUACUCGACGUGAUCCAAAUCACCGGAGAUCCUAGCGCCGAACGGACGGCACCUCCGCGUUCAACACACGUACGGUCAGCGUAAGGUCUCCUUCUUCUUGAUCCAGCAAGGGGGAAGGAGAGGUUGAGGAAGAUGGCUCCAGCAGCAGCACGACGGCGUGGUGGUGAUGGAGCUACAUUACUCCGGCAGGGCUUCGCCAAGCACUAUGGAGGAGGAGUAUGUGUUGGAGAGGGAGAGGGAGGCACCAAAGGCGUGGAUUGAGAGGCCCUCCUUCCCCACUAUAUAUAGGGAGCCUAGGGGGGGCACCGGCCCUAGGAGAUGCAAUCUCCUAGGGGGGGCGGCGGCCAAGGGAGGAAUCCCUCCUCCCCAAGGCACCUAGGAGGUGCCUUCCCCCUUUGGGACUCUUCCCUUCCUUAUCUCUUGGCGCAUGGGCCUCUUGGGGCUGGUGCCCUUGGCCUAUAUAGGCCAAGGCGCACCCCCUACAGCCCAUGUGGCCCCCCGAGGCAGGUGGCCCCACCCGGUGGACCCCCGGGACCCUUCCGGUGGUCCCGGUACAAUACCGGUGACCCCGAAACUUGUCCCGAUGGCCGAAAUAGCACUUCCUAUAUAUAAUUCUUUACCUCCGGACCAUUCCGGAACUCCUCGUGACGUCCGGGACUCCAAACAACUUUCGGGUUACUGCAUAUACAUAUCCCUACAACCCUAGCGUCACCGAACCUUAAGUGUGUAGAUCCUACGGGUUCGGGAGACAUGUAGACAUGACCGAGAUCGCUCUCCGGUCAAUAACCAACAACGGGAUCUGGAUACCCAUGUUGGCUCCCACAUGCUCCUCGAUGAUCUCAUCGGAUGAACCACGAUGUUGAGGAUUCAGGCAACCCCCGUAUAUAAUUCCCUUUGUCAAUCGGUAUGUUACUUGCCCGAGAUCCGAUCGUCGGUAUCCCAAUACCUCGUUCAAUCUCGUUACCGGCAAGUCACUUUACUCGUACCGUAAUGCAUGAUCCCGUGACCAGACACUUGGUCACUUUGAGCUCAUUAUGAUGAUGCAUUACCGAGUGGGCCCAGUGAUACCUCUCCGUAUACGGAGUGACAAAUCCCAGUCUUGAUCCGUGUCAACCCAACAGAUACUUUCGGAGAUACCCGUAGUAUACCUUUAUAGUCACCCAGUUACGUUGUGACGUUUGGUACACCCAAAGCACUCCUAUCGUAUCCGGGAGUUACACGAUCUCAUGGUCUAAGGAAAAGAUACUUGACAUUGGAAAACUCUAGCAAACGAACUAUACGAUCUUAUGCUAUGUUUAGGAUUGGGUCUUGUCCAUCACAUCAUUCUCCUAAUGAUGUGAGCCCGUUAUCAAUAACAUCCAAUGUCCACAGUCAGGAAACCAUGACUAUCUGUUGAUCAACGAGCUAGUCAACUAGAGGCUUACUAGGGACAUGUUGGUGUCUAUUAUUCACACAUGUAUUACGAUUUCCGGAUAACACAAUUAUAGCAUGAAUAAAGACAAUUAUCAUGAACAAAGAAAUAUAAUAAUAAUCCUUUUAUUAUUGCCUCUAGGGCAUAUUUCCAACAGUCUCCCACUUGCACUAGAGUCAAUAAUCUAGUUACAUUGUGAUGAAUCGAACACCCAUGGAAUUCUGGUGUUGAUCAUGUUUUGCUCUAGGGAGAGGUUUCGUCAACGGAUCUGCUACAUUCAGGUCCGUAUGUACUUUACAAAUAUCUAUGUCUCCAUUUUGAACAUUUUCACGAAUGGAGUUGAAGCGACGCUUGAUGUGCCUGGUCUUCUUGUGAAACCUGGGCUCCUUGGCAAGUGCAAUAGCUCCAGUGUUGUCACAGAAGAGUUUGAUUGGCCCCGACGCAUUGGGUAUGACUCCUAGGUCGGUGAUGAACUCCUUCACCCAAAUUGCUUCAUGUGCUGCCUUCGAGGCUGCCAUGUACUCCGCUUCACAUGUAGAUCCCGCCACGACGCUCUGCUUGCAACUGCACCAGCUUACCGCCCCACCAUUCAAAAUAUACAUGUAUCCGGUUUGUGACUUUGAGUCAUCCAGAUCUGUGUCGAAGCUAGCAUCGACAUAACCCUUUACGACGAGCUCUUCGUCACCUCCAUAGACGAGAAACAUUCCCUUAGUCCUUUUCAGGUACUUCAGGAUAUUCUUGACCGCUGUCAAGUGUUCCUUGCCAGGAUUACUUUGGUACCUUCCUACCAAACUAACGGCAAGGUUUACAUCAGGUCUGGUACACAGCAUGGCAUACAUAAUAGAACCUAUGGCUGAGGCAUAGGGGAUGACACUCAUCUCUUCUAUAUCUUCUGCCGUGGUCGGACAUUGAGCUGAGCUCAAUUUCACACCUUGUAACACAGGCAAGAACCCCUUCUUAGACUGAUCCAUAUUGAAUUUCUUCAAUAUCUUAUCAAGGUAUGUGCUUUGUGAAAGAACUAUGAGGCGUCUUGAUCUAUCUCUAUAGAUCUUGAUGCCUAAUAUAUAUGCAGCUUCUCCAAGGUCCUUCAUUGAAAAACUCUUAUUCAAGUAGGCCUUAAUGCUGUCCAAGAGUUCUAUAUUAUUUCCCAUCAAAACUAUGUCAUCUACAUAUAAUAUGAGAAAUGCUAUAGAGCUCCCACUCACUUUCUUGUAAACACAGGCUUCUCCAUAAGUCUGCGUAAACCCAAACGCUUUGAUCAUCUCAUCAAAGCGAAUGUUCCAACUCCGAGAUGCUUGCACCAGCCCAUAAAUCAAGCGUUGGAGCUUGCACACCUUGUCAGCAUUCUUAGGAUCGACAAAACCUUCUGGCUGCAUCAUAUACAAUUCUUCCUUAAGGAAACCGUUCAGGAAUGCCGUUUUGACGUCCAUUUGCCAUAUUUCAUAAUCAUAGAAUGCAGCAAUUGCUAACAUGAUUCGGACGGACUUUAGCUUCGCUACCGGUGAGAAAGUCUCAUCGUAGUCAACCCCUUGAACUUGUCGAUAACCCUUAGCGACAAGCCGAGCUUUAUAGAUGGUCACAUUACCAUCCGCGUCUGUCUUCUUCUUAAAGAUCCAUUUAUUUUCUAUGGCUCGCCGCUCAACAGGCAAGUCAGUCAAAGUCCAUACUUUGUUUUCAUACAUGGAUCCUAUCUCGGAUUUCAUGGCUUCUAGCCAUUUGUCGAAAUCCGGGACCGCCAUCGUUUCUUCAUAGUUCGAAGGUUCACCGUUGUCUAACAACAUGAUUUCCAAGACAGGGUUGCCGUACCACUCUGGUGCGGAACGUGUCCUUGUGGACCUUCGAAUUUCAGUAGGAGCUUGAUCAGAAGUAUCUUGAUCAUCAUCAUUAACUUCCUCUCUAGUCGGCGCAGGCACCUCAGGAACAUUUUCUUGAGCUGCGCCAUUUUCCGGUUCAAGAGGUAAUACUUCAUCAAGUUCUACUUUCCUCCCACUUACUUCUUUUGAGAGAAACUCCUUCUCUAGAAAGGAUCCAUUCUUGGAAACAAAGAUCUUGCCUUCGGAUCUGAGGUAGAAGGUAUACCCAAUAGUUUCUUUAGGGUAUCCUAUGAAGACGCAUUUUUCCGACUUGGGUUUGAGCUUUUUAGGUUGAAGUUUCUUGACAUAAGCAUCGCAUCCCCAAACUUUAAGAAACGACAGCUUAGGUUUCUUCCCAAACCAUAAUUCAUACGGUGUCGUCUCAACGGAUUUCGACGGAGCCCUAUUUAAAGUGAAUGCGGCAGUCUCUAAAGCAUAGCCCCAAAAAGAUAGCGGUAAAUCGGUAAGAGACAUCAUAGAUCGCACCAUAUCUAAUAGAGUGCGAUUACGACGUUCGGACACACCAUUACACUGAGGUGUUCCAGGCAGCGUGAGUUGUGAAACUAUUCCACAUUUUCUUAAGUGUGUGCCAAACUCAUGACUCAAGUAUUCUCCUCCACGAUCUGAUCGCAGAAACUUGAUUUUCCUGUCACGUUGAUUCUCAACCUCACUCUGAAAUUCCUUGAACUUUUCAAAGGUCUCAGACUUGUGUUUCAUUAAAUAGAUAUACCCAUAUCUACUCAAGUCAUCAGUGAGGGUGAGAACAUAACGAUAGCCACCGCGACCCUCAACACUCAUUGGACCGCACACAUCAGUAUGUAUGAUUUCCAAUAAGUUGGUUGCUCGCUCCAUUGUUCCUGAGAAUGGAGUCUUGGUCAUUUUACCCAUGAGGCAUGGUUCGCACGUGUCAAAUGAUUCGUAAUCAAGAGACUCUAAAAGUCCAUCAGCAUGGAGCUUCUUCAUGCGUUUAACACCUAUGUGACCAAGGCGGCAGUGCCACAAGUAUGUGGGACUAUCAUUAUCAAUCUUACAUCUUUUGGUACUCACACUAUGAACAUGUGUAGCACUACGCUCGAGAUUCAUUAAGAAUAAACCAUUUACCAUCGGAGCAUGACCAUAAAACAUAUCUCUCAUAUAAAUAGAACAACCAUUAUUCUCGGAUUUAAAUGAGUAGCCAUCUCGAAUUAAACGAGAUCCUGAUACAAUGUUCAUGCUCAAACUUGGCACUAAAUAACAAUUAUUGAGGUUCAAAACUAAUCCCGUAGGUAAAUGUAGAGGUAGCGUGCCGACGGCGAUCACAUCGACCUUGGAACCAUUCCCGACGUGCAUCGUCACCUGGUCCUUCGCCAGUCUCCGCUUAUUCCGCAGCUCCUGCUUUGAGUUACAAAUGUGAGCAACUGCACCGGUAUCAAAUACCCAGGAGCUACUACGAGUACUGGUAAGGUACACAUCAAUUACAUGUAUAUCACAUAUACCUUUUGUUUUGCCGGCCUUCUUGUCUGCUAAGUAUUUGGGGCAGUUCCGUUUCCAGUGACCACUUCCCUUGCAAUAAAAGCACUCAGUCUCAGGCUUGGGUCCAUUCUUUGGCUUCUUCCCGGCAGCUUGCUUGCCGGGCGCAGCAACUCCCUUGCCAUCCUUCUUGAAGUUCUUUUUACCCUUGCCCUUCUUGAACUUAGUGGUUUUAUUCACCAUCAACACUUGAUGUUCCUUUUUGACUUCUACCUCUGCUGAUUUCAGCAUUGCAAAUAAUUCGGGAAUGGUCUUUUCCAUCCCCUGCAUAUUGAAGUUCAUCACAAAACUCUUGUAGCUUGGUGGAAGCGACUGAAGGAUUCUGUCAAUGACUACGUCAUCCGGGAGAUUAACUCCCAGCUGAGUCAAGCGGUUAUGUAACCCAGACAUUGUGAGUAUGUGCUCACUGACAGAACUAUUUUCCUCCAUCUUACAGCUGAAGAAUUUGUCAGAGACUUCAUAUCUCUCGACCCGGGCAUGAGCUUGAAAAACCAUUUUCAGCUCUUCGAACAUCUCAUAUGCUCCGUGUCUCUCAAAAGGUUUUUGGAGCCCCGGUUCUAAGCUGUAAAGCAUGCCGCACUGAACGAGGGAGUAAUCAUCAGCACGUGUCUGCCAAGCGUUCAUAACGUCUUGGUUCUGUGGGACGGGUGCGUCACCUAGCGGUGCUUGUAGGACAUAAUCUUUCUUGGCAGCUAUGAGGAUGAUCCUCAGGUUCCGGACCCAGUCCGUAUAGUUGCUGCCAUCGUCUUUCAGCUUGGUUUUCUCUAGGAAUGCGUUGAAGUUGAGGACAACAUUGGCCAUUUGAUCUACAAGACAUAUUGUAAAGAUUUUAGAAAAAGUUCAUGAUAAUUAAGUUCAUCUAAUCAAAUUAUACAAUGAACUCCCACUUAGAUAGACAUCCCUCCUGUAAUCUAAGUAUAACAUGAUCCGAGCUAACUAGGCCGUGUCCGAUCAUCACGUGAGACGGACUAGUCAACAUCGGUGAACAUCUUCAUGUUGAUCGUAUCUUCUAUACGACUCAUGCUCGACCUUUUGGUCUUCUGUGUUCCGAGACCAUGUCUGUACAUGCUAGGCUCGUCAAGUCAACCUAAGUGUUUGCAUGUGUAAAUCUGUCUUACACCCGUUGUAUGUGAACGUUAGAAUCUAUCACACCCGAUCAUCACGUGGUGCUUCGAAACAACGAACUGUCGCAACGGUGCACAGUUAGGGGGAACACUUUCUUGAAAUUAUUAUGAGGGAUCAUCUUAUUUACUACCGUAGUUCUAAGCAAACAAGAUGCAAAAACAGGAUAAACAUCACAUGCAAUCAAAUAAUAAUAGUGACAUGAUAUGGCCAAUAUCACAUAGCUCCUUUGAUCUCCAUCUUGGGGCUCCAUGAUCAUCUUGUCACCGGCAUGACACCAUGAUCUUCAUCAUCAUGAUCUCCAUCAUCGUGUCUCCAUGAAGUUGCUCGCCAACUAUUACUUCUAAUACUACGGCUAACGCGUUUAGCAAUAAAGUAAAGUAAUUUACAUGGCGUUUCUUAAUGACACGCGGGUCAUACAAAAAAAUAAAGACAACUCCUAUGGCUCCUGCUGGUUGUCAUACUCAUCGACAUGCAAGUCGUGAUUCCUAUUACAAUAGCAUGAACAUCUCAUACAUCACAUAUAUAUCAUUCAUCAUUCAUCACAACUUUGGCCAUAUCAUAUCACAAAGCACUUGCUGCAAAAACAAGUUAGACGUCCUCUAAUUGUUGUUUGCAAGUUUUACGUGGCUGAAAUAGGGUUCUAGCAAGAACGUUUUCUUACCUACGUGAAAGCCACAAUGUGAUUUAUCAACUUCUAUUUACCCUUCAUAAGGACCCUUUUCAUCGAAUCUGCUCCAACUAAAGUGGGAGAGACAGACACCCGCCAGCCACCUUAUGCAACUUGUGCAAGUUAGUCGGUGGAACCGGUCUCACGUAAGCGUACGUGUAAGGUUGGUCCGGGCCGCUUCAUCCCACAAUACCGCUGAAGCAAGAUAAGACUAGUAGCGGCAAGAAAGUUGACAACAUCUACGCCCACAACAAAUUGUGUUCUACUCGUGCAAGAGAACUAUGCAUAGACCUAGCUCAUGAUGUCACUGUUGGGGAACAUUGCAGAAAACAAAAAUUUUCCUACGGUUUCACCAAGAUCCAUCUAGGAGUUCAUCUAGCAAUGAGUGAUCGGAUUGCAUCUACAUACCUUUGUAGAUCACGCGCGGAAGCGUUCAAAGAACGGGGAUGAGGAAGGCGUACUCAACGUGAUCCAAAUCACCGGAGAUCCUAGCGCCGAACGGACGGCACCUCCGCGUUCAACACACGUACGGUCAGCGUAACGUCUCCUUCUUCUUGAUCCAGCAAGGGGGAAGGAGAGGUUGAGGAAGAUGGCUCCAGCAGCAGCACGACGGCGUGGUGGUGAUGGAGCUGCAGUACUCCGGCAGGGCUUCGCCAAGCACUAUGGAGGAGGAGGAUGUGUUGGAGAGGGAGAGGGAGGCACCAAAGGCGUGGAUUGAGAGGCCCUCCUUCCCCACUAUAUAUAGGGAGCCUGGGGGGGGCGCCGGCCCUAGGAGAUGCAAUCUCCUAGGGGGGCGGCGGCCAAGGGAGGAAUCCCUCCUCCCCAAGGCACCUAGGAGGUGCCUUCCCCCUUUGGGACUCUUCCCUUCCUUAUCUCUUGGUGCAUGGGCCUCUUGGGGCUGGUGCCCUUGGCCCAUAUAGGCCAAGGCGCACCCCCUACAGCCCAUGUGCCCCCCCGGGGCAGGUGGCCCCACCCGGUGGACCCCCGGGACCCUUCCGAUGGUCCCGGUACAAUACCGGUGACCCCAAAACUUGUCCCGAUGGCCGAAAUAGCACUUCCUAUAUAUAAUUCUUUACCUCCGGACCAUUCCUUAACUCCUCGUGACGUCCGGGAUCUCAUCCGGGACUCCAAACAACAUUCGGGUUACUGCAUAUACAUAUCCCUACAACCCUAGCGUCACCGAACCUUAAGUGUGUAGACCUUACGGGUUCGGGAGACAUGUAGACAUGACCGAGAUCGCUCUUCGGUCAAUAACCAACAUCGGGAUCUGGAUACCCAUGUUGGCUCCCACAUGCUCCUUGAUGAUCUCAUCGGAUUAACCACGAUGUCGAGGAUUCAGGCAACCCCCGUAUACAAUUCCAUUUGUCAAUCGAUAUGUUACUUGCCCGAGAUGCGAUCGUCGGUAUCCCAAUACCUCGUUCAAUCUCGUUACCGGCAAGUCACUUUACUCAUACCGUAAUGCAUGAUCACGUGACCAGACACUUGGUCACUUUGAGCUCAUUAUGAUGAUGCAUUACCGAGUGGGCCCAGUGAUACCUCUCCGUCAUACGGAGUGACAAAUCCCAGUCUUGAUCCGUGUCAACCCAACAGACACUUUCGGAGAUACCCGUAGUAUACCUUUAUAGUCACCCAGUUACGUUGUGACGUUUGGUACACCCAAAGCACUCCUAUGGUAUCCGGGAGUUACACGAUCUCAUGGUCUAAGGAAAAGAUACUUGACAUUGGAAAACUCUAGCAAACGAACUAUACGAUCUUAUGUUAUGUUUAGGAUUGGGUCUUGUGCAUCACAUCAUUCUCCUAAUGAUGUGAUCCUGUUAUCAAUAACAUCCAAUGUCCAUAGUCAGGAAACCAUGACUAUCUGUUGAUCAACGAGCUAGUCAACUAGAGGCUUACUAGGGACAUGCUGAUGUCUAUUAUUCACACAUGUAUUAUGAUUCCCGGAUAACACAAUUAUAGCAUGAACAAAGACAAUUAUCAUGAACAAAGAAAUAUAAUAAUAAUCCUUUUAUUAUUGCCUCUAGGGCAUAUUUCCAACAGGCGCGGCAUCGGCAGCCAAGCCUGCCGUAAUGAUGUCAUCCAUGUAGGCUUCGGUUGCUUCGGUGUCUCUGAGGUGCGACGCGGAGGCGUCGGAGAAGGGCAGCGCGCCACAGCGGAGAAGGGGCGUCGGGAAGGAUGAGUAGGCCGGCGACAAGUAGUUGUACGGAGGGUCCUGCACGCCGUCGAAGGCAGGUGAGGGCGCCCGCUGGGCCGGGUGACCAAGGGGGAAGGUGAUGUUGGGGUUGAACCCACCGUGCAUGUCCCCGCCGGCGUAGCUCGACAACGGUGAGCAGCCCUAGGGUUGCAGCAACGACGAGAAGCCGACUGGAGAUCCUACGAUUUGCUAGCUCCAGGGCACAUACUGGCCGUGGAUGUCGGGUGGAUUCAUCAUACCCACUCGAGCCGCCUCGGCUUGUUCGGCCGAGCGCUCCGCCGCCGCCACAGCCACGAGCGCCGCACUAUCCCUUGCCUUCUUGGAGUUGGCCCUGUUCCGUCGGUCGGUGGUGACAGCCUCCCGGCGCUGAAAUUCAGCCCUCUAGUCGGUGUUGGACAUGCCUGGGGGCUUGGACUGUGGCGGCCUCGGUUUCCUCUGCUUCGGCUGGGCGACGGUGGCGGUCGCAACCGUCGUGGCGCGGGGGACGACCUACUUCUUCGGCGGCAUGGCGGUCGGCGUGGAGGAAGAGCAGGAGGAGAUUGAUGGGAGGAAUGGAGAGAAUGAGAGGGAAGCCGGGGGAAAGCGGGAAAAAACGGCGGGAAAAGGCCCUCCUCUCGCCGACAGAGCGGCCCCACGCCCCUUUUCCCUUGUUCCGACGCCCCCAGGCGCCCCCCAGCGUGCCGGGUUCUGCUCGGGUGCGACGGCUGUUAUUUCGGCCCAACCCGGCAAAAAACAGACUCCUGGGACGCGACUGGGACGAUUUUUGCCAGCCGACGCUAAUAAAUCGCCUAAGAGGGGCAAAUAAGACGCUCCCGAAGCAUGGAAAUUGAAUCAGAAGAAUCCUCAACUCCUUCCCACUCAAGCCCCGAACCAUUCGGGGGCUAAUCAUGAAGCUAUGUACUGGGUCACAGGUCUGACCUAGACGCCCUCCCCAAGGUCAUCACCCCAAAGCCAGAAGCAUUCGAAGGGUAUCAUCAUCCACUCGACUAAAGACAUUCCACUCGGAAGAAUCAAUUACACUCGACCGUCACAGAAGCCACUCGACGUACAGAAGAUCUAAAGCCACUCUGCACAAACGACGGCCAGGCGUUUACUCAUAGACUUAAUUGCCAUUUACAUCACUUAAUUGCUAGCGUUACCAGUAACGUUCCACUCUUAAUGUACAUUGAACCCUGUGUAACGGAGGGGAGCUAGGGUCCUGGCGCACUCUAUAUAAUCCACCCCCUCCUUUGGGACAAGGGUUCACAUCUUUUGUAAACUCACACACACAUACAAUCCAGUCGACCGCCUCAGGGCACCGAGACGUAGGGCUGUUACUUCCUCCGUGAAGGGCCUGAACUCGUAAACUCGUGUGUACAACUACUCCAUAGCUAAUAUCUUGCCUCCUCAUACCUACCCCCCAUUCUACUGCCAGUCUUAGAUCCAAGACAGUUGGCGCGCACCGUGGGGCAGGUGUCUUAGCAGUUUGUUGGAGAAGUUGCGAUUCUUCUAAUUCCCAUCAUCAUGGUUUCCGGCGGAGGAUUGACUGAAGGCCGCGAGAUCCGUCUCGGCGCGCUCGUCUUCAUCACCGACGACUCCGCUUGGAUCGACGAGGCUCCACUCGACGUCAAGGCGCUCUCCGUCCGCGGGGCGACAUAGUUCCGCGCUUGCGUCUGCGGCGUCCUUCUUCGACAACCAUCAACUCAGUAUCAGCCAGCUCCUACGGCAUCCUUGCUUCCCAUUGUUCGCCGGCAUCAGCGAUCCAGUCGGUCGUGGCUUCAGCGGUGGGUGAGACAUGCGGUGGCCCGCCAAUCGGCCUCCCCACAAAUCGCGGCCUGUUCGAUCUAUCGACUGGCUUCGUCGAGACUGCAUCCGAGUGCGACAGCAACGACCCCGCGGCGGAAGUCUUGAUGGUCAAUGGACCACGCAGUCCUCCUGGCUUCCCCCGUGAAGACGGUGGCGAUGGCGUCGGCGACCCAUCACAUGUCCACGAAGAGUACCGCCCCGAACCCCUCUCUUCGCAGUAGAGGGAAGAUCUUCGCCACCGUAAUAUGGAUGCACUUCACACUCCUAUCGUUGGAGAAACCCCCGAGGCCCAGGCCUUGGAGGAGGUGCACCUGGCCAACUUGGCUGAGCGCACUCGACUGGAGAACCUCCAGCGCACACUCGACGAGCAUGCUCGGUAGCGGAUUCCUGAGUCCAGUCAACGACAACUUUUUCCGCCCCCGACCCCGGUAUACCGAACUCCGAUCCAGAAUCUCACAGCUGCAGCUCGAAUAGCAGAGUCAAUUCAACCUUACCAGUUAGAAGUUGGCCGAGGUUUGAUGCAGAUUCGGGCUUUACUCCGGGAAGCAGGAGAGCCAUAAUACAGCAGUAUCUCAGUCGCGGAAUAGGAUUCAUAGCAGAUCUGUGGUGGCAGAUACUGUCCAAUCUUCUCACAGCCCAAGAUCGCCUCCGCGGCGUGAGGGACGUGGGCACCAGCAAGAUCAGUACAGGAACCGUGAGCAGUAUGAUCAUCGACUUGACCAUGAUGACCAUCGUCGAGUGCCCACACCUCCUCCGAGGAGUGGGUCAUACGUGCCUCUGCGGCAAGAUGACAGGCGCCCCCACAGCGGCGAACGAAGAAUUUCGGUUAACCUACAGAGCCAGGCUUUGAUGCAAGAUCUACUGUCGUUCAAGGUCUGGUUGAUAGGAACAGGGCUCACAGAGAAGGCCACGAUAGAGAUUAUCCGACUGGAAGCAGGGUGCAUGUUCCAGGACCCGAGUGUUUCAGCAGAGCCAUUAGAGCAGCAGUGAUUCCUCCCAACUUCAGGUUGGCGACUGGAGUCAGCAAGUUCACCAGCGAGUCCAAGCCAGACACUUGGCUUGAAGGCUACCGAGUGGCUGUGCAGAUUGGUGGCGGCAAUGAUGAUGUGGCCAUGAAGCACCUUCCCUUGAUGUUGGAGGGCUCAGCCAGAGCGUGAUUGAAUUAGUUGGUUCCUGGCAUCAUAUAUAGUUGGGAGGAACUUGCUCGAGUGUUUGUUAGAACCUUUGAAGGUACUUGCAAAAGGCCAGAAGGGUUGAUAGAAUUACAGUCCUGUGUUCAGAAGCCGAAUGAAACCUUGAGAGAUUAUAUCUAGAGAUGGAUCACUCUGCACCACACAGUGGAGAAUGUGUCGGAUCACCAAGCAGUUUGUGCCUUCAAGGAAGGAGUUAAGUACAGAGAGUUGAACCUGAAGUUCGGUCGAACAGGAGAUAUGUCCCUGAGUCGAAUGAUGGAGAUUGCCACCAAGUAUGCCAAUGGUGAAGAGGAAGACUGACUCUGGAGUGGCAAGCACAACAGUCGCCCAAGAAACCGGAGGAGGGAAUUCCAGUCGGAAACAAAAGCGAAAGGCCGAACCAGCUGCUCCUGGUGAAGCUUUAGUUGUUGCCCAAGGAAAGUUCAAAGGAAAUCCCAAAGGCCCCUGGACUCCCAAAAAGUUAAGGAUCAAGAAGGAAAUGAUGUGCUGGAUUUACCAUGCCAUAUUCAUACCAAAAAGAUGAAGAGUGGAAUUUCAUUUACCCUAAACACACCACUCGACAUUGUCGUCUCCUGAUGCAGCAGUUCCGAGAGAAACAAACCAAGGAGAAGGAAAAGGAGUCAGACAGAGGUGAGGAUAGGGAAGACGAUGAUGAUGGUUUUCCCAAUGUCAAUUCCACGCUGAUGAUUUUUGCUGAUGUUGAAAGCAAAAGUCGACUGAAAGUUAUUAACAGGGAAGUAAACAUGGUUGCUCCAUUAACACCCAGUAAUCUAAAGUGGUCCCAGACUGCCAUCAUGUUUGACCAGUCGGACCAUCCAGCACAUAUAGCCACCCCUGGGAGGCAAGCACUGGUGGUCGACCCAGUAGUUGAAGGCACUCGACUGACUAAAGUGCUGAUGGAUGGUGGAAGUGGCCUAAAUAUCCUUUAUGUUGAAACUUUGAAGGGAAUGGGUAUUCCGGUGUCCAAGCUUAGUGAAAGCAACAUGAGUUUCCAUGGCGUUAUACCUGGCAAGAAGGCUCAGUCACUCGGCCAGAUCACCCUUGAUGUGGUUUUCGGUGAUUUCAAGAAUUACCGCAAGGAAAAGUUGACAUUUGAGGUAGUGGAUUUCAAGAGUGCUUACCACGCUAUUCUGGGUAGGCCCACUUAUGCAUGUUUUAUGGCUCGACCAUGUUACGUGUAUCUCAAAUUGAAGAUGCCUGGUCCUAGAGGAGUAAUCACUGUCACUGGCAAUCGGGAGAAGGCGGAAGAUUGCUUCCAAAAGGGCUCAAAAAUUAUCGAUGCACAAAUGGCAGUAGUAGAACUGCAAGAGUAUCAGAAAAAUGCAGAUCCGAGUGAUUUGCUGUGAGCCAAGAAGCCUACCACAUAUUCUGCAUUUCAGUCGUCCGAUGAAACGAAGCCGAUCCAUAUUCACCCGACCGAUCCCAAUGCUGCUCCGACCCAUAUCUCAACAACACUUGACAGCAAAUAGGAAGAAGCGCUCAUCCAGUUCCUCCGUGAGAACUGGGACAUCUUUGCAUGGAAACCUUCUGACAUGCCGGAUGUACCCAAGGGACUGGCUGAGCAUCGUUUGCGAGUCGACCCAAAAGUAAAACCAGUCAAGGAACAUCUCCGACGGUGCGCCGCCCAGAAGAGAAAAGCAAUUGGCGAGGAAGUGGCUCGGCUCCUGGCAGCUGAGUUCAUCUGAGAGAUUUACCACUCCGAGUGGCUCGCCAAUGUUGUCAUGGUCCCCAAGAAGGAUGAUUCACUUCCCAUGUGCAUUGACUUCAAGCAUAUCAAUUGGGCCUGCCCGAAAUAUCAUUUUCCUCGCCCCCGCAUCGACCAAAUUGUCGACUCGACUAUGGGGUGUGAGCGUUUGUCCUUUUUGGACGCCUAUUUCGGGUAUAAUCAGAUCCGACUAUAUGGACCCGAUGAGAUAAAUACGGCUUUCAUCACUCCAUUCAGAUGCUUCUGUUAUGGCACUAUGGCAUUCGGCCUGAAGAACGCCGGAGCCACAUUCAUGCGUAUGAUCUAGAAGUGUUUACUCACAUAGAUCAGUCGGAAUGUGGAAGCAUACAUGGACGACAUUGUGGUCAAGUCAUGUAAGGGUUCUGACUUACUGGCUGACCUCGUUGAAACCUUUGCCAACCUCAGAAGGUAUGAUAUCAAGCUUAAUCCAUCGAAAUGCACAUUCGGAGUUCCUGGUGGGAAAUUACUCGGCUUCCUCAUUUCCGAACGAGGGAUUGAUGCUAACUCAGAGAAAGUUAGUGCUAUACUUUGGAUGAAACGCCCUGUGCAUGUGCACGAUGUCCAGAAGCUUACUGGUUGUUUGGCUGCCUUGAGUCGAUUCAUUUAUCGCCUUGGUGAAAAGGCAUUGCCUCUUUACCAACUGAUGAAGAAUUUUGAUAAGUUCGAGUAGCGGUGCUUGCUACACCAAUCAGCAAAGAGCCUUUACUGCUUUAUAUUGCAGCCACUGGACAAGUUGUCAGUACAGUACUCGCGGUCGAGCGGGACGAAGAAGGAAAAGCCUAUAAAGUUCAGCGCCCAGUAUAUUAUGUUUCUGAAGUUCUGACUCCGUCGAAGCAAAGAUAUCCACAUUAUCAGAAGCUUGUUUAUGGGAUUUACAUGACCACGAGGAAGGUUUCAAACUAUUUCUCUGAUCAUUCCAUUAUAGUCAUCAGCGACGCUCCAUUAUCAGAGAUUCUGAACAACAGAGAUGCAAUUGGUCGAGUGGCAAAGUGGGCGAUUGAACUCCUUCCCCUGGACAUCAAAUUUGAGGCAGAGAAAGCUAUCAAGUCCCAAUCAAUAGUUGAUUUCCUCUCCGAGUGGAUCAAACAUCAACUUUCGGCCCAAAUUCAGUCGGAGCAUUGGACCAUGUUCUUUGAUGGGUCCAAGAUGCUGAAUGGUUCCGGUGCUGGGGUGGUGUUGGUAUCCCCCCGUGGUGACAAACUCAGCUAUGUUCUCCAGAUUCACUUUGACUCCUCCAACAAUGAAGCUGAAUAUGAGGCACUCUGUAUGGGUUGCGUAUGGCCAUUUCACUCGGCGUCCGUCGCCUCAUGGUCUAUGGCGACUCGGAUUUAGUGGUCAAUCAGGUGAUGAAGGAGUGGGACAUCAAAAGCCCAGCUAUGACUGGUUAUUGCAAUGCAGUGAGAAUUUUAGAAAAGUGGUUUGAGGGGUUAGAGCUCCAUCACAUCCCUCGACCGAAAAAUCAAGCAGCCGAUGAUCUGGAAAGAUAGGCUCCAAAAGGGAAGCCAUUCCCAACAAUGUGUUCCUGGAGCAUACUCAUACACCUUCAGUUCAAGAAGAUCCCUUCACUAAAGAGCCCCCGCAGCCGAAGAGUGCCACCGAUCUGACUGAAAUCGAGGUUCCAGCCGUGGUCGAUUUGAUUUUGGAGGUCUUGGUCAUCACCCCCGAUUGGACAGUACCAUAUAUCACGUACAUUCUUAGAAAGGAACUCCUAGAGGAUGAAGAAGAGGCUCGACAGAUCGUCCGUCGAUCUAAAGCCUUUACUAUGAUAAUAGGACAGUUGUUCAGAGAAAGUGUGACUGGAGUUUGCCGGAAAUGCAUAACACCUAAAGAAGUUCGAGUGAUCCUCAAUGACAUCCACUCGGGACCUGUGGUCAGCAUGCGUCCUCUCGGACCAUUGUGGCCAAAGAAUACCGAGCGGGAUUUUUCUGGCCACGGGCAAAUGAGAUGGCAAAAGAAAUAGUCGACAAAUGUGAAGGUUGCCAGUUUUACUCCAACAUGUCUCACAAGCCUGCGUCGGCCCUGAAGACCAUUCCACUCGUCUGGCAUUUUGCUGUUUGGGGAUUGGAUAUGGUUGGACCACUGAGGACUGGUAGGAGUGGAUUCACUCAUGUGCUUGUAGCAGUCGACAAGUUCACCAAGUGGAUUGAAGCCAAGCCUAUCAAGAACCUUGAAGCCAGUACUGCCGUCAGCUUCAUCAGAGAGUUAACAUUCAGAUAUGGUGUUCCACACAACAUCAUUACUGACAAUGGGUCAAACUUUGAUUCUGAUGAGUUCAGAACUUUCUGUGCUUCCCAAGGUACUCGAGUCGACUAUGCGCCAGUCGCCCCCAGUCGAAUGGGCAAGCCGAAAGAGCAAAUGGAUUGAUUCUCAAAGGACUGAAGCCCCGACUAAUGUGUCACCUCAAACACGCAGCUGGAGCCUGGGUCGAUGAACUUCCAUCAGUAUUGUGGGGAUUGAGGACAACUCCCAAUCGGUCGACUGGCAGAACCCCCUUUUUCUUGGUUUAUGGAACCGAAGUUGUACUACUGAGUGACUUGCUCCACAAUGCGCCCCGAGUCGAGCUUUUCUCAGAAGAAGAAGCAAAACAGGCAUGGCAAGAUGCAGUUGAUCUCCUGGAAGAAGAAAGAGAGAUGACCUUGAUCUGAUCAACCAUCUAUCAGCAAGACCUGCAUCGAUUCUGUGCCAGAAACGUGAGGGGUCAAGCAUUUCAAGAGGGAGACUUGGUUCUCCGAGUGGAUCAGGAGAAACCACAUAAGCUUGCUCCUGCCUGGGAAGGCCCCUUCGUUGUCACCAGAGUGCUCCACAAUGGAGCAUACCACCUCUACAACGUCGAGCAUAAGAAAGACGAACCGCGAGCUUGGAAUGGGGAGCUGCUCCGCCCCUUUUAUACUUAAGCACUCAAUCUAUUGGGAUGUAAUAAGAAGCACCUUUGUAGUUUGUUUAUCAAAGACAAGAGUUUUUACAGCCUUCUGAAAUGAUUGUCAAUUGCUUACGUUUGUUUCUGAAAUCCCCCAGUGGGUGGCUUAGCUGCGAAUCCGUUUCGCCUAAGUUUAAAAGAACCUACCAAGUGGUGAGCAAGCCUCUCACUCGGUGGCUUAGCUGUGAAUCCGUUUCGCCUAAGUUGAAAAAAUCCUACCGAGUGAUGAGCAAGUCUCUCACUCGGGGGCUUAACUGCAGCCCAGUACUCGGCUAAGUUGAAAAAAUCCUACCAAGUGAUGAGCAAGCCUCUUACUCGGGGGCUUAGCUGCAAUCCAGUGUUCGCCUAAGUUUCAAAAAUCCUACCGAGUGAUGAGCAAACCUCACACUCGGAGGCUUAGCUGCAGCCCAUUGCUCGCCUAAGUUUCAAAAAUCCUACCGAGUGAUGAGCAAGCCUCUCACUCAGGGGCUUAGCUGCAGUCCAGUACUCGCCUAAGUUGAAAAAAUCCUACCGAGUGAUGAGNNNNNNNNNNNNNNNNNNNNNNNNNNNNNNNNNNNNNNNNNNNNNNNNNNNNNNNNNNNNNNNNNNNNNNNNNNNNNNNNNNNNNNNNNNNNNNNNNNNNNNNNNNNNNNNNNNNNNNNNNNNNNNNNNNNNNNNNNNNNNNNNNNNNNNNNNNNNNNNNNNNNNNNNNNNNNNNNNNNNNNNNNNNNNNNNNNNNNNNNNNNNNNNNNNNNNNNNNNNNNNNNNNNNNNNNNNNNNNNNNNNNNNNNNNNNNNNNNNNNNNNNNNNNNNNNNNNNNNNNNNNNNNNNNNNNNNNNNNNNNNNNNNNNNNNNNNNNNNNNNNNNNNNNNNNNNNNNNNNNNNNNNNNNNNNNNNNNNNNNNNNNNNNNNNNNNNNNNNNNNNNNNNNNNNNNNNNNNNNNNNNNNNNNNNNNNNNNNNNNNNNNNNNNNNNNNNNNNNNNNNNNNNNNNNNNNNNNNNNNNNNNNNNNNNNNNNNNNNNNNNNNNNNNNNNNNNNNNNNNNNNNNNNNNNNNNNNNNNNNNNNNNNNNNNNNNNNNNNNNNNNNNNNNNNNNNNNNNNNNNNNNNNNNNNNNNNNNNNNNNNNNNNNNNNNNNNNNNNNNNNNNNNNNNNNNNNNNNNNNNNNNNNNNNNNNNNNNNNNNNNNNNNNNNNNNNNNNNNNNNNNNNNNNNNNNNNNNNNNNNNNNNNNNNNNNNNNNNNNNNNNNNNNNNNNNNNNNNNNCACUCGGGGGCUUAGCUGCAGUCCAGUGCUCGCCUAAGUUUCAAAAAUCCUACCGAGUGAUGAGCAAACCUCACACUCGAAGGCUUAGCUGUAGUCCAGUGCUCGCCUAAGUUUCAAAAAUCCUACCGAGUGAUGAGCAAACCUCACACUCGGGGGCUUAGCUGCAGUCUAGUACUCUCCUAAGUUGAAAAACCAUCCCUAUCCGCAAGGAUGACGAGGUGCAGGUCGAGUGCAAUCCUCCCCAUGGAGCUGUGCUGCAAGUACAAUGUAUGCUCCUUCCCUAUCUGCAAGGGUGACGAGGUGCAGGCUGACUGCAAUCCUCUCCACGGAGCUGCACAACAAGUACAAUGUGCGCUCCAUCCCUUUCCGCAAGGAUGAUGAGGUGCAAGUCGACUGCAAUCCUCUCCACGAAGCUGUGCCACAAGUACAAUGUGUGCUCCAUCCCUAUCCGCAAGGAUGACGAGGUGCAGGUCGACUACAAUCCUCUCCACGAAGCUGCGCCACAAGUACAAUGUGCGCUCCAUCCCUAUCCGCAAGGAUGACGAGGUGCAGGUCGACUGCAAUCCUCUCCACGGAGCUGCGCCACAAGUACAAUGUGCGCUCCAUCCCUAUCCGCAAGGAAGACGAGGUGUAAGUCGAUAGCAAACCUCUCCUCAGAGCUGUGCCACAAGUACAAUGAGCGCUCCAUCCCUAUCUGCAAGGAUGAUGAGGCGCAGGUCGAUUGGGAUAUCUCCCUCAGAGUUGCAUCUCAAAGAAUAUUCCGAGUGAAGAAUAAGUUCUGCUCGAAGGCAAACCCAAGCACAUGCAGAAGAUAAACCAAGUUCGGAUAAAUCUCAAAAGUUUCAGGACGAAGAUAAAAGUACUCGGGCAUCAGGCCCGAAGGAGUUUAACGGUUACAAAAACCACUCGGCAUUCUGAGGCAAAUUUAAAGCAAGUUUAAGUAUCAAGUUUGUUCACUCAGCAGGAGGAGGGCUUGCGGGCUCGACGAACUCGUCCAAAUCAAUCCCGUCCAUGAUCCGAGUGGCAGCAGCAAUGAUAGUCUCCAGGAAGGAUUGGAAGUCGUGCCUUUUUGUGUUGGCGACCUUGAUCGCCGUCAGCUUCUCAUCUCGAGCUUCUUUGUAGUGGGCCCUAACUAGCGACACGACCACGUCAGCGCCGCAUAGAGCAGAGGACUUCUUCCAUUCCUGCACUCGACCGGGGACUUUAUUGAGCCGAGUCAUCAGAGACUCGAGAUCAUUCUGAGGAGUUUCCCUUGGCCAGAGCGAUGAGUCGAUGCGUGAAACUGCCACCUUCAGACGGGCAAGGUAACUUGUAACAUUGCGACGUGGGAUUCCAAUCGAAGCACAUUCAUGGCAGCCUCGUCGCCGACUAGAGAAAGGAUAGGGUCCAAGCCCGUCUCGAUCCGUCCAGUUUCCUCUUCAAAGUUUUGGCAAAAUUCUGUAGAGCCAAGGAGUUAAUGAGUUGACUGGUCAGGACUAACUUGCAAACAGUAAAACAGUCAGGUAAAAAGGGGGGUACCUUCGAGCAUAAGAAAGAGUUUCUUGGCGAGAGCUUUGAGAUAAGCCUCCAAAUCGUUCCUCCUACGAGUUAUGCUUUCCAGCUGGUCAUUCAGAGCCACUUUAUCUUUUUUCAGACGAGUCGCCUCUCGAUUGUAUUCAGUGAGGGACGACUUCAACUUGUUGAUUUCCUCCUCUAGCGCUCCGAUCGAAGCCAGUUUCUGGUCAGCAAGGGCAGUCUUCUCCUGAGCCCCCUUCUGCGCAGCUGCAAGGUCCAAGUCCUUCUUCUCUAGGGCCAGCUUCAUUUCCUCUGCAAAAUACACAUUUAGAUCAAACAAAAGAAUGAAGAGAUAACUUGAAGGAUGGUUAAGAUAAGCAGUCGACAGGCCGCUACCUUCCGUACCAGCGACUUCAUCUUGAGCCUUCUUUAAGUUCUACUGAGCCAACUCCAGGUCAAGGUUGAGUUGCUCUACUUUUCCUCAAAUUCGGCGAACUUGGAGAUAAGCGUACAAGAUUUCUACAGUGAGUAAAAGACAUACCAAUCGACAAGAUCAAAGAUUAUUUACUUCCGAAUGAAUAAAACUUCAAGACUACUCAGACCCCAACCGACUGCCAGCAGUCGACUGCGGUCUCGGGGUCUACACCUAGUGGGUGCACUUAGCGUGCCCCCACUGGUUCGGAUUCCACUCUGCUGGUCCGCCCAGACCGAGUACAAAAAAAGAAGGGAGAGAAAGAAGUACUCAGACCCCAACCGACUGCCAGCAGUCGACUGCGGUCUCGGGGACUGCACCCAGUGGGUGCACUUAGCGUUUCCCCACGGGUUCAGAUUCCACUCGGCCGGUCCACCUAGGCCAAGUAAAAAAAAGAUGACAAAGCACCCAGUGGGUGUACAAUCUCAAAGUGCAAGACAAUGAAGGAUUGCGCGAAGGAAAAUAUUCGGGUAGCAUAUCCUAAAAGAACGAGUUCAGUCGGGAGUUAACUUACCUGGGCAUUGGCUCGAAGAGCCGCGCUGGGGUCAUAAGCAGCCUGACUGCUUUCAUGCACCGCCUUCACCCGAUCCAUCAUUAUGCCAGCCUGACGAAUGGCCUCCGCAGCGGCGUCCGACUAGCUUUCUGGAACAUGGUGAGUGGCAAAGAAGGGGACGGACGGUCCAGACGCAGCGGCUUGGAGAUCCGAGGCAUGAAGUUGGAUGGUUGAAACAAGCUCUGGUGCAGUCGACGAUGUGGGGCGCGCACUCGACACCGGGUCAACAAAGGUUACAGAAACAUUACUCGCAUCUUCGAGCUGUUGAAUUAGCCGCUCUGCCGCCGGCUCCGACUGGGAUGUCUUGCUAGCUAUUGCCUUCUUCUUCCUCGGCCAUAGCAGCACGUCCUCGUCAUCAUCCGGAAGCUCAAUGACAUUGGGAGGGGCUGCAAAGAAAUCAGCCGACCCUAGAUGAGUCAUCAGAAUUUAAUCGACCAUACAAUCGAGAACAAAAUCACGAGAAUUGUACCCGGGUUGGAGGUGACUGCAUCUUCCAUGUCCUCGUCUUCAUACUAGCGGGUGGAAGUCCCAGAUGUGGCAGCUUUGCAAAUUUCAAUAUUCGGUCGGUCUCGUUUGUUACACUGAAUCAACCAAAGAAUUAGGUCAGAUUCUUACCCAGAGAUAGUAGGAACGAACAUUUUGAUCUUGGGCAAAUCCUUCAGAGGUUUGGAUGAUGCAGCCUUCGGUGGUUUCAGAGCUAGAGGAGGUGCAACUUUAGAUUGCUUCGGUGUCUUCUCAGUCGGCACUGAGAGGAUGUCCGAGGACGCUUUGAAGACUGCCCAGUCGGUGCGGCCACCGUGGCAUGGAGGCUUUCCGGGUCAUGAGCGUGCUUGGACCUUUUUUCUCUGCGAGGAGGCGAGUCGACCUCUUCUUCGUCACUCGGGUCACCAUUCUCCUCACCAUCCUCCUCGUCCGAGUGCCACACGCCACUAUGGCCUCCACUCGCCUCCUCCUCCGAGUCCUGCUCCUGCUCUCCGUUGGGCAUUUAAUACAUCUCAUUAAGAGCCUGAAGGAUAACAAGCAAUGCAAAAAACAGCCAGUCGUCAACAGGUAGUUACAUGAUUAAUCAAAAAAGUAUUCGGCAAUCCAGAGUCAGACCUGGUCUGGCUGGCGCGAAUUGUCAAAUGGAGCGACCCUCCUGGACCCCCUGGGGUUAUCCUUGUUGCCUGUGAUGCCCCUCAACCACUUCUCCACCGUGCCCUCGUCGACCUCCUCCGGGUGGAUCCGAGUGGAAUCCUCAAUGCCCGAGUACAUCCACAUUGGAUGAUCGCGAGCUUGGAGCGGUUGGAUGCGUCGUUUGAGGAAUACCUCCAGCAGAUCCAUACCGGUCACGCCGUCCCGGACGAGCUGGACCACCCGCUCGACCAACACCUUCACCCGCGCUCUCUCCUCUGGGAUCACUUUCAAUGUGGAAGGCUUCUCAACCCGAGCCAUGGAAAAGGCAGGGAGCCCGAUCGACUGACCUGGAGUCGGCUGGUCUUUACAAUAAAACCAGGUCGACUGCCAACUCUGGACCGACUCGGGAAGGAUCAUGGCUGGGAAAGUGCUUUUGUUCCUCAUAUGAAUCCCAAGACCCCCGCACAUCUGAAUCACGUGUGUUUUCUCGUCACUCGGAUUGGCCUUCUUGACUGACUGAGAACGGCAAGUGAAAAUGUGCUUGAAAAGACCCCAGUACGGCCUCCAACCUAAGAACUUCUCACACAUGGAUACGUAGGCGGCAAGAUAUACUAUGGAGUUGGGAUUGAAAUGGUGAAGUUGUGCUCCAAAUAAGUUCAGGAAUCCCCGGAAGAAAGGACGGGGAGGCACAGAAAAUCCACGGUCAACAUGAGUUGCAAGGAGAAUGCACUCACCAUCACGCGGAUGCGGUUCGGUCUCUCCUUCUGAGAGCCGCGCCGAUUCAUCGGGAAUCAGCCCCCCCCUCGACCAGAUCAUCGAUGUCGUCUUGGCUGAUCGUAGAACGGAUCCAGUCGCCCUGGAUCCAGCCGUGCGGCAGGCCGGAUCUCGAUGAGGACUCGCCCCGGUUGGACCUCUUUUGUCACAGCCCUAGAAUUGGUUGUAACUAGUUGCACAAGCAUUCAUGCAUCAUGUAUAUAUUUAUGAAAGUUGAAUUGGGGAAAGUGGAAAGCCUCAGAAAUCUUUUCUAAAAAUGAUCAACAUUAAAAAUUGCUUCAAAUAAACCCAAGAAAAUGUUCCUGUUCAUUUCUGGAAAUAUUGGCAAGAGGUAAAAUUCAAACCAAUAUUUUUGGAAUCACAGAAAUAUUUAUUUGGGCCUUUGAAUUAAGUAAAUACUUAUUUGAAUUGGAACUACUAAUUCCUAUAAAAUAUUUGGUAGCUCCAAAUAUUCUGAAACUUGGUGAAGGCCUCUGGUUUAAAUCAGAUAGUGCCCAUAAAAGUUUGCAGAAUUUUAUAAAGUGUUAUAGUAUUUAAACUAAGUCAAAACAUACUGCAAAAAAUAGAAAACAGAAAAUAGGAAAGAGAGAGAGAGAAGAACUCACCUUCCUCACCCACUUGGGCUCCUUACCCGGCGGCCCAGCUAACCGGCCCAGCCCACCAGGGGCAUACCUGUCUUCAACCUCUGCCUACUGGCAGAGGCGAGGCCGAGCACGGCGCCCGCACGGGCUGGCACGCAGCUGCCUGCCUGGCCCUCGCUGGCCAGCGCGACGCCGCGGAUGACCACCUCGUUGCCGUACAGAUCCGCCCGACCUCUCACUUGCCCCCACCCCGCUCUCUGCCUCGCUCCUCCCUCAGACCCGAGAACGCCGGAGCGCAGCCGUCGCCACCGCUCGCUGCUGCCGUGGCCACCGGCCACCCCACACCUCACUAACACGCCCAGAAGCUCCGCCACUUCGUCCUCGACCUCCUCACCGAGCCACGCCCCGCCAGACGCCCUCGAACGCCGGCCACGCUGUCUUCUUCAACCUCGGUCCGCCAGAUCGCCAUCGCCGCCCCGCUGGCUCCGGCCCCUCCCCGAGCUCGCCAACCAGCCCUACACGAUCCCUGUGAGCUUCUACACCGUGUCCCCCUUGUCUCCGCGAUGUUUGCUAGCUCUAGUCGCCGUUUCACCGAUGACCGAAACCCGCUGCCGCCUGUGACCGCCACCGACGUGCCUCCGGCCACCUAGCGGCCUGGCCGUCGUGCUUAGCUCCCUCCCCACGCUGCGUAGAGCAUGUAGGAGCCUCGCACGAGCCUCCCCGGCCACCGUACCGUCGACCCCGAGCUCGCCCGAGCUAGGCGACCGCCAAGGUCGACGCCGGUGACGACUCCAGCCAUCUCAGGCCCAGCCGCUGCCAUUACUCGACGCGGACGAGCGCCCGCAUCACGUAGACGCCCUCCGCUGGCCAUUUGGUCCUCGGAGGAGGAAACCCGCAGCUCUUCGCCGCGUCUCGCCUCGCCGGCGUCAAGUCGCCGGCAGGUGUUGACCUAGUUGACCCAGGUUUGACCCCGCUAACCAAGGGGUUUGACCUCCCCUGACUCACUGACUUGUGGGACCCAGGCCGCUAACUAAACUCGGUUAAUGUUAGUUUAAUGCUAACUAAAUUUAGUUAGCUUAACUAACCACUGACAGACGGGACCCACAGGUCAGGGUUGACCAGGUCCGUCGCCUUUGAUCUGCUAACGUCGCCACGGCAUCAUGCUGACGCCGUAACUGAUUUUCUGGAUUUAUUCUUUUACAGGAAAUUCCAGAAAUUAGUAUAAACUUCUAAAAUUCAUAGAAAUUCAACUGUAACUCCAAAUGAAAUAAAUUAUAUAUGAAAAAUGAUCAGAAAAAUCCAAGGAAUAUGAAUAUGGCAUUUUCAUGCAUGUUUGAACAACUUAACCUCACUGUCUAGUCCAAAACAUGAUAAUGCACUAUUUGAAUUCAUAGUUUGAAUUUGAAUUUGAACCUAGUGUUCAAACCAACUCCAUUUAACUUGUUGCUAGUUGCAUUAGCUCAAUCAACGGCAUAUUGCCAUGUCAUGAUCAUGCAUCAUAUUGUUGCAUCGCAUUAUUGUGUUCUUCCUUGUUUGCCGGUAAAAGUCCCCUCUCGGUAGACGCUGCUCCGACGCUGUGAUCAUUGACACUGAUGAAGACUCAAUGUUAUCUUAAGAAGUGCCAGGCAAGCAAAACCCCCUUGCUCAUUCCGAUACAAUCCCACUCUCUUGCUCCUGCUCUCUUUUACUGCAUUAGGACAACAACGAUUCAACUGUUAUAUGUUGCGGUAGUUGAACCCCUUUCCUCUUCAUGACCUGUCAUUGCCACAGUAAAUAGAUGAAACCCACUAGCAUGAGUAGGAGUUGUUUGAGCCCUGGUGUGUCUACUCAUCCAUGCUUGUUUGUCAUGCCUGCUAUUGCAUAGAGUCGUGUCAGGUCUGGUUCAUCGGGGAUGAAUCGGAGGUGUGUAAACAUGUCCUACGGUGUGUGAGCUAAGUGUGUGAACACGAUUUGGUAAAGGUAGCGGUGAGAGGCCAUGUAGGAGUACAUGGUGCGUUGUCUCACUGAAACCGUCCUCAGGAACUGAGUUCUGUGUUUGUGAUCCAUGAAACAGCUACUACCACACAUUGGGCCCUGAAAUAUGACCCCGCUCGACUUAUUGACCCAUCUCGUCCUCUGUCCAGGAGUUGCAACUAGUUUCUGGUGUUUGUAGGUUAUGUGUUGGUGGCCGUGCAUAGCGCUGACCCUAGGGGUGGGCUAUGAUGCGGUAGCUACACUGUGGCCGGGUAUGCCGGGCGCCCGUUUGGCGUCUCGGGACCCUGUACACAUCGUUUGGGGCCGUUGAGGACACCCCGGCCGGAUUUCCUUGCAGAUGGAACCCGAAUAGGCGAUAAACUGGACUAGAGACUUGUGCGGUUAGUCAGGUCGUGGUCUACACCCACAUCGGCUUUCGCUUGAAGUCUGCCGAGCACAUGUCGUGUGCACACGCUAAGUGGUGGAAACAUGUGUGACGAAGUACACCUCUGCAGGGUUAUAAAUGAUCUAUUCGAACAGCCGUGUCCGCGGUAAAGGACUUCUGGGUUGCCUAUAUCAGUUCAUAGACAAGUGAAAGUGGAUACUCUAAAACUCGCAAGAUAAGUGUGAGUGCUAUGGAUGGCGUUCUCGUAGGGAGACGGGAGCGGAUCCAUAGUGGUGUAUUGAAUGGUGAAUAUGUGGACUCGUGUGCGCCACCUCAAAAGAGUUGCUUGCAGUCGUAGUUCAGGUUAGCCACUGAGUCAAAGCUGGCUUGCUGCAGUUAAACUCUACCACCCCCCCUUGUUGAUACCGAUGCAUAUGUAGCUAGUUCUGAUGUAAGUCUUGUUGAGUACCUUUGUACUCACGUUUGUUUAAUUUAUGUUUUGCAGAGAGACUUCAGUCUCGCUAGUAGUUCCGCGUGGACUUCGACGUUUAGCUUGAUACCUCAGCUACGAUCUUGUGCCCUCGGCAGGAUCUAGUAGAUAGUUAGGCUUCUUAGCCUUUUUCAUUUGUAAAUGUUUGUACUCAGACAUGUUACGAUUCCGCUUGUGCCUUGAUUUGUAUUCUAUGAUUGUUGGGUCAUGAGACCCAUGUUUGUAAUAUCUCGCUCCUCGGAGCCUAAUGAAUGAAUACUUGAGUUGUAGAGUUAUGUUGUGAUGCCAUGUUGUAUUUACACAUAUCGAGCAUAUUGUGUGUAUGAUUGAAAUGCUUGGUAUGUGUGGGAUCCGACAAUCUAGUUGUUUAUCCUUGGCAGCCUCUCUGAUGGGGAAAUGUAGUCUAGUGCUUCCUUGAGCCAUAGUAGUCCGCUACAGCCCGGUUCACCGGGUUCCUGCUAGCCCAGCACUACUGCUUAGGACACUUGACUGGCCGGCAUGUGCUUCACUUCAUUCAUGUGCCUGUCCCUUCGAGGAAAUGUCACGCGGUGACAUCUGGAGUCCUGCCUAGCCUGCUACAGCCCGGGUUCCCGGAGUCCUGUUAGCCCAGUGCUACAGCCCGGAUUCACACGCUGUUGACCGACAUGCUCGAUGUGAUUCAUGUAUGCCUGUCCCCAUAGGUUAGUGCCGCUUUGGGUUCACGACUAGCCAUGUCAGACCGGGUUCUCUGUCAUAUGGAUGCUAGGGACACUAUCAUAUACGUGAGCCAAAAGGCGCAAACGGUCCCGGGCCAUGGUAAGGCGACACCCAUGGGAACACCGUGCGUGAGGCCGCAAAGUGAUAUGAGGUGUUACCGGCUAGAUCGAUGUGACUUGGAAUCGGGGUCCUGAUAGCUUUGGUAUCAGAGCCUGACUGCCUGUAGGAUUACCAAGCCAAACUGGUCAAAGUCGAGUCUACAAAUGCUUUAGUUAUGUAAGGGAAUUGAUUGCGGAAGGGAACGUAAGGCUCUUUUUACUCCUUUACCUUAUGCCCUUCUGAUCUGAGUCAACCUCUUCUUUUCCACGGUGUUUAGAAACUAGGCCUUCUCAUCUAUCUAUCAGGAUGACGUGUUACUAACCCGUUGACUUAUAGGACUGAUGGAUUCAUGCCACAGUUCAGUUGCCAGUACUUCCGUGUGUUCAUAAUUGGUCUCGGAACCUUGGUAUUGUGAUGUUGAGUGGUUAUGCCACCAUUUUGCAGGAUGUCUCAAAUCUUUUUGAGCAUUUACAGCCGUUAUGCUAUCCGAGUCAUUCCAGGUUUCCAAGUAGUCUGAUGCAUUUGCAAACCCCUUCCUCCUGUUCCUGAUGCCUAUUUUGGCCAGAUUAAUCACACUAAUCGGUGAGUUGAGGUACUCUGUUGUCUCGACAUACAUGUUGGAGCUAUCAUUAUGACCCUAGGUGUUUUAUGGAGUCACCUAGUAAUAUAGCCAUGUUUUGUGUUCUGGUGUGAUGAUUCUGGCCACCAUUCUCGAAAGCAUCCCGUGAUGGCAUGUAGUGGUAGGUAUUCUAUUCAUGGGUUCUUGAACCCGAGAUUCACCCUAUUUAUCUCAUGUUGAUAGUGUUGCUAGUUCCUUUAGGAUAUUAGUAACCUUUGCGAUAGUCCUCGAGGUUCGUGGUACAUCCUUCUUCCAAUUAUCAUGGACCAUUCUUGGCAGGAGUUCUUUUGAACCAAAAGGUCACGACAGAGUGCUCCUGAUGAGUUCUCCAUUCUAUGUUGUGACUCUGCCAACCCUACCUUCCUGCAUGGGUUAUCCGGAAGAAAUAUGUUGAACUCAUUCGACAUACUAACCUAUGUAUCCACAACUCAGAAAGAUAUAUGUUCCCUUGAGUUGUCCCUCUUCAUUUGUAUUCCGACCAUCUUCUAUCAACUGUUGGUCAAGAGUAGUUGUGCAUUGGUGUUAUCGAUGCCUAUUAUUCAUGUGAUCCAUCAAGCCAUUCCAUUCCGGAAUGACUAGGAGAAACAAACUCCAGUACCUCAUCCAUAUCCAGGAUUGGGUCAAAGCAGUUGUAUUCCGCAGAUCAAAGUGCCAAUCCAGCUUUUGAUUCUGUUCAACCCUUAAGUAUUGCCCUCUUUAUGUCAGGUAUAUCAUAGGAAUUGCACAACCUCCUAUGAACUCUUAAUACAGUGAUACUUCUCGCCAUCAUUAUUCAUUCCUUGGUUCCGUGUUGAUGUAACCGGAAUGCCGACAAGUGAAUUGUGAUGUGUGGAAUCAAUACUCCGAACAACUCGUUGCUUUGUAGUAAUUGGACAAUAUUCUUAUUCCUAGCGUGUUGGUUUUUGAGCUACCAUUCUAAGAUUGAUCGUGCUACCUAGUCCAUAUCUCUGGGUGCACUCAUUGACCAAUGAGUUAGGAUUGUGAAAAUCCCUUGCUCCUUGAUCAUAUCGUCUUGCCCUGAAAAGCAAGAUUGUUCUCGAGCUUAAUAACAUAUCGGUGGUUCAUCAUUUUCCGAAUAUCUUCUCGGAAGUAUUACCAGGUUGUUCCCUGAUCGCUAUGUUGAGUUCGUGGUCAUGUUGGCUUUUCUAUAAACCACCCUUUCUCCAAGUAUCUAUGUUGGAUACCCCCGAGCUAGUUGGUUAAGCUAAACAACAACUUGGAGAGUUGGAAGAUAAAAGCUUGUCUGACUUAGUUCAUGUUAAGGGAUAUCUUUUGUGUGUGUGUGUGUGUGUGUGUGUGUGUGUGUUGAAGAAAGAUGGUAUUGUCAUCGGUUGACCAUCGUGAUCAGUUAAUGGACCUAUCAUCUUAUCCAAUCUUUGAUUUGAGUAUGGGCUAUCAUCAAAUCAAGUUAGAACCAGCGAUAUUCGUAAUGUUGUCUUACUCGUGGUUGAUUCCUUGAGCAUACACCAUUACAUUCUUUGGUCUGACCAAUGCUAUCACCGUGUUCACAUGAUGGUGGAAGUCCAGUGAUAUGGAAAUCCCGAUGAGUUGCUGUUAAGCCCAUUCAGCAGCAUUUUGUCUCCCCCAUGAUUCAUGUUGAACAUCAACCUAGUGUUGAAAACUUUGUAACCAAUGCCUUCGUGUUCUGUUCAUGAAGCUUAUGCUUGGAUGAAAGAAGUGACUUUCUCCAAGUUCACGUGCACUAGGUGUAAGUUGCCGCCAUGAAUUUGAGAAAGGUUUAUUUUGUUUCCCUUGGAAUCAUCACAAAUCAGUCAUGCAUAUGUGCGAAGUAUUCUAUGGUUUGGUAGAUUAAUUACCUCCACUCCAUAUGUGUUCCUAGCACACCAAGCCACUGAUUGGUUUGUUCAAGGAGAAGAAGUUUCUUCUUAGGAGCUAGACUUACGCAAGGACUUCGAUAUCCUCGUUGAUGGUUCCCUCCUGAACUCGGUAGUGUUCCGUUGUAAGACUACCAGGUGGCCAUGAUUGUCUAGGACAGCGUGUUCAUGUGUGUUUAGCAGAACCAGCUCAUGUUUUGGAGCUUACUACCAUAGUCCAUUUCCUGAGAAUCUCGCAAUGUCAUCUCGUCAAUUUGUGUUGCAAACUUUCAUUUUGUUUCUUGACUCGAUGAGUCUGGAAUAUCUUGACACCAACCAGAUCUGAAUCUCAGGCAGAUGUGAUUGUUGGGACGUUUUCCCAAGAGCUAUAAUAUUGGUCUCUCUGUAACCCGGUAAGUGGAUGUCGUGGCCAACACACCGAGGUGGAGGACCUAUUAUUGUAGUAUCUUGAUUGAGUAAGUUGGACACCUCCCCAUAAGGAUUACGUAGAAUUUAUUCCAAUAGUAGUUCCUUAUGGAUUUUUGAGUUCCCGAAGUCUGACCUUUUACUUGAUGUCCUAGAUACCAAACCAUAUCAAUAAAUGGGUUAUGCUAGCACAUCAAGGAGAACAUUAGAAGCAGAGUGCUAAAUGUCUCUCGAUCGAUCAUCCAGAUUUUGAUCCCUCGGCCUCGCUAAGGUGAAAUCUGAGAAGGUGUUAUCUCCCUUUACAUCUGCAUCGUCCACCGUUAUUCAUCAUGGUAGCAUGUUGUGUUGCCAGGAUCCUUGACACGGAUAUUGGUAAAACCCUGAUGAAUACAGAAAUGCUCAAGUUCUUGAGAGCAUGCGCAAGCACUAGGACUUAUCGUCGGCAUUAGCUGGGGUCUGUUCCCGGUUUCUUCGAUUAUGCCAUAACCUUUCAAAUAGUGGAAUCUCUCUCUACUGUUGGGGUUCUCCCCAGUUCCUAAAAUCAUUCCCAGCAUUUGCAUUUUGUUCCCAGCUUGCACUGCCAUUAUGUGAUCCUACUACGAACUACCCUUCUCAGUAAUUACUGAGCAGGAUCAUCUUCAAAGUGGUCCUACCAUGGGUUCCAUCCAUUUUCGAUGAUAAGCAAAUCAUCCAUCGCAUUUUCUUCAACAAGGUAGUCCACAUCAUCCAUUCUAGCCCGAGUAUGUCGUUCUCUCGAACUCCAUCAAAGGAUCGUUUGUGAAUUGCCUUAGGUUGGUAUAGAGAGUCUCAAUGAUCUAUGGAUCAAAAGUAAUUCUUUUUGCCACUUAAGAGAAUAUUUCUGCGAGUCACCUUCCUUAAGGUGUCUCAUUGUGGCAUCUUGGCAACCUAACUCCUCGCUACGUUGACAUCGUUCACCACCCUCUUAGGUGUGGAAUUUUUGUCUAGCAAUUUGAACCCUUGUCAUCCGCUUCUUUCCAUCACCCCUGAUGUGUGUUUUGUCUCUCAGCUCAAGAGAUGUUUCAACGUCUCACCCCCUGAGUUGAUCCUGAGUACUCGAUCUUCGAGGAGAUCGAUUCCUGUAGAGUUUCUUUCUGCCAUCAUCAUGCUGGAUGGAGAUCUCGAAAGCAAAGACGUCAAGAUCAAAUUGAAGCAAUGAAUCAACAUCUUUGAGAAGGACAGCUAGAUCGUGAAGAUCGUGUUAGCUUUGUGUCCCCUCUGUCUUCUUACCUCGCAUCUUGAAUCUCGGGACGAGAUUCCUGUUUAGUGGGGGUGAGUUGUCAUAGCCCUAGAAUUGGUUGUAACUAGUUGCACAAGCAUUCAUGCCUCAUGUAUAUAUUUAUGAAAGUUGAAUUGGGGAAAGUGGAAAGCCUCAGAAAUCUUUUCUAAAAAUGAUCAACAUUAAAAAUUGCUUCAAAUAAACCCAAGAAAAUGUUCCUUUUCAUUUCUAGAAAUAUUGGCAAGAGGUAAAAUUCAAACCAAUAUUUUUGGAAUCACAGAAAUAUUUAUUUGGGCCUUUGAAUUAAGUCAAUACUUAUUUGAAUUGGAGCUACUAAUUCCUAUAAAAUAUUUGGUAGCUCCAAAUAUUCUGAAACUUGGUGAGGGCCUCUGGUUUAAAUCAGAUAGUGCCCAUAAAAGUUUGCAGAAUUUUAUAAAGUGUUUUAGUAUUUAAACUAAGUCAAAACAUACUGCAAAAAAAUAGAAAACAGAAAAUAGGAAAGAGAGAGAGAGAAGAACUCACCUGCCUCACCCACUUGGGCUCCUUACCCGGCGGCCCAGCUAACUGGCCCAGCCCACCAGGGGCAUACCUAUCUUCAACCUCUGCCUACUGGCAGAGGCGAGGCCGAGCACGGCGCCCGCGUGGGCUGGCAUGCAGCUGCCUGCCUGGCCCUCGCUGGCUAGCGCGAUGCCGCGGAUGACCACCCCGUUGCCGUACGGAUCCGCCCGACCUCUCACUUGCUCCCACCCCGCUCUCUGCCUCGCUCCCCCCUCGGACCCGAGAAUGCCGGAGCGCAGCCGUCGCCACCGCUCGCUGCUGCCGUGGCCACCGGCCACCCCACGCCUCACCGACGCGCCCAGAAGCUCCGCCACUUCGUCCUCGACCUCCUCACCGAGCCACGCCCCACCAGAUGCCCUCGAACGCCGGCCACGCCGUCUUCUUCAACCUUGGUCCGCCGAGAUCGCCAUCGCCGCCCCGCUUGCUCCGGCCCCUCCCCGAGCUCGCCGACCAGCCCUACACGAUCCCCGUAAGCUUCUACACCGUGUCCCCCUUGUCUCCGCGAUUUUUGCUAGCUCUAGUCGCUGUUUCGCCGAUAACCGAAACCCGCCGCUGCCUGUGACCGCCGCCGACGUGCCUCCGGCCACCUAGCGGCCCGGCCGUUGUGCUUAGCUCCCUCCCCGCGCUGCGUAGAGCACGUAGGUGCCUCGCACGAGCCUCCCCGGCCACCGUAGCGUCAACCCCGAGCUCGCCCGAGCUCCAGCGACCGCCAAGGUCGACACCGGUGACGACUCCGGCCAUCUCAGGCCCAGCCGCUGCCAUUACUCGACGCGGACAAGCGCCCGCGUCACGUAGACGCCCUCCGCCGGCCAUUUGGUCCCCGGAGGAGGAAACCCGCAGCUCUCCGCCGCGUCCCGCCUCGCCCGCGUCAAGUCGCCGGUAGGUGUUGACCUAGUUGACCCGGGUUUGACCCCGCUAACCACGGGGUUUGACCUCCCCUGACUCACUGACUUGUGGGACCCAGGCCGCUAACUAAACUCGGUUAAUGUUAGUUUAAUGCUAACUAAAUUUAGUUAGCUUAACUAACCACUGACAGACGGGACCCACAGGUCAGGGUUGACCAGGACCGUCGCCUUUGACCUGCUGACGUCGCCAUGACAUCAUGCUGACGCAGUAACUGAUUUUCUAGAUUUAUUCUUUUACAGGAAAUUCCAUAAAUUAGUAUAAACUUCUAAAAUUCAUAGAAAUUCAACUGUAACUCCAAAUGAAAUAAAUUAUAUAUGAAAAAUGAUCAGAAAAAUCCAAGGAAUCUGAACAUGGCAUUUUCAUGCAUGUUUGAACAACUUAACCUCACUGUCUAGUCCAAAACAUGAUAAUGCACUAUUUGAAUUCAUAGUUUGAAUUUGAAUUUGAACCUAGUGUUCAAACUAACUCCAUUUAACUUGCUGCUAGUUGCAUUAGCUCAAUCAACGGCAUAUUGCCAUGUCAUGAUCAUGCAUCAUACUGUUGCAUCGCAUUAUUGUGUUCUUCCUUGUUUGCCGGUAAAUGUCCCCUCUCGGUAGACGCUGCUCCGACGCUGUGAUCAUUGACACUGAUGAAGACUCAAUGUUAUCUUCAGAAGUGCCAGGCAAGCAAAACCCCCUUGCUCAUUCCGAUACAAUACCACUCUCUUGCUGCUGCUCUCUUUUACUACAUUAGGACAACAACGAUUCAACUGUUAUAUGUUGGGGUAGUUGAACCCCUUUCCUCUGCAUGACCUGUCAUUGCCACAGUAAAUAGAUGAAACCCACUAGCAUGAGCAGGAGUUGUUUGAGCCCUAGUGUGCCUACUCAUCCAUGCUUGUUUGUCAUGCCUGCUAUUGCAUAGAGUCGUGUCAGGUCUGGUUCAUCAGGGAUGAAUCGGAGGUGUGUAAACAUGUCCUACGGUGUGUGAGCUAAGUGUGUGAACAUGAUUUGGUAAAGGUAGCGGUGAGAGGACAUGUAGGAGUACAUGAUGGGUUGUCUCACUGAAACCGUCCUCAGGAACUGAGUUUUGUGUUUGUGAUCCAUGAAACAGCUACUACCACACAUUAGGCCCUAAAAUAUGACCCCGCUCGACUUAUUGACCCCUCUCGUCCUCUGUCCAGGAGUUGCAACUAGUUUCUGGUGUUUGUAGGUUAUGUGUUGGCGGCCGUGCGUAGCGCCAACCCUAGGGGUGGGCUAUGAUGCGGUAGAUACACUGUGGCCGGGUAUGCCGGGCGCCCGUUUGGCGCCUCGGGACCCUGUACACAUCGUUUGGGGCCAUUGAGGACACCCCGGCCGGAUUUCCUUGCAGAUGGAACCCGAAUAGGCGAUAAACCUGAACUAGAGACUUGUGCGGUUAGUUAGGUCAUGGUCUACACCCACAUCGGCUUUCGCUUGAAGUCUGCCGAGCACAUGUCGUGUGCACACGCUAAGUGGUGGAAACAUGUGUGACGAAGUACACCCCUGCAGGGUUAUAAAUGAUCUAUUCGAAUAGUCGUGCCCGCGGUAAAGGACUUCUGGGUUGCCUAUAACAGUUCAUAGACAAGUGAAAGUGGAUACUCUAAAACUCGCAAGAUAAGUGUGAGUGCUAUGGAUGGCGUUCUCGUAGGGAGACGGGAGCGGAUCCAUAAUGGUGUAUUGAAUGGUGAAUAUGUGGACUCGUGUGCGCCACCUCAAAAGAGUUGCUUGCAGUCGUAGUUCAGGUUAGCCACUAAGUCAAAGCUGGCUUGCUGCAGUUAAACUCCACCACCCCCCUUGUUGAUACCAAUGCAUAUGUAGCUAGUUCUGAUGUAAGUCUUGCUGAGUACCUUUGUACUCACGUUUGUUUAAUUUAUGUUUUGCAGAGAGACUUCAGUCUUGCUAGUAGUUCUGCGUGGACUUCGACGUUUAGCUUGAUACCUCAGCUACGAUCUUGUGCCCUCGGCAGGAUCUGGUAGAUAGUCAGGCUUCUUAGCCUUUUUCAUUUGUAAAUGUCUGUACUCGGACAUGUUAAGAUUCCGCUUGUGCCUUGAUUUGUAUUCUAUGAUUGUUGGGUCAUGAGACCCAUGUUUGUAAUAUCUCGCUCCUUGGAGCCUGAUGAAUGAAUACUUGAGUUGUAGAGUUAUGUUGUGAUGCCAUGUUGUAUUUACACAUAUCGAGCAUAUUGUGUGUAUGAUUGAAAUGCUUGGUAUGUGUGGGAUCCGACAAUCUAGUUGUUUAUCCUUGGCAGCCUCUCUUAUGGGGAAAUGUAGUCUAGUGCUUCCAUGAGCCAUAGUAGUCCUCUACAGUACGGUUCACCGGAGUCCUGCUAGCCCAGCACUACUGCUCAGGACACUUGACUGGCCGGCAUGUGCUUCACUUCGUUCCUGUGUCUGUCCCUUCGGGGAAAUGUCACGCGGUGACAUCUGGAGUCCUGCCUAGCCUGCUACAGCCCGGGUUCCCGGAGUCCUGUUAGCCCAGUGCUACAGCCCGGAUUCACAUGUUGCUGACCGACAUGCUCGAUGUGAUUCAUGUAUGCCUGUUCCCAUAGGUUAGUGCCACUUUGGGUUCACGACUAGCCAUGUCAGCCCGGGUUCUCUGUCAUAUGGAUGCUAGCGACACUAUCAUAUACGUGAGCCAAAAGGCGCAAACAGUCCCGGGCCAUGGUAACGCGACACCCGUGGGAACACCGUGCGUGAGGCCGCAAAGUGAUAUGAGGUGUUACCGGCUAGAUCGAUGUGACUUGGAAUCGGGGUCCUGACAGCUUUCCCUUCGCCUUCGCUAUCGCCUCCUUUGCACGCUCCUCCUCAUAUGGGGCUGCUUCCGAGAAAGCAGAAGAGAAAGCAAGAAAAUGGAGGAACGCUGUGCACGAAAUCCAAUCUGGCACCUUAUAUGGGGCCGCUUCCGAGUGGCUGACCUGUGGGGCCAGACGAUCCAAUCAAAUCCCGCGACAGUCGCAGGCGAGGUACAUGGCGAAAAAGGUGGCGUGGCGAUCGAGGCGGCCUCGCCUCAUCCCAUCUGAUUACUGCGGACUCAUCCAUCUCGCGCGCUUCCCCAAAUACAAAAUCCCACGAUAUCAGCGCACAGCAAGGCAACCUGUCAGGCGGAGGAUCUUUUCCAUAUCGACACUCAGAGCAUUGCAGCAAAAGUUCACUCGGCAGAAACCAAGAAUGGAUCAAGGCGACUGAGAAGAAGUUAGGAUCAUCAUAAUUGUUCGGUUGAUCGCAAAUAAGACGCUCCCGAAGCAUGGAAAUUGAAUCAGAAGAAUCCUCAACUCCUUCCCACUCAAGCCCCGAACCAUUCGGGGGCUAAUCAUGAAGCUAUGUACCUAGGGUAGGGUCACAGGUCUGACCUAGACGCCCUCCCCAAGGUCAUCGCCCUAAAGCCAGAAGCAUUCGAAGGGUAUCAUCAUCCACUCGACUAAAGACAUUCCACUCGGAAGAAUCAAUUACACUCGACCGUCACAGAAGCCACUCGACGUACAGAAGAUCUAAAGCCACUCUGCACAAACAAUGGCCGGGCGUUUACUCAUAGACUUAAUUGUCAUUUACAUCACUUAAUUGCUAGCGUUACCAGUAAUGUUCCACUCUUAAUGUACAUUGAACCCUGUGUAACGGAGGGGAGCUGGGGUCUUGGCGCACUCUACAUAAGCCACCCCCCUCCUCUGGGACAAGGGUUCGCAUCUUUUGUAAACUCACACACAUACAAUCCAGUCGACCGCCUCGGGGCACCGAGACGUAGGGCUGUUACUUCCUCCGCGAAGGGCCUGAACUCGUAAACUCGUGUGUACAACUACUCCAUAGCUAAGAUCUUGCCUCCUCAUACCUACCCCCCAUUCUAGCCCCAUUUCGGCAGUGGUUCUACCAUCGUUGGAGGGUGUUUGUCUCUGGCGAAUCUCAUGGGAUUCGGUCGACGUUAGUCUUCGGUGGAUCCACAUGGAUCAGGUCUUUGUUCGUCAGUGGUCAUUUGUCCAUUGGUUAGAUUUUUCCAAUCUACACAUCUCUUCAUCGGUGGCGGUUGCUGUUCAAGUGCACUAGUCCAAUAGGGAUUAGCACAAUGACUUCCUGACUGUCUACUGCAAAAAUAUUUGCCCGACCCCGGUGAGUAAGGGGCAAUGACGGCGGCGUGCCUUCGGUUAGCUACAGUGCUUGUAGUCAUUGCUAGAUGGUCAAUGGAUCUGGAUGUAAUAUUUACUUAUGUGGUUUUUUAGACUACCUUGAUAGUUGAUGAAUAAAUCGAAAGCUUUUCCUGUAAAAAAAUGAAAGGUGAUAUAUAUUGUUGGUCCAGGAGACACGGUGCUAGAGCCACCGGGAUUAGUUCACGGGGUUGGGGUUUACAUACUAAUUAAAUAGGACUGGAUAUUGGGGGAGGUUGGGCCCCACCCCAGCUGAAAUUGGGGAGGGGGGGGGGGGAUUAGUCAGAAGGAGUCUGUAAAAGCCGGUCACAAAUCCGCGUGUCUAGGAUUAUCGCUUCAGUAAUGCUUCAAGGUGCUGUUUGACUUCAACUAUAUGACUCUUCUGUGACUUUUAUGACUUUUUAUUAUCUUCACAUGUAUGCAUAAACACGUACAUGUAGAUAAAAAUCAUGGAAUAUGUGUGAAAAAUGUUUUUCUACCUUGGAUCCAUCAUUCUUCGUGCUUGUGCACUCGGUUUUCACUGAUACACAAUGGAACACAAAGAUACACUUCGUAACGAGAAGAGACUAAAUGCACGCCAACACUCAAAAAAAUGGUAAGGCCACGGUUGAUAGCUGCUAUCCAACCAGCCCCAAAAGCAACUAAAUUAAAAUAGUCUAAUAUAAUUGGUCUUUUAACUAGUACAUAUGAAACAUUAUGAUGCUCUAAGAUAAUAAAACAAAAAUGGAAUGGCUAAAUCAUAUUUACAUGUUUUUUAAGGAUGUCACAUCUAAGUUCUUAAUCGUCAGAUCUCGUUGUUAUUUUCGUGCAGUUUUGAUUUGCGUCCCUCUCGCGGGUCCUGCGUCGCUCGCGCACGUCGGUGUAGCUGUCGCUGUCGCUGGAUCGUUGACCUUUUCUGUUAGUCCGGCCGCUCGUUGCAUGGGCUGGCCUGUUUUUUGUUUUCUUUGGAACGCUUUUUUCGUUUUUCUGUGUUUGUCUUUUUUCUGGCUGUGUUAUAAGAAUUCAAAGAGGUUUACUGCCCAUACAUUCCACGUCUCAAUUUUUGUUGUCCCAUUUUUAUCUUCUUUUCUCCAUAUUUCUUCUUUUUAUUUUCUAAUUCAUGAUUUUUUAGUGUGUGAACACUUUUUGAAGUGUGCAAACACUUAUUAAAAUUCAUGAAUUUUUUGUGAAAAGUUUUAAAUCUUGUGUUUUUUAAAUUCAUGAAUAUUUUUAUAAUAUUUGAACAGUUUUCAAAUCAAAUUUGCUAAAUCUCAUGAAGAUUUUAACAAUGCCUUAUCUAAGUUGUGGUCCGUUCGAUUUAUUUCUUGUAAUCUUUUGCACAAUUUUAGACCCGUUCUUUUUUGUGUCGUGCAUCCUGCGUCGUCCCGAUGUCAAGUUGUCGAUCGGUUUUUUGUUAGGUUCUGAUCGCUAGAUACAGAAGAGACAUGGUUCUAUAUUUGUUGUCACUUUGAUCACCCUCGACUCGCAAGUCCAUCAAUGAAAUGCAAUUGGGUCGUGAUUUUUUUUUUGGCCCUAGUUGCAAGUACACCCUUGACUCGCAACUGGGCUCGUAGUUUGUACUUUGUCCUAGUUGCAAGUCCACUCUCGACUCGCAACUCGUAUCAUAGUUUUCUAUAGUUAUCCCAGUUGCAAGUCCACCCUCGACUACCAACUAGACAAGUUGUUUGUUUCAUCCCAGUUGCAAGCAUGUCUUUGACUCGCGACCGGGCCUGUGUUUCAUUUUUCAUCCCAGUUGCACGUCCACGCUUGACUGGCAACUAGGUUAGCAGUUUUUGUCUCCAUUGCAAAUCGACCUUCGACUCGGAAUCGGGCUUCUAUUUCAUAACUGUCCUAGUUACAAGUCCACCAUCAACUUGCAACGGGGAUCAUAGUUCUCUCAGUUGCAGGCCCACCAUCGACUUGUAACUGGGCUCGUAGUUGUCCCAGAUGCAAGGCCACCAUCAACUUGCAACUGACUAUGUGUUCGCUUUUCAUCCCAUUUGUAAUUUCACCCUUGACUCAUAACUAGGGUCAUAGUUUGUUUCAUCCCAAUUGCAAGUCCAUCUUGAGUCACAACUUGGCUCGUAGUUUCAUAGUUUUCAUAGUUGCAAGUCCAUCCUCGACUCGCAAGUAGGCUUGUAGUUGUCCUAGUUGCAAGUCCACCCUCAACUCGCAACUAGGCUCGUAGUUUGUUGUUAUCCCAGUUGCGAGUCCACCCUCGACUCACAACUAGGUUUAGUUGUUAUUGUCCCGGUUGGAAAUGCACCCUCGACUCACAAAUGGUAUUGUAGUUUUGUGUAGUUGUCCCAGUUACAUGUCCGCCCUUGACUCGCAAAUGGCAUGUAGGUUGUUUCGUCCUGGUUGUGUUUUGUUUUUAAUCCCAGUCGCGGGUUCACCCUUCACUCGCAACUGGGUCAGUAGUUUGUUCAUCCCUUUUGCAAGGUGAUAUUUGAUUCACAAUUGGGCUUGUAGUUUUGUAAUUUCCUAAUUGCUAUAAGAUUUGUGCGAAUUGUUUGUCUUGUAUUUCUCUGUUUUUCUAGGCACGGAUGUGUUACGUUUGUUCUCUGGGCCGCAUGCGUUGUGGUUACUUAUAUGGGCCGCGUUGAGGCAAUUUCCCAUUUGUUUCUCUGGAUGUGAAUUAUUUUUCUUUUUUAACGAAGUCACACCACGACUAGUUGAAGGUCAAUGAAGCAUUCUAUAGGUGCGUACAUGUGACCUCUCCUAUUUAUCUCCCACACAUUGUUUGUUUUUUCUUUCCCUUUUCUUUUUGCUUUUUCUUUUUCCUAUUUCAUUAUUCAUUUUAACUUAUAAGCUACUUUAAAAUCGUGUCUCUAUUUAUAUUUUCUAUUUUUUUCCUUUCCAUUUUUCUUCUUAUGUUCUGCUUUUAUUUUUUAUUUGUUUUAAUUACAUGAACUUUUUCUACUCUGUCAUUUGUUCUUUGCCUUACAUGUCGUGCAAAUUUUGAUCACGGGUUAUUUUGUCGCGCUCGUCCUCAGUUGUCGUACAUCUGGUAUCUACUUGUCGGCCUGCUUGCGUGUGCAUCUUUUGUUGGGCCAUUUUCACGGCAUGAUCUAGGGGUCUCAUUUUGGAUUGGUUUUGUUAAUUUUCGUCUAGAGGAGAGUUAACAAUGUCUCAUCUAACUCAUACACCAUUAGAUAUAUGUGCUUUUGAGUCGUGCUUGUCGUUAUGUCAUAUUUUAUGUUCAUUCCUUAUGAAGCAAUGAGGUCCGAUAUGACCUUUUUAGUGGGCUGUUUUUAUGUUUUGUGUAUUGGGUUUAUUUUAUGAAGGGCCACAUAUCUUUUUGUUCUCUGUUCUUUUUUUAUUCUGGGUCAACUAUGUAGCUAGGGAAGAGCGUAACUACAUUUUUUCUUCCGGAUUUGCUAAAUCUCUUCCAGAUGAGAUUUAGUGGGGCCUCAUCUAGGUAUAUAACUGUCCAUUUGUUUGCUUUAGCAUUCCCACAAGCUUGAUCAUUCGCAACGGUGACAACUCGUUCUUUCUCCUCGCUCAUCCCCUUAAUGUUUGUCUUGUAUUGGUUUGUUCUCGCAUUUCUUUAUAUGCAAGCCCAUAUAUGUCAUUGUUUGGGGNNNNNNNNNNNNNNNNNNNNNNNNNNNNNNNNNNNNNNNNNNNNNNNNNNNNNNNNNNNNNNNNNNNNNNNNNNNNNNNNNNNNNNNNNNNNNNNNNNNNNNNNNNNNNNNNNNNNNNNNNNNNNNNNNNNNNNNNNNNNNNNNNNNNNNNNNNNNNNNNNNNNNNNNNNNNNNNNNNNNNNNNNNNNNNNNNNNNNNNNNNNNNNNNNNNNNNNNNNNNNNNNNNNNNNNNNNNNNNNNNNNNNNNNNNNNNNNNNNNNNNNNNNNNNNNNNNNNNNNNNCUUUACUUUUGUUCAUUUUUGUUGUGCGCUUCUUCUGGCCAAGUGGAGAAUUUGUAGAGUCCACCUUCGACUCGUAAAAGGGCUCGUAGGCAAUUUCACCUUGACUCGCAACUACCCAAGUAUUUUCUUUUUCAUCCGAGUUGCAAGUCCAUGCUCGACUUGCAACUGGGCUCGUAGUUUGUUAUUGUCCUUGUUGCAAAAAUACCAUCGACUCGCAAAUGGUAUCAUAGUUUUGUGUAGUUGUCCUAGUUGUCAGUCUGUCCUUGCAACUGAGCCCGUAGUUUGUUUCAUCCAAUUGUAAGUCCACCCUUGACUCAUAACUGGGCUCGUAGUUUCGUAAUUGUCCCAGUUGCAAGUUCAUCCUUGACCCACAAUUGGGUCCAUAGUUUUUUUAUUGUCCUUGUUGCAAGUCCACCCUCAACUCGCAACUCUUAUCGUAUUUUUGUGUAGAUGUCCCAGUUGCAAGUCCAUUCUCGACUCGCAACUGAUACCGUACUUUUGUAUAGUUGUUCUAGUUGCAAGUCCACCCUCGACUCGCAACUAGACCAAUACUUUGUUGCAUCCUAGUUGCAAGCCCAUCUUUGACUCGCAACUCGGCCUGUGUUUUGUUUUCCAUCCCAGAUGCAGGUCCACCCUUGACACUCAAAUUGGUUCGUAGUUUGUUUCAUCCUACUUGCAAGUCAACUCUUGACUUGCAACUCGGCUCAUUGUUUCAUAGUGUUCACAGUUGCAAGUUCACCCUCGACUCGCAAUUGGGCUCGUAGUUUGUAGUUGUCCCAGUUGCAAGUCCACCCUCGAGUCGCAACUCGUAUCGUAGUUUGUGUAGUUGUCCUAGUUGCAUGUCCACCAUCAACUCGCAACUAGGCCCAUUUUGUUUGUUUCAUCCUAGUCGCAAGCACACCUUUGACUCGCAACUGAAUAUAUGUUUUGGUCUUCAUCCUAGUUGCAGGUCCACACUUGGACUCGCAACCGGGCCCAUAGUUUGUUUCAUCCCAGUUAGAAGUCAAUCCUUGACUCGUAAUUGGGCUCAUAGUUUUAUAAUUUUCCCAGUUGCAAGUGUGUUCUUGACUCGCAACUGGCCCGUAUUUCUUCCAGUUGCAAGCCCACCCUCGAGUUUAAGUUGCAAGUUCACCCUCGACAUGCAACUAGGGGGCCGGCCAUUUUCCCCCAGUUGCAACUCCAUCCCCGACAUGCAAUUGGAGAUGCCCUUUCUUGUCUCACUUGCAAGUCCACCAUUGACAUGCAACUAGGGGCGACCAUUUUUUCCUAGUUGCAACUCCACCCCCGACAUGCAAUUAGAGGCAUGUCCUUUUUCUUGUCUCACUUGCAAGUCCACCAUCGACACACAACUAGGGCUCAACCCAUAUUUGUCCUAGUUACAAGUCCAACUACAACCCUGGCAUGAUAUUGAGGAUCCGCCGUUUUUAUUGUCCCAGUUGCAUGUCCAUGCUUAAUAUGCAACUAGGGCUCAACCAAUUUGUCUUAGUUCCCUCGAUAUGGAACUGGUGCUCGGAUCCAUUUUGUCCCAGUUGCAAGUCCACCCUUGACACGUAACUGGGAGGCAGUCAUUUUUGGCUCAGUUAUAACCCCACCCCUGACAUAUAAUUGAUGGACCCUCCUUUUUCUUGUCCCGGUUACAAGUUCAUCAUCGACACAAUUGGAGCCCAACAGAUAUUUGUCCUUGUUUCAAGUCCAACUACACUCAUGACAUGCAAUUCGGGGACUACCUUUUUUGCCCCACCUGUAAAUCCACCCUCAAUACGCAGCUAGGGGGCGACCAAUUUUAUUCCAAUCACAACUCCAUCCUCUAUACACACCCGGAGGCUCUACCCUUUUUUGUCGUUGUUGCAAUUCCACCCUCAAUAUGCAACUAGGCCCGACCCAUCUUUGUCCCAGUAGCAAGUCUACCCUCGCCACACAACGACAUUGCCCACAACGAGGCAACCAUUAAGGGAGGUGGAGGGUUGUCGAUCAGCUGCAUCUCCACAUUUAAUAAAUUAUUCAUGUUUUUCUUUUUUUACAGUCAUGAACAUUCUCUUAAAUAAUGAUAUUUUUCGAAAUCAUGUUUUUUUUCAUUUUUUUGUUUUUGUAAAUCAUGGUCAUUUUUUUUAAUUUCACAAACUUUUUUUUGUAUUUGCUAACUUUUUAUGAAUUCGUAUUGAGUGAUUUGUGCUACUGUGCAUGUAUGAAUGUAGAGGCAAGUGAUGCGUGGAUAAGCUAUUGGAUAGAAUGAGCGACCAUGUAAAUGUGCAUACAUGCAGACAAUGGCAAAGUUGAUGAUGCGUAGCUAGCUUUGACAGUGUUUUGAUUGUUCGGCGUCGCGAUCACCGUCAACGAAAUAGUAAGGGUUGUACGUUAGGUUGAUUUAUCUAUCUGUAACAACUACAAAAUACACAAGGAGCCACUUAGCAAUGCAUCACACGUAGCAGUAGCAAUCGGCGUAGCAGUACGUACUAGCAACAUAGCUACAGCUUUGCAUGUGACAAAGCCGCCCACCGUCCAUCCAUUUGAUAAAGCUGAGCAGCAGAAAAGAGAAGACAUGGAGGAAGCGAAGCGCUCAUCGAGUUUAAGAUGAGCUGGCUUUGAAAAAAAAAGAAAAACAAACAAACAAACAAGGAUAAUGGCGUGGGGCUGUUUUCAAUGUGAGGUUGGCUGAUGUCAUAUUUAGAUGUGACAUAGUUAUGUCACAUCUAGAUGAGUCCUAUACACACCCAAACAAAAAUCACAACAAAUCUUUUUUUAUGUCACAACCUAAAAUAAAACAAGACAACUUAGACAUAACUAGUAAGCGUGACAUGAAUCUCCAGAUGACAACGCACAACACGUCAGAUGUGGCAAUUUCAAAGUGUUUGUCGUGUGUACAAGAAAAUCACAUGGUUGUAACGAAACAAUAGAUUAAUGAAAGAAAAAGAUUUGGGAGACGAAGGAGCUAUAACAAUCUUACAGUAAUUUACAGAGAAAAAAGGAUGUUCACGAAUCAAAACAGCCUUGUACUUCGUCGGUGGUUUAAUGGUUAACCACGCUGCACUUCUUCCUGAUCUCGCCCUGGCUGCCGGUGAGAGGAUUGGCAUUGCCCAUCUUGAUCAUGGAGGCGGCGAAGUCAGCGAAGAACUCGUCCUUGAAGGCGCCGGUGGCAUGGCGCUGGACGUAGGCGCGGGUGAAGGGGUCGGUGAGGAGGGCGCCGUCAGAGUGGAAGAGGCCCCUCCGCUUGCUCACCAGCUUGAAGUAGUCGGUGUCGAAGGUCUUGAAGCUGCCGGGGUCCAUCUCCACGAGGGUGGUGUUGUCGUUGAGGCUGGCACACUUGCUCUUUAGCCGCAUCAUGUACUGCGGCUCCAGCGAGGGGUCGAUAUCGCUGGGGUUCUCCAUGCCGGUGAAGUUGUAGAGCCGGUCAGAGAAGGAGAAGCAGUGCGACGUCCCGAUAGUGUGCCCGGCAGACAAGACGACAAGGUCCUUUGCGUCGAGGUUCACGGCGGCGAAGAGCUGGGUGAGCACGGUGAAGUUGGAGGUCGGGGGUGGUAGAGCGUCGGUCUCGUUGGAAAUGGACACGCUGCCGUCUCGCCGGCCCAGAGGAACUGUCCAGAAUGGACCCUUGCUCUGGAGAAACCAUGAUCGAGCAGCAUUAGAAUUUAGCUUCCACACGUACCGUGUCAUUUGAAAAAUGGCAUAGUAGUAGUACUCUACUCACCAGCCAUACUGCGUCCCUGGCAAUGAGGGCGAGGAUGUCGGCGCAGGAGACGGUGUCGGGGCAGGCCUUCUCCACCGCGGCCUUCACCCUGUCGACAAAGCCGAAGCCUCGCAGCGUCUGGUUCGGCUGCGCGUCCUUCUCCGCCGUCUUGUUGGCCGAGUCUAGCAGAACCGAGCCGUCGCACCCCUGCAUAUUCACGGUGGUCAGGCCAUAGCGCACAACGGGGUACGGGCAGAUACUAAUGCAUGCAAAUGCAGCAUACCCUGACGAAGCAGUCGUGGAAGUGCAUCCGGAGGAGCGGCCCGGCGAGGCUGGGCGCCAGUGACAGCGCCCUCACCAUCUCCUUCCUCACGACGUCCUCCACGCUGGGGCACGACUCGCUGUAGAACUUGUCGUGCAGCUGCGCCCGCGCGCACGUCGCCGCCACCGCCGCGAGCAGCAGCGCCACCAUCGUUGCACCCCUACACGCCAUCUUCUCGCCAAGAAGCUUGUUUCUUGCUUGGCUAUGCAAGAAACGACGAUGGCUAGGUGGCGAGUUGAUCAGGAGAAGCUUGAGCUGCUGCUGCUGAUGGACUGGCGCCGGGGAAAUAUAUAGCGCCGGAGUGUCCCCACGCCUGCAUGUGGUGGGCUGUCCUCCGGAGCAGCAGGUAAAAUUCCCAUGGUUUAAUGAGUUGUUCCUUGUUUGCACUCUGCGGAAUCUUUGCCGUGGCAGGUACACCGGCGGCCACCGUACGUAUAAUGGAGGCGGACGGACAGCCAGACGGAAGCACAUCAUUAGAUGAAUUCACUAAUUUUCUCUAGACAGCAAUUUUCUCACUAACUUACUAAUUAGCCAUCACGGAGCAAACUGCGGUGCCAAGUUCUAAUCAGCAAAGGAUACGUGCAACAAAUGAAUGCCACCACCUACUGGUAGUUUGAAGACAUGGAAAUAUCAUGAUCCGUAUAUUUAUAUUGGCACCGCAUGCUAUCCCGAAUCAGCUUCGCUAAGUCUCAGUCAAUGCUAUAUUCGCUUGAUCUUGCGUGAAGAUCCGUGCAAUUUCGAUGUGGUCUGAAAUACUUGUAACACUAGAAUUUUGAGCCAGAUUUACAAACUUGAAAAUAAAUUUAAAUUAUGUUACAAUUCAUUGAAAGGUAGUAAUUUUUUUAAAGAAUUUUUGCAUAUGUCAUCCAAAAUUGCUUUGUUUUUUAGAUUAAAAACCUUGCCAAUAAUUAUGCUAAUAUUAUGCCUUGUUCGAGGCCCUGGCCCAAAAGACCAGAAGAAUUUAAAUAUCAUGUUUUGAUCAACAUAUAAUUUGAAUAAUGACGUUUAAAUUCCAAACAUGGUUAAAAUGAUAUUUAUAAAUUUGGAGAUCUAGUUUUUAUAAGUCUCAAGCUUGGCACGUGGUUGGAAUUUUGUAUUCACGAAAAACCAAUGGGAAUCCCCCCCCCCCCCCUGUCCGGGGUGUUUGAGGCAAGUAAUUCUGCACGAAAUUCAAUAUUUAAACCCGAAUAUUAAUAUAGAGAUCCUACACCUACGAAAGUCUAGGUAAACCCACCAUAACAAUCAUACAGACAUUCUAGAACACGAGAAAAAUAGUUGCCGAGGCAAGAUCCUAAACAUGCCCAUUACUGGGUUGCAUCUUAUUGCUUGGUCAUCUUGUCAUAUGCAUCGACCGUCGCGUAAGAAAACCAUAUAUUAUAGGAAAUGGUUUAUAGGUGAACAUAAAUUUGUGACGGGCGAGACGUGUGCCCGCCACUGGUAGACUGUUUCAAAGCUGGCCGCGUAAUGCAACCUAAUUGUGGUGAGCAGUAACAAAGGCCCGCCACUGCUUAUUUGUACAUUAAUGGCGAGUGUGACUGUUGCUUGCCACAGCUAAAUUGUGGUAAGCACUUUUACCAGGCACGACGGAAGUACAUAUUAUACACUUGUAGUAGUGGCCGGUCCAGUCGGCCGCCCGCCAGUGCUGUCCACUUACGUGUAGCGGGCGCCCUGCUGUGCCCGUCACACGUAGACCCACGACAGUGGCUGCAGUUUAUUUUUCCCCCACCUGAAAAACGAUUCCAAAAUUUGGCAUUUCCCCCGCCCCCUCCCCCCGCGCUUUUCCCCCCAAAUCUCGCCUGACUCAGCGUCGCGCCCCUCAUUGCCCCCUCUCAUCCUCGCCGCCGCUGCGCCCCUUGUUGCCGCCUCUCCUCCUCGCCGCCGCCGCCACACCCCUCGUUGUUGUCGCCCCCUGCGUCGACGCUGCGUCACGGCCUUCCUCGAGGCCACAGGCAUGGACUCCUUCUCCAACACUGGAGGCAUCUUGCUUUCGCCGCCACCGCGAAGCUCCUCCGCCAACAUCGGAUACCUCGCGCCGCCUUCGGACGCCAAGCGAGCCACCUCUAUGGUAUGGUCAAAGUUGUGUUUAGGGUAAAUAAAUAUUUAGCAUUGAUUAAAUUUGAGUAGUGUGCCGUACUAUUAUUGUGCUUAGGGUAACUAUGAGUAGAUUAGGAACAUUUUUUAGGUAUUGACAUGAGUGACAAUGUUUGGCAAAACGUCGAUUCAUUUCCGUUUCGCCGAAUUUCUGGUACUCAUUAUGUCCUCUUCUUAGCAGAGGUCAUGUCGAAUUUUUCUUUCAUUUUUUAACUAGGAUCCAUUGUAGUAUCAUUGGCUUAUAUUUGCCGGUAUUAACAUGAGUGCCAAUGUUUUGGCGAAACGUCGAUUCAUUUCUAUUGGCCUUACUUUCAAAUGCAAGUUCAUUUCUUUAUGCUUGCACAUAUACACAUGAGUACUUUGAUGUCAAUCUCAUUAAUUUUACAUUGUUCAAUUGUUCCCCGAGACGGCCGAGCUUAUUUCUUCGAUUCCAGGAGAGACCCUAAGAAGCCAUGCACCGAUCUGAAGAAAGUUAUGAAUGCUGCUCUUUUGAUGUGUCAUAACACUAGUAGAAAACAGGGUUUUGGUCACAGGGAAAUAUUCACAUUAGUCCCGCUUUAGUCAUGAACCGGGACUAAUGUGAGCAUUGGUCCUGGUUCGUGCGGCUAAGGCAUUAGUCCCGGUUCACCUGAGCCCUUUAGUCCCGGUUUAAGACACGAACCGGGACUAAAGGGUGCGAUGCCCUUUAGUCCCAGUUUGUGUCUCAAACCGUGACUAUAGAUUAGACCUUUGGUCCCGGUUUGAGACACGAACCGGGACUAAAGGGUGUGAUGCCCUUUAGUCCCGGUUUGUGUCUAAAACCGGGACUAAAGGUCCCAUUUUCAAACUCUACCCCCCCUGGAUCGCCUUUUUGUUUUGAAAAAAAUCAAAAGAAAAUGAUAAAAACUUCAAAAAAUAAAAUCCUUCGAGAGGUAGUUAUAUUACUACAUCUACUAGUUAGGAAAAAUUUAAAAACUUAAAUUUGGACAUGUUUUGCAAAAAGUGCAGGGAAAACGUAAAACGGCUAUAAUUUUUGCAUACGAUGUCGGAAAAAUGUAUAAUAUAUCAAAAUGUUCAGCACGAAAAUGUUCAGCAGGAAAAAAAGUUAUGCUCAAAUUUUAGUUUUUUUUGUAUUUUCGUUAAAUCUGGUCAAACUAUGGUUAAACUACUUAUUCAAGAAGUAUUAGUGUUUCUAAAUAAUUAUUCAAGAAUAUUAGUGUUACUAAAUAGUUAUUUCAGUUUUUUUGAAUUUUGGUCAAAUGUGGUCAAACUGUGGUCAAACAAUGGUCAAACUACUUAUUCAAGAAAUAUUAGUGUUACUAAAUAAUUAUUUUAGUUUUUUUGAAUUUUGGUCAAAUCUGGUCAAACAUUGGUCAAACUGUGGUCAAACUAUGGUCAAACUGUGGUCAAACUACUUAUUCAAGAAAUAUUAGUGUUACUAAAUAAUUAUUGUUUUUUAGAACAAUAGUUUCAAACUCAAACAGUGAAAUGUGUGACUUAAUGCUCAAGCUAAAUUCCUGAGGGUUAAUAGGAUUGACAUCUUACUAUUGUCAGGAAAAGAACAAGUGCAGACUUGGAAACGAGGGAGAAUAGAACCUGGAAGUUAAGCGUGCUCAGGCUGGAGUAGUGACAGGAUGGGUGACCGUCCGGGAAGUUAGACGAUUCGGAAUGAUGAGGGAUGAUUAGAGAUUAGAGGUUAAAUUGAGCAGUGAUGAGGGGUGAUUAGAGAUUAGAGGUUAAAAUAAUUCAGAAAUUUGAAAAUAAAAAAAUCAUAAAAUUUCCUUUAGUACCGGACCAACCGGGACUAAAGAUGGACCUCCAGGCAGCGGCCACGUGGAGGGCCUUAAGUCCCGGUUCGUAUAAGAACCGGGACUAAAGAGGGAGGCUUUAGUAACGACCCUUUAGUCCCGGUUCCAGAACCGGGACUAAAGGCCCUUUAUCUACUAGUGUAUGUCCGACCGUAAGAACAUGCCACAUUCGCAGUACAAAUUUAACACUAGCUUUUAUUGCCGGCAACAACCGAAAGGAAAAACCAUGCACAUGGCUGGCUACUAUGCCAUGGUCUUGAUGGAUGACAAUGUGCGUGCAGGACCACUGUUGAGGAGUGAUUCAAUGUUGUAGAAAUGGUCCGAAGAGAAUGAGAAGGAAUUUAAGCGAGCUCACUUUGGGACCCCCAGAAGAUUUGUGGGACGGGAUCUCUGCGGCGGACAUGGAGAAGCACUAUCUAUGGACGUGGGAGAAGUAUCGGGCAGAGCACCUCAGGGAGGCGAUGUUAGCUUGGGUUAGAAGUAUUCCAAUGGCCCAGUGUUCUCUCCGAGCGAUUGAGAAGAUUGCAGAGAAGCGGUUUAGUGACCUUGCGGCGUCCAUCCUUACGGAGGCAACCCUGGUUGAGAGGCUGAGGAUCUGGCCGGGUAUGAGUCCAACCACCAUACCCAUAACCGCUGAGGUUGUUGUGGGCUCUCCGAGAGGCCAAAUCUCCAAUUCCAGAGCAAGCGGCCCGUUGGUCCCCAUUCGUUCCAUCAAGUACUAAUUCAUGUAGUAUGUGCGGCUUCUACUAACAGUCUACGCGUUAAUAUCGGCUGACACUCAUUGCACUCCAAAACAACUUGUCAAAUCAUUAAUUAUGUGAUGAGCGAUGACAUAUAUAUGCUUAUUAAUGAUUGUAAUGCACUUGUUAUAUUUUCCUUAUAACUACUACUUUUCAUUAAUCUGACAUCAUUGUAAUGUGGUUCGUGUAUGUGGAUCAUGGUUCAAACCCACAUUUAUGUAUCAAAUGCAAUAUGGUGAUAUGAUUGAGGUGCAAUGUGCUGCAGUUCAAUCAAUUCGGCAUGCGACGAUAGCAGUGGCGAGCACAACACACUGUGGUGGGCGGUACAAAAGGACUGCCACUGAUGCGCGAAAUUCAUAUGGUGGGCAACACGGAAAACUGUGGCGAGCACGGACAAUCGCGAGCCACUGCUCUUGGGCUAACACUGGUGGGCGGGUGGCCACCACUGAUGGCGUAUUAGAGCAUCUCCAACAGCUGUGCAACGCGCCGCGCACUAAAAGUCGCGAUACAGCGCCGGGUUAGCCUGCUUUUGCGCGCAGCGGUGCGCUGGCUCCAAUGGCCGCCGCAAAUUAAAGCGCGCCCACGCCGCUCUAGCAGGCGCGCUAUAUUUCAGUUUUUUCUACAACAUAUUUGGUUUCGUAGAUAGUUCUCCUACUACAUAUUUGGUUUCAUAGAUAGUUCCCCUACUACUACUCAUCCGACUUGGACUCUGUCUCAGUGAUGUCCUCCUCCGACAUCGGAGCGUAGGCGUCAAGGAACCGCUCGUCACCGGAGUUCCAGGAGGACGCAUCUCCUAGCGCUUGGUUGUAUUUAGCGACCGCCUUCCACGUUCGCUUGUCCUCGCGAUAGUCGGCUCACUCCUCCCUCCUCUAGGAGAAUAACUGUUCCUCGUUGGUGUCUUCUGGGAAGCAAUGACUCCACAGCGCCAUGGCUUGCUCGUCCAUCUCGGCUAGCCUGAGACGAUGCUCCCGCCUCCGGUGUCUGCGAUGAUCCUCGUCAGUAAGAAGCCGCGGGAAAGGCACCAACUCAUGUGCGCGCUCUCGCGUCGCCAAGUCGGCGAAGUUCAUGUCCUGACGGGACCGCAGGAGGCGCCACGCCGCAGCGUCGUACGCGCGGGCGCCCUCCUAGGCGGUGUCGAAAAUUCCGAGACGGAGCCGCAGGCCGCCGCCCGACCGAAUCUCGGCAGAGUAGGUGUUGGACGAACGCACGCGGACGCCGCGGUAGCCCGUACCUCCCAGACGGCGAGGCGGCAUCGUGGCGCGGUGGUGGCGUGUCGGCGGCAGAGCGUGGUAGGGGGCGAUGGAGAGACGGAGAGAGCGGCAAAGGAUGAUGGAGAGAGCGGCGGAGGCGCUACAAUUUAUAGGCGCGCUGAAUGCGGCGCGCCAAAUGUAGCACGCGAGCGGCCGCCUUUUCCCACGCGCGUGCAAUCGUUUCCCCGCGUGCUAGUUUCGUGCCACCGCUGGAGCGCGCGAAAACGUCCCGCGCGCACUAUAUAGCCAAUUUACCGCGCGAGCGUCUUUUGGCGCGGCUGUUGGAGAUUCUCCUAGCAGUGGUGGAAGGUUAGUGGCGCGUGCCCUUGAGAGCCUUGCCCGCCACUCCUGGGCUUUUCCCACAUGCGACUGCUAGGCAUUCCUGCAGUAGUGAUAAUUCUCGUUGAAAUGGGUGGUGAGUCUGAUCCGUCACAAGUUGAUUUCGUUCUUAGUAGAGCCACCGAAGCAUGGUAGCCCUAGAAAAUUCUCGAGAUUAUAUGUUAAUGGUGUAACAGCCCAUCAGGCUAGCCCAAGGCCCCUUUAGCCUAUUGCACGACCAUGUCCAUCAAUCGGGCAUGUGGGCCAUCCAGAAGGAAGGAACCAGCAUCUUGACGAUCAAGGGAAGAAGGCCAGAUAUCCAGGAGGACUCUCCAGCCGCCUUAGCUGACUAGGAUUAUUGUAACCAUAGGACUUAGUAUCCUUAAUAAGUCAAGGUCAAGCUAGCAGCUAGGGGACCUUACAAUCAAUCCUUUGAUACACCUAAGAUUCUAGAGCCCUUAAAAAAACCCUAAGAUUCUAGAGAACAUCAUUAUACUUUGUACAAUCCUUCAAUCCAGUACAACACAAGUAAGAGUAGUGCUUUGCCUCCAAAGAGAGGUCUGAACAUAGGUAUGUAUCAUGUUUCCCCUCUGUGCUUUCUGGCUAGUCACGGCACCCUACCGAUGGGUCUAUGGGAUUUUACAUCGACAAUAGCACCAGACCUGGAUCGUGCUACUAAGAGCUGACAUGCAGAUUGGAUCCAAACAUCAAUUGUGGUGUCUUCGCUCCUCGCCCGAUCAUCACCUUCGUUGCGAUGAACUUAAUCACAAACUCGGUGGCCAGAUUAAUCCCAUUGACACUUACGCAGUAGUCCAGAUUCUCUUCUUCGAGAAUCUAGAUACAUUGCCGAUGGGCGUGAUGAGCUCGAUCUCUGCAACCUAGCACAAUGCAGGAGCCAGAGCCGAUCUUCAUCAGUCCACCAACCUCCCACUACAUUGCCACCAUCGACUUUUUCCAUGACGUCCUAAAGGAGCAUGAGCCAAAGGAAGAGGAAAGCGAUGGAAGUUGCCCCGAAUUGAUACCAACACCUUGCUAGCCUUGGGAGGCAACUGCCAUGUACAUGGUUGAUAACAUAGCCAACGCUGAAGAUGACGCUUUCGACGAGCGCGCACUCACAACACGCAUGCCACUGGUACCGAAUACCAACGACACCUCCAAAAAACUAGAAGCCUGCCAUAAGAAGAUGUAGCACCUGCACUUGCGCCAGCAACAGAAGCGCAGUCGCCUCUUAGAAAGGAAGGCCCAACCGUAGCCUCCAUCAGGCUAGUCCAGAAUAGGGCAGAACAUAGUGUAUUAUCUGAAGAUGUGACCAAACUUGUCGCCCGGGCCCGAGCAAUGCAUACAGCAAUACAUGGAGUUGCACCUGCCAAUUCGGCAAUGUUUCACACCCCGCCAUAAACCUUAUGGUUCCAGUGGGGUAGUGAACGACAUCAAACUCAUAGACGAUCAUCUAGGCCAGGAGAAUUGGUUUUUUAAAAUAAUUUAUAUAUGUAAUUUGACCAGAAAAUGAUUAGUUUCAGGAGGGCCUGCAUUGCACCCUUUUUCCUGCAGAUUAGGGAGUAGCAAAAAAUAUUUGUGCUUUGCAGGAUUGCAACUCAUGUCUCCAAAGGCGUCAACCAGCUGACCUAGCAUAUGCUUGUGCUAAAAAUAGGUUCAUUAUUUAAUUAAAAAGUCCCACCUCGACUCUUUGCACGAGAAUACAUCAAUUUAUAUGAAUUUAUAAAUUGUGUGGAAAUUGGGGAGCCAAUUGAAGAAAAAGGAACAGAGGGAGUGAAUGAAUUAAAUGGAUUUGGGAUAGCAUUGUUGACUUGUAUUAAAUAAAUAAAAUUGUUGCAUUUGCAUGGAUAGUUGUGUCAAUAUAAAUUAAUUGAAUUUGUAAUAAAGGCCAGAUUUUGUGAUUGUUGCUAUGAGGGGGAGACCCUAUAAUUAAUGAAUUAAUCCUUUCGGAGUUUACCAAUCUUACGUUAAUAAUCAUUUUCAAGACUUUCAUGAGAUAACCGCAACAAAGGAUGGAAUGGAUUUCAACCUCAGCGUGCGUAUCCCUGCUGACGUCAGGUGGCACCAUUCGGAUGUUGUUGUGUCGCAUGGACAUGUCAAUUACUUCUCCUGUUGCAAUGCACGGGCAUAUGUGCUAGUAAACCUUAUGGUUGCAAUGGGGCAGUGAACGACAUCAAACUCCUAGACGAUCAUCCAGGCCAGGAGAAUUUUGAGCAUGCCAAAAUUUUGCUCCAAACAGUUGUGGUACGACAAAAUGUUUGCAUAGGAUCGAAGACCACGGUGGGGACCGCGAACGACAUGCACAAUAGACAAGUUCACCCCAUCAGAAUCGAAUGUCCACUCGUUCGCAUAGGCAUGCAGUUGCCAACCUGUCUUCGCCGACAUGCUCGCAAAGUCGCGCACUCGCCAACCCCGAGAGAACACCAUUGCCGCACUAUCUGCUGGGAAACAUAGUAGAAAACUAAAAAAUUCGCUGUAUGAUCACAAUCCAGGAACACUAUGAAGAUGCAUUGCAGGUGUAGAUUGGAUCGUUACCAACUUAGAGUUGCACUGUAAGAAGAGUUGAUGUAUAUCAUUGAUGAAAUCCUGUGAACCGUUCACAAAUGAUCCAUCGAGCAGAAGAACGAGCCUAAGAAUAUCCCUCCAUCGUCGGAGGAGCAAAUCCCACUCUUGAGCUAUCUAGCCCCUUGUCACACUUUUCGAUGAACCUGAAAGUUUUCGUUAUGAUCACCGUGUUAUAGAAGACGUUUGAGAAAGCCCAAAGUUUAUUGUCUGGUAUGAAGUGACUAUGAUACUCCCAUGGUACGAUGAACUAAAGUAUACGUUACCUCUCCUUGUUAUAUCAAUAGACUUGUGACGAUUACAUGUUAAAGUAUAACAAUCAAGUUGGAUCAAUUCAAUAUGAUCGUUCUUGUAACAUCAUACAAUCAAUGUUGUUUUGGUAUCCUCGUUACUCUUAACUAAAUACAUAUGAUCAGGAAAACAUGAUUAUCACACAACACUUGAGCUAGUCCUAGGGGCAAAACUAGGAAUCAGAUUUUACUGUUGAUUAUUCUAGACGUGUAUGUGCGUUUCAUCUAAAACGCAUAUUGAAGAAUCAAAGCAAGUAUAUCAUAGAAUAUAAACUCUUAAUUAGAAAUAUAGAAAUAAAUAAUACAAAUAUAAUUUCCUCUAGGGCAUAUUCCAACAAGCUCCCACUUGCCCUAGAGCCAAUAAUCUAGUUACAUAGCUUCUCUAACACCAAUGGCUAUUCGAUGUUACUCAUAUUUUGGUGAUCAUAGAGGCUUCGUCAUUAGGUCUAACACAUUCAAACAAUUGUGAAUCUUGAGUACUUUCACAAAAACUUUAUAUGCUGUCAGAUGAUUUGGUACCUGCGUUCGACAUCCCUAGUCUUCAUGUGGGACCUUGGCUCCUUUUCUUGCGUAACAUCGCCACUAUUAUAACAAUAGAGCUCCAUUGGACUCAACACACUUGGGACCACACCAAUCUCUUCAAGAAACUUCUUUAUCCAGACUGCCUCCUUCAAACCUUUUGAAGCCGCAAUAUAUUCUACCUCCGCCGUACAAUCUGCAACAAUGUUCUGCUGGAAACUUUUCCAAACCACUGCACCACCAUUAAGAGUGAAAACAUAGCCCGGUUGAGAUUUAUAGUCAUUUAUAUAAGUGAUGAAGCUAUUGUCAGUGUAACCACUUACAACGAGCUCUUCAUCUCCUCCAUAUACAAGAAGAAUGUCCUUCAUCCUUUUGAGGUACUUAAGAAUAUUUUUAACAUCUGCCCAAUGAUCCAAUCCCGGAUCACUUUGGAACCUUCUACUGACACUUAGCACAUAAUAAACAUCUGGUCUUGUACAUAUCAUAGCAUACAUAAUAGAACCAAUUGCGGAGGCAUAUGGGAGUCCACUUAUUUGCACACGCUCAUCAACAGUCUUGGGAGAUGAUUCUUGCUAAGUGUUGUGCAAUGUGACAUUGGAAUAAAACCUUUCUUAGUGUUCUCCAUUUUAAGCCUCUUUAAAACCUUGUCCAUGUGCGUGCUUUGGCUUAGCACAAUUAGACGUCUUGAUCUAUAUCAAUUGAUCUUAAUGCCAAAUAUAUAUGUUGCUUUGCCUAAGUCUCUCAUCGAAAACAUACUUUUCAAUGAAUGUUUUGUUGUGCUAAGAAACUUUACUUCAUUCCAACAAUAAUAUGUCAUCCACAUAUAAGAUUAUAAAUGCUAUAGAGCUCCCACUAAAUUUCUUGUAUACACAAGCUUCUUCAUCGUUCUUAAUGAAGCCAAUUUCUUUAACCACUUCAUUAAAAUGUUGAUUCCAACUCCUCCAUACUUGCUUUAAACCAUAAAGUGAUCUUUGAAGCUUGCACACCUUACCGUCAUCCUUAGGAUCUAAAAAACCUUCUGGUUGCAUCAUGUAUACAUCCUCAUUAAGAUUUCCAUUUAGAAAAGUCGUUUUGAUGUCUAUUUGCCAUAUCUUGUAACCGAAAUAUGCAGCAAUUGCCAUCAUAACCGCAGAAUUUAACAUGGAUACUAGCAAAAAAGUCUCGUCAUAGUCAACUCACUCGAUUUGCAAAAAUCCUUUCACAACUAGUCUUGUUUUAUAGAUAAGUAGGAUUACCAUCCGUGUCGGUUUUUCAUUUGAAGAUCCAUUUAUAUUGAAUGUGUUUUACACACUCUUGGGGAUCUACCAAGUUCCAAACAUUUGAUUCUCGUACAUGGACUCCAUUUCGUUUUUCAUGGCUUUAAGCCAUUCUUUUGAACCGGGCGCCUCCAUCGCUUCUCUAUAGUGCGCAGGCUCAUCUUCUUUUAAGAUGAAUAUUUCAUUAUGAAACAAGUCAGCAGGUUCGCUAACUCUUGCUAACAUACGCGGUUCAGUUACAUGCUUAACUAGAUUUUGUACAAUUGGUGUAGUAAAUUCUGGUUCAAUUGUGUGGACAACUUCCAAAACAAUUUCCGGUUCAUUAGUCCAGCUUACUUCCACCAGAGAUUCAACAAUCUCAUAAAGGUGUACUAUCCUCCCACUCACGUCUUUAGGUAGAAACUCUUUCUCAAGAAAGUGUCCAGCCCUUGCAAGAAACAAUUUGUCAUCAGUUGGGCGGUAGAAGGAAUACCCAAUAGUUUGUUUGGGAUAACCUACAAAUUAACAUUUGUCUGAUUUGGCAUUGAGUUUAUUUGGUUGUAAAUGCUUCACAUAAGGUUUCACAACCCCAAAUCUUGAGAUGCGACAAAUUGGGUCUCUUCCUAUUCCAUAACUCAUAUGGUGUCGAUUCAACAGACUUAGACUGUGCUCUGUUUAGUGUGUAUAUUGUUGUUUCGGGAGCAUAUACCCAAAAUUAUAAAGGCAAAUCGGUAAGAGACAUCAUUGGCCUCACCAUGUCAACAUGGUUUGGUUACACCUCUUAGAAACUCCAUUCCUUUGUGGAGUUUCAGGAUGAGUAUAUUCGAAAACAAAUCCAUUAUCACUUAGAUGUUUGUUAAACUCGUGACUUUGAUAUUCGCCUCUGCACUAUGAUCAUAGAAACUUUAUCUUCUUGCCACGAUGAUUAUCAACUUCGUUCUAGAAUUUUUUGAACUUUUCAAAGGUCUCAGGCUUAUGUUUCAUUAAGUAAAUAUUACCAUAUUUAUUAAAACCAUCAGCGAAGGUUACAAAUUAUAAGCAUCCACCGUGUGCCGGUGUGAACAUCGGACCACCAAUAUCACUAUGUAUUAUUUCCAAUAAUUCACCCCCCGUGUUAAGGAUGACCCGUGAACGGGGUCUCAGUUAGUUUACCCAUCAAGAAAGCCUCGCAUGUGUCAAAUGAUUCAAAAUCAAAAGGUGUUAAUACUCCAUAUUUAUGAAGCUUUUGCAUACAUUUCUUUCCGAUGUGACCAAGACAGCAAUGACACAUGUAAGUAUUAUUAUUAGUCUUCUUAAGACAUUUAACUUCUAUGUUAUAGACAUCAUUUUCACAUUCAGGAUCCAAAUUGAAAAAUUGACCGAUAAUAGGUGCAAAGCCAUAAAACAUCUCCUUAUAAUAAAUUGAACACUCAUUUUUCCGAGACAUAUAAUGAUAACCAUAGUUUAUUAAACAUGAUACAGAGAUAAUGUUCUUACAGAAAUCAAAACAAAAUAACAAUUAUUAAGUUCUAAGAUAAAUCUUGAAGGUAAACUUAAAGACAUGACUUUGAUAGCUUGAGCAGAGAUCACAUCACCAUUCCCGACAUGCAUCACGACUUUAUUUCCCUAAGAAAAUCAAUCUAUAGAAUGAGGAUAUUCCACAUAAUCUUACAAAGGUUAAUGUCAAAUGUAUCAUUAAAAUAUAUAAAUUGGUGGCAUCUUACAUCACAAACUGGUUUGAGGUUCUUGUGGCCACGGAGACAGUCGAUAACCCUAAAGCAUAUGGUUUUGAGUCCUAGGGAAUGUAAAGUUUUACAAAGAAAACAUUCAUACAUCGUUAGCGUGGUUUGUAAGAAAGAACAACUAAUUUGCAGAUAAAUCCGUGUAAAACAUAGUUAGUUCACGAGUGGUCAAAGGAACGUUGUAUGUCAGUCACGUGACCGAAUUUUCCCUAUCAACCAGAUUUUGGCCAUAUUUGAACGAAUCAAUGGGUAUAUGUCUUAAACUGAUCACUUUCUGAGUUGUUGGCUUGAAGCAUGCAUCAUUUGAGUUAGUGUAAUGGUGACAAAUUUAGAAGGAAAUAUGCCCUAGAGGCAAUAAUAAAUGUUAUUAUUUAAUUUCUUUAUAUCAUGAUAAAUGUUUAUUAUUCAUGCUAGAAUUGUAUUAUCCGGAAACAUAAUACUUGUGUGAAUAUAUAGACAAACCAAACGUCACUAGUAUGCCUCUACUUGACUAGCUCGUUAAUCGAAGAUGGUUAUGUUUCCUAACCAUAGACAUGUGUUGUCAUUUGAUUAAUGGGAUCACAUCAUUAUGAGAAUGAUGUGAUUGACAUGACCCAUUCCAUUAGCUUAGCACCCGAUCGUUUAGUAUGUUGCUAUUGCUUUCUUCAUGACUUAUACAUGUUCCUAUGACUAUGAGAUUAUGCAACUCCCGUUUACCGGAGGAACACUUUGUGUGCUACCAAACGUCACAACGUAACUGGGUGAUUAUAAAGGAGCUCUACAGGUGUCUCCAAAGGUGAAUGUUGGGUUGGCGUAUUUCGAGAUUAGGAUUUGUCACUCCGAUUGUCGGAGAGGUAUCUCUGGGCCCUCUCGGUAAUGCACAUCACAUAAGCCUUGCUAGCAUUACAACUAAUGAGUUAGUUGCAAGAUGAUGUAUUACAAAACGAGUAAAGAGACUUGCCGGUAAUGAGAUUGAACUAGGUAUCGAGGUACCGACGAUCGAAUCUCGGGCAAGUAACAUACCGAUGACAAAGGGAACAACGUAUGUUGUUAUGCGGUCUGACCGAUAAAAGAUCUUCGUAGAAUAUGUAGGAGCCAAUAUGAGCAUCAAGGUCCCGCUAUUGGUUAUUGACCGGAGACGUGUCCCGGUCAUGUCUACAUUGUUCUCAAACCCGUAGGAUCCGCACGCUUAAGGUUUAGAUGACAGUUAUAUUAUGAGUUUAUGAGUUUUGAUGUACCGAAGUUAGUUCGGAGUCCCGGAUGUGAUCACGGACAUGACGAGGAGUCUCGAAAUGGUCGAGAGAUAAAGAUUGAUAUAUUGGACGGCUAUAUUCGGACACCGGAAGUGUUCCGGGUGAUCUCGGAGAAAACCGGAUAGCCGGAGGGUUAACGGAACCCCCCGGGAGAAGUAAUGGGCCAUAUGGGCCUUAGUGGAGAGAGAGAGGGGCAGCCAAAGGUGGGCCGCGCGCCUACUCCCCCCUAGUCCUAAUUGGACUAGGAGAGGGGGGGGGGGCGCCCCCCUUUCCUUCUCCCUCCCCACUUCUUUCCCCCUCCUAGUAGGAGUCCUACUCCGACUCCUACUAGGAGGAGGACUCCUCCUGGCGCGCCAAUAGGGGCCGGCCGGCCUCCUCCCCUUGAUCCUUUAUAUACGGGGGCAGGGGGCACCCCUAGACACAUAAGUUGAUCCACGUGAUCAUAUUCUUAGCCGUGUGCGGUGCCCCCUUCCACCAUAAUCCUCGAUAAUAUUGUAGCGGUGCUUAGGCGAAGCCCUGCGACGGUAGUACAUCAAGAUCGUCACCACGCCAUCGUGCUGACGGAACUCUUCCCCGACACUUUGCUGGAUCGGAGUCCGGGGAUCGUCAUCGAGCUGAACGUGUGCUAAAACUCGGAGGUGUCGUAGUUUCGGUGCUUGAUCGGUCGGGCCGUGAAGACGUACGACUACAUCAACCGCGUUGUGCUAACGCUUCCGCUGUCGGUCUACAAGGGUACGUAGAUCACACUCUCCCCUCUCGUUGCUAUGCAUCACCAUGAUCUUGUGUGUGCGUAGGAAUUUUUUUGAAAUUACUACGUUCCCCAACAAAUUUCACAGUUGUAUGCCUUAUCGAAGUCUACUUUCAAAUGACACCAUCCAUUUUCAUGGUACAAUUCAUGAACAAAUUCAUGGAAGACCACCACCUUGUCCAUGAUAAUCCUAUCAUGCAUUAACGACAUUUUUGUGGGUUGAACCACUUGGUCGACAACCCCAUUGAGUCAAUCAUAUUCGCCACCUUUAUAAAUAUGAAGUUAAUGUUAAGAAGGCAUGUCAAUAUGUACGAUGGAAAUAGAUUAGCCUCUUUAGUCAUGGGCAUCAAAAUAAUUUCACAAAAAAUAGUCUUAAAAGCUUAGGAUGCUCCACAUGGAGGUCCUCAAACAACUUCCCAACCUCCUAGAAGGUUUGCUAGGCUCGGUUGAGAAGUCAUCUGAUCCAGCCUAUUUAUUAUGAAUACUACUUCGCUCACCCUGUGUUUAGAAAAAAGGGUUCCAAGGAGCUUGUUUUGACCAUCCAAAACCCAUUGAGAUGUCAUCUACUGAAUCAUAUAGAGAGAAAUUACUCUAAUUGGGAGUUCCAAAUAGACAUAUUAUUUGGUUGUAUAAGUUCGUAGGGAAGUCGUGGAGAGAGAGAGAGAGGGUUGCUACAUAGCAACUACAUCAAAAUGGUAGCCUGAAAAAGACACCACUCAAGUGUAAUCAUGAGAGUGCAUAAUACAUCUAUUUAUUCGAGCUGGCUAAGGCCGGUGCUUGAUGACAUAAUAUCACCGACCCAGAGUGACAUAAUAUCACUUCUGUUAACAAGACACUUCUCGCACUUCUCGAUCCGCUUGAAGAUGUGGAGGUACUUGAAGUCUUGGCCGCUGUUGUCCUAGCGAUACAGGGCGGACAUCCGCACCAGCUGCGCCGAGGAAUAAAUAGUUGGCCGGCGUGCAUGGCGAAAAGAAGUGGGGAACCGGUGUGCCAUACCUAAUCCUCAAUGCUGGCAUCACUCAUCGGGUGAGCUACGAUCUCCUCGAAGAUCCCAUGCCAUUUGUUGCAUGCCGCCUGGAUGACCCCCAAUGGUUCGCCAUCGCCUUCGACCCGCGCUGCAUGUAGACGCCUUUGAAGUGGUCGACGAGCUUGCGCUCGUCGAACUCGGAUUUGAUGCGGUCCCAAUACGUCUCGAUGCUCUGGUUCGUGCUGGUGAUCGCGUCGAGGAAGACAACUUUCCACGCUUCGGCGAGGCACUCCUGCUCCUUGGACGCCCACUUGAUGCGCGGCUCACCGGUCCUGGCCGCCCCUUCUUCUUCUUCCAUUUCCUCGCCGGCGCCGGCUCCUCCUUCUCAUCCUCAUCAUCCUCCUCCUGCUCAUCAGGCUUCUCCUCGCCGUAGUCAAGCUUGCCGUCCAUGUCGCCGUUAAGGUCUACUGUGUUGUCCCGCGCAAUGAACACAGGGGACACGGCGGCGGUGGCCGAGCCUGCCGUGAUGAUGUCGUCCAUGUCGGCUUUGGUCGCGUCGGUUGAUAUGUCUCCAACGUAUCUAUAAUUUUUGAUAGCUCCAUGCUAUAUUAUCUUCUAUUUUGGACAUUAUUGGGCUUUAUUAUUCAUUUUUCUAUUAUUUUUAGGACUAACCUAUUAACCGGAGGCCCAACCCAGAAUUGUUGUUUUUUUGCCUAUUUCAAAGUUUCACAGAAAAAGAAUAUCAAACGGAGUCCAAACAUAAUGAAACCUUUGGGAACGUGAUUUUUGGAACGAACAUGAUCCUGGAGACUUGGACCCUAUGUCAAGCAACCAACAGGGAAGCCACGAGGUAGGGGGCGCGCCUACCCCCCCCCCCUAGGCGCGCCCUCCAUCCUCAUGGGCCCUCUGUUGCUCCACCGACGUACUCCUUCCUCCUAUAUAUACCUACGUACACCCAAACGAUCAGAAACGGUGCCAAAACUCUAAUUCCACCGCCGUAACUUUCUGUAUCCAUGAGAUCCCACCUUGGGGCCUGUUCUAGAGCUCCACCGGAGGGGGCAUCGAUCACGGAGGGCUUCUACAUCAACACCAUAGCCUCUCCGAUGAUGUGUGAGUAGUUUACCUCAGACCUUCGGGUCCAUAGAUAUUAGCUAGAUGGCUUCUUCUCUCUUUUUGGAUCUCAAUACAAUGUUCUCCCCCUCUCUCGUGGAGAUCUAUUCGAUGUAAUCUUCUUUUGCGGUGUGUUUGUUGAGACCGAUGAAUUGUGGGUUUAUGAUCAAGUUCAUCUAUGAACAAUAUUUGGAUCUUCUGGAUUCUUUUAUGUAUGAUUGGUUAUCUUUGCAAGUCUCUUCGAAUUAUCAGUUUGGUUUGGCCUACUAGAUUGAUCUAUCUUGCAAUGGGAGAAGGGCUUAGCUUUGAUUUCAAUCUUGCGGUGUCCUUUCCCAGUGUCACACCCUAGCUAGUUCAAGCAUUAGAGUGUGCAUCAUGCUUAAAUUUCUCUUAAAUUUGAAAUGGGGAUGACAGAACCACCAGCACCCCCCUGGAACAACUAGGGUUUACUAAAAACUUUUUCAAUGAACCUGAAAUGCCCUUCUAAAAAGCCCACCCUUUUUGUUUUGGGUUAAAACCUUUGACAAAAAUGGUGCACAUUUUUCUAGGACAUCUUAAGGUCAUUGGAUUAAUUCUUAUAGUAUUUGCAUUUGGGCAUUUAAAUGCUAUAAAAUAUUUUAAGUGCUCAAAUAAUCAUAAACUAAAAUGUUUGCUGUUGGAAGUAUUCUAAGCAGUAGCCAUGAUUAAUUUUAUGAUUUAUGGAAAUGCCCUGGCAUUUUUAAUAAAGCCUUGAAGUUACAGAAAUAAUAGAAUAAAUAAAAACAGACAAGGAGAGAGAGAACAGAGACUUACCUGGCGCAACCCACCUAGCCCACCAGCUCGGCCCAGUCCACUGGCGCCUGCCAGUCGUACUCCUCCUCUCGCCAGGAGGACGAGAGGUGCGUGGCCGGCGCCCGCGGCCACACGCCGGCCACCUCCUGCUUCCACCGAUGCCCCAGACGUGCCUACGAGUGCCACGCACUCCCCCACGUCCCCCUCUCAUUCUCCCCACUCUCCCCGUGGCCCUCUCCCCCUCUCUGGGUCUCUCCCCAUUCCCUGCCGAGUGCAGCCAUCGCCGCCGACAAGCUCCACCGCAGCCACCGCCGUCCACUCGUUGCCUCGCCGUGCCAAGAAGCUCCGCCGUCGUCCACUGCUUCGCCUCGACCCAUCCCCGAGCGCUCACUCGCCCUGGAGACGCUGCACCGAGCACGUCUUCAACCUCGGUCGCCGGAGAUCCCCCAUGCUGCCCCGCUCGCUCCAGCUCUUCCCCGAGCUCGUCGUUCGCUCCCCUGCAACCGCUGUGAGCUACUGACCUUCUCCCCCUCUCCGUGCUAGCUCUCAUGCACCGUACGCGCCGCCUCGAUUUCGCUCGAACGCGCCGCCGUGGAGCUCAUUGUCGACGAGGCUCCGGCCAUGCCACGGCCACGCCACUUAGUCCACUAACCUCACCACGUUUCCAGGAGUCUAACGCACCUUACCACGCGCCUCACCGUGCCCCGCAGCCUCAGUUCUAAGCUCCGGCCGCCACCAAGGUCGAUGCCGGCGACGACUCCGGCCACCCCAGGCCCAACCACCCAUACCACUCGACGCGGACGAGUGCCCGCAUCACUUAGAUGCCCUCCGCCGGCCAUUUGGUCGCCGGAGGAAGAAACCAGCACCCCUCCGCCGUCCCUGGCCUUGCCGGCGACGAGCCCCGGUCAACUUCGGCGAGUUUGAACCGGGUUGACCCCAGUUUGAAUUCCCCUAACUCGCUGGCGUGUGGGCCCGAGGCCACUAAUUAAACUAGAUUAGUAUUAGCUUAACACUAACUAAAUUUAGUUAGUUAGUUGACACUGACAGAUGGGACCCACAGGUCAGGGUUGACCUGGACCGUCUCAGUUGACCGCUGACGUCACACUGACGUCAGGCUGACGCAGUAAAUCCUUUUAUGGAUUUAUUAUUUAAUAGGAAAUUCCAGAAAAUAGCCAAAACUUCUAAAAAUCAUAGAAAAUCAACCAUAGCUCAAAUCAAACAAUUUAUAUAUGAAAAAUGAUCAGAAAAAUUCAAUCUAUCCAUCUGUAAAGGUUUCAUGCAUGACAAAACAAGUUGACCUUGCUGUUUAAGCAAAAUAAGAUAAUGCACUAAUAAGGCUAUGUUAAAUGAGCUAACAUUUGAAUCUUUGAUUCAAAUGAGUUCAUUCCUUUCUGUUUUAGCUUGCAUUAGGCCAAGACACUUUCAUUUUGCCAUGUCAUAGCAUGCAUCAUAUUGUUGCAUAUUGUCAUGUGUUGAUUAUGUUCGAUGUGUCUUUCGUGGUAGGUUCUGCCUCCGAGGAUAACCUCGAGUAUCCGUCUGAAGGGAAGUACCCUACUACCACUACAUCAGGCAAGCAACCAAUUGAUCAUUCCGUUACAAACCCAUGUUCUCGCUUCUGCUCUUGUUUACUGCAUUAAGACAACACGAUUCAAACUGUUGUGUGCUACGGUAGUUGAACCCUUAUCCUCUGCAUGACCUGUCAUUGCCACAGUAACUAGAUGAAACCCACUAGCAUGUGUAGGAGUUGAUUGGGCCAUGUAUGUGUUUCCUACCUUGCUAUGCCUGCUAUGCUUAGAGUUGUGUCAGGUCUGGUUCAUCUGGGUGAUGGGCUAGAGUGAAAUGAUUAUGUCGGUAAUGUGAGGGAUGUGUUGAACAUGAUUUGGUAAAGGUAUCAAUGAGAGGCCACGUAGGAGUACAUGGUGGGUUGUUUCAUUCAGGCCGUCCAUAAGAACUGAGAUCUGUAUGUGUGAUUUAAGAUUCAGUUACUACCAUACAUUGGGCCCGAAACCAAUGGACCCUCUCGGCUUCUUAUUCACCCUAGUACUCUGUCCAGGAGUUGCAAUUAGUUUCUGGUGUUUGUAGGUUAUGUGUUGGCGGCCGUGCGUAGCACUGACCCUAGGGGUGGGCUAUGUUGCGGUAGAUACACUGUGGCACGGUGUACCGAGUCACCCGUUUGGUGUCUCGGGAACCCUGUUCACAUCGUUCAGGGCCGUAUGUGGAAACCUCGGCCGGACUCCCUACGGAUGGAACCUGAAUAGGCGAUAAACCUGGACUAGAGGCUUGAGUGUUUAGGUAGGCCGUGGCCGACACCCUUGUUGGGCUUCCGCUUGAAGGUUGCCGAGUACUUGUCGCGUGAAUGGCGGUAAGUGGUGAAAGCGUGUAUGAAGAAGUACACCCCUGUAGGGUAUAAAACUAUUCGAAUAGCCGCGUCCGCGGUAAAGGCCUACUUGGUUGCCUAUACAGUUCAUAGACAAGCUAAUGGAUACUACUAAAAGACUCAAGAUAAGUGUGAGUACCGAGGAUGGCCCUCUCAUAGGAUGACGAGGGAGGAUCCCCGGUGGAGUAUUGUGUUGGUGAGUACUGGACUCGUGUGCGAAAACUAUUUUACUAGUGCAGUUCCGUAGGAUAGCUUAGCCAAGAGUCAAAGCUGGCUUGCUGCAAUAAUAUCACACCCUCGACGCGACUAUAGCUCCCACGUGUCGAGGCACGACUUAGAGACAUAAUCGCAUUGAAGGCAUAUGUCGCAAGUUAGGCAAUCUUCACAACAUCCCAUGUAACAUGAAUAAUAAAGGGGAGAACAUAGUUGGCUUACACUCGCCACGUCAAUCAAGAACAUAAGUAACAUUACAUCAUCCAAAACACUCAUGGCCCGACUACGGUGCCAAAAUAGAAGAGAACCCAACAUGCGACAUGGUCCCGAUCAAACCCCAACUAGGCACCACUACUGAUCAUCAGGAAAAUACACAUAGUAACGCUGAGAGUCCUCGUCAAACUCCCACUUGAGCUCGUACUCGUCACCUGGAGCGGAAUCACCUGGACCUGCAUCUGGUGUAAUAGUAAUCUAUGAGACACUGGGACUCAGCAAUCUCGCACCCUCGCGAUCAAGACUAUUUAAGCUUAUAGGAAGGGUAAGGUAAAUAUGAGUGGAGCUACAGUAAGCGACUAGCAUAUGUGGUGGCUAACUUAUACGCAGAAGAGAGCGAGAAGAGGAGGCAAAGCGCAAGCGAGAAUCUAGAAGAACAACCUGCGCAAGCAUAACUCCAACACCGUGUCCACUUCCUGGACUCCGCCGGAAAGGGGCCAUCACGGUAACACACAAGGUUGGUACAUUUCAAUUAAUUAAGGUUCAAGUUAACUACAACCGGACAUUAACAAAUUCCCAUCUGCCCAUAACCGCGGGCACGACUUUCGAAAGUUCAAUCCCUACAGGGAGUCCCAACUUAGCCCAUGACAAGCUCUCACGGUCAACGAAGGAAUAGACCUCCUCCCAAGACGUUCCGAUCAGACUCGGUAUCCCGGUAACUCAAGACACUUCGAUAGGUUAAAAAAAAGACCAGGAACACCGCCUGAAUGUGCCGACAAAUCCCGAUAGGAGCUGCACAUAUCUCUUUCUCAGGGCACACUCAGAUUGUCUUAGGUACGGGUAGGCCAGCCCAGAGUUGCCCCUGGUGGCCACCGGCAGCUGACAGGUGGACCAACACUCAGAGGAGCACUGGCCCGGGGGGAGGGGUUAAAAUAAGAUGACCCUUGAGUCUGCAGAACCCAAGGGAAAGAAAAGGCUAGGUGGAAAAUGGUAAAACCAAGCUUGGGCAUUGCUGGAAAAGCUUUAAUCAAGGCGAAAAAUCAAGGGGUUCCCAUUAUAACCCAACCGCAUAAGGAACGCAAAAUCCGGGAACAUAACACCGAUAUGACGGAAACUAGGGCGGCAAGAGUGGAAGAAAACACUAGGCGAGAGGCCGAGCCUUCCACCCUUUACCAAGUAUAUAGAUGCAUUAAGAUAACAUAGCAAUAUAAUGAUAUCCCAACAAGUAAAUAAAAGAUGUUCCAACAAGGAACGGCCUCCAAUCUUCACCUGCAACUAGCAACGCUAUAAGAGGGACAUGGUGGGUUAGAGGUUUGACAUGGCAAUUGGGAGGCUGACAAGCAAAAGGUAGGCAUCAUAGCAUUGGCAUAGCAAAAGAGCGAGCAAACUAGCAUAGCAAAGAUAGUAAUGAUUUCGAGGGUAUGAUCAUCUUGCCUGCACAGUUGUCAGAGUUGACUGGAUCCUCUCAAGCAAACUCAACGGGCUCCUUGGUAGCGAACUCGUCUCCCGGCUCUACCCAAGAAAGACAAACAAGCAACAGGGAUACAAUCAACCACGUGCAAGAACAAGCAAUAUGAUGAAAUGAUGAUAUGCUAUGCGGGAUGCGAUGCGGGAUGCAAAAUGCAAGAUAUGACAGGAAAUGCAUGAACCUGGCCUUAACUUGGAAUUCCAAGGGUGCCACUGGAAAGAUGAGAUGAAAUCGCUUGAAACGAUAUAAAGAACGCCGGAAUCGGAGUUACGGUUUGGAAAUGGCAAGCGAUUCAAAAAUGACACCGGUCUGCGAUUUACAGCAAGUAGGCAUCUAAAUGCAAGGAAAUGAACAUGCAACAGCCACCAAACACGACAAAAAAAUACAUGGCAGGGAUGCACACAAGAUGCUUAACAAAAGACUGGCACUGAGCCACGGCCAAUUCAUCCAUUAUGAGGUUCAAACAAGCAUGGCAAAAACGCAAAUGCAAAACAGAUUCGAGACUUAGUGAAAUUAACACUUGUCUGAAAUUUCAGAUCACGAAGCCCUCUUCGGAGCAGCAAAACAACAUGAUACAUGACCUGAUUAUGACAAGUAAGAACAUGGCAUGGAGCUACUCAACAAGCUUAACAAAAGACCCAAAGUGACCUGGGGCCAAAAGGGUUCAAAAAAAUAUACUAACGGGCACACGAACAUAGCAAAAACAUAAUCAGUUUUCAGACUUAGUGAAAACUAGACAUGCUGAAAUAUAACUCACGAAGGCAUGUAAACAAGCUCGAUGCACUCACUACGGUGCAAGUCAUGGCAAGGCAAGCAUACAUCCAUAAAUAAAACACAAAAUGCUAGCUAGACAUGGCAAAAACAAUGGCAUAGCAUGCACGGAUCAACUACAAUAGCAUCGGCAAAAUCGCAAACUAGUUGACAAUCUGCCCAGAUUCACCAGGAAGCAAAAGUAGAGCUCGAUUGACUCAAGAUAGGGUGCUCCAUAAUUGCAAACGAAGUUAUGGAUGGAUAGAGCAUAACAUGAUUAACAAAACUCCUUUACGGAUCAUCCUCAAAACAGGAACGGAUCACUAGGACACAAGCUGAACAUAUGGCAUCAUGAACUAAAUAAUCCCAGACUUGGUGAAAACUACUAAGUCCCUGAAAACAGAUUUACCGGGUGCCUCACUUUGCAAGCUUGCACAAGUCAUCACACACAUCCUAAAAAUGCAUGGAUUGCACCUCUGGAAAGAAGACAAACUCCUUAAUAAAACAUACGAAGGACUCACAGGCAUAGCAUGCACACAAUAAUCAUGGCAAAAAUGACAAAAGUCUAAGAUGAACUAGCAGAUCUGACAAUUAACUCAUGAAGCCCUCUUCUAACAGCAUUUCGGGAAUAAAGAUGAACUCAAAUGAAAAUUACGCAAUGGAAUGUAUUGAUGUACUCGUCGAGACUAACAUUUUGAUAUACAAUAUGCCCAAAUCGGAGCUACGGAUGCGGAGAUACGGCCGGUCAAAGUAGGCAUAAAAAAUUAGGGUUUGGAGGGAAAGUCAACCGAGAUAUUUUCAGAUCCAGAUCCAGCGCGGUUCCCGAUGCACUCGCCGGAGUCUCGCUGGAGUUCCUGUUCACCGGGAAGGAGGACGAUGCCGGAGGGGGAGAGGAUGACCGGGGCGGCGAGGAGGUCGGUGGAGAGGGCGGCGGAGCCGGCCGGCCGAUGGUGGCGGGCGUCGGCCGUGGCGCCGGCGAGGCNNNNNNNNNNNNNNNNNNNNNNNNNNNNNNNNNNNNNNNNNNNNNNNNNNNNNNNNNNNNNNNNNNNNNNNNNNNNNNNNNNNNNNNNNNNNNNNNNNNNNNNNNNNNNNNNNNNNNNNNNNNNNNNNNNNNNNNNNNNNNNNNNNNNNNNNNNNNNNNNNNNNNNNNNNNNNNNNNNNNNNNNNNNNNNNNNNNNNNNNNNNNNNNNNNNNNNNNNNNNNNNNNNNNNNNNNNNNNNNNNNNNNNNNNNNNNNNNNNNNNNNNNNNNNNNNNNNNNNNNNNNNNNNNNNNNNNNNNNNNNNNNNNNNNNNNNNNNNNNNNNNNNNNNNNNNNNNNNNNNNNNNNNNNNNNNNNNNNNNNNNNNNNNNNNNNNNNNNNNNNNNNNNNNNNNNNNNNNNNNNNNNNNNNNNNNNNNNNNNNNNNNNNNNNNNNNNNNNNNNNNNNNNNNNNNNNNNNNNNNNNNNNNNNNNNNNNNNNNNNNNNNNNNNNNNNGCGGCGGCGGCGACCGGGCCUUCGCGGGCCGGAUCUGGGCCCCGCGGGCCGCGCGGAGAGAGAGAGAGAGCUGCCGGGUGAGGUGGCGGGCGCCUAUUGGCUUGGAGCGGCGGCGGGGAUGACGUGGCGCGACGCCACUGGCCGGAGCGAGGUGGAAGGCGGACGUGUUCGUCGGUGGAAGAAACGUCCGGGCGCGAGGUGGAAGAGGACUAGGGUUUGUACCGCGAAUGUUUCGGAGGGGAUCACAUAUAUAUAGGUAGAGGGAGCUAGGAGAGUCCAAAUGAGGUGCGGUUUUCGGCCACGCGAUCGUGAUCGAACGCUCUAGGACAUGGAGCAGAGUUUGGUGGGUUUUGGGCCAAAUUGGAGGGGUGUUGGGCUGCAACACACACGAGGCCUUUUCGGUCCCUCGGUUAACCGUUGGAGUAUCAAACGAAGUCCAAAUGACACGAAACUUGACAGGCGGUCUACCGGUAGUAAACCGAGGCCGCUUGGCAAGUCUUGGUCCAAUCCGGAAAUGUUUAAUCCCCACUCACGAAAGAAAGCUAGAAAUGACCACCAGAGGAGAACGAAGCACCGGAAUGCAAAACGGACAACGGGAAAAAAAAUGCUCGAAUGCAUGAGAUGAACACGUAUGCAAAUGCAAUGCGCAUGAUGACAUGAUAUGAGAUGCAUGACAAAGAAAACAACACACGGAGACAAAGACCCGAACCCGGGAAAUAAAUAUAACUUAACGCCGGAAAUGGCAAGAGUUGGAGUACAAAUUGGGAAAGUUAUAUCCGGGGUGUUACAACACUCCACCACUACGAAAAGAUCUCGUCCCGAGAUCUAGGACUGAAAGAAUGCCGGGUACUCAGAAUGGAGGUGAUCCUCGCGUUCCCAGGUAGCUUCACGAUCGGAAUGGUGUGACCACUUGACUUUGAGAAAUUUGAUUGACUUGUUGCGAGCCUUGCGUUCAGUCUCUUCAAGAAUAGCAACUGGGUGCUCACGAUAAGAGAGAUCUUCUUGGAGCUCAAUGUCCUCGAAGUUGACGGUGCGGUCAGGAGUCUUGAAGCACUUUCGGAGCUGAGAGACAUGGAACACGUCAUGAACAUUGCAAAGUUUGAAGGAAGCUCGAGUUGAUAGGCGAGGUCGCCUCUCUUGCUGACAAUCUUGAAAGGUCCCACGUAUCUAGGGGCAAGCUUCCCUUUGAUACCGAAGCGACGAGUACCUUUCAUAGGAGAGACGCGGAGGUAAACAUGAUCUCCGAUCUCGAAAGCCAAAUCAUGGUGCUUACUAUCAUAGUAGCUCUUCUGGCGGGAUUGGGCUGCUUUGAGGUUAUCACGAAUGACUUUGCACAUUUCUUCUGCCUCUGUGAUUAAGUCAUUACCCAGCAGCUGACGUUCACCGGUUUCAGACCAGUUGAGAGGGGUACGGCACUUCCUGCCAUACAGAAUUUCAAAAGGGGCCUUGCCCGAACUUGCUUGAAAACUGUUAUUAUAGGAGAAUUCAGCAUAAGGAAGACAAUCCUCCCACUUCAUGCCGAAGGAGAUCACACAAGCCCUGAGCAUAUCUUCAAGAAUCUGGUUGACACGCUCGACUUGACCGCUUGUUUGAGGAUGGAAAGCUGUGCUGAAGCGGAUGUUGGUGCCCAUGGCCUUCUGAAAAGAAUCCCAAAACUUCGAGGUAAAGAUGCUGCCACGGUCUAAAGAUAUCACUUGAGGAAUAACGUGCAGAGAGACAAUUCGAGAGGUAUAGAGUUCCGCCAAUUGAACUGCAGUGAUCGACUCUUUGAUAGGCAGAAAGUGAGCCACUUUGGUGAGUUUGUCGAUGACAACAAAUAUAGCAUCAUUGCCACGCUUGGACUUUGGAAACCCAGUCACGAAGUCCAUUUCAAUGUGGUCAAACUUCCAUUCUGGAAUGGCAAGAGGUUGGAGGAGACCUGCUGGCCUUUGGUGUUCUGCCUUCACUCUUCUGCAGACAUCACAUUCAUUCACGAAUUGAGCGAUCUCGCGCUUCAUUCGAGUCCACCAAUAAGCUUGCUUAAGGUCCUGAUACAUCUUCGUACUCCCAGGGUGGAUGGAGAGGAGAGAAUUGUGAGCCUCGUUCAUGAUCACUUUACGGAGGUCACCUUUGGGCACAACAAUACGAUCCUCGAAGAAGAGAGUGUCCUUGUCGUCAAGGCGGUAGCACUUGUACUUGGACUGACUCUUGGCAAUCCCAAUCCUCACCUCUUUCACCAUAGCAUCAAGAAGCUGGGCUUGGCGAAUCUGGUCUUCUAAGGUAGGAGAGACUUGAAGGUUGGCGAGGAAACCUUGAGGAACAACUUGCAGAUUAAGUUUGCGGAAAGCUUCACAAAGCUCGGGUUGAUAAGGCUUAAGAAUCAGACUGUUGCAGUAAGCCUUUCUGCUCAAAGCGUCAGCAAUCACAUUGGGCUUGCCUGGAGUAUACUCGAUACUCGGAUUAUACUCUUGAAUCAUUUCGACCCAUCGAGUUUGCCUGAGGUUGAGAUUAGGCUGAGUGAAGAUGUACUUGAGACUCUUGUGAUCAGUGAAAAUAUCCACUUUUCUUCCCAAUAGAAGAUGUCUCCAAGUCAACAGAGCAUGCACAACUGCCGCCAACUCGAGAUCAUGAGUGGGGUAGUUCUUCUCAUUAGGCUUCAACUGGCGAGAUGUAUAGGCAACAACUUUCUUCUCUUGCAUCAAAACUGCGCCAAGACCUUGGAGAGAGGCAUCACAAAAGACCUCGUACGGCUUGUAUUCAUCAGGCGGAGUCAGAACUGGAGCAAUGAUCAACUUCUCUUUCAAAGUGUUGAAAGCAAUAUCACACUCCGGAGACCAAACGUACUUGACGUGCUUCUGAAGAAGAUUAGAGAGAGGCUUCGUGAUCUUAGAAAAGUUUUCAACGAAUCUUCGGCAAUAGCUUGCGAGACCGAGAAAACUACGGAGUUUCUUCAUGUUCUGAGGAGGUUCCCAAUUCACAAUAGCAGACACCUUCUCAGGAUUCACGGCAAUGCCCUUGGCAGAGAUGAUAUGGCCAAGAUAAAGAACCUCAUCGAGCCAAAAUUCACACUUGGAGAACUUGGCGUAGAACUGAUGUUCUCUGAGCUUAUCAAGAACCAAACGCAAGUGCUUGGCAUGAUCUUCCUUGUUCUUCGAGAAAACCAGAAUGUCAUCGAGAUAGACCAAAACGAAGUCAUUGGUGUAGGCAUUGAAGAUGAAGUUCAUCAUGCGAGAGAACGUCGGAGGAGCGUUGGCGAGGCCAAAAGACAUGACAGUGUAUUCAUAUGAACCAAAGCUUGUUCUGAAUGCUGUCUUGGGAAUAUCUUCUUCACGAAUGCGAAUCUGGUGAUAACCCAUACGGAGAUCAAGCUUGGAGAAUACUUGGGCACCUUUGAGUUGUUCGAACAGCUCAUUGAUGUUGGGAAGUGGGUAUUUGUUCUUGAUGGUCUUCUUGUUCACUGGACGGUAAUCAACACAAACUCGGUCCGUUCCAUCCUUCUUCUUCACAAAAAGAACACCACAACCCCACGGAGAAGAACUAGGCCGGAUAAGACCCAUUCUUUCUUGCUCAUCGAGUUUCUUCUUCAGCUCCUUCAACUCUUCAAGUCCGAGCUUGUAAGGACGCUUGCACACAGGUUCCGUGCCAGGCUCAAGUUCAAUAACGAAUUCCACUGGCCGGUGCGGAGGCAUUCCUGGGAGCUCUUCUAGAAAGACUUCUUGAUAUUCGCAAACGACUGGAAUUUGCGAGAUGGCAUCCAAUUCACCCUUCUCAUUGAGAGAAAACAGACGGAUGGUAUUAUCCCGAGCGGCAAAGACAAUUACAUCCUCAGGCGAAUGAGUCAAUUGAAUCUGCCUGGCUGCACAAUCAAGCUGAGCCUUGUGCUUAGGAAGCCAAUCCAUCCCGAGAAUAAGAUCAAUAUCCGAGUCACCGAGAACCGUUGGCGAAGAUAGAAACUUGUAGUCACCCAAAGUGAUAGAAACAACCGGAACUAUGGAUUUAGCCUGCAUGCGCUUACCGGGAGAGACAACUGCUAAAGGACUAGGCAAAAUUUGCAAAGGCAAACCAUGCUUAGAUGAAAACGGUCUCGAGAUGAAACAAUGCGAUGCACCCGUGUAAAAAAGAACUUUUGCUGGAAUAUCGUUAAUAGGAAGGUUACCCAUGAUCACAUCUGACGAGUCCUCUGCCCGAGCUGCAUUCAUCAAAUUGACCUUGGCAUGCUUGGGGUUAUGCUUGACCACAGCUGAACUUGCCGAUCUCACAGGAGGAGGAGGAGGAAGACGCCUAUGGUUGAGACACUUGUUGGCAUAGUGACCCUUCUGUUGGCACUUGUUGCACGUGACCUCUGAAAGCGGAUGGUGAUACGGAGCACUCGAUCUUGGAGCUUGAGACGAAGCCUUGUUCUGAAAGCCAGGGUUGGGUGGGUGGGAAGAACCACUGCCACCUUUACUCUUCUGCUGAUACGGCUGACGAACGGAGGAGGAGGAAGCCAAAACUUCUGCUGCUUGGCCACUUGAGUAGAGGAAGAAGGAGUAACAUCUCUGACUCGCUUCUUGGAAGCAUCACACCUCAACUGAGCAGCCUCUUGCUUCAGUGCCAUGUUGUAGAACUCAUCGUAUCUCAAGGGCUCAAAGAGAACAAGAGCGAGCUGAAUAUCUUCUCUGAGACCACUCCUGAACUGAUAUAUCAUGCUCUUCUCAUCAGGCACGUCCUGCUUGGCAAAGCGGGCAAGCUUCUGGAACAACUUGUUGUAGUCAUAGACAGACAAAGAGCCUUGCUUCAGACUGCGGAAUUCCUCACGCUUGCUUUCAAUCACGCUCUGCGGAAUAUGAUGAGCUCGGAAAUCUCGACGGAAAUCAUCCCAAGUGAUAACACGUCCACUCUAGAGUCCUUGCACUGCUGGAACCAUUCUGCAGCUUGAUCUUUGAGUUGGAAGGAAGCGAACUUGACAAAGUCCUCAGGCCUGACAUUACUGCACUCGAAAUGCUUACACAGAUCCACAAGCCAAUCGUCAGCAUCGGUUGCCUCAACACAAUUGCUAAAAGUCUUUGGCCCGUUAGCAAGGAACUGGUUGAGUGUAGCAAAGUGACUCUGAUUGCUGCCUUGAUUCCCUUGACUGCCUUGAUUGCGCUCUUGAAGAAUUUGCAUGAUCAGCUCUGUGUUUGCAUUGGUUGCGGCCAUCACAGCUUGCCAUGCCUCUGGAGGAGGUGGAGGCGGUGGCGGAUCAGGAUUCGGAGUCGUGCGCGUUGGAGGAGCCAUCCUGAAGAGGUUGACCACCAUUAGCACAUUGACAGACAAAUAUUGAAGCUGAAUCCAACGGAAUGAAAAUUGCAACAUAUAGUCUUCACAUCUGAACAAAAUGAACGAAUGCCUUCCUCUUCAAAUGGUCCCAUAUCCAUAAAUUGAGAAGCCACGUAGAACUAAGGUAGAGAAAUAAUCAACAAGGUACUGAUCAAGAACGAAUAAUCGGUCAGAAAUCCCAAUCUCAAACCAAUAUCCGUGGAAGAAGAACUAGAGCUACUAGAAUUCCCACCUAUGAAACUCCCGAACCUUUCCAGUUAUGCAAUCAGGUGUUGGGGAUACAGGGGAAGCAUAAUAAUUCACCCAAACUAGCAAAUCCUACAUCCAGAUGUAUCCAUCCUUCAACACAUAACCAAGAAAACUUCGGAAACCAUCUACCUCAACCUUCGAAAAGCAUCCGUUAUACAAGUUAUGGUGAUACUCCCGAACUCCCGCCCCAGUACUGGGUGGCGUCGAGGUUAUCUCAUCAACGAACUGCAUAAAAGAGAUUUUCGAUGUCGGCGAAAAUAUCUCAAGUAUUCCAGAAUUGCAACGAUAAAAUUAUGAUGACAACACCUCAGAGCUCAACUCCCCGGGACACUUCCACUAAACCCCUGACAGGAGGCACCAAGACAAUGUUCUCAUCAUAAGCCAUCGGAACGAUUCCAAGAUACUCGCGUGAUCCUAAAUUUUUUUUAGCGAAAUUUGAGAAGAGAAGAGUCAAAACACUACGUCAGGAUGCCUUACCAGAGUGAUGAGGAGACUGGGAAGUAAAAAGAAUUCCUAAGCUCUCCGAUAUAUAAUUCCUAAAGAUUCAAAACAUUUUUCUAGACACAACUCGGCCACUAAAAACGAUCAAGCAAUGGGGCUCCUAAGGUCGGGGAAGGCUUUGAUUACCAACUUAUCACACCCUCCAUGCGACUAUAGCUCCCAUGUGUCGAUGCACGACUUAGAGACAUAAUCGCAUUGAAGGCAUAUGUCGCAAGUUAGGCAAUCUUCACAACAUCCCAUGUAACAUGAAUAAUAAAGGGGAGAACAUAGUUGGCUUACACUCGCCACGUCAAUCAAGAACAUAAGUAACAUUACAUCAUCCAAAACACUCAUGGCCCGACUACGGUGCCAAAAUAGAAGAGAACCCAACAUGCAACACAGUCCCGAUCAAACCCCAACUAGGCACCACUACUGAUCAUCAGGAAAAGACACAUAGUAACGCUGAGAGUCCUCGUCAAACUCCCACUUGAGCUCGUACUCGUCACCUGGAGCGGAAUCACCUGGACCUGCAUCUGGUGUAAUAGUAAUCUGUGAGCCACUGGGACUCAGCAAUCUCGCACCCUGGCGAUCAAGACUAUUUAAGCUUCUAGGAAGGGUAAGGUAAAUAUGAGUGGAGCUGCAGUAAGCGACUAGCAUAUGUGGUGGCUAACUUAUACGCAAAAGAGAGCGAGAAGAGGAGGCAAAGCGCGAGCGAGAAUCUAGAAGAACAACCUGCGCAAGCAUAACUCCAACACCGUGUCCACUUCCCGGACUCCGCCGGAAAGGGGCCAUCACGGUAACACACAUGGUUGGUACAUUUCAAUUAAUUAAGGUUCAAGUUAACUACAAUCGGACAUUAACAAAUUCCCAUCUGCCCAUAACCGUGGGCACCGCUUUCGAAAGUUCAAUCCCUGCAGGGGAGUCCCAGCUUAGCCCAUGACAAGCUCUCACGGUCAACGAAGGAAUAGACCUCCUCCCAAGAUGUUCCGAUCAGACUCGGUAUCCCGGUAACUCAAGACACUUCGACAGGUUAAAACAAGACCAGCAACACCGCCCGAAUGUGCCGACAAAUCCCGAUAGGAGCUGCACAUAUCUCUUUCUCAGGGCACACUCAGAUUGUCUUAGGUACGGGUAGGCCAUCCCAGAGUUGCCCCUGGUGGCCACCGGCAGCUGACAGGUGGACCAACACUCAGAGGAGCACUAGCCCGGGGGGGGGGGUUAAAAUAAGAUGACCCUUGAGUCUGCAGAACCCAAGGGAAAGAAAAGGCUAGGUGGUAAAUGGUAAAACCAAGGUUGGGCAUUGCUGGAAAAGCUUUAAUCAAGGCGAAAUAUCAAGGGAUUCCCAUUAUAACCCAACCGCGUAAGGAACACAAAAUCCGGGAACAUAACACCGAUAUGACGGAAACUAGAGCGGCAAGAGUGGAACAAAACACUAGGCGAGAGGCCGAGCCUUCCACCCUUUACCAAGUAUAUAGAUGCAUUAAGAUAACAUAGCAAUAUAAUGAUAUCCCAACAAGUAAAUAAAAGAUGUUCCAACAAGGAAUGGCCUCCCAUCUUCACCUGCAACUAGCAACGCUAUUAGAGGGGCUGAACAAAGCGGUAACAUAGCCAAUCAACGGUUUGCUAGGACAUGGUGGGUUAGAGGUUUGACAUGGCAAUUGGGAGGCUGACAAGAAAAAGGUAGGCAUCGUAGCAUUGGCAUAGCAAAAGAGCAAGCAAACUAGCAUAGCAAAGAUAGUAGUGAUUUCGAGGGUAUGAUCAUCUUGCCUGCAAAGUUGUCAGAGUUGACUGGAUCCUCACAAGCAAACUCAACGGGCUCCUCGAUAGCGAACUCGUCUCCCGGCUCUAUCCAAACAAGACAAACAAGCAACAGUGAUACAAUCAACCACGUGCAAGAACAAGCAAUAUGAUGAAAUGAUGAUAUGCUAUGCGGGAUGCGAUGUGGGAUGCAAAAUGCAAGAUAUGGCAGGAAAUGCAUGAACCUGGCCUUAACUUGGAAUUCCAAGGGUGCCACUAGAAAGAUGAGAUGAAAUCGCUUGAAAACAAUAUAAAGAACGCCGGAAUCGGAGUUACGGUUUGGAAAUGGCAAGCGAUUCAAAAAUGACACCGGUCUGCGAUUUACAGCAAGUAGGCAUCUAAAUGCAAUGAAAUGAACAUGCAACAGCCACCAAACACGACAACAAAAUACAUGGCAGGGAUGCACACAAGAUGCUUAACAAAAGACUAGCACUAAGCCACGGCCAAUUCAUCCAUUAUGAGGUUCAAACAAGCAUGGCAAAAACGCAAAUGCAAAACAGAUUCCAGACUUAGUGAAAUUAACACUUGUCUGAAAUUUCAGAUCACGAAGCCCUCUUCGGAGCAGCAAAACAACAUGAUACAUGACCUGAUUAUGACAAGUAAGAACAUGGCAUGGAGCUACUCAACAAGCUUAACAAAAGACCCAAAGUGACCUGGGGCCAAAAGGGUUCACAAAAAUAUACUAACGGGCACACGAACAUAGCAAAAACAUAAUCAGUUUUCAGACUUGAUGAAAACUGAGACAUGCUGAAAUAUAACUCACGAAGGCAUGUAAACGAGCUCGAUGCACUCACUACGGUGCAAGUCAUGGCAAGGCAAGCAUACAUACAUAAAUAAGACACAAAAUGCUAGCUAGACAUGGCAAAAACAAUGGCAUAGCAUGCACGGAUCAACUACAAUAUCAUCGGCAAAAUCGCAAACUAGUUGACGAUCUGCCCAGAUUCACCACGAAGCAAAAGUAGAGCUCGAUUGACUCAAGCUAGGGUGCUCCAUAAUUGCAAACGAAGACAUGGAUGGAUAGAGCAUAACAUGAUUAACAAAACUCCUUUACUGAUCAUCCUCAAAAGAGGCACGGAUCACUAGGAAACAAGCUGAACAUAUGGCAUCAUGAACUAAAUAAUCCCAGACUUAGUGAAAACUACUAAGUCCCUGAAAACAGAUUUACCGGGUGCCUCACUUUGCAAGCUUGCACAAGUCACCACACACAUCCUAAAGAUGCAUGUGUUGCACCUCUGGAAAGAAGACAAACUCCUUAAUAAAACAUAUGAAUGACUCACAGGCAUAGCAUGCACACAAUAAUCAUGGGAAAAAUGACAAAAGUCUAAGAUGAACUAGCAGAUCUGACAAUUAACUCACGAAGCCCUCUUCUAACAGCAUUUCGGGCAUCAAGAUUAACUCAGAUGAAAAUGAUGCAAUGGAAUGAAAUGAUGUACUCGUCGAGGCGAACAUUCUGAUAUACUAUAUGCCCAAAUCGGAGCUACGGAUGCGGAGAUACGGCCGGUCAAAGUAGGCAUAAAAAAUUAGGGUUUGGAGGGAAAGUCAACCGAGAUAUUUUUAGAUCCAGAUCCAGCGCAGUUUCCGAUGCACUCGCCGGAGUUCCUGUUCACCGGGAAGGAGGACGAAGCCGGAGGGGGAGAGGAUGACCGGGGCGGCGAGGAGGUCAGUGGAGAGGGCGGUGGAGCCGGCCGGCCGGUGGUGGCGGGCGUCGGCCGCGGCGCNNNNNNNNNNNNNNNNNNNNNNNNNNNNNNNNNNNNNNNNNNNNNNNNNNNNNNNNNNNNNNNNNNNNNNNNNNNNNNNNNNNNNNNNNNNNNNNNNNNNNNNNNNNNNNNNNNNNNNNNNNNNNNNNNNNNNNNNNNNNNNNNNNNNNNNNNNNNNNNNNNNNNNNNNNNNNNNNNNNNNNNNNNNNNNNNNNNNNNNNNNNNNNNNNNNNNNNNNNNNNNNNNNNNNNNNNNNNNNNNNNNNNNNNNNNNNNNNNNNNNNNNNNNNNNNNNNNNNNNNNNNNNNNNNNNNNNNNNNNNNNNNNNNNNNNNNNNNNNNNNNNNNNNNNNNNNNNNNNNNNNNNNNNNNNNNNNNNNNNNNNNNNNNNNNNNGAGAGAGAGAGCUGCCGGGUGAGGUGGCGGGCGCCUAUUGGCUUGGAGCAGCGGCGGGGAUGACGUGGCAUGACGCCACUGGCCGGAGCGAGGUGGAGGGCGGACAUGUCCGUCGGUGGAAGAAACGUCCGGGCGCGAGGUGGAAGAGGACUAGGGUUUGUACCGCGAAUGUUUCGGAGGGGAUCACAUAUAUAUAGGUAGAGGGAGCUAGGAGAGUCCAAAUGAGGUUCGGUUUUCGGCCACACGAUUGUGAUCGAACGCUCUAGGACAUGGAGCAGAGUUUGGUGGGUUUUGGGCCAAAUUGGAGGGGUGUUGGGCUGCAACACACACGAGGCCUUUUCGGUCCCUCGGUUAACCGUUGGAGUAUCAAACGAAGUCCAAAUGACACGAAACUUGACAGGUGGUCUACCGGUAGUAAACCAAGGCCGCUUAGCAAGUCUCAGUCCAAUCUGGAAAUGUUUAAUCCCCACACACGAAAGAAAGCUAGAAAUGACCACCGGAGGAGAACGAAGCGCCGGAAUGCAAAACGGACAACGGGAAAAAAUGCUCGAAUGCAUGAGAUGAACACGUAUGCAAAUGCAAUGCGCAUGAUGACAUGAUAUGAGAUGCAUGACAAAGAAAACAACACACGGAGACAAAGACCUGAACCCGAGAAAUAAAUAUAACUUAACGCCGUAAACGACAAGAGUUGGAGUACAAAUUGGGAAAGUUAUAUCCGGGGUGUUACAAAUAACCCCACCACCUUCUUGAGAAUGAGCAUGUAUAGUAGGUUCUGAUGUAAGACUUGCUGAGUACCUUUGUAGUCAUGUUUGCUUAAUUACUGUUUUCACAUGACAACACCGCCCCUCUGAUGGGUUUUAUGUAGACCUCGACGUCGAUGAGUAACUCGCCACCCAGGUUGUGACCCUGGCCAUGGAGGGCCCUAUGUAGAUAGACAGGCUUCGAAAAGCCUUCUUGCUUUCUAGUGUCUGUACUCAGACUAUUUGCUUCCGCAUGUGCUUGUAUGCUUGUAUGACUUGAGUGUCGGGUCAUGUGACCCCUACCUGUAUGAACAUGUUAUGUAUGGCUCUCUAGAGCCUUUAAAUAAAGUACUUGAGUUGUAGAGUUUUGUUGUGAUGCCAUGUUGUAUGUACUCAUAUCGGGCAUAUUGUGUGUAUGAUUGAAAUGCUUGGUAUGAGCGGGAUCCGACAAUCUAGUUGUUUAUCCUUGGCAGCCUUUCUUAUGGGGAAAUGUAGUCUAGUGUUCCUCGAGCCAUAGUAGUCCACUACAGCCCGGUUCACCGGAGUCCUGCUAGCCCAGCACUACUGCUCAGGACACUUGACUGGCCGGCAUGUGUUUCACUUCAUUCCUAUGUCUGUCCCUUCGGGGAAAUGUCACGCGGUGACAUCCGGAGUCCUGCCAAGCCUGCUACAGCCUGGGUUCCCUGAAGUCCUGUUAGCCUAGUGCUACAGCUCGGAUUCACUCGCUGAUGACCGACAUGCUCGAUGUGAUUCAUGUAUGCCUGUCUCCAUAGGUCUGCGCCACUUUGGGUUCAUGACUAGCCAUGUUGGCCCGGGUUCUCUGUCAUAUGGAUGCUAGCGACACUAUCAUAUACGUGAGCCAAAAGGCGCAAACGGUCUCGGGCCAUGGUAAGGCGACACCCGUGGGAAUACCGUGCAUGAAGCCGCAAUGUGAUAUGAGGUGUUACCGGCUAGAUCGAUGUGACUUGGAAUCGGGGUCCUGACACCCAGUGAUAGUAGGGGCAGCAAGGCAUGUAUUGUAUUGUUGCCAUCAAGGAUAACAAGAUGGGGUUUAUUUCAUAUUGCAUGAAUUUAUCCCUCUACAUCAUGUCAUCUUGCUUAAAGUGUUACUCUGUUCUCUUGAACUUAAUACUCUAGAUGCAUGCUGGAUAGCGGUCGAUGUGUGAAGUGAUACGUCUCCAACGUAUCUAUAAUUUUUGAUUGCUCCAUGCUAUAUUAUCUACUGUUUUGGAAAUUAUUGGGCUUUAUUAUGCACUUUUAUAUUAUUUUUUGGGACUAACCUAUUAACAGGAGGCCCAGCCCAGAAUUGAUUUUUUUUGCCUAUUUCAGAGUUUCGCAGAAAGGGAAUAUCAAACGGAGUCCAAACGGAAUGAAACCUUCGGGAACGUGAUUUUCGAAACGAACAUGAUCCAGGAGACUUGGACCCUACAUCAAGAAAUAAAGGAGGAAGCCAUGAGGUAGGGGGCGCGCCUACCCCCCCCAAGCCCGCCCUCCACCCUCGUGGGCCCCCUGUUGCUCCACCGACGUACUCCUUCCUCCUAUAUAUACCUACGCACCCCCAAACGAUCAGAAACGGAGCCAAAAACCUAAUUCCACUGCCGUAACUUUCUGUAUCCAUGAGAUCCCAUCUUGGGGCCUGUUCUAGAGCUCCGCCAGAGGGGGCAUCCAUCACGGAGGGCUUCUACAUCAACACCAUAGCCCCUCCGAUGAAGUGUGAGUUGUUUACCUCAGACCUUCGGGUCCAUAGUUAUUAGCUAGAUGGCUUUUUCUCUCUUUUUGGAUCUCAAUACAAAGUUCUCCCCUCUCUUGUGGAGAUCUAUUUGAUAUAAUCUUCUUUUUGCGAUGUGUUUGUUGAGACCGAUGAAUUGUGGGUUUAUGGUCAAGAUUAUCUAUGAACAAUAUUUGAAUCUUCUCUGAAUUCUUUUAUGUAUGAUUGGUUAUCUUUGCAAGUCUCUUCGAAUUAUGAGUUUGGUUUGGCCUACUAGAUUGAUCUUUCUUGCAAUGGGAGAAGUGCUUUGCUUUGGGUUCAAUCUUGCGGUGUCCUUUCCUAGUGACAGUAGGGGCAUCAAGGCACAUAUUGUAUUGUUGCCAUUGAGGAUAACAAGAUGUUUUUUUUAUCAUAUUACAUGAAUUUAUCCCUCUACAUCAUGUCAUCUUGCUUAAGGCGUUACUCUGUUUUCAUGAACUUAAUACUCUAAUGCAUGCUGGAUAGCGGUCGAUGAGUGGAGUAAUAGUAGUAGAUGCAGGCAGGAGUCGGUCUACUUGUCUCGGACGUGAUGCCUAUAUACCUGAUCAUACCUAGAUAUUCUCAUAACUAUGCUCAAUUCUGUCAAAUGCUCAACAGUAAUUCGUUCACCCACCAUAAAAUACUUAUGCUCCUGAGAGAAGCCACUAGUGAAACCUAUGGCCCUCGGGUCUAUCUUCAUCAUAUAAAUCUUCCAAUACUUAGUUAUUUCCUUUGCUUUUUACUUUGCAUCUUUAUCACAAAAAUACCAAAAAUAUUAUCUUAUCAUAUCUAUCAGAUCUCACUCUCGUAAGUGACUGUGAAGGGAUUGACAACCCCUUAUCGCGUUGGUUGCGAGGAGUUAUUUGUUUUGUGUAGGUACGAGGGACCCUCGCGUAGCCUCCUACUGGAUUGAUACCUUGGUUCUCAAAAACUGAGGGAAAUACUUACACUACUUUGCUGCAUCAUCCUUUCCUCUUCAAGGAAAUCCAACGCAGUGCUCAAGAGUUAGCAAGAAGAUUUCUGGCGCCGUUGCCGGGGAGUCUACGUAAAAGUCAACAUACCAAGUACCCAUCACAACCCUUAUCUCCUGCAUUACAUUAUUUGCCAUUUGCCUCUCUGUAGGUGUCAAAACCGGCGGAUCUCGGGUAGGGGGUCCCGAACUGUGCGUUUGAGGCGGAUGGUAACAGGAGGCAGGGGACACGAUGUUUUACCCAGGUUCGGGCCCUCUUGAUGGAGGUAAAACCAUAUGUCCUGCUUGAUUUAUUCUUGAUGAUAUGGGUAUUACAAGAGUUGAUAUACCACAAGAUUGGAGAGGAUAAACCCUAGAAGCUAGCCUAUGGUAUGAUUGUAUGUUGUCCUACGGAGUAAAACCCUCCGGUUUAUAUAGACACCAGAGGGGGCUAGGGUUACACAAGGUCGGUUACAAAGGAGGAGAUAUACAUAUCUGUAUUGUCUAGCUUGCCUUCCACGCCAAGUAGAGUCCCAUCCGGACACGAGUCGAAGUCUUCAAUCUUGUAUCUUCAUAGUCCAACAGUAAGGCCAAAGGAUAUAGUCCGGCUGUCCGGAGACCCCCUAAUCCAGGACUCCCUCAGUAGCCCCCGAACCAGGCUUCAAUGACGAUCAGUCCGGCGCGCAGUAUCGUCUUCGGCAUUGCAAGGCGGGUUCUUCUCCAAUUUCCAAGUGUUUGUAAGCAGUGUCCGGUCCCAUAAAUGUUCGGACAUCUUGGCUUCUAUGCCCAAUAAGGGCUAUCACCCACGCGUCGAAUGAAUACGAGGCGCCGGGGCGUUUUGACAUUCGCCCCCCUAGCCAGAUAAAUAAAUUGUCUAUUAAAGGAGCGGGGAUUCUUAGAUCCGAUCCAUACCAUCCUCCCCUAGCGAUAAUCCAUCAGAGCGCGUUUCGGAAAGAUCCAUUCCAGCAUGGCCGACCUCCGCAGCUCCUCCUCCCGCCCCGUAGCCCUAAGCCCGGUGAUUGGGUGAGGUGUUCACUCCCGCACAGUCGAUUAGUCGAACUGCAGACCAAGGGAUUUCUCCCUCCGGCGUAUAUGGUGCCCGUUCGAGCCGGGCUUGCCACCUACAAUGGCGGGGAGCAAGCGGAGAGCUUUCCCUGUCCCUCCAUGGGGGAACGGGUUUGCCUUGUUCCUUAUUUACUGAGGGGACUCGGAUUUCCAAUUCAUCCGUUUCUUCGCGGGCUCCUGGAGUUCUACGGCCUCCAAUUACACAAUCUCACCCCUGCCUCCAUUCUACAUAUCGCCGGCUAUGUUCUCUCUGCGAGUUGUUCCUGGGCUGCGAGGCUCACUUCGAGCUGUGGGAAAGGCUAUUCUGCCUCGUCCCUCGCACACAGAGGGAAUCACUUUAUCAAGUGGGCAGAGCCAAAAUAUGGCGCAUUGCCGAUACCGGAGACCUGUCCGGUACCCCAAAGAAGUCGUCCGAAGACUGGCCUUCAGAAUGGUUUUAUAUGGAGGAUGUUCCCCUUCCGGACCCUGUUUGGCGGGGUCUUCCUGAGUUCAACAAUGCUCCUCUAAAGAAGUGCCGAAGUUGGCGCCCACGGAGCGCCCAGGCGGAAGACAACAGGGAAGUCCUCUAUCUGAUGAACCGGAUCAAAUCACUGGCUCAAUCAGGAUUGAUAAUAAUCGAAGUUAUGUCGAUUUGCAUAAUGCAAGGAGUGCAGCCACUUCAAUAUCACGGGCACCCCUUGUGGUGUUAUAACGGGGCGGAUGAUGCCACCCGCUGCGGGCGUAAGGGUCCGGACAAUGCUGCCGCUCUAGCGAAAAUUCUGUCCGAACUGUUCAAGGGUGAGGAAGAGGAGUUCACCCGCAUCAAGCCACGGGAUGGAUUCUUCAUGUACAAUCCUCCAAGCUGGGUAAGUUAUAUUUCCCUUCUCCCAUUUUUCCCGCAUUCUUUGUCAUAAGUAUUCACCUUUCCACUUUGCGCAGGAACUGCGAAAAGCCAUAAAGGAGGUCAGCAGCCCCUCUCCACAACUAGAGGACCCUGACCGGGCCCUCGACUCUGGACUUGAAGAAGAUUUGGUUAUCUCCGUGGAGCUGAUAGACCGGUAGUUCUAUCAGUUAAGCUGCGACAAUGCCACGGUGGCCAUUACGGUCGACUAUCCCGGACUGCUCCCUGCAUCGCAAGUAAGAAAAACCAAAAAAUGCUAACUACAAAAACUAGGAUCCCCUUUUAAACACUUCACCCACCAUAUACACAUGGCAUUUUUUAUAGGGAAGGCAUUCGGGACGCCCUGCCGAACCCGCAGCAACUCGUCAACCAGAGGCACCGAGGCCGGGUAGGCCAAAAAGGAAGGCAGUCAGGACGGAGACGUCGGUGCAAAGGUAUAAAAACCCCGCUCCUUGGUUGUCGUCUUUCUUGAAGUUUAAUGACACCCGUGUUUCUUUAAUAGAAAAAACGCUCGCCGGAAUAUGUCCGGCGAUGUUGCCGAUCAUGCCUCCACCAGUUGGGCGCCAGGACCGGACAUAGAGGCGAAAGCCGAUAUGGGGUAGGUGCCGGAUAAUCCUCCUACAGAGGAUGUGAAUAGAUUAUCCGCUACUAACUCAGAAGUGGAAAGCGCCAUGAAUCAUAGGCGCCGCCGGGCCGUACUCCGUGACACUUGUUUCUCACCAGAGGCAUUUGAUGCCUUCAAUUCUGGAGAGGCGUACCUCCGUGACACUGAAGAUGGUCCAGCCAGAGCCACGGAUCAGUAUGUAAAGGAUGUACGGGUGAGUGAAUUUGGUGAUUUAUAUGUAUCAGUAGCCCCUGAGACUUGAAACAGUUAGCAGAACUGAUUUAAGGAUCAUCUUUAUUGUGUAGGUUCUUACAGAGAAGAAUACUAGGCUGUCCCAGGAGCUGGAGGAAUGCAAGAUCCAACUGCGGGCCGCUGUUGCCGCAUUGCAGGAACAGAAAAAACCUCCCGCUGGUAACAUUUACUUUAAAGAAUUAUGGUUACCAUAUAGUGUGCGGCUUGGCUGCAGAUCUAACAACAGAUGUUGGAGAUGAAUCCGGAGAGAAUCCGGAGGUCCAGCAUGUUAUGCGACAGCUAGAGGCUGGCAAACGCGUGCUGACUGAAGUUAGGUGAGAGAAAAACAAUCUCCAAGAUGCCAAUAUUAAGCUGAGCGUGGAACUAAAGGACGUUCGUGGCCAGCUUGCAGACACCGAGAAGGAGAAUAAGCGGCUUCGGUGCGGCAUUUUCAGUAAGUGCUUGAACGAAUCCUUUUAAAGGAGUUCGGCGAAGAAGUUGACUAACAACGUUAUGCCUGUAGGUAUGCUGAUGGGUCGUCCCGCGGAGGAAAUGCCCGGGUCUGCGGGUGAUCUUCUGUCCAAGCUGUCACAUCUGCACGAACAAGUUCGGCAGGUGAUGCAGGGUGUUGCCCAGGCCUUGUGGCCGUCCGUCUCCCCACCAGAGGGCGUUGCCGAGCUUGCGGAGAAGCUCAAGGGAGCACGACGGCGCUUCCUAUUAUGGAAGAUAUCUGCCUGCCGAUAGGGUGCCAGAGAAGCCUGGGCCAUGGUGAAGACCCGGUAUACCAAGGUAGACCCAAAUCACAUGGCCGAAGUCGGACCUGUGGGACCCGACGGAAAAGAGAUCCCUGUUAGCUUAGUUUAUGGGCAAGUAGAAUUAGCCGCAAAGUGUUCUCAACAAGAUUGUAAGCUAGACCGCCUGUUGGAUGGUAUAGAAGAGGAAUUUAGUCAGUCUGCAUGACUAUGUAAUUAAAGUGACAUGUAUAAUGCCUUCUAGCCGGAUUGUAGAUCAUUUGUCGUUGCGGACCUUUUGGCUUCAACCUCCGGGCCCAAUAGUCCGGAGUGUAUCCGAAUACCCGCUCAGUUAUAUAAGAACCUGUGGUAUGCGUGGAGACCAGGCGUAGGGGUCAUUAGUGAUUUAUCAGACAAGUGCCCAACUAGUUAUGUUAUAUUACAUGGGUAGUAAGAAACAUCUUCCAGGGAGAAUAGUUCCGUUAAGGGUUCCUUUCCCUGGGUAAGCAUGCCCUAAAGUGCAUGUCCGGACUGCGAUAGGAAACGCAGGAAAAACAUCUGGGGGCAGAUAUGGACAAUAAAAUAAAAAUCAUCUUUUGUUCACUGACCGAAUAUUCCCUUUAGAACGCUAGCUUUCGGCUUCACCCAGUCUGAGGUACACAUCCGGCUGACCCGGCAGUAACAAUCGCAGAGGUGCUCCCCUUAUGCCCUAGCCGAAUUAACGGGAACGUAGGGCAUAAAUACAAGAGCCAGGCAACCCAGCUUGGCCAAAACUUAAGUCAUAUCGAUGCAUAUAAUGGUGAAAAAAGGGUACAUGCGGAAGUAUAACACAUGUGUGGGGCAUGAAGCCCAGAUAGAUAAUUUAAGCUUCUGUGAAAGAAGCCCCCAGGUAUGAAGAGUACGGCUAGCGCAUCUGUAAUGUGCAAGCGAGGCACAAGGUGACCCUUGAAGGCCUAGAGAAAUAGUAAAAGAAAGAAAGAGAACAAGAUGGAUAAUGUAGAUGCAGAAAAUGGACAAAGGGAGGGGACUAACAUAGAGUCCGGCGCUAGGCGUAGAAUCUUCGGAGCCUCGCCGCGUUCCAUGGGUUCGGCUCGAGUCGACUAGUCGAUGCAUCCCGCAGUCGGUACGCUCCACCGAUCAGAACUUGGUCAAUAAUGAAGGGACCUUCCCAUUUGGGCUCGACCUUGUUCUUUUUCUUAUCCCGCUGGCGUAGAACUAGUUUGCCAAUGUUAUAAGUUUUGGCCCGUACUUCUCUGCUUUGGUAUCUGCGAGCCUGUUGCUGAUAAAAUGCGGAACGGGCUUUGGCUAUGUCGCGCUCCUCCUCCAGGGUGUCCAAACUGUCCUGCCGAUCAAGUUCGGCUUCUCUUUCUUCAUACAUGCGUACUUGAGGUGAGUCAUGAAUUAUGUCACAGGGCAAGACCGCCUCUGCGCCGUACACCAUAAAGAAGGGUGUAUAUCCGGUACUACGAUUCGGCGUGGUCCGCAGCCCCCAGAGUACGGAGUCGAGCUCCUCUACCCAGAGCGUGUUAGACUCCGUUAAGAAGCGCACUAAUCUAGGUUUGAUGCCGCUCAUUAUAAGACCGUUUGCUCGCUCGACUUGACCAUUGGUUUGUGGGUGAUAGACUGAAGCAUAAUCAAGCUUGAUGCCCAUUUUGCUGCACCAGAGUUUUACCUCGUCGGCCGUGAAGUUCGUGCCAUUAUCAGUGAUGAUGCUGUGGGGGAUGCCAUAACGGUGUACAACCCUGGAUAUGAAGUCUAUCACCGGUCCGGAUUCAGCUGUUUUAACAGGUUUGGCCUCUAUCCAUUUUGUGAAUUUAUCCACCAUGACCAAUAAGUAUUUUUUCUUGUGGGUUCCCCCUUUGAGGGGUCCAACCAUCUCAAGCCCCCAGACCACAAAGGGCCAUGUAAUGGGGAUUGUUUGCAGGGCGGUGGGUGGCAUGUGGCUUUGAUUUGCAAAGAGCUGGCAACCGACGCAGCGUUGGACCAAGUCCUGUGCAUCUGCCCAGGCCGUUGGCCAAUAGAAUCCUGUACGGAAGGCCUUGCUUACAAGAUCCGGGCUGCGGCGUGAUGAUUGCCGAGUCCGGCAUGAAUUUCUGCCAAAAGAUUCUGCCCUUCCUCUUCGAAGAUGCACCUUUGAAGGACUUCGGUAGUACUUUUUUUGUACAAUUCUCCCUCAUGGACCCUGUAGGCCUUGGAUCGCCGCACUAUGUAGCGUGCCUCAUUUUGGUCCUCCGGAAGUUCAUGUCUAGUUAGGUAGGCCAGGAAUGGUUCUGUCCACGGGGCAACAAUGGCCAUUAUUUCGUGGGCUGAAGGUGUUAUUUCGGUGGCAGAGCCUCCGAUUGUGUCAGAGAGUUCGGUAUAGGGUCUUUUGGCCGGGUCCGGACUGUUGUUACCGGUGUCCCCUUCCCAUACUACGGAUGGCUUGAACAGCCUUUCCAAAAAUAUGUUGGGGUGGACCGCAUCACGUUUUCCGCCGAUGUGGGUGAGGAUAUACGCCGCCUGAUUGUUUUCUCGAGCCACAUGGUGAAAUUCGAGCCCCUCGAACCUAGCUGACAUUUUUAGGAUGGCGUUUCGAUAGGCCGCCAUUUUGGGAUCCUUGGAGUCAAAGUCUCCAUUUAUUUGGGAUAUUGCAAGUUUUGAAUCCCCACACACCUCCAGGCGUUGAAUGCCCAUGGAGACUGCCAUCCGAAGACCAUGCAACAGAGCUUCGUAUUCGGCUGCAUUGUUGGAGUCUGUAUACAAUAUUUGCAAUACAUACUGAACGGUAUCUCCGGUUGGGGACGUCAGGACGACGCCAGCCCCUAGACCAGCCAGCAUUUUAGAACCGUCGAAGUGCAUGAUCCAAUUGGAGUAUGCGCCGUACUCUUUAGGGAGUUCGGCCUCCGUCCAUUCGGCGACGAAGUCGGCCAAUACUUGCGACUUAAUGGCUCGUCGAGGUUUGUAUGUUAUGUCGAAUGGGAGGAGCUCAAUGCCCCAUUUGGCAAUCCGGCCCGUAGCGUCGCGGUUGUUUAUAAUAUCAUUAAGUGGCACUUCCGAUGCUACUGUAAUCGAACACUCCUUAAGGUAGUGUCGUAGCUUCCGCGAUGCCAUGAAUACCGUAUAUGCUAUCUUUUGGUAAUGCGGGUACCGUGAUUUGCAUGGAGUGAGGACAGUGGAUACAUAGUAUACCGGCUUCUGAAGAGGGAAUUUAUGUCCGUCCGCUUCCCGUUCGAUAACGAGCACCGCCCUUACAACUUGAUGAGUUGUCGCAAUGUACAACAGCAUUGGUUCGCCGAUGUUUGGUGCGGCCAGGAUUGGGUUGGUUAACAAGAUGGCCUUUAUUUCUUCAAAUCCGGCUGUGGCCGUGUCCGUCCACUCGAAGUGUUCGGUGCGCCGAAGGAGGCGAUAAAGGGGUAAAGCCUUUUCUCCUAAGCGGGAGAUAAAGCGGCUUAGAGCCGCCACGCAUCCAGUUAACUUCUGGAUUUGUUUGAGGUCUGUUGGGGUAGCCAACUGUGACAAAGCUCGGAUUUUGGCCGGAUUAGCUUCAAUACCUCUACUGGAGACAAUGAAACCCAGGAGCUUUCCGGCUGGUACACCAAAAACGCAUUUUUCCGGAUUGAGCUUGAUGUCGUAUGUUCGGAGGUUGUCGAAUGUGAGCCUCAAGUCGUCUAUCAAAGAGUCGACGUGUUUGGUUUUGACGACCACAUCGUCUAUGUAUGCCUCUACUAUUUUGCUGAUUUGUUUCUCCAGACAUGUCUGAAUCAUGCGCUGAUAUGUCGCGCCGGCGUUUUUGAGCCCAAAAGGCAUUGUGUUAAAACAGAAGGGACCGUAUGGUGUGAUGAAUGCCGUUGCGGCUUGGUCGGACUCCGCCAUCUUGAUUUGGUGGUAGCCGGAGUAUGCGUCGAGGAAACACAAUGACUCGUGUCCUACCGUAGCAUCAAUGAUUUGAUCGAUGCGUGGGAGGGGGAAGGGAUCCUUUGGGAAAGCUUUAUUGAUGUAUUUGAAAUCGACACAAAGGCGCCAGGAUUUGUCCUUCUUUGGUACCAUCACCAGGUUUGUUAGCCAGUCCGGAUGUUUUAUUUCUCUGAUGAAUCCGUCCUCCAAUAACUUGGCUAGUUCAUCUCCCAUGGCCUGUCUCUUAGGUUCGGAGAAACGCCGAAGAGCUUGCUUGACCAACUUGAAUCCCUUUAGGAUAUUGAGGCUAUGCUCGGCCAGCCUGCGUGGGAUUCCUGGCAUGUCUGAGUGAUGCCAUGCGAAUAUGUUCCAGUUCUCGCGAAGGAACUCUCGUAGUGCGGCGUCCACAGUGGGGUUUAACUGUGCCCCGAUGGAGGCUGUUUUUGUAGGUUCCGUUGGGUGGACUUGGAAUUUGACUAUUUCAUCCGCUGGUUUAAAAGAGGUGGACUUGGAUCUCUUGUCGAGUAUCAAGUCGUCCCUGUCCACUGUGGAGCAUAGCGUGGUUAAUUCCUCGGCUAAGAGGGCUUCGGAUAAUGCCUCGAGGGCUAGUGCGGCUGUUUUGUCUUCAGCGCGGAGUGCUAUGUCCGGAUUGCUGGCAAGAGUGAUGAUUCUGUUCGGCCCGAGCAUUUUGAGCUUCAUGUACCCGUAAUGGGGUACGGUUUGGAAGAUUGUGAACGCCUCCCGUCCUAAAAGAGCGUGAUAACCACUGCUGAACGGGGCCACUUAGAAUGUGAUUUCUUCAGACCUGUAAUUAUCCGGCGUGCCGAAUACCACAUCUAGUGUGAUUUUCCCAGCAUAGCAUGCUUCCCGACUGGGGAUGAUUCUUCUAAAGGUUGUACUACUUUGCUCAAUGCGGUUCUAGUCUAUUUCCAUCUUUUGAAGAGUUUCCUCAUAGAUGAGGUUUAAUCUGCUGCCGCCGUCCAUGAGUACUUUGGUGAGUCGAAAGCCGUCCACGAUUGGACUGAGGACCAGUGCGGCUGUGCUCGUGCUGUUCGGAAUUUAGGUUCUUCACUGGCAUUGAAGGUAAUAGCAGUGUCACUCCAUGGAUUUAUUGCUGCUACGUGGCAGAUUUCGGCAAUGUUGCGGAGUGUUCGCUUGCGCCUAUUAUUUGACGCGAAUGUCUCAAACACUGUUAACAUCGUAUUGUUAUCCAUGGGAUGGUGCUCUGUGGUAUUUGGGAUAAGAAGAUCCUCACCACUUUUGGCCACCUGCCGGAGUAUCCAACAUGCUCUAAGGCUGUGCGUUGGUAUUAUAUCCGCUGUACUAUGAAUUUUGCAGGGUCCGUUGAGCCAUCCCUCUAGUACGGUUCCAUGCCCCGUAGAGGGUUUUUGCUUUUUGGUAAUUGUCCCGGGUGUAUUGUGGUAAUGCACCCUUUUAUUUCCGACUGGGUUUGUAUUCAGGGUCGGAUUAUCCCAAAAGUUUGUUUUGGUUUUCCAGGCACUUUCCAUUGCACUGCACUUUCGUACUAUGGAUGCCAAGUCAGCAAAGCAUGUUAUCUCAUGGUGAUUUAUGGCGUUAAGGAUUCCCUUGUCCGUGCAAUUAUUGCAGAAAAAUAGGAUUGCGUCUUCCUCGCGACAGUCCUUAACCUUGUUUAUCGCAAGGAGGAAUCUGGCCCAAUAGUGAUGUACUGUUUCUUGGGGCUCUUGCCUGAUGUGGGAAAGAUCACUUAUGUUUGGGUGGGUGGGUGGAAUUGAAUCCGAACCCCUACCCGAUCUGGGAUCCAGGGGCCGAGGAGUUUCCAAUUUUGGAAGUUCCGGUUUCGGGAUGUUACCCGGUAAUCCUGGCCCGCUGCCUGACUCUAAGUUCGGGGAUUGGAUGUUGUCCUCCCACGAACGGGCGUCCGACUCGGAGAGCUCGAGAAUCUGGACAUAAUUGGUCCUCAAGAUAGAGGAAAGGUUGCCGCAUUGUUCUUCCACCACUGCAAUAUGAUGGGUGACCGGUGGUGAGUUAAUCUCCCUUUGAUCUGGUUUAAUCCCAAUCCGAUCAUAGUCCGUAGCGACUCCCAAGGAGGCGAUGCGAUCCAAGAGCUCGUUUAAGGAGGCGAGCUCCAUUGGAUCCAUCUGUUCGGCAAGUGCCGAUUUGAUGUGGAGGUUGUUUUCGAUGACCCGAGAAGUCAUCGUCGGCGCGGCGGGCGAACAGGCGGUCAUGAUGAAACCGCCUACCCGGAGAGUUUGGCUGACAGCCAAAGCUCCUCCAGCAGUAGUACCGUCUCUAAAGACGAGACGAGACAUCCUUCCUUCUGGGGACGGAACAGAGGAACUCUCAAUGAAAGCACCAAUGUCAGUGUCAAAACCGGCGGAUCUCGGGUAGGCGGUCCCGAACUGUGUGUCUGAGGUGGAUGGUAACAGGAGGCAGGGGACACGAUGUUUUACCCAGGUUUGGGCCCUCUCGAUGGAGGUAAACCCCUACUUCCUGCUUGAUUUAUUCUUGAUGAUAUGGGUAUUAAAAGAGUUGAUCUACCACGAGAUCGGAGAGGCUAAACCCUAGAAACUAGCCUAUGGUAUGAUUGUAUGUUGUCCUACGGAGUAAAACCCUCCAGUUUAUAUAGACACCGGAGGGGGCUAGGGUUACACAAGGUCGGUUACAAAGGAGGAGAUAUACAUAUCCGUAUUGUCUAGCUUGCCUUCCAUGCCAUGUAGAGUCCCAUCCAGACACGAGACGAAGUCUUGAAUCUUGUAUCUUCAUAGUCCAACAGUCCGGCCAAAGGAUAUAGUCCGGCUGUCCGGAGACCCCCUAAUCCAGGACUCCCUCACUCUCGUUUUCCUCUCCCCCACUUCACCCUUGCCAUUUUUAUUCGCCCUCUCUCUCUCUAUCCUCCCUCUCUUUCUCUAGUUGCCUCUUUUUGCCCGCUUGCUUUUUGUUUGCUUGUGUGUUGGAUUGCUUGCUUGUCACGGUGGCUCAAGAUAACACUAAAUUGUGCGACUUUACCAAUACCAACAACAAUGAUUUUAUUAGCACUCGGAUAGCUCCUCUUAACGAUGCUGAAUCUUGUGAAAUUAAAGCCGCUGUGCUGAAUCUUGUCAUGAAAGAUCCGUUUUCCGGCCUUCCUAGUGAAGAUGCCGCUACCCAUCUAAAUAGCUUCGUUAACUUGUGUGAUAUGCAAAAGAAGAAAGAUGUGGACAACGGUAUUGUUAAGUUGAAGCUAUUUCCCUUUUCGCUUAGAGAUCGUACUAAAGCUUGGUUUUCAUCUUUGCCUAAAAAUAGCAUUGAUUCUUGGAACAAGUGCAAAGAUGCUUUUAUCUCUAAGUAUUUUCCUCCCGCAAAGAUCAUCUCCCUUAGAAACGAUAUUAUUAAUUUUAAGCAACUUGAUCAUGAACAUGUUGCACAAGCUUGGGAGAGGAUGGAAUUAAUAAUACAUAAUUGCCCUACUCAUGGUUUGAAUUUGUGGAUGAUUAUACAAAAAUUUUAUGGCGAAUUGAAUUUUACUUCUAGAGUUCUUUCAGAUUCGGCCGCGGGAGGCACUUUUAUGGAAAUCACUUUAGAAGAAGCUACUGAAAUCCUAGAUAAUAUUAUGGUUAAUUAUUCUCAAUGGCAUACUGAAAGAUCUACUAAUAAAAAGGUGCAUGUGAUGGAAGAAAUUAAUAUUUUGAGUGGAAAGGUGGAUGAACUUAUGAAAUUAUUUGCUAUUAAGAGCGUUUCUUCUUAUCCUAAUGAUAUGCCCAUGUCUACUUUGAUUGAGAAUAAUAAUGAAUCUAUGGAUGUAAAUUUUGUUGGUAGGAACAAUUUUGGUAACAAUACGUAUAGAGGAAAUUUUAAUCCUAGGCCUUAUCCUAGUAACCCCUCUAAUAAUUAUGGUAAUUCCUACAACAAUUCUUAUGGAAAUUAUAAUAAGAUGCCCUCUGAUUUUGAAUCUAAUAUUAAAGAAUUUAUUACAUCACAAAAGAAUUUCAAUGCUUUGAUAAAAUUGCUUAAGAUUGAUGAGUUGGCUAGGAACGUUGAUAAAAUUUCACUUGAUGUUGAUUCUUUGAAACUUAGAUCUAUUCCUCCUAAGCAUGAUAUCACUGAGUCUCUCAAAGCCAUGAGAAUUUCCAUUGAUGAGUGCAAAGAAAGAACUUCUAGGAUGCAUGCUAAGAAAGAUGCCUUUAUAAGAGCGUGUUCUAAUUCAUAUGAAAAUAAAUAUGAAGAUCUAAAAGUUAUUGAUGUGUCCCUAUUAAAUCUUUGUUUUGCAAUAUGAAUCUUGAUAAUGAUGGGACUGAAUAUGAUCCACCUUUACCUAGAAGGCGUUUCAAAAAUUCGGAGUUUUUAGAUCUUGAUGCUAAAUUUGAUGAAAGUGGGAUUGAAGAAAUUAAAACCCUAAAUGUUGCUAAACCCACUAUUUUGGAUUUAAAGGAAUUUAAUUAUAAAAAUUGCUCUUUGAUUGAUUGUAUUUCCUUCUUGCAAUCCGUGCUAAAUUCUCCUCAUGCUUAUAGUCAAAACAAAGCGUUUACUAAACAUAUCGUUGAUGCCUUGAUGAAAUCUUAUGAAGUAAAACUUGAGUUGGAAGUUUCUAUCCCUAGAAAACUUUAUGAAGAGUGGGAACCAACUAUUAAAAUUAAGAUUAAAGAUCAUGAGUUAUAUGCUUUAUGUGAUUUGGGUGCUAGUGUUUCCACGAUUUCAAAGACCUUGUCUGAUUUGUUAGGUUUCCGUGAUUUUGAUUAUUGCUCUUUAAACUUGCACCUUGCGGAUUCCACUAUUAAGAAACCAAUGGGAAGAAUCAAUGAUGUUCUUAUUGUCGCAAAUAGGAAUUAUGUGCCCAAAGAUUUUAUUGUUCUUGACAUAGAUUGCAAUCCUUCAUGUCCUAUUAUCCUUGGUAGACCUUUCCUUAGAACGAUUGGUGCAAUUAUUGAUAUGAAGGAAGGAAAUAUUAGAUUCCAAUUUCCAUUAAGGAAAGGCAUGGAACACUUUCCUAGAAAGAAAAUUAAAUUACCUUAUGAAUCUAUUAUGAGAGCCACUUAUGGAUUGCCUAUCAAAGCUGGCAAUACCUAGAUCUAUCCUUGCUUUUUAUGCCUAGCUAGGGGUGUUAAACGAUAGCGCUUGUUGGGAAGCAACCCAAUUUUAUUUUUAUUCCUUGCUUUUUGCUCCUGUUUAGAAAUAUAUAAUUUACCUAUCCUCUGUUUUGGUUUUGUUUUUUGUGUUUAAUUAGUGUUUGUUCCAAGUAGAACCGUUAGGAAGACUUGGGGGAAAGUCUUGUUAUCUUGCUGUAAAAAACAGAAACUUUAGCGCUCACAAGAACUACUGCCAUUUUUGUUUGGAAAGUGUUAUUUAGUUAAUUAUUUUUGCAGAUUAUUAAUAGAUAAAUUCCUCACGUUCAGCAAUUUAUUUUUGAAUUUUUGGGGUUCGAGAUCUUGCGCUAGUUACAGAUUACUACAGACUGUUCUGUUUUUGACAGAUUCUGUUUUUCGUGUGUUGUUUGCUUAUUUUGAUGAAUCUAUGGCUAGUAAAAUAGUUUAUAAACCAUACAGAAGUUGGAAUACAUUAGGUUUAACACCAAUAUAAAUAAUUAAUGAGUUCAUUACAGUAUGUUGAAGUGGUCUUUUGUUUUCUUUCGCUAACGGAGCUCACGAAAUUUUCUACUUUAAGUUUUGUGUUGUGAAGUUUUCAAGUUUUGGGUAAAGAUUUGAUGGAUUAUGGAACAAGGAGUGGAAAGAGCUUAAUCUUGGGGAUGCCCAUGGCACCCCCAAGAUAAUCUAAGGACACCUAAAAGCCAAAGCUUGGGGAUGCCCCGGAAGGCAUCCCCUCUUUCGUCUACUUCCAUCGGUCAGUUUACUUGGCGAUAUAUUUUUAUUCACCACAUGAUAUGUGUUUUGCUUGGAGCAUCUUGUAUGAUUUGAGUCUUUGCUUUUUAGUUUACCACAAUCAUCCUUGCUGCACACACCUUUUGAGAGAGCCAUACAUGAUUUGUAAUUUGUUAGAAUACUCUAUGCGCUUCACUUAUAUCUUUUGAGUUAUAUAGUUUUGCUCUAGUACUUCACUUAUAUCUUUUAGAGCACGGUGGUGGAUUUGUUUUAUAGAAACUAUUGAUCUCUCAUGCUUCACUUAGAUUAUUUUGAGAGUCUUAAAUACCAUGGUAAUUUGCUUAAAUAAUCCUAAUAUGCUAGGUAUUCAAGAUUAGUAAAAAUCUUCUUAUGAGUGUUUUGAAUACUAAUAGAAGUUUGAUGGUUGAUGAUUGUUUUGAGAUAUGGAGGUAAUAAUAUCAAAGUCCUACUAGUUGAGUAGUUGUAAAUUUUAGAAAUGCUUGUGUUGAAGUUUGAAAGUCCCGUAGCAUGCACGUAUGGUAAACGUUAUGUAACAAAUUUGAAACAUGAGGUGUUCUUUGAUUGUCCUCCUUAUGAGUGGCGGUCGGGGACGGGCGAUGGUAUUUUCCUACCAAUCUAUCCCCCUAGGAGCAUGCACGUAGUGCUUGGUUUUUCAUGACUUGUAGAUUUUUGCAAUAAGUAUGUGAGUUCUUUAUGACUAAUGCUGAGUCCAUGGAUCAUACGCACUCUCACCCUUCCAUCAUUGCUAGCCUCUUCGGUACCGUGCAUUCCCCUUUCUCACAUUGAGAGUUGGUGCAAACUUCACCGGUGCAUCCAAACCCCGUGAUAUGAUACGCUCUUUCACACAUUAACCUCCUUAUAUGUUCCUCAAAACAGCCACCAUACCUACCUAUUAUGGAAUUUCCAUAGCCAUUUCGAGAUAUAUUGCCAUGCAACUUUCCACCAUUCUGUUUAUCAUGACCCAUUCAUAAUUGUCAUAUUGCUUAGCAUGAUCAUGUAGUUGACAUAGUAUUUGUGGCAAAGCCACCGUUCAUAAUUCUUUUGUACAUGUCACUCUUGGUUCAUUGCAUAUCCCGGUACACCGCCAGAGGCAUUCAUAUAGAGUCAUCUUUUGUUCUAGCAUCGAGUUGUAAUCGUUGAGUUGUAAAUAAAUAGAUGUGUGAUGAUCAUCAUUUUCUAGAGCAUUGUCCCAAGUGAGGAAUUAAAAAAAGGAGAGAAAGGCCAUAAAAAAGAAGAGAAGGCCCAAAAAAAGAGAUAGAGCAAAAGAGAGAAGGCACAAUGCUACUAUCCUUUGCCACACUUGUGCUUCAAAGUAGCACCAUAAUCUUCAUGAUAGAGAUUCUUUUGUUUUGUCACUUUCAUAUACUAGUGGGAGUUUUUCAUUAUAGAAAUUGGCUUGUAUAUUCCAACAAUGGGCCUCCUCAAGUGCCCUAGGUCUUCGUGAGCAAGCAAGUUGGAUGCACACCCACUUAGUUUCUUUUGUUGAGCUUUCAUACAUUUAUAGCUCUAGUGCAUCCGUUGCAUGGCAAUCCCUACUCCUUGCAUUAACAUCAAUCGAUGGGCAUCUCCAUAGCCCAUUGAUAAGCCUCGUUGAUGUGAGACUUUAUCCUUUUUUGUCUUCUCCACACAACCCCCAUCAUCAUAUUCUAUUCCACACAUAGUGCUAUGUCCAUGGCUCGCGCUCAUAUAUUGUGUGAAAGUUAUAGGUUUGAGAUUACUAAGGUAUGAAACAAUUGCUUGUCUUGUCAUCGGGGUUGUGCAUGAUGAGAGCAUUCUUGUGUGACGAAAAUGGAGCAUGACUAAACUAUAUGAUUUUGUAGGGAUGAACUUUCUUUGGCCAUGUUAUUUUGAGAAGACAUAAUUGCUUAGUUAGUAUGCUUGAAGUAUUAUUAUUUUUAUGUCAAUAUGAACUUUUAUCUUGAAUCUUUCGAAUCUGAAUAUUCAUACCACAAUUAAGAAGAAUUACAUUAAAAUUAUGCCAAGUAGCACUCCACAUCAAAAUUAUCAUUUUAUCAUUUACCUACUCGAGGACGAGCAGGAAUUAAGGUUGGGGAUGCUUGAUGCGUCUCCAAUGUAUCUAUAAUUUUUGAUUGCUCCAUGCUAUAUUAUCUACUGUUUUGGACAUUAUUGGGCUUUAUUAUCCACUUUUAUAUUAUUUUUUGGGACUAAUCUAUUAACCGGAGGCCCAACCCAGAAUUGAUGUUUUUUUUCCUAUUUCAGAGUUUCGCAGAAAAGGACUAUCAAACGGAGUCCAAACGGAAUGAAACCUUCGGGAACGUGAUUUUCGGAACGAACAUGAUCCAGGAGACUUGGACCCUACAACAAGAAAUAAAGGAGGAAGCCACGAGGUAGGGUGUGCGCCUACCCCCCAGGCGUGCCCUCCACCCUCGUGGGCCCCUGUUGCUCCACCGACGUACUCCUUCCUCCUAUAUAUACCUACGUACCCCCAAACAAUCAGAAACGGAGCCAAAAACCUAAUUCCACCACCGUAAUUUUCUGUAUCGAUGAGAGCCCAUCUUGGGGCCUGUUCCGGAGCUCCGCCGGAGGGGGCAUCCGUCACGGAGGGCUUCUACAUCAUCACCAUAGCCCCUCCGAUGAAGUGUGAGUAGUUUACCUUAGACCUUCGGGUCCAUAGUUAUUAGCUAGAUGGCUUCUUCUCUCUUUUUGGAUCUCAAUACAUAGUUCUCCCGCUCUCUUGUGGAGAUCUAUUCGAUUUGAUCUUCUUUUUGCGGUUUGUUUGCUGAGACUGAUGAAUUGUGGGUUUAUGAUCAAGAUUAUCUAUGAACAAUAUUUGAAUCUUCUUUGAAUUCUUUUAUGUAUGAUUGGUUAUCUUUGCAAGUCUCUUCGAAUUAUCAGCUUGAUUUGACCUACUAGAUUGAUCUUUCUUGCAUUGGGAGAAGUGCUUAGCUUUGGGUUCAAUCUUGCGGUGUCCUUUCCCAGUUACAGUAGGGGCAAUAAGGCACGUAUUGUAUUGUUGCCAUCUAGGAUAACAAGAUGGUGUUUUUGUCAUAUUGCAUGAAUUUAUCCCUCUACAUCAUGUCAUCUUGCUUAAGGCGUUACUUUGUUUUCAUGAACUUAAUACUCUAGAUGCAUGCUGGAUAGCGGCCGAUGAGUGGAGUAAUAGUAGUAGAUGCAGGCAGGAGUCGGUCUACUUGUCUCGGACGUGAUGCCUAUAUACAUGAUCAUACCUAGAUAUUCUCAUAACUAUGCUCAGUUUUGUCAAUUGCUCAACAGUAAUUCGUUCACCCACCGUAAAAUACUUAUGCUCUUGGGAGAAGCCACGAGUGAAACCAAUGGCCCCCGGGUCUAUCUUUGUCAUAUAAAUCUUCGAAUAAUUAGUUAUUUCUUUGCUUUUUUACUUUGCUUUUAUUUACUUUGCAUCUUUAUCACAAAAAUACCAAAAAUAUUAUCUUAUCAUAUCUAUCAGAUCUCACUCUCGUAAGUGACCGUGAAGGGAUUGACAACCCCUUAUCGCGUUGGUUGCCAGGAGUUAUUUGUUUUGUGCAGGUACGAGGGACUCGCGUGUAGCCUCCUACUGGAUUGAUAACUUGGUUCUCAAAAACUGAGGGAAAUACUUACGCUACUUUGCUGCAUCAUCCUUUCUUCUUCAAGGAAAUCCAAAGCAGUGCUCAAGAGGUAGCAUGGAGUAAUAGUAGUAGAUGCAGGCAGGAGUCGGUCUACUUGUCUCGAAUGUGAUGCCUAUAUACAUGAUCAUACCUAGAUAUUCUCAUAACUAUGCUCAAUUCUGUCAAUUGCUCAAUAGUAAUUUGUUCACCCACCGUAAAAUACUUAUGCUCUUGAGAGAAGCCACUAGUGAAACCUAUGGCCCCCGGGUCUAUCUUCCAUCAUAUUAAUCUUCCAACACUUAGUUAUUUUCAUUUCCUUUUAUUUUUCUUUGCAUCUUUAUCAUAAAAAUACCAAAAAUAUUAUGUUAUCAUAUCUAUCAGAUCUCACUCUCGUAAGUGACCGUGUAGGGAUUGACAACCCCUUAUCGCGUUGGUUGCGAGGAUUUAUUUGUUUUGUGUAGGUGCGAGGGACUCCCACGUAGCCUCCUACUGGAUUGAUACAUUGGUUCUCAAAAACUAAGGGAAAUACUUAUGCUACUUUGCUGCAUCACCCUUUCCUCUUCAAGGGAAAACCAAUGCAGUGCUCAAGAGGUAGCAAGAAGGAUUUCUGGCGCCGUUGCCAGGGAGGUCUACGCAAACGUCAACAUACCAAGUACCCAUCACAACCCUUAUCUCGCGCAUUACAUUAUUUGCCAUUUGCCUCUCGUUUUCCUCUCCCCCACUUCACCCUUGCCGUUUUAUUCGCCCUCUCUCUCUCUCUACCAUCCCUCUCUUUCUCUAUUUGCCUCUUUUUUGUCCGUUCCUCAUUUGCUUGUGUGUUGGAUUGCUUGCUUGUCACGAUGGCUCAAGAUAACACUAAAUUGUGUGACUUUACCAAUACCAACAACAAUGAUUUUAUUAGCACUCUGAUUGCUCCUCUUACCGAUGUUGAAUCUUGUGAAAUUAAUGCUGCCUUGCUGAAUCUUGUCAUGAAAGAUCCGUUUUCUAGCCUUCCUAGUGAAGAUGCCGCUACCCAUCUAAAUAGCUUCGUUGAUUUGUGUGAUAUGCAAAAAAAGAAAGAUGUGGACAAUAUUAUGAAUUUCCUCCCGCUAAGAUCAUCUCUCUUAGAAACGAUAUUAUGAAUUUUAAGCAACUUGAUCAUGAACAUGUUGCACAAGCUUGGGAGAGGAUAAAAUUAAUGGUACGUAAUUGCCCAACACACUGUUUGAAUUUGUGGAUGAUUAUACAAAAUUUUUAUGCCGGAUUGAAUUUUGCUUCUAGAAAUCUUUUAGAUUCGGUCGCGGGAGGCACUUUUAUGGAAAUCACUUUAGGAGAAGCUACUAAACUCCUAGAUAAUAUUAUGGUUAAUUAUUCUCAAUGGCACACUAAAAGAUCUACUAAUAAAAAAGUGCAUGUGAUAGAAGAAAUUAAUGUUUUGAGUGGAAAGUUAGAGUGUUUCUUCUGAUCCUAAUGAUAUUCCUUUGUCUACUUUGAUUCAGAAUAAUAAUGAAUCUAUGGAUGUGAAUUUUGUUGGUAGGAAUAAUUUUGGUAACAACGCGUAUAGAGGAAACUUUAAUCCCAGGCCUUAUCCUAGUAAUGCCUCUAAUAAUUAUGGCGAUUCCUACAACAAUUCUUAUGGAAAUUUUAAUAAGAUGCCCUCUGAGUUUGAGACUAGUGUUAAGCAAUUUAUGAAUUCACAAAAGAAUUUCAAUUCUUUGCUUGAAGAGAAAUUGCUUAAAGUUGAUGAUUUGGCUAGGAACAUUGAUAGAAUUUCUCUUGAUGUUGAUUCUUUAAAACUUAGAUCUAUUCCUCCUAAGCAUGAUACAUUGAUGAGUGCAAAGAAAGAACCGCUAGGAUGCGUGCUAAGAAAGAUUCCUUUAUAAGAGCAUGUUCUCUAGUUCCUUUGAAAAUAAAGAUGAAGAUCUAAAAGUUAUUGACGUGUCCCCUAUUAAAUCUUUGUUUUGCAAUAUGAAUCUUGAUAAUGAUGGGACUGGAUAUGAUCCACCUUUACCUAGAAGGCGUUCCAAAAAUUCGCAGUUUUUAGAUCUUGAUGCUAAAUUUGAUAAAAGUGGGAUUAAAGAGAUCAAAACUCUAGAUGUUAAUGAACCUACUAUUUUGGAUUUCAAGGAAUUUAAUUGUGAUACCUGCUCUUUGAUAGAUUGUAUUUCCUUGUUGCAAUCCGUGCUAAAUUCUCCCCAUGCUUAUAGUCAAAAUAAGACUUUUACCAAACAUAUUGUUGAUGCUUUGAUGCAAUCUUAUGAAGAAAACUUGAGUUGGAAAUUUCUAUCCCUAGAAAACUUUAUGAUGAGUGGGAACCAACUAUUAAAAUUAAAAUUAAAGAUCAUGAAUGCUAUGCUUUGUGUGAUUUGGGUGCUAGUGUUUCCACGAUUCCAAAGACUUUGUGUGAUUUGUUAGGUUACCGUGAUUUUGAUCAUUGCUCUUUAAACUUGCACCUUGCGGAUUCCACUAUUAAGAAACCUAUGGGAAGAAUUAAUGAUGUCCUUAUUGUUGCAAAUAGGAACUAUGUGCCCGUAGAUUUUAUUGUUCUUGACAUAGAUUGCAAUCAUUCAUGUCCUAUUAUUCUUGGUAGACCUUUCCUUAGAACGAUUGGUGCAAUUAUUGAUAUGAAAAUAUUCAAAAAAAAUUAUUGAUAUGAAGGAAGGUAAUAUUAGAUUCCAAUUUCCGUUAAGGAAAGGCAUGUAACACUUUCCUAGAAAGAAAAUUAGAUUACCUUAUGAAUCUAUUAUGAGAGCCACUUAUGGAUUGCCCACCAAAGAUGGCAAUACCUAGAUCUAUCCUUGCUUUUUAUGCCUAGCUAGGGGCGUUAAACGAUAGCGCUUGUUGGGAGGCAACCCAAUUUUAUUUUUAUUCCUUGAUUUUUGCUCCUGUUUAGUAAUAAAUAAUUUAUCUAGCCUCUGUUUUGGUUGUGUUUUUUGUGUUUAAUUAGUGUUUGUGCCAAGUAGAACCGUUGGGAAGACUUGGGGAAAGUCUUGUUAAUCUUGCUGUAAAAAUAGAAACUUUAGCACUCACGAGAACUGCGGCCAUUUUUAUUUGGAAAGUGAUAUUUAGUUAAUUCUUUUUGAAGAUGAUUAAUAGAUAAAUUUCUCACGUCCAGCAAUUUAUAUUAGAAUUUUUGGGGUCCCAGAUCUUGCGCUAGCAACAGAUUACUACAGACUGUUCUGUUUUUGACAGAUUCUGUUUUUCGUGUGUUGUUUGUUUAUUUUGAUGAAUCUAUGGCUAGUAAAAUAGUUUAUAAAUCAUAGAGAAGUUGGAAUACAGUAGGUUUAAUACUAAUAUAAAUAAAUAAUGAGUUCAUUAUAGUACCUUGAAGUGGUAUUUUGUUUUCUUUCGCUAACGGAGCUCACGAGAUUUUCUACUUUAAGUUUUGUGUUGUGAAGUUUUCAAGUUUUGGGUAAGGAUUUGAUGGAUUAUGGAACAAGGAGUGGAAAGAGUCUAAGCUUGGGGAUGCGCAUGGCACCCCCAAGAUAAUCUAAGGACACCAAAAAGCCAAAGCUUGGGGAUGCCCCGGAAGGCAUCCCCUCUUUCGUCUACUUCCAUCGGUAACUUUAUUUGGAGCUAUAUUUUUAUUCAUCACAUGAUAUGUGUUUUGCUUGGAGCAUCUUGUAUGAUUUGAGUCUUUUCUUUUUAGUUUACCACAAUCAUAUUUUCUGUAAACACCUUUUGAGAGAGACACACAUGAUUCGGAAAUUAUUAGAAUACUCUAUGUGCUUCACUUAUAUAUAUUUUGAGUUAUAUAGUUUUGCUCUAGUACUUCACUUAUAUCUUUUAGAGCACGGUGGUGGAUUUGUUUUAUAUAAACUAUUGAUCUCUCAUGCUUCACUUAGAUUAUUUUGAGAGUCUUAAAUAGCAUGGUAAUUUGCUUAAAUAAUCCUAAUAUGCUAGGUAUUCAAGAUUAGUAAAAAACUUUCUUAUGAGUGUUUUGAAUACUAAGAGAAGUUUGAUGCUUGAUGAUUGUUUUGAGAUAUGGAGGUAGUGAUAUUAAAGUUGUGCUAGUUGAGUAGUUGUGAAUUUGAGAAAUACUUGUUUUGAAGUUUGCAAGUCCCGUAGCAUGCACGUAUGGUAAACGUUAUGUAACAAAUUUGAAACCUGAGGUGUUCUCUGAUUGUCCUCCUUAUGAGUGGCGGUCGGGGACGAGCGAUGGUCUUUUCCUACCAAUCUAUCUCCCUAGGAGCAUGCGCGUAGUGCUUGGUUUUUGAUGACAUGUAGAUUUUUGCAAUAAGUAUGUGAGUUCUUUAUGACUAAUGUUGAGUCCAUGGAUUAUACGCACUCUCACCUUUCCAUCAUUGCUAUCAACUUCGGUACCGUGCAUUGCCCUUUCUCACAUUGAGAGUUGGUGCAAACUUCACCGGUGCAUCCAAACCCCGUGAUAUGAGACGCUCUUUCGCAGAUAAACCUCCUUAUAUCUUCCUCAAAACAGCCACCAUACCUACUUAUUAUGGCAUUUCCAUAGCCAUUCAGAGAUAUAUUGCCAUGCAACUUUCCACCAUCCCGUUUAUCAUGACACGUAAAUCAUUGUCAUAUUGUUUAGAAUGAUCAUGUAGUUGACAUAGUAUUUGUGGCAAAGCCACCGUUCAUAAUUCUUUCAUACAUGUCACUCUUGGUUCAUUGCAUAUCCCAUUACACCGCCGGAGGCAUUCAUAUAGAGUCAUACCAUGUUCUAGUAUCGAGUUGUAAUCAUUGAGUUGUAAGUAAAUAGAAGUGUGAUGAUCAUCAUUUAAUAGAGCAUUGUCCCAAUAAAAAAAGAGAACGGCCAAAUAAAAAAAAAAGAAGGCCCAAAAAAAGAGAAAUGAAAAGGCCCAAAAAAGAGAGAGAGAAAAAGAGAGAAGGCACAAUGCUACAAUCCUUUGCCACACUUGUGCUUCAAAGUAGCACCAUGAUCUUCAUGAUAGAGAGUCUCUUGUUUUGUCACUUUCAUAUACUAGUGGGGAUUUUUCAUUAUAGAACUUGACUUGUAUAUUCCAACAAUGGGCCUCCUCAAGUGCCCUAGGUCUUCGUGAGCAAGCAAGUUGGAUGCACACCCACUUAGUUUCUUUUGUUGAGCUUUCAUACAUUUAUAGCUCUAGUGCACCCGUUGCAUGGCAAUCCCUACUCCUUGCAUUAACAUCAAUCGAUGGGCAUCUCCAUAGCUCAUUGAUUAGCCUCGUUGAUGUGAGACUUUCUCCUUUUUUGUCUUCUCCACAUAACCCCCGUCAUUAUACUCUAUUCCACCCAUAGUGCUAUAUCCAUGGCUCACGCUCGUGUAUUGUGUGAAGGUUUAUAAAGUUUGAGAUUACUAAACUAUGAAACAAUAGCUUGGCUUGUCAUCGGGGUUGUGCAUGAUGAGAGCAUUCUUGUGUGACGAAAAUGGAGCAUGACUAAACUAUAUGAUUUUGUAGGGAUGAACUUUCUUUGGCCAUGUUAUUUUGUGAAGACAUAAUUACUUAGUUAGUAUACUUGAAGUAUUAUUAUUUCUAUGUCAAUAUUAAACUUUUAUCUUGAAUCUUUUGGAUUUGAAUAUUCAUACCACAAUUAAGAAGAAUUACAUUGAAAUUAUGCCUUGUAGCAUUCCACAUCAAAAAAUUUGUUUUUAUCAUUUACCUACUCGAGGACGAGCAGGAAUUAAGCUUGGGGAUGCUUGAUGCGUCUCCAACGUAUCUAUAAUUUUUGAUUGCUCCAUGCUAUAUUAUCUUUUGUUUUGGACAUUAUUAGGCUUUAUUAUUCACUUUUAUAUUAUUUUUGGGAAUAACCUAUUAACCGGAGGCCCAACCCAGAAUUGCUGUUUUUUACCUAUUUCAGAGUUUCACAGAAAAAUAAUAUCAAACGGAGUCCAAACGGAAUGAAACCUUUGGGAACGUGAUUUUCGGAACGAACAUGAUCCAGGAGACUUGGACCCUACAUCAAGCAACCAACAGGGAAGCCACGAGGUAGGGGGCGCGCCUACCCCCCCUCCCCUAGGCGCGCCCUCCACCCUCGUGGCCCCCCUGUUGCUCCACCGACGUACUCCUUCCUCCUAUAUAUACCUACGUACACCCAAACGAUCAGAAACGGAGCCAAAACCCUAAUUCCACCGCCGUAACUUUCUGUAUCCACGAGAUCCCAUCUUGGGGCCUGUUCCGGAGCUCCGCCGGAGGGGGCAUCGAUCACAGAGGGCUUCUACAUCAACACCAUAGCCUCUCCGAUGAUGUGUGAGUAGUUUACCUCAGACCUUCGAGUCCAUAGUUAUUAGCUAGAUGGCUUCUUCUCUCUUUUUGGAUCUCAGUACAAUGUUCUCCCCCUCUCUCGUGGAGAUCUAUUCGAUGUAAUCUUCUUUUACGGUGUGUUUGUUGAGACCGAUGAAUUGUGGGUUUAUGAUCAAGUUUCUCUAUGAACAAUAUUUGGAUCUUCUGAAUUCUUUUAUGUAUGAUUGGUUAUCUUUGCAAGUCUCUUUGAAUUAUCAGUUUGGUUUGGCCUACUAGAUUGGUCUUUCUUGCAAUGGGAGAAGUGCUUAGCUUUGGGUUCAAUCUUGCGGUGUCCUUUCCUAGUGACAGUAGGGGCAGCAAGGCACGUAUUGUAUUGUUGCCAUCGAGGAUAACAAGAUGGAGUUUAUUUCAUAUUGCAUGAAUUUAUCCCUCUACAUCAUGUCAUCUUGCUUAAAGCGUUACUCUGUUCUCUUGAACUUAAUACUCUAGAUGCAUGUUGGAUAGCGGACGAUGUGUGGAGUAAUAGUAGUAGAAGCAGGCAGGAGUCGGUCUACUUGUCUCGGACGUGAUUCCUAUAUACACGAUCAUACCUAGAUAUUCUAAUAACUAUGCUCAAUUCUGUCAAUUGCUCAACAAUAAUUUGUUCACCCAUCGUAAAAUACUUAUGCUCUUGAGAGAAGCCACUAGUGAAACCUAUGGCCCCCGGGUCUAUCUUCCAUCAUAUUAAUCUUCCAACACUUAGUUAUUUUUACUGCCUUUUAUUUUGCUUUGCAUCUUUAUCAUAAAAUACCAACAAUAUUAUCUUAUCAUAUCUAUUAGAUCUCACUAUCGUAAGUGACCGUGUAGGGAUUGACAACCCCUUAUCGCGUUGGUUGCGAGGAUUUAUUUGUUUUGUGUAGGUGCGAGGGACUCGCGCGUAGCCUCCUACUGGAUUGAUACCUUGGUUCUCAAAAACUGAGGGAAAUACUUACGCUACUUUGCUGCAUCACCAUUUCCUCUUCAAGGGAAAACCAACGCAGUGCUCAAGAGGUAGCAUCAGUGUCGCCGAGGUGCGACGCGGAGGGGUGGGAGAAGGGCAGCACGCCACGACGGAGAAGGGGCGUCGAGGAGGAUGCGUAGGCGGCGGCAAGUAGUUGCACGGAGGGUCCUGCAUGCCGGCGAAGGCGUCCGCUGGGCCGGGUGACCAUGGGGGAAGGUGAUGUUGUGGAUGAACCCAUCGUGCACGUCCCCGUCGGUGUAGCCCGACAACGGCGAGCAGCCCCAGGGUUGCGGCGACGACGAGAAGCCGGCCGGAGAGCCGACGAUUUGCUAGCUCCAGGGCGCGUACUGACCGUGGACGUCGGGUGGAUUCAUCAUACCCACUUGAGCCGCCUCGGCUUGUUCGGCCGAGCGCUCCGCCGCCGCCGCAGCCACGAGUGCCGCGCUGUCCCUUGCCUUCUUGGAGUUGGCCCUGUUCCGCCGGUCGGUGGUGACAGCCUCCCGACGUUGAACUUCAGCCCUCCAGUCGGCGUUGGACAUGCCCGGGGGCUUGGACGGCGACGUCCUCGGUUUCCUCUGCUUCGGCUGGGCGACGGCGGCGGUCGCAACCUUCGCGGCACGGGGGACCACGUACUUCUUCGGCGGCAUGGCGGCCGGCGCGCAGAGGGAGCAGGAGGAGAUUGACGGGAGGAAUGGAGAGAAUGAGAGGGAAGCCCGGGGAAUCUGGAAAAACGGCGGGAAAAGGCCCUCCUCUCACCGAUAAAGCGGCCCCACACCCCUUUUCGCUUGUUCCGACGCCCCCAGGCGCCCCCAGCGCGCCGGGUUUGGCUCGGGUGCGCCGGCUGUUAUUUCGGUCCAACCCGGCAAAAAACGGACUNNNNNNNNNNNNNNNNNNNNNNNNNNNNNNNNNNNNNNNNNNNNNNNNNNNNNNNNNNNNNNNNNNNNNNNNNNNNNNNNNNNNNNNNNNNNNNNNNNNNNNNNNNNNNNNNNNNNNNNNNNNNNNNNNNNNNNNNNNNNNNNNNNNNNNNNNNNNNNNNNNNNNNNNNNNNNNNNNNNNNNNNNNNNNNNNNNNNNNNNNNNNNNNNNNNNNNNNNNNNNNNNNNNNNNNNNNNNNNNNNNNNNGCUGGAGAUGCUCUAACUAAAGUAAAAUAGUCUAACUAUAACUCGUCUUUUUACUAGUACAUGUGAAACAUUAUGAUAUGCUAUGAGAUAAAACAAAAAACACAAAACCGGUAAGGUGGUUGAUGGCUGGUAUAUAUCCAAACAGCCCCAAAAGUAACUAAAUAAAAAGUGUUUGACUAUAACUGGAAAUUCACUUUGGCACAUGAGAGCAUAUACUUCUGUCAUUGGUAUUUUUUUUAAAUGCUGAGAAGUUCCCAACAAAAUUUGGGAAGUACAUCUUGCCAUUCUAUUUGUGCACGCCAAUCUUCACGGAAAACCGGCAUUUUCCAGGCCUAUGUAGAAAAGAUGAAAAAAUGUAUCGUGAAAAGUCCUUUUUUAACACUAAAUUUGUCUUUUUUCACACGUGACACAAAAAUUGUCGGUUUUGCGUGAAAUGACUUUGUUAACGCGUAGAAUGUUGAGACAUAUUUGUGGAUUUUUUUAUCAGAAUUUUGUGGCAUUUCAAAAUAUGUUUAAACCACAUUUUUAAAGACAGAAGCAUAUGCUCCCGAGUGCCAAAAAGCCCCUCUCAACUAAUACUUUCUUUUGCGGGUGACUAUACUCUUCUAUUUACUAGUACAUAUGAAAUAUUAUGAUGCUCUAAGAUAAUACAAAAAACACAACAAAGACAACCUAGACAGAACUAGUAAGCGUGGCAUGAAUCUCCAGAUGACAACGCACGGCAUUCCGACAGCGACGGCUCUCUGAAAAUGGAAUAUGAUUCUCCUUGCCUAGCCCCAUUUCGGCAGUGCUUCUACCAUCGUUGGAGGGUGUUUGUCUCCGGCGAAUCUCAUGGGAUUCGGUCGACGUUUGUCCUCGGUGGAUCCACAUGGAUCAGGUCUUUAUUCGUCAGUGGUCAUUUGUCCAUUGGUUAGAUUUUUCCAAUCUACGCAUCUUUUCAUCGGCGGCGGAUGCUGUUCAAGUGCAUUAGUCCAGUAAGGAUUAGCACGAUGACUUCCUGACUGUCUACUACGAAAAUAAUUGCCCGACCCCGGUGAGUAAGGGGCAAUGACGGCGGCGUGCCUUCGGUUAGCUACAGUGCUUGUAGUCAUUGCUAGAUGGUCAAUAGAUCUGGAUGUAAUAUUUACUUAUGUGGUUUUUUAGACUACCUUGAUAGCUGAUGAAUAGGUCGAAAGCUUUUCCUGUAAAAAAAUGAAAAGUGAUAUAUAUUGUUGGUCCAGAAGACACGGUGCUAGAGCCACCGGGAUUAGUUCACGGGGUNNNNNNNNNNNNNNNNNNNNNNNNNNNNNNNNNNNNNNNNNNNNNNNNNNNNNNNNNNNNNNNNNNNNNNNNNNNNNNNNNNNNNNNNNNNNNNNNNNNNNNNNNNNNNNNNNNNNNNNNNNNNNNNNNNNNNNNNNNNNNNNNNNNNNNNNNNNNNNNNNNNNNNNNNNNNNNNNNNNNNNNNNNNNNNNNNNNNNNNNNNNNNNNNNNNNNNNNNNNNNNNNNNNNNNNNNNNNNNNNNNNNNNNNNNNNNNNNNNNNNNNNAAAGCCAGUCACAAAUCCGCGUGUCUAGGAUUAUCGCUUCAGUAAUGCUUCAAGGUGCUGUUUGACUUCAACUAUAUGACUCUUCUGUGACUUUUACGACUUUUUAUUAUCUUCACAUGUAUGCAUAAACAGGUACAUGUAGAUAAAAAUCAUGGAAUAUGUGUGAAAAAUGUUUUUCUACCUUGGAUCCAUCGUUCUUCGUGCUUGUGCACUCGGUUUUCACUGAUACACAAUGGAACACAAAGAUACACUUCGUAACGAGAAGAGAUUAAAUGCACGCCAACACUCAAAAAAUUGGUAAGGCCGCGGUUGAUAGCUGCUAUCCAACCAGCCCCAAAAGCAACUAAAUUAAAAUAGUCUAAUAUAAUUCAUCUUUUUACUAGUACAUAUGAAACAUUAUGAUGCUCUAAGAUAAUAAAACAAAAAACACAACAAAACUUUAUUUAUGUAACAACCUAAAAUAAAACAAGACAACUUAGACAGAACUAGUAAGCGUGACAUGAAUCUCCAGAUGACAACGCACAACACGUCAGAUGUGGCAAUUUCAAAGUGUUUGUCGUGUGUACAAGAAAAUCACAUGGUUGUAACGAAACAAUAGAUUAAUGAAAGAAAAAGAUUUGGAAGACAAAGGAGCUAUAACAAUCUUACAGUAAUUUACAGGGAAAAAGGGAUAUUCACGAAUCAAAACAGCCUUAUACUUCGUCGGUGGUUUAAUGGUUAACCACGCUGCACUUCUUCCUGAUCUCGCCCUGGCUGCCGGUGAGAGGAUUGGCAUUGCCCAUCUUGAUCAUGGAGGCAGCGAAGUCAGCGAAGAACUCGUCCUUGAAGGCGCCGGUGGCAUGACGCUGGACGUAGGCGCGGGUGAAGGGGUCGGUGAGUAGGGCGCCGUCAGAGUGGAAGAGGCCCCUCCGCUUGCUCACCAGCUUGAAGUAGUCGGUGUCGAAGGUCUUGAAGCUGCCGGGGUCCAUCUCCACGUGGGUGGUGUUGUCGUUGAGGCUGGCACACUUGCUCUUUAGCCGCAUCAUGUACUGCGGCUCCAGCGAGGGGUCGAUAUCGCUGGGGUUCUCCAUGCCGGUGAAGUUGUAGAGCCGGUCGGAGAAGGAGAAGCAGUGCGACGUCCCGAUGGUGUGCCCGGCGGACAAGACGACAAGGUCCUUUGCGUCGAGGUUCACGGCGGCGAAGAGCUGGGUGAGCACGGUGAGGUUGGAGGUCGGGGGUGGCAGAGCGUCGGUCUCGUUGGAAAUGGACACGCUGCCGUCUCGCCGGCCGAGAGGAACUGUCCAGAAUGGACCCUUGCUC
rnacentral:lncRNA from 1 species